rnacentral:lncRNA from 1 species
AAAAUGUUGCGAGAUCAAUUUAAGGUGAUUGUUCACACCUGAUUUUUAAUUGAAAUUUCAAGCAAAAUCAGCCAUUUAGGUAGUUUUUAUUUAGAAGCCAAGUCCAAGUCGCCUUCAGCCCGAAGUAAUUUCUCACAUGACUUUUUCUAGAAGUUCGGCUUUGACAGAUUGGAUUCUGAUCGCAAUAAGGAGAGAUUUCCUUCUCCGUCGCCUGGAAUUCACCAUGGUCUAGCUCCAUAGCCGGCCACUUCGAGCUCAUCGACAACCAUACCAGGACACAGAGCAUCAUACAUGCAUACCGGAUGCAUAACAAUCCUCUCUCGAGGAGAGAUUGGUGGAUUCGAAUCACAAUUUUUUACGUCUCUUAGCUUAUUCCAAUGGCUGUUGCUAACGCCAUUGGCCAUUUCACGGUCGCUCUGAGUGUGUUCCGUUCGACUCUGUCUUCAGAUCCAAUGGUCCGAAAGCAAUCUAAUUCGUGUUCGAUUCUCCACUACCAGCUCCGAUCUUCACCGAAAAAACUUCCAGAAGUUCCUUUUCCAAUUUGGUCUCUAAUUGUUGCUUUGACAUGGUAAAGUGUACGCUCUGUUUCUUUCGAAAUACCUUGAACUUGCAAAUUAGAUUAUAUGAGAACUGAACUUUGUUCGAGGCAACUAUAAUGAUUGUGGACGUGUUUCAAGUUUUACAUGAUGUUUUGGGUGUAGUUUUACUUAAUAAGAUUUACAUUCGGACUGCUUGCUUGGAGUGCUUGCUAGUUGUUUUGAGUAAUUGUCUGAGUGAAGUCUGUACUUGUGUAUGGGAUUUUUGUUCCUGUUGUAAGUUCGCUAGCUUCUUUUUGGUUGCAUAUAAGUUCAUAUGAAUCAGUUCUCUGAGUAAAUCAGAAGUGCCUGAGCUCAAAACCUUUGUGCAACCGAUUGAGUUAGAGAGCUUGUUCUUGUCGGAUUGAAAUCAUUGUUUGCUGGCUUCACGCAGACUGUUCUUGUUUAUGAUACAAGGUCCGUCGUCGACAUUGGAAUGGCCUUUGCAUUUUAUCUUUGGUCAGAAAUCUUAAUGCCAAUCAACUGCAUGUUCUUCUUUUAUAUUUUCCAUUUUCAUCCUAUCAAAUGCAAAUGCAGAUUUAAGAUCCAAAAUUAACAGAACACAAAAAAUUGAGGGGCUACUUUACUUGAAUUAAGACCAAAUGCAGGACCAACCGUUCUAAUCAGCCAAAAUCAUCCACGAACCUAUCUAUAUUGACCAAUAUUAUAUUUCUUUGAAGAUUUCAUCAGCCAUACGUCAAAUUGACAGUCGGCACCACACUUUUUUUUUUUGGUAAUUAGGAUUGAGUAUUGGUUGACAAUCUCUUUUUUCGGAGUUCAAGAGAAAUAUUAUUACUAGGUCUAAUUCACGAUAUAUAGAGACCAAAUAGAAGUCUUCCCUUGAUCAAUUAAUUUCAUGUUAUAAUUGAAUAAGGUGAAACUAGCUACAUAACAAUCCUCAAAGAUUGGACCCAAAAAAAAAAAAAAAAAUCCUCGAAGAAGAUAACUAAAAGAAUAAAACUAAAAACACAGAUAUUAUAUAACUUAGAGAAGUCUAAGCUUAUCAAACUACAAGUACCAUGAUUUAAAAUAGUUGACCAAAAAUAAAGAUGCACCAUGAUUACCAAGUGUUCAACUUAUGAGAGUAUAUGAGUUAUAAAACGAGAAUAAAGAGUUAUCCUGUUCAUAGUCUAAUAGAAACGUAACUUUGACAUUUGCAUGCUAUCUAUAUUUGGCCAAUAUUAAUGAAUAAACCAAUUCGUAAAUGUUUAAAAGUAUGCAUUUCUUUUUUGUUAAAUAAAUUUUGUCUAACCGCAAUAUUUGCUACAGAAUGUGCUAAUGUAGGCAUUACAAGAGGGCAAGUCAAUUUAUAAAGCUUAAAUGGUUCAGAUACUUGGAUUAAGUUUUGCUAUCAUCAAAAUACUUCAGGAAUUUUCCUACAAUUAUGAUCUAGCUUCGCCAACUGCUGAGAACGUCCUCGCGCUAGAACACACAUCUAUGUGCAGGCGAAUACAACUCCCCUCCAAAUACAUGCCAACGUACACGGUCCUCGUUGUUUGGCACAAAUCACCCAUCACUAGAAAGUCAAACGCUAAUAACUAUGGCCUUAUCCAAUAUUCAACGCACUGGCACAUGAAAUGUCAGAUCAUUCGACUGUCCGGAUCUAGUUUCACGCGACAACGACCUGCCUCACCUCGAUUUGUGUCCCUUUAUGCCCGUAGUCAAUUUCUCAUUUGACCAUGGUCAGAGCUGCUCCAUGUCAGUGCCAUGUCAUGCCAGUGACUAGUCCAAAAAUCCACUUCGCCAAUGAGCCAUGCUAAUUAGUGGACUAAACCGGGCCAGAGGCAUUCAUGGACCAGGUUUAAUCGUAUUCAGACCGUUACUCUUCCGAUUCAGUCCAAUUUCUAAUUUUUUUGGCCUAUAGAUUUUGAGGUUAGUUUUGUGUAUUACUUCUUCUAGAAUUGAGAUUUCCUUGGAUUAUCUUGGCUACCUCGUAUUGGUGUUUACACUUGAGAAAAUCAGGGACAUUCAGAAAAUUUUUAUUGGUGGGAAAACCUGAUAGAAAAUAAAAAGUUAAUGCAAUAUAUUGAUUCAAAUAUUAAGUAUAGUAGUUCUAUGUUUGAAAUUGAAUGAUGACUAAAAUUUUAAUAGAUUUUUCUUAUAGUUUGCACUGAAACCUUCAUAAGUUAUAUAUUUAUUUACUGCAAUUCUCAAUCAUGGAGCAAAAAAUAAUGAAAAAAUAACUAAUUAAAGUGAUUUCUCAUCAAAUUUGUGGGGGCGCUAUUGAAAAUUAUUUUUAUAAAUGACAUAAUAUAUUUUCUUCACAAGAUGGUUGGGGCAAUCACCCCCAGCUUUGUGAACGUAGGUCCAUCCUCGGAGAAAUGGAUGUUGCUCUCUCAAUUGUACAAACUAUCUUAAGUGUUCUACAAUAGUCCAAGACAUGGUUUCUCAUGGCACAACAUUAUAGAAUGCCAUAAGAUGGUAUGGAUUAUUUAUACAAUUUUUUUUUUGUUAGGUGACUGGGACUAUCUAAUGCUUGUGAUUGCAACGAUGCUUGAGAUGGAUGCGACUGUUGGAAGUCAGAGUUGAUGACUUUGAAUAUCAAGCAACUACAUAAGAGUUUUCAUGUUUUUACAGCUUAGAAUAAUCAUAUGAAUUCAAAUAGAUGUGUGUGGAUUGAAGUGUUGUCCAAGCCAAACAGAGAGAUUGAUAGGGAGAUCAGAUCAAAUGGGAUCAUCUUCAAAGAUGUGUCGCUUACAAGUUGUGCUGGUCAAAUGCAUUGUCUUCUUACUAAUACUUUGAUAAGUACAUUGAUCAAAUUUGCCACGACUAUUUUCUCUCCUUUUUGAUUUUCCCACCCCUCUUUCUUCUGUUUUGCUAUGUUAUGUAUAUGUCGUGUAUGCAUUCGAAAUUAUCAAAAGAAUAGUUGAGUCUAGAUUUCCAAGAAAGGUCGUGGAAACCCGAUAAUGGAUGAGAAAAGUAAGAUCAUUUGCAGUUUCAUGACUAAUCUUUAACUUUUUUCUGUUUGACGAGGGCUGGGAAAGAAGUGUUACUCUUUUUCACUUCACACGGUAGCCAUCCAUGGAGAUUAUAUUUUGAGCGUCCAUCUUGGAAAGCUCCAUGUGAACUCUAAGAACUUAGUUAUGAACGUCUAUGUAUUUUUUUUGUUUACUAUACUAACUUUUCUCGUCAUUAAUUAAAAAUAUCUUAAGUGUUGGUAAAUUUAAGGCGUAAUAAAAAAAAGAUAAGGUAAAUGAAAAUCGGUAAAAAAUAACAGAAGUUUGUAAUUAAAAAAAAUAGACUUGAUAAGCAACUCAAAUAAGAGUUGGUAACCCAAACUACUUGAUAACUUAAAUAGAGAAAAGUUACCACGUCACUCUAAUUAAAUAUGGUAGUUUAAAAAAAAAAAGUCAGUAAUUCUAAGACGUUGCUAAGAAAUGCAAAUAGAAAUUGUAAGCAAUAAGAAAAUUUAGAAAUAAAGAACUAAAUAAAUUGUUAGUAAGUUACUUACAUGAAUGUUGAUAAUACUAAGUAGUAAUAUUACGGGAGACAAGUUGGUGAAUCACGUUAACUAAGGCUGGUAAUUUUUAAAUAGAAUUGGUAAAUGCAAUAAAAUUAGGGGAUAAGUGCUGCAAAAGUCCUAAAACUUGUUACGAAAAUGCAAUUGAGUCCUAAAACUUGCAAAAAGUGCAAUUGAAUUCUAAAACUUGUCAAAUUAUUUCAAUCGAGUCAUAAAGUUAACACUGUUAGCCCUUUUAACGGAAAAUGCUGACGUGGCGCUGACGUGGCCUUUUAAAUAAUUUUUCUUUUUUUAGAUGGCUUUUUUAAUUAUUUUUUAUUCAUUUUUAAAAAAUAGAUUUAAAAACUAAAAAGAAAAGAAAAUUUAUUUUUUAAAAUUGUUAAAAAAAAAGGAAGAAGAAGAUAAAGCAGCUCCUCCCUUAUUGCCGCCGCCGUCGCCAUUGAUCAUCGAAGGGGCCGGCGACCGUCGCCAGCUUUAGGCUGAGUGGCCGACCCUCACCGGCCCUAGGCGAGGCCUCGCCAACCCCAGGCGAGACCUCACCAAGCUCGGGCGAGGGUGCCCAGAUCUGGGCACGCCAGCCCUCGCGGGGGGCCGGCAGCUGUCACCUAGCCUAGGUGAGUCAUUGCCGGCCCUGGGUGAUGCCUCGUCAACCCUCGCUUGGGGCCGGCAAGGCUCGCCAAAUCUCGGCAAGGCGAGGGCCGGCAACCCUCGCCAAGCUCGGGCGAGGGCCAACCACCCGUGCCCAAGGCCGGCUAUCGUCACUGGCCCCUCCAGCGAGGCUGCCAUUUUUUUUUUUGAAUUCUUUUCUUUUUAAAUAAAAUUUCACUUUCUUUUUUUAAUUUUUAAAUCUAAUUUAAAUAAAAAAUUAAAAAAAGCCACAUGGAAAAUAAAAAAUUAAUUUUAAAUGCCACGUCAGCAUUUUCCGUUAAAAAAGUCGAUGGCGUUAACUUUAGGACUCGAUUGAAACAAAUUGACAAGUUUUAGGACUCAAUUGCACUUUUUGCAAGUUUUAUAAUUCAAUUGUAUUUUCGUGACAAGUUUUAGGACUUCUACAGUACUUAUCCUAAAAUCUUAAUGCCAAUCAAGUACAUGUUCUUCUUUUAGAUUCUCUUUUUCAUCCUAUGAAAUGUAGAUUGAGAUCCAAACGAAGAUCUAACCAUUUUAAAUAGCCAAAAUCAUCUUUACCAACCUAUCUAUAUCAACCUUUAUUAUAUUUCUUUGAAGAUUUUAUAAGCCAUACUUCAAAUUUGACAUACAACACCACACAUUUUCUUUUUGUUUUGGAAUUAGGAUUGAGUAUUAAUUGACAAUCUCUUUUUCCAGCAUUCAAGGGAAAUAUUAUUACUAGGUCCGAUACACGAUACAUAGAGACCCAACAGAAGUCUUCCCUUGAUCAAUUAAUUUCAGGUUAUAAUUGCACAAGGUGAAAUGGCUGCCUAACAAUCCUCAAAGAUUGGACCAAAAAAAAAAAAAUCCUCAAGGAAGAUCGCCGAAAGAAUAAAGCUAAAAGUUUAGAGAAAUCUAAGCUUAUCAAACUAUAAGCACCAUAGAAACAAUAUAAAAAGUUGACCAUAAAUAAAGUCACACUAUCAUUAUUUAGUGUUCAACCUACGAGAGGAUAUGAGUCUUAAAACUGGCAUAAAGAGUUAUAUCAAUUCAUAGUCUAAUAGAAUGUAACAUUAACAUUUGCAUGCUAUAUAUAUUUGGCAAAUAUUACUGAAUAAACUAAUUCUUAAAUGUUUAUAAGUAUGUAUUUCUUUUUCGUUAAAUUAAUUUUGUCUAACCGCAAUGCGUUGCAGAUUGUGCUGAUGUUGGCAUUACAAGAGGGCAAGUCAAUUUAUAAAGCUUGAAUAGUUCAGACACUUAGAUUAAGCUUCUCCGGCCGCUGAGAAUGUCCUCGCGCCAAAACACACAUCUAUGCGUGGGCGAAUACAACUCCCAUCUAAAGAUGUGCCAGCGUACACAGUCCCUAAUCUUUGGCACAAAUCGCCCACCACUAGAAAGACAAACACUAGCAACCACAGCCUCAAUCGAUACUCAGCCCACCCACAAGCGCAAUUUCAUAGAUGAUCUGACUGUCCCAAUCCAGUUUCACGCGACAACGACCUCACCUUGAUUUGUGUCCCUUUGUGCCACUAGUUAGUCUCUAAUCUGACCAUAGUCAGAGUUACUCCGUAUCAAUGCCACGUCAGCUCCACAUGGUCCCAUAUCAGUGACUGGUCCAAAAUCCACUCGGUCAACGAGCUGCGCUAAUCAGUGGACUAAACUGGCCAGAGGAAUUCAUGGACGGGGUUGAAUCCAAUGUAGACCGUCUCUCUUCCGUUUUAGUCCAAUUUCUAAUAUAUUUUGGCCUUUACGUUUUGAGGUUAGUUUUGUGUAUUAUUUCUUGGCUACCUUUUAUACGUGUUUACAUUGGGGAAAGUCAGGGACAGAUUCAGAAAAUUUUUAUGAGUGGGAAAACCUAAUAGAAAAUAAAAAGUGAAUGCAAUGUAUUGAUUCAAAUAGUAAAUAUAAUAGUUCUGUGCUGGAAAUAGAAUGAUGGAUAAAAUUUCAAAAGAUUUUGCUUAUAGUUUGCCCUUAAACCUUCAUGAGUUAUGUAUAUAUAUUUGCUGCAGUACUCAAUCAUGGAGGAAAAAUAAUGAAAAAGUGCGGAAAAUAAAUAAUUAAAGUGAUUUCUCAUUAAACUUGUGAAAGUACUAUUGAAAAUUAUUUUAAAAAGUGACGUAAUAUAGAUAAUUUACAAGAUAGUGGAGGCAAUUUUCCCCCAAAUUUGCCGUGGUGGUGAUCCGUUCUCGGAUAAAAUGGAUGUUGCUCAGCCAAUAAUACGAACCUCCACAAGUGGUCUAACUAUAGUCCAAAAAGUGUGGGUACACACACAACACAUAUAUAUACAGAUUAAAUGCGAUCGUCUACGAAGAUGCAUCGCUUGCAAGUGAUACUGGUUAAAUGCGUUGUCCUGUUUUCUUGUCUUCCCUUUUACGAAGAGCACAUGAAACAGAGGAUGAACGCCUAAGAUUUGUGGUAAAUGGUUAAUGGUUAAUAUUGUGUAUGUUGAGAAGAUCACCGCCUCUCUCUCCUAGAACUCUCCAGAUCUCUCUCUCUCUUGACUCGUCCGGAUCUCUCGCCACUUCUCCAGACUUUUCUCUCUAGAUAAUUCUUCAGCUUCAGCCGCAAUUGUUGACCAACAACUUGUAAUAAAAUAUUACUUGUAGAAUAGUGUAGAAGGCCAGCAAAGUCACCGACUUUGCCUCCUAUAAAUAGGGGCUCUUGCCCCUUGAGUGUGUCUUGUACGAGAGAGUUGAGAGGUAGGGUGACAGGGGUCUAGUGAAGAAGUGUGAGGAGUGUGUACGCAAAGUGUGGGAUGUGUACGUGAGUGUGUGAGUGGGUGGGAGUAGGUGGCGUGAAGUAUAGAGUGAGAAAGAGUGAGUGGGUGUGUGCAAGAAUUGUGUUUGUGUGAGGUGUGAGAGGUGUAUGAGAGUGGCGUGUGUAAAGAGUUUGCAAUAUUGCUUAUAUAAAAUAAAGUGAUUAUUUUACUUGCACAUCCACUUGAUUUCUCAACAGUGUAUAAGUAGAGAAAGGAUCGGCAAGUAUUGGCACAAGGAAUAGAAAGAUUUAUAUGAGUAUUUGUGGUACACGUGAUAACGGAGGAGCUCUCACUUAUUGGUUGUGCAUCCAAGCCAUAUAUUGUUUACCGACUAUGACAAGGCAACCACCUAAGAUUUUCUAAUAUUUUAUACUACUUAACAGUUAAGUUACAAAACUUUCUCUUCAUGUCCAUAAUUUCCAGCAUGUUCUAUGACUUUGUCUUUUCUUCUGAACCGAUUUUAUCAGCACCGUUUCAACUUAAACUUCUCUUUGCCAGCUGUAGUUGAUGAAGGGUAGUUAGUUAUUUUGGCUGCUUGUUGCUCAAGUUCUCUAGAGUAUAGCUGCUAUAGAUUUCUCUAGAAAAAUUGGUGAAACUUCAACAUAUAAAGGUUUUUUUGAUAUAGGUUAAAUUAAUUGAGAUAUUAAUUGAAAUUGUAAUUUAUCCUUUUAAAAGAUUAGUCUAAUAAGAUGAGAUAUAAAAAUUAUCAAUUAGUCUAAUAUAGGGCUGAUCAGUAUAAACCGUAUAAAACUUGACAUGUGAUAAGUGGGCAUUUGGCUUAAAACUCUAUAAAUAGUACUCAAAUAUCUUUUUUAACUCUGAUGCACAAAUAUCCUCAUAUAUGGAGUGUUUACCGAAUGCUGAGGGUAAGGGGCAGUUUCAUUAAACUAGUGAUAGAAAAGGCAAUAGAGAAGAAACACUUGAGUUUUGGAUCAUCAUCGUUUCACAUAAAAAAAUCAUGGAUUUUGAAUCAUGUUUAAAUUUCUUUUCUUGAUUACAUAUGUUCUAGAUUCUUGCUAUGGAGAUCUUGGUACCAUUUUCGCAGUUUACAGCUCAGUCCGCAAUGAGCAUCCUCAUUCAUUUCGUCGGUAACCAAUUUUAUAUUCUUCUCAUCUUGACAAAAAGUCACAAGUAACCCUAGGUGCAAAUGCAUUGAAUCAAACAAAGCAAAUAAAAGACAGAGAAAAAUGCCAAGAGAAGACAUAUUCAACCAAGAAUCUUCCCCUCCUCUCAACGCAACUUAAAUAAUAGUCAACAUAAGAAGCCUCGAGCCUUAUCACCGUUUUCUUAAAACACGAAACUUCGACACACUCCCAGGGAAAAAAUCAGCUUCGCCGAUGACCCAUGCCGAGCUCAUUUUCAUCCCAUCGCCUGGCAUGGGCCAUCUCGUAUCGAUGGUCGAGAUGGCCAAGCUUCUUGUUGACCGCGACCCACGCCUCUCUAUCACUGUCGUCAUCAUGAAGCUUCUGUUCGACUCCGAUGCCGAUUCAUACACGACCUCGCUUGCCACCACCUGGGCUGCUGCCCGAAUCCGCUUUGUUCAUCUCCCACGUGGGAACACCAACACCUUGAUCUCUUCGGGCAAUUUCCGCACCCACUUCAUCGAAAGCAACAAGCCCCACAUCAAGCAGGUUGUUGCCGAGCUCGCUGACUCGGCCAGCUCUACCAGACAACUUGCGGGGUUCGUUCUUGACAUGUUCUGCACCACCAUGAUUGACCUGGCAGACGAGUUCGGAGUACCGUCCUAUAUCUUCUUCACAUCGAGUGCCGCUUGCCUCGGCAUGAUGCUGCACCUCCAAUCGCUCCAAGACGAGCACCACAUGGACAUAACUGAAUUCAACGAUGCAGCCGGGGAACUGGACUUCCCAAGUUUCACCAACCCUUUGCCGGCCAAGGUCUUACCCUCCGUGGUUCUUAUGAAGGAGGCGGUCCGACCGUUCCUGGAGCACACCAGGAGGAUGAGAGCGACCAAGGGCAUUGUUGUAAACACGUUCGAGGAGCUUGAACCGCAUGCAAUAAGGUCCUUGGCGGGCCUAGGGGCGCCCGUGGUUUAUCCGGUGGGGCCAAUACUAAAUCUGAAGGGUGAGACCAAAAUGAAGGCGAACAGUGGAGCGGAUGACAUCAUGGAGUGCCUCAACGGGCAAUUGCCUUCAUCGGUAGUUUUCCUGUGCUUUGGGAGCAUGGGAAGCUUCGGUAAGGACCAGGUGAAGGAGAUGGCUUCCGCACUGGAGCGGAGUGGGCACCGCUUCCUGUGGUCCCUACGGCGGCCGCCGCCGAAGGGCAAGGUUGAAAUCCCCCAUGACUACAUGGACCCCGCGGAGGUUUUGCCCAAGGGUUUCCUAGAUCGAACGGCUGGCAUUGGGAAAGUGAUUGGGUGGGCCCCACAAGUUGCGGUCCUAGCCCACCCAGCAAUUGGGGGGUUCGUGUCACACUGCGGAUGGAACUCCACCUUGGAGAGCAUAUGGUUCGGGGUGACCAUGGCCACAUGGCCCCUGUACGCGGAGCAACAGCUCAACGCGUUCGAGCUAGUGGUGGAACUGCGCCUUGCGACAGAGAUCAGGAUGGACUACAGGAGGGAUUUCAAGAUGGAGACCAAUGUGGUGAUGGCAGACGAAAUAGAGGGCGCAAUAAAGAAGUUAAUGGAGGAGGUCAACGGUGAGAGGAAGAGGAAGGUGGAGGAGGUGAGUGAGAAGAGUAGGAACGCGUUAGUUGAGGGUGGCUCUUCUUACUUGUCUUUGAGCCGUUUUAUUGAGGACAUAUUGAAUAAUAUGCCUUGACUCGUUUGCUUUCGUGUCAUUUUCGCAAUUUAUGAUGUUUCUCGGUCCAUUUGUUCAAAAAUGGUGAUCCUCUCUCAAUCACGAUUCUUAAUAUGCAUUCUUUUUUCUUUCUUUUUUUAUGAUCUUGCAUAUAUAUGUGUAGAGACAACAUCACAACACAAUAUUGAUUUCUUAAGACCAAUCCAUGCACGGCUAAUGCUUCCUCAGACAUUUUGUCAAGAAGAGAAGAAUAUGAAAUGGGUUAGGUUUGAUGUUCCUUUCUCUGCAUUAUUUUUUUCGUCCUGUUAUCUUGCAUAUACCUGUGUAAAAACAACGUCACAACACAAUAUCGAUUUCAUAAGACCAAUCCGUGUUUGGCUAAUGCUUCCUCAGACAUUUUGUCAAGAAGAGAAGAAUAUGAAAUUGGUUAGGUCUGAUGUUCCUUUCUUUGCAUCUUUUUUCUCGUCCCAUUGACAUUUAAAUGUUGACUAAUUAUUUAAUAAUUAAUUACAUAAAAAAAUAUAGAUUAAUUUUUAACCACCUAAAUGAAAAUAUCAUAAUUAAAUUGCAUAACAUAUAAUUUUAAGAGCAUUUAUUGGAUAAUAUAUUUCAUCAUAUUAGCAUUGGAUUGGCAGUGGAUGGUUUUGAGCUUAAAAAUUCGAUAAAUUGAACCCACGAAAGAAGACGAAAUUCAGUCAGGCCAACGCCAUGCAAGUGGCCAAAAAUCAUAGGGUAAAAGGGCCUUAAUUGGCCUAAUUUGGUCUUAAUCCAGCUCAUUAAGAAUCUAAUUAGGGACCGGCCUUAGGAUAUUAUAAUCCAUAAAAAUAAAUAAAUAAAUUGAAAGGCCAAAGCUCCAACCCUCGUAAUCAAGUUUACCUAGGUUUUGCUAUAUAAACAUACUACCCUGUGGUGGGCGAGUUGAUUCGCGCCUUGACCCUUUAGCUGAAAGGGUAGAAGUUCAAAACUUCUCACUCCCAUUGUGUGACUUACCUGCGACGCUGUGGGAGGUGGGUCCCUGCGGUGCCGCCCCAGGUUUACAUCGCCGGCUACCGGCUAUACGGUAGUUUCUGGAUCACCAAAAAAAAAAAAAUACUUAUGGCUCUAAUUAUUAGAGAAGGAAAGAGCCCUCUAGGCCAAUCCUGGGCCGAGACACUCAUCUUGCCGCCCUGCCCGCCACCCCACCUCAGCCACCACCGUGCCCUCACCAUCUGCAACGUUGCUCCCUUCGCCGCCCAGCCUUGACGUCGUGAGCUCGCUGCCCAAACUGAUUGUGAGUCGCGGAGUCCCGAGCCCCGAAAACUGCGCCGCUGCCUUGACUGCGACGUCCCUACUAUUGUCUCGAUUGACUAAGCCUCACUCCCGCCUUGCCCAAGUCGCCUGCGACAACUCACUGCUUCGCCGCCACGCCCGCUGCUACCCCUGGACAUUGAACUUGCCGUCGCGCCCUACACCGUGCCGAGCUACUGCCCCUGCCCUGACGACAAAGCCGCACGCUCCACCCGCAGUCCGUUGCCGCUGAGUCAACGAAGACCGAGCUACAGUCCCGGUGGCAAGUUGUUGCCCCUGGACGCCGAGUUGCUGCUCGAGCCCCGUGCCAUCAUCCUCUGCAACAUUGCUGUGACCUGCUGUGGCUGUGCCGAGUGUGAGCCCAGGCCAGCCAAGGGUCGCCCACAGCCGUCAACGUCACUGCUGAUGAUGCGGGAGCAUCCGACUUAACUCCAUCAGCGCCAUCAUUGUUGCUAAUUCAAGCCAAGAUAGACUUUGAGCAUAACGUGCUUCAAUAGGUCGAGACUGAAAUUUUUAACUAAAGCUGUACCGAACCAUUCUUGCCAAAGAUAUCGAUAUCAAUGAUUAAUGAGUUUUCAAAGUUAUUGAUAUGAUAUAUUAGUCAGUGGUUUCUCGGUAUGCUUUAGUAGUUGCCGAUUUUGAAGUUUCUCAACAACAUAACAAUGGGAGGCCAUUUUGAACAACUUUCUUGGAUAUUUGAUGAAGUCUUGGAGUAUUUAUCUUCUGGUCAAGGAGGGAGCACGAAUUUGGCAAGGCUCAAGAUUGCAAGUUCCCAAGACAUAAUGCAUCUCUAUUUUCCUAGGAGUCUUUAAUGCUAUGUAAAUUUUCAAGAGUCAACAUUCUGGGUUCCUAGAUCUUUAAUGUUAGGGUAGUUCUCAUUCCUAUUCAUUAGAUUCCCAUUUCCUAAGUUGAAUUCCUCUUGUAAAUAGAGGAAGCCUCUCCAUUGUAUGGCAGAUGAAUUGGAUCAAUGAAAAUACUUGAGAUUUCCUCUGUGUGAGUGAAUAUUUUUGAAGAGUGCACAACUCUUAUUUUGGUUUCUUUAUCCUUAGAGAGUGGAUUAUUCCUCAGUGAUGAGUCAAGAAGCCCUUUAUUCUUUAUUGGUGUAUUUUCUAUUAGGCCAUGGUGGUGAGCUUCUCCUAUCCCGAACUCCUUUAUCUUUGGCAAAUGGUUCGUCCUUUAAGACUUGGUGAUCAACUUCUUUAAUCCCGAUUUUCAUAUUUGGGUGGUGGCGCAUCCUUUAUACCUCAGAGUCGAUCAUUUCUAUCCUUGCAAUUUGCAUUUUCAUCCUCCCACACACCAUUCCCAUAUACUUAACGACAAAAAAAUCCCUACAUCCCGGAAUGGCUCGCCCAUGCACGAAUCAGCUGACCAGAUGCCAACCCGAGGGCAAUUUGUCACUAUUUUGCAGCUUCUUGUCGAGAACGGUUGUAUCGUAAUAAGCACCACCGCUGAUCCCUCGCCGUUGAGCCCUAUGAUUGCGAUUGCAGUCCGAUUACGUCAGUUUGAAUUUGGAAAGUUAAUCCUCAAGUUAGAUAAUUAUCUUUUUUCUAAUUGAUAUGAAAUAAUUAGUUGCCAAUUUUGAUUUAUUGUUAUAUUCUUAUAUAUUUAAAUAAAUAAUGCAUAUUUAGAAAAAAAAUUCUAAAAAAUCACCCGGCUCGUCGUACUGAAGACUCCGAGGUUGCUUCUGCGAAAGUGGCGGAAGAGAACACCUCAGGCUAUAGAAGCUUGCCAUGCUGAUGAAGACAUCCUGCGUUAUUGAAGCUCGCCGUGCUAAAGAUUCUGAGGCUACAUCCACACACCUAACGAAAAAUAUUAUAGGAAACACCCCAAUCAUGAAAAUGCACUGGGCAUGAAUCGCUAUAGAAGAGCACUGAUUGCGAAAACAUGUCAAGCUAAGUUCAUUUGGUUUGAAAACAUUUACUGUCAUGAAAUUAUCAUUCGACUUAGCAGAAAUCAUCAAUCAUCAAAUUCUCAUAAGAGAAAAGUCAUCGUCAAGAUGAUCUUAAUUCGUCGAAAGAAUUACUUAAAAAUGUCAAAUGAGAACUUCUUAGUCAAAUGGGCUUUUCACUUAAUGUCCAAAUAAGGCUAUUUGAUCCCUAUCAUUAAUGUGAGAAAUGAUCAUGAACACCCAAUUCACCUCACACUGCCAGUUUCGAAGGUUCCAGAAAAAGUUCGCAGUAGACACAUAACGACCAGACAGGGUGGUCCUUUGUAGAGACCAUGAAGUAUGCUUGGUCACGGACUUCGACAAUGGAUAAGCAUUUUGUGGCUAAAAAAAGAAAUACUUUUCAUUCAUUAUCUUCACUAGGAUUACAGGCCAAGAAACAUAAAGAUGAAAUAAGAUAAUUUUGCCCUCACUUCCUCAAGUGGGAAUUUUCAAUUGUAGAAGCUCAUACGUCAACUUUGAUAUUCCAAUUUGAAGAGACUUUAUAAGAGGCAUAAUAUAUAUUUAGAAAGGGGUUGAGAAACAAAAGAAAUUAUUAGGCUCAAAAUUCAUUGGUGAUUAUUUCGGCAUUAUUAUCAAUAAUUCUUCAUUUAAAAAUCUUCUUUUCUCUUGAUAUUUCAUUGGCCUUGAGAGUCCAUUUUGAUAUGGUUUAAUUGUCAGUUAUAUUGGCUUGACAUGCUAAAGGUUCGCUUCUCGCCAUCUGCUGGACUAGACACGAGGGUCUUUUCGCCCCUGCAUUAUUUUAAGAUUUAUUUACAUUUUUCCUUGUUUUCUUUUUCCCUUCUUCUGGCCAUUUGCCUUUACUUAUAGGCGGCGCCCGCCUUUUCAUGCCUUCUCGAUUUUUUUUCAACACUUUUUGCAUUCAUCUUUUUCUAGCUUCUUCGUCUACUAAUCUUCAGACCUUUGAGCAUUUUGGACUCUCGAGACCACUGUCUUCGAUCAUUACUCUAGUAAAUCAUUUACAUUUUCCUAGUGUGGGGUAAUAAUCAACAUUUGGAUUUAAGAAAUGAAUUCGAAAGGCCAAAAAUUGAUACAUGAAGAUAUAAAGUGAACAUCGCAUAUUCUUUUCUAGAUUCUUGACAAUUCCUUUCGUGAUCCAAACUAUGUGGGUAAUAAAAUAUUUGUCGAGAUUGAUAAAGAGAUGGUUGUUAUUGAAAAGACAUGAGAUAAUUUUCAUUAAAAAAAAAAUUAAUCAAAAAACAAGAUUGAAAUAUAUGUAAUUGGAAUAUGAUCUUGAAUUCAUUCCCCUUAACUAAAUAAAGAGAAGCAGAUGGGUGAAGAGGACACAAGUUGAAAUACACACACAAAUAUUUUAUUAGCUAGAUAGUUUGGAUGGUCCGAACUAGGCCAAUCCAGCUUCUAAUCCAAGGACUAACCUAUACAGUGUUGGUUUUCAAUUUUUGAAACCAUGGACCAACCCUCUUAAGCCUAGAACCAAUGACUGGAUUGACCCUAUGGGUUUGGUCUAAUUUCAAGAUCAAUCUGGGAGAAAUAAAUUUUUUUUUUUGGUUCAUUUUUUGUAUUCCUUAAAAAGACAAACAUAUUUUUUCAAAUUAUAAAUCCAUCAAUAAUAUGACAUUGAGUACCCAAACUAUGAACACCGGUACAUAUUAAACAUAAAUCUAAGAUAAAGUAACAACAGAAAUAUGCAUUUACAAUUGUUGAGUUGCAUUCGUGAGGCGGCCCAAGAGAGAUGAGUGAUUUCACCAACUAAGCUGCUCUCAUAAGGCUAGGGAGGAGAGACUAGAGGUGAGUGAUGUUGGAGAAAUCUUCCUGGAGUAUUUUGAAGCUGACAAAACGUUUUCAUCAGUCUAAUCUGAAGAUUUGUAGACCCUACUAUUUAAAGUUUGAAAACCUCCGGACUGCCAGACUCAAGACUCAAAGUCUAUUCUCAUUGACAGUUUCUAAUCCGUCGAAGAAGGGCUAUCCAGGACUAGAUAUUUCGUUAAGGAUUUGACUUUAUCGACUGGAGAAGAUCUCUUGGCUGGAUAUGACAUAACGGAAUCCUUUAUUGAUUCAAAGAUUGAGGAUCCGAUGAUUGGCGAAAUAUACUUGGAAGGUUCUACUUAUGGAAACCGAGAUACUGAUUGUAUGGGCGAGCAGGAUUGAUGGGCUAUCAACAUGUUCCUUAAAUAGCUCGAAUGAUCUUCCUAAUUGAUUCUGUCCAACGGGAAGAUUGGAAGAAUUCCUUUGGUAAGUGCCAACGGGUAUGAUGGCAUAAAGGAGUAUAUAAGGAAGACGUUCCAGGUGUUCGAGUGUGUGCGCGAUAGAAGAAUUCCAAAGUCUGAAGCUCUUUGUUCUUAGUCAAUUCAUUUUCUGAGCGAAAUCUUGUACGCAAAAGAGAGUCCAUAUUGUUGAGAAACCUUGAGGAAGUGUGGUAGAGUAUCUACACUGUGGAAUCAAGGGAGAGCCUUGCUGUAACAUCUCUUUUGUUCAUAGUGAAAUCCAACCGGUGGGCUGUCUGUUGAGGAUGAUGAAUCAAAUAGAGAUGUAGUCUGCUUUGAAUGUAAGAAAAAGGGACACAUCAGACCCAACUGUCCUCUUCUGAGGAAGAAGAAAGGAAAAGCUGAAAAGUAUCGAAAGGCUCUUAAAGCAGAAACCUGGAGUGAUACAGAAUUUGAAGAAAGUGAUGAUGAUUAUGCCAAUAUACGUCUGAUGGCACAAUCGGAUUUAGAUUCAAACUCCGAGACAGACUCAGAUUCAGAUAGUGAAUUUGAGGUGAGUAACUCUAAAAUCCCUAUUAAAGUUUCUAAAUACAUUGAUGAGUUGUGUUUUAGUCUUAAGACUUCUCUUAAAAGGAUUUCCGAACUUAAAAAGGAAAAUUCUGCAGUGAAACAACAGGAAAAUGUUUUGAAAGAAAAUGUGAAAUGUUUAGACAUGAAUGUUUCUACUCUUAAUGAAAGAGAAGACAACCUUUCGAAAGAAAAUGUAUUUUUAAAAAAUGACAUAUCAAAUAUUUCCAAAAGAUUUUCAAUAGGAUCUGAGAAACUUGAGAAAAUUCUUUCAGCACAAAGACCUUAUUUCAAUAAAUCUGGUUUGAGAAUGACUGUGGAAACCAUUCCUUUAAUUGAUUUUCCUAAAGUGAAGGAAAGAAUUAAGCAAAGACCCACAAGAGAUGCUUACAAAAAUCAUUUUAAAAAGGUCUUUGUAAAACCAGUAGGUCGCAAUGCUCUUAGAUGUUCAAAGUGCAAUAGUUCAGAUCAUUUUGAGAAAGAGUGUCCUAUGGUUUGGAAACCUGUUAAGAAAGUAUGGGCAAAAACCGCAUAUCAUACUAACACCAAUGGACCUAAGAAAAUAUGGGUACCAAAGAAAGUUUGAGUCUCUUUUUUUAAAUGCAGGUCACUAUCAAGAAGAAGGUAAAAUGGUAUCUGGAUAGUGGAUGCUCAAGACAUAUGACAAGAGAUUCAAAUUGCUUCAUAAAGCUCAUCAAGUAAAUGGUGGAAAAGUCUCAUUUGGAGGAAACGGCAAAGGAAGAAUUGUGGGAUUCGGAACUGUAAAGAUUGAAAACCUCACAAUCAACAAUGUUUCCUUAGUGGAAGGACUCAACUACAAUCUGCUCAGUUUCAGUCAGCUGUGCGAUACCGGUUUCAAAAUCAACUUUCAAGAAGGAAUAUGUUCAGGAACCAGUAAAGAUUCUACUCAAUCAUUCAUUGGUCGAAGACAUGGAAAUAUCUACCUCUUGGACGUGAAACCAGAUGAAUCGCAAUGUUUAAUCUCAAUUCAAGACGAAGCGAACUUAUGGCACAGAAAACUUGGGCACAUCAAUAUGAAGCAAAUAGCUAAAAUUUCAGCAAAGAAGCUAGUUCGUGGUCUACCCAAUCUGUCAUACCAAAAGUUUGAUCUAUGUACACCAUGUGUAUUGGGAAAGCAGGUAAGAAAUUCCUUUAAACCAAUAAAUCAAGUUUCCACUAAUCGUGUACUGCAGCUUCUGCAUAUGGAUCUCUUUGGACCAACUAGAACUCAGAGCAUUAGAGGUAAGAAAUAUUGCCUAGUAAUUGUGGAUGACUACUCACGAUUUACUUGGGUAUAUUUCCUGACAAGUAAGUCUAAAACCUUUUCUUACUUUGAAAAGUUUGCUAAAAAGAUUCAAAAUGAAAAAUGGUAUGUUAUUUCAAGUAUAAGAACACACCAUGGAGGUGAAUUUGAAAAUCAAGAUUUUACAAAAUUUUGUGAUAAAUCUGGUUUUCAGCAUGUGUUCUCCUCUCCAUAUACUCCAGAGCAAAAUGGAGUUGUGGAAAGAAAGAAUAUGUCGCUUCAAGAAAUGGCUAGAACUCUUUUAAUUGAAAGUAACAUCUCUUCACGUUUUUGGGCUGAAGCAGUUUCUACAACAUGUUAUAUUAGAGUUUUUCUAAGACCUAUUCUGAAAAAAAAAAACCCCUUAUGAGUUUUUCAAAGAAAAGAAGCCUAUUGUUUCAUAUUUUCAUGUGUUUGAAUGUAAAUGCUUUAUAUUGAAAAAUGCAAAUGAUCGAGUUGGCAAGUUUGAAGAAAAAUCAGACGAAGGCAUCUUCUUUGGAUAUUCUACCUCAAGCAAAGCGUACAAAGUCUAUAACAAGAAGACUCAAUCUGUGGAGGAAUCAAUGAAUGUCAAAUUCUAAGAUUCUAUGCAAAAUGAAUCUAUUCAGACUCAUCUCGAAGAAUUUGAACCUGCUCCAGACUCUACAAAGUCUAAAUCUUAAGAAGUAGCUCAGACUUCGAAAGACCAACAUCAAAUGAUUGUUGAAGAUUCAAAUGAAGAAAAUGAUCAUCAACCUGACAAAUCAACCAGUAACUGGAAGCAUAAGUCCAGUCAUCCCAAAGAUCUCAUUAUAGGCGACAUUAAUGAAGGAAUUCGCACAAGAUCCAAAAGGCGCGAAGAGUCUAGUGCCGUGGCUCUUAUUUCUGAAAUAGAACCCAAAAGCAUAGAAGAAGCUUUAUCUGUUGAAAGCUGGAUUGAAGCCAUGCAAGAAGAACUCAGGCAAUUCAGUAUUAAUGAUGUCUGGGAAUUGACUCCUAAACCGAAAGGUAAAUCUAUUAUUGGAGCUAAAUGGGUUUUCAGGAACAAGAUGGACGAGAAAGGAAAGGUCGUAAGAAAAGAAACAAAGCAAGACUCGUGGCCAAGGGAUAUACGCAAGAAGAAGGGAUAGACUAUGAUGAGACUUACGCACCAGUAGCGAGGUUAGAAGCAAUAAUCGAAGAUGCAGAACCCGUAAGAACUUUUAAGCCCUCUUUUACCUACAAGCUUUAUCGUGCUUUGAAAAGGGGUGGAACUCCUCUAAACUACAUUGACGAAUUUCUGAAAAACAAAGGGUACAAAAAUGAAACCUUCUUUUUACGCACAAUGGAACGGUUGGGAAUUGCCCCUGUUGGGUUGACAGAAGAGGCAAUGGCAAAUAUUCCAAUCGAUCCACAUGUUGGAGGGCUGAAUCAGCUAGAUAGGAAUAAUGAUGACAAGUUGUACAAUCAGUUUCAACCGAGAAUGGGUGUUGCGGCAAACAUUCAAAGCAAAAGGACAGACUUGUUUCGAUCGAAGGAACACAAGCAUCUAUACUCUAAGUUGUUGAAGCGUGAGGUCAUAAACCUUAGAAGUGUGGAUUUUGAUUUCCUUGACGCUGUGAACGUUAAUUUGAGGGAAAAAUUCAGUCUUCUUCAACUUGAAUAGUUCUGUUCUGAAUCUACAGAAGCAUAUGCUGAACUCACUGCAUACUUCUAUUCGAAUCUCAGUUUCUUAGAUGCGAAUAGAUUAUCUUUUAGUGUCCAAGAUCAGGACUAUGUGGUGGAUAUAGAUAUGUUGGCUGAUGUGAUUGGGGUUGAGAGGGGGAGAUAUCAACCUAUCAAUGUCUCUAUUGCUCGUACUACGUUGGAACUUGUUAAUGAUAGAAGGACAGAGGGAAAGGUUUCCUACUCGAGGAUGAGUGCGUUCAACAUUCUGCUUCACAAGAUUGUGAUCAAUUGCCUCAGACCAAAAUCUACUUCAAAGACUGAUGUUUCAAACUCAGAGGCAAAGUUGAUGUAUGCCAUCAAUGCUGGGAAAAGGUUCUCUCUUCCUCACACUAUUAUAUUCCACAUGUAUAGAGCAGUGGUGAAGGACAAGGGUCAACUUCCUUAUCUAGCUCUUGUGACAAAGUUAUUCAGACAUUUGAAUGUUCAGCCUCCCCGGAUUCUCUAUGUUCGAACUUGUGAUCAAAUGGUAGUGGGACUAAAAAUGGUGUCUAAAAUGCGUCUGAAGGAACUCAACAAGGCGUUGGAGAAAUUCAAGGAGAAAACCCCUGUCAAAACUCAUCAAAUCUCUUCGACAGCAAAAAGAAAAAGGAAGGAGCCCAUGGUUGCUCCAUCCAAGAAAAGAAGAGCUCUCAUUGUUGAGGAUGAAGAAGAUGAGGAAGACAUCACCAUUACUGCAAUGGCAUUGAAGAACCUGAGUCGUUCUAUUCCAGAAUCAACGGAACGACAAGAGAAAGACAUAGAAUAGAGGAGAGAGAAGCUGAAGAAAGAGAUGCAGAGGAGGAAAGAAUUGAAGAAGAAGAAGAAGAAGAAAAGGAAAGAGGAGAUCAAGAGGAAGGAGAGCAUGAGGAACACUCUUCUCCACCUAAAGGCAUGGAAACAAGGGGAGAUCGUGAGAAAAGAGGAAUGUCCUCAUAUCCUGCUACCCGUGAAUGAGUCAGCCGCUCUCCAGCAGAUCCAGAGGACAUCUAUGCCUCUCAAUUUCAUGAGGAGGGACAUGAUGUUUCAUCGCCCAAUCUGCGUGACUAUGCUGAUUUGCAUCAUCUGCCUUUACUCCAUCUGGUCGUGCAGAAGCCAGUACGCAAACUGAUAAUUUAGCAGAUUUUCGCAGAAUUCUUAAUGUUCUCUUAGAAAUGCGAGGUCAGAUAUAUGCUAUGGGAUGCGAAGUACAGAAUUUGCAGACUGCAAGUCAAGCUUCUUCAGUUUCUUUGAAUGAUCAGAUCCAAGCAUUUGCUCUUCAUAUUCAAGCAAAUGCUAAGGGUGAAGAGGUGGCUCAACUGAAGGAAGAGUUAACAAAGAUGGAAGGCAUUGUCCAGUCAAUGGGAGAUUUCCAGCUUGUUCGUGUUCCCAAGCAUUCUUGAUUUCAUCUCAACCUUUUUUAUGAUGACAAAAAGGGGGAGAGAUGUGAUUUGAACUUUGAACCUUGAACUUUUUUUAACUAGAACUUGAACUUUUGAUUUGUUUUGAUGUUUGACUUAAUUUUUGUGUCUGGCUAUGGACUGGAUUUGGGAUUUUGGAUUGACUGCUUAUAUUAAGUACUAUUGAUAUCUUAUGGAUGUCUUUACUCAUAUGCAAGACAAACCUAUUUUCUGUGGUUGCAGAUUCUGGUGUUAUCAAUAAGCCAUUUAUCUUUAUGAGAUAUCCAUAUUUGUUUGAGUAAUGUUUUGCAGGUCAAAGUUAUCCAAAUCUGUAGGAAAGUUGUCACCAUCAAAAAGGGGGAGAUUGUUGGAGAAAUCUUCCCGGAGUAUUUUGAAGCUGACAAAACGUUUUCAUCAGUCUAGUCUGAAGAUUUGCAGACUCUACUAUUUAAAGUCUGAAGGCCUCCAGACUGCCAGACUCAAGACUCAAAGUCUAUUCUCAUUGACAGUUUCUAAUCCGUCGAAGAAGGGCUAUCCAGGACUAGAUGUUUCGUUAAGGAUUUGACCUUAUCGACUGGAGAAGAUCUCUUGGCUAGAUAUGACAUAACGGAAUCCUUUAUUGAUUCAAAGAUUGUGGAUCCGAUGAUUGGCGAAGUAUACUUGGAAGGUUCUACUUAUGGAAACCAAGAUCCUGAUUGUAUGGGCGAGCAAGAUUGAUGGGCUAACGACAUGUUCCUUAAAUAGCUUGAAUGAUCUUCCUAAUUGAUUCUGUCCAACGGGAAGAUUGAAAGAAUUCCUUUGGUGAGUGCCAACGGGUAUGAUGGCAUAAAGGAGUAUAUAAGGAAGACGUUCCAGUUGUUCGAGUGUGCGCGCGAUAGAAGAAUUCCAAAGUCUGAAGCUCUUUGUUCUUAGUCAAUUCAUUUUCUGAGCGAAAUCUUGUACGCAAAAGAGAGUCCAUAUUGUUGAGAAACCUUGAGGAAGUGUGGUAGAGUAUCUACACUGUGGAAUCAAGGGAGAGCCUUGCUGUAACAUCUCUUUUGUUCAUAGUGAAAUCCAACCGGUGGGCUGUCAGUGCGGAAGAGUGGACGUAGGCUUGGAAUAAGCCGAACCACUAUAAUUUCUGUGUUCAUUUUCUCUUCCCUACUCUCUGCUUUACUUUGAUCAUAAUUCACUUUGUUAACGAAAAGAGAACUUCCUUUCUAUUAUCUGCUUUGUAUUGUUCUCUUAUCUCGAGAAAAUAUUUUUUACACCUAUUCACCUCCCUCUAGGUGCUUAUACUAGCUAUCUCAAGUGAGGCCACCUGCGAGUAGGGUGAGCAAGGGUGAGGUGAGCAAACAAAGUGAGGUAAGCGAAGAGGGUUUCUAUUUAUCUUUUUUUUUGUGUCAAAUCAAGGUUGGGUUUCUACUUUCUAAUUUAAAUGGUAGAAUCAUAUAAGAAAGAAUAGAGAUAGAGACGUAAGGGUUUAGAAGACACAAAAGUAUAUAAUAUAUAAUAUAUAAUAUAUAAUAUAUAAUAUAUAAUAUAAUAAAUAGGGUUGGUUCAGAUUGAACCAAUCGUAAAGUCUCAAGACUGAGGAUCAAUUUGUAUAGUAUAGGGUCCAAGGAUCUUAAGAUCAAGGACCAGCCCAAUCCCUUUAGAAAUCGAAUUAGGACCGGCCGGAUUGGGUCAUUCCAAAUUGACCCUGGACACCUCUCAUCAAAUGCCUUCACACCCAUCCAAGUGAAGAAUGGCGGAAAAGAGAGUGUUGGACACCUAGAGUGCCAAAACUUGGCACGGAGGGACAUUUACGUGCCAAAAGCUAGAAAAGUGACACUUAAGUGCCAAAAUCAGAAGAAAAUUAAUCACUUAAGUGCAAAUCCGACCAAAAUGCUAACGUGAUGAUUUUCUAACGAGUUAACUGCAAAACGACGUCGUUUUGCACGCUGACGUGACUAGAAAAUGCAAAAAUGACAUCAUUUUGUUUUUGACGUGGUAAAUAAUUAAUAUAAAAAUUAAUUAAAUUAAAUUUAAAACUAAAUUUAUUUAAAAUAUUUAAAAAUACAAAAUACAAAUAUUAAAAGGGGAGGGGGGGAAGGGAGACGGCUGAGGGGUGAGCCCUUGCCACUACCGUCGCCGCCUCCCGGCUACAGCCGAGAAGGGCCAACGACAAAGGGGGGAGGGUCGCCCAAAGUCGCCAACCCCUGGCCGACUGGUGGUGAGGACCUGCAAGCCCUUACCUAGUCUAACCAAGGGCCGCCACCCACUGAGGGGCUGGGCGAGGGCCGCCAACCCCUGCCGAAUCUAGGCGAGGGCCAUGACCCUUGCCCAAAUCCGACAAGGGCUCGCAGGCCCUCGCCACCGAUCGACUAGGGGCCAACGACCCCAACCAACCUUCCCCCCUCCAAUGCCGGCCCUUCCCGGCGGCGACAAGGGUUCAGCCCUCAGCCGCCUCCCUUCCCCCCUCUCCCCAUUUUUUUUUAAAUAUUUGUAUUUGUAUUUUUAAAUGUUUUAAAUAAAUUUAUUUUAUUUUAUUUUUAUAUUAAUUAUUUACAACAUCAUAAACAAAACAACGUCGUUUUUGCAUUUUCUAGCCACAUUAACGUGCAAAACGACGUUGUUUUGCACUUAACUCGCUAGAAAAUUGCCACGUCAGCAUUUUGGUCGGAUUGGCACUUAAGUGAUCCAUUUUAUUCUGAUCUUAGCACUUAAGUGUCACUUUUCUAACUUUUGGCACUUACGUGUCCCUCCGUGCCAAGUUUUGAUAGUUGAGGUGUACUUCUUCCGCGGAAAAGGUGAAGACUUGGCCAAAUGGAGGGAAAACAUUUUUCCUCCGUCAUACUCUUAAUAAAAUGCCCACCCACCCAUCUCUUUUUCUGUUUAUGCGAUUAUAGUCAGCCCAUAUUCAUUAAAAAAGAAAUUGCGAUAAACCACUAUAAAAAGUCGCUUGCUCUAACUUAGUAAAUUUGUAAUGAAACAUGGAUCAUGACAACCAUUUUUAGGCACAAAUCUGACAACGUCAGGGGAGGCGGGAUGAGAAUAUUGGGUACAUCUAACAUUUCAACGUGGCAAAUGGGAAGGCACUGAGAAAGCGACACGUGUCCUCACGUGGGACCCACAAGCUGAGCGGAAAUUUUGAAAAUUUUGCAUGCUGUAGCAUUCUUCUGCACAGACUGACGCUUUCUCUCUCCCUUCCUCUCAUGAAUUCCCUCUUCACUCUCUCCCGUGGUCACUCACUUUCCGCUCCAGCACUCGCUUGGAUGUCACUUCUUCACUCUUUGCUCCGGCGCUUGCUCAGUGCCUGACCAUGCACACUCGGUUCCGCUCGUUCUCCUCCGCCAGUUCUUCCAACUCCUUCAUUGCCUCGACAAUCGAGUGCUCAGCUGUAAGCUCCUUCACCAACUUCAAGAUGCAACCCUCUUGAAGGACGACUUCAGGGUUGGGAUCUGGUCAACACCGUUCUUUGUGUUGUUGACGCACCACCCCUGGAUGAGCCGGAGGAGCAUGUGGUUUAGGGUGAGGCCGGAGGCCCUCACCAGUGGCUAGUUGGGCAUGUGGCGGCCGCGCCACUGCUGUAGGACUUGGACAACCACUUCUCGAUGCUCUCGCGCUCGUAGGUUAUGCCCGUCACGGUCGACAUAGGGUCCCUCAUGAUCUGCAAGGAUAUCAGACAGAGGAAGUACUAAGGCAUCUUGACGUCGCGACCCUCCAUGAAUCGAUUCAGCUAGAAUUCAAACAUGAGGUCCUCCUUUAUUCCUCUUCAUGAAAGGAAUAGGUAAAUGACUUUGGUAUUCUGCCUAGUUCCCAGAAAACCAAAGGAAACAAAAUGGAAAAAAGAAGUGAAAAUUGCUGCCUUCUAGAAUUGUGAACUCUCCAUCUGCAUUUAACGUUGCCUCACAAUUGAUUUUAACAUGCAGGGUGGUGUGGCGCCGAAGCUGAUCACUAUGAACCUCUCACUGCUCAUGUUGCUUCCCUUGUAUCUCCAGGGAAAGCUGCUAUAGUACUUUGACGCCACCCUUCAUGCAAUUUUGUGCGGUUAGAAAUAGAAAAUAGUUCGUUCUUUUCCUCCAUAGUGUAUGGCCAGCAAUCCGGUUCUACAAAUUCUUGCUUGGAUUUUGAGGAUUCCUUUUCUAGUCAUAGCCAUCCUUUUUUUUUUUUUGUCAAUUUCAUCGAGAAUAGUUGUAUCUUGCCAGUUUUGUGCCUACAGUCAAGUAACCUGUAGUAAUCUUGAUGUUUUUACUGGCUGUUCUUAUGGUUGAGUUCAUUGUGGGGGCUAAUAAUGUCCUGGCACAAUUCAAUUCAAGCGAGAGUAGUGCCUUUUUUUUGGGUAUCUUAUGUUGGAUUUAGUUCAUCAAUAAUGAAGUUGAGUUUUGUUUACACCAGUCUACCAUACAAUGUUCCUAUGUUGAAGUCUUCAUUCCACAAUCUCUUCAUUUUAAGGAAUAUAAAAUCCAAAUGAGAAUUUCUCUUGAAUUUUUUUGGGCAAGAAAAGAAUUAUCAAUCAAAGCAAAAUCGAAUUUUUGUUUCUAUCUAUGCUAAGAAAAUCAAAAAUUUAAUUGCAACUAUUAAUCAGUAUUAGGAAUUGGUAAAAAAUGAGCCAAAAAUGCGAAACCAGAACGUUGAACUCUAUGGCCCUGUUUGGUAACCAUCCCAAUAGUGACUAAUUUUGAUUCUUUGUUCCCGAGAGUAGUUUGGGAACAAAAUCGCGUUUGGUAAAAUUUUUAUUCUCAUGAUCAAAUUUCUAUUUUUUUUUCUUCCUUGAAGUAGAUUUGGAACAUAAUCAAGAAUUAAAAAAAAAAGUUGAUUCUUAUUCUGGAAAUAAAUCUAAGAAUUAAAACCAACUCUUCUUCUUCUUCUCUUUUCUUCUUUUCCAUCGACUGCCCUGUUUGCCGCCGUCUGCCGCUGUCUGCCACCGCUGGUUGCCAGCAACCGAUCUGGCAAGCUUGUCGAAGGCAAGCCCAGCCACCGGCGAGGCUCGGCCUCAUCAGGGUUAGGCAAGCCUCGCGACGCCAAGCCUCGCCGAUGGCUAGGCAGGCUCAGCGGGGCUACGCGAGCCUUGCUGGUGGCCAAGCGACCCUCGCCCAGCUACUGGCGAGGCUCAGCCGUUGAGGGCCGACCUCGCCAAGGGCCAACGACGCUCCGGUGAGGUUGCUGGCCUCGCCGAGGUCCAACGACGCUCCAGUGAGGUCGUCGGCCCUCGUCUGGCCAGUCGCCAGUCGCCGACCGGCCACAAGAAGAAGAAGAAGAAUAGAAGAAAAAGGAAAAAAAAAAGGAAAAGAAAUAAAAGAAAAAAAUAUUUAAAAAUUAAAAGAAUUUGAUUUGGAACAUAAUCAAUUAGUACGGUACCAAACGCAAUUCUAUUCUAGAAUAAAAAAAUUUGGACAAUUACCAAACGGCUUAAACUGCUUAUAAAUUGUUCACGGGAACAGAAUAAAAAAGAAUCAUUUUUUAUCAUAAUCUAUUCCCGGGAACAGAAUCGUUGCCAAAUGCGCCCUAAGAAAAAAGGCAAAGCCAAUUGUAACAAGCAAAACAAGGAUGCGAUUUUCUUGCAGUUUCAAUCUCGACCCAAAAAAAAAAAAAAUCCCUAAAACAAUCAAAUAAGACUUGAAAGUUCCAGAAAAGAACGUAAAACACUCUCCAAUCAAACCUGAACCCACAAGAUUUGCCUAGUAAAACUUUUUGCAAGCCACAACUUGCAGUUCAUGAUAUUUGAACAUACCACCAUAUAAUUAACUCAAUAUUUAGAAAAUAUACAGAACAACUUCAACUUCAUGACAUUCUCUCUCCCUCUUCAAUCUGAGAGUCGCCACAUCGAUUCAUGGAGGGCCGCAAUGUCGAGAUCCCCCGGUACUUCCUUUGUCCAAUAUCCCUGCAGAUCAUGAGGGCCCCCGUGACGAUCGUGACGGGCUUAUCCUACAAGCGCGAGAACAUUGAGAAGUGGCUGUCCAAGUCCUCCAACAACGGCGCAGCCGCCACAUGCCUAACCAGCCAUUGCUGAGGGCUUUUGGCCUCACCCCGAACCACACGCUCCUCCGGCUCAUCCAGGGGUGGUGCGUCAGCAACGCGAAGAACGACAUCGACCGGAUCCCAACCCUGAAGUCAUCCUUCGAGAGGGUUGCAUCUUGAAGCUAGUGAAGGAGCUCGCAGCUGAGCACUCGAUUUUUGAGGCGAUGAAAGAGUUGGAAGAACUGGCGGAGGAUGAAAGUGCUAAUACGAACACCUAAAGGGAGGUGAAUAGGUGUUUAAAAUAAAUCUUGGCAAAUGAAUGCGGAAUAAGAAAAGUUUCGAGCAAAGCCUGAAUAAGGAUCAGAUUUUGAAACUGAGUCUGAAGAACAACAGACUUUGAGUGAGUUUAGACUUUAGCAGUUAAAUAAAAUUAUGAACAAAAUAAAGGAGUUCAGGGAAGAGAAUACGAACACAAGGUUUAUAGUGGUUCGGCUUAGAUCAAGCCUACGUUCAUUCUCCCACGUUAACAGCCUUCUAGCUUGAUUCCACUAUGUAAUCAACAAGAGAUUACAAUUUUGAGUGCAAACACUUAGUGGUAGAUCACAUUAUCUCACUAAGUCACUCUUUUGGUAUUUCUCUCACGAUCACAAACGUUUAAGCUCACCAAAGACAAGUGUAUGAUCGAAGGUCGCUCAGAUUUUGGAAUUAUAAAUUCUACGCUCCAUCUCUUACUUGCUCAUUGGUCCUUGAUCUCCUUAAAUACUCAUCCAUUCCAAAUUAGCCGUUGGAUAGCAUCUUAGAGAAUCGUCUUCCAAUUUACCCAUUGGACAAAUCUGUAUCUAGAAGAUUUGAUAAUCAUUGAGUGACAAAAGUAGAAUCCCAAAUUGAUUCUGAUUGCUCAUAUGAACAAAAUCUUGGUUUCUAUAAGUAGAGCUUCUUCAUUUAGAAAGUUCUUGUAUUCAAUAUUCAAUUGCCAAUCAAUAAGAUUGAGUCAAUCAAAUCUAUUUUGAUGUAAAAUCCAAACCAGAUCACUAGCCGUUAUAUGUUUGGGGCUUGUGUUACAUUCUGUCGACUUGUUUCGUCCUGAACAUGCUUCGUUCUGUCUCGUUUUGGAUAUAAAUUCUGAGAGUCUUCAGACUGAAGUAGAGUUUGAAUGUCUUAAGAUUGAAAUAGACUUUACAAUCUGGACGUAUGUCUGAAUAAGUUCAGCUUCAGCAUAGAGUCUAUUUUAUGGUUCUUCCAAGUAUAGACUUUGAUAAAAUCAUUUACAUAUUCUAUUAUCUGCAUAAUCUGUUACUCAAACAUUAAACACGUUAGUAGCCUUUGAUUUAUUUUGUCAUCUUCAAAACAUCAUAAGGGAUUUCCCUAAUAGAGGAGAAUGAGUGAAACUAGGCGUGCAUGGUUGGGCACUGAGCGAGGGCAGGAGCAAAGAGCAAAGAAGUGACACCCAAGCGAGUGCCAAAGUAGAAACCGAGUGACCACGGGAGAGAGCGAAGAUGAGGGAAUGUGAAAUUUUGAAUUCAUGAGAGGAAGGGCGAGAGAAAGCGUCGGUUUGUGCAGAAGAAUACUACAGCAUGCAAAAUUUUCAAAUUUCUGCUCAACUUGUUGGUCCCACGUGAGGACACGCGUUGCUUUCCCAGUGCCUUCCCAUUUGCCACGUUGGAAUGUUAGACGUACCCAAUAUUUUCUCGGGCGGGAGGCCUCAAGAAAGAUCCUUUCUAGAAACGGUCCCUUAGAGAAAACUUUUGGAUAGUGACAACAAUUGUUUGGAAUUCAUGAUAGAAAUGUUGAUAUAACACUUGGCACCAUUGAUAGAGAAGUUGCCAUCAUGAUGUUCUACGUUGAUAUAUAAAUUUCCCAAGGAUUUUCUCGACAGCACAAUAAUCUUAAGCAAUCAAUUAAGAAAAUUUCCAAUAUCAUAUGGAAUCAAUAAUUUUUAUUAUUCCACAAUAAGUGUGUUUGAUAAUAACACAAUCUUUUACAAUGCCACAAUAAGUAUGUUUAGUAAAAACUUUGAGGCACUUAUUAAUGUGACCAUCUCCAGCACAUAUGUAUGAAUCUAUUAUGAAAUAAGAUAACAAUCAGGUUGUAGAAUUUGUUAAUUCCUUUUUGUAUUUUUUUUUGUUUGCUUUUGUUUUUAUCAGGCUGUGUCAAGGAAGGAAUAAUUACACAAAUGAUUCAUAAUAUUUUACCCAAUUUGCAAUGUCGUCUCUAAAGUUUUAAUUUAUUCAUUGUGAUCCCUAAACUCCGGCCUAAUGCACAACGUUGUUUCUAAACCUUUAAUUUGUUUAAUGUGGUCGUUGAAUUUUUUUUUUUUUUUAUAACUGUUCAAUCUAGUCCCUUUACUAUAUGAAAAAUAUCUCAUUUCAUUAAUUCAAGUCCAAGGCUUGACCUUGAUGGACCAUGUCUCGAGCACUGGUGACCUAAGCAUUGGGAUUGAGGACAAGGGCUCAAUCACCAUGAACCCGACCUAGGUGCCAAAGACACAGCCACAUGCAUUGAGGUCUCGGGUUUGGUCUUGAUGGGCCAAGGCACCAAAAAUUGGGGUCCCAAGCCCAACCUCCAAGGACUCGAGCCUUGCCUUGAUGGACUUGGGCACCCAGGUCUUGGGCUUGACCUUGAUGGAACCAAGCAUGGGCAUUGUCACUUGGGUCCCACGCUCGGGCAUCGAGGACCCAAUCUUGAUGCCUAGCCUUGGUGGAUUCGAGCUCAGCCUUGAUGGACCUUGGCUCAGGUUAUAAGGGAUUUAGACAUGGGCACAGAGGUCUCAAGCCGGAGUGCCAAGGAUAUGAGCACGAGUACUGAGGUCCUUAGUCAGCCUCUGUGGACCGGGGCACUGACUCUGAGGACCUAAACAAGGGUACUAGAGUCUUGGGCCCAGCUUUUGUAGACUCGGGCCCUGCCUCAAUGGACCUAGUAUCGAGUGCUAAGGAUCCAAGCUCAAACACUAGGGUCUUGGGUCAGGCUUUUAUGGACUUGAAUGGGCAUUGGGGAGCAAAGCAAGGGCACUAGGGUCCAAGGCCCAACCUAUGUGGAUUUAGGCCCAAGCGUUGGGGACCCAACAACGGUAGCUGAGGUUCCAAACAUGGGUGCCGAUAUCUUGAGCUCAACCUCUGUAGACCCAAGCCCAGGCACCAGGGUUUUGUUCUUAAGAAAGAGCGAUGGGGUUUCUAUGACCUCUAGUCAAAAUACCAAUUUCUAGUCAUAUUUUGAAAAAUAAUUUCUGAAUUUUUAAAAAGAAAAUCAUUUAAUUAAAGUAUAGAUUUUUCAUUAAUUAGGAAAAAAAAUUUCAUUGAUUGAGUUUUCUAAAUGAUUUCAAACUUCAGAAAACCUGAAAAAUAUUUUUUCGAAAAAUGUUUUAUGUUAAAUAAACGAAGCCCAACAUUGUCAUCGAGAUUCGCGGGUGAUGCGAUUCAUGAUUCACGCUGGACUGGUCAGCGAUGGACAGCAUGGACUCUCAGAGGAUGAUAAAGGUACCAAAAAGGUCAAUUCCUGGAGUGGAAAUUACAAUCUAGGCCCAAAAAGAAAUUAAAAGAGAGAGAGAGAGAAGAAAACGUAAUAUACAGCCCGCCGACCCCGCCCAUUGACUUGGACUGACCCGUGUUAUUGGUACCGACGCGGUAGAUUGACGAGGACAGGCCAACGACUUCCCCAUAUUUUUAGUUUACUCGGAUCUCUUACUAAAUAUUGUCCACUUGCCUCUGCUGGGCCCCAGGCAUAAUACCAUGGGAACCGGGAACAGAAACUCAAUUUGCCAGAACUCAACUAAUACCGAAUUCCCGAUCAUCAUCCCCAGUCUGUAAAAUCUUCGUCGAAAUCUUUGAGGGUAGCUGAGGCAGCGGCGAUGAAAAGAAAAAGGAGUCGUUCAGAAACAGGAUCUACUGGCCACGGCACACCUGGAGCUCAGUUCGAGGUGUUCUUGAGUUUUCGCGGACCCGACACUCGCACUAAUUUCACUGAUUCCCUCUAUCAUGCCCUGCUAGACAAAGGUAUCCAUGUCUUUAUGGACAAGAAGGGGAUUGACGUUGGUGAAGAGAUCGGCCCUGAGAUAUUCCAGGCCAUUAAUGACUCAAAAAUCUGUAUUCCCAUCUUCUCCAAAGAAUAUGCCUCCAGUAGCUGGUGCCUGCGUGAGCUGGAACACAUGAUGGAGUGUAGGAAAACUGAGGAACUGGAGGUUUUGCCCAUAUUCUAUGAUGUGGAACCCUCCGAUGUGAAGCUUGAAACUGGAGUAUAUAGAGAUGCAUUGACUCAGCAUAAAGGAAAACGUGGGGCUGAGAUUGUGCUACGCUGGGAGGAGGCGCUCAAGGAAGUUGCUGGAAUCAAAGGAUGGGACACCAAGAACAGAGGGUAUGUUAACUCAUUCAUCUCCAUCUUCCCUUUUCUCUGUAUUUCCUUUGCUUGAAUACUGAUUAUCACUUUUCACUUUUACACGUCGUAAUAUAUUAAUAUCUUCUAUGGGAAAACUCAAAAAAUACUACGAAAGAAGGAAAGAACGAAGCAAGCAGCUUCUCUGCUUCUAAUUGAUGAACAGCGGGGAGAGAGAGAGUUGAAGGGUAGUGGUCGUUGGCUUGCUCUAAUGGCGCCGGACACCUUCGAUCUUCCCAGCAGCAUCCAUGGCUGCUCUCUCUCUCUCUCUCUCUGUGCAAGCUCAGUAGUGGAAAAUCACGCGACGGUUCUUAAUGGCGAGGUGACUUCAUAUUAGUUAGAUAUAUUUGUUCCUAAUGCCUCUAUCUGCGGCUCGAGGACGCGCAUCGAGGAUUGUCAACUUUUAUUUUGGUGCCCUAGAACCUCUUUGCUCGUAGAUUUACUUCCUCUUCCUUUAUCAGACAUUACUCUUUCCCCAACUCUGUUUCCUUUUCCACUUUCAGAUCUGAUUUGAUCCAUAUUUCUGUUUAGAAUCCACUUCCCAAAAGUCUAAGCAUCCAUUUUUAUCGUACCAUGUAAUUUUGAUUCCGUUUAUUUUGUAGAAAAUAAAUUAUUUAUAAAAUAUAUUUUUUUAAAUAAUUACUUGGAUUACUUUAAAAAAAUGAAUGGACAAAAAAUAUGUCAUAAUUCAGAAAAAUAUUUUGACAUAAAUUGUUGUUGAUGAAAAAAUUUCAUUGACAGCUAAUUAUUUUAAACAAUAUAAGUGAUCAUUUUGAAUUAUUCAUUUUUCACAAAAUUAACGGAACUAGUGUAUUAACAUUCUCUCCAUCUGAACAUUUUUGGGCUACUGAAUAUCAAUCCACAAAAUAGUUCACGGUCCAAAAUGUUCACCCAUUCAAAAGUUUCGGGUGGUUUAAAGAAGUCGCCAAAAGGUUAAUGAUCUAUGUAAGAGAAAAACAAUUAGAUAGCCUUUUCACCCUCCCUCAGUGCCGCGCCAUAGAAUUUGAUGCAAAGGUGCUGGAUUCGAGAAAAAAGAACGAGAGAUUUGCUUCAAAGCAUGUAUCAAUUAAUGUCACAGAAGGUGCAACAUAAAAUGAGUAUUUUUAUUAGGUAGAGUGAAUCAAUUAGUCAUCAUCGUGUAGUGAGAACACUUCAAAUCUUGAUCAUUGUCAUAUGAAUCUUGGUAGAAUCGGAAAAACUGUGCAGAUCAGAUUUUAUAUUGUAAAAUAGAUGGGUUUUUGGGAAGGAAAAAAGACAAGAAAAAGUUAGAGGUAUUUAAAGUUAAAUCUCGCCUUAAACUUAUAAAUCUAGGUGGACUCAGAACGACCAUGCCCAGCCCACCCUAAACUCAAAAAACGAAAAAGCCCACAUGAAAGUUAUAAAACUAGCACAAAAACUAAAAGAAUUAAGAAAUUUAGCCUCUCCUUUCUCUCAUUUUCAUUUCUCCUCAAUCGACUCUCACUCAAUCUCUUGACCCUCUCUAUUUCUCGCCACUCGGCUCACUUAUCAUGUGAGAUUAUUGUAUAAAAAGGUUGUUUUUCAAGUUAUUAAUUCCAAUACAAAAUGUGAAUGACAAGUUUAUUACAUAGGGAAUUCAAAAAAAAAAGGGGGGGGGGGGGGGCGUUUCAAUUAAAAAGAAUACAAAAAAAAAAAUAGGGGGGCGUUUCGAUUCCAAGCCAGUUUUGUGGUCCAUUAUUGUGGUUUCUAUUUAUAAAACAAAAAAAACAAACAAACAAACUGGAAUAGCCUCCUGGAUCGGUUUCUGGUUCCAGCUCUUGAACUGGACCACCCGAAACACACUCGCUUUGUAAUAAACUAUAUGAUGAAUAGUGGAAGGGAUCCUCUUAUUCUUCAUGAUUUUUAUCAUCACCUAUUAAAUAUCCAUUCUAUCGUAUUACUAUGAUUGAAUCAAUUCGAAAUGUCAUGCACUAGUUCUUUUUUCCUUUCUGUCCGGAAUUUUGGGGCUAACUCAUCAUUGACGGUAACUUCAUUGUCCUCUUUCUACUGCAAUGCAGCCAUGGAAAACUCACACGGCUAGUUGCUCAUCAAGUUUUACUUAAGCUUAAGGCAUCUCCCAUACAUCUAUCCGAUCCUUUGGUCGGGAUGCACCAAUCAGUGGAUGAAGUAAUAAAUUUGCUAAGGGUAGAAUCUAAGGACAUAAGGCUCAUUGGAAUAUGUGGAAUAUGUGGUAUAGGCAAGACAACUCUUGCCAAGGUCAUUUACCAUAAACUAUCAGCUGAAUUUGAAAGUUGUAGCUUUAUCCCAGAUAUCAGACAAGCAUCGGAAAGUUCAAGUUCUGGUCUUCUAAAUUUGCAAAGGCAAUUGGUGCAUGAUAUCCUUGGGGACAAAAGAAUUGAGAUAUCCAACAUAGAUCGAGGAAAAAAUAUGAUCAAAGCACGAUUUUGUAGAAAAAGAGUUCUUAUUUUCCUUGAUGAUGUAAAUGAGAAGAGCCAACUAAUGGCACUAGCAGAAAAGAGAGAAUGGUUUGGUUUAGGAAGUAGAAUUGUGGUUACAACGAAAGACAAAAGUGUAUUGUCUGUAUUUGAGGAUAGUUUGACUUAUGAAGUUGCAGAGCUGAGUAGUCUAGACUCUUUACAACUUUUUAGCAAGCAUGCAUUUCGAAGAAACUCUCCUCCAAGUGAAUUUCUUUAUCUAUCUGAGAAUGUUAUUGCAAAAGCUGGGGGUCUUCCUUUAACUAUUGAAUUGAUCAGUUCAUUUUUAUGCGGAAAAGAGAGAGCAGUGUGGGAAGAUACAAUAAAAAAGAUGGAAAAACAUCUUCAUAAGGAUGUAGAGAAGAAGCUAAUGCUAAGUUAUGAGGCUUUAGAUGAGACACAAAAGCAAAUAUUUCUUGAUAUUGCUUGCUUUCUAGCUGGAGAAAAUAAGAGAGAUGCCACCUAUAUGUGGGAUGACUAUGAGUUGUUUCCAAAUGAGGGGAUUGAAGUCCUACUUUUGAUGUCCUUAGUAAAAAUUGGAGCAAAGAAUGAGUUAUGGAUGCAUGACCAGCUCAAAGACUUAGGUAUGUGUAUUGUACGUUCCCAAAAUCGCAACGACCCAGGAAAGCGUUCGCAUGUGUGGAAUCAUAAGGAAGCAUUGGAUAUGAUCACCAGAAAUAAGGUAAAGCUAAGUGCAACACCUUGUGACAUUCUUGUAACAUUUUUAUAGCAUAAAUCUGCCUAGAAUUUUCCUUUUUCCAGCUUAUUUUGUACUUCACUAAACGCCCUCCUUUGAACUGACUCCAUUUUGGCAUCCCAUCAUACGGACCCAAAACUGUUGCAGACAUCCGUAUGCACUUUGCCUGGGUUAAUCAGAGACUCUUUUUCAUCAUUAUAGGGAACUGAGACCAUUGAAGCAAUUUGUGUGGACCUUGAUGGAGCUUUUUUGACACCAGAAGAAUUUAAGACAGUGCCAAAUAUAAGAUUUCUUGGAAUGAUAAGCGGAAACCUCUCCGGGGACUUUGAGGAUCUCUUUCUAGAAGUAAGAUGGCUUUCUUGGAAGAAUUGUCCCUUAAAUUUGCAAGCAACCAACUUUCACCUGAAAAAUCUACUCAUUAUUGACCUAUCGGCGACUGAAAUAACAGAAAGCUGGAAUGGUUGGACUCAACUUAAGGUAUGGAUAGAUUUUUAGGUACAAUAUUUGUAUACCUUUUCAUCCCCACACAAGCUUGUGCGUUGUACGGGUUGAGGAUUGUCAUUUUAAUGAGUUUUUAGUUAAACUAAAAGAAGAAAUGUAGCUCUCGAAGGAUGUCACCAAGAUACCAAUUCCACGUUCUAUAAUUCAACUUCUAUAAUGUUAUAAAACUCAGUUACAUUGCUAGCUAGAGUAUAUCAAAUCAAACAAUANNNNNNNNNNNNNNNNNNNNNNNNNNNNNNNNNNNNNNNNNNNNNNNNNNNNNNNNNNNNNNNNNNNNNNNNNNNNNNNNNNNNNNNNNNNNNNNNNNNNNNNNNNNNNNNNNNNNNNNNNNNNNNNNNNNNNNNNNNNNNNNNNNNNNNNNNNNNNNNNNNNNNNNNNNNNNNNNNNNNNNNNNNNNNNNNNNNNNNNNNNNNNNNNNNNNNNNNNNNNNNNNNNNNNNNNNNNNNNNNNNNNNNNNNNNNNNNNNNNNNNNNNNNNNNNNNNNNNNNNNNNNNNNNNNNNNNNNNNNNNNNNNNNNNNNNNNNNNNNNNNNNNNNNNNNNNNNNNNNNNNNNNNNNNNNNNNNNNNNNNNNNNNNNNNNNNNNNNNNNNNNNNNNNNNNNNNNNNNNNNNNNNNNNNNNNNNNNNNNNNNNNNNNNNNNNNNNNNNNNNNNNNNNNNNNNNNNNNNNNNNNNNNNNNNNNNNNNNNNNNNNNNNNNNNNNNNNNNNNNNNNNNNNNNNNNNNNNNNNNNNNNNNNNNNNNNNNNNNNNNNNNNNNNNNNNNNNNNNNNNNNNNNNNNNNNNNNNNNNNNNNNNNNNNNNNNNNNNNNNNNNNNNNNNNNNNNNNNNNNNNNNNNNNNNNNNNNNNNNNNNNNNNNNNNNNNNNNNNNNNNNNNNNNNNNNNNNNNNNNNNNNNNNNNNNNNNNNNNNNNNNNNNNNNNNNNNNNNNNNNNNNNNNNNNNNNNNNNNNNNNNNNNNNNNNNNNNNNNNNNNNNNNNNNNNNNNNNNNNNNNNNNNNNNNNNNNNNNNNNNNNNNNNNNNNNNNNNNNNNNNNNNNNNNNNNNNNNNNNNNNNNNNNNNNNNNNNNNNNNNNNNNNNNNNNNNNNNNNNNNNNNNNNNNNNNNNNNNNNNNNNNNNNNNNNNNNNNNNNNNNNNNNNNNNNNNNNNNNNNNNNNNNNNNNNNNNNNNNNNNNNNNNNNNNNNNNNNNNNNNNNNNNNNNNNNNNNNNNNNNNNNNNNNNNNNNNNNNNNNNNNNNNNNNNNNNNNNNNNNNNNNNNNNNNNNNNNNNNNNNNNNNNNNNNNNNNNNNNNNNNNNNNNNNNNNNNNNNNNNNNNNNNNNNNNNNNNNNNNNNNNNNNNNNNNNNNNNNNNNNNNNNNNNNNNNNNNNNNNNNNNNNNNNNNNNNNNNNNNNNNNNNNNNNNNNNNNNNNNNNNNNNNNNNNNNNNNNNNNNNNNNNNNNNNNNNNNNNNNNNNNNNNNNNNNNNNNNNNNNNNNNNNNNNNNNNNNNNNNNNNNNNNNNNNNNNNNNNNNNNNNNNNNNNNNNNNNNNNNNNNNNNNNNNNNNNNNNNNNNNNNNNNNNNNNNNNNNNNNNNNNNNNNNNNNNNNNNNNNNNNNNNNNNNNNNNNNNNNNNNNNNNNNNNNNNNNNNNNNNNNNNNNNNNNNNNNNNNNNNNNNNNNNNNNNNNNNNNNNNNNNNNNNNNNNNNNNNNNNNNNNNNNNNNNNNNNNNNNNNNNNNNNNNNNNNNNNNNNNNNNNNNNNNNNNNNNNNNNNNNNNNNNNNNNNNNNNNNNNNNNNNNNNNNNNNNNNNNNNNNNNNNNNNNNNNNNNNNNNNNNNNNNNNNNNNNNNNNNNNNNNNNNNNNNNNNNNNNNNNNNNNNNNNNNNNNNNNNNNNNNNNNNNNNNNNNNNNNNNNNNNNNNNNNNNNNNNNNNNNNNNNNNNNNNNNNNNNNNNNNNNNNNNNNNNNNNNNNNNNNNNNNNNNNNNNNNNNNNNNNNNNNNNNNNNNNNNNNNNNNNNNNNNNNNNNNNNNNNNNNNUGCUGCUAUAAGUUAAUUGCCAAAACAUCUUAUAAUACUUCAAUACGGAUUUCUACAAUUGAAGCUACUACAGAUAUAUAAUUAAAAAAGUGAGUAGAAUGGAGUUUUGUGAUUGAGCCACGUCAUCCCAGAUUUUCAUUCCCUGUUUCCCUAAACAUUAGCUAGGAAACACUACCGUUUACAUAAUAAAAUUAAAAACUUAACGUACUUAAUCUAACAAUUGAUGUUUAUAGAGCAAAAUAUUAACUUCUUCACAUAACUUAUUUAUCGGAAUCUGUUUUUAUAUAAUAUCAACGAAUCUAAAUUAACUAAUGAAGAAAUAUUUAUGGUUUUAUCAUGUAUAUGAUUGGUAUAUAAUUUUCCUAUUGAUUAUUAAUUAGACUUUUGGAAUUUGGAUAGUGUAUAAAAAUAUAUUAGAAAUUCUAAAUUCCAAUAUUUUGUGGUAAAAUUAUGCAGUAAAGUUAAAAUAGGCAAGACAUAGCAUCCAACAGAUUACUUUGUAAGUAAUAAACGAUGUUACGGAUUUUACUUUUAGAAGAUAAAUAUGUGUCAAUUGUAUUAAAUUACGCUUAAAUUCUGUAUAUGUUGUAUUGUAUGACCACGUCACCCAAAUAUAAAAAUUAUCAAUAAGUCUAUUUUCAAACAUGUGCAACAACUAUCAAUACACACACACACACACACACACACACACACACACACAUAGACACACUUUAAUAUAAUUCACGACAAAAUGCUAUUUGUGUACCGUUUCAAUGCUGGAAAUGCCCUUCCAGCUCUCUCCUUUCCGAAGGGGCAUGGCGCACGACCCCGUUUUGUCUCUUUGAACCUUCUCUUCAAUCUCUUCGUUUUACCUUCAAGCAUUAUGGUCUUCGUCUACUCAUCUUUACUAACGUAGUUUAGUCUAGAAUUGACACUUUUCCCGUUCUUAUAUAUUUGUGUUUGCUUAAAUAAACGUACUUUUUAAAGGUCCACUGUCAAUGGAAAGAUAUUAUACAAUCAUCUUUGGAUGAGUAAAGUGUGUACUUGGAGAUAGUUAUUUGACCACAUCCAUCGCCAUGGCACUUAUUCAACAAUGAACGUGUACAAAACUCUUUACACUAGUAGUGGGAUUCAACAAAUUAUUUACCUUCUAUAGAAACCAUGUAAUCAUUAUGUAUAUGAUAUCCAUAAAAAUGGUAAUUAAUGGAAUAGUGAGACCACAACCAUGUGAGAUGAACGGAUAAACAGUGAGUAUUUGCAAAGUUACUUUGGUAGGAUUGCUCGAUAUAUUUGUUUAUGUCCUGCAAAAAUUCUGUAAAUCAAACUUGUUGAAUAUACAUAAUUAUUUGACAGGUGGCUACGAGAUUGAAGGUCCUUAAUCUAUCAAAUUGCUGCGGGUUAAGGAUAACUCCUGACCUCUCUACAUAUCUGUCUUUAGAAAUAUUAAUUCUAGAGGACUGCAGGAAUUUGAUACGGAUUCAUCGAUCCAUUGGUCAUCUGAAACAUUUAAAGCACUUGAAUCUGAGAAGAUGUUACCGUCUCAAAUGCUGCCCGUUGAAUUAGGUUCUCUAGAAGCCUUGACUGAGCUACUCAUGGAUCAGAAUAUUUCGCUGAUUGGUUAUGAUACCAUUAGUAAAAUCCCAAGCUCAAUCGGAGCACUCGUAAAUCUUGAGUGUUUGGCCAUUCGUGGAGCUCCCAACCUAACAACACUUCCCGACUCAAUUGGAAUGCUGAAAUCUUUAGCUGAGUUGGAUGUCUCAAGAACGGGUAUCGUAGAGUUGCCAAAUAGCAUUGUCAAUCUAAAGAGCAUGAAAGUACUCAAGAUGAAUGGAAGUCGGAUACAGAAGUUACCCAAGGCAAUUGGGAUGUUGGAAAAACUUGAGGAGAUUUAUGGAGAAUGUUGCACGCAGCUAGAGAUGAUAUCUGGUGAUAUUGUGAGACUACCUUUCUUGAAAAUUUUGAAAUUAACGCAAACUCGUGUGCAGAAUGUACCAAAGCUUCCUCAGAGUUUGGUAAGUUUAUGUCUGUCCUCGACAGCCACAAAAGAAGCUCUAGAAAUCUCCAACCUCGUGAGUUUAAGAAAUCUGGAAUUAUGUUUUACAAGCUCAACCUCCAUCAAAUAUUUUCCAAAAGUGCAAACUUACAGCCCCUGUUGUAUGUUGGAGCUUCCACGUAUCACCAGCAUAAGGUCAUAUUUGGGUUGUCUUUGCUAUCUGAAAGAACUUGUACUCCACAACUGUAAGAACUUGCGUCAGAUCGGACAGCUUCCCUCUAGUUUGAGAAAACUUACGGUUCAAAAUUGCAUUCUUCUUGAAGUUGUUGACCUUUCCAACUUGGAGAAUUUAUUGGAACUAAGUCUCCAGGAUCGAGUCUCUGAUAUUCAAGGCCUUGAACAUUUAACAUUGUUGCAAUGCUUGAGAGUGUUCUACUGUAAGUCAACCAAGUUCAGUGGGCUUGAAAGACUGGAGAAUCUACAACUCCUGUGGAUUAGUCAUUGUCCCUUUCUUCAAAGACUGCCCGACUUAUCUAACUUUAAAAUUCUCAAGGACUUUCUAUUAUGGUCCUGUCCGAAACUGGUUGACAUUCAAGACCUUGACAGUUUGGAAUCACUAGAAAGUCUUGAGAUUGGAAACUGCAGUUCCUUGCAAAGCUUACCCGAUCUAUCUAACUUGAAGAAACUGAAGAAGUAUUGGUGGUGAGGAAUAUACCAUUAAGCACUCGAUCUCUCCAAGUCUAGCUUACAUGUUUCAAUAAAGUAAUGAUACGUGGAAAUAAUCAUGGAUGUAGCAGUAUUUCCAUUGAUACAAGAACAACCUACUUCGGCCUUUUGCUGGUGUGGGCCAUGUACUAGUGGAAGUAAUUUGUUCGAACAUGACUUUGUCAAUAUUCCUAAUAAUAUGGAGUUGUUAGGAGGUAUACGCAUGUACGUGUGUAUACACAGGUUAAAGUGUGAAUAAAAUCAGAUUGGAUAUAGUUUUCCCACGUGUGAGAAUCUAAUGAAUUUUCUUUUUUCUCAUAUAUCACAUGAUCAAGCUAUCUGUAAUUUCUUCACCACCAAAUUAGAAUGGUAAUCAUAAGCAUAUAAUUUGAUUUUUGGUACAAUAACGGGGUAUAAGUGUUUAUCUUUUGUCAGAAGAUGCGUAAAUGUUUUAAGCAUAACUCUUCUCAUUGACUUUACAUGUUCAUUCAACGAUUUGUUUAUGUACUCAACCAUUUAACAAUGUUGUGCCUGAGGUGUCUUCUCAAUCUUUUUCAUGACACUAUGUGGAGACAGGCCAUUUGGUUUCAUAAAGUAAUUUUAAUUUGAAAACACUUUUCCAUUUUUUUGAAAACGUGUUUGGUUCAUUUUCCAUUUUUUAAAAUGAAGGGGUCCCUAAUUUAACUUGUCAUAUUGAGAUAGUACUUCAGAGAGUGAACGAUCCUCUUAAAGCAAACAAAGGUCUACAUCUCAGUUCAUAUAUUCGUUUAUUUGGCUUUCGGACAAAUUGGACUCGGGUCCCGUCAAGAGAACUGGCAAAGUUCCAAACGAUGCAUGACAAAAGGCGACAUCGGGGGUGGUCCAUUGGAUGUCAUUGCAAUAACUGUUCGAUAAAAAUGCUUAGUGUUAGCCAUCAUACUAGGCAUGACAAAUUCGUUGUGCACGGAGACACGAUGGGACACUUGAGUGUUAAGUCCUGCAAAAAUGACUGAAAAUCUUACAUGGUAAUUUUUUAAUAAUAUAACUCACCUAUAUGAUACGCCGAAGAGCAGAGUCAGCAAUGAAAAACCAAAACAAUGUCGUUUUGUCUUCCUUUUUUAAAAUUUUAAUAUAAAUUUUAAUUAAAUUAGAAUUUUUAUAUUUUUAUAUAUAUAUUUAAAAAAAAAAGGAAAAGGAGGAGGUGGAAGGCAAGGGCCAAGCCCUCGCCACCGCCUCUCCACCGUUGCUAGGAAGGGCCGGCAACAAUAGGGGGAGGGUCGGUCAAGAUUGCCGGGCCUUAGUCCACUAUCACCGGCCCUUGUCGGCGAUGAUGGGGGAGGUAGCAACGAGGGUUUAGCCCUCACCUUCCUUCUCCUCCUCAUUUUUUUUAAAAAUAUAAAUAUUAAUUAAGCUAAAUUUAAAAAUAAAAUUUGAAAUUAAAAAUGAAAAAAGAAAAAAGAUGGAAAUUGCAAGCAACGAUGGCUUGUUUUGUCUCUUAUUUGAAUUUUAAUAUAAAUAUUAAUUAAACUAAAUUGAAAACUAAAAAGAAAAAAGAUGGAGAUCGUAGGCAACAAGGUUGAGCCAUCACCGCCACCUCCCCACUGUCACUGGGGGCGAGGGCUCACAAGCCUUGCCGCCUGUUAGCCGAGGUCGCCAACUCCUAGUUAAGGCCUAGCAACCCCGGACGACCCUUCCCCCACUGUUGCCAUUCUUCUCAACAACGGUGGGGAGGCAGCGAUGAGGGCUCAGCCUUCGCUGCCUACAAUCUCCAUCUUCCUCCUUUUUUUUAAAAGAAAAAAUAUAUAUAUUUUAAAUUCAAUUUAAUUGAUAUUUAUAUUAAUUAUCUACCCACAUUAGCAACAAAAAGACGUCAUUUUUGUACUUAUUUAGCCACGUCACCAUGUAAAACGACGUCUUUUUGCACUUACCUUACUAGAAAAUCGUCACAUUAGUAUGUUGGCUAGAUUUUUUCACUAUUGAUACUUAAUUGAUCAAUUUUGCUCUGAUUUUGAUACUUAAAUAUCAAUUUCCUAACUUUUGGUACUUAAAUGUCCUCCUAUAUCAAAUUUUGGCACUCCAUGAGUCCGGGUGUCUCAUAUAAACUUAUUGAGUACUUGGAUUAUCCUCAAAAUCGUUUAGGGAUAGUUUCCAGCAAUCAUGACCUAGCUCCACGGCCGCCGGAAACGUGCUCGCGCCUGUACGCACCUCCCUGCGCCUGUUCAUAUAAAAUCGAUAUGUUUCCCUACGCACCGAUCGUCAUUCUCAAAUUUGUCAAUGCCGCCUCCCGCCAGUGCCACAUUAGCUCCAUGGCUGCGCCACGUCAGUGUCUGGUCCAGAAGUCCACAUUAGCUCCAUCAGUGAGCCGUGUUGAAACCGGUUCAGCCCGAUUUCGAAUAAACUUUGGCCUUUAGUAUUUUAGGCUAGUUUAGUGAUUUUUUCCUUCGACAAUCAACAUUUUCUUGGAGUUAUCUUGGCUGCCUUGUAUUCGUGAGGAUGGAGAAAAUGAGGAAUCGACUGAGAAAUUUUUAUUAGUUGGAAAACCUAAUAGAAAAUACAAGGCCAAUGCAAUGUGUUGAUUCAAAUAGUAAAUAUAAUGAUCCUUGCUUGACAACAAAUCGAAUUAUGAGUAAAAUUUCCAUAGAUUUUACUUAUAUCUUGCACUUAAGCCUUCGUUAGUUAUAUACCUACUCACUGCAGUUCUCAGUUAUGGAUUGAAAAUGAAAACGAAAGAGUGAGAAAACUACUAAUUAAAGUCUUAUUUGGGGGCAUUAUGGAAAAUUAUUUUGAAAAAAACUGACAUAAAUUAUAUUCUUUACAAGAUAAUGAGGACAUCUGCCCCCAAUCUUUGCCGCGAUGGUCCGUCCGUAGAGAAAGUGGAUGUUGCUCCGUCGAUAAUACAAAUCAUCUUAAAUGGUCCAACUGUAGUCCACGGCAUGGGUGGUUUCUUAGGUGGUAUAGCACGAUAGUAUAACAUCAUAUGGCAAAGUUAUCAAUACAAUUUUUUUUAGCUAAGCGAUUAGGACUAGCUGAUGCUUGUGAUGGCAUCGAUGCUUGAGUUGGAUGUGACCAAUGGAAGCUAGAUUUGAUGGCUCUGAAUAUCAAGCAAUUACAUGAGAGUUUCAUGUUUCUAAAAUUCAAAAAAACCAUACCCACUUGAAUAGAAUGUGCUCAUUGAAGUGCUGUUCAAUCCAGAAAGAGAGAUUGAUUGAGAAGAUCGGAUUAAAUGCAAUUGUCUACAACUGGUGCUCAUUAAAUGCGUUGUCUUGUUUUCUCGUUUUCCGUUUUACGAAAGAACACAUGGAACAGAUAAUCAGCCAGAACAAAAAGUGCGCCAGCUCACAACUUUACACAAUCUUAAUGAAGUUUCAUAUUACACGACAAAUCAUCUCACAAUUAUUCCUCUUGAUAAGUUUAUUGAUCAAACUUACUAAUACUAUUUCCCUUUCUCUUCAAUUUUCCCAGCCCUCAAGGUUUCCUUUCCUCUGUUUUGCUAUGUUAUGUAUAUGUCACGUAUGUAUUCCAAAUUUUCAAAGAAAACUUGAUUCUAGAUUUUCAAGAAAGGUCAUGAAAACACGAUGAUAGAUGAGAAAAAGUAAGAUGUUUUUAAUUACUUUCAGACGGAAUUUUAACUUUUCCUUUUUGUUGGGGGCUAGGAAAGAGGGGUUAGUCUUUUCCACUUCACAUAACAGCCAACCAUAUGGAGAUUAUAUUUUGAGCAUCCUUCCUAGAAAGCUUCACGUGGGCUCUAGGAAAUCAGUUAUAAACUAUUGACACCUAAAUUUUAGAAACCCCUCAUUCAGUGUCACACACCACCGACUCGAUGAAAUGCUUCACCGACAUCUAGUUUUGCUUUUGCCGUUGUUGGCCAGAACCGAGUAUCCACGUUUUGAUUCGUUCUAUUGGGGUGUUGUUUUUGUGAUUAGCAUUCCCGGACGUUGGUCAUUCGGUCGUUUCGCUGCCCCCACCACUGCCAUCGUUUACGUCGUUUUGUGUUUCAUGCUUUGUGGCCGACGAUGACCAUCCGAUGAAGAGAGGAAAUCGGCGGGGAGGUCGGCCGGUGAGUGGUGGUCUGAGUGGAUGAUCGCUGAAGGUGGUAGCUUGGCAGCGGUUGAGAUUUGGAUGAUGUUUGUCUAAAAACGAAGGAGCUUCGGUGAGGGCGUGAGCUCGUUGAGGAAGGCCGCCCAAGGGAGAAGACGACCUGCAAAAGGGAAAGAGAAAAGAAAUAAACAAAAAUGGUAAAAAAAUAAAAAUAAUAAUAAUAAUAAUAUAAUAAAAGAGCUGGAGAGUCUGCCAUGUACAGACAUUUGGGAGAAGGGGAUUUGAAGUUGGGCUUAGUGGGUUCGAGCUCAGCUAGGCUUGAUGAGGUCCAAGUUUGGACUGGGCUUAGUUCAAGUUUUGAGGUUGCUGAGUGGUCGGGUUGGGCUUUAGCAUAUAAGCCCACUCUCUCUUUUAGAUCUUUUGUGUUUUACGUAACCUAGGUCCAAGGCCCAUCAAACCAGAAUUUGGCCCAUUUUUAGACCAGCACCAAGAACUCUGACCGGGGCCCUUUUCGAAUUAAAAAAAUAUUUUUAUAAAAACAAUUAAUUUUUUAUUAAAAAUGAAAAAAAUUCCCGUAAGAAAAAUUAUCUUUUUAAAAAUCAGAAAAAGCUUAAAAGAUAGUUUUUUGAGUAUUUUUUGUUCUUUAAAGUGUGGGAAAUCAUUUUUUUCUUAAAGUUAUCAAAAUGCUUAAAAAUUAGUUGUGAAGCAAUUUUCUCUUAAGAAUGUGCAAAAAUCUUUGGAGAAAAAUCGUGUUCAAAAUUGAACAAACUCUUAGCAUUUUGCAAUAGGGUUUUAUUGUUUUCUUUUUUGAGCCAAAUUAUUAAUUGAUUGCACACUUUCAAUAUAUUGAUUGUCAUUUACCUUUAGCCUAGUUAGGAAUGGUAUUUUUCUUAUUUAUUAGCAUUAGAUGCUUGCUGCCUUGCAAUUUAUUUAAUCUUUCCUUGAUUACUGAUUAUUAUUUUAAUGAUUGUGCACCCGCAGAAUCGUUUCACAUGUUAGUAGAUAGGUUUAAAAUCAAUCUAGACUACAUGACAAAAAAUGAACAAGGUUAAAUAUCGAAAGGACACUAGUUGAUUAAUUAGUGUAAUUAAGUCAUCGUCUCUAGAUUCUUUGAUUGUAUAAAAAGUGAGGUAUAUUCCCACAUCUCAUUUGGUUUUUAGUUAACCUAAUAUAGGCUAAUGACAACUUCUCAUUAGAAAAUCCUUGUAAUGUUAGAUUAAAUACCAUAAUAUUGUGCGAGGUAUGAGUUUAAGAGAGCCUGUGCCUAAUAGAGGACCCUAAACCCACCAUUGAGGCAAUAUCUCUAAACUUAGCGUCAUUUCACCUUCAAAUAGAAAAGGUUGGUUGCGACAUAAAUGUCUAUUUAUUUUUUGUUUAAAAUACUAACUUCUCUUAUCAUUGAUUGAAAAUCUCUUAAAAGCUAUUAUAUUCAAGGCAUAAUAAAUAUAUGAUAAAUGAAAAUUAAUAAAUAAAAUAAUAAAAGUUGGUAAUUAAAAAAUAAACUUGAUAAGUAAUUCAAAUAAGUGUUAAUAACAAUAAACUAUUUGAUAACUUAAAGAGAAAAUUUAGCAAGUCCGUCUUAUAAAAGAUGGUAAUUAAAAAAAAAGUGGUAAUUCUAGGGCAUUGCUAAGAAUUGCAGAUAGAAGUUUAUUGACGAUAAAAAAAGUUAGAAAUGCAAAGAACUAAAUAAAUUGUCAAUAAGUAAUUCAAACGAGAGUUUGUAACUCAAUACUAAGUAGCAAUUUCAUGGGAGACAAGUUGGUGAAGGUUGGUAAUAUUUAAAUAGAAUUGGUAAAUAGAAGGGCUUCUAAUUGAUACAAAGAAAAAGUCGUAACCCAAAUAAGAGUUGGUAAAGAAAAAUUAAUUAGUAAUUUAAUAUGACAAAAGUUAUUGCAAGAAUUACUACGUUAGAGAUACCUAGGUGGUGAGAUAUAUUUCUGGUAAGAUUUCAAUCUUAAGAAAUUAAUCAUUUUAGUCGUCCACUGGACGUUCGGUGGGAUAAUUUUUAACUUGCAAAAGACAAAAGCAUGUGGUCGGAAGUUCAAGACCCAAACCAUGUGCCGAGCGAGUGCUUUCCUACCAUGGCUCGUACGGGGUUCUUGCAACUUCCUUGAAAUGCAUCAUACUGCGUUUUCCAUCAUCCAAGUCUUGUGGUCACUAUAAAAUGUAGUGUAAUUUUAUAUGUUGUAAUUCGCUUUCAGAAUUUUAGUAGAAGAUGGAAAGAAAAAGGAGUUGUUUAUACUUUUUCCUCAAACUAGGACUUUAUAUGACCACUGUACAAGUGAUUUUUUUUUUUUUUUGGUGAGAUUUCUAUUUUCCUAACACUUAUGUUCCAACAAAAAUACUUGUAUGCAUAAAAAAAUCCCAAGUUCUGGGGGCUUAAUGCAUUAAAAAGGGACAAAUUUCAGCUGAUGAUGCUGCUAUAGUUGGUGGCGAACGCACUUCGGAUAAAGAUUUAUUGGUAGCUUAUUUAUUGUUGAAACAUAAAUUUUGGCAAUCCAAUUAAUUAUUAAUUACAUAAAAAAUUUAUAAAUCGAUCCCAAUCCCUAACAAAAAAUCAAUAAUUGCAUUUUGCAUAAUAGGCUUCGUUUGUUUUACACAAAAUGAAUAAUUUGCAAAACUUUAAAAAAAAAAUGGUUGUUUGUGUUGUUUUGAAAUAAUUAGUCAAAAAAAAAAAUGUUUUCUUUGUUGAUGACAGUUUAAUUCUAUACAUAUUCAUAGAUGAUGAAAAUAUUUUCGUUUAUUCAUUUCGGUAAGUGAUUCAGACAAUCAUUUUUUUGAAAAUGUGUUCCAAAUCAUUCGUUUUUAGCAAAACAAAGGUACCCUUAAGUACAUUUUCUUCAUGCAUUAUUUAGAUUUUGGCCAAGCUCAUAAUAAGUGGCCGAAAUUUAUAAAUGGAAGAAGUGCCACGGUGGAAAACUUAAAUUUGUUAGAGUAAAUUCAGGGGGAAUGAAGACAAUAUCUUAAUAAAAAAAUUUCGAAGGACAUCCCAGGAAUGUCUUUCACAACAACAUCAUGGCAAGAUUGGAGAAAAGAAGAAGAAGUGUCGUGGUCUUGCACAUUGUAGGAAACCGCAAAAGAAAAAAAUAAUAUAGUUUUCAUUUGUUUAAAUUCACAUAAAUGUUAAGUCAUAAAUAUUUAUUGAUAAUAAAAAUACUUUUUACUAAUUAAUUAUUUUAAAUGGAACGAGUAAUAUUUUUUAGAAAAUAUUUUUCAAAUCAUUUAUAUUUCAUAAAAUCAACAAGUUCUUUAAAAAAAAAAACGGAAAGAUCAGACCCAAUCUAGUUGCUUGGUCAACGACGAAGAAUAUCUGAAGCAAAUUCUGGGAACUUUCCGGGUGGUUUGAGAAGGAAAGGAAUAUCGAUAGUAAUAUAUAUUUGUAUUAAAACAAGAAAAGCGAGGUUGAUGGCUCUAGGGGUGAGCAUGGUCCGGGUUGGUCCGGGCCACCCCCUAACCCUAGGACCAACCCGUACAGUGUCGGUCCUCAAUUUUUAGGACCGAGGACCGACCCUAUUGAGCCUGGGACCAAGGACCAGACCAACCCAAUGGGUUCGGUCCGGUUCCAGGGUUAACCCGGGACUGAUUGAUAAUUUUUUUCGUUUUAUUUUUUAUACUCCCUAAAAAAGCAAACUUACAAAUUCAAAUUACACAUCCAUCAAUAAUGCAACAUUGUGCAACUAAACUAUAAAUACCAAUACAUAUUUAGCAAAUUUAAGAUGACACAAUAAUAUAAAUUUCGUACUUGCUAACCGCUCAUUGAGAUAUAGGACAAGAUGGAAAGUUCUUGUAAUCAUCUAUCUUUAAUAUUCAUAACAUCAUAUGCAAAAGUGUUUUCCUGCAUUUGAUUAUGUAGAGUUCAUUCAACCAAAAAAUGAGCUUCACACCACUUGACUAGCAAAUCACCGUAGCAACUGCAGUACUACUCUACUUUUCAAAAACUUCUACCAUUUGACACAAAUUGAAAAGCAAAGUGCAGCUGAAAUUCAUUAGUAAAAUACAAUUAAACCAUAAAAAGUUUAAAAUACUUAAUAUAAACCAUGAAUAUAUAACUUCACAUCUUGUUAAUUCACUUAAACUUCUAAACACCUGAAAACAAAACAAACGACACUUAAUUAAUACUCAACAAAAGUUUUAAAUUGAAAUUACAAUUAGUACUAUUGAUAGAACAUUUCAAUAUAAUAUAAUAUAACAGACAUUUUACUUAGAUUUGAAUAUAUAAGAGAAUUAUAAAUAAUAUAAUAUAAUAUAAUAUAAUAUAAUAUAAUAUAAUAUAAUAUACAGGGUUGGUCCAGGGUUGGACCGACCCAAAACUCUUAGGACCGAGGACCAACCCGCACAGUGUUGGUCCUGGAAUUUUAGGACCAAGGACCGACCCAGUCCCCUUGGGAACCGGACCAGGACCGGCAGGGUUGGGCCGGUCCAGGGUUGGUCCAGGGUCGACCCUAGACCGCUGCUCACCUCUAAGACAGAUCUGUAUUAAGAAGAUUUAAUAACUGUUGAGUGAUAAAGAUAGAAACCCUAGUUGAUUCUGAUUGCCCAUAUAAAUAAAAACUUGGUUUCCAUAAGUAGAAAAUUUUCAUUUAAAAAGUUAUUGUCUUCAGGAUUCAAUUGUCAAUCGAUUAGAUUGAGUCAAUCAAAUCUAUCUUAAUAUAGAAUUCAAACUAGAUCACUAACCGUUAUACUUUUUGAACUUGUGUCACAUUCUGUUAAGUUGUCUCGUUCUGAACUUGUCACAUUCUAGAUCACAUUCUAUCAUUCUAAUUAUUAUGUAUAUAUGUAAAGUCUCUUGUUCCGUAUGUAUGUAAAACCUAAGUGUCUUCCGUCUAAAUUAGACUUUACAAUCUUGACGUAAGUUUAAUAUGUUCAUCCAGUCUUCUGACUUUUUUAAGUAUAAUCUUUAAUAAUAUCUUUUACAUGUUCUAUUAUCUGCAUAAUCUGUUACUCAAUUAUUAAACACGUUAGUAGCCUUUGAUUUAUUUUGUCAUUUUCAAAACAUCAUAAGGGAUUUUCCUAAUAGCAUUGGCCUUGCCAGAUCAGCGAGCUUGUCCCUCACUUGUGGUCGAUCGUUGAUCAGUUGCCAUGGCCAACAAGUGGCCAAGGAAGAAGCGAAAAGAAAAAAGAAAGAAUAGAAAAGAAUUUAAAAUUGAUUUUUUAAACAAUAAAAUAACUAAAAAUUCUAUUGUUAAAAAAUAGUUUUUUUUGGUAAAAAAAAUUAGUUAAAAUUUCAAAAUUUAAAAAAUGGAAACAAUUGAAAUUUNNNNNNNNNNNNNNNNNNNNNNNNNNNNNNNNNNNNNNNNNNNNNNNNNNNNNNNNNNNNNNNNNNNNNNNNNNNNNNNNNNNNNNNNNNNNNNNNNNNNGGGUUGGUCCGGGCCACCCCCUAACCCUAGGACCAACCCGUACAGUGUCGGUCCUCAAUUUUUAGGACCGAGGACCGACCCUAUUGAGCCUGGGACCAAGGACCGGACCAACCCAAUGGGUUCGGUCCGGUUCCAGGGUUAACCCGGGACCGAUUGAUAAUUUUUUUCGUUUUAUUUUUUAUACUCCCUAAAAAAGCAAACUUACAAAUUCAAAUUACACAUCCAUCAAUAAUGCAACAUUGUGCAACUAAACUAUAAAUACCAAUACAUAUUUAGCAAAUUUAAGAUGACACAAUAAUAUAAAUUUCGUACUUGCUAACUGCUCAUUGAGCUAUAUGACAAGAUGGAAAGUUCUUGUAAUCAUCUAUCUUUAAUAUUCAUAACAUCAUAUGCAAAAGUGUUUUCCUGCAUUUUGUUGUGGACAUGAAUAUGCUGGCGGAUGUGUUAGGAGUUGAAAGAGGAAGAUAUCAACCGAUCAAAGUUUCUACUGCUCGGGCUACAAUGGAACUGGUGAAAAGAUCACCUACUUAAGGAUGAAUGCGUUCAACAUCUUGCUUCACAAGAUUGUGAUCAAUUGCCUUUGACCGAAAUCAACUUCCAAGACUGAUGUCUCAAGUUCAAAGGCAUUGCUGAUGUACGCCAUCCUUACUGGGAAAAGGUUUUCUCUUCCUCAUACUAUCAUGUUUCACAUGUAUAGAGCGGUGAUGAAAGGACAGAGGUCAACUUCCUUAGCCAAGCCUUGUAACAAAGUUAUUCAGACAUCUGAAUUAUUCAGCCUCCACAAAUCUUUUGUGUUCGAUCGUGCGAUCAUAUGGUGAUAGGACUGAAAAUGGUUACCUAGAUGCGUCUGAAGGAACUAAACAAGGAGUUUGAGAAAUUUAAGGAAAAGACUCCCUGAAAGUCUCACCAAUUCUCUUCUGCUUCAAAAAGGAAAGGGAAGGAGCCCAUGGUUGCUCCAACCAAGAAAAGAAGAGCUCUCAUCGUGGAAGAUGAAGAGGAUGAUGACCUUACCAUUUCGGCCAUAGCUUUGAAGAAGCUAAGUCGCUCUGUUCCAGAAUCCAUGGAACAUCAUGAGACAGAAGGAGAGGAAAGACAAGGACAAGAAAAAGAAAGAGAGGUGAGAGAAGAAGAAGAAAAAGAAGAAGAAGAAAGAUCAGAUGGCGAAAAAGAAGCAGAGCAAGAAAGAACUGAAGAAGAAAGAAGAGAAGAAGGAGAACCUGAAAGACACUCUUCUCCACCUGUAGGCACAGAAACAUGGGGAGAUAAAGAGAAAGGAGGGAAGUCCUCAUAUCCCGAUGCAAGUGAAGGAGUCAGUCGUUCACUUGCAGACCCAGAGGAUGUUUAUGCAUCUCAAUUUCCAGAAGAAGGUCAUGACGUUUCAUCGCCAAACCUGCAAGAUUAUUCCGAUAUGCCAUCAUCUGCAGAACGUGCUGAAGCAAGUACUCAGACCGACAGCUCAGUCGAUUUUCGCAGAAUCAUGGAUAUUCUCAUGGAGAUGCGUAGACAAAUUUAUGCCUUGGGAUGCGAGGUUCAAAACUUGCAAAAUGCGGGUCAAGUUUCCUCAUGUUCAUUGAAUGAUAAAAUCCAAGCCCUCUCUGUUCAGAUUUAGGCCAAUGCCAAAGGUGAGGAGAUUGCUCAACUAAAGGAAGACUUGAAAAGGCUGGAAGGGAUCGUACAGUCCAUGGGAGAUUUCCAGCUUGUCCGCGUUCCCAAGCAAUCUUGACUUCACUCCAUUUUCAUCUUAACCUUUUUUAAUGCUGACAAAAAGGGGGAGAAGUGCAAGAUUUGAAUCAAAACUUUGAAUUUUUAAUCGUUUGGAUUGUUUAAUUUGGAUUAAUGUUUGACUUUAAUUUUGUGUCUGGAUUUGGAUUUGGAUUUGACUGCUUAUUAUAUUGAUAUCUUAUGGUUGGCUUUAUGGCUUUAUCUUAUUCAAGACUAACCUAUUUUCUGUGGUUGCAGAUUCUAGUGUUAUUCAUUUAGCCAUUUAUCUCUAUAAAGAUAUGCAUAUGUGUUUGAGAAAUGUUUUGCAGGUCAAAGUUGUCCAAAUCUGCAGGAAAGUUUUGUCACCAUCAAAAAGGGGGAGAUUGUUGGAAAAAUCUUCUUGAAGUGUUUUGAAGCUGACAAAAUCGUUUCCAUCAGUCUGGUUUGAAGGCUUGCAGACUCUGCUGUUUAAAGUCUAAAGACCUCCGGACAGCCAGACUCAAGAUUCAAAUUCUAUCCUCAUUGACAGUUUCUAAUCCGUUGAAGAAAGGGUAUCCAGAACUGGAUGUUUUAUUAAGGAUAUGACCUUAUCGACUGGAGAAAAUCUCUUGGCUGGAUAUGACUUAUCGGAAUCCCUUUUAAAUUGAUCGAGAUUGAUUCGAUGAUCAAGGAUCCGUUGAUUGGCGAAAUAUUCGUGGAAGAUUCUACUUAUGGAAACCGAGAUCCUGAUUGUAUGGACGAACAAAAUUGAUGGGCUAUCGACAUAUUCCCUUAAUAGUUCGGAUAAUCUUCUUAAUUGAUUCCGUCCAACGGGUAGAUUGGAGGAAUUCCUUUGAAAAGUGUCAACGGGUAUGAUGGCAUAAAGGAGUAUAAAAAGAAGACGUUCUAAAGCUGUUCAAGGAAGUGCGCGAUAGAAGAAUUCCAAAGUCUGAAGCCUCUUGUUGUUUAGUCAAUUCAUUUGAGCGAAAAACUUGUACUCAAAAGAGAGUUUAUACUUGUGAGAAACCUUGAGGAAGUGUGAUAGAAUAUCUACACUGUGGAAUCAAGGAAGGACUGUGCUGUAAUAUCUCUUUUGUUCAUAGUGGAAUCCAGCCGAUUGGCUGUUAGUGUGGAAGAGUGGACGUAGGCUUAGGAUAAACCGAACCACUAUAAACCUUGUGUUUAAUCUUCUCUUCCCUUCUCUUUACUUUACUUUAAUCGUAACUCAUUUUGAUUAAGCAAAAGCGUAUUUCCAUUCUAUCAUCUGCUUAGUAUUUCUGUGGUAUCCCGAGAAAUUGUUUCUACACCUAUUCACCCCCCUCUAGGUGCUUAUACUAGCUACAUCACGUUAUCGCAAAAAUAAUUUCUGAUAAAUCGUUGAAAUUCAUGUCCUUUCAGAGCAAUUCCUGUUUACAACAAUUUGCCUGAAUAGAGCGUGUCUGCUUUACGUCAUCAAAGUAUAUCAUGGCUCGAAAGGGACACUUACGUGUGCGAACAUGACCUAUACAGGACCAAAUGGAGAGCAGGCAGAAAUUGGCCGACAGAUGAAACCCUACCCACCCACGAUAGGCUCCAGUAAUCGUCAGCUUUUUUGACAUGCUUGGACAUUUGCUCGAACUGAGACAAAUAAUUGGCGAUGAGAUUGAUCGACCAAUUAUUUUUCGGUCUUCGUCAAGCCCUAGUGUGAAGGUGACUUGUCCGUGACUGUAUAUAUAUCCCAGUUUCCAAAUGGAGGAAUGAGUAUGCCGAAACUCUCGUUUUAGAGAUGAAAUUCUGAAACUCUCGUUUUAGAUAUCCAAACAUGGCGUCCAACCUCCACAUGGCCUCUGUGAAAGGGAAUGUGCCUUAUUUGCUUGAAUUGCUUGCAAAAAGAUAGGCUGCUUCUCGAUAGAAUCAUGCCUGGGAAUCACAUUGAGACUCCUUUGCACAUUGCAGCUAUGCUCGAACACUUGGAUUUUGUGGAAGAGGUCCUAGCACGAAAGGCCGAGCUGGCAAAAGAGAAAGAUUCUCAGGGAUCGACCCUUCUUCAUCUCGCGUCGACGGUUGAUCCUGCCAGGAUCUUUUGGCCAAUCCAUAUGAGGUCGGAAUCGAGGAUGUUAUAAUGUGAAUACAAUAUUGCAUCCUAAUUAUGGCACCUAACAGGUGGUAGUGUUACCCAUAGCUAUCGCAAGGCAAAAUCUGAUAGCCGUCGAACCUAUUGUGAGGAAACACGACAAACUACUAAGUACCGAAAGGGCAUUAAUAGAAAUAGUAAUGUAAUCCAAGUCCUAGAACCUUAGAAUUUCUGGUUGCUUAGAUAUUGAUGGACCACUCCAGAUCGUUGAUUAGGAAUUCUAGUCGACUCCCAAAAAUGAUGCUAGUGUGACUCUUAACUAUUGUCUAGCUUAUCUCAAAGAACUCAUAGAUAAUAAAUACACCCAUAAUUAGGGUAUAAAUCUUAGGAAAAGGUUCGCAAUCAUGAUUUACCAUACUUGAGAUGGUAAAACUAAAAGACGUAGUGAUGCCAUCUUUAGAGGAUGUAAAUCUUGAGAGUGCUAUCGUGGCCGAAAUACCCUUAAACUCAAAUUUACGUCCGCUUUCCUUUCGACCUUAAAAUUGUCGAUCAAGAUAUAUCGUGGCAUCUAGGCAGGGUCACGACACAUGCGAGGUACGAGCUUCGGAGACUUCACAACUGUGAUAGAGCAAACUCAUGUGGUUGAUCUUGAAAGAUGAGGUGAUGAUAUCUUUUAGAGUAAGUACCGUGAGGGAGCUCUAAUUGCCAAAAACCCCUAAAUUCGGCCUCCUAUUCCUUGCACCUUGAAGAGGUCAGGUCCCAACAAGAAGCCGCUUCUUGUCCGAACCCUCUGCCCUCGACCACACCCCGGCCUCAUCGGACCGGAUUGUUACACAUAGAGCCACGAGAGACAUCUGUCCAAGCAUUUGUGUAUACCGUCAUCUGAGGGUUCUUCAUUUAAAUGAGAAAACCAUUGCUAUUGACGCAGGGCAAUACAUUCUACGUGAUUCAUUUCCCUACCUAGUAUCAUUGAGGAUUUUCGUGACUGAUAAAAUCAAUCAGGAAGUUAUGCUCCUUCAAUCUCCGAAAUUUUUAAGGGAAGAAAUAGAAGAUCAACUCUCUUUGGCGGAAUUUCGGAGGUAUAGCAAGGCUGAUGCCUCCACAUUGAGCUUAAACUAUUUGCAAGCUCGAAAUCACUUGGGAUUACUAUGUUGAGAAGGCCGACUUCAAAUGUGCUAAGGAUACUAUGGCUUUUUUCUGUUCCUGUCUUCCUAACACACCCAUAUACUAGAAUAAUUUCUGUUAAAGUUCCUAGGUCACGAUUCAUUCUGAUUGAUCGAGCAUUAUCGCAAAAAUAAUUACGGAUAAAUCGAUGAAAUUCAUGUCCUUCCGGUGUAAUUCCCCGUUUACAAUAAUUUGCAUGAAUAGGGUGUCUCUGGUAUACAUGAUCAAAGGAUAUCAUGGCUCGAAUGGGACACGUACGUGUGGGAACAUGACCUAUACAGGACCAAAUGGAGAGGAGGCAGAAAUUGGCCGACAGACGAAACCCUACCCACCCACGAUAGGCUCCUGUAAUCGUCAACUUUUUUUAACAUGGUAGGACAUUUGCUCGAACUGAGACAAAUAAUUGCCGAUGAGAUUGAUCGACCAAUUAUUUUUCGGUCUUCGUCAAGCCCUAGUGUGAAGGUGACUUGGCCGUGACAGUAUAGAUCCCAGUUUCCAAAUGGAGGAAUGAGUAUUCCGAAACUCUCGUUUUAGAUAUCCAAACAUGGCGUCCGACCUCCACAUAGCCUCUGUGAAAGGGAAUGUGCCUUCUUUGCUUGAAUUGCUCGCAAAAGAUAGGCUGCUUCUCGAUAGAAUCGUGCCUGGGAAUCACAUUGAGACUUCUUUUGCACAUUGCAGCUAUGCUCGGACACUUGGGUUUUGUGGAAGAGGUCCUAGCUCGGAAGGCCGAGCUGGCAAAAGAGAAAGAUUCUGAGGGAUCGACCCCUCUUCAUCUUGCCUCCACGAUUGAUCCAUCCAGGAUCUUAUGAUCAAUCCAUAUGAGGUCGGAAUCGAGGAUGUUGUAAUGUGAAUCCGAUAUUGCAUCCUAAUUAUGGCGCCUAACAGGUGGUAGGCUCACCCAUAGCUAUUACAGGGGAAAAUCAGAUAGCCGUCGAACCUGCUGUUAGGAAACACGACAAACUAAUGUAAUCCGAGUCCUCGAACCUUGGAAUUUCUGGUUGCAUAGAUAUCAAUGGACCACACCCGACCGCGGAUUAGGAAUUCUAGUCGACUUCCAAAAAUGAGGCUAGUGGUGACUUCUAACUUAGUAAUUCCAUCUUUAGAGGAUGUGCAUAUUGAGAGAGCUAUCGUGGUCGAAAUACCCCUAAACUCAAAUUUAUGUCCGGUUUCCUUUGGAACUUUAAAUUGUCGAUCAAGAUAUACCGUGGCAUCUAGGCAGAGUCACGGCACACACGAGGUAGGAGCUUCGAAGACUUCACAACUGUGAUCGAGCAAACUCAUGUGGUUGAUCUUAAAAGAUGAGGUGAUGAUAUCUUUUAGAGUAUGUACCGUGAGGGAGCUCUAAUAGCCAAAAACCCCUAAAUUCGGCCUCCUAUUCCCUGCACCUUGAAGAGGUCCGGUCGCAACAAGAAGCUGCUUCUUGUCUGAACCCUCUGGCCCUCGACUACACCCUGCCCUCAUCGGACCGGAUUGUUACACAUAGAGCCAUAAGUGACAUCUGUCCAAGCAUUUGUGUAUACCGUCAUCUGAGGCUUCUUCAUUUAAAUGAGAAAACCAUUGCUAUUGACGCAGGGCAAUACAUUCUAUGUGAUUCAUUUCCCUGUCUAGUACCAUCGAGGACUUUCGUGACUGAUAAAAUCAAUCAGGAAGUUAUGGUCCUUCAAUGUCGGAAAUUUUUAAGGGAAGACAUAGGAGAUAAAACUCUCUUUGGCAGAAUUUUGGAGGUAUAGCAAGGCUGAUGCCUCCACAUUGAGCUUAAACUAUUUGCGAGCUCAAAAUCACUUGGGAUUACCGUGUUGAGAAGGCCGACUUGAAAUGUGCUAAGGAUACUAUGGCCUUUUUUUUUUCUGUCUUCCUCACACACCAAUAUGGCAGAAUAAUUUCUGUUAAAGUUCUUAGGUCACAAUUCAUGCUGAUUGAUCGAUUAUUAUCGCAAAAACAAUUUCUGAUAAAUCGAUGAAAUACAUGUCCUUUCAGAGUAAUUCCUGUUUAGAACAAUUUGCAUGAAUAGAGUGUGUCUGCUUUACAUCUUCAAAGGAUAUCAUGGCUCGAAAGGGACACCUACGUGUGCGAACAUGACCUAUACAGGACCAAAUGGAGAGGAGGCAGAAAUUGGCCGACAGGCGAAACCCUGCCCACCCACGAUAGGCUCCAGUAAUCGUCAGCUUUUUUGACAUGCUAGGACAUUUCCACGAACUGAGACAAAUAAUUGCCGAUGAGAUGGAUCGACCAAUUACUUUUCGGUCUUCGUCAAGCCCUAGUGUGAAGGUGACUUGGCCGUGACAGUAUAUAUCCCAGUUUCCAAAUGGAGGAAUAAGUAUUCCGAAACUCUCUUUUUAGAUAUCCAAACAUGGCGUCCGACCUCCACAUAGCUGCUGUGAAAGGGAAUGUGCCUUCUUUGCUUGAAUUGCUUGCAAAAGAUAAGCUGCUUCUCGAUAGAAUCGUGCCUGGGAAUCAAAUUGAGACUCCUUUGCACAUUGCAGCUAUGCUCGGACACUUGGAUUUCGUGGAAGAGGUCCUAGCUCGAAAGGCCGAGCUGGCAAAAGAGAAAGAUUCUCAGGGAUCGACCCCUCUUCAUCUCGCAUCCACAAAAGGGCACCUUAACAUAGUGGUAAGCUUGUUAAGAGUCGACCCUGAUUUAUGUUUUUUUUGUGACAAAUAUAAAAGAAACCCUCUUCAUAUUGCGGCCAUUAAAGGCCAUGUGGAUGUGUUGGAAUACUUAGUUCAAGUGAGACCUGAUGCAGCUCGUUGUGCUGCGGAAAAUGACCAGACAAUUAUGCAUUUAUGCGUGACUUAUAAUAGACUAGAUGCUUUGAGACUUUUGAUAGAUAUCUUAGGCGUAGAUCUCAUCAACUCGACGGAUGGACAUGGCAACACGAUUUUGCAUUUGGCUGGUGCAGAUGGAGAUAUUAAGGUACGUUCAUACAACCAAACCUCUGCAAUGGUCAAAUUUAGAGAGCUUAUUAGUAAAAAAGGGUGGUUCUAAGAUAUGUGAGUGUCCUAGAAAUAUUCAGAAGCUAAAAGAUAUCCAUUUAUAAAUCAUGGUAGGUUAUGAUAUUUUAAAAAGAAGGAAAUUAUUGGUCCAUAUAAUAAACUACAACUUUACACUUCACGUUAUUUUGCUACUAAUUUUAUCUAUGAGUACCCCUUUAUGAAGUCAUCAAAUAAUAGUCAUAAAGACUAGAAGACUGAAAAACGUUAGUAGCAAAGUUAAUCAUGAAAAGUAUGUAACAUGGGCUUGUCUAGUUCAAAUUUGACCCCAAUUGGUACAUUCUGGUGUUACUCCUUUUCAGACUAUGCUCUUCCUGACUAAUAAAGGAGUUAAACCAAACAUGAAGAACUCCAAAGGUUUCACAGCACUCGACCUAUUAGCACAAAGUAAAAGGGAGGAAAGAAACCUAUUAGCACAAAGUGAAAGCGAGGAAAGAAACCUAUUAGCACAAAGUGAAAGCGAGGAAAGAAAGAGAAAGUGGCAAAACAAUAUGCAGAAGACGCUAAUGGUGGUAGCGACAUUGCUAGCUACCAUGACAUACCAAGCCGGUAUUACCCCACCUGGCGGCCUUUGGGAAGGAGACUCAGAUGAUGCAAAGAGUUUAAAACAUUAUGCAAGCAGUCCAACAAAUUAUGCGGGUGAAUCUGUAAUGGCAUUUAAGAACUGGGGAAUGUACCAGGUUUUCUUUUUUUGUAACACGAUAAGCUUCAUCGCAUCGCUUAGCAUCAUGAUGCUCUUCAUAAGUGGUCUUCCUCUAAAGCGGCAUCGGAUCACCACGUGGCUUGUAAUGGUGACUAUGUGGGUUGCGAUAACCUUUGCGGCAGCAACUUAUGCCAUCUCCAUAGAUGAACAGGAUUCUUCCAGUAUUGCAAGUGGAUGUGUAGUGUUUGCAUGGAUUGGAUUGAUGGCUAUUCUUUUCCUGUGCCACUUUAUUCGUUUAAUCGUGAAAUUGGUGCGCAAGGUUGGAGGAUGCAUCUGCCAAGUAGCACAUAUGAUUGCAAAAGUAUUUAGUCCAGCAGAAACGCCCUGAGCCCUAUGGGCAUAAAAGAGCGGAUGCUAUACAGUGUAUGUGUUGUUCAGUGUGCCGAUUAGACAACUUAGCUACGAUGCAUAAGAGUAUGGCAUGUGUUUGUGAAAACAAUGAAUGUUCUAAGUAUGUUGAAUUUAUGUAAAAGUUUGAAUUUAGAUGUAUAAUGGAUGGCUGUUUUAUUUGAUUUGAUUUGUGGCAGUCAAAAAAAAAAAAAAAAAAAAACAGAAUGACUUACUGGAUUUAAAGUCCAAAAAUCUCAGCCAUGGGAUCAAUUUUAUAUAGAGUAACCUGAACAAGUUAAAGCGGUAAUUUAUUGACAAUUAAGGAAGUCUGUUCCGGUGGAAUUGCAAAUUUUAAGAUUAAUUACGGAAAUUCAUGACAGUCAAAAGGAUUAUUACAUACGGAUAGGACCCAUUGAUUACGAAUAUGAAGGAUUAUUUAUGUAGAUUUACCAAUAAUAGGGAAAUAUAAAAGUAAACUUUAGGUUGCUUAGAUUUCUCAAUAAAAGUUAUGGUCAUCAAGAUCUUUCGAGCCCACGCUUACUUGAGGUAAUUUACUAUCUAUGAAGGUAGAGAACUGACUACCAUCUACACGGACAUGCGACCGAUUUAUGAUGAUUGAUGUCAAGCCUCUUAUGACAAUUUCAAGUACCUUACUAUCAUAAUAGUUUAUUGCUCGGUGAUACGAAAUUCUUGUUUCAAACUGUAUUAGCUCAAUUACCACACAGAGGGGAAAGUACUAAUUAGACAUGCGAUUGAGAUCGUGAUGAUUUCAGGCAGAUUACAAUUGCUGGAGGUAUAAUUAUUAAGGAUAGGAACUACAAGUUAUGACUAGUUGAGGAAAAUUACCCUUAGGACGAUUAUUUAGUAAUUGCAUCGUCAAGUUACGAAAUAUAAAAGGAUGUUAUUACUAAUAAUGGAAUAAUUCAAAAUAAUCAACUACCGAUUUUGACUAAUAGAAGAAAAUUAUUAUAAUGCUGGAUAAUUGCUAGUGACAACAUCCCCAGGUUAUCUUGCUGUUCAUAAAUUAUCUUUCCCUUCUCCAAUUUAUGAACAUUUCUUUUUGCUGAUCAUACCUUCAAAUGUUAACUGGUUUUCGAAUAGAAAUGGGCAAUGAAAUGUGGAGCAAGAAUGUUGAUUGCUCAUUGUGCUUAUUUUUUUUGUUAGCUCUAAAUCAUUUGCGAUUAUUUUGGUAGGAAGACUAAUCGCAAAUGCACUUAUGACACUAUUGCUCAUUUCAAGCAUCUUCCCGAGACAACUUAUAAAGUUGAAUAAUCCUCCUAAAGAAUCAGGUAAUGUGCAGUCUCAAGUAAGGCUAUAAUGGAAGUCUUUGAAGCUGACAUGCUGCUUUUAGGGAAUCAGGGAUACAAUUGGGGGCCAUUUCAUGGUGAUACUGUUUGCAUUUGAUCUAUGUAGGUCAAGGUCAUGCGUUCACACACGUCCAUAUUCAAAAGAAAAGGAGAGGAAUGAUGUUGACAUAUCUCUUAUUGGUUGGUGAAGUAUUGUAGAAAAUUAUUGUCACUAAUCUUAGCCAAUUAUGUCUAACAUCAUGUGAAGGCCUUGGGGACUAUGACACUUUGUUUAUAUGUCAAGAGUUUAUGAUAUAUUAACUGUUCCACUCCACAUCAAUUUUUCAAUGUAAAACUUCUUUAAUAUAAUUCACACGCACAUUUAAUAUUUUUAAUAUAUCCAUACAGAGGAAUAAUUUCUCUAAAAGUGCCUAGGAGACUGGCUCAUUCCAUUUGAUCGAAUGUUGGUGCAAAAACUGUUUCUCACACUUCGAUGAAAUUCAUGUCCAUUCAAAGUAAUUUAUGUCCACAACAGUUUUCAUGAAUAGAGGUUUGAGGCAUGUGUUACAUGUGUUAACUUGACCUAUCUAAGGACCAGAUGGAGACGAAACUCGUCAGAAAAUGGCCGACAGGCGAAUCCCCACUUACCCUCGAUAUGGCUCCAAGAAUCAUCACCUUUUCUGACAUCCUUGGACAUUUGCGCGAACUGGGCCAAAUAAUUGCUGUUGAGAAAGAUCUAUCAAACAUUUUUUGGUCUUCGUCAAGCGUACUGCGAAGGUUCACUUGAUUGGGAUAAUGUAUAUUCAAAUUUGCGAAUGGAGGAGUGAGGAUUUCGAAACUCUCUUCCUAGAAAUCCAAAAAUGGAGUCUAAGCUCUCCAAAGCCGCUGUGAGAGAAAGCGUGCCUACUUUACUUGAGUUGCUCGCAAAAGAUAAGCUGCUUCUUGACAAAAUCAUGACUGGAAAUCAUACUGAGACUCCUCUGCACAUUGUAGCUGUUGACACUCAAAAUUACUGUUAUUGUCAUGUGCUAGUCACAAGGGAUAUAGACAUUCAAAAUUGUCAUGGCUAUCAUGUGCGGGCUGUGAUUAACAUCAAUCCAACCCAUGUUAGUCAUGAAAACAAAGAAUAGCCAAGGAUUUCAAAAGUCCUUGGGCUAGAUUUCGAUGGGCCUACAAAUGGAGAUACGUGAUUCAAUAGUAAAGCAAUUGAUUGUCACGUGUCUAGGCCAAGAGAUGGUAUUGAAGACAUAAAAUUCAGAUGGAAUUGACGUCAAAAUUUAGGCUAGAAUGGUUGAUGUUUAAAAGGGUGCACAAAAAUUAAAGGAGCGGUUAAUACUUGCUGGCCAAGUCAUGUGUGCAUAGUUGAACAAGUAAGAAGAUAACAAGUUAUGGAUAAAGCGGUCAAGCAGAGAAUGUGGAGGAACUUUCAAGGAGGAAUCAACCGACCACUGACGGUUACCAAAUUGACUUAUAAAUACCGCAGACAAUCCAAAAAAAAAGCCCCUUGAACAACACACAAAAACAAUUUAUCUUAUCCUUUUAGUUAUUUUAGCCUAGCUUAGUUUAGCUAUAGCUUUGGAUUCUCCGAGCGGGGAUGUCACGCCCCGAUCCUCGAGCGUGUGCCCAUCCCUCGGUGGUCGAUGAAUUUUGUGUCAUCUCACGAUGCGUCGUCAACCCAUUCAUUUUAAUGCGCAUGCGGAAGCGAAACAAAUCCCCUGACGACCAACAACUUAGGAUAGAAAAACAGGAAACAAUUCACAACAAAAAGGGAACUGUCCUAUGACCAAUUAGUCAAACACGUUCGCCGAUCCUUCAGUCUCCACUUCCACAAACUCUAGGGCUUCAGAUCCUCCACAUUUGUCAUCUAAGGACCUGAAAAUGUUGAGCCCAUGACGGGGUGAGACAAUUUCUCAGCAAUUUCACCCCCUAAACUCCGAAUAGGAAGGAAAUAUGCCUAAAGGCCAUCUAUGCACACACAAGAUAGAUGACUUACCAUACCUCAAUUUCUUCUUGCACGUCAGUAUAAAUCAUAUACUCAAUCAAAUCAAACCAAAUCCAAUCAUCGAUCAAUCGAUCCACUCGAUUCAAUCCAUCAAUACCAUAUAUAAAAUUCGAUCGAUUCGAACACUACUCACCUAAGCUGAAAUAGAUGGCAUAGCUCACCAAAGCUGAUAGAUAUAUAAUAAUGCUCACCAAAGCUGCUAUAUAUCUAUAUUGCUCACCGAAGCUGCUAGAUAUCUAUAUAUUUUGCUCACUGAAGCUGAUAUUUAUUAAUAUUGCUCACCAAAGCUAACACAUAAUAUACCAAUCUCGGCCAAGUCUCUUGUGCUUUGCAUACCAAAUCUUCAAUUAAAUACUGAAGUUGGCCCUAUUCCGUCGUUUUAACAAUACCCGAUAAAAAUAAUCGUGUAUGGGUAAACGAUCGACCCGAGCCAAAAUGCUAUAAUUUUCUUUUACAAAAUCCCACUAUUUAAUAUAGUAUCUUAGCGUUGUAAACUUAUGCUUGGUAGUUCUUGUUUAAAACUGAAAUUACUCAAUUUUGGGGUAAAUGCCAAAAAUUACAAUUACCAUUCAAUUUCACAAUUUAGUGAUCAAUUGCAUAAACUAACCACACUACUGCAGUCAGUACGAAAUUCUAACGAGCGGCUCUCCCGGUAUAAUUUCCGAAAAAUAUUAAAUAAUUAAUUAAUUAAAUUCAGAAAAUUAAAUUAAAUAAAUAUAAAAUAAUAUAAAUAAUCAAUAAAUAAAUCAAUAAAUAAAUAAGUAAAUAAAAUAAUUAAUUAAAUGUUUACUUAAGAUUACACUAAUCUAAUUGCAUAAUUAGACUAAUUAAUCAAUCCACUAAACUAAUCAUUCGUCUAAUAUAAUUAACAUUUAACUAAGCUAAUCUAACCACCUAAACAUGCUUAGCCUAGUCUAAACAUCCCUUACGCAUAAUUAACUCCCCAAGCAAAGUUUAGUGAGUAAACUCACCGGAUUUGCGAGCCGGUGAGUCCACGACGACAGCAAUGCCAAGGAGAGCGAGACUCGAGCCCACGGCGACACCAACCAAGGAUCAGAAGGGACCUAAAAUGGGCCAUGAAGUCCAAGACCCUUGUUAGUCUUUGGCUUCAGCUUGCUGAACUAACAGCAGGAACUAGCGGCUGCAAUGGCAAGGUCGGGUUGGGGGAGGCAGUUGCAGCCUAGGCGGACAACAGCGGAGGCUAAUGGAGGCUGGACUAGGGUCGAUGGCGGCCUGAGGUGGUCUGAUGACCUGCUGGAUCGACGAACAGAAGUGGAUGAUGGCUCGGGACAGUGGGACAAGCGGACGGCGUGUGCGAGGGACCAGCGAGCUAGGCAGACCAGGCGGACUGCUCGGGGGACUGGACAGCAGUGGCGACGGCUCAGGCGACCUCAACGGUGACCAGGGAGGCUUGGGAUGGCAGGGAAUGCGAGCAGGAGGGCUUGGACACUGGUGGAGCUCGCGGCUGUAGCGACGGCGCGCGACAAGCAAGCAUGCGUGAGUGGUGGUGGUCCGGUGGCUCGGCGGGUGUGCGACGGGCAAAGGGAAGGAGCUAGCGGCUUCUCUGGUUCUCUUGAGCUCUCAAAGGACCACGACAAUGGAGAAAGGAGGGGCAUAGAGGAAGAAGAAGGCUGCUGAAGCAAGGGGGACCCCAAGGGCCUCUUAAGCCUUCAACACUUGGCAAAACACUCAUUGCUUGCCCCCACUAUACUCAGCCAUCCACAGCCACUUUCUCUCUCCCAAAUCUUCCUCAACAAGCUUGCAAGGAGUCCAAAAUGUUGUUCCCCCCCCUUGGCUACGAAUUUGGCACAUUAAUCCCUCAAAUCCCUUCACUCCCACUUCAAAUAGACUUCAAUUGGUGCCCCAAAAUUCAGCCAAGGUGUCCACUCUUAAUCCAUGAUUUUUCAUGAUCAAUUGAACCAACUUGAUGGCCUUGGGUGCACUAAAAAAGGGUCCCCUGAUCUUUCCCAAUCCAAAACGGCUGAACUUUAAUUUUCCACAAAAAAUCUUGGCUUACAGAAAAAUCUUCUAAGAAUGAGUUGACAUUUCUAAAAUGACUUGUGACAUGACAAAACUUUUAAUUUCUGAAAUCAAGUUUAAAUUCGUAGUUAAUUUCAAUCUGGCACGAUUUUAGCGUGUCCUAAUCUACCUGGUAGCUUUUAGGAAUUUUUAGUACAAUUGACCUGUGGUAGAUCAUUUUAGAUCUACAAUGUACAUCUUCGACCCAUUGGCAACUCUCGGUUGUCAUGAAAAUCUUGAGGUUUCAAAUAUGAACACGAGGUACUCAAAAUGAUAGAAAAUCGGUCUAGUGCCAAUCGACAAGAAUAUUACAAUCAAGUGGAAUCACCCACCCUCUAAUCACAUAUCUCAAUUGAGUCAACCUAUAUUUGCUUUUUUUAUCGAUUCUAACAGUGCCGUAAUGGUCCUUGCAAGCUAGCACGGUCGAACAGUCGAUUCUUGGUCAAAUUCUCAACUCUAUUACGUUUAGAUUCCUUAACGGCUUCACCUGAUAGACUAGUUAUCUCGUGAGUGAUCAGCUUAGAGAAUAGAACUAUAGGCGCGUUGAUGAAAUACCCAACUUAUUCAAUUGAAAACAAAAUUAAAAUUUAGGAUGUCACAAUUCUUUCCCUCUUAUAAAAAUUUCAUUCUCGAAAUUUAAACCAUUACAAAUGUUUAAACAAAAUGGUGGGGGUACAGUCGUCUCAUCGAAUCUUCACUUUCCAAGGUUGCUCCUUCAGUGCCAUGGUUUUGCCAGACCACUUUGACCAACGUGAUAGCCUUGGUACGUAGAACUUGUUCUUUCCAAUCAACAAUUUGAACCGGGUUUUCCACAUACGACACUCUGUCGUCCACAUUUAAAUCCUUAAAAUUCAGCACAUGGGUUGGGUCAGGCUCAUACUUCCUCAAUAUUGACACGUGAAAGACGUCAUGCCCUUGCUUUAAUCUCGGCGGUAAUGCAAGACGAUACGCUAGGAUCCCAAUUCUUUCUAGAAUCUAAAAGGGACCUACGUACCUUGGACUCAGCUUUCCCUUCUUGCUGAAGUGUGAAGUAUCUCUCAUUGGUGACACAUUUAGAAAAACAUGAUCACCAACUUGAAAUUCCAAUGGCCUUCAACACUUAUCAGCGUAGCUUUUCAAGUGGCUCUAAGUAGUCUUCAAUCUAUCUCUGAUGAUGGCAACUACAUCCACUGACUGCUGGACUAACUCUAGGCCUGUGAUCUUUCGUUCUCCAUCCUCAUCCCAACACACUGGCGUUUUUGUGGCCUCCUGAAAUUCUUUGCUAGCCAUUAGGGGUGCUCCAAUUAAUGUCUUGUAUCGAAAUCUAUGGCCGAGUUUAAAUGGAUAGAUCUUGGAAGAGGAUGACUUAUCUUUGGCCAUGUGCAUCGUGAAUUAGAAUCCAUAGGUUUGUAAUUCUAAGUGUUUAGUUAUUUAAUUUUACCCUAUAGUACUUUAGUUUAAUAAGAUUUAAUUAGUAUUUAAAAAGGAGGUUAAAAUUGAUUUGAAUUAGGUUGGGCCUUAGGCCCAAGAGCAUGGAUUUUGGAGGGCCAAAUUGUAACACCCCGAUCCCUUCGCAGGUCAUUACCAGUGCCGAUGUUACAUCUUAUUACCGUUUUUGUCUCGUACUUAAAACAAGCGUCGCCAAAUCACAGGCAUUUUUUUUUUAAAAGCGGUCCCAGCGCGACUCAUAGCAGAAGCAAAUCAAACAUCACCAUCUAUCCCCCUACCAAUCCAUAAUACAAAUACACACCAGCUAAACAUCAGGAUUUUAUAAACAACUUCGACGCUUUGCUUACAUACUUAUAUAUAUCAAGAUGGGGUUCCCUUCGGGUCGGUACAAAACAAGAAAGGUUAGGACUCUGCCAUGUCCUACCUAAAAUCUCAAAAAGAAACCUCGACCCCUAACAUCAUACGCGCACAAAACCCUCCCAUCGAAAGCGUCGACUAUCUACAUCAAAAGAGAUCCAGCUCCUACUCAUCGCGCGUAGGUCUCACACCCAACCCGGUGCAUCAGGCGGUGGCGGCGGCAGCAUCCCUCGCAUAGCUCCAUCCUGUCGAACGUGCACAGAAAUGAACUCUUGUAUGACAGGGCCCCCAGCCAGGCCGAUAUCAUACAUCACUAGACAUCGCACUCGGAUAAAAGUCAGUCCGGGAACAGAGGGACAAUCUAUCUNNNNNNNNNNNNNNNNNNNNNNNNNNNNNNNNNNNNNNNNNNNNNNNNNNNNNNNNNNNNNNNNNNNNNNNNNNNNNNNNNNNNNNNNNNNNNNNNNNNNNNNGUGGAGUACAAUCACUCAGCAGAUAGGGAAAUCCAAUACAACUCAUGCAUCAUGCAUAUCAUCUUAUAUGCAUAGCAGGCAUACCUUACCGCCAUGCGCAUACUAUCAUGCAUCAUCAUAUCAAUUCAUAACACAUUCAUGUAUAUCAUCAUCAUCAUACAUGUCAUCAUCAUCAUUAUCAUCACCAUGCAUAUCAUCAUGCAUAUCAUAUCAUGGAAGAUCAUCAUAUCACAUCACAUAUCAUCAUCAUGCAUCAUCACAUCACAUCACAUGUCAUCAUCAUCAUCAUCAUGCAUAUCUAUCAUGCAUAUCAUAUCAUGGGUGAUCAUCAUAUCACAUCACAUGUCAUCAUCAUCAUCAUCAUCAUCAUGCAUAUCAUCUCAUGGGUGAUCAUCAUGUCACAUCAUAUAUCAUCAUCAUCAUCAUCAUCAUGCAUAUCAUCAUGCAUAUCAUCAUGGGUGAUCAUCAUAUCACAUCACAUGUCAUCUUCAUCAUCAUCAUGCAUAUCAUCAUGCAUAUUAUCAUACAUAUCAUGCCAUGGGUGAUCAUCAUAUCACAUCAUAUAUCAUCAUCAUCCUCAUCAUCAUGCAUAUCAUCAUGCAUAUCAUGCCAUGCAUAUCAUCAUGUCAUGGUUAAAUUUUCAUCUUUAUCUUUCAAUUUUGAUCACCACAUCACCCAUUCAUCAAUCUCAUCAUCAAUUUCAUCAUCAACCCUUCGGGCAAAAACCUCCGACAGGGCUCCCGGCAAACUCAGCCAUCCCAUGGCCACCGGGCUUCCGGCCCCCCACAUUCCGGGCAUCUCGCAUCUCAACUAGCAUCACGAGGCAUUCCCUUCGAGCAGAAACCUCCGAUAGGGCUUCCGGCCUUUACCCUUCUAGCCAGGCAUCCCGCACCCAAAUCCUGGCAUCGCGAGGCAUUCCCUUCGGGCAAAGACCUCCAAUAGGGCUUCCGGCCCCCCACAUUCUGGGCAUCCUGAAUCUCCCAGGGAAUCUCUGGAAUUACGCCACUAGGCCACCAGACAUCAUCAUCCACCACAACCACAUCCUCAUUUUCCAUCAUCCACAUAUACCAUUUCUUUAUCUCAAUUUAACAUGGCAAUUGGCAUGGUAUCAAACAAAUCACACUUGACAUGGAAUUCACACUUGCAUCUCAAUUCAUAUGUCAUACACAUGCCAAAACUUUAUCCCAUACACAUCUCAAUUCAAUACAUGUACAAGGACCAUGUCAUACGCAUACCAAGACUUUAUCACAUAUACAUCUCAAUCCAAUACAUGUGCAAAGACUUCAUCGCACAUAUGCCACACAACUAGAAUUAAAUCCAUGGCCAAAUAAAAAUCCAUUUUAUUUUAUUAUUAUUUUAUUAUUUUAUUAUUAUCAUUUUAUUAUUAUAUUAUUAUAUUUAUUUAUUUUCAUAAAUAAAUAUUAAAUUUAAUAUCUAUGAUUUUCCCAAAAUCAUAAUAUUCAAACAAUCAUUAAACAACCAAUAGAAUCACAAUUUCAUACAAAAUUCAUGGCCAAAUUGAAUUUCUCAUAAUUUCACAAUUUCCAUAAAAUAGCACAUGAUAUUCGGAUAAUGACCAGAAUUGCACAGUUUCCGAAUAAAUUCGAUUAAAAUACUCAUAUGGCCUUCAAAAAUUACGAAAUUUUACAGGGUGAUAACCAACACAUUUUCGUGCACUUUUCAUGAAUAAAUCUAAGCCAAAUUAUUUUUAGAUUAAUUUAUACAACCCCACGAAACUUCUGGAACCACUACCGCGUCGUCCAGAAUACACUUCUCCGAAAUGUUUAGAUUUCACCCAUCUAUUCUUUUUCGUUUCCUCUGAAAUUUUAGUAUGUUAUGUAUCAAGGUGUCCUUUACAGGUUUCAUGAAGAGAUCUAGGUCAAAUAACCAGAUUCUGGUCACCAUUUAAGUCCACGAAGUCUCGGGUGUCUCGAAAUACUUCACCAGAACCAUCUUUUUCAAGAUCUAACCGAUUCACCGAGCUAUACUUGUUAUUUUUGCUUCAAAUUUGAUUAUGUUGUAGCUUAAGGUGUUACCUUCAACUUUCAAGAAGACAAAAAAGUGAGAUCUCCAACAGAAAUCAACAUGCAAUCAAGAAAUCAACAAGAGGUCAGUGAAAAUUUCGCAGAUCUAAAGUCUCCGUACAAUAGAACUUUUGACCCCUCAAAUCUCCAUCGUUUUCUACGAAUUUUUAGUAUGUCAUAGUACAAGACGUUAGCUUCAACGUUCAUGAAGAGACUGAAGCCAAAAUAGAACUCCGAACACACAUGCAAAUUCAAACAAGCUACUGACUUGAACAAACCGAACAAGAACAGUCACACGGUUUACAAAUAACCAACUCUUACCUCGGCUUUCCGCACAAAUCACACCUAAAAUCUAACAUGCAAACACCACAACAAACAUGCAAGAGAAGUUACGGACUCCACUUGCCUUAAAGAUGAACAAGCAACGACGAACGGCGACGAUCGGACUGCGAACGGACGGCACACCCCUCCGGCUCCGCCUCCUCUCCUCUCGGUUUCUCCCAUCCGCUCGAACUCUCUCUCUCUCUCUCACACACUCUCUUUGGACGAAAUGAAGCAAAGAACCGGCCAUCUCUCUCUCCUCAUCCUUUUUAUAUCCCCUUAAUCCCAUCAUUAGCAAUCAUUGCUUUGCCUAAAGAUUAACCAAUGCAUGCUCUUGUCCCUUGCCACUUGUCAUUUUUAUUUUUGAAUUUGGAUGGGCUUGGGCUUAGGCCCAUCCGGCCACUCCCUUGGGCUGGUCGAAUUCUCCUUCUUGGGCUCUAAUGGGCCGACAAGCUUGGCCCACCAAGCUUUAGGCCAAUGGGUCCAAGGCCCAUUCCAAAAAUAACCCUCCUUUUCCCUUUUUUUUUUUUUGAAUUCCUUUCUAUAAAUAUUUCCAAAUUCAAAUUUCAUCUUGGCCAAAGUCUUGGGACACUUUGUUUAUUAAGAUUUAAAUUUAAAAUCUCAUGGCCAAUUAUUAAUCUAUAAAUUUAAAUACACAAAUCAUCAAAUUAAAAGACAAAUUGGCUAAGGCAUAAGCCAAAAGAAAUUCUAUCACCUAAUUAGGAACUUCAACUCACCUUAUGGCUUGUCAUUAAAUUUGGGAUGCCACACAAAUGGCCGGCCCAUUGGGGCCAAGGACGGGCUGUCGACCGGUCCAUUUGCUGGCCCAAAGCCCAGCCGAGAAUGAGGCCCAUCCUUGCAUGGAGAAGGCCAUGUGUCUCUCUCAAAUUGCCAAGUGUAGAUCAUGCUUUGGCUUGUGGAGAGGCAAAUAAUCAUUGCCAAUGAUGGAGUUUUGGGGAAAUAAAAGGGAAAGAGAGAGAGAGUGGCCGGUUAGUGGUAUUCGGCCAAGCCAAAAGGAGAGAGAGGGAGUUGCGAGAGAGAGAGAGGAACCGAGGAGGAGGAGGAGCUCGCCCGUCGCCACCCGCACGCCGUCCGUCCGUCGCCGGUGUGCCAUCCCUUUUGUGUCAUCCGCUUGGUCUUAGAGGCAAGUUGGGAUCGAUUUCCACUCUUGCAUGUGUGUCUUGCAUGUGUGAUUUGUUGGUGGUAGAUCUCGGAUGUUAGGGUAGGCAAAACCGAAGCUAGAAUGUGACUUGCUCUUGAAUAUGCUUGCUGAUUUCGUGUGAACCGCCCGACCCAGAAUCUUGUGGAGGCUUGCAUGCAUGUUUUGAGUUGGAUUUUUACUUUUAUUCCUUCAUGAAAGUUGUAUCCAACAUCUUAACCUACAACAUACUAAAAUUUGGGACAAAAUGGUUGAUAUUUAAGGGGUCAAACCCUCAUCCUACGAAGACACUAGAUCUGGAACUGUUUUGCUGACCUCUUGGUAGUUUUGUAGGUUACAUGUCGAUUUUUACCAAGAAUCUCUCUUUGACUUCUGCAUGAAACUUGUAGAGAACAUCUUAAAUAUUAACAUACUCAAAUUUGAAGUAAAAUGAGCAAGUGUAGCCUAGUGAAUCGACUUACUCUUGAAGACGGUAAAUCAGGAGACACGGUACUAGACACCCGAGACUUCAUGGACCCAUAUGGUGACUAUUCUUUGAAAAUUUGACUUAGAUCCCUAAUGAAAUUUGUAGGGGGCCUCUUGAAGUAAAACAUAUCCAAAUUUCAGAGGAAACGAAGAAGAAUAAGUUGGUGAAAACUCGAUAUUUCAGAGAUAACUACACUGGACGUUUCGGUGCUAGAACCAGAAGCUUCGGAUGACUAUAGAAAAUUAUCUAAAACGAAUAUGGCCUAGAUGUAUUCAUGAAAAAUCUACUUUACUGUCUUAACUAUAACCUGGUAAAUUUUCAUAAUUUUUGGAGGUUUUUCAGGUAUUUUAAUCGAAUUAUUUCAAAAACUGUACACUAUGUUUCUAUCCGAAAUUGCAUGCUGUGUUUGUGUGAAUUAUGUCUUCUUGUGUGGAACUCUAUUGGGCAUGUGCUUUUCAUGAAAUUGUUAUCUUAUUGACUUGUCUAUCGCAUGUCUUGAUUUCAUGAUUUUUGAGAUGCAUAUGGAUAUUUAAUUUAAAUGUUUUCUAAAAUGGUACAUGCUGGAAGUUUGUAAACUUCGAAAAGGCAUGAAAUAUGGACUAUUUUAAAUUGCAUGGACUCCAUGAAUUGUAUUGUUAUGGGAUGAUUGUGUCUUGCUGCAUGUAUGAUAAUGAUUUGAGAUGCAUGUAUGAAUUCAAAGGAUGAAUAUGAUCUUGAUUGCCAUCGCAUCACAUGCCAUGUUAAAAUUGAACUAUAAUUGAAGAUGAGAAUUGAGAUAAAUGAGAAGGCCGUCGGAGGUGUGAGCCGACGAUGCCCUGAGAGUGUCGGAUGCCUAGCUAGAAGGGUACGGCCAGUUGCCCGAUGGCCAUGAAUGGCCGGAUACCGGAGGGUCCUCGGGAGUACCGAGAGGUAUCGAGAUGCCCGGAGAGUGGGGGAGCCGGAAGCUCGGCAGGUAUUAUGCCGAGGGAUACCUAGCGAUGCCAGUUUGGGUGCGAGAUGCCUGGCUAGAAGGGUACGGCCGGUUGCCCGGUGGUCUUGAAUGGCUGAAUGUCGGAGGGUCCUCGUGAUGCCAAUUGGGGUACGAGAUGCCCGGAGAGUGGGGGAGUCGGAUGUCUGAUUGUAUCUUGGAUACAUGUGGGAUGCAAACAUUGGUCCCGAGAAAGAGAAAUGUGGCGGUCCAAAAUGAAAUUGAAAUUGAAUUAUGCAUGAUGAUAUAUGCAUGACAUGAUGAUGGUCCGUGUGAUAUGAUGAUAAUGUAUGUACAUGAGGUAUGAUGACAUGUGCAUGAUACCGAGGUAAGUUGUGCAUGGAUGCCUUAAUGACAUUUGAUGCUAUGAUUGUGAUGAUUGUGUGGCAUGAUGCAUUGAGUGGUUUAUUGGUCCUUUACCUGCUGAGUGGCUGUACUCACCCCUUUUGGGGAAUAACAUUUCAGAUCAAUAGAUGGAUUAAGCGGUUGGAUAUGACCACGAGGAGGAGGAUAGCAAAUGAGGGAACUUUUGGACGCCGACACUAGUUGAUGAACCUUAAGCAUACGAUUGUGGGAGGAGAAGUCGGUCAUCUUUUGAAGUAUAGCCUAGUAUAGAAAACUAUGGCAUUUUGAUGUAUCGAUGAAUGAUGUCCAUAUGGUUUAAGUGAAUAAAAGUGUACGGCUUUUACCUAUAAAUGUUUAGUUGGUGUGCAUCGUUUUCUGAAUAUAAGGAAGGGAGUUGUUGGAUGUGCUUCCGUAUAUAAAUUGCGCAAGGGACCGAUCUAAAAGAUGUAAACCCCCAGGUUGUAUGGACCCACUACAAUUGAAAUGGUAUCAGAGUGACAUGUUAUUAGGAAAAGUGAAUGGUAAGCGAACUGUAGCGACCCUAAUCGGAUCGAGGGCCGUCGAGGGGUGCCACAGUUUUGCACGCUCUGCCAUACAACGCUCAAAAGGAGCCAUUUGAAUGCUCUAUUGGUAGCUGUUGUUGUAGGCAAACUCGACAAGAUGAAGCUAAUCCUCCUAGCUCCCCUUGAAAUCCUAAACACAAGCUCGCAGUAUGUCUUCGAGGGUUUGAAUUUUCCCCUUAGAUUGGCCAUCCAUUUGAGGAUGAUAGGCUGACUGUACUGCAGCUUCAUCCCUAAGGCAGUCUACAAACACUUCUAGAAGGCAGCUGUGAACCUCGGGUCUUGGUUUGAAGUAAUCGUCACCGGCACUCCAUGUAGACGAACUAUCUGACGCACGUACAACUCCGCAUGCCUAUCCAAAUCAAAGUCCUUUCAUACUGUCAUGAAGUGAGCCGACUUCAUCAGUUUGUCGACUGUUACCCAAAUGGAAUCAUUACCCCUUUGACUCCUUGGUAAGCCUGUCACAAAAUCUAUCGUGAUGUGCUCCCAUUUCCACUUGGGAAUCUUGAGAGGUUGUAGAAGUCCUCCCGGCUUACAAUGUUGUGCCUUCGCUUGCUGACACGUCAGACACUUGGCGACAUGCUUGGCAAUGUCUGCUUUCAUACCGGACCACCAAUAGUGUUGAUGCGUAUUCUGGUACAUUUUCGUACCACUGAGAUGAAUGUUGUAACUGCUACAAUGAGCUUAAGACAAAACCUCUUCCUUGAACGCUGCAUUGUUAGGUACACGCAAUCAUCCUCGGAACCUUAGGGUUCUAUCUUUAGAAAUCUGAAAGUCAGUCUUUCUCUUAUCGGUAUCCUCUUGCAGGAUCUUCUAAAUCUCUGGGUCUAUCCACUGAAGCGUCUUGAUUUUGAUUUGCACCUCUGGCUCAAUUCUGAGGGUGACCAUAAGAUAUGAAAGGUGGCCUACCUCGAAUUUGAAAAUCGAAUCUCAAGCUCUUUCUAGUAAAGUCCAUUCCUUGACCAUCAUAUAUGCGACUAAAGACUUCCGAUUCAGCGCAUCUGGGACCUUGUUCGCCUUUCCAGCGUGAUACAAAAUAUCACAAUCGUAGUCCUUCAGAAGUUCUAUCCAGCGGCACUGUCUCAUAUUCAACUCUUUCUAAGAGAAUAAGUACUUGAGACUUUAAUGGUCAGUGAAGAUUUGGAAUCUUUCUCCACACAAAUAAUGUCUCCAAAUCUUCAGAGUGAAAAUAAUUGAUGCAAGUUCUAAGUCGUGCAUUAGGUAAUUCAACUCGUGAGGUCUCAACUAGCGGGACGCGUAUGCAACAACCCUACCAUGUUACAUCAGUGCGCAACCCAAUCCUCUAAACGACGCAUCACUACAGAUCUCGUACUCUCCAGGAUCAUAUGGAAUGGUCAGCACAUGUGCGGUAGUUCAUUUUUGCUUAAGCUCUGGGAAACUACGCUCGCACUUGUCUGUCCACACAAACUUCUCUUCCUUCUUCAGUAGUCGAGUUAACGGUGACGCUAACGCUGGUAACCCUUCCGCAAACCUUCUGUAGUACCCUGUUAAACCAAAGAAGCUUCUAAACUCUAUCACAGUAGUCAGUCUUGGCUAGUUGAUAACCGUUUCUAUCUUGGCUGGGUCCACGGAGAUUCCUUCGCCUAAAAUCACGUGACCUAAGAACGCCAUACGAGUUAACCAAAACUCACACUUACUGAACUUAGCUUACAACUCGUGAUCUCACAGAGUCUGAAGCACUAUCCUUAACUGUCUUUCUUGCUCCUUAGCACUUCUCGAAUACACCAGGAUAUCGUCGAUGAACACGAUCACGAACUGAUCUAGAUAUUUUUUGAACACUCAGUUCAUCAGAUUCAUGAAAGCAGCUAGGGCAUUCGUCAAACCAAAUGGCAUUACAGUGAACUCAAAAUGGCCAUAUCCAGUACAAAACGCUGACUUCCGCAUGUCCUCCUUUUUUAUCCUCAGCUGAUGAUUCUCUGUCCUCAAGUUGAUCUUAGAAAAUAUCGACGCUCCUUGUAGCUGAUCAAACAAGCCGUCAAUUCUCGGGAGUGGAUACUUGUCUUGAUCAUCACCUGAUUGAGUUGACGAUAGUCGAUGCACAAACUCAACGAACCAUAUUUCUUCUUCACGAAUAGAACUGGUGCUCCUCAAGGUGAUGCAUUGGGACGUAUGAAUAUUGUAUCCAACAAUUCCUGCAUCUGUACUUUUAGUUCCUUCAACUCAGACAAUGACAUCCGAUAUGGAGCCUUAGAGAUUGGCUCUGUCCCGAGUGUUAACUCGAUCACGAACUCAAUCUCCCUCACUAGCGACAAACCUAACCAUUCUCUCAUAAACAUGUCUAGAAACUCUCGCACUACAACGAUAUCCUCGAUCUUCAGCUCCUCAACUGUCGUAUCUAUGACAGUCAUUAAGUAACCUUGGCAACCCCCAUCUAACAAACAGGUUGCCUCAAGCAACGAGAUUAAAAGGGAUCGAAUGUCCUCCUCAACUUCCAAUAAAUUCGAAACUUUCAUCCCUGAACGGGUCAAACUGUAUUACAUUACGACAACAAUUCAUUACAACAAAAAGCUCCUCGAGUGAAAUCUCUUAUAAAUGAUAAAAAAGUUAAACAUAAGCAAGCUAGUCAAGUAUAAGUCUAGCCAGCGAUUCUCCUUUCUACGAAUUUAUUACAACAAACUGAAGUUCUCCAUACUUAACCAAAAUUCCGUUGCGCUACUUUGACAAAAUCACCCCCAAAAACAUUCUUCCUCGGAUUAGUACAUGGUUUGAUUCAUUCCUAUCAUUUUCUCCAUCCUAGGGGUGCCUUAUCUACAGGAGCAAUGCUUGUGCUCCCCCUGGACCUACGUGGAUAGUCCCUCACCUGAUGGCCAUGUUGGCCGCAACCAUAUCAUGCUCAUGUUAUUCUAGGACACUAGGUUGGUCCAUGCUUCCUUUUACAAACUCGGCACACAUCUGGAGAGUCCUCUACCUCCUGUCGGGUGACAGCACACACCCUUACUUACAUUAGGGGCCUAUUCCAAAUACCCCACUGUGUGUCCUGCGGCACACUUCCUUUGUUAUGUUCUAUCAAUGCAGUGGCGGCAGCUGCUGUUGUGGCAUCCUAAAAUUUCAUGACAACUCCUCGAUAUACCAUGAACCAUGAAUAGGUGAUGGAAGCGCCAUUGGAUUAUAUUAUGGCCAUUAGACUAAUGAAUUAUAAUAAAUCAAGGCCAAGCAUUUAAUGGACAAUUAUUUUGUUGGAAAUAUAACCUAUGUCCAUGAGUGAUCAAGGAUUGUACUAAGGGACGAAUUGAUAGGAAAUUUUUUAUUCUUGGCUGUGUGCUUUAUAAGUUGGAUUUUUAUUUGAUUUAUGUUACAAAGUUUUAUGGCCAUAUAGAUUGUAAUUAGGUAUUUAUAUAAGUGGGGAUCAAUAGAAAAAAGUUGGAGAAUGAGUGGGCUGAUUUCUUAAGGCUGAACCAGCCCAAAAACCAGCCCAUAGCCCCCACCGUUUGGUCGACCAAAAGGCUGGCCCAAGCCCGGCCCAAAGGAGGCCCAUCAACUUGCAUGAAAAAAAUGACAAGUGGUGUGAAGGGUGCUCCAAGUGGCUCUUGCAUGCAAGCUAAUGAUUAUUAAUCAUGAAGGGGAAGAAAAGAGGAGGGGUGGAGUGAGUGAGGGAAGAGAGUUGUUGCACAAGGGAGAGAAUGAGAGAAAGAGAGAAAGAGAGGAAGCCAAGAGGAAGAGAGAAAAGCUUAGAGAGAGAGGGUUGUUCGUGUGGGUGCUCUGGUGAGGGAAGAAGAAGACCAGCCCUGCCGUGUGUGUGCCUAACUUCGCCGUCGAUCGUGCUAUGUUCGAAGUCCUCGAGUCGCUGUUGCUUGCUUGAUUUUGUUGGAUUUAAGGUAAGUAGAGUCCGUUAGCCUACAUUUUGCUUGUUGUGGUUGUGUGUGAAGUGUAAUGGGUGUUGGAAAUGCUUGGGUUGUGAUGUUGAAUGCUGAAAUUCGAGUGAAUGGUGGUAGCCUUUCUAGAACAAUCAAGCUGUUGCAUGUAAGGAAAGUCUGAAUCCUUGCGAGUCCGUGAAUUUUAUAAAAUUAUCCAGUGAGAAUUUAAUCUUGUGUUCUAGAUGCAAUGGUGAUGUUUGAGAUUUUAAGGCUGUAAUGCAUGGACUGUAGCGACUCGUACGAAGCUCUUUUGACAUGGUGUUCUUCAUGAAACCUCUUUCUCUAGAUCUUGUUUAUAACAUGUUAAAUUUUCAGAAUUUAUUGAGAUCAUUUACUAAUUUUUCCAGAAUUUUAAUUAAAGGAGUGCAUUCUGUUUUGUCCGAAAAUUGUUUUAUUUCAAGAACAAAUGAAUUGCUCUAGGAGAUGUGAUAUCUUGGGUGGUUAUGUGUACUGCAUAUGUGGUGACAUUUAGCAUGUCAUGUAACAUCAAAAAGCUAGUUUAGACCUUUGACAUUAUCGCAUCAAAUGCUAUGUUGAAAGUAAGGCAUAUAUGUGAAUAUACAUUGUGAUACUUGAUGAUACCGUCGGAGGUGUGAGCCGACGAUGCCCCGGGAGUGUCGGGAUGCCCAGAGUGUGUGUGCCGAAUGCUCAGAGGUCUGUGCCAGAUGGCCUCGUGACGCCAAUUGUGGUGCGAGAUGCCCGGAGGUGUGUGCCGGAUGCCCGGAGGAGUGUGCCGGAGGUUCCUCGUGAUGCCAGGUUGGGUGCGAGCGAUAUAUGAGGGAUGCAAACAUUGGUCCCUAGGAGAAAGAUGAGAUCCUUUUGAAAACUAAAAUUGGGAAUUGAAUCAUGCACGUGUGUGUGCAUAUAGCAUGGGAUAUAAUUGCCUAUGAAAUUGAGUUGAUACUAUAUGGCAUUGAGAAUGUGAUCAUGAAGGCAUUGAAUGGAUCUCAUGAGAAUAUAUAUAUAUAUAUAUAUAUAUAUAUGAUUGUAUGAGUGAUAUGGAUCAUGCGCAUGUAUGUGCAUAUGGUAUGGAACAUAAAUUGCCUUAAUGAAUGAAUCUUGUGGAUAUACAAGCAUGAUUAUACGGAUGAUAUGUGCAUUUCACACGAAAUUGUGGUUGUCUUGCCUGUUAUAUUGUGUAGUUUGAUGGAUCUUUACUGCUGAGUGGUUGUACUCACCCCUUUUGGGGACUAACAUUUUAGAUUGAGAGAUGCCUCUAUCACCUGUCACGCAUGGUACAUUUUAUGGCUUAUCGUCUGAUGUUGAGGUCGAGUGCUCGGAGCACCCCUGCGUUGGUGUUCAUGGUUUAGUGUUUAUCCGUGUUCGUGUUUUGGUGAUGUAUGAUGUGGGUCUACCUGAUGGCCCCGUAAUCCAGGAGUUCCUAUCCAUCUAUGUUCAUUGCGACGGGAGGAUGAUGGGGAUGUUGCCACCGCCAUCGGGCUGGGUGUGAUUAGAGCGUGUGACUGGUAGAGGUUGACACUUUUUGGAUGGCCGACACUGGAUGAUAGAUUGAUGUACAUGUAUGAUGUAGAGUCGGGUUCUUUUGGGUUAUAGCCGAGCUUAGUUAAAGCCUUGGCCUUUUGUUGUACCGACUCGUGAUGUCCAUCAUAGUUAUGUAAAUAAAAGUGGUUCGGCUCUAACUUAUAUAUGAUGUGUAGUUGGUGUGCAUUGCAUUAUUUUUUGGAGUAAGGGAUAGGGAGAUUGGAAUAUGCUUCCGUUAUAUGAACUGCGUUGGGACCGUUUUAAAAUAUAUAUACACACACACACACACACAAAUCCCCAGGAUUUAUGGACCCACUAUCAUUUAAUGGUAUUAGAGUAACAUGUUAUUAGGACAAGGGAAAUGUAAGUAAUCUAUGGCGACCCUAGCGGAUCGAGGGCCGUGUCGGGGGUGCCACAGCUGUGGUCCCCUCUACUUUCUAGGACAGUCUCUGUCCAGGUGACCCUGUUGGCCACACUCGAAGCAAGCACCCGUCCUAAAAUGGCACGAAAUUGAUCCAUGUCGUCUUCCAUAGAAGCAACACGCGCCAUUUUGACUCGGAGCUGACUUUCCAAUCCUACUCUUCCGGUUGAGUGGAAUGGGGCACAUUUCUUCUGACAUUGGCCUCUUCCCUAACUGAUUACUAUCUCUACGGGAUCCGCACCUCAACCCUGACGCAACAGCUCGCUCCGAGAUCACAUCUCCAUGCUAGACCUCAGCAGUGCAGUAACAACAAUGGUUACGGCAUUGGCGGCGGCAAUGACAACGACGACUUAGUCCUGAGCUCGUAGGCUCAACAAGUUCCCAAGGGUCACUAGCACCUAUACGAUCCCAUCAAUUCUAGGAUCGCCGGGUGCUGCUACAUAACCACCGAUCUGCGACGGCACUAAUCCGUUUGUGCUGGCUUGAGCCAACGCUCUACCUUGACCACCUCGGGCACCGAUCUUUAUCGGCAUUCUACCCCGAGUCACAGAGGCUAUUGCCCUCUUACUAGGACUCCUCUGCUCCUGAUCACUCAUGCUAUAGGAUCAUUAUAGAACCCUGUUUUCUAAUUCCAAUACCAUAUUAGAAUUCGAGUGACCCACACCAAAUAAUUUACCACUUCGCUAUCAAACACAUGCAUCAGCAUGAAAUAGAGGUCAUUCCUACUAAUUAUCCCAAGAACCCAUCGCACCUUAUCACUUCAACUAUCGACCAUCUUUGAUACCACUCUUGGCGGGGAUGUCACGCCCUGAUUCUCGAGUGUGUGCCCAUCCCUCAGUGAUCGAUAAAUUUUAAUGCACAUGUGGAAGUGAAACAAAUCCCCUAACAAGCAACAACUUGGGAUAGAAAAGCAAGAAACAAUUCACAACCAAAACAAGCCUUUUAUAAACACACAGGUUUAUAUACAAUACUAGGUUGUCUACAAAAGACUGGCUCAACAAAAAAUGAACUGUCCUAUGACCAACUAGUUAGACACAUUCACCAAUCCUUCGGUCUCCACUUCCAUAGACUCCGGGGCUUCGGGUCCUCCAUAUCUGUCAUCUAAGGACCUGAAAAUGUUGAUCUCAUGACGGGGUGAGACAAUGUCUCAGCAAGUUCACCCCUUAAACCCCUACUAGGAAGGAAAUACGCCUAAAGGUUGUCUAUGCACACACAAGACAGAGGACUUGCCUUGCCUUAGUUCCUUCCUACACGUCAAUAUGAAUCAUACACUCAAUGAAAUCAAACCAAAUCCAAUCAUCGAUCAAUCGAUCCACUCAAUUCGAUACCAUCAAUGCCAUCUAUAAAACUCGAUCAAUUCAAGCACUAGUCACCCAAGCUGAAAUAGAUGUUAUAGCUCACCAAAGCUAAUAGAUAUAUAAUAAUGCUCACUGAAGCUGCUAUAUAUCCAUAUUGCUCACCGAAACUGCUAGAUAUCUAUAUAUUUUGUUCACCGAAGCUGCUACAUAUCUAUAUAUUUUCCUCAUCGAAGCUGAUAUUGAUUAAUAUUGCUCACCAAAGCUGAUUAAUGCUCACCAAAACUAACACAUAAUAUACUAAUCCCGCCCAAGUCUCUUGUGCUUUGCACACCAAAUCCUCAUUUAAAUACCAAAGUUGACCCUAUUUCAUCGUGUUAACAAUACCCGAUAAAAAUAAUCGUGUGUGGGUACAUGAUUGGUCUAAGCCAAAAUGCUAUAAUUUUCUUUUAGAAAAUCCUACUAUUUAAUAUAGUAUCUUGGUGUUGUAUAACAACACCCGGUAGUUCUUGUUUAAAUACUGAAAUUACUCAUUUUUGGGGUAAAUGCCCAAAAUUACAAUUAUCAUUCAAUUUCACAAUUUAACGAUCACUUGCAUAAAUUAACUACACCACUACGAUCAAUACGAAAUUCUAAUGAGCGGCUCUCUCGGUAUAAUUUUUGUAAAAUAUUAAUUAAUUAAUUAAAUUCAUUAAAUGAAAUUAAAUAAAUAUAAAAUAAUACAAUUAAAUAAUAAUUAAUUUAAAUAAAUAAAUGAUUAAUUAAUUAAAUGUUUAAUUAAGAUUACACUAAUCUAAUUGCAUAAUUAGACUAAUUAAUACAUCCACUAAACUAAUCAUUCAUCUAAUCUAAUUAACAUUUAACUAAGCUAAUCUAACCACCUAAACAUGCUUAGCCUAAUCUAAACAUCCCUUAAGCAUAAUUAACUCCCUAAGCAGAGUUUAGUGAGUAAGCUCAUCAGAUUUGUGAGCCGAUGAGUCCACGACAACGGCAAUGCCAAGGCAGGCGAGACUUGAGCUUACGGCGACACCAACCAAAGCCCAGAAGGGACCAUAAAGGGGCCAUAAAGUCCAAGACCCUUGCUAGUCUUCGGCUUCAGCUUGCUGGACCGAGAGAGGGAACUAGUGGCUGCAACAGCAAAGACGGGUUGGCGGAGGCAGCUGUGGCCUAGGCGGAUGACGGCAAAGGCUGAUGGUGGUUGGACGGGGGUUAACGGUGGCCUAAGGUGGUUUGGUGACCUGUUGGACUUGCAAACAGAAGUGGACGACGGCUCGGGACAUCGGGACGAGUGGACGCUGUGCGCAGGGGACUAGCGGGCUAGGCGGACCAGGCGGGCUGUUCCAGGGAUUGAAUAGCGGUGGUGAUGGCUCAAGCUACCUCGAUGGUGACCAGGGAGGCUCAGGAUGGCAGGAACACGAGCAAGAGGGCUUGGAUGCAAGUAGAGCUUGCGGCUGCAGCAACGGUGCGCGAUGGGCGAGCAAGCCCAAGUGGCGGCAGUCUGGUGGCUCGGCGGGCAUGCGACGGGCAAGGGGAAGGAGUUGGCGGUUUCUCUGGUUCUCUUGAGCUCUCCAAUGACCACAUCAAUGGAGAAAGGAGGGGGAUAGAGGGAGAAGAAGGCUGCUGAAGCAAGGGGGACCCCAAGGGCCUCUUAACCUUCAACACUUGGCAAAACACUCAUUGCUUGCCCCCACCAUGCUCAGCCAUCCAUAGCAACUUUCUCUCUCCCAAAUCUUCUUCAACAAGCUUGCCAAAGAGUCCAAAAUGUUGCUCCCCCCCUUGGCUACGAAUUUUGUACAUUAAUCCCUUAAAUCCCUUCAAUUCCACUUCAAAUGGACUUCAAUUGGUGCCCCAAAAUUCAGCCAAGGUGUCCACUCUUAAUCCAUGACUUUUCAUCAUCAAUUGAACCAAUUUGACGGCCUUGGGUGUGCUAAAAAAGGUCCCUAGAACUUUUCCGAUCCAAAACGGUCUAACUUUAAUUUUCCGCCAAAAAUCUCCGUUUGUAGAAAAAUCUUCUGAGGAUGAGUCGACAUUCCUAAAAAGACUUGUGAUAGGAUAGAACUUUCAAUUUCUAAAAUCAAGUUUAAAUUUAUGGCUAAUUUCAAUCUGGCGCGAUUUUAGUGCGUCCUAACCUACCGAGUAGCUUUUAGGAAUUUUCAGUGCAAUUGACCCGUGGUCGAUCAUUUUCGAUCCACAAUGUACAUCUUUGACUCAUUGGUAACUCUUAGUUGUUGUGAAAAUCUCAAGAUUUCAAAUAUGGACACAAGGUACCAAACCGAUAGAAAAAUCGGUCUAGUGCCGAUCGACGAAAAUAUUGCAAUCAGGUGGAAUCAUCCACAUUCUAAUCACAUAUCUUAGUCGAGUCAACCUAUCUAUGAUCUCUUAUCGAUUCUGAUAGUGCCGUAAUGAUCCUCGCAGGCUAGCACGGUCGAGGAGUCGAUUCCUGAUCAAAUUCUUAAGUCUAUUGCAUUUAGAUUCCUUAAUGGCUUCACCUAAAAGACUAGUUAUCUCGUGAGUGAUCAGCUCGGAGAAUAGAACUAUAGGCGUGUCGAUGAAAGGCCCGACUUAUUCAAUUGAAAAUAGAAUUAGAAAUUCGGGAUGUCACAACUCUUCUCCUCUUAUAAAAAUUUCGUCCUCGAAAUUUAAACUAUUACAAAUCUUUAAACAAAAAGGUGGUGUUUGAAUCAAGCUACUUGUUAGAAUUAUGAUAGAAUAGAGUGGAAAAGAGAAUUUUCAUAUAUUUCUAUGUGUAUAAUACUGAUGAUGCAAGAGCUUAUUUAUAAGUUAUUCUAGACAACUAUCUAAAGCAAUAAAGUAUUACAAUAUCAAAUAAAAUCAAUUAUAAUCAAUAUCUCUAACAUCCCCUCUCAAACUCAAGGUGAUGUAAAAGAGGUCAACUCAAGUUUGGAGAAAAUAUCUUUAAAACUCCAUGUGGAUGUGCUUUAGUGAAAAUGUUAGUCGUCUAUUAGUUGACGAGUUGGGAACAAGACGAACGGCACCAAGAAACACAUGAGAGCCUAUGAAAUGGUAGUCUAUUUCAAUAUGUUUGGUAUGCUCAUGGAAGAUAUCAUUAUGAGCCAUUUGGAUGGCACUUCGGUUAUCGCAAUGAAUGACAAUUCCACCAUUAUGAUGAACGCCCAUGUCUUCUAAUAACCACUACAACCAUAAUAAUUCCGAAGUUGUAUCGGCAAGAGCAUGAUAUUCUGCUUCCGUACUCAAUCGAGCGACAAUAGUUUGUCUCUUACUCCGCUAGGAAAUAAAGGACUUCCCUAAAAAGAAGUAACAGCUUGUAGUAGAGCGAUGAUGAAGAGGAGCACCAGCCCAAUCAGCGUCCAAAUAAGCUGUCAACUCUAAGGUUAGGUUAGCAGAAAAAUGAAGACCAUGAAAUAAAGUGCUCUUGACAUAGUGAAGAAUUCAAAGAACGGUGGCAAAGUGAGUCAUUCAUGGCACAGUCAUGAAUUGACUCACAAUAUGGACGACAUAAACAAUGUCAGGGUGGGUAACAGUGAGGUAUACUAGAUGCCAACAAACUGUCGAUAAAGUGCAAGGUUUGGAAGAGGAAUCCCAUCUUUUUCAUCAAAUUUAGCAUUAUUCUCAAUGGGAGUGGUAGUAGUCUUGUUAUCAGUAAGUCUGGCUCAAGAAAGAAGAUUAGUGGUAUAUUUUGCUUGAGAAAGAUAAUAGCUAAAGGAAUCUAAAACAACCUCCUAUCCUAGAAAAUAAUUGAGCCUUCUACGAUCUUUGAUUUCAAACUAUUGACUUAACUACUACUAUAGUUUUGUAAUGCCAUCGUGAUCAUCGCUAGUAAUUAUCAUGUCAUCCACAUAUAAUAGUAGUAGAAUACUCUCGCGAGAUGUUCGUUGGACAAAUAAAGCAUUAGCACAGGAACUGUAUGCAGAUCCAAGGUGUUCCAUUGUAGAACUAAACUUGGAAUACGAUGCACGAAGAGCCUAUUUUAGUCCAUAUAAUGCUCGGUGUAGACGACACACUUUACCAAGAGUAUGACUAUAUCCAUGAGGUGGCUUCAUAUACACUUCUUCAGUGAGAUCUCUAAUAAGGAAUGCAUUUUUGACAUUCGCUUGAAAAAGAGGACAUUGCUUAAUAGCAGUGACAACAAUAAGGCAUCAACAGUAGUAAGAUGUGCAAUUGGGGCAAACGUCUCAUCAUAGUCAAUGUCAUACUCCCAGGUAAAGCUUUUUGCUACUGGUCAAGCUUUAUAGUGUUCCACUAUACCAUCUGCCUUAAAUUUGAUUUUGUACACCCAUUUACAACCUAAAGCCAACUUUUCAAGAGGCAAAUCAACUAAAUCCCAAGUAUGAGAAUUUUCUAAUGCUUGCAACUUAUCUACCGUUGAUUGCUGCCAAAGAGGAUUAGUACGAGCUUCUCUAUAUGUCUGACGCUCAUGAAAAGAGGCAAUUGUAGAAUAACAGUAAUAAUAACGAAGUCGGAUCGAAAGUUGACUUACAUGAGUAGAACAACAAAUGGGAGAAGAAGGAACAUCCAAAGGUGGUCAAUCCGUGGAUGGUACAGACAUAUCAAGAGCUGCUGAAGUGGGAUUUCUAGAGAUACCUGCAUCAAGAUUUGGAGACGACAAUUCUGAAGAGGAAGAUGCAAGAGUGUCAUCUUCAGGAAACAGAUCGACAGAAGGAUUGGUGAAGAAGCGACCAAUUGGAACAUUGGAAGAAGAUGCAAAAGAAUGUAAAGAUGAGAACAUCUUAUGUUCCCAAGGUAACAUGACGAGACACACAAAGUCGAUUGGAGAUAGGGUCCUAACAUUUAUACCCUUUAUGCUUAAUACGACGUCCAAGAAAACAAUAAAGACGAGCACGAGAUUCUAACUUCAUGCGUUCAUUUGGAAGAAGCCAAAUACUCGAAGGAGAUUGUAAUUAGAAACAUUGUCAUACAAGCACUCGUGUGGAGAAAUGUUACCUAUAGUAGGUGAUGGAAUAUGAUUAAUAGUAUAUACAAGCCAUGUAUAUUGCGAAUAAUCACCGACAAAGAUCAUAAAAUAACAAGAACCUCCCAUAGUGGGAGUGGGAGAUGGUCCCCAAAUAUCAAAAUAAAUUAUAUCAAAGUGAGCAUACGAGACAGAUUCACUAAUAUUGAAUGGUAAAGCAUGAUGUUUUCUUAACUUAUAAGGUAGACAAUCAAAUGUUUAAUUAUCAACAGAACCUAGACGACCACUUGAAAGUAAAGGAUUUAAUAGAGAAAAAGAAAGAUGACCCAAACGAGAAUGCCAAGUUUUAGGUGAUACUGUGGUAGCGCAACUAGUGAAGGAGUUGGGAAGUUUAAUGAAACAAGCUCAAACAAUCGUCCCGCUUUACGGCCUUUCCCAAUUGUCUGUCUUGUCUGUGGAUCCCUCACAUGACAACCAUUUGAAGAGAAAUGAAUGUCAGAACCAAGCUCACAUAGUUGACCCAUAUAUAUCAAGUUUAAUGAGAGUUUGGGAACCAUAAAUAUAUCGGGUAAGGACAAGGUAGAAGUUGAAACAUUAAUUGUAUGAAAAUCUAUCAUCUAAGAGUUAUAAGCUGUGUGAAUAAUAGGUGUUUGUGAGGUGUAUGAUUUUGACCUGAAUAAAUUGGAAUUGGAUGUCAUGUGAUUAUAACACAUAGAAUCAAAGAAUCAUGAAUCAGCAGUACCUGCAGUGAUUGACAAAGUAGAAGGGCAAAAAGUACUAGUUUCUUGAACAAUAGAACGAACUGUGGACUGAAGAUCAUCUAAUGGUAGUGUGGUAGACAAAUUGUUAGAGGAAUCCUCUAUGGCAGUAGCAACAGUGGAUGGGCAGCAUGUAGGCGGACCUCUAAAUUAGGAUCAGUCGUUUGUUCCAUGUAGGUUGCUUAGAUUAUAGUUUAUGGUUUUUUAAUUAUUUAAUGUGAUGGGCCUAAGUUGGCCCGUCCGCCCAUGUUAGGCCUAAAAGCCCGGCCCACAAUAUUAGGGCCCAUGGAUAGAGGGAUAUGAUGAAGGGGCACGUUUCUUUUUGGAGAGGACGUAUAUAAGGGAGAAAUAAAAAGGGAGGAAUGUACCCUUUGGCAUAACGUACGUUUCCUCCUCCCUCUCUCCCUUGAAACACCUCUAAAAGUAAAACAGUAAGCAAAAGGCGAAGCUCCCUUCCUUUCAAGGCAAAUUCGCGUCAUCGGAUCGAACGGGAUCAGUUUCUUUUUCUCAUAUCAGCAUCGGUGUUUAAUCUGUGGCUAACAAGGUACGUUCGAUUCUGUGAUGUGCUUUAGGAUCGGUGAUGCAUGUGUUUUUCUCGGGCUCGUCUUCCGCACAAGUUUAGGGGUUCGAUUUAGUGUCGAAUCCGGUUUUUGGGAAUCCGACAAUCCCAACAUUGGUAUCAGAGCCGUAGUUCUUGUUUCCCGAUCCUUUUCCAUGUUUUUCCCGACCCCUUUCAUGUUUAUGGAUGAUUUCUUAUUAAUUUUCGUGAAAUUAAUCGGCCGACACCGAUCGGGGCAAAAAAUCCCGACACCCGAGCACUGUUCACCUGUUUUUUCGAUUUUCUGUAAGUCGAAAUCAGUUUUUGAUGGCAUUGGAUGGAAGGUCUCAUCGAGACGAGCGCGACAAGUGGUGGAACGCCACCUAAGGCCGCCGGAUACGCCCCCACGUGCAGUUGGAAUGAACCGGCAUGUCGCACGUGCCGGUCGGUUUGCCUGACCGGUCCAACCGGCCCGACCGGUCCAUCCGGUUCGUCCGGCCCGGCCCGACCCGACCCGACCCAACACGUUGAUCGUUGACUGUUGACCGUUGACAACCGUUGACCGUUGACCGUUGACUUUGACCAUUGGCUUUGACCGUUGACAAAAAAAAUAUAAAGAAUGUAUUUCUUUUUCCAAUUAAGUCUAUGUGGAUUAUAUGUGAUCCCUUAUUUGUUCUGCAUUUGUUGCAGGAACAAUGCCUCCCCUUAGGUUGCGCACACCUGUUCACGCAAUUAUCGAUGAACAAAAGGAAAUGCUUUCUAAGUUGAUAGCUGAGCUGACUAUUCAUCGAUGGGAGAGUGGUGACUUAAUUGAUCACAUUCUUGAAGUCAACGGGAAAAUUCAAAAGGUCAUAUGAAAUGGUCGUCCUAUACCACAGUCUGAGAUGAUGUGAUUUUUUAUGAACACUUUUUCACCAGAAUGGCAAAGAGUAAUGAAUCGCAUAUGGGAUGUCAACAAAGCUGCUUCAUAUAGGAAAAUUGUGAUGAAUUUUAUAGAUGAUUAUUAUUGGAUUGUUACAAGGGAAAAGAUCAAGAAAUUGAACAAAAGAGGAUCUUUCCCAGUUUGUGUAUUGACUUGGUGUUAGAUGUAUUGGCUGGUCUUUGUUAAGUGUGCUUUGUGAACAUCUUAUGUAAUGUUUACUACCGGAUUGUUGUUGAUGUAGCAACUGAUAUGUUAGUUGUAUUAUGUGAAAGCAUUAUUAUUCUAUUGGAUGUCAAAUAUUAUUUGCUUUCUGUUAGUGUUGACUGCUGUGGGUAAUUCAUAGAAGCUUUUGUAGCUUCAUAUAAUUUAAUUUGCAUAAAACAAUUAUAUUAAUGAUAGUUUUAAGUUAGGAUUUUUUGGAGAAUGAUUGGAAACAUAGUGACCUUUUGAUUCUGAAACCUUACUUGAAAUUAUUCAUUAAUAUGAUGGGUUUAUGCAAAGUGGAUGCAUAAAUGAUAGGCAUUAAUAAUUCGUGCAUAUAUGUCUUAUAUGUUCAGAUCAAUGGCUCCAGCCACAAAGAGCAUAGUUGCCGAGCUGAACAAAGGUGAAAAACUCAAUGGCGAUAACUAUGAAAUAUGGCACAUGAAAAUCCAAUAUGUGUUGGAAGAGCAAGAGGCACUAGAAACUCUUAACCUGACCAUGGUAGAACCUGAAGAAGGAAAUACUGCACAGCACAAGAGAGAUAAGGAAGCAUUUAUUGCAUGGAAAAGAAAGAACUCUCUUGCUCGCAUUACAUUGCUAAGUAACAUGGAAAAUGACGUCAUGCGAGAGUUCAGGCAUUUUGAGAAUGCCAAGGAAAUGUGGAAAGCAUUAGCAGCAAGAUUUGGUCAUACUUCGGUGACCAGACUAAGGCAGCUCACUAUUAGGUUUGACUCUUAUAAGAAGCCUCAUGGUCAGACCAUGAAGCAACAUCUUAGAAAUGUGUCAAACAUGAUUAAUGAGCUAAAAGAUGCUGGCCAUGUCUUUACUGAUGAGCAGCAAGUGCAAUCAGUGAUUCAUUCCUUGUCUCAGAGUUGGGAGCAUAUGAAGGUGCACCUGACCCAUAAUGAGAAUAUCAAAACCUUUGAGGAUGCAGUUCAUCAUCUUGAGCUAGAAGAGGACCGCCUCUUGGCAGCUAAGCUAGAAGUUGAAAUCUAUCAUGCUGGUUCUAGCUCACAUGGAGCUUCGAGCUCCAAGCGCAAACGUCCUAACUAGUUUGAUAAAGGGAAAGGCAAGGAAGCAGUUCCUUCAGGGAAGAAACCUAAGCUUAACCAACAUGAAAGAGGAAAGCGUCCUCGAAUGAAGAAGCUGACAAGGGUGAAGUGUUACAAUUGUGACAAGAAGGGUCACUAUGCUCGCAAUUGUCGCGAGCCAAAUAAGCUAUACACCCCUUGUGCUUUUAAGAACUUUGUCUAUGUAUCAAGUUUUGUGUUCUUGACUAAGUCUAAUCCUUUGUGGACUGUAGAUUCAGGAGCGAUAGACCAUGUAGCGAAGGAUAGAGGAUCCUUUGUGGAAUUCCGACGAGUACCAACUGGAACUAAGUGGAUCUAUGUGGGAAACAACUCCAGAGCUGAAGUAAAAGGAAUUGGCACCUGCCAACUGAACAUGCGUGGUGGACGCAUUUUAUUCCUACAUGAUGUAUUGUAUGCUCUGGAGAUUUGUCAGAAUUUAGUUCCUGUUUUAGUGUUGGUCAAGCUAGAUUUUACUAUGAACUUCCAUAAUAGAGGUGUGGAUAUGUUUUUGGAUACAAAUUAUUAUGGUUGUGAUUAUUUUCCGGAUGGUUUCAUUGUAUUAGAUAUUGACUAUGUUAAUGCAAAUGUUUGUUAUUCCCUUCUCACGUCUCAUAAUUCAUAUGAUAAUGAUGUGAAUGUGUGGCAUGCUAGACUUGGUCAUAUUGGCUAACAACGUAUGAAUAGACUAGCCAAAGAGGGCUUGUUGGGCAAUAUUGAAAAAGUCGAUUUGCCCAUAUGUGAGUAUUGCCUAGUAGGGAAAACGACAAGGAAACUAUUUGGAAAAGGUAAAAGAGCUGAAUUUCCUCUGCAUUUAAUCCAUUCUGACGUCUGUGGUCCAAUGAAUGUGAGAGGAAGGCAUGGGGCUGUUUAUUUCAUCACUUUUAUAGAUGAUUAUACUCAAUUCAGAUAUGUCUAUUUGAUUUCUCAUAAAUCUGAAGCAUUAAGUUGUUUCAAAAGAUUUAUGAACUUGGUAGAAAAUCAAUUAGACAAGAAAAUAAAAGUAUUAAGAUUCGAUUGAGGUCGAGAAUAUUUAUCUGAUGAAUUUAGAAAAUUAUGUGAUGAAAAAGAAAUAGAAAGACAGUUGUCUAUUCCAUAUAUUCCUCAACAAAAUGGUGUCGCGAAAAGAAGAAACAAAACCCUACUGGAAAUGGUUCGGUCCAUGAUUGCGCAUGCUAACUUAUCUAUCACUUUUUGGAGUGAUGCGUUGUUAACUGCUGCCUAUAUACUUAACCGGGUGCCUUCCAAAUCAGUUACUUCCACUCCAUAUGAGUUAUGGACAAGUAGAAAACCGGACUGAAGUUUUCUUAAGCCAUGGGGUUGUGCUGCCUAUACUCAUGAGUCCUCUUACAAGUUUAGGAAAUUGGGUCUCAGAGGAAAGAAGAGUAUUUUUAUAAGAUACUACGAACACUCAAAAGGGUAUGUGUUCAUAGGUGAGCAAGAAAGUGGGAGUAUAACUGAAUUUGAAUCACGGGAUGUCACAUUCUUAAAUGAUGAAUUUCCUAAAAAGGACGAAAUAGGGGAAGAUUACUUCAUAUUUGAAACCUUGGAUCAAGAUAAUGAUAUUAAUAGAGUUCAUCCAAGUGGGAGUAAUAUGAGAAGUGAUGAAUUGAACUCAACUCAUUCUCAAUUACAACCACAGGAUAAGACGACAUCAUCAUUAGCCAAUCCUAGUGGGAGCAUAAUGGGGAAUGAUAUGCAAAGUGUACAAUCUCCCAUACGGCGAACAAAUCGCCAAAGUAUUCCCCGUCAAUGUUUUGACAUUGAAGGGGAAACUUUUAUGAUUGCUCUGCAAUAUGAGGAUGAGCCAAGAAAUAUUAAUGAGGCUCUAAAUUGCCCUAGUAAGGAAAAAUGGAUUCAUGCAAUGGAAGAGGAGAUUGAGUCAAUGAAGUCAAAUCAAGUUUGGGAACUGGUUGAUCUUCCAAAAGGACGCAAAGCUAUUGGGAACAAGUGGGUUCUCAAAAUAAAGCGAAAAGCUGAUGGCUCGAUAGAGAGGCAUAAGGCUCGCCUUGUGGCGAAGGGGAAUAACCAACAGGAAGGAAUUGAUUAUGAAGAAACAUUUUCUCCUGUUGUGAGAUUUACUUCGAUUCACAUUAUUCUAGCAAUAGUGGCUAGUAUGGAUCUUGAGUUACAUCAAAUAGAUGUAAUGACUGCUUUCCUCAAUAGAGAAUUAGAGGAAGAAAUAUAUAUGGAACAACCUGCUAGUUUCAUUAUAAAAUGCUAAGAAGAAAAGGUAUGUCGACUUUUAAGAUCGAUAUACGGCCUUAAGCAGUCAUCGAGACAAUGAUAUAUACGUUUUCAUAAUGCCAUAAUGGCAUAUGACUUUACAAUGAUUGAUGAAGAUCAUUGUGUAUAUAUCAAAAGAUCCAAGGAUCAAUUUGUGAUCAUAUCAUUAUAUGUUGAUGAUAUACUAAUUGCCGGAAGCAAUAUGGAGUUUGUUAAUACUGUCAAGAGUUGGUUGUCUUCCAACUUUGAGAUGAAGGAUAUGGGUGAGGCUGCAUACAUUCUUGGAGUUAAGAUUUCAAGAGAUCGUUUGAAAAGAUCGUUAUCUCUUUCGCAAGAAACAUAUAUAAAUAAGGUUCUUGACCGAUUUCAUAUGCAAGAUUGUAAACCCAUAGACACUCUUAUUGCAAAAGGUGAAGGAUUGAGCCAUAGACUGUGUCUAAGGACUCCACAAGAAAAGGAACAAAUGAAACAUGUUCCUUAUGCUAGUGCUGUUGGAAGCUUGAUGUACGCUAUGAUAUGUACAAGACUUGACAUAUGUUUUACAAUUGGAAUGGUGAGUAGAUACCAAUCCAACCCAGGUCAAGCGCAUUGGAAGGCCGUUAAGAGAAUACUGAGGUAUCUAAAGGGAACUGCUGAUUACAAGUUGAAUUACCAAGAAAAGAAUCUGCAACUUGAAGGCUAUUCAGAUGCUGAUUGGGGAGGAGAUUUAAAUGAAAGAAAAUCUACCUCUGGAUUUGCUUUCUUACUGAACAAUGGCGCCAUAUCAUGGAGCAGUAAAAAGCAAAUGUGUAUAGCCUUGUCCACAAUGGAAGCUGAGUUCGUGGCAUUAUCAGCAGCAGUACAAGAAGGAGUUUGGCUUAAGAGAUUUUUGGAUCAUUUAGGUGUUAUUAAGAAAGUUGCAAAUCCAUUAUUGGUUAACUGUGAUAGCCAAACAGCUAUAGCGUACACCAAAGAUCCAAAAUAUCAUGGUAAGACCAAACAUAUAGAUACCAAGUAUAACUUUGUCAAAGAUAUGGUUGCACGAAAGGAUGUGAACUUACAGUAUAUAUCGACACAUAGAAUGGUAGUAGAUCCUAUGACAAAGCCAAUACCUAGAGAUGUGUUUUGUGUUCAUGUAAAAUCUCUAGGAUUGCGUAGAGUCUGAUGUACUAGAUUGUAAUUUCCCUGAGUUGUUCACAUUUAUGAACUAGUGUUUUUUUUUUUUCAUUAUUAAUGCCUAUGAAUCUUUGUUUGAUCUUUAUGCAUCUUAAUGCUCAGUGCAUUACUUUAAGUUGAGAAAGUAUGUCGGACAGAUAUAAUAUUGGCCCACUCACACGGGUAAUCACCUCUAUUUACUAUGUGAUAAAUAGAGAUGAGACAAUUUUUUAAGCUUAUUAUCUAGGUGAUAAUCAAGAGCUCAAGCUUAAAAUAUAUUUGUUGCCUUAAUUGGGUGUUAAGAUGAGGACAUAAUAUUUACUAUAUCCGAAAGUAAAAUAACCCACAUAUUUUACUUUAUCUGUCUAAGAUGCCAGAUGUGAGUUCUGAUGAAUUUUGUAAAUGAGUAGGUACGUGAACUCAAGUUAGACAUUAGGUAUGUCUAAACUAUCAUAUGUACGGUAUUGAAGAUGUAGACAUACGCUCCAUGGGAAAUGAGUUAAUACCAUAAUACGUAUUUUAUACUACGCAUGCAUGAGACGACCAAUAAGAGUGGCAAAAGUUUGAUCUCAACUUUUAUGUCGUGUGAGACUCUUGAGGAAAAGAGUUCCUCAAUUUUAGUGCCCUCAUGACUUUUGCUUAUUCUCAAUAUUUCUAUUUAGUAUUUGCUAUCUUAGGAUGUUGUCAAUGGUCAUGGGUUGAUUCAAUCUUAUGGGACAUUUCUAGAAAAGCAAGCUGAACUGAAAUUGAGAGUUUGAAGGAAAGAGUAAGAUCGAAUAUGGAGAAUCACAUUCUAAGUUUUGUAUUCACUGGUCGACCAAUUAUGAUUGUUUUUGGUAUAAUCAUAAUUGUGAAUACAAUAUAUAUAUAUAUAUAUAUAUAUAUAUAUCAAUGUUUAAAAAGAGAUCAAGAGAGAUAUAAAUGUGAUUGAUCGAUCUAGGGUACUGCAUACUAAAAAUAGAAAGUUCGAAACAAUUGGAAUUUUUUUGGAGAUUGGAUGCGGUUACUAAUUCAUGAUCUGGCAUGUACAGAAUGAAAACCUCAUUCUCGAUUCUACGAGAAUUUUUAUGAAAGCCUUUCAUAUUCCUAACAGAUGUAUAGCAACGAGCUCUCAAAGUAUGCUGGUCGCACGGAUUAUUCACCAGUAUGAAUGUUGAAGAGAGGUAAAGAGAAUCCUGUUCGGCCCACCAUGUGCGAGUGGGAGAUGAUGGUUUUUUAAUUAUUUAAUGUGAUGGGCCUAAGUUGGCCCGUCCGCCCAUGUUGGACCUAAAAGCCCUGCCCACAAUAUUAGGGCCCAUGGAUAGAGGGAUAUGAUGAAGGGGCACAUUUUUUUUUUUAUGGGACGUAUAUAAGGGAGAAAUAAAGAGGGAGGAACGUACCUUUUGGCAUAACGUACGUUUCCUCCUCCCUGUCUCCCUUGAAACACCUCUAAAAGAAAAACAGUAAGCAAAAGGCGAAGCUCUCUUCCCUUCAAGGCAAAUUCGCAUCAUCGGAUCGAACGGGAUCAGUUUCUUUUUCUCAUAUCAGCGUCGGUGUUUAAUUUAUGGCUAAUAAGGUACGUUCGAUUCUGUGAUGUGCCUUAGGAUCGGUGAUGAAUGUGUUUUUCCUAGGCUCGUCUUCCGCACAAGUUUAGGGGUUCGAUUUAGUGUCGAAUCUGGUUUUUGGGAAUCCGACAAUCCCAACAGUAGCUAAUAAUAGUUAGAUGCAUGAUGACCAAGUUAGUGACGAUGCAUACAAUAAGUCUUGCGUGAUGAGGAUGAGCUAGAAGUGGCAAGCACUGCAUCUGUAGCAGUGGAGACCUGUGGAGUAGCAUGUUGUGCCUAUAAAGUCGCAAAUCAAGUUUCUUUAGUUAAUAAUUCCAAGUAGGGGUGGUGAAAUAGGUUCAUGACCCACUUUUUGACCCAUAUUUCAUACGAAUGGGCUGUAUGUGGGUUAUAGAGAUAUAAAAGCCCACUUAAAAUGCGUCCAAAAGGUUUUAAGUUGAAUUUAUAUGGGUCAAAAAUGGGUUAAAGGUUUUGACCCAUUUUCCACUUAAGCGGGUAAACUGGAGAGCACAAAGCUUUCGCAAUCCUCAGUCCUCAGCUACCCUCCAUCGUUCACCUUCGCCACUCGCCUCCGAGCCCUCCCCUGUUGCUCGCCUCCGUGGUUUGUCUCCGAGUCCCCUCUGCCGCUCGCCUUGCAGCUUGCCUCCAAGUCACCCAUGCUGCUCGCCUCCGAGCCACCUUUGCCACUCGCCUCCGAGCACAGUUUGGAUCCGCCACAUUCUCCCUUGCAUGGGGUAAGUCCUCGAUUCAUUCUCUUUGGAUUUGUUCGGGUUCGCAGGAAGCUUUUUAUUUGCGCUGAUUUCUGGGAGAAAUUUAUUGUCUUGAACAUUUAAUGAUCGUUGGGUUGUUUGACCUCUGCUUUGUGUGAUGUUCUUUGCUUAAUUUUGAUUGGCUAUCUGGGUUUAAUUGGAAUUUGUUAAUUCGUGGAGUUGAUUUGAGAUGGGUUAUUGGAUUUAUCUAUAUUGCUGUUGACUACUCUAGUUUAUUAGAAUUGAAAGUGGAAAAGGUUCUCCUUCAAAAAUCAUUUCAAGAAGUGAUGGAUGGGGUAGAAAAGAAGGGGCUUCUUGAUAAUUUAUCGUUAAAAAGAUUAGGAAUGGAUUUGUGAUGCCUAAUAUUGAGGCUAAGCCCGAGGGUUCAAUAAUGGUGUUUCUUGAUCAGGUCCACUAGUGUGUUCCUUGCUGCUAGUAAUUCUUGCUCAUGUGAUUAACAUGGUUUAUGGUGUGGCACCAGUUGCUUCGGAAGCUAUUCUAAGCCCACACCAAUUAUAGUUGUGCAUGAACCGACCAAGGGGCAUUGAAUUCAAAGGCAGACUGUGAAAAAGCCUAGUUUUUCUUGUUUCUGACUAUCGAAUAUUGUUGGAUGACUUAGAGAUUUUCCUAUGCGGCUGGAAAAUCCUAAUGUAGUAUCUUCAGAUCAAAUAUGGGCUAAAGCGAUAGCAGUUGGUCCAUCUGGCUGCUUAUUUAAUUCCUCUAAUUAAAAUCGGGAUUCCUUAGAAUACAAGCGAGAGCUUGGCAAUGCUAUUGGUAAGUCUGAUUUCUAUUGUUAAGUACUCAUUCUCAAGUUAAUUUGUCAUGCCCGGCCGCAUGACAACCCACGCCAUUGAACCUUUACUUAUCCUUUGGUCAUUUGAUUGUGAUGUCCUAGGAGGUGUUUAUGAUAUCCGGACUUUGCCCGAGCCUCGAAUACUUACCGAUCUGUGCCUCAUCAACAAGCUUGUCAUCGGACUACGUUGUUGGCACCACUCACGGCCACCAUAUCACCACCACCGUCACCUCCUGAACCAUCACGCCUCAUCACAUCCCCACUACACCACUUCAUCGUCACGUCUCCGCCGUACUAUGAUCGCUCGAUCGCCACCUAGUCCAUUAUCACAUUAAAAAUUCUUCUUCAUAAAAUGCCUCAAACGAGACCAAUGUUUAUUUCCUUCGCUACAUUACCAAGCGAGCUUUCUCAUGCAAAUUCUUCUUCACCCCCAUGUGUCCGCACAAUUGGUCAAAGAGAGGAGCAAAGAACUCCCACCAUCACCCACGUCAACCCCCAUCCGCUUCUCCUCAGCUUGCCACCAACGAAGACCUUCACUUCACAGUGCAGCCACGUCCUUGCAUUAACCUGCAAGGUGCCAUGAACAGGUGAAGACUCCUCACGCUAAAGACACGAAUCCACGGAGCUGUCUUCUCCUUCUGCUGCCACGAAAUUGAAGAGAAAGGUUGACCAAGACAGUCAAGCAGGCGGUGAAGCCGAAGCACAAAAGGAGACCGCUCUCUCAUUUCCCUCACCUCACGAUCUUCUUCGUUCCGUCAGCAUCUUCGUUAAAUAUUCAUCGCCAUCAAACCCUCACAGCUUCGUUCCCUUCUUGUCAUUCGACGCCAAAAGCUCGCACCAUCUCGUCGCUCCGCCACCAGCCCGCACCACCGAGAAUUCAACGCAAGUAGACGUCGACUAUUCUAUACUUUGCAAAUUCCAUCAUUGCUUGAUGAGACGUGUUCCUUCGGAAUCCUACUGAUUACUAUUAUUUCCAUAAUACUCGCGUUAUUUGGUGGAUUUGGAAACAUUCAUAGAUGAACCUCUCCGAGUUUAUGGUCACUGUGAAUUUUUGAAAGUAUCACUGAGGUAUUGGCUGGUGAAAUUUGGAAGUCAUUUGGAUUGACCACGAAUCUAAAGGGGGAGUGAAAUACGUAAUUUUGAUCAUGGUCAGAUUCGGUUUAUGGACCCAUGAUUUUACCGAUUUUUGGUGUUGCAGAACUUUUGGGGCUUUAUAUACGAAUUGUUUUAUAUUAUACGAAAAUUAUGAACUUUCGAAACGUGAAAAUGUCAUUGAGGUACUGGCUUGUGAAUUUCAAAGGUAUUUCGGGUAGAACAAUACAAAUUUUGGGGGUGAAAACCGUGAUUAUGGAUUAUGAUCGAUGCAGGUCAUGUUUACGACGUCGAUUUUACGAAAUGUUCCUGCCGACGGGGGUGUGGCACAGCUUCAAGAUUUUAUUUACACUUUGUUUUAUACUAUGAUUCUGGAUUUCGGAAUUGAAUUAUUUUCCUUACAUUAGCAGCGUGAAAAAUAUUCUAGACUUGAACUAUUCAAUUGCUGCACCAUGAUAUGAAUUUGAUGGAUGCCAUCGGUCCACAUUGACGAUAAUGCCCCGGGUGUCGGGAUGCCCAGAGGGGUGUAAUACGGUGCCCUCCGAAUGCUUGGAAAUGUGAUAAAGGCCCCCGAAGGUCCUUGUGAUGCCAGGUGGGGUGCAAUAUGCCUGGAGGAGCGUAACAUGAUGCUCUUUCGAUGCCCGGGGAAUGAAAUAAGGACCCGGAGGUUCUCGUGAUGCCAGUUGGGAUGCAAGAUGCCUAGAAAGGUGUAUCCAAUUCCCUUUGGAAGAUGGUGGCAGUUGAAUCUAGACUAAUUGCAAUUUCCAAAUUUCCAUUUGCUUUAUGAUAUAUCGUUUUUGCGAAUUUCUUUUAGAACCGAUGCAAGUUGAAUUAUUUUCAGUUUUGUGUACUUUAUUUUUGGAUUGCGUUGAAUUGGUGGUGAUAGAUUCACAUAGUAUGGUCUAGUAGACUCUUACUUGCUGAGUGGUUGUACUCACCCCUCGUGGGUUAUUUUCCAGACACAUAAUUAUGCCCCUGCAACUUGCAUCCUCCAUGAUGCUCUACGGCAACCCCACCGAUCUCACAUGGGACCGAGUGGAGCAAGUCGACCUCGAUUUUUCAUGAGGUUACAUUUAUAUGCAUCAUUGUGAUCUUGACGGUGGACACUGGUCUUCCAUCGGGCCCCAUGUUGAUGGGGUUCAUCGCACUCUAUGCCCGGGUCAAUGGGCGUAUGGUGGGACCACUUCCACUCCCAAACGAUGACAACGAUGGUGCUAGCGGGGUCGAGUAGGAGGGCCUAGGGACAAAGGUGGCAUUUGUGGCAAGACCAGGACGUGUUACGUAGACGGCCGUGUAGAUAGGCAGUAGGAUGGUUAGGAUAGUAUUUUGGAUAUAGCCAGAAAAAUGAACUUUUUAACCCUAAUGUAUUGACCUAGGUCGUCUAAAAUAUAUAAAUAAAUAAAACUACCUAGUUGUAUAUUUUCAUGUGCAUCGAUUUAAGUUAUAAUGAAAUUAUCGUUAUACGCUUCCACAUAAAAAAAAAUAGUAAUAACAAUGGAACGUCACGGUGACCUUAAUGUGCUGAGGGUCGUCACACCCUUGGAAUGGAGUUGGGGUCAUCACAGCCGAAGUGGUUUCAGAGCUUAGGUUUUGUCUAGAGUGACAAGGUGCACUAGCGGUAGAAAGGGGGUUAUGAUGAUCACACACAAUAAGGCACUAAGUGCAUGUAGAUGAUUUGCUGUGAAAAACGGGUGACUAAUUUUUACUCGUAAGGUGCUGGUAACGAUUGUGGGUUGUCCAUACGUACUAGUAACAUUUAUAUGUUACUUAUAUGAUCUUAGUAAUGUGUGAAUGUUACAUUCCCUUAUUAGUCUAUUAGUGACACUAGGUCACUAAUUGUUUUUUUUUUUGGUAAAAUUUAAAUUUAAAUUUUUUGGUAAAAUGAGGUCACUAAUUGUUCAUGUGGUAAAUACUCAAUAAUCUACAAGAAAGUAUGGUAUGAAUAGGAAGUUCUCCCCCAUCAAGGGCUGAAGCCAUUACUUCGAGGAUAGAACCCCAAAUGGAAGAUAUUUUAUAAGCGCUGGCCAGCAUAGGGAAUCUGAUGGAAAGACAGGCCCAACAACAACCGGGAAUAGAACGUUGUACUCAAGGGUUGGUGGAGCAAUUUCUGAAAUUGAAGCCACCCAAGUUUACUGGAAUGGGGAGUCUUGAAGAGGCAGAACAGUGGAUCAAUGGGAUAGAGAGGAUCUUCUUACUGUUGAAUUGCAACGACAAAGAGAAGAUAACUCUAGCAGAGUACCAAUUGGAAGAAAACCCCAAACAUUGGUGGAGGGCUUUUAGAGAUACAAUCUUCCUGUCUAGUACUAUUCUAACACGGGAUGAAUUUGUCAGGGCUUUUAAUAGGAAGCAUUUUUCUGACUGUGCUAAGGAUAAGAAAAUAACAGAAUUUGUUCAACUGGAACAAAAGGAGUUGACGGUAGACCAAUAUGAAGCGAAAUUUUAUGAACUGUCCAAGUAUGCUCCUAAGUUGGUAGAAGACCAAGAGGAAAAAGCUAAGAGAUUUUUGAAAGGCCUGAGGAUAGACAUCAAAAGGCAACUGGUGCCUCUAAAUAUAAAGGAUUAUAAUGAAAUUUAUGAACUGGCCCAACUUGUGGAGCAAGAAGUAAUAAGAGAAUAGUUGGAAAGCAAGGAACAAAUGGAGUUAGGGCGAGAAAAGGCACUAAGUGACACCCAACGUGGUAAAUGACCCUAUCUAACCCAAGAGUUACCUUGGGAUCCUAAGAAGAAGCGGAAUUUUGAAAAUUUCGGGAGGACCAGGAAUGGUCACGCCACAGGUAAAGUGCCAUAUCAAAAUAAUCCUUGUCAAAGGUGUGGUAAACAGCAUGGGCUAGGACCCUACCUAGAUCACUUGAGGUGUUUUGGAUGUGAGCAAAAGGGUCACUUUAGGAGAGAUUGUCCACAAGGAGGAUCACAGUCGAACGUUAAUCCAGUGCGACAAAUGCAACAACGUGCAGGUGGACCACCUCCACAAGGAAAUCUACAAAGGUUGCCAGCACAAGGACAGGUGUACACGGUCACCUAAGAGGAAGCGGAAGCUUCGAAAGAUGUUAUCUCAGGUACAAUUUCUUUAAAUGACAAGAAAGCUUAUGCAUUAUUUGACACGGGUGCUACACGUUCUUUUGUGUUUGAAAGAUAUAGACGAUUGGAUGAAAUAGAAACCAAACCCCUUGAUACGCCUCUUCGUAUUUCUAUGCCACUGAAAGAUGCGGUAUCGUCCACAUUACUAUGCGAGAAAUGUAAGAUAUCUAUAGGUGGACGAGAUCGGGAAAUAGACUUACUAGUGAUGGUCAUGUAUGACUUUGACGCCAUCAUAGGAAUGGAUUGGCUCCGCAAACAAUAGGUUAGGGUGGAUUGUUAUAGAAAGAUGAUUCAGUUCAACCCACUUAAUCAACAUAGUUUUGAAUUUUACAAAGACCAGACAAACCCCUCAAUGGCCCUUAUUUCGGUAGCAAAGGCUAUCACGUCUCGAUCCUCAAGCGCGUGCUCAUCCCUUGGUGGUCGAUAAAUUUGCGACGUCCCAGGACGAGUCGCUGACCCAUUGAUUGUAAUGCGGCAUGGGAAGUGGAAUUACUAAUCCCUGACAAAGCAUACACGGGAUAGAAAAGUAGGACAACAAAUUUCAAUCAUCACACAGCUUUAUAAAUAUCUAGUUUACAAUAGAGGCUAAUUCUAGGGUCUAAGUAUAGGAGGUCUAUCUCCAAAUAAGAACUCUUGAGCCACCCAUGCUCCUGAUCCUUUCCGCCUCAAGCUCCGGGUUCUUCACACUAGGGACCUGAAAAGUUAAGCCCAUGAUGAGGUGAGACAAUGUCUCAUCAAGUUCACCCCCUAAACCCCAACUAUGAAGGAAAUACGCCUAGAAGCAGUCUAUACACACAAAACAGAAAACUUAUCUCGCAUUGGUUCCUUCCUGCAUGUUAGCACAAUUCAUAUAUCACAUAAGUGCAAUAACAACACUCGAGCAUUUGGAACGUCUCAUUCAAUCUUAGUCAAUCAAUUGAAUUAACAUGAUAGAUCCAUCAUUCGAUCAAGUAAUUCACAAGAGUCCCAAUUAUAAGACCAAAUUGUUACAACACGUCAUUUACUGUGUCACACAAUUUCGUCCCAUAAUCAGACACGGAUAAAUCAUAUUGGUGAUUCAAUCUACAUCCGAUAUUCACUCUCAAUAUUCCAAUUCAACAUCCCCACUCCAUAUUCAGACUCCACGUUCCAACUUAAUACUCAAUACCAGACCCAAGAUCAAACUCAAGGCAUUAGAGGUAGUUCCCAUCCAACUCAGGUCGCUAUGUAACACUUAGCCCUUGAUUACAACAAGCAAUAUUAUAAGGUACUAGAGGCGACUCACAUGAAGUCUCAUUAUAGUGUAGUACUUAGUAUUUUAUUAUAGUAUAAGGCACUAGAGGCGACUCACACGAAAUUUCAUCAUCGUAUAUCACUUAGCCCUUCACUAUGUAGACAAUACUGCAAGGCACUAGAAGUAGUUCCCAUGUGACUCAAGUUGCCAUGUAACACUUAGCCCUUGAUUACAAUAAGUAAUGGUAUAAGGUAGUAGAGGUGACUCACACGAAGUCUCAUCCUUGUGUAGUACUUAGUCAUUCGCCUUCUCACGACCCAUUGGGUUCCCUCAACACGAUACAUAUCAAGUCAACUUUCAAUAAUCAACAUGCCCUGACUAUAAACCACCACACAAUUAUUUACUCAUGGCCAAGGGCAUUGUGCUUUGCACUUAAAUUCCUCAAUUAAAAUAAUGUCCUGGCCUAUUUUAUUCUUGUUAAAAAUACUAGAUAAAAAUAAUCAUGUGUGGGUACACGGUUGGCCUAAGCCAAAGAUAUAAUAUCUUUAUUUUGGAAAAUCCCACUAUUUAAAAUAGUCCAUAAAAACAUUUUUGGUAUUGUAAACCGACGCCCCGUAUUUGUGAAUUAAUUAUUGAAAUUACUUAAUUUUGGGAAAAUUACCCAAAAUUCCAACUUUCACUCAAUUUGCACAAUGCAACAUUCAAUUAAAUAAACCAAAUACACCGUUGCAAUAAGCACGAAAUUCCAAUUAUCAGCUAUCUCGGUAUAAUUUUCGAAAAAUAAUAAAUAAUUAAAUAAAUAUCAAAAUUAAUUUAAAAAAAUUUGGUAAAAUCAAAAUUAAUUAAAUAAAUACCAAUAAAUACAAAAAAUGCAAACUUAGGCCGGAAAAAAUCCUAAUUAAAUACCGAAACGGGCUCGUAAAAUUUCCGAACCUAUCUAGAUAAAUAAUACAAUCUAUCUAGUUGCUAAUUACACUACUCUAACCACCUAACAUGCAAUAACCAAUAAUUAAAUCACUAAUCCGUUCUAACUAACAACCUAACAUGCAAUAACCAAUAAUUAAAUCACUAAUCCGUUCUAACUAACAACCUAAACUUUAAUUAGCCUAAACUAAUCAACCAUUAAGCAUCAUUCACUCCCUAAGCAGAGUUUAGUGAGUAAACUCAUCGGUUUAGUGCAAAAACCGGUUCAUGGCGAAGGCGGUGCGACGAUGGCCGAAACUCGAGCUUACGGCGGCACCAACGGAGGCUCGGAUCGGGCCGAAAACGGCCUCGCAAGGCCCAUGGCUAAGGACUGCAAAUUGGUUCUGCUCCUGCUCAAUUCCGAAGCUACUAGUUAGCUUGGCUAGGGCUAGUCUCAGCUUGGUUCCGGGCUGGACCAGAGGCUGAAGAUCGGCUCGAACUUGAGAGGAACGACGGGCCGCACAGGUUGCUGGGUUCGUGCGUUGACUGCUAGUAGCGAGGAAGAAGCAGCUUCGAUGGAGAUGGGCAACAUGAGUGGACGGUGGAGAUGGGGCUACACGAAGAAGCUACGAGAAUCAAACUUCGGGGGAGGCUUCGCUGGGUUGGACCGGAGAGGACACGUGGCAGCAAGAGGAGCUGGAGUCUUCGAAGCCAGCGUCUGGGGUGUCUGCUAGUGAUUGACCAAGUAGGGAGAAGACGCGGACGUGUGGCGCUGGUGGAGGAUGAUCUCUAGCAGUGGGGCAGCGGGUGUGAGUGGAGGGGCUGGCAGGGGGCGUUAAUGGCUGGCAGCAAAAUAGGUGGGUGCUCGGUUACAAAGAAGAGGAAGAAAUGGAGACGCUGGAAUCGCGAAGGACGAGGUGUCGACGAAGUUAGCGUGCGCGGGAAAGAGACCCAAGGAGGGGGGCAGUAAACGUGCUCGGGAAGUUGGAGAAAAGUGGGAAGCAAAAGUCAAAACAAAUAUCUAAUUUCAUCAUUGGUUUGGCCCUCAUAGUCUUGGCUUUCUCCAAUAAGAAUUUACUUCAAUUUCCCACAAACAAAUCCAUUUAGGGGCUAAAUAACCCUUUUCCUUCAGCCAUCCGAAUUUCCACUUUUAUUUUCGACUUGUUCGAAAUUCAAAUUCCUAACAAAUCUCUCCAAUUUGACGGCCAAAUUGUUGAGGAUGGUGCCCAUGCCAAUUUCCACACUUUUCUUCACAACCUAGUCCUUUUUGGAAGGCCAAAAAUCCACUUGAAAAUGGCCAACUAAAUUUUCUUUCAUUUCUGAAUCGUCCGAAUUAAUUUUCCGUAAAAAUUCUAGGCUCGCUGAAAAUUCUUUAAAGGAUGAGUUGACGUUCCUAAAAUAAAUCGUGACAUGAGAGAACUUUCAAUUUCUGAAAUCGGGUUUAAAUUCGCAAUUAAAUUCAAUUAGACACGAUUUUAACAUGACCUAGCCUACCGGGUAGCUUUUAGAAAUUUUUAGUGUAAUUAAUCCAUGGUCGAUUAUUUUUUAGCCACAAUGUACCUCUUCGACACAUUGGCGACUCUCGAUUAUCGUGAAAGUCUCAUGAUUUCUAAUAUGGACACAGGAUACCAAAACGACAGAAAAUUCGGUCUAGUGCCGAUUGAUGAGAAUUUUACAAUCUGGUGGAAUCACCCACACUUGGAUCACAUAUCUCAAUCGAAUCGACAUAUCUCCAAUCUCUAAUCGAUUUUUAACUAUGCCGUAAUGACCUUUGCAGACUAGCACGGUUGAGUAGUUCGACUUCUAGUCGAAUUACCAAAUCUAUUACGUUAAAAUCGCUUAACGGCUUCACAUGAUAGACUAGUUAUCUCGUGAGUGGCCAACUUAAAGAAAAGAACUAUAGGCGCGUCGAUGAAAAGCCCAACUUAUUCAAUCAAAAACAGAACCUGAAACUCAGGAUGUCACAUAGGCACAUGUACUUCUUGACGAAGGGUGUUAAAGAUACCUGGCAGUAGUAAAGGACCCUACUAAAUAAGAAGCCAAACUUGACGAAAUUCAAGUGGUUCAGAAAUUUCCAAACGUAUUUCUUGAAGAACUACCACCAUAAUGGGAAAUCGAGUUUGUAAUCGAACUGAUGCCUGGAAUUGAACCAAUAUGAAAAGCCCCAUAUAGAAUGGCUUUAGCGGAACUAAAGGAGUUAAAAGUGUAGUUGCAAGAAUUACUCGGUAGGGGAUUCAUUAGGCUAAGCGCAUCCCCAUGGGGUGCACCAGUCCUGUUUGUAAAGAAGGAUAGGUCAAUCCGCCUUUGCAUUGAUUAUAGGCAAUUGAAUCAAGUGAUAAUGAAGAAUAAGUACUCGUUGCCUAGAGUUGACGAUCUAUUUGACUAGUUGUAAGGAAGUUCAGUCUUUUCUAAGAUAGACUUAAGGUCAGGAUAUCAUCAAUUAAGAAUUAGAAAGGAAGACAUUCCUAAGACUGCCUUUAGGACUCGUUAUUGACAUUACGAGUUCCUAGUUAUGCCAUUUGGAUUGACAAAUGCCCCAGCUACAUUCAUGGACCUAAUGAAUAAGGUAUUCAAACCCUACUUGGAUCAAUUUGUAAAUGUCUUUAUUGACAAUAUCCUAAUAUACUCAAAAGAGCCAGAAGAACACGAGCGACAUCUAAGAAUAAUACUGCAAACCCUUAGAGACCAUAAAUUGUAUGCCAAAUUUAGUAAGUGUGGAUUCUAGUUGGACAGGGUAAUAUUCCUAGGCCAUGUAGUAUCAGGAGAAGGAAUCUCGAUGGACUCAACGAAGGUUAAGAUUGUAGUAAAUUGGCCAAGACCAACAACGCCAACAGAAAUACGAAGUUUCUUGAGACUCGUAGGAUACUAUAGAAGGUUUAUAGAAGGAUUCUCAUGACUUGCAAGCCCAUUAACUCAAUUGACUAGGAAAAAUGUGAAGUUUGAAUGGAGUGAUGAAUGUGAACAGAAUUUCCAGGAACUCAAGAAAAGAUUGACCACAACCCCAAUACUAACUAUUUCGUCUGGAUCUAGUGGAUUCGCAGUAUAUAGCGAUGCCUCCCAUAAAGGGUUGGGUUGUGUCCUAAUGCAGUAUGGGAAGAUCAUAGCCUAUGCAUUGAGACAAUUAAAACCCUAUGAAUUGAACUAUCUAACUCAUGACCUAGAAUUGGCGGCAAUAAUUUUUGCAUUAAAGACAUGGAGACAUUAUCUGUAUGGGGAGAAAAUUGAAAUUUAUAUAGAUCACAAAAGUCUAAAGUACUUAUUCUCUCAACGGAAUUAAAUAUGAGACAAAGAAGGUGGAUAGAACUGUUGAAGGAUUACAACUGUGAGAUAUUGUACCAUCCAGGGAAUGCGAACAAGGUAGCGGAUGCUCUUAGUUGUAAGACGGCAAUGGAUAUGGCAAGCAUAAGAGCAACAUAAUGGAAUUUGUUAGAAAUAAUAGCAAAAUUCAGAGUUUAAGUUAGAAAUAGACCAUCUCACUAGUGUACUAGUUAAAAUAUUAUGGAGACAUCAUGAUGUGGAGGAAGCCACAUGGGAAAGUGAGGAAGAAAUAAAAGAAAAAUACCCUCAUUUGUUUAAUGAGAUUUAAGUGGUGUUCAAUUUUGGGGACGAAAUGCUCUAAGGAGAGGAGAAAUGUGGCAUUCAAAAAUUUAGACGAUCCUCGGAUAGGUGACAGUCAUGAUCAAUUGAUGGGAGUAUCAUCGGAAUGUGGCAUUGAUAUCAUUUAUGGGCAUAAAUUCGUAUUUGUUUAUUGGAUUGAUAUGAUAUGUCUAGCAAUGGACUAAUCAACCGUGCAACAAGAGAAAAAAAUUGGACUAUGACUGAAUAAUAUUUUUCUAUUUACGAAGGGAUUGCAUUCGGUUCUGCGAGAGGAACAUGCAUGCUGAAAUUUAAGGAUAAAAUUUUGAGGAGUUGGGUCGAACUUGAGGAUCAUGUACGUCUCCAUUGUGCAAUUUGACAAGUAAGGAAAAGAAAUCUUGUCGCUUGAUCGAAUUCUUUUUAGAUGCAAGAACUUUGGUUAUGCAAUUGUACAUGAAGCAAUUAGAUUAUGUCACCCCCGAUACGGCCCCCGAUCCGCUAGGGUCGCCACAUAUUACUUAUCUUUCCCUUGUCUUAAUAACAUGUUACUCUGAUACUAUUGAAUUAUAGUGGGUCCAUAAANNNNNNNNNNNNNNNNNNNNNNNNNNNNNNNNNNNNNNNNNNNNNNNNNNNNNNNNNNNNNNNNNNNNNNNNNNNNNNNNNNNNNNNNNNNNNNNNNNNNCAUCAUAUAUAAGUUAGAGCCGAACCACUUUUAUUUACAUAACUAUGAUGGGCAUCACGAGUCAGUACAACAAAAGGCCAAAGCUUUAACUAAGCUCGGCUAUAACCCAAAAGAACCCGACUCUACAUCAGACCUAUACAUCAAUCCAUCAUCCAUUGUCGGCCAUCCAAAAAGUGUCAACCUCUACCAAUCACACACUCUAAUCACACCCAGCCCGGUGCAUCGGCCGGUGGCGGCGGCAGCAUCCCCAUCAUCCUCCCGUUGCGACAAACAUAGACGGAUAGGAACUCUUGGACUAUUAGGCCACAACCUAUCUCCAGGUGGUAAUCACGGCCCAAUGGGCACAACCUUUAACAGGUGGCAAAUCACAUCUUUACGGUACAGUCCAAGCUUAGUGGUCAUCACAGCCCCACUCGGCACAACCUUUAUUAGGUGGUAAAUCUCGGCCCAAUUGGGCGCAACCUUUAAUAGGUGGCAAAUCACGGCCUAGUAGGCACGACCUCUAUCAGGUGGCAAAUCACAGCCCUAGUGGGCACAACCUUUAACAAGUGGUGGAUCACGGCCCAAUGGGCACGAUUUAUACUUAGUGGAAUCAUGACCCCACUUGGCAUGACCUUUAAUAGGUGGUAGAUUAUGGCCAUAUUAGGCACGACCUCUAGCGGGUGGUGAAUCAUGACACUAUUAGGCGUGACCGAUUCCAAUUCGGUGGCAACUCUCGGCCCAACUGGCACAAUUAUGCUUCAACGGCUUUCUAGGCUCAACUCAUAACCUCUCACGGUCAUUUUCCAAUCAAUACCGACACUUCUCAAUUUUGGGACAUUUUCCCAUAUUCACCAAUUUUUACUCAAUUUUCACAAUUUUCCGUAGUUCACCAAUUAAUUAAACACUAACAACUAAUACCCGGCUGUUCCUCGAUCAAUUACUCAAAAUCAACUCAUUUAGGAAUAUAUCCUAAAAAUCCACAAUUUAUUCAAUUCAACACAAUGUAGAACUCAAUUAAAUAAACGGACUACACCACGACGAUCAACAUAAAAUUCCGGUCGUCAACUAUCUCUACCUAAUUUCCGGAAAAUAAAUAACUAAUUAAAUAAUUCCGAAAAUUAAUUGUUAAAUAGCAAUAAAUCCAAUUUAGGCCCGUAAUGCCUAAUUGAAACCCAAUAAGGGUCGGGAAAAAUUCUGAGAUGAAUUUAAUAAAUAAUAACACGUUUCUACUUGCUAAUGACUAUGUCUAACCACUUAACAUGCAUCACAUUUAAUCAAUAAUCACUAAUCUACUCUAAUCUAACCACCUAAUUGCACUUAAUUAAAUCUAAUCAACCCUUAAGCAUAAUUAGCAAACUAAGAAAGCAUUAGUGAGCAAAACUCACUUGGUUAAAAGUGGAGAUUGGGUCACCGCGACGGCGACGCGACGGCAGCCGAAACCUGAACUUUCGGCGGUGUCGAUGGACACUCGGGCCGGCCUACAAGCCUCGCAAGCCCACAACAAAAGCUAGGCUUGGGCCGAACUUGCUUGGGCCUCACUGAAUUGGGCUUCAAGUUGAGGGCUUGAAGAUGGGCGGAAAAUUGGGCUUGGGCUGCUGUAAACUGGGCCGAGAAUUCCAAUGGAUCAAUCUUGUGGGCUUGUUGGGUUGCAAAUUUGGGCCGACUUGUUGGGUUCGUGAAGAGACUUCGCUGGACUGCUGGGCCGAGACUUCUUCGCUGGGCCAACCGUGAAAGAAAUCCAGCGAAGGGAGGAGCUCGGUGGCGUUGAAGUGGACGAUUGGCUAGGUUGUUCGGUCAAAGAUCUGGGGCAGUGAAGACAGGCGCGUGGACUGAAGCUCGCUGGGUUGAAGCAACGUGUGGGCGGAGGCAGCUGCUACGUGGAACGUGAGCUUUUAGUGAGCUGCAGGGGCGCAUGAUGGAGUUCGGUGGAGUGGCAAGCUGUCGAUGGUAAUGGUGGUGGAGCAGGAAAUUCGGCGGAGAUUUAAGCUGUUUCAGUCAACCAACAUUUUGUUGGAGAGGAAGGUUGACCUCGUGUACGUGUGGCGGCAAGAUGAAGGCAAUUUGGAGCUUCGAUGGAGAGGAGGGAGUAGCAGACGUCCACGUGAAGCUUCAAAGGAAAUGAAGUGGAGGAGGAGCAGGCGUGGGUUGGCUUAUCGAAGGAAAGAGGAAAAUGAAAGCAAAACUGAAGCCAACAGAGAAGGGGGGAAGAAACCGUGCUCGAGAAGCCAGCUAAGAGGGGGAACAAAAAUUCAACAACCUUAGCUAAAUCAUUCAAUGCUUUGGUCCCACAAACCUCAAUCUCAUCAUCUAUGUCUCCCCCAUCAUUUUCAAGCAUAAAUUCCACCAAUAAACCAAUUUAAGGUCCAAAAUAAUGCUGCCCUCCCUUAGUUCCGAAUUUCACAUUUUGAGCUUCCAAUUUCUUUGACGAAUCCCCAAAUUUGAUGUCCAAAUUUGAUGUAGAAAAAAUCCACAUAAUUUCUACAGGUCCCCUUCACCAUAUAGUUCAGUUUACAAGUCGAAAAUUUCUUCAAUUCGGCCGAUCUGAAUUUUCGUUAAUUUUCCACAACGUCCAAAACGGUUUUCUGUAAAAAUCUUGGAAUCUCUGAAAAAUCUUUUGAGACUGAAUCGACACUCCUAGAAUUUAUUGUGACAUGACAGAAACUUCAAUUUCUAAAUCGGGCUCAUAUCGGUGGUUAAUUUCAUCCUGGCACGUUUUUAGCGUGACCUAGGCUACCAAAUAGUUUUCAAAACUUUUUAGGGCAAAUGACCCGUGGUCGAUUUUCUUCGAGCCACAAUGAACCCACUCAACUCAUUGGCGACUCUCGGUUGUCGUGAAAAUCUCGAGCAUCCAAAUACAGACACAAGGUACCAAAAUGACAGUAAAAUCAAACUAGUUAUGGUCAACGAGAAUUUUCCAAUUUAGUGAAGUUACCCACGAUCGGCCACAUAUCUCAGUCAAAUCGAUCUAUUUCUGAUCUCAAAUCGGUUUUAUACUGUGCCGUAAUGGCCUCUAAAGAUAAGCACGGUCGAGAAGCCGAUUUCUAGUUGAAUUUUCAAGUAUAUUUACCUUAAAAUCUCUUAAUGACUUCCCCAGAUGGUUUAGUUAUCUCGUGAGUGGCCAACUUCGAGAAAAACACUAUAAUCGCAUCGAUAAUAAGCCCAACUUAUCCGAUCGAAAUCAAGACCUGAAAAUCAGGAUAUCACAUUUACACUCAAAUGUCUCAAUUUAAAUAAUGAACAUGGCCUAUUUUCUUCAUAUUAAAAACACCCGGUAAAAUAAUCAUGUAUAGGUACAUGGUCAGCUUGAGCCAGAAAAAGUGACUCCUUUUUCUAAAAAAAAAAAAUCUCACUUUUUGAUAUAGUACUUAAAAACAUUUUUGGCGUCAAAAAUCGACACCCGGUAUUUUCUGAUUAAAUAUCAAAAAUCCAUAAUUUUGGAAUAGUAAUCCAAAAAUCAAGAAUCUUUACUCAAUUGCACAAUCUAGCAAUCAAUUGCACAAAUUGACCACACCACGACAAUCAGCACGAAAUUCUGACGACCGGCUAUCCCGGUAUAAUUUCUGGAAAAUAUUAAAUAAUUAAAUUAAUUACAAAAUUAAUUAAAUAAAUGCCUCAUUAAGCUAAAUACACUAAUCUAGUCACCAAAUUAGACUUGGAAAAAUAAUGCACUAAGCUAGAUAAAUCAUGCAAUCUAAUUAACCAUUAACUAAUAUAAUCUAACCACCUAAUUAGUCUAAUUAACCAACUAAACCACUAAUCACACUAAUGUAACCACCUAAUCCACUCUUAGACUAAACUAACCAUACCCCAAGCAUAAUUAACUCCCUAAGUGGAGUUUAGAGAUUGCACUCACCGGAUUAGUGAGCUGGUGAGUUCACGGCAACGGCAAUGCGAAGGCAAGUGAGGUUCAAGCCUGGAGUGACGCCAAGGGAGGCCAAGGAAAGGGUUGGAAAUAGGCCACGAAGUCUCAACCCACAGCUGAGAUUUCAGCUCUGUCCAAGGGUUGGAUCGAAGGCUUCAACGGCUGAAACGAGUUAGGUUAGCACAGGAGUGAGCACAGCGGAACCAAGGGGCGUUGGGGACUUCGAGACGGCAAUGAAGGCGGCUUGACAGCUUCAGACGGUGGCCAGGCGAGCUUAGGGUAGCAACUCGAGCAGGGACGGCAUGCGGCUUCAGCAAGCUUGACAAUGCUCGAAUGGCGGUGAGGGGCAGUCGACGGAGGCUGGCUGGUUUCUUUGGUUUGAUGGUUGGUCUUCUACUUCUAAAACAACAACAAUGGAGACCAAGGAGCAAGGAAGGAAAAAGAAUUGCUGCUGCAACUGGAGGGGGAACAAAUGGUCACCAAAGUCUUCCAAAAUAUCACAAACACUUGAGUGCCAUGCCCCACCAGCCCACAGCCUUGACCAGCAGCCAUUUUCCCUCCUCAAGCUUCUUUAACAAGCCAUCUUAGUUGCCCAAAUGUCACACCCAACAAAGCAUACGAAUUUUAUGACAUUUCUACUUCAAUUUCAACUAAAUUCCUCUUCAAUUAAAUCCAAUUGGUGCCCAAAGUUCCAACUAAGGUAUCCACAUUAAAUUCCAUAAUUUUUCUCAUCAAUUGAUCCAACCUAACGGCAAAAAGCACACCCAAUUUGGCCAGAUCGCCCAAAUUUGAAUUUUCGCCAAAAAUUUGGACUCGCCAAAAAUUCGUCGAAGGAUAAGUCAAUGUUCCUAAAAUAAAUCAUAACAUGCCAAAACUUUCAAUUUCUGAAAUCAGGUUCAAUUUCGUGGUUAAUUUCAACCCGAUUUGAUUUUAGCGUGACUUAACUUACCAAGUAGCUUUUAGGAAUUUUUAGUGCAAUUAACCAGUGAUCGAUUUUUUUUCGAGCCACAUUGUACAUCUUCGACUCAUUGGCGACUCUCGAUUGUCGUGAAAAUCUCGAUGUUUCAAAUAUGGGCACAGGGUACAGAAACGACAGAAAAAUCAGUCUAGUGCUGAUUGAUAAGAAUUUUCCAAUCAGGUGGAAGCACCCACACUUUAAUUACAUGCCUCUAUUGAAUCGAUCUAUCUCCGGUCUCUGAUCAAUUUUAAUAUUAUUGUAUCGACCCUUGCAUAUUAGCACAGUCGAGCAGUCAAUUUUUGGUCGAAUUCUCAAGUCGAUUACGUUUAGAUUCCUUAACGACUUCACCUGAUAGACUAGUUAUCUCAUGAGUGGCCAACUCAGAGAAAAAGGUCAUAGGCGUGUCGAUGAAAAGCCCAUUUCAUUUCAUCGAAAACAGGGUUGAAAAUCAAGAUGUUACAAUUUUAGAAUGAGAAAGAAUAGAGAGAAAUAUAUGAGGAGAAGAGAGUGACACAACAAGAAAAGAGAAAUAAGAAAAGCAACUGAAGAUUGCUUUAAAAAAAUGCUACCGACAAAACUUAAUAUUGUCAAAACAUUAUGAUAGGGAGUGUUUUAACCGUAGUGGGAGUGCAAAAAGCGCGACCCAAGUAUUUAUUCAACACUGUCCAUGUUUUGACAUAGUGUCGCAACCUAUCCCUCAGUAUGAAGGGAAUAAGGUUUAGGGGUAUUGCUUAAAUGAUAGGCCUAUGAUCCAUGAUUUAGACGUGGACUCUCCCAAGCCCACAUCUUACGUAACGUCGAGUAUACAAAUAGAGGGUAUGAAAAUUUUCAAAAAGGGAGGAGAUGUCACUAGCCUAUUGAGGUCAACUAAAAACUAAGUGAGGCAUGAAAGUAUAUGUCACUUCUUACGCAACCAGAGAGUUUAGGGUUGGAGACUUGAUUACAUCGAUUAAGCAACCAGUGCCUUUUCAAUAUCUAAUGUUGUUCAAUUCCAUAAAAUUUUCGUCAGAUAGUUUGGAUUGAUUUUAAGUUUAUCCAUUAAUAUAUGAGGUGAUCAUGCGGCACGCAAUCAUUAAUGAAACACCCAAUGAUCAAAGCAGUUAAUAAAUUGCAAGGAAAGAGAAGGGUAAUUACCUUAGAGCAAUGUAAGCACCUACGAGGUUAAUUAGAAGAGACACAUAAUCAACUACAAGGUUAAUCAAUACCCAAUUUCAACCAACUACUUUUGGGUUUUCUCUUGUCUGAUGAAAACUAUGCUUUAUGCGCUGUGAGCUUACUCUAAAUGCAAUGACGUUAAGAAGUAAUAAUAUUCAACUAUGAAUCCUAAUUCUAAGGACCGGAAACAAUCAAUAUGCAUUUUAUCCUAGCAUGACACGUGUUCUGAUGUAAUGACCCUAAUGUACAAUCACUAAAUAGCAUGUGAACGAUGACAUGACAUGUGGUGACAUAAGCGAUGACGACGCACAUGAUGUGGCAUUGAUGACAUGGCAUGAUGGUAUACACAAUGACAUGGCAUAAGGACAUGGCAUAAUGAUGAUGUAGCUAAGAGCUAUAUGAUAUGCACAUAACAUGACAUAGCAAAUAAUGAUCAAAUCAAAAACUAUACAACAUGCCCAUGAUAUUUUUGGUGUCUUUUUUUUUUUAAGUGGUAUCUGAACAUGCAAUAUGAACUAAGAAAAGGAAUCUAAUCCAUUAGAUGAUUUUUUGGUAUUUUUAGAACACGGCGGUCGUCCAAAUUAAGGAUGGGAUCUCACUUAAUCCGCACACUCAAUUUCAGAAAUUUCAAAUUAAAUUAUUGUGAUAAUCUUAAAUAUAACCCGUUGUCUCACGAGUUAAAUAAAAGGUUAUCGCAAUCUUUUGACACAACAGUUAUCCAAUAAAAAGUCAAAGUAAUUUAAAAAAAAAAAAAAAGAUCCCAAAUCUUUAUGGAUAAAACUAGUAAUUAAAUUGACUAUUAUCAACAAUGCCUUUAUUGGAUGGUGCAUCAAAUCUCAAAUAUUGCAAUUAGAAACGAAAUCAAUCCGAAAUUAGCAAUUGAAUUUCAAAUCAAAUUGGACAAAAUUGUGACCAAAGUUGGGCGCUCAUAAUCUUUAUCAAAAUUGGACCAGAUCACGACUUGCCGGAGCAAGACAUGUCUUGGAAGAGCAAGGAACACUGAAGGACAACAUUAUAAUUCAUGGCAUAGCAGGAGCUAUCACUAACUAGAGGCGACAACAAGUCUUCCGAAGGUCCAAGUGGCAGCAUGUAAGAGCAACACCACUGUGAACCUGCAAAACAUGGAAUAAUUUGGCUCAAGUAUGCUUGCUACCACCAUAGUUUCAAUCAUGAAGAAAGAUGGACGGAUCCGAGUAUGUGUUGAUUACCGCAACCUGAACAAAGCAAGCCCUAAAGAUGAUUUUCCUCUGUCGCACAUCAAUGUUCUAGUUGAUAGUGCGAUUGAAUCUGAGUUGUUCUCCUUUAUGGAUGGGUUCUUCGAUUAUAACCAAAUCUAGAUGAAGGAAGAGGAUAAGACCAAAAUGUCUUUCAUCACCCCAUGAGGGACAUUUUGUUACAAAGUAAUGCCUUUUUGCCUAAAGAAUGCAAGGGCAACAUAUCAAAGAGUUAUGGUGGUGUUGUUUCACGACAUGAUGCAUGAGGGAAUUGAAGUUUAUGUCGACGACAUGAUUGCUAAAUUGAGACAAGGUGAAUAUCACAUUAAAGUCUUGAAAAAGUUAUUUGACUGAUUGAGGAAGUUCAAGUUGAGACUUAACCCUACAAAAUGCAUAUUCGGGGCAAAGUUUAGGAAGCUCCUUAGAUUCAUGGUUAGUAAUAGGAGCAUCGAGAUCGAUCCCUCCAAUAUGAAAUCCAUAUGUGACUUGAAACCUCCUUCUACUAUCAAGGAAGUUCAAAGCUUAUUGGGAAGGUUAAACUAUGUUGUGAGGUUUAUAUCCUAGUUAUCAUAAACUACAAAGCCAUUCUUCAAGCUGUUGAAGAAAAACACCAAAGUCAAUUGAGACGAAGAAUGACAAAAGUCCCUUGAAGAACUCAAGUGAUAUCUUUCGCAACCACCUGUAUUGAUACUGCCUACUCAAGGCGUACCUUUAAUUCUAUAUCUCACCAUCCAUGAUGGGUCUUUAGGAGUUAUGUUGGCACAAAAAGGACCAAAUGAUGGAAUAGAGUGUGCCAUAUACUAUCUCAAUAAGAAGUUCACUGUUUUUGAGGUCUGAUAUCCUGAAGUAGAGAGGACACAUGUAGCCCUAAUUUGGGUAUUAUACCAAUUGAGGCAAUACACUCUUCAUCACCGCAUCUUUCUAGUGACUGAGAAUGACCCAAUCAAGUACCUUUUGGAGAAACCUAUAUUAGUUGAAGGCUCACUAAAUGGCAAAUUNNNNNNNNNNNNNNNNNNNNNNNNNNNNNNNNNNNNNNNNNNNNNNNNNNNNNNNNNNNNNNNNNNNNNNNNNNNNNNNNNNNNNNNNNNNNNNNNNNNNAAUGCAUGCUGAUUAAGAAGAACCAAAUGGUCACCAUGAUAUACAUACAUGAAUCACCUCCGAGAGAGUAGAAUUUCUCAAGGAAGUCAGGCCAAUGAUCAAUAGAGGAGCCCUUUACAAUAGGUCUUUUGACUCAAUUUGCUUAAGUAUGUUGAUGCACAAUAGGUCAAAUUAUUGAUGAAAGAGAUACAUAAAGGAAAGUGUUGCCCCUAUAUGAAUGGUCAUCUCCUGGCAAGAAAGAUCACGAGGCUAGGUUAUUAUUGGUUAAUUGUGGAAGCCGAUUGUGUUCAACAUGUGAAGUGCUAUCACUAAUGCCAAGUAUAUGGAGACAAGAUCAAUGCUCCUCCUAAUGAACUGAAUCAAAUGUUUAAGUCAUGGCCUUUUUCGAUGUAGGGUAUCGACAUUAUUGGACCAAUCAAUCCCAAGGUGUCAAAUGGACAUCGCUUUAUCCUAAGGCCAUCGAUUACUUCCCCAAAUGGAUUGAAGACGAUUCCUAUGCUCACACUAAUUCAAAAAGCAUGGCAAAGUUCAUCCGUCGUGAUAUUAUUCCUCGAGACAAAAUACCUGAGGUGAUCAUCACCAACAAUGGAUGAAAUCUAAACCAAAAGAUAGUAGACGCCACUUGAAAUCUUCUCCUUAUCGCCCACAAAUGAAAAGAGCUAUAAAAGCAACAAACAAGAAAAUCAAGAAGAUCUUGGCCAAGAUGGCUAAAAAUUACCGUGACCGACUGGAUUGAUUGCCAUGUGCUUUAAUCGCUUAUCAAACUUCUAUUCGUACAUCAACUAGGGCAACAUCAUUCUCAUGGGUGUAUGGAAUGGAAGCUGUGCUACUCGUGGAAGUGGAAAUCCUUUCACUAAGGAUACUUUCGCAAGUCAAGUUCUCUAAAGUUGAAUGGGUUUAAUAGAGGUUCGAAUAACUCAAUAUAAUUGAUGAAAAUGGAUAAAACCCCAAUACCAUAGACAAAGCUACUAAAGACGAGUAGUCAAUUCAUUCAACUGUAAGGUCCAAUAAAGACACUUUGAGAUUAAUGAUCUCGUCCUGAGGAAAAUCCUACCUAUCAUUUUAGAUUCUCGUGGAAAGUUCACUUCAAACUACAAAGGUCCUUAUGUUGUAAAGAAAGUGCUACCAGACGAAACAUUGAUUCUUGUAGAAAAGAAUGGCCAAGAGUUGCUAAAACCUGUAAACGUCGAUACCAUCAAGAAAUAUUAUCCAUAAAUAAAGUGAAAAGCAUUUGAGCUGCUUUUGGAUUGAAUCCGAGCCACUUUAGGAUAAUUGCAUCAUGCAUCUCACGCAUACAUGGCAUAUUUGCAUGUUUGUUCAUUUUACAGGUACAAAACGAUCCCCAAUGGAGACUUCAUCGGUCCUUAGGCGAUCAACCUCAAGAGAACUAAAUUCCCAAAGUUCAACCACUUUCCAUAGAACUUAGGAAAGGUCUGGUCUAUUAGAACACUAAAAGUAAACCCCUAUAAAGUCAAGAGAACGUAUCUUUUGAAAAGCAUCCUUCAUAUCUUAAUUCCCCAUGGAUAGGAAUUUAUCUAAUUGAUGUUUUGAAAAACUCAAAAAUGAGCGUUAAAUAUGCCAAAUGGUAGUGCCUAAGAUGAUGAGAGGCAACCUUUGACCAAACAUGUUCUUGUUCACACUUUGAGAGAAUUGAAUGGAAAAAACCAUGUCUUAAGGCAUAGGGUUUGUUUAUAGUAGAUACAUAGAUUGAAAUGAUAAAUGCAUUUUUUUUUCUCAAUUCCAAAUACUAUUGAUAUCCCUUGCAAGCCAUUUUGAGCCAAAUAAGGAAUAUUUUCAAAAUAACUCUAUCAAGAACAACCCCACAUUAGAGCAAAAUAGAAGAUCUUGGUUGAAGAUUAUAGACCAAAAAAUCAAGAAAGAGUUGAUUGCCUUCACUUGCAUCAAUCUUCUUGUUACAAUUUCAAGUGAAUUUUGGUGGAAGGUUGAAGCAUCCCGAAGUGACAUGGAGCAUUAUGUUCACUAUCCAAACAUAAUUACCAUUUGUUUAGCUAAUUUGAGCCUUAUGCAAUCUUUUUCUGAACCCCAAGUGGUGAUUAUCACCCCACGUCGGGGUGGGGCAUGUGAUUUACCAACAAAAUGAUUAUAAUAUUAGUCACAUUUGUAAAACCACUCGAAAGUCCAAGAUACUCAAAAGAGAUUGAAAACUAGGGGCAUGAAAAAACAAUUUACCUGGUAAAAGUAAGGUCAAUGCUCGUAAAACAAUUCUGUGAAAAAAAUAAGAUCCAUGAUUGCGUAAAAGACUAUUUAUCAAUAAAGGAAAAUAAGAAUUACUUUGCAAAACAUGGGUUGCAAGCAAUAACAUUAGAAAAGAGAGCGAAGCUCUCAAGUCUCAGAUCAAAAUAGUGAAAAGGACUCUUGAAAUAGUUUGAAUUUUAAGAGUCGUGACUUCCCAAAAAGUUGCGUGAUGGAAAUGAUGCCGAAAUAAUCACUCUCUUUCAAUCCUUUGAUAUCCAAAAAAUUUCAAGCCUUUCAAAGCCGUACCUGAGCCAACAAUACAACUAUUAUUCGAAAUCUCUUCUAAUUGUGAUGGUUUGAGUUGAUAUGAGAAUUUCAUAUAGGAGCUAUCACUAGAAGGAGUGAAAGUAAUCGUAUCUUAUCUUAUUUUCAAGGUUCUUGACCUGUAAACCUGAUAAAAAUAUUGAUUGAUUAUUCUUUUCUUGGCCUCAAAAUGCAUACCAUUUGUGUGAGCCCAUGACCAAGCCAUCAUUACAAAGACCUUUUUAUAAGUGAGUUUGUAUUCACUAUGAAUGUUUUCGAAAACCUUAGGCAUAGGUUAUGUAAGACCUCUCAAGUAAGAAUAGAAUAGUUUUCUCACGUCAAAGGAUGGGAACAAAAACCCUUUUGAAAGCUAGUAUGAAAAACCUUUUUGAUUAAAUUAUUUCCAAUUUGAUAUAUUUGAUUUAACACUUAGAUGGUUAAUCAAACUUCAUUUAGUUAAAAUCAUCUUCGAAGAAAUUUGAUAAUUGGUAUUGUUUACCAAUAUGUGUUUGAAUGAUUUCACAAGAUUAGCCUUUGAGCAAUCCCGAAAUUAUUUUUCAAAAUAUAUGUUCCCCAAUGAAUUGGUUUUUGGCUAACCUCAACCAUAACCCUUUGUCCUUAGGUUUUUAGUCAUCCUAAAUCAUAACCCAUUGUUUCCAAUUUUUUAUCAUCCUAAACCAUAACCCUUGUUCUAGGCUUUAUAACCCUUUGUCCUUAGAUUUUUGGUCACCCUAAACCAUAAUCCCUUGUUUCUGAUUUUUUGUCAUCCUAAACCAUAAUCCUUGUUUUAAGUUUUUGGUUAGCCUAAACUAUAUGCGUUAUUUUAGGUUCUCGAUAAACCUUAAACCUUGUCCCUAAGGUUUUUGGUUAGCCUAAACCAUACCCUUUUUUUUAGGUUCCCGGUAAACUUUGAACCUCAUUCUUUAGGUUCUUGGUAAACCUUAAACCUCGUCUCCUAGGUUAUAAGUUAUCCUCAUAAAUCUUGUCCUUAUGUUAGUGGUCAUCCUUAAACCAUUCUCCUUCCUCAACAGUCUCAUUUUCUUCAUUCCAUUCUACAAGAGAGAUUGAGAGAGCAACCUUAAGCAUGAGUUCAAACACUUCAAUGAGCGAAGAUAAUAUUCAGGUAUGUCCUUAACCAAAUGUAAUUUUCCUUUGUUAUUUUCUUUUCCCUAGAAUGGAGCUGACUAAAAAUUGCUAGUAUCAAUUUAUCUUUGAGUGAAACCUCUUUGAACUCCCACUCAAAGGAGGGGGGGGGUAAUUUUUGAUACAUGAGUUUUAAUCAACAAGUCAGAAAAAUAAAAUAAAAAAAUCGAGAUUUGGAUUUCUAAUCAUGACGGAACCCGUUUCUCUAUCAAAAAGUGUUGUUUUUCAUUUAUUUCUUUUGCAUUGUGGCAUUUAAGCAUUUCCCUAUUCAUUUUAAAGAAAAAUCCAAAAAAUCAAAUGGUUGACUUUCAGAUUGACUUUUUGAUCAGAAAGUUGACCAAAAAGUCAACCCUAUGUCAAAAAUUGGCUUUUUGCCAAAAAAGAUGUCAAUUAGCUUUAAUUUCACUUUUGUUAAAUUAAUUUUUUGAGAAUUUAAGGAUUUCACUCUAAAAAUUAACAUUUUAGAAAAAAAAAAUUAUUUUCAAAAUUUCAAAUUUUCUAAAUUCUCAAAAUGCUUUAUUUUAGUGUCAAUUUGACUUUUGUAUCAAAAAUUUUACAAAAUUCGAUUAAGAACCUUAUUUUCCUGAUUUUUUGGUUUUAGGUUUUAAAUCGACUAAAAAUAAAAUUUAUUUUAUUUUAGCCAUAGUUUGGUGUAGUUCCAUUUACGAUAUUUGGUUUAUUUAAUUUUUCAAAUUGCCAUAUCGAAAAAUGAAUUGCCAUUUUAAGCUCUAACUAGGGGAUCAAAAUUGACUCUUCAUGAUUUAUGAACGAACAAUUUUUUUCCACUUAUUUUCUUAAGAUUAGUCAAAAUCCAAGGUCAACUUUGAGAAUUCACAUGAGAACUUCCUAAUUUGAGAGAUUUUACUUUCUUGAAGAUAAGAAAACCGAGCUAUCGAGAAUUAAUUGAAUAAAUUUGGGUUGACUCAUUCAACACCAUAGUUCAAUUUCACGAAUCUAGGCCCAAUUUCAAUAUUAGACCUCGAUUCAAUUUCUCUAAGUCUUAGCACUAUAAUCCGAGGUCAAUUUAAAUUCAUUUGGUGAUCCUACACAUGGGUAAUUAAUCAAGAUGGUCUAUUGCAAUAUUAAUUGAAUUUAAUUUCAAAUAAAUUCGCUAUUUUGACCAUAAAAUUGCAAAAUUGCUCAUUUUAAGUCUUAAAGACUCGAUUUCAAGUACCCAUAGUUUUGGUCCAUUAUUUUUACAAUAAUCACUUAAUUAAAUCAAUAGAGAAUCCAUAAAUUGCAUUAAUGAAAUUUAAUUGGCUUAAUUGAAUAAGAAUCGGACAAUUUCUCCUUAAAUUGUGUAAGUUUUCUCUCUAAUUUGGUCCUUGCAUAAAUUUCGAACCCACAAGGACCGCACAGAUUAGAACUAGCAAGAACCGGCCAGAAUUGGUCAAACCGGCGUGAACUUGCUUGACUAAUUCGAUUGACCGCUGGUGAUGUAGGUCGAUUCUGUUGGAGAAAUCCUCAUGAAGAGUUUUGAAGUUGACAAAACGUAUCCUUCGAUCUAGUCUGAAAGUCUGCAGACUCUGUCAGUUUAAAGUCUGAAGACUUCUGGACAGCCAGACUCAAGACUCAAAGUCUAUCAUCAUUGACAGUCUCGAAUCCAUUGAAGAAAGGUUAUCCAGAACUAAGUGGUUUGUUCGGGAUUUAACCUUAUCAUCUGGAGAAGAUCUCGUGGCUGGAGAAGACAUAUCAGAAUCCUUUGAUUGAUCAAGAUUGAUUCAAUGACUGAAGAUUCGAUGAUUGUCUAUAUAUUAUCGGAAGGUUCUACUUAUGGAAACCGAGAUCCUGAUUGUAUGGGCGAACAGGAUUGAUGGGCUAUCAACAUGUUCCUUUAAUAACUCGAACAAUCUUCCUAAUUGAUUCUGUCCAACGGUUAGAUUGGAGGAAUUCCUUUGGUAAGUGCCAACGGGUAUGAUGGCAUAAAGGAAUAUAUAAGGAAGACGUUCUUAGUUGUUUAAGAGAGGGUGCGCGAUAGAAAAAUUCCAAAGUCUGACGCUCCCAUUUGUUUAGAUAAAUCUCUUGAGCGAAUACUUGUAUACAAAAGAGAGUCUAUAUUUGUGAGAGACCUUGAGGAGGUGUGGUAGAACAUCUACACUGUGGAAUCAAGGCAAAGCUGUGCUGUAACUUCUCUUUUGAUUAUAGUGAAAUCCAGCCGGUGGGCUGUCAGUGCGGAAGAGUGGACGUAGGCUUGGAAUAAGCCGAACCACUAUAAAUCCUGUGUUUAAUUUUCUCUUCCUUACUCUCUUUACUUCAAUCGUAUUUCAAUCUGUUAAGAAUUGCUUCCGUAUUCAAGAAAAAUUGUUUGUGCGCCUAUUCACCCCCCUCUAGGUGUUUAUACUAUCAAUAUCAAUUGGUAUCAGAGCCUGUGUACUUACUUUAUUUGAAGUGUUUUACUUCAUAGUAAAAGAUCCAUGGCUAGUAUGCUAGCACCAGGGCUGAUGGAAGGGCAAAGCAAUACCAGACCACCUUACUUUGAUGGAAAGGAUUACAACAUCUGGAAGAACAAGAUGAAAGCUUUCCUACGAUCAAAGGAUCCUCUGGAAUGGGAUGUUGUAGAAAAAGGAAUAAUUCCUACCACUGCACCAGUCUCUGAAAGAGGAAAAGAUACUGAAGAAUCCAGCGGAUUGUCUCAGGAAGAAAUAACCAAAAGACAAACACUCGAUGCAAAAGCAAUUUACUCUUUAUAUUGUGCUUUAUCACCAACUGAGUAUAAUAGAAUAUCUUCUUGUGGUACAGCAAAAGAAGUUUGGGACAGAUUGCAUAUCACCUAUGAAGGAACAGAUCGAGUGAAGGAAACAAGAAUCAACAUUCUUCUCGGUCAAUAUGAAGCCUUUAGAAUGAAACCAGGAGAAUCAAUAUCUGAUAUGUUUAGUCGUUUUACAGAUAUUGUGAAUGGUCUUGAAAAUCAAGGUCAACCAACUUCUGAUCCCAUGAAGGUAAACAAGCUUCUGCGUGGACUCUCCAAGGAUUGGAAUCACAUAAAGACUUCGAUAAGAGAGACGCAGAGAAUUAUGCCACUGUCUGUUGAUGAGCUUAUUGGAACGCUUCAGUCCUAUGAAGUGGAAAGGAUCAAUGAAGAAGAAGAUCCAAGAGGUAAGAAAUCCAUUGCAUUAAAAUCAAAUGAUGAUUCUGAUGUUACAGAUUCUGAAGAUGAUAUGGACGAUGAGGAGCUUGCUCUCAUGAUAAGAAGAUUCAGAAAACUAAAUAGAAAAGGGAGAAGGUUCAACUCAAAGAAACCAGGCUUUCAAAGACAGCAGACCAAGUCUGUUGAUGAUGAGGAACCAAAUAAAGAUGUAGUCUGCUUUGAAUGCAAGAAGAAGGGACACAUCAGACCCAACUGUCCUCUUCUGAAGAAGAAGAAAGGAAAAGCUGAAAAGUUUCGAAAAGCUCUCAAAGCUGAAACCUGGAGUGAUACUGAGUGUGAAGAAAGUGAUAAUGAAUAUGCAAAUCUAUGUCUGAUGGCACGAUCAGACUCAGACUCUAGAUCAGACUCAGGAUCAGACUCAGACAGUGAAUUUGAGGCAAGUAAUUUUAAGAUUCCUGUCAAAGUUUCUAAAUAUAUUGAUGAACUAUGCUUAAGUCUUAAGACUUCUCUCAAAAGUAUUUCCAAAUUAAAAAGGGAAAACUUAGCUCUAAAACAAAAGGAAAAUGUUUUAACAGAAAGAGUUAAAAGCUUAGACUUGUCUGUUUCUAAUCUUAAAGAAAAAGAAGGAAAUCUCUUAAAAGAAAAUGCUUUCUUGAAAACAGACUUAUCAAAUAUAUCAAAGAAAUUUUCAAUAGGGUCUGAAAAACUUGAGAAAAUUCUUUCAGCACAAAGACCUUACUUCAAUAAGUCUGGUCUAGGUAUGACAGAAGAAACAAUUCCAUUGAUUGAUUUUCCUAAAGUAAAAGAAAGAAUUAAGAAAAGGCUUUCGAGUGAAGUUUACAAAAAUCAUUUUAAGAAAGUCUUUGUAAAACCAGUAGGAAGAAAUUCUCUCAGAUGUUCUAAGUGCGACAGUAAGGAACACUUUGAAAAAGAGUGUCCUUUGGUAUGGAAACCUAUUAAAAGAGUAUGGGCUAAUACUGUUUAUCUUACUAACACCAAAGGACCCAAGAAAGUUUGGGUACCAAAGAAAGCUUGAGACUCUUUAUUAAAUACAGGUCUCCAUCAAGAAACAGGUAAAGUGGUAUCUUGACAGCGGUUGCUCAAGACACAUGACAGGAGACUCAAAUUGCUUUAUAAAGCUUGCUCAAGUAAAUGGUGGAAAAGUUUCAUUUGGAGGAAACAACAAAGGAAGUAUUGUGGGAUUUGGAACCGUGAAAAUUGGGACUCUCACAAUAAGUAAUGUUUCCUUGGUGGAAGGACUCAAUUACAAUCUUCUCAGCAUUAGUCAAUUGUGUGAUACUGGUUUCAAGAUCUUCUUUCAAGAAGGGACAUGUUCUGGAGUCAGUAAAGACUCUACUCAAUCUUUUCUGGGUCGAAGACAUGGAAACAUCUAUCUUCUGGAUGUGAAACCAAAUGAAUCGCAAUGUCUUAUCUCAAUUCAAGACGAAGCAAGCUUAUGGCACAAAAAGCUUGGUCAUGUCAACAUGAAGCAAUUAGCCAAAAUCUCAUCAAAGCAGCUUGUUCGAGGUCUACCCAAAUUGCCAUACCAAAAGACUUAUUCAUGCACUCCAUGUAUUCUGGGAAAGCAGGUAAGAAAUUCUUUUAAGCCAAUAAAUCAUGUCUCUACUAAUCAUGUUCCGCAGUUGCUGCAUAUGGAUCUCUUCGGACCAACCAGGACUCAGAGUAUUGGGGGUAAGAAGUAUUGUCUAGUAAUUGUUGAUGAUUACUCCCGUUUUACUUGGGUAUAUUUCCUUUCAAGUAAGUCCGAAACCUUUUCGUAUUUUGAAAAAUUUGCUAAAAAGGUUCAAAAUGAAAAAGGAUGUGUAAUCUCUUGUAUAAAAUCAGAUCACGGAGGAGAAUUUGAAAAUCAAGAUUUUACAAAAUUCUGUGAUGAAUCUGGAUGUAAACAUGUGUUUUCUUCUCCAUAUACUCCUUAGCAAAAUGGGGUUGUGGAAAGAAAGAACAUAUCUCUUCAAGAAAUGGCUAGAACUCUUCUAAUUGAAAGUAAAAUUUCUUCUCGAUUUUGGGCUGAAGCUGUUUCAACAGCUUGCUAUAUCAUCAAUAGAGUCUUCUUAAGAUCUAUUCUUCAGAAAACCCCUUAUGAGUUAUUCAAAGAAAAGAAGCCUAUUGUUUCAUACUUUCAUGUAUUUGGUUGCAAAUGUUUCAUAUUGAAAAAUGCAAAAGAUCGUGUUGGUAAGUUUGAAGAAAGAUCAGAUGAAGGUAUCUUCCUUGGAUAUUCUACUUCAAGCAAAGCUUACAGAGUCUAUAACAAGAAGAGUCAGUCUGUAGAGGAGUCAAUGAAUGUCAAAUUUCAAGACUCAACGCAAGAUGAAUCAAGUCAGACUCAUCAAGAAGAGUCUGAACCUGCUCCAGACCCUCCAAAGUCUACAACUCAAGAAGCAUCUCAGACUCUGGAAAACCAGCAUCAGGUUGUUAGUGAAGAUCCAAAUAAAGAAAGAGAUCAUCAACCAGACAAAUCAACAAGUAACUGGAAGCAUAAAUCCAGUCAUCCCAAAGAUCUUAUAAUUGGCGAAAUGAAUGAAGGAAUUCGCACCAGAUCCAAAAGGCGAGAAGAGUCUAGUGCUGUGGCUCUUGUUUCUAAAAUUGAACCAAAGAGCACAGAAGAAGCUUUAUCUGAUGAAAGCUGGAUUGAAGCUAUGCAAGAAGAGCUCAGACAAUUCAGCAUAAAUGAUGUCUGGGAAUUGACAUCCAAACCAAAAGGUAAAACUGUUAUUGGAGCCAAAUGGGUGUUCAGAAACAAGAUGAACAAGAAAGGAAAAGUCAUACGAAAUAAAGCAAGACUUGUGGCCAAGGGAUAUACGCAAGAAGAAGGAAUAGACUAUGAUGAGACUUACACUCCAGUAGCAAGGUUAAAAGCUAUUCGUCUAUUACUUGCGUUUGCUUGUUAUAAGAAUUUCAGGUUAUUCCAAAUGGACGUCAAAAGCGCAUUUCUGAAUGGAUUUAUCCAUGAGGAAGUUUAUGUGGAACAACCGCCAGGGUUUGAAGACCCAAAGAAGCUAGACUCAGUCUUCAGACUGAAAAAGGCUUUGUAUGGUUUAAAGCAAGCACCUCGAGCUUGGUACGACAGGUUAAGUAAUUUCCUUUUACAAAAUGGUUUUGUCAAAGGUAAAGUAGAUACGACUUUAUUUAUCAAGAAGGAAAACAAAAGUUUCUUACUUGUUCAAAUAUAUGUAGAUGAUAUUAUUUUUGGAUCCUCUAAUGAAAGUCUGUGCAAGAAAUUUUCAAAGUCUAUGCAGGAGGAGUUUGAAAUGAGUAUGAUGGGAGAAUUAACAUUCUUUCUUGGUCUUCAAAUAAAGCAAUUGAAAGAAGGAACUUUUAUUUUUCAAGAAAAAUAUGUUAAUGAUCUUGUCAAAAGGUUUGGACUGGAGAAUUGCAAAAAGGUCGACAUACCAAUGUCAAGUUCUUUAAAGAUAGACAAAGAUGAAGAAGGAAAGAAAGUUGAUCAAAAGCUGUACAGGAGCAUUAUCGGAUCACUUCUUUAUCUUACUGCUUCUAGACCUGAUAUUUUGUUAAGUGUUUGCAUCUGUGCAAGGUUUCAAUCAGAUCCUAGAGAAUCUCAUCUCAGUGCUGCGAAACGCAUCAUCAAAUACGUCGCUUCAUCAUCAAGCAUCGGUCUUUGGUAUCCUAAGAAGGGAGACUUUAAUCUUCUGGGUUAUUCAGACGCAGAUCUGGCCGGUUGCAGAGUUGAUAGAAAGAGCACUUCAGGAACUUGCCAGUUGCUUGGAAGCAGAACAGUGUCUUGGUUUUCUAGGAAGCAAAGUACUGUGUCCCUUUCAACAACAGAAGCAGAGUAUGUAGCUCUUGGAAGCUGCUGUUCGCAAAUUCUAUGGAUAAAACAACAGCUAAGAGAUUUUGAAAUUGAAGACUCAUGCACGGAGAUUAAUUGUGACAACACCAGCGCUAUCAACCUCACCAAAAAUCCAAUUCUUCACUCAAGAGCAAAGCAUAUAGAGAUUCGACAUCACUUCAUUAGAGAUCAUGUUCAAAAUGGAGAUGUCUCAAUUCAAUUUGUUGACUCAAAGAAUCAACUGGCUGAUAUACUCACAAAGCCUUUGGACAAAAAUCAAUUUGAGUCUAUACGGACCAGACUCAACAUUUUGAGGUAUGAGGAUAUCAAAGUCUAAAGACCUUCAGACUCAGGCUUAUAAGACCUUAUCUACAGUCUUGUCUCAACCUUUAGACUGUAAGUCUUUCUCUCUCCAAUCUUAUCUUGAAAAGGUACGAUCAUCAGACUCUGUUUAAAUUGUUGCUAUAUUUAUUAACCGUAAAUUUUGCAACAAUUCAUUUUCAAAAAGGAAGUUACUUCUGAAAUAGCUAUUUUUCCGGAUAAAGGCGGUUAUUUUGAAAAGGCAUAUUUUAUUUCCUUUGUGACGAUUCGUUUUCUUCUCUUUUUAACCGAACGAACACUAUCGAUUACUCUUCACCUUUCUAUUCACUUUACUCUCAAAACCCUAGAAAACAUCGAUCCUCCACUUCCGUUUGUCUCCUUCGUUCAAUCUUAAAAAGUUGUCAUCUUUUCUGUGAAAGUCAAGCAAGAAAUCUUCCAGUGACUGAGAAAGAUGUCGUUUUCAAGAAAGUCCUCAAGAAUCGCAAGCAGGGGUCCACAGAGAAUGAGUGAAGGGCCUACUCACUUUGAUCUUACGGAAGAUGAAGUUUCUCCAGAUCAGCAUCCGAGCCCACAACAUUCUCAGCAGCGUCACUCUCCAUCAUCUAGUCCUCAAGACAUUGUUCAACAGGAAGAAAUCAUCGAGGAAGCAGACCCCGUAAGAACUCAAAAGCCUGCUUUUAUCUACAAGUUAUAUCGUGCUUUAAAAGGAAUUCGUACUCCUUUGAACUAUAUUGAUAGUUUUGUUAAAGAAAAAGGAUAUAGGAACGAAUAUAUCUUUAUGAAAAGAAUGGAAAGUUUGGGAAUUGCUCGUAAAGGGGUGGCUGAGGAAACCCUUGCGAAUAUCCCAAGUGAUCCUCGUGACUGGGGGCCAAAUCCUGUAGAUGGGAAUGAUGAUGACAAUAUGUUCAGUUUAUUUCAACCGAAAAUGGGUAUUGCGGCUGAAAUUCAAGGAAAAAGGGGAGAUUUGUUCAGAUCAAAGGAACAAAAGGAUCUGUACUCGAAAUUGCUGAAGCGUGGGGUAAUAAACCCUAGAAGUGUGGACUUUGAUUUUCUGGAUGCUGUGAAAGUGAACUUGAGGGAAAAGUUCAGUUAUCUUCAAUUGGAAAAGUUCUGUUCUAACUCAACUGAGGCUUAUGCUGAAUUGACUGCUUACUUCUAUUCAAAUCUUAGCUUUUUAGAUGCGAAUAGAUUUUCCUUCAGUGUCAAAGAACAAGACUAUGUUGUAGAUAUGGAUAUGCUGGCUGAUGUGUUAGAAGUUGAGAGAGGCAGAUAUCAACCGAUUAAAGUUUCCAUUGCUCGGGCCACUCUUGAACUGGUGAAGGACAGGAGAACAGAAGAGAAGAUCACCUACUCAAGGAUGAAUGCAUUCAACAUCCUGCUUCACAAAACUGUGAUUAAUUGCCUUCGGCCGAAAUCAACUUCCAAAACUGAUGUUUCAAGCUCUGAGGCAAAGCUGAUGUAUGCCAUCCUCUGUGGAAAGAAGUUUUCUCUCCCUCAUACUAUCAUGUUUCACAUGUAUAGAGCAGUGAUGAAGGACAGAGGUCAACUCCCUUAUCCAAGCCUUGUUACGAAGUUAUUCAGACAUCUGAAUAUUCAGCCUCCACAAAUCCUUUGUGUUCGAUCAUGCGAUCAAAUGGUGGUAGGACUGAAAAUGGUGACUAAAAUGCGUCUGAAAGAACUGAGCAAUGAAUUGGAGAAAUUCAAGGAGAAGACUCCUGCCAAGUCUCAUCAACUCUCUUCUGCUGCUAAGAGAAAAGGGAAGGAGCCCAUGGCUGCUCCAUCAAAGAAAAGAAGAGUUCUCCUCGUUGAGGAUGAAGAUGAUGAUGAUGACAUCACCAUCUCUGCAAUGGCUUUAAAGAACUUAAGUCGUCCUGUUCCACAGAAAGAAUCGGAACAAAAGACGAAAGAAGCAGAGAAAGAGGAAGAAGAAAGAGAAGCAAAGGAGAAGGAGGAAGGAGAAAGAGAAACAGAACAAGAAGCAGAGCAAGAAAGACCUGAAGAAGAAGGAAGAGAAGGAGAAACUGAGGAAAUCUCUUCUCCACCUGUAGGCAUGAAAACAGGGGGAGUUCAGGAGAAAGGGGUGACAUCUUCAUUUCCAGAUGAAAGUGAAGGAGUGACAUCUUCAUUUCCAGAUGAAAGUGAAGGAGUCAGUCGUUCGCCUGCAGACCCAGAAGAUGUUUAUGCAUCUCAAUUUCCAGAGGAAGGUCAUGAAGCUUCAUCACCAAACCUGCGAGAUUAUGCUGAUCCACCAUCGUCUGCUUUUACUCCAUCAGAACGAGCAGAAGCAAGUACUCAGACUGAUAAUGGAGCAGAUUUUCGCAGAAUCAUGGAUAUUCUAUUGGAGAUGAAAGGUCAGAUAUAUGCCUUGGGAUGCGAAGUUCAAAGCUUGAAGAAUGAAGGUCAAGCUUCUUCCUGUUCAUUAAAUGAAAAGAUGCAAGCCCUCUCUAUUCAGAAUCAGGCCAAUGCCAAGAGUGAGGAGGUUGUACAGCUGAAGGAAGACUUUAAGAGGCUGGAAGGCAUUGUUCAGUCUAUGGAAGAUUUCCAGCUUGUCCGCGUUCCCAAGCAAUCUUGAUUUCAUCUCAUCCUUUUUAAAUGUUGACAAAAAGGGGGAGAGAUGCAUGAUUUGAAAAACAAAACUUUCAAUCUUUUUAUUUUGAUGGAUUAUGUUUAAACUGUCUGUUUGUUUUUGACAGACUUUGACUUUAUUUUGUGUCUGGAUGCCUAGACUUGGAUUUAACUUGACUGCUUCUAUUUAUCAAUAUUGAUAUCUUAUGAAUGGCUUAAUCAUAUAUUGGACUAACUUAUUUUCUGUGGUUGCAGAAUCUAGUGUUAUUCUAUUAGCCAUUUAUUUCAAUAAGAUAUGCAUAUGUGUUUGAGAAAUGUUUUGCAGGUCAAAUUUAUCCAAAUCUGCAGGAAGGUUUUGUCACCAUCAAAAAGGGGGAGAUUGUUGGAGAAAUCCUCAUGAAGAGUUUUGAAGUUGACAAAACGUAUCCUUCGGUCUAGUCUGAAAGUCUGCAGACUCUGUCAGUUUAAAGUCUGAAGACUUCCGGACAGCCAGACUCAAGACUCAAAGUCUAUCCUCAUUGACAGUCUCGAAUCCAUUGAAGAAAGGUUAUCCAGAACUAAGUGGUUUGUUCGGGAUUUAACCUUAUCAUCUGGAGAAGAUCUCGUGGCUGGAGAAGACAUAUCAGAAUCCUUUGAUUGAUCAAGAUUGAUUCAAUGACUGAAGAUUCGAUGAUUGUCUAUAUAUUAUUGGAAGGUUCUACUUAUGGAAACCGAGAUCCUGAUUGUAUGGGCGAACAGGAUUGAUGGGCUAUCAACAUGUUCCUUUAAUAACUCAAACAAUCUUCCUAAUUGAUUCUGUCCAACGGUUAGAUUGGAGGAAUUCCUUUGGUAAGUGCCAACAGGUAUGAUGGCAUAAAGGAAUAUAUAAGGAAGACGUUCUUAGUUGUUUAAGAGAGGGUGCGCGAUAGAAAAAUUCCAAAGUCUGACGCUCCCAUUUGUUUAGAUAAAUCUCUUGAGCGAAUACUUGUAUACAAAAGAGAGUCUAUAUUUGUGAGAGACCUUGAGGAGGUGUGGUAGAACAUCUACACUGUGGAAUCAAGGCAAAGCUGUGCUGUAACUUCUCUUUUGAUUAUAGUGAAAUCCAGCCGGUGGGCUGUCAGUGCGGAAGAGUGGACGUAGGCUUGGAAUAAGCCGAACCACUAUAAAUCCUGUGUUUAAUUUUCUCUUCCUUACUCUCUUUACUUCAAUCGUAUUUCAAUCUGUUAAGAAUUGCUUCCGUAUUCAAGAAAAAUUGUUUGUGCGCCUAUUCACCCCCCUCUAGGUGUUUAUACUAGCAAUAUCAGAUUCGACCUCUUGCCAGCUAGUUCCGGACCUCUGGCGACCGGUUCCGAGCUCUUAACCUCGUCAAUUUUAUCUUUGUGCCCUUACAUUUUCAUGAUUUUGUGAAUUGAUCCUCGAAUUUCGUGAAUUUGCAAUUUGAUUCCUAAUUAGGCCCUUAAGCACAAUUCUUGUUUUAAACUCAAAUUGGACCCAUCCGAUCGAUUUCCCGACACUUCUUAAUGAUGUUUAGCCCUUUAAAAUUUUGAUUUAGCUAUUAUAUUAAGAUUUUGGCCGUUGGAUCAAACCGACAGCAAAAAUCAACUGAUUUGAGGUUAGUAUAAGUGGGUUUUUCCCUCCAAAUUUCAUUUUGCAUCACUUUCUCUCUCUUAGCAGAAUUCUCUCUCUCAUCUCUCCUUUUUUCCCACCUAAAUCGUUCUCUCUCUCUCUCUCUCUCUCUCUCUCUCUCUCUCCUUUGCGCACCGGCCUCCAUCAGUUCAUGGCCGCACGCCGCCCAUUUUAUCGCCUCCGGUUGUCCCUCAAGCGUUUGUUGUCCUUUCAUCCGACUUGUCCCUCAAGCGUUGGUUGGAUCGGUGAGCCUUAUCUCAUCGAUUAGCAACCAAUGGUGGUCCGAGUUGACGCUGACCAUCGCCGGUCGAGUUCCAGAUUGAGCCUCGACCUUACUGUGGUUGGGGAACUAUUGGAGGAUCACUGGAUUUCUCCCAGUAGCUGGAUCAUUUACGGGCAGCCUUAAAUCGGUCCAUAUCAAACCAAUUUUAAUUAGACCAACCAAUAGUCACCAAAGAUCCCUGAGGUCGCCGAUCACCUCCGAUUAGGUACUGGACACAUCCUUGACCUCUGGACGGACGAAGUUCAAUCGAUCAAAUCUCUAGCGGUCCAUUCCUCGUCUGGCAUUUGAAAACCCGUCCAUAUUUGGACCGGUAUUACUCGUGACCGAACCGGCAGUCUAAUCCUUUCUAUGAUGGUCCAAGGUAAUCUGAUUCGAUCUUUGGAGGUUAGAUUGAGCUCCGUUUGAGUUCCAACACUGAUCAAUUCAUCCAAUCGUGUAAAAAUCAAUGAAAUUGUGCAAAAGGUAAAGAUCUCGAACUUGAAUCCGAUAAAGCGAGGUUAGAAUAGCUAGUCGAGGCUAGGAUUCACACUAGGAACUAUACAAAUGCCUAGAUAAAUUGUUGAUAGGCUUGAUCAAUGAUUUGCUGAGGUUGAAUGGAGAUUGAAGAUGAUUUGUGGUUGAUUGUGUGAUUUUGGUGCAAACCUGCAAGUUUUGUGCAUUUGUGAUGUAGUUGUUGUUUGGCCUAAAACAAGGCAUUAGAUGACAUUAUUUAAACUUGAGUCUUGACUUAGAAAAUGCAUUUUGAGACCUUUGAUUUGAUAGGUCGCACGCCCUGAAUGGGCGUUGUUUGACUCUCGAAAAAUGCCUCACAAUUUGCUCAAUUUUAUAGAUUUUUUUUACACGUUUUAGGUUUUGUUCUUAUUCCGCCUCUGGAAUUUGCUAUUUUUCUACUAAUUCUGUGAUUGAUUUUUGAAAAAGAUUUCUUCACAGAACUUGUUCCAAAGCGUCUUUGUAUAACAUACUUUUUUUCAGACUUUUUGAAAAUGUUUUAUUAGGUCAAAACCACCUAAAUCCAAGCAUAGGUCAACCUACCCUACACUAAUCCAAGACAUUUUUGUCAAAUUGAGUAUAUAAAUGAGUUCAUUUGGUGACGAUUGAAGUAUAUGUCAUGUGCUUUGCAUCGAUACAUGAUUUGCAUGAUUUCAUCGCCAUUUGGUAUGUCGUUUGCAUGUUUAAACACAUAUAGGUCCUGCUGCAACUAGGAUGUUUAGCAACAUAUGUGUGUUUUGCUAUUUUCAUCACGAUUCGUGUGACUCAAUUAGAUUUUGAGUUCUUAACGAAAAACGCUUGCUAGUGUGUGUUUUGUGUAUGAGAUUGUUCGUUAGAUUUCUACAUAUCCUUGUGAGAUUGAAAUCAUGCCUAUUAUGUAAUAUUAAGGUUAGACUAAAAUCUUAUCAUGUAUGCACUUUAUCAUGCUCGUUUGGGUUUCUUAGGGACCAAAUUUCAUGUCAAUGCUUGCUUGAAUAUUAGAGUGCGCAUUGCAAGCUUCGUGUGCAUGUGUGGCUUGUCAUGAUUGAGUGUCAUUUGAUAUGUGAAAUUUAUGCCGCAAUUACGCUUGUUGCACUUUGAAAUCCUCAAGUAUGUCAUUAUAGUCUUAAAUCAUGUUGCAUUGACAUCAACUCGUGUGGCACUUUUACAUGCCGAUUUAGGGUUAAAUGUUUACCCUAAUCACUUGUCACAUCUUAUUCUUGGUCAUGUGUGAUUUCCAUGCUGUUUGUGCAUUGCAUAAGUGCUUUUAGGGCUUAAUAAUGCAUAUUUGCAUUCUAGUUUGUUAAUGACCGAUGCACGCACUUUUAGAAAUCUCAAUUUCUGAGCACCGAAUUGACUUCAAUUGAAACCCGAACCCUUCUAAGAAGUUGUAGAAUAUGCUUAAACCUUUCAAGUGUCGCUGGUUUCGCACAAAUUGCUCACGUUAGACAUAUUUUCCAUUUUUUUCUAAACUAGAUUAGAAUUCUCACUUAGAAGUAAAAUUGGAACCCUACUUUUACUCUUGUUUUGGCAUACUUUUGCCAUUUUCGUGUAGGGAUUCUUGAGUUGAUUCUUUAACAAAAUUUGUUUGUGGCUCUUUGAACUACAUUAUGGUAAAUUUUCAUGGUUUUUAGAUACUUUUUGAGAGGGAAAAUCUCAGUUGCAAUAACUUAAUGUACUACUAUUUUGACAAUUUUCUAAUGUGAUGAGGUGCAUUAUUACAUUUUUUAUAAAAUCAUGCUUAACUUUCCUCAGGAAACUUUCUUCAGGAAAGUUGUUCCAUAUUAUGAUAUGCAUGCUGUGUAAUUUUCUCAGAAGUAAAUUAUUAGAUUUAAUGUUGCUGAUUUAAUGUGCUUUGUAUGAAAUUAGCUGUUAUAAGCUUUGCUUACAAUUGCUUAUCAGAGAUUUCUAGGAUAGUUUAUGCAUGGAAUUAGGACAUGUCAUCUUCAUGAAGUUUGUUUUAAAUCUCUUGAUCUUCAUUGUCAAAAUGUUUUCAACAAAUGGAUUGAUCUUUUGAUCAUAUUUUUCAAAAUCUUGAUUAGAAACACUUGUCAUUGCAUGUUGAAAUGCUUUUGGUACACGUGAUGUAUCUAAUGUUUAAUGUUUUCAAAUUCUUUAUGAAACCUUUGAUUUGGCAUUGUGAUUGUCAUGAUUUGGACCGUAUUUCAAAUGCCUGCGAUGUUUGUGAGUGUAUUUAUGCUAGCCCUAGACUAGCCUUGACAAUUAAAUGUGUUCCAUAACCGAGAUGUCUCGUUGUCUCAAAAUCCUAUUUUUAGUUAUCAAUUUUGAAGGGAUAAGUGCUGCAAAAGUCCUAAAACUUGUCACGAAAAUGCAAUUGAGUCCUAAAACUUACAAAAAGUGAAAUUAAGUCCUAAAACUUGUCAAAAUGUUUCAAUCGAGUCCUAAAAUCGACGCUGUCAAAUUUCCUAACUGAAAAAGCUGACGUGACGCGGACGUGGCUUUUUUUAAUCAUUUCUCUCUCCCACGUGGCAAAUAGUUAAAGAAAAAUUUUCCGUUAGGAAAUUUGACGGCGUCGAGUUUAGGACUCGAUUAAAACAUCUUGACAAGUUUUAGGACUUAAUUGCACUUUUUGCAAAUUUUAGGACUCAAUUGCAUUUUCUUGACAAGUUUUAGGACUUCUGCAGCACUUAUCCCUUUUUCAAAUUCAUCUUUGAUAUAUUACAUGAAGUCAUGUCAUUCAUUAGAAAUGCUUGUGUUUGUGAUUGGGGCAUACCUAUUGAAUAAGUGACCCGCCGACGGUUCACUCAGUUGUGUGAUUGUUUGAGAAAUAAGACUUAAAAGCCUACCUAUAUGUUUAAUUCAUGCCAAUGCUUGUGGAUUUUAGAUGUAUGUUAUAUAUGAUGCCCGAUACCGAGGAAAAAUCUUGAGGAAUCACCUAGACCAUCUCUUUGGGGAUUUAUAAGUGUUAUUGGUCAUGUGAGAGCACAAAUGAUCAAUAAUGGCUAUAAGUCAUAAAAUAAAUUUGGUAGAUGUCAAGAGAGACCUACAUAUGAAUUGUAAAGGUCGAUCCCGAGGACAAAAUUUGGUCAAUUUAAAACCUUGCUUCAUUUGAUCAAUUGAUUUUGAUUCUAUGUCAUGCUUUUGACUGUUUUGUAAUGUAUAGAUGUUUCUUUCCAUUUUAUGUACCUAAUUCUAGUUUUUAGGUUAGGGCUCGAUUAGGUCCAUGGAGGUUCAAGAUCACGAAGACAUGAAGAUGGCAAAGGUCGAUGUCCAUUCCAACCAUACUAUUGUACCCAUUUUUCCGAUAUAUGUUUCAGGUUUGUCAUUUGUAUAAACCCCCUAUGAGACGUGGGUUUUACUUCUUCCACUUUAUUUUUGUUCAUUGUUUAAGAUGUAUGCUAGAUUUACCAUUUUCCAUCAACUGCUCAAUUGUUUGUUUACUUACCGUCUUAUACUUUAAAUAUAAUUGUGUGUUUUUUUUCUUUUCUAUAGAAAUAGAAUUGCACAAAAAUGACCAUCUACACGUGAUCACUUAGUUUAGGAUCAUUGAAUCAAAAAAGUAAAAAGAUACGAGUGAUCACUUUAGGUUACACGACAUACCAUUAGGUACUGAAGGACAUUAAUAAAAAUAUUAGCUUAAUCCAAGUCCCCGAACCUAGAUAUCUAGUUGCAUAAAAAUCGAGGAAUAACUCCUAACCCUCAAUUAGAUUUUCUAGCCAACCCCCAAAAACGAGAUUAGUGACAACUCCCAUUUUGUUUUCUAUGUUGUCUUAAACAACUAGAUCGCUUAAUAAACCUGUGUGAGGGGUAUAAACCUUAUGAAAAGGUUUACCAUUAUGAUUUAGCAUACUUAAGAUUAGGGGUGAGCAGCGGUUUAGGAUCUACCCUGGACCGACCCUGGACCAGCCCAACCCUGCCGGUCCUGGUCCGGUUCCCAAGGAGACUGGGUCGGUCCUUGAUCCUCAAAUUCCAGGAUCAACACUGUACGGGUUGGUUCUCGAUCCUAAUAGUUUUGGGUCGGUCCAACCCUGGACCAACCCUGUAUAUUAUAUUAUAUUAUAUUAUAUUAUAUUAUAUUAUAUUAUAUUAUUUAUAAUUAUUUUAUAUAUUUAAACCUAAGUAAAAUGUCUGUUAUAUUAUAUUAUAUUGAGAUGUUCUAUCAAUAGCACUAAUAGUAAUUUCAAUUUAAAACUUUUGUUGAGUAUUAAUUAUGUGUCGUUCGUUUUGUUUUCAGGUGUUUAAAAGUUCAAGUGAAUUAACAAGAUGUGAAGUUAUAUAUUCAUGGUUUAUAUUAAGUAUUUUGAACUUUCUAUGGUUUAAUUGUAUUUUACUAAUGAAUUUCAGCUGCACUUUGCUUUCCAAUUUGUGUCAAAUGGUAGAAGUUUUUGAACAGUAAACUAGUACUGCAGUUGCUACAGUGAUUUGCUAGUCAAGUGAUGUGAAGCUCAUUUUUUGGUUGAGUGAACUCUACAUAAUCAAAUGCAGGAAAACGCUUUUGCAUAUGGUGUGAUGAAUAUUAAAGAUAGAUUAUUACAAGAACUUUCCAUCUUGUCCCAUAUCUUGAUGAGCGGUUAGCAAGUACGAAAUUUCUAUUAUUAUUUCAUCUUAAAUUUGCUAAAUAUGUAUUGGUAUUUAUAGUUUAAUUGCACAAUGCCACAUUGUCGAUGGAUGUGUAAUUUGAAUUUGUAAGUUUGCUUUUUUAGGGAGUAUAAAAAAUAAGACGAAAAAAACUAUCGAUCGGUCCCGGGUUGACCCUGGAACCGGACCGAACCCAUUGGGUCGGUCCGGUCCUUGGUCCUAGGCUCAAUAGGGUCGGUCCUCGGUCCUAAAAAUUGAGGACCGACACUGUACAGGUUGGUCCUAGGGUUAGGGGGUGGCCCGGACCAACCCGGACCAUGCUCACCCCUACUUAAGAUUAUGAAGUUAAAAAAGAUGAAGUAAUGCCAUCUUUAGUGGAUGUACAUCUUGAGAGGACUAUCAUGGUUGUCAAAAUACCCUUAAACUUAUCUUUAUGUCCGGUUUCAUUUCUACCUUAAAAUCGUCGAUCAAGAUGUGCCACGACGUUGAGGUAGGGUCACGAUACAUUCCGUUAUCACCCAAGAUACAAGCUUGGCAAAGCUCUCGAUCAUGUGCAAGGGAACUUAAAAGAAGUUGGUCCUGAAAUGCAAGGUGACGACACCUUUAUGGAAUGUGAACCGUGAAGAAAACUCCCAUAGUCAAUUACCCUAAAUCCGACCCUUUGCCCUUCCUUUUCCCAAGGCGAAGGCAACGGAGGUUGGGUCGUGAUAGGCUUGACGACUCCACUAUAGAUUGGUUAAUAGAUGAAGAUGACUUAAAGCCGUCUAAAAAUAAUUGUCAUGUUUACUAAUAUGUCUUGUGCAGGAUCACUUGCAUGUCAAAGUCACGUGAAAAAAGAGGUAAGUUACUGACUAUGUGUACAAUAUUCUUGUAGGUGGGAGAUAUAAGGGGUAGAGUGAAUGUAAACCUUUUUUUUUCUUUUUUGUAGGUGGAGUAAGGGUAUAUGAAUAAAUAAUGGACUAUAUUGAAGUGAUUAUUGUUUAAUUUUUAAACACCUGAUUACAAGUUUUGGUACUACACCGUACACAUAACUACAAUCUAAAACCCGAUCGCCUAAUCUAGAACCUUAAGAGGGUUUAUGGGUGGAAUCCGCGAGUAAAUAUUCGUGGUAAUCCAUUCUUCCACCUGCUUACCCUAAUCGAUAAAAGUUGCAUCGAUUGACAAUAGUUUCCAUGGGUAAACUUCUUUUAUCUUUUGGAAUGAGAACCUUGAGCCUUUAGUUUUCUCACUUUAGACAUCGAAUUCUCACAAGUUUCAUGCAAUGUGUGAUUUGCGAUUGCCAUGAGUUCAGUUGGUAAGAUAUCGUUCCUUUCUUAUGAUGUUAUCUUUCCUAAUUCUUGAAUUUUAAUUAUGCAUUUUAUAUUUCAACAACAAUACAUCCUCAAUCAUGAAUGCACCUUAGGUUUAAGCUUAGAUGGGCAAGCCUAAAUUGGACAUCAUUCUCAUGCCGAGGAGUCUCAAGGCCAUAUGGGAGAAUCUCAAACUGAGACAUCAAGGUUACGUGGAGAAGCGCAUAGGCUUCCUCCCAACCUCAUUCAAGGUCGAACCCUGAAUUGUGAUGGUGAAGGCAUUGGCCCAUUUUUGGAAUCCCAUGACCUAUACCUUUGUAUUUAACAAAUAUGAGUUGACCCCUAUAAUUGAGAAGUUUCAGAUAGCCAUUGGGUUAGGCAAGGCUUCCCUAGGUUUCACUACUCCUCCUAUUAGUCAAAAUCCAAUCUCCCUCCUAAGUCAAUUCCUGAAUAUCCCUACUGAUAAAAUUAGAACCAUUCUUAGGGGAAAUUCGAAUUCUAUGCCUUAUACAUUCCUUGAGCAACAUUUUCUUAGCCUUGAGCCUGAAUCUAGGAAUUAAAUUUCUUGUGUCUUCCUUCUCAUAUUUUUCAACUUUGUAAUAUUCUCGCAUACUCGAAAAACAAAAUAUCCUUUAGUUACUCACAUUGUUAAUCAAGUAUGCGCCUUUAGCUGCUUUACACACAUGAUCAUCACCAUAACUUUCGUAUCUCUUUACCAAUUCAAAACGAGUGGUCAAGGAAUUCUUAGAGCUCCAUUAGGACUUCUCCAUAUUUGGCUCAUUUCUCACAUCGAAGAAUUUGCCCCUCGCAUGAGGAUCAUUGAUGUCACGAAAUACCAUCAUCAUAUUCAUAUGUUUCACCAAAGAAAUGAAUUCUUUCUAUUAUGGUCUUUCUCUCUAUGGUUCCAUUUCCUCAAAAGACUCACCCCACGCUUAAUCCAAUGGCAUGUCCGAUGGCUUGGGAAUCCCAAGUUGCGCCUUGUUAGUGGAGCUGACGACCCACUCCCCCUUGUAGAAUUGACAGGUCUAACAUCAUAUUACUCUUUACGGGUGCUCUCCCAAUAUCACACACUUCAAAUGAUUCUGUCAAUCUUCAAUUUGGGAUUAUACCGUAUUGAUUAUCACAAUGAGGUUUUCAUGGGAAACCAAAUUGGUCAUGUCGAAGUCGUGAUUCGAGGUGCUAUUGGGAUUUGGUAUUCCAGACUCUCACAUCAUGUGGUCGCUACUGACAAAUUCGACUUAGAAAGAGAAAUUAGGACACACUACGCAUCUAUCGACAAUAUCUAUCGCCAAGUAGAACCGGAGCUUAAAGUUGAGUUGCCUGAUAUUCCGGAGUCUCAAGGGUUUCAACAAGCUCACGUCGAGGAGCAUGAAGAUGAAGCCUUGAUUGAUGUGAAAUGCUUGGCUCAUGAGAACAAGCUUCUCCACAUGAUCCCACCUAGCUCUUUUCUUGUAAAGGAAUCUCCUUUGUAUUUUCCUCCUUUCCUUUGAGUUUUUCCUAUAUUCAUUUUCAUAUUACAUGUAAAAUCGAAUUACUUUGUAAGCUUUGCAUAUGUAAGGUUUUGCCUCCCUUGUAAUUGUUCAAUGUAAUCAAUGAAAAUUCAUGGAAUUAUUCAUUUUUAUGUAAUUUUAAGAAAAUGGGCAUUCAGAUUAAAUAUUUAUCGUUGUCCUUUUCAAUUAUAUAAUUUCUUUUGAGGAAAUUUUGAUGAGAGAUGUUAUAUGAUAUUGGGAUCAUAUACACUUCUUAUCACUUUUUUUUUAUAAAUACAUCAUGUCGCAACUCACAAAUAUGAACAUUUGGUGGUAAGGUAGAAAGAAGAAGAAUUUUGACCUAUCCAUCGUACAAUGAAUAUCAUGUCUUCAUGAUUUAUGAAAAGAAUUGAAGUUUGAUACAAUAUAAUAACGACACGUGGAUGAAGAUUCAUUGAAGACUGGAAUCAUUGUAAAGAGGGUACAGAUUAUUCAAAAUCAAGGUCACGAAGAGAUUGAGGUUGUUGUAAACUUUUCCAAUGACUGGUCUUAAACUUUUCCCUUUUGAUGAUGACUAGGAAAAGUAGUGAUAGUCUAUUCCGUUUCACUUGGUGUGCCAACCAAGGAGAUAACCUUUUGAGCAUCCUUCCAUGAAAUUUUCUCGUGGGCUCUAAGAAAUUAGUUCCUAACCCCUAAGGAAAUCGAAAUUUUUUAAAGGAAAUAGUUUAUUCUAGAUUACCAAGAAAGGUCAUAGAAAUGCGAUCAUAGAUGGGAAAAAGCACGAUCGUUUGAGAUUCCUUUAUGACUGAUCUGAAACUUUUCUCUUUUUGUUGAUGGCCGGGCAAAAUAGUGUUAGUAUUUUCCACUUUGCUUGGUGUGCCAACCAAAGAGAAAACCUUUUGAGCGUCCUUCUUGAAAAUUGCCUUGUGGACUCUAAGAAAUUAGUUCCUAAGUCUAUUUGUCUACUGUCCGAUUAAUACAAUUAUAAAUUUUAAACCAUUACUCACAUAACACAAUUAUCCAAUAUUAAAUUUCGUCUCACAAACAUAUAAACUGUUACACUCACGAUUCGUUUAUCCAAAACUAAUUUCUUUGAAAAACACGUUAUUAGCCCUUCUCCUAAUCAAGGGCAAUCAAAACUUCUAUUAUUAGCAAAUUUUGAUCACGUCAUCUCACAAAUCAAUUAAGCGGCGAUUUCUGGCACAAAUAAUGUGACAUCCAAAUUUUCAGGUUCGGAUUUCAAUUAAAUAAAUUGGGCAUUUCAUCGACGUGACUGUCACAACCCGAUCUUGCCGCCCUCGAAAAGUCCAAAGGGGAAAGGUCGGAUUUAGGGGUACUUAAUCUCAAGAUCGCGAGCUCUCCCAAGCUUGUACCCCGCGUGACAGUAGGUUUAUUUAUACAAUCUAGUUGUUUAUAACAACCUAAAAAUAUAUAGGAGUUGCCACUAGCCUCAUUUUUGGGGGUCGGCUAGAAACCCAAUCGAGGGUUGAGAGUGUUCCCUCGAUUCCUACGCAACCAGAUAUCUAGGUUCGGGGACUUGGGUUACGCUAAUAUUAGCGUCCUUUCGGUACCUAAAUAGUAUGUUGUGUUUUUCUUAACAUGUCCAUGCAUUUCUUUUUAUAUUUUCGGGAUCAUCAGUUCUAUACUAAGUGAUCAUGCGUGGUGGAUUACUUUCAUUAUGUUCUAUUUCUAAAAAAACGAAAGGAAAACAAUCAAUGAAAUUGAAAUUGCAAGACAUGAAGUAAACACUCAAGUAAAAGUGGUAAAUCUAUCAUACAAUUCUAAAAAAUAUAAAAGACAAAACAAUUGGGAAAGAAAGGAAACCCGCAACUCGUCGGGUUUUAUACAAUGCAUGGAACCCGAGACAUAUGCCAGGAAAACAAAUAGUACAUGACAAUGGUAGGAAUGGAUAUCGACCUCCACUAUCUUCACGCUUUAUCCAUGUUCAGGAUCCUAUUCUAAACCUAGUCCAAGAAACUAAUAACUAGGUACAUACAAAUGAGAGAAACAAACAUGCAUAUCAAAACAAAAAAAAAGACAUCUUUUGUGUUCAGAAAUGGUGACUAAAGUCAUGAAGUCCCUAAAUCAAAUUCUAGGUGAUAUCCCAAGGUUCAACAUUAUUAUGGGUCGCACCUAAAUCAUUCAUCUAACAAUCACAUGCGAAGCGUAUAACGUACUGAGCAUUCAAGUCACAUGACCUUAUUUUCAGAUUCAAGACACACAAUUUUAUAAAAAUCAAUGAACACAUAAAGGUCAUUCUAGAACAGCAAACUUUCAGAUAUGAGGAGCAGAAUUCAUGAAGCCACUGACUUCUAUUUCGCAACAAACAUAUGACAGGGCAAACGAUUGCCAAAUCAAGCAUAUUAUAUGUCUAUAGAACGCUUGAGAAGUAUAUUACAAAUCUUCAGAAGACAUUAAGUCCUAAUAAUAUCAUCUACCAACUCAUUCCAAUUAAAGCAGAAAAUCGCAGUAAGUCAGAACAGCAAAUCAAUCUAAAACUGCUGCAGAAUUGACAGAUUUUGUAGGUGUUUUUCGAUGACCAAAUGACAUCCGUUCAGGGCGUGCGACAUAUCAAAUCAAAGCUCUAGAAGUGUAUUUUUUUAUGUCUAGAAGGGCUGAGNNNNNNNNNNNNNNNNNNNNNNNNNNNNNNNNNNNNNNNNNNNNNNNNNNNNNNNNNNNNNNNNNNNNNNNNNNNNNNNNNNNNNNNNNNNNNNNNNNNNNNNNNNNNNNNNNNNNNNNNNNNNNNNNNNNNNNNNNNNNNNNNNNNNNNNNNNNNNNNNNNNNNNNNNNNNNNNNNNNNNNNNNNNNNNNNNNNNNNNNNNNNNNNNNNNNNNNNNNNNNNNNNNNNNNNNNNNNNNNNNNNNNNNNNNNNNNNNNNNNNNNNNNNNNNNNNNNNNNNNNNNNNNNNNNNNNNNNNNNNNNNNNNNNNNNNNNNNNNNNNNNNNNNNNNNNNNNNNNNNNNNNNNNNNNNNNNNNNNNNNNNNNNNNNNNNNNNNNNNNNNNNNNNNNNNNNNNNNNNNNNNNNNNNNNNNNNNNNNNNNNNNNNNNNNNNNNNNNNNNNNNNNNNNNNNNNNNNNNNNNNNNNNNNNNNNNNNNNNNNNNNNNNNNNNNNNNNNNNNNNNNNNNNNNNNNNNNNNNNNNNNNNNNNNNNNNNNNNNNNNNNNNNNNNNNNNNNNNNNNNNNNNNNNNNNNNNNNNNNNNNNNNNNNNNNNNNNNNNNNNNNNNNNNNNNNNNNNNNNNNNNNNNNNNNNNNNNNNNNNNNNNNNNNNNNNNNNNNNNNNNNNNNNNNNNNNNNNNNNNNNNNNNNNNNNNNNNNNNNNNNNNNNNNNNNNNNNNNNNNNNNNNNNNNNNNNNNNNNNNNNNNNNNNNNNNNNNNNNNNNNNNNNNNNNNNNNNNNNNNNNNNNNNNNNNNNNNNNNNNNNNNNNNNNNNNNNNNNNNNNNNNNNNNNNNNNNNNNNNNNNNNNNNNNNNNNNNNNNNNNNNNNNNNNNNNNNNNNNNNNNNNNNNNNNNNNNNNNNNNNNNNNNNNNNNNNNNNNNNNNNNNNNNNNNNNNNNNNNNNNNNNNNNNNNNNNNNNNNNNNNNNNNNNNNNNNNNNNNNNNNNNNNNNNNNNNNNNNNNNNNNNNNNNNNNNNNNNNNNNNNNNNNNNNNNNNNNNNNNNNNNNNNNNNNNNNNNNNNNNNNNNNNNNNNNNNNNNNNNNNNNNNNNNNNNNNNNNNNNNNNNNNNNNNNNNNNNNNNNNNNNNNNNNNNNNNNNNNNNNNNNNNNNNNNNNNNNNNNNNNNNNNNNNNNNNNNNNNNNNNNNNNNNNNNNNNNNNNNNNNNNNNNNNNNNNNNNNNNNNNNNNNNNNNNNNNNNNNNNNNNNNNNNNNNNNNNNNNNNNNNNNNNNNNNNNNNNNNNNNNNNNNNNNNNNNNNNNNNNNNNNNNNNNNNNNNNNNNNNNNNNNNNNNNNNNNNNNNNNNNNNNNNNNNNNNNNNNNNNNNNNNNNNNNNNNNNNNNNNNNNNNNNNNNNNNNNNNNNNNNNNNNNNNNNNNNNNNNNNNNNNNNNNNNNNNNNNNNNNNNNNNNNNNNNNNNNNNNNNNNNNNNNNNNNNNNNNNNNNNNNNNNNNNNNNNNNNNNNNNNNNNNNNNNNNNNNNNNNNNNNNNNNNNNNNNNNNNNNNNNNNNNNNNNNNNNNNNNNNNNNNNNNNNNNNNNNNNNNNNNNNNNNNNNNNNNNNNNNNNNNNNNNNNNNNNNNNNNNNNNNNNNNNNNNNNNNNNNNNNNNNNNNNNNNNNNNNNNNNNNNNNNNNNNNNNNNNNNNNNNNNNNNNNNNNNNNNNNNNNNNNNNNNNNNNNNNNNNNNNNNNNNNNNNNNNNNNNNNNNNNNNNNNNNNNNNNNNNNNNNNNNNNNNNNNNNNNNNNNNNNNNNNNNNNNNNNNNNNNNNNNNNNNNNNNNNNNNNNNNNNNNNNNNNNNNNNNNNNNNNNNNNNNNNNNNNNNNNNNNNNNNNNNNNNNNNNNNNNNNNNNNNNNNNNNNNNNNNNNNNNNNNNNNNNNNNNNNNNNNNNNNNNNNNNNNNNNNNNNNNNNNNNNNNNNNNNNNNNNNNNNNNNNNNNNNNNNNNNNNNNNNNNNNNNNNNNNNNNNNNNNNNNNNNNNNNNNNNNNNNNNNNNNNNNNNNNNNNNNNNNNNNNNNNNNNNNNNNNNNNNNNNNNNNNNNNNNNNNNNNNNNNNNNNNNNNNNNNNNNNNNNNNNNNNNNNNNNNNNNNNNNNNNNNNNNNNNNNNNNNNNNNNNNNNNNNNNNNNNNNNNNNNNNNNNNNNNNNNNNNNNNNNNNNNNNNNNNNNNNNNNNNNNNNNNNNNNNNNNNNNNNNNNNNNNNNNNNNNNNNNNNNNNNNNNNNNNNNNNNNNNNNNNNNNNNNNNNNNNNNNNNNNNNNNNNNNNNNNNNNNNNNNNNNNNNNNNNNNNNNNNNNNNNNNNNNNNNNNNNNNNNNNNNNNNNNNNNNNNNNNNNNNNNNNNNNNNNNNNNNNNNNNNNNNNNNNNNNNNNNNNNNNNNNNNNNNNNNNNNNNNNNNNNNNNNNNNNNNNNNNNNNNNNNNNNNNNNNNNNNNNNNNNNNNNNNNNNNNNNNNNNNNNNNNNNNNNNNNNNNNNNNNNNNNNNNNNNNNNNNNNNNNNNNNNNNNNNNNNNNNNNNNNNNNNNNNNNNNNNNNNNNNNNNNNNNNNNNNNNNNNNNNNNNNNNNNNNNNNNNNNNNNNNNNNNNNNNNNNNNNNNNNNNNNNNNNNNNNNNNNNNNNNNNNNNNNNNNNNNNNNNNNNNNNNNNNNNNNNNNNNNNNNNNNNNNNNNNNNNNNNNNNNNNNNNNNNNNNNNNNNNNNNNNNNNNNNNNNNNNNNNNNNNNNNNNNNNNNNNNNNNNNNNNNNNNNNNNNNNNNNNNNNNNNNNNNNNNNNNNNNNNNNNNNNNNNNNNNNNNNNNNNNNNNNNNNNNNNNNNNNNNNNNNNNNNNNNNNNNNNNNNNNNNNNNNNNNNNNNNNNNNNNNNNNNNNNNNNNNNNNNNNNNNNNNNNNNNNNNNNNNNNNNNNNNNNNNNNNNNNNNNNNNNNNNNNNNNNNNNNNNNNNNNNNNNNNNNNNNNNNNNNNNNNNNNNNNNNNNNNNNNNNNNNNNNNNNNNNNNNNNNNNNNNNNNNNNNNNNNNNNNNNNNNNNNNNNNNNNNNNNNNNNNNNNNNNNNNNNNNNNNNNNNNNNNNNNNNNNNNNNNNNNNNNNNNNNNNNNNNNNNNNNNNNNNNNNNNNNNNNNNNNNNNNNNNNNNNNNNNNNNNNNNNNNNNNNNNNNNNNNNNNNNNNNNNNNNNNNNNNNNNNNNNNNNNNNNNNNNNNNNNNNNNNNNNNNNNNNNNNNNNNNNNNNNNNNNNNNNNNNNNNNNNNNNNNNNNNNNNNNNNNNNNNNNNNNNNNNNNNNNNNNNNNNNNNNNNNNNNNNNNNNNNNNNNNNNNNNNNNNNNNNNNNNNNNNNNNNNNUCUAGACAUAUUCAACUUGGGUAAAUGAUCUUCAAUAUCACGAAAUUUUUUAUUGAUAUAGAUUGGAACCUAAUGAACAACUUUCAUUUAGGCAUCAACUUUAGAAUCUAAUCACAAAAAAUCAUGUGAAAAUGGCAAACAACACAGGUCAUUAAAGUAGAGCAUGAAAACAGAACACUUAAUCAUUUACAAAUUGUAGCUCCGUUUGUAACAAUUGUCGAAUCUAGUAAAUGAUGACCAAAUCCAAGAGCUCACGGCAUCCAUUGCAAAAUAUCAAGAGGGAAACAAAAUCUAUCCAGACAUACCCUUGCAACACAUUUUCUGCACCCCUGUGCCUUAUGUUUCUACAUUGUGAACAUUGUUACAAUAGUUAAGAAUGAAUAGUUCUAGUCUAGAUGGAAUCCAUGAAGUGAAUAUGACAUGACAGAUUAAACAGAAUUCCAUAGAACCAUAUCCCAUUUAGAGUCCCACAUAUAGUCAAUGCAAUUCAACAUCAAAGACAUGAUUAACUAUAACAUUGCAAAUUCAAGAAUGCAGCACGUAUCAAUGAGUAACAACACAUUCAGUCAUCAAAUUUGUUUAAGAUAUGGUCUUAGCUAGCCUAAAGUCUCCAAUUUUAAGGUCACAAUUUGCAUUCAGAAACAAGUUGCUUAGCUUUUGAUCGACACAGGACUCACAUCAACAAUCUCGGAUUAUCACUCAAGGACAGAAAAAGAAACAACACAUUCAGAUUAUAUCGGCAUCAAGUUUUAAACAAGCAAACAUGAUGACGAUGAAGUAACUGAUCAGGACAUAAGGAUCAUCAAUGGUAGAACCUAAUCAAUAUAAAGCAUCCACUAAUCUAUCACACCAGGAUUUCAUUGACACAGGCUUCACACAAGCAUCAAUAUGGAAUCAUGCCCCAUUUCUCUUAGCGACUAUUGCUAGUAUAAUCAAGGGAUCAACUACCAUUGAAGAAGUUGUACCAACCUUUGAAUGAAUCAGCGAUUGAUCAAAGACCGUCACUGCCGUUAACACUAUCUAGGCCUUAAACUCCAAGCUCCUCGAUCAGCCAUUCCAGCAAGUCAAAUCCGAUGCGCAAGACAGAGCCAAGAGAAAAUGUUCGAGUUAGAGAGAGCGAACGGAAGAGAGAAAUCAGGGGCCAAAACCCUAACGGAUUGAGAGAGAGGGAAAGAGAGCUUACCGCUCUGGUGAGCCCGAUCCAGAGAGAAACUCGGUUAAGCGUCGUCAUCGCCGCAGUCAUCGCCGAUCCGGCCACCCUAGAGAGAGAUCACCGGCGAGCCUCUACACCAGAGGACUGAGAGCCAAGCGAACAGGGGUCAGGCGUCGGAUCUGGUGGAGAGCCGAAUCAAGCCAUAGAUCAGGAACUACUGUCACCGCCGGUCAGCUUCAGAUCUGAGCUCCCUGCAGCCGAGCGAACUUCCGAGGGAGAGAACUGGGGGAGAGAAAACAUAAAGAACUCAUCUCCGAUCCCCGAGCAAGAAUCUGAUCCUCGCGAUCCCCAACUGCCAGCCUUCAAUCUCUGAUCUCUGCUAACGAGAGAAAGCCCUAGCCUUCGACAAGAGCUCGGGUGGUUGAUGAUGAAUGGAAGAGGUCGAAUCGACGGCGAAAUCGAGCUAAGAUAGGAUUUUGGAGAUGAUCGGAUCUCGAAGUGGAGGAACCAUUGUAGAGAGAGCGUCCGUGCCGUCGUCGUCAUUGCUAUUGCUGCCACCGUCUUCGCCGAUGUCACCGCAAUUGAGCAAACCAGAGAGAGAAUCAGAGAGAGAGGGAAUCCAAGAGAGAAAACCCCAGCGAAUCCUCCGUCAAUGGAGGAAAAACCCUAGCCGAUCGAACCCCCUGUCAUCAUCGCUCUAACCACCGAUGACUUCGCCGGUAGCUGAUUCGUCUUCCUGAACUCCUCGAGCCAGUUCGGCCGUUUUCCCAGAGAGAGCCCAUGAGAGAGAAUCUGCAUGAGACCGGGAAAGAGAGCAUUGAUCGUGAAAAUGACCCCCCCUUUUCUUUUCUUUUUUUUUCUUUAUAUAUUUUCAGGCAAGAUCAAAUCUCAGCCCUUGGAUUGAACUAAGGGCUAGGAUUUGAUCUUUUAAUAGUUCCCUUAAUUGAGCAUAUGCCUAUUUCAACGGCCAUGAUGCAUUAUUGAUGAAUGGCGACGAUUAAUUGCAAAUAAAUUGGGAUUUUCUCUCUAUUUUUUUAUUUUUUAUUUUUAUUUUUAUUUUCCUAAUGAUGUACAACUAAAAAUUAGGUGUCAAUAGUAACUACGGUGUUUUUCUCUGAGUUGGCCACUCACGAGAUAACUAGAUUAGCUGGGUAAGCUAUUAAGGACUUUAAGGUAGAUAGACUUGAGAAUUCGAUUAGGAAUCGAUUUCUCGACUGUGCUCAUGUUUAGAGGUCAUUACGGCAUAGUUAAAAAUCGAAUUAAGAUCAGAGAUAGGUCAGUUCGACUGAGAUGAAUAACCAAUCGUGGUGACUCCACUAAAUUGGAAAACUCUCGUCGAUUGGCACUAAUUUGAUUUUAUUGUCGUUUUGGUACCCUGUGUCCAUAUUUGAAUCCUCGAGAUUUUCACGACAAUCGAGAGUCACCAAUGUGUCGAGUGGGUUCAUCAUGGCUCGAAGAAAAUCGACCAUGGGUCAUUUGUCCUAAAAAGUUCUGAAAAUUAUCUAGUAGUCUAGGUCAUGCUAAAAGCACGUCGGAGUGAAAUUAACCGUCAAUCGAGUCCGAUUUCAAAAAUUGAAGAUUCUGUGGUGUCACAAACUAUUUUAGGAACGUCAACUUAAUCUCAGAAGAUUUUUCAGAGAUUUCGAGAUUUUUCCAGAAAACCGUUUCGGACUUUGCAGAAAAUUAAUAGAAAAUUGAACGGGCUAAAUUAAAUUCGGAACUAAGGAGGGGUGCUAGAAUUUUGGCACCAAUUUGGAUUAUUUAUGGAAUUUUAGGUUGGAAAGUAUUAUGGGGGAACAAGUAUUUAAGAGAAGAGAUGUUUGUGUUGAUCUUUUCCUCUUUUUCUUGGCGUGUUGAGUACGUCCCAACUGCUGGCCUCCAUCUUCUUCACGCGAGCUUAUCCUUAGCCGAAGAUUUAUUAUGCUUUUGCUUUCAACUUUCGCUUCCUCCUUCCAAGAUCAGUCCCUGCCGCUUGCUCCAUUUUCGGUUCCCUCUGCCAUCCACGACUCAUCCACCGAAGGCCCACACGUCCAUGGUCUGUUCUCCUCAGUCAACCGAAGACCAUCAACCUCUUCGUGUCUUCAUUUUGCCGGUCAUCCAUCCAGCAACGAAGAGGCCAAGCUACCAAGCGUCCUCCUCCACUUUCACGUUUCAUUUCCCUGCAACACUCUCGAUCAUCAAGUCAGUUCAUGCGGCCACCGAAGUUGACUCCAUCGCCCACUCUCCACCGAAGCUUGUCGUUCACCCACGAAGCAAUGAAGACCGAAGCCAGCUCGCCACCUCAACCGGUCUUCCUCCUUGUUAUCAACGCCAGCAGCCCCACCGAAACAGCCACUUGACCAGCCAUCUUCAGCUUCUUCAAUCCACGAAGUUUCCCACGCCUGCAGCAACCUUCACGCCCCACCGAUUCUCUGCAUGAGUCACCACAGCAGCACGUCCUCCAUCAAGUUUGACUGUGUUCGUCCAUCUGCCCACCAAUUCCACCGAGCAGCAUCCCAUCCAAGCGAAGUCCAAAGCCACGACUCUUCGUGCAGCUCCAUUCCACCGAAGACGCACCCCAACUUACUCCCAUCCUCGUGCAGUUCAUCUCACUCGAAGCUGCCUUCAUCAACCCAUCGCUACUUUUGCUUUCCCUGGCGUGGAUGUCGCGGCUCCUUCUCGUUCAGCCGCCACAGCCCACGAAGACUUGCAGUUGCUCGAGCCCAACAGUCUUCAGCCACACGUGCGUUCAACAAGUUCAGCCCAUCUGCAGAAGCAAGACAGGCCCAGUUCAGUUUUGUUUCGGCCCAGCUUCUCCAAGCAAGCCCAGCAGCUCCAUUUCUUCAGCCCGUGAGUUCAGUGAGGCCCAUUCAGUUUAGCUAUUUCAGCCCAACUCAGCCCGGUUCGCAAUUUGAAGUCUUCAGCCAUUGGAGUUCAGCCCAACAAUUUCUUUUGUUGCUCGGCCCAGCUCGCAAAGAUCAACCCAUCCAAAGGCAAGCCCAGUCCAAAGUAAGCCCAGGUCAAGCUCAGCCCAAGAAUUUUAGUAGGCCCAAGCCCAGAAUUUAUGCCAGCUUGCGAAGUUUCUUCGCCGCCCAGAGUGUGUAUCGACGCCACCGAAAUUUUCGAAUUCGGCCAUCGUCGCAGUUUUCGAUCUUCGCUUUGCCAAGUGAGUUUUACUCACUAAUGCCUUCUUAGUUUGCUAAUUAUACUUAAAUAUUGAUUAGAUUUAAUUAAGUGCAAUUAGGUGGUUAGAUUAGAGUAGAUUAGUGAUUAUUAGAUAAUUGUGAUGCAUGUUAGUCAAUUGGUGUCACGCCCCGAAUCUCGAGCGCGCCAACAUCCCACCAUGGUCAUGCAAAUGCGACAUUCCCAGGUAGUGUCGCCGACCCCAUUCAUUUAUUAUUGCGCAAGCGGAACGAAUUAUAAAAUCCCUGACAAUGAAAUACGGGAUAGAAAAGCAGGAAGCAAAACCACAAUAUAACACUUUCAUAAUUCAACAGAAUUACAAACAUAUGUCUACGGUCAAAAGUCUACAAAAGACCGGCUCUUAAAAAUGAACUGUCCUACGACCUACAAGUCGGACACGUUCUCCAAUCCUUAUGACUUCACCUCUGCAACUCCUCAAGGCGAACCAAAGUUAUCUGGCCGCUCCGUCCACCAGGAACCUGAAAUUUUAAUCCCCCAACCGGGAUAAGACAUUGUCUUAGCAAGUUCAACCCUCUAAACCCCUAUUAGAAAGAAAAUACGCCCAGGGUGGCCUAGCCACAUCACACAGAAGACUUACCUCAUCAUAAUUCCUUCCUGCAGGUUAGCACAAUUCAUAUCACUCAAUCACAUGUUCAUAUCACCCAACCACAUACAGUAAUACGAACUUAAACAACCAGAACACAUUCGCUUUCAUAUAAUCGACAACCACGGGGGUCCUGACGUUAUGACACGUCUCAUUCCAUGCCACACAAUUCCAUCCCAUAAUCCGACACAUCAACAACACUCAACAUGCAUUCCAAUUGUUGUUCACUGCCACACAAGGGCAUAACCCCCUCGCAGUUCGGCUAUCUACUGGCAUAUAGCCAGGCAUCGCCUCCCCACCUUGGAGCGCGGCUUCGUCAGUACGUCGACGGCGUUCCCGAAGGAGCAUAGGCCCAGAAUCAACUGCGACCCGCAACCACUACGUGGACAUCCCAUAUAGGGGCAAGUCCGGCUCAACAGCCCAGGACAAUCUCCUCUUAAUUAUCACACAACAAUUCAUAUUCGGCCCUAGGACAUUUUGUAUUUCACUCAAUGCUUCCACUUAAAAUAGUGAUCCCGGCCAUUUUUCACCAUAAUAAAAAUAUUCCAGAAAUUACUCACGUGUGUGGGGGCACGCUAAUUUCGAACCAGAAAGCCAAUAUCUCACUUUUUCAAACCCCACUAUUUAAUAUAAUUAUUAAAAUCCAAUUUUUGCAUCAAAACCCGACACUUGGGUUUUUAUGAAUAACAUUCCUAUUUAUCACAAUCAAUACUUAAUUUGCCACAUCCAUUCAACAAACUCAAAUUAUAAAUGCACAGCGGCAAUUAGCACGAAAUUUUGAGAGACUAAGAUCCCGACGAAAUUUUCGAAAUUUAAUAAAUAAUUAAAUUUAUUCCAAAAAUUAAUUAAAUAAUAAUAUCCAUAUUUUUGGCAAUCCACACUCAAUUUAUAAUAUCUAACCAUCAAUUUCAAAAUCCAAAUACACAGCAGCGAUCAGCACGAAAUUCUGAGCAAAUAAGGUCCCGAGAUAAUUUUCAGAAUUUAUUAAAUAAUUAAUCUUAUUCCGAAAUUUAUUUAAAUAAUAAUAUUUUAAUAAUUUCGAAUAAAUAUAUAUUAUUAAAUUAUUUAAUAAUUUCGGAAUACUUAAAUAAAUCAAAAACAAAUUCCUUUAAGUCACAUCAAAGCUUAUAUUAAUAUAAACAUUCACUUAGCCUUAAAUUAAACACAUUUUAAGUUAAUCAAACACCUUAAUAUAGUCUACACUUAAAUAAAUUAAACUAACCACCUAAUAACACUUAACAUAAACUAAACCUCCCUAAGCAUAAUUAACCCUCUAAGCGAGGUUUAGUGAGCUAAACUAAACGGAUUAGUGAGCCGAGUGGACCAAAACGACGAGGAUGACGCGAUGAUCGACUUUCCUUAAGGCGGGCCAAGCAUCCGAGCUCAAGAAGAUGGCCAAAAUAGGCCAAGACUGAGCUGCCAUACCCAUUUCUGCAGCUGCUGUCCACUGCAGUUUGAGGCCGAGAAAGGGUAGAUCCAGUGCUUGGAUGAGAUGGAGAAGGACCGGGGAAGGUUAAGGGGUCGAACCGGACCUAGGCGAGACCCGAACGGUGGCCGGAGGUGGCUGAACGGCUCCGGGACGGGCUGAUGCAGCAGCUGCGACGUGAGCUGAGGCAGAGCGGAGAGGCGAGUUGACCGGCGAGAGGCACGCGGUCGGCGCGGGGCAGACACGCGGUGGCGGUAGUGAUGGCGAUGACGGCGUGCGAGCGGGAGCGGACGGCCGUGACUGCUCCAACUUCUUCUCUGCAUUUUUCUGGUCUUUGCACAAUGGAGAUGGAGGAGAGAGGCGACAGGAGAGAGGGAGGGAGGAGAGAGAAGGAAGGGGGGCCAACCUUAUUCCAAUGGGUUCAAUUUCAUUUUCCGCCGGGUAGGGGUGUGCAACGGAUGAGUCUGGACUUCUUUCNNNNNNNNNNNNNNNNNNNNNNNNNNNNNNNNNNNNNNNNNNNNNNNNNNNNNNNNNNNNNNNNNNNNNNNNNNNNNNNNNNNNNNNNNNNNNNNNNNNNGUGUUGCAAUCGGAUUGCAUUGAGGUAACAACCUCUUAUGUGUCCAAGAGACCACCAAAGCUCUUAAAAAACUUAUUUGUUAGUUUUAUCUUCUCCUCGAUGUGGGAUAAGGCUCUAGGAGUUCCUCAUGCUCACUCUCUCUCUUGCUCCCCUCACUUGCAAACGACAAGGCACUUCAAGCCUCAAAGAGUUUGACAUCGACUAAACAUUCAAAGCAUAGAAGAGAGAUUGUCUAUAAAACCUAAGCCAAGCACAGAUUUUACUCAAAUUGUUCAUGGCUUUUAUGCUUAAAAUUAAGAGUGAAACACAUAAAUUAUGAUUAAUAUUCACGCAUGUGAAGUUUGAAUAUUUUGCACGUGAAAACAUGUGUGAGUAGUUUUAUUAGAUCGCCCGAGAACCGAAUUGAAUUGAUUGGUCCGGAGCAUGGUCGUUCUUUAAUGAAUGGUCGUUAUUUAGUGAAAAAAGAAAGUGCCGAUCCUAUUGGACCGAACCGGACUGGACCGGAACCGAUGGUCCGGUCCACGGUUCCCAAAAUUGGGAACCGGUUUUCCCGGUCCGGUUCCCAGUUCAACCUUGGAACCGGACCGAACCGGGAACCGAUCACCCCUACCGUCGGGGCACAAAAUCUUGUUCAACCAAUUCUUCAAUUCCACUUGAUUCUCUUCCAAUUGAAUCAAAUUGAAGUCCAUAAAUUAAUCCAAUGUCACCACACUUCAAUUCACGUCUUCACUCGUCCAUAAAACCAACUUAAGUCCCAAAAGCACGACCAAGGGCGGGCCUACUAAUUUCUCGAGCCAAAUUAACCAUUCUUUGAUUUAAUUGCUGAAAAAAAUCCGAUUACAUGAAAAAUCUUCUAAAGAUGAGUUAAUUUCCUAAAAUGAUUUGUGACGCACCCUGACUUCCAAUUUCUGAAUUCGAUCUCAAUUUCAUGGUUAAUUUCACUUUGGCACGAUACUAGCGGGUCCUGAUCUACCGGGUAGCUUUUAGAAAUUUUCGUGCAUUUGACAUGUGGUUAAUCAAUUCAAGCCACAAUGUACAUCUUUGAUACAUUGGCGACUCUCAGUUGUCGGGAUAAUCUCAAGGUUUCAAACACGGACACAGGGUACCCAAACGACAGAAAAGCCGGUCUAGUGCCGAUCGACAAAAAUUGUGCGAUCUGGUAGAAUCACCCACACUCGAUCACAUGCCUCUGUCGAGUCGACCUAUCUUUGGUUUCUAAUCGAUUUUUAACUGUGUCGUAAUGACCAUUGCAGAUUAACUCGGUUGAAAGGUUGUUUCCUGGUCAAAUUCUUGAGUCCGAUACAUUAGAAUUUCUUAACGGCUUCACCUGAUAGACUAGUUAUCCCAUGAGUGAUCAGUCCAAGAAAAAGAACUAUAUGCGUGCCAACGAAAUGCCCGUCUCAAUUUAUUGAAAAUAGAAUUGGAAAAUCAAGAUGUCACAAUUCUUCCACUCUUAUAAAAAUUCCGCCCUCGAAAUUUAAACCAUUAAAAAUUCUUCUUCAAAAUGGUGGGGUAUUGUCGUCUCAUCAAUUCUAUUCCUUUAUUCCGCUUCGUACUGCCAUCCAAGAUCCUCGAUGCCGAUGAAAUAUUUCCGAAUUAACUAGACCAAUCCUUGAUUCCCAAAAAGGCUAAGCACUUGUCCAUCUUUACAAAAAUGAAAGUUACAAAAGUUUUGGUUCCCCUUUUUUUUUCUUUUUCCACAAAGCGGCUAACUGCCGCGUCAGGGAUUCGAACACCCGACUUCGGAUCUUUCGCUUCUUCCCUACCACUCGGCUAGAGGCACUGACGGUGUCUCAAAAUGCUUCUUUAAUUCAUUUAAAGCCAAAACCCUCCUUUGAACUCAAUUUUCGAUGGAUUCCGAUUUAAAUGCCGAUUCAUCUUCCCUUCCUUAAUAGAUCGAGACGUCCUCACCAAGGGCGACACCCAAGGAAAAAUACACUUUCCCACUUAAAAUUCCGAAGGUCUUCAACACAAAAUCUGCGAAGCUAACUAGCGAUUCUGAGCGGUCUCAAAACUGUCUCUGAUAACUAUGACUAAAUCACUGAUUUCUUAACCAACUCUGGACCUACGAUUUUCUUAUCUCUAAUCUCAUCUCAACCGACUGAAGUCCUGUACACUCUACUCUGCUCUACUUUAAAAGGAACUAUCUAACUGAUAUGCUGAAACUGGGAACCUCUGGUCAAUAUCUGAUAUAACUCUGACACUGAUCUCGGCAACCACAAUCAUUGACUACUGUACUGACCCUGGCUUGUGAUCUUUCUUUCCCUGACUUCAUCUCAGCAAUUGAAAUUAUGCACUCUCUACUAUGCACUGCUUAAGAAGGAACCAUCUGAAAGCUCUGCCAACUUGGAACAUAUGAUCUAGAUUUGAAAUACAAUUCAUCCUCGGCACUCCACACAGAUGAUUUAUAUGAUAUACACACAGUUCGGUAUACCUAUUCUAAUCAAGAUCUUUUCGUGCUGCACUAAGGUGAGUUGACUCUAUUCAUCUGUCGACCACAACCCUAUAAGGAAUCAAUACUCUUCCCGACUCCUUAAUAACCUGUCAUAACAUUCCAUCAUGAUAUACUUCCAUUCCCACACAGGACUCUCUCAAGUGCUUGAAAAAGCUUUUCUGGCUUACAUUACCAAAUUCUUACUUACUGAUACAUCCGACACUUACAACUUGUUCGGCGAUAUCUAUCUUCAUACCGAUCUACCAAUCCCGAUGAUGUAGAUUCUAACUCAUCUUCGUACUGUCUGGACAACGCUGAAGUUGCUAUAAUGAGCUUCCCAUAAGAUCUCUUCUUUAAUCUCUGUAUCGUCAAUUACACUCAAUCGUCCUCGGACCCUUAGCGUUAUGUCUUCAGAAAUCUGAAAAUCAACCUCUCUCAUCUACGUUCUCUUAUAGAAUCUUCUGAAAUUCCGAAUCUUUCCACUGAAGCGUUUUGAUUCUAAUCUGUACUCUUGGCUCAAUUCUGAGGGUGGUCAUAAGAUUCAAAAGGUGGCAUACCUUAGAUUUGAAAACUGAAUUUCGAACUUCCUCGAGUAAGAUCCAAUCCCUGAGUACUAACUGUACAACUAAUGACUCUCGACUCAAUGCAUCUGUAACUUUGCUCACCUUUCUGGAGUGAUACGAAAUAUCAUAGUCAUAAUCCUUAAAGAGUUCCAUCCAGCGAUGCUGUCUUAUAUUCAAAUCCCGAGAUCUCAACUGACAGGACGCGUAUGCAACAACCCUAUCAUGUUGUCUUAGUACGCAACCCAGUCCUCUAAAUGACCCAUCACUGUAGAUCUCGCAUCCUCCAAGACCAGAUGGAAUGAUCAGCACAUAUGCAGUAGUUAGCUUUUGCUUAAGCUCUUGGAAACUACUCUCACACUUAUCUGUCCAUACAAACUUUUCUUCCUUCUUCAGCAGUCUCGUCAUCGGCGAUGAUAACACUGAAAACCCUUCUAGAAAACCGUCUAUAAUACUUUGCUAAACCCAGAAAACUUUUGAUCUCUGUCACUAUAGUCAAUCUCGGCCAACUAAUCAUUGCUUCAAUCUUGGAUGGGGUCUACGAAGAUUCCUUCUCCAAAAUCACCUAACCUAGGGAUGCAACAUGAGUCAUCCAAAACUUGCAUCUGCUAAGCUUAUUGUAAAAUUCAAAAGUACUCAAGGUCUGAAGUAUCAUCCCCAAAUGUCUCUCGUGCUCCUCAAUAGUCUUCGAACACACCAAGAUAACUUCAAUGAACACAAUCACAACUGAUUUAUGUACCCUUAAACAUUCUGCUCAUAAGACCCAAACAAACAGUUAAGGUGUCCAUCAAACCACAAGGUAUUAUAAUGAACUCAUAACUGCUGUAUCGAGUGUGAGAUGCUAACUUCAAUAUGUCUUUCUUCCUGAUUCUCAACUGAUGAUACCCUAACCUUUAGUCGAUCUUGAAGAAUAUCGAUGUACAAACACAACAAACCGACUUUCUUCUUCACGAAUAGAACGAGUGCUCCCCAAGGUGAUGCAUUGGAAUGUAUGAAUCCCCUAUCCAAUAAUUCCUGCAUCUGCACCUUCAAUCCUUUUAACUCGGGUAACAGCAUCUGGUAAGGAGCCUUAGGGACUGGCUCUGUUCCGGGUGCUAAUUCAAUCAUGACUCUAUUUCUCUUCCUGACAAAAAACCUGGCAAUUCUUUAGAAAAUACCUCAGAAGACUUCUGUAAUACGGUUAUGUUCUCCAUAUUCAGCCCCUUAACCGAUGCAUCCAUUACAGCUGCCAUGUAGAUUCGAUAACCAACAAUUAGAACCAGGUCAUCUUCAGUGAUGAAUAACAAGAAUCGAAGUUCCUCUUCGACUUUUAGUGAUUCAAAACUUUCGCACGCUAACUAAACAAACUGAAUUAUAUCACUAGCACGAUUCAAAACAAUAGAAAGCUCCUUAAGCCAAACCUUUUUAUAAAUGACUUCCAAGCCAUACUUAGGCAAACCCUUCAAGUACAACUAUAGUUAGAGAUUCAUAUUUCUAUUACUUUAUUACCAAUCCGAAAAUCCUACAACCUUCACUGAAAAGUCUGCUGCACUACUCUGAUAAAAUUUCCUCAAUGACAUUUUCCCCUUAAUCGAUGCAUGGUCGAUCCCUUCAUGCUCCUCUAGCCAUCCUAGUGACGUCCUAUCUGCAGUAACAGUGCUUACGCUCUCCUGAACUUACACGGACAAUUCCUAACCCGAUGGCCGUGCUGGCCACAUUCAAAGCAUGCUCUCUUUUUACUCUGACAUUGGGCUGACUCAAGCCUCUUUCCACAAACUCGGCACACAAUCGGUGAACCCUUUGCCUUAUGUCGAGUGACAGCAUGUACCCUUCCUUGUACUGGGGUCUGUUCCAUGUACCUCACUAAAUAUCCUGAAGCAUGUUUCCUCUGUUCUAUCCAAUCAACGACGGUGUUAGGAGCAGCUGCGAUUCCAUCUGUCUAUACGGACAAUCUUUGAUCAAAUGACUAUACUGGCGACCCUUGUAACAAGUCCUUUCUCUCUUACAGCACGGGAUAGACCCAUGUCCUUUCUUACAGACACGGCACACAUCGAUCGAGUUGAGUACUAACUUUCCAAUUCUACUCUUCCGAUUGGGUGAAACAGGACACCUUUUUUCUAACAUCGGCCUUUCUCGCCAAUCGAUUUCCAUUUCUGUCUAAACUGAACCUUGACUCAGAUACAAUGGCUUGAUCAUCGAUCACAACUCUAGAUUGGGCCUCAACAGGCGUGGCACAACAAUGGUCACAACACUGGCAGUAGUAGAAACAACGGCAACAGCGGCGGCUCGAUCCUGAGCUUACUGACCCAAAAUACUUCCCAAAGACUCUAGCGCCUGAAUGAUCCCGACGAACCUAGGAUCAUUCGGUGCUGCUACACUCUAAGUACCGACUUGCGACGGUACUCUCACACUCGUGCUGGUCUAAGCCUACGCUCUACCUCGGGUACCAACUCUUGUCAGCAUCCUACCCCAAGGUAUAGGUCCGACCGACCUCUUCCAAGGAGUUCUCCACUCCUGAUCACUCAUCCUACAGGCUCUUUAUAGAUACCUGUUUUUCUAUUCCAACAUCAGGUUGAAAUUUGAGUGACCCCACAAACACACUACCAAAUAGCUAUUAACCACAUGCAUCAGCAUAUUAAAAGCCUUUCCUACUAACUAUCCCAUGACUUAUCGCACUUUAUCACUCCAUACUCAAACCAUGCUCUGAUACCACUUAAACGGGGAUGUCACGCCCCGAUUCUCGAGCGCGCCAACAUCCCACCAUGGUCAUGCAAAUGCGACAUUCCCAGGUUGUGUCACCGACCCCAUUCAUUUAUUAUUACGCAAGCGGAAUGUAUUAUAAAACCCCUGACAAUGAAAUACGGGAUAGAAAAGCAGGAAGCAAAACCACAACAUAACACUUUCAUAAUUCAACAGAAUUACAAACAGAGGUCUACGACCAAAAGUCUACAAAAGAGCGGCUCUUAAAAAUGAACUGUCCUACGACCUACAAGUCGGACACGUUCUCCAAUCCUUAUGACUUCACCUCUGCAACUCCUCAAGGUCAACCAAAGUUAUCUGGCCGCUCCAUCCACUAGGAACCUGAAAUUUUAAUCCCCCAACCGAGAUGAGACAUUGUCUUAGCAAGUUCAACCCUCUAAACCCCUAUUAGAAAGAAAAUACGCCCAGGGUGGCCUAGCCACAUCACACAGAAGACUUACCUUGUCUUAAUUCCUUCCUGCAGGUUAGCACAAUUCAUAUCACUCAAUCACAUGUUCAUAUCACCCAACCACAUACAACAAUACGAACUUAAACAACCAGAACGCAUUCGCUUUCAUGUAAUCGACAACCACGGGGGUCCUGAUUAUAAGACUAAAUCGUUAUGACACGUCUCAUUCCAUGCCACACAAUUCCAUCCCAUAAUCCGACACAUCAACAACACUCAACAUGCAUUCCAAUUGUUGUUCACUGCCACACAAGGGCAUAACCCACUCGCAGUUCGGCUAUCUACUGGCAUAUAGCCAGGCAUCGCCUCCCCACCUUGAAGCGCGGCUUCGUCAGUACGUCGACGGCGUUCCCGAAGGAGCAUAGGCCUAGAAUCAACUGCGACCCGCAACCACUAUGUGGGCAUCCCAUAUAGGGGCAAGUCCGGCUCAACAGCCCAGGACAAUCUCCUAUUAAUUAUCACACAACAAUUCAUAUUUGGCCCCAGGACACUUUGUAUUUCACUCAAUGCUUCCACUUAAAAUAGUGAUCCCGGCCAUUUUUCUCCAUAAUAAAAAUAUUCCAUAAAUUACUCACGUGUGUGGGGGCAUGCUAAUUUCGAACCAGAAAGCCAAUAUCUCACUUUUUCAAACCCCACUAUUUAAUAUAAUUAUUAAAAUUCAAUUUUUGCAUCAAAAGCCGACACUUGGGUUUUUGUGAAUAACAUCCCUAUUUAUUACAAUCAAUACUUAAUUUGCCACAUCCAUUCACCAAACUCAAAUUAUAAAUGCACAGCAGCAAUCAGCACGAAAUUUUGAGAGACUAAGGUCCCGACAAAAUUUUCGAAAUUUAAUAAAUAAUUAAAUUUAUUCCAAAAAUUAAUUAAAUAAUAAUAUCCAUAUUUUUCGCAAUCCACACUCAAUUUAUAAUAUCUAACCAUCAAUUUCAAAAUCCAAAUACACAGCAGCGAUCAACACAAAAUUCUGAGCAAAUAAGGUCCCGAGAUAAUUUUCGGAAUUUAUUAAAUAAUUAAUUUUAUUCCGAAAUUUAUUUAAAUACUAAUAUUUUAAUAAUUUCGAAUAAAUAUAUAUUAUUAAAUUAUUUAAUAAUUUCGGAAUACUUAUAUAAAUCAAAAACAAAUUCCUUUAAGUCACAUCAAAGCUUAUAUUAAUAUAAACAUUCACUUAGCCUUAAAUUAAACACACUUUAAGUUAAUCAAGCACCUUAAUAUAAUCUACACUUAAAUACAUUAAACAAACCAUCUAAUAAUACUUAACAUAAACUAAACCUCCCUAAGCAUAAUUAACCCUCUAAGCGAGGUUUAGUGAGCUAAACUAAACGGAUUAGCGAGCCGAGCGGACCAAAACAACGAGGACGACGCAAGGAUCGACUUUCCUCAAGGCGGGCCGAGCAUCUGAGCUCAGGAAGACGGCCAAAACGGGCCAAGACUGAGCUGCCAUACCCAUUUCUGCAGCUGCUGUCCACUGCGGUUUGAGGCCGAGAAAGGGUAGAUCCAGCGUUUCGAUGAGAUGGAGAAGGACCGGGGAAGGUUGAGGGUUCGAACCGAACCUAGGCACAGCCCGAACGGUGGUUGGAGGUGGCCGAACGGCUCCGGCACGGGCUGAUGCAACAACUGCGACACGAGCUGAGGCGGAAUUGAUUGAAUGAUCAUAACAGUAUACUAUAUCAUCCUACGGGCUCUGAUAUGUCAGCUUAGCAAGAGUAGUAUACUGGUGUACUAUAUCAGCCUGCUGGCGAUAUGUCAGCUUAGCACAAGCAAUACGCUUUAUCAACUUAGAGUGAGCAUUGGGGGUGUAUUAUAUCAGCAUGCAGGCGAUAUGUCAGCUUAGUGCGAGCAGUACACUUUAUCAGCUUAGAGUGAGCAUCGGGGGUAUACUAUAUCAGCCUACGGGCGAUAUGUCAACUUAGCGAGAGCAGUAUACCGGUAUACUAUAUCAACCUACGAGCGAAAUGUCAGCUUAGCGAGAGCAAUAUACCUUAACCCUAUCAACUUAGUGCGAACUAUACUAUCCAUAUAUCAGCUUAGAAUGUGCAAUCCUGGACUAUGGUUGGACUUAUAAAUAGUAUUGAAUGUGCCGACCAAGCAUGGGUCAUGAUGACAUGUAGUCGACUGGGUCGAUUGAAUAUUGGUUCAUUAUGAUGUUGUGAAUUGAUUGAUCGAAUUGAAAUGACCGAUGAGUGGUCUUGUUGACGUGUAAUCGACUAGAUCGAUUUGAUCGAUGCUUCAAUUAGUGAUGUGAUUGCUUGGGUGCUUAUUUGAUAUGUGCUAAUAUGUAGGUGGAAUCUGAGGCCAAGGUAAGUCCUCUGACUCAUGUUGUGCAUAGGCAACCCUAAGGUAUAUUAGUUUACUAAUCGGGUCUUAGGGGGUAGAACUUGUUGAGACGUGGUCUCAAUGGUUAUUGAAUAACCAUUUCAGGACCCUAAUGAGGAGCCUGAGGAGGAGGAAUCUGAAGAGAACCCUAAUGUGGAACCACAUGAGAAUGAAGAUUUGGAGAAGAAGAUGACCAUGAGGAGGAUCCUGAGUACAACCCAGAUGAGGACUGAGAUCUCAUCCUGUUUUGUCAGACCUUGACUAUAUGUGGAUAAAUAUUAGAUCAGACCCCUGUGAAUAGUAUUGCAUUAUAUACUAUGAGGUGCUUGUAUAAAAGAGUAGUUGAGAAUUUCAGUAUGAAAAUUAUAGUCCUGCUUUUCUAUCCCAUUGUUUUAUUGUCUGGGGAUUUAUAACUGCUUCCACAUGUGCAUAUUGAAAAUGAAAGAGUCGACGAUCCGUAGUCCUAGGAUAUCACAUUUUAAAAUUGACCAAAGGUAAGGGAUGUGUGCAUGCCUGAGGAUCGGGGCAUGACAAAUAAUCUUGAAAUAUCAUACUUUAAUGCUAUGAGCUAGGUCUUCAUUUUGGGGAUUCCAAGUUUUGUCUUUGUGUAGAGAAAGUGUUUGACGAUCUAGUUUGACUAUUUGUAUAAAUUUCAAAGGGUUGGAAGUUCUAAAGCUUGUCAUAAAAGUACAAUCAAAUUCUAAAACUUAUUAUGAAAGUACAAUCAAAUUCUAAAACUUGUUACCAAAGUGCAAUCGACGAAAGGCAUUGAUUGGACCAAUUUGACAAAUUUUAAAACUUUAUUGUACUUUUUGAAAGUUUUAUGACUUAACUAUACUUUUGACAAGUUUAGGACUUAAUUGCACAUUUUGAAAGUUUUAAAACUAAAUUGCACUUUUGUGAUAAGUUUAGGACUUUCAAUGCUCUUGUCCCAAUUUCAAAAUAUACAAUAAUUUUGUUUAAUUUUUCUUUUUUCUUUGGGGGGGGGGGGGGGGGNNNNNNNNNNNNNNNNNNNNNNNNNNNNNNNNNNNNNNNNNNNNNNNNNNNNNNNNNNNNNNNNNNNNNNNNNNNNNNNNNNNNNNNNNNNNNNNNNNNNUUACAUGAACCUUUUCAUGUUUUUAUAGUUCAAAAAAAUCAUACGAACUUGAAAAAAAAAAAUGUGUGCUGACCAAAGUGUUCUCCAAGCCAAAGGAAGAGAUUGAUUUAAAAGACCGGAUUAAUUGUCCUCUAAAGUCUGUCAUGAUCCUCUAUAGCAUUCUUCAAAGAGGCAUUGUCUACAAAGCUACUAGUUAAAUGCGUUUUCUUAUUUUCUUGUUUUCACCAACUCACAGAAUGUACACAACCUUAUUAUUUGAUUUUUUUUAUAACCAAAUUUUUUUUAUUAAUGAACAUCAUGUCGCAACUCACAAAUAUGAACAUUUGGUGGUAAGGUAGAAAGAAGAAGAAUUUUGACAUAUCCAUCGUACAUUGAAUAUCGUAUCUUUAUGAUUUAUGAAAAGAAUUGAAGUUCGAUACAAUAUAAUGUCGUCGCGGUUCCUUCCAUGAUUGAUCUUUAACUUUUCCAUUUUGUUGAUGGUUGGGAAGAUAAGUUUUAAAAGUCUUUUCCAUUUCACACGGUACACUGAAAGUGGGGAUAACGUUUGGAGGGUACUUCUUGGAAAGCUCUUCGUGGGUCUAAGAAAUUAGUAACCAAGUCUUUUUUUAUAGUUACCAAAUUUCUUUCAUGACUAAUGAACCAAUUCUCUUAUUAUUUGCUAAAAAAAAAUUAAUUAACAUCAUCUUACAUUUAUUAAUCAUACAGAAAAUUACCAAUAUUUAUUGGGUUGACUUCCCAAUUUCUUUCCAGAUUAACUCAAUGGAAAAUUUUUUUUUUUUUUUGGUAAAGGUAUGUAUGGUAUAGCUUUUGCGAAGAAGAAUACAAGGGGGGAGGCCCAGCACCAACAAAAAACAGACACUCAAGAAGACAGGAGUCUAAGCGAGUGUAGGGGUACCGUGGUUCCCAACAAACAGAACAAACAACGAAAAGAAAGAAAGGAAGACUAAAAACAAACUAAAGAACUUCCAUCAAUCAAAGAUAGAAGGAUGAAGAUCCCAGUUCUGUUGAAGUCUUCUAUUCUUUGGAAUGUCAGCAACAUGCUUAAACGCUUUAAUCGCCUUCUGGAGGUGCAUCUUCAUCUAAUAAAGGAGGCCCAAGUGACAGCAUUGCCCUUUGGCCGAAUCAACUCCCAAGUAGAGGCGGAGGAAAAACGACCAGAGGCGUGGGGUAACCAAUGAAAGCGAUCAUCUUCUUGGUUAAACACCGGGAGGGGAUUCCACCAAUUGGCCAAGAUGUUGAUCACGUACCAGCCCAUGGGUGUGGUAAAGCCUUUAGCAACCGUCGCUAGUCGGGAGAUACCGGAGUGGUAUAUAUCUUGGUUGGAGAAGAUCCUGUAUAAAGGGCCAUUUGGGUGCCAUGGGUCGAACCAAAAUGAAACCGAUCAUCCAUUCCCAAUAUUCCACUUGAAGUAUUGCUGGAAAUGUUCUCGCGGGUUUAAUAUCUUUCUCCACGCCCAAGAGCAAUGAGUAGGACACAGGACAACCCAAAAGUUUUCCUGCUUUAAAAAAGUAGAAUGGAUCCAUUUGCACCAAAGGGAUUCCUUAUUAGAGAAGAGAAUCCAAAUGUGCUUAAGCAUAGAAGCGAUAUUAUUCUCCUGAAGAGUUCUAAUACACAAGCCUCCUUCUUUUUUUUGGAAGGCAAACAUCACACCAAGAGACCUUAGCACCUCCAGGGCCCAUCGCCGGGCCUUUCCACAAAAAUUUCCGAAACAUUUGUUCAAUUCGGUUAAUGAUCGAACAAGGUAGAAAGAAAACAUUGGCCCAAAAGGCUUGGAUAGAGUGGAGUACCGACCUUAUAAGUUGAAGGCGUCCCGCAAAAGAGAGGAAUCUAUGAGUCCAAGAUUGGAGACGAGCCGUGAUUGAAUUUACCAAAGACACACAAUCCGCCUUACUCAAUCUUGUAGAGAUAACUAGAACUCCAAGGUAACGAAAAGGAAGGGUGCCCAUCUGGAAGCCCAGUUUAUUUAAAAUAUUCUGCCGAAGAUUAAAGGAGCCCCUAGAGAGAAAAACUUCACUCUUUCUAAGGUUCGGAACAAGCCCACUCCAAUUAGAAAAUUUGUCAAUCCCAUCCUUAAGCAGUUCAAUGGACGGUAAGCUAGCUUCAGCAAAAAGUAAUACAUCAUCAGCAAAGAAAAGAUGAGAGAGUCUAAAGGGCUUGCAACGCCAGAAGAACCGAAAAUCAGGAUGCCUAGUUUGGAUAUCCAGGAUGCCAGUAAAUAUUUCCAUCACAAGGGUAAAGAUGUAGGGAGACAUCGGGUCACCUUGUCGAAUACCCCUACCACUCGAGAAAAACCCAUGGAGCUCCCCAUUUAUAGAAACCGAGUAUUAGGGGUACGGAUGCAGACCAUAAUCCAGGCAAUAAACUCCGAAGGGAAACCAAAAGCUUGCAAACAAAGAUCAAUGAAAUUCCAAUCCACCAUAUCAUAAGCCUUCUUAAAGUCAACCUUUAUCACGCAUUUAGGCCGAUAAGGAUCAAGGUGGAAACCACAAAAGAGCUCUUGAGCAAGCAAAAUAUUGUCGCUUAUAUGCCUACCUUUAACAAAAGCAUUUUGGGGUAAGCUAAUAAUAGAGGGAAGCACAUGAGAGAGCCGGUUGGCAAUAAGCUUGGUGAUACACUUGUAGAUGGUGUUACAGCAAGCAAUUAGUCGAAAAUCGUUAACAUUAGAAGCAUUAGGGACUUUGGGAACCAAGGUCAAGAUGGUCAUAUUUAUCUCCCGCAACAACUUGCCUAUUGUAAAGAAAUCUUUAACUGCCAAAAUAACUGUGGGUCCAACUCUUUCCCAAGAAUGCUUAAAGAACUCUACAUUAUAUCCAUCGGGGCUAGAAGCUUUACCCACUGCAAGAGAGAAGAGCGUAUCUCUAAUCUCAGCAUCAGAAAUAAGGCUAGAGAUGAAACACACCUGAUCCUCAUUGAGGGUGUGACUUAGAACCGCACGCAUCUCUUCCAAAGAAGGUUGAGCAACUGGAGGAGAAUACGCCAAGAGCUCACAAAAAUGAUCAACAAAAAGGUUCUAAACUUCAGAAGGAUUUGAAGUGGUGUAGUUCCCAUUAGACAGAGAAAUAAUUCUGUUAUGAAGAUGCCUUUUGUUUACCGAUUGAUGGAAAAACUUUGUAUUGAGAUCCCUUUCUUUCAGCCAAUGAACUCAGGAUUUCUGUCUAUAAAAAGAUUCUUCUUGAAGGCGCAAAUCUAAAAAAGAUUGGAGCUGAAGUUUCUCCAAUUCAGCAAACUGAAUAUUAUAAGGGUCAACCUGUAGAGCUUCCUGAGUAACACAUAACACCCGUCUAGCUUCAUCCGUUCUAUAGGAGAGAUCCGAAAAAGACUCCUUAUUGAGCUACUUCAAUCUACAUUUAAGGCAACGAAGCUUAGAGCAAAGCAUAAACAUCGGAGUACCCCUAAGCGAGGAGUUCUAAACUUGAGAAACCAUAUUAGAGAAAUCCGGGUGGGUAAGCCAAAAGUUGAAGAACUUGAAUGGCUUGCGAGACUUAGGGGCAAGGAGGAUCUUAAUGACCAUUGGAGAAUGGUCCGAAAUGCUAGGGGCCAAAAAUGAAGCUUCAGAGAAGGAGAAUUCAGCUGACCAGCAAAAAUUAACCAAAACACGGUCGAUUUUCCUUUGCUUACGGUUAGGACCCAUCGACGUAGACCAAGUAAAUCUGUUACCCAUAUAUCUAAGAUCAUCUAAACCAGCUUGAAAGAGACACUCACGGAACUCAUCAAAAACUGGGAUCCAGCCAUUAGAACCGCCCAACCUAUCCGAAGGGUCACGGAUCGCAUUAAAGUCUCCUGCUAUAAUCCAAGGAGAAACCAAAUGAAGAGAACUGGUCUGAAUAAGAUCGGUCCAUAAUGGCCAUCUAGAGACAAAUCUAUGCUCAGCAUAAACCACUGUGAGAAAGAACCAUUUACCAGAACUAACAUUAGAAAGCUUUCCAUGAAUAGCUUGAUCCGAAGAAGAGUUAACGAUAAACGAAACUUCCAGAGGAUUCCACCCCACCCAAAUUCUUCCAUUAGAGGAAUAAUUAUAAUUGCUUUCCCAAUUCCAACCCAACAACAACACAGCAGAGACCGGACCGAAAGCACCCUGGGAAAUUUUAGUUUCAACUAUCCCAAUACAGCAAAAGUUAUUGGACCUAACGAAAUUCCUUAAUCUCCGCUUGUCUCAAGUGACCACAUAGACCCCUUAUAUUCCAAACUCCUAUAAUAUAUAUAUAAAGAGAGGGAGAGGAGAGCUAUUGACGUUUAGGAGGCCUCCUCCGACUAGUCCCCUGUUUUGGAAGAGCAGUCACCUCAAUUGAUGGAACUGGAACCUGAGGGAUAUCCUCUUUGAUAGGAGUUGUCUCAAUUUCAGCAAUACGAUCAUCAUUAGUAGCAAGCUCUUGAGAGUCGUUUGGCUCAAGCUCCUCAGAGCUACUACUCAUUGCACUAGCCAUAUCCUCAGAAUCUUCAUCCAAUGAGCCAGAUAUCACAGAGGCAUUUUUUAAAAUUGGCUCCACUAGGACAAUCGAAGAAGAAGGUCCUGCAGCACUAGGCUUAAGGAUCUCUUGGUCUUUCUAGACAAAUUUGCUCAAAGGUGGAAACAAGGAUUCCGCAUUGUCUUUAGACUUCAAUGCAGAAACAUGAGGUGUAGAAGACUUACCCAUCACUAAUGUACUGGGUUGUUGUUUCUUUCUCUUGUGGGUCACUUGCUUCCAUCCUUCACACUGGUCACUUUGGGCCACAUGAACCUGAGUAUUCGAAGAAGGCUCAGCAACAGUAGGAGUACGAGACUCCACAACAGGAGGGAUCGGGACUUCAGCAACAACAGGCGCUCGAGAAUUUACAGCAGGGGGAACCGGGACUUCUACUCUUUCACAGUUAUGGCCAAACACAUGGCACUUAGGACAAGAGAUCGGUCUCCACUCGUAGAAGAUGGGGACAAUGAAGGAUUCACCACUCAAGAAGACUUCCACUGUUUCACAUCUUUCCAGCUUAGCAGACACUUCAACACAUACCCUUGCAUAGGAUAGUUGUCUCAUUUUUUCAGUAAAAGGGUCUACAUACAACAGUCUACCCACCGAACUUGCUAUUUAGCUAAUACCAGGAGCUGACCAAGAAGCAAACGGGAUGUUCUUCAUGCGAAUCCAAACAGGCACAGAGGAUUGCAGAUCCUUCCUCAACUCAAGAGUGGGGUGCCAUUGUUUAAGGAUAAGUGGUACUCUAGCCACCGUUAGCGGGCCUUCAUCAAGAAUUUUCCUGCGAUAAUCAUGAUCCGGAAUAAAGAAGAAAUAGAAUCCUUCAUCGUUAGCUAGCACUUCCGUUAAAUGAGAUCCCCAAGUAUCCUUAAGUACCGAUUCAGUCAUUUUGAAAGGAACUUUAUUGCCAACAAAGUAACCCACUAGACAGUGGUUCCAUUUUGGAUCAGUAGCAUGCACAACAUCCUCAGAAAGGUGGAUAACAGCAUUUUCCCAACAGAAGUUGGGGGGAUAUAGCUAAGUUCAUAGCCCUUCAUCGAAAGUUUAGCAACACUAGCCCAGGAUCGGGUUGGGGGGGGCUUUCUGCAUAUCUGGUUUUUGGGCAUCAGGCCGAGCCACAGUAAGGCCACGAGAGCCGAAUCUAAGGCGGCUUCUACUAUGCCUAUUCCCAGCUUGGGACUUCUCAAAAGGCCGGUCCAUACAAUUUGUAGGGUUCGAGGAAGAAGCCAUACCCAACAUCAGCAGUAACGAAGCACAAAAGAACCAGAAACCGUAGCCAAGAUUUCGGAAGUCGAGAAUCAAGCCAUACCAGGUGUUCAGUCACGAUUUGGGGAGGAAAAGACAAUGCUGGCCACCAAACCAACCAGUCAAAGCCCCACAAAGCCCAACGACCAGUAGCGACGCACAGAGAACCCUAGACGCGGCCUUCCAUGCUCCCCAAACUUGAGACAAUACAAAUCAAGCUCCAAAAGGGUCUGAAGGCGGUCCACAGACGACCAUUCUCACCGAAAAUCAGCCCCAAUCAUCGAGAAAAUCAACCGAAAUCAACCACUCGACAGAAGCCAGGAAUAGUGAAAGAAUCACCCAAAAUAAAGAGAAAGUGAACAGUGUCUCCCUCGCAUAAAUCUUCUAACUCAAUGGAAAAGUUAAUAAAUUUAAAAAAAAAAACAAAAACAAAACAAACAUUGAUAGUUAACUCGAAUGAGAGUUGGUAACCAGUUGAAAGCUUAAUUGAAGAAAAGAAUGACAAAUAAGAGUUAGUAAAUUUAAGGCAUAAUAAAGAAAGGUGAAUGAAAACUUGAUUAAAAGAAAAAGGAUUAAUAUCCUAAAAAAACCCCAAAUUGAUACACAUGUGACAAAUUUACCCCAAACUAUUUUUUUGACUAUGAAAAACCCCAAACUAGUAUAUUUGUGACAAAUUUAUCCCGACUGACCAUAAAAAAAAACCCUAAACUGGUACAUUUAUGAUAAAUUUACCCCAAACUAAUUUAUUCGAUCACAAAAAACCCCAAACUGGAAAAUUUGUGACAAAUAUACCCUUCGCUAAAUUGGAUUAAUAUCACAAAAAAAAAUUACAAAAUUGUAAACUGUGACAAACGGAGCGUUAAAUCCCAAAUUGGUAUACCAGUCAACUGUUACGUUUCAUUUAACUUAAUAAUUUGACAAUAAAAUUUAACGAAAACUAACAGAGGGUAAAUUUGUCACAAUUGUACCAGUUUGGGGUAAAUUUGUCAAAGGUAUACCGGUUUUGGAUUUUUUGUGGUCAAAAAUAUAGUUUGGGGUAAAUUUGUCACGGGUGUACCAGUUUAGGGUUUUUCAAGGUAUUAACCUAAAGAAAAAAGAAAAGUUGGUUAUUUAAAAAAUAAGCUUAGUAAGUAAUUUAAAUAAGAGUUGGUAACUCAAAACUAAUUGAUAAUUUAAAUAGAGAAAAGUAGGAAAGUUGCUCAAAUUUAUAGCUAGUAAUGCUAAGGCAUUUUUGAGAAAUGCAACUAGAAGUUGGUAGACGAUUAAAAAAAAUGACAAUUAAAGUUUGAAGGCGUUAAACUUUUCAUUUUUGUUUUCAAGCGAGGUUAGACUUCCAACUCCACAUGUCUACUUUCUUAGACAUUUCGUCUAAUUCUUGCCCCACACGCCAAUCGUUAGUGGAUUUCAGGCCAUUUCUUAAUCCUUCAAUCAUAUCUCUACUCUCUCUUGCUUUCCUACCUAACCAUCGUUCGUUGACUUGUAACUUCCUUGAAAUGCAUCAUACCACGUUGUCCAUCAUCCAAGUCUUGUAAAAUCACUAUAAAAUGCGGUGUGAUUUUACAUGGUGCAACCAAGAUGAAAAGGAAAAGGAGCUCCUUAUGACUACCUUACACGUGAUCUUUUUUUCAUCUUGCUUGGUUUGGGAAUGUACCAAUAACUCUCCAUACUUCUCACAAAAACAAUAUCACAAAAACAAAAGUAUAACAAUACGUUGUUAUACUGAUUAUAGACAUUGGUUAGAAGUGAUUAUUUUAUGUGAUUUAUAUCCUUCUACCACUUAAGCAAGAUUUGUGCCAAAAAAAAUGCUUAAGGAAGAAAAGGGAGAUUUACAACUAACUACUAAAAUCAAAAGGGUGUUGAUUAAAUAACUAAUCGAUCCUCUACGUUGCUUUUCCUUGUGCUUUCUCUUUCAAAUAAAUGAUAACUGUACAGAGUCUAUCCUUUUUUCUUCUUCUUUUUUUUUCGGAUAAAGAGUCUAUAUAUAUAUAUAUAUAUAGUUAGCUCUUUUGGUGCAAACUUGAGUUGUUUCAGUUUUUUUUCUCGAUCUUAAUUUUUAUUAUUGAGUCUAAUCUAAUAUUAAUUUACUUUAAUAUUAAAUUAUUUUUGUGGUGCAAAGGCAUGAGGCCUACGUGAAGCACCAAUCAAGUCCCCAAUCAUAGAUCUCUAGUUAUAUGGGAAGUGAGAUACACUCCCAUAACUCACUUAAUUUUUAGCCGACUUUUGAUAAGGAUUUGGGAGAAAUAGUUGAUAGUCAAAAUUUUUUAAAGGAAAUGGUUGAUUCUAGAUUUCCAAGAAAGGUCAUAGAAAUGCGAUGAUGGAUGGGAAAAAGCAAGUUCAUUUGGGAUUCCAAUAACUAGUUUAAUCAAGUCCCCAAUCAUAUAUCUCCAGUUAUUUAGGAAGUGAGGUACGCUCUCAUACUGCACUUAAUUUUUAGCCAAAUUUUGAUAAGGGUUUGGGAGAAACAAUUGAUAAUCAAAAUUUUUUAAAGGAAAUGGUUGAUUCUAGAUUUCCAAGAAUGGUCAUAGAAAUGCGAUAAUGGAUGGGAAAAAGCAAUAUUGUUUGAGAUUCCUUUCAUGAUUGAUCUUAAACUUUCUAUUUUUGUUGAUGGCUGGGCAAAAUAGUGUUAGUAUUUUCCACUUCACUCGGUGUGCCAAAGAAAGAGAAAACGUUUUGAGUGUCCUUCUUGAAAAUUGCCUCAUGGACUCUAAGAAAUUAGUUCCUGACAUCUAUUUGUCUAUUGUUCGGUUAAUACAAUUAGAAAUUUCAAACCAAUACUCGCAUAAUAUAUUUAUCCAAUAUUAAAUUUCAUCUCACAAAACAUACUAAACUGUUACACUCACGAUACAUUUAUCCAAAACUAAUUUCUUUGAAAAACACAUUAUUGACCCUUCUCCUAAUCAGGGGCAAUCAAAACUUCUAUUAUCAGCAAGUUUUGAUCAUGUCGUCUCACAAAUCAAUUAAGCGGUGAGUUCUGGCACAAAUAAUCUUGAAAUAUCAUACUUUAAUGCUAUGAGCUGGGUCUUCAUUUUGGGGAUUCCAAGUUUUGUCUCUAUUUAGAGAAAGUGUUUGACAAUCUGGUUUGACUAUUUGUAUAAAAUUUCAAAAGGUUGGAAGUUCUAAAACUUGUCACGAAAAUAUAAUUAAGUCAUAAAACUUGUUACCAAAGUACAAUCGAGUCCCAAAAUUUUCAAAAGUACAAUCGACGGAAGGAAUUGAUUGGACUAAUUUGACAAGUUUUGAAAGUUGAUUACACUUUUUGAAAGUUUCAUGACUCAACUAUACUUUUGACAAGUUUAGGACUUAAUUGUACUUUUUUUUAAAGUUUUAGAACUAAAUUACGCUUUCGUGAUAAGUUUCGGACUUUCAAUACUCUUGUCCCAAUUUCAAAACAUACAAGAAUUUUGUUUAAUUUUUCUUUUUCUUUUUUGGUUAUGUGACCAGGACUAAUCGAUGCUUGUGAUUGCCUCGAUGCUCAAGUUAAAGUUAAAGCUGAUGGUUCUAAAUGUCAAGCAAUUACAUGAACCUUUUCAUGUUUUUAUAGUUCAGAAAAAUCAUACGAACUUGAAUAAAUGUGUGUUGACCGAAGUGUUCUCCGAGCCAAAGAGAGAGAUUGAUUUAAAAGACCGGAUUAGUUGUCCUCUAAAGUUUGUCAUGAUCCUCUACAGCAUUCUUCAAAGAUGCAUUGUCUACAAAGCUACUAGUUAAAUGCGUUUUCUUAUUUUCUUGUUUUCACCAGCUCACAUAAUAUACACCACCUUAUUGUUUGAUUUUUUUUAUAACCAAAUUUUUUUUAUUAAUGAACAUCAUGUCGCAACUCACAAAUAUGAACAUUUCGUGGUAAGGUAGAAAGAAGAAGAAUUUUGACAUAUCCAUCAUACAAUGAAUAUCGUAUCUUUAUGAUUUAUGAAAAGAAUUGAAGUUUGAUACAAUAUAAUGUCGCCGCGGUUCCUUCCAUAAUUGAUUAUUAACGUUUCCAUUUUGUUGAUGGUUGGGAAGAUAAGUUUUAAAAGCCUUUUCCAUUUCACACGGUAAACCGAAAGUGGGGAUAACGUUUGGAGGGUACUUCUUGGAAAGCUCUUCGUGGGUAUAAGAAAUUAGUUACCAAGUCUUUUUUUAUAAUUACCAAAUUUCUUUCAUGACUGAUGAACCAAUUCUCUUAUUAUUUGCCAAACUUUUUUUUUAAUAAACAUCAUCUUACAUUUACUAAUCAUAUAGAAAAUUACCGAUAUUUACUGGUUGACUUCCCGAUUUUUUUCUCAGAUUAAGUAACUCAAUGGAAAAGUUAAUAAAUUUAAAAAUAAAUAAAUAAAUAAACAUUGAUAGUUAACUCGAAUGAGAGUUGAUAACUAGUUGAAAGCUUAGUUGAAGAAAAGUUUGACAAAUAAGGGUUAGUAAAUUUAAGGCAUAGUAAAGAAAGGUGACUGAAGACUUGAUUAAAAAAUAAAAAGAAAAGUUGGUUAUUCAAAAAACAAAGUCUUGCAACUUCCUUGAAAUGCAUCAUACCGCGUUUUCCAUCAUCCAAGUCUUGUAAAAUCACUAUAAAAUGUGGUGUGAUUUUACAUUGUGCAGCCAAGAUGAAAAGGAAAAGAGGCUCUUGACCACCUUACACAUGAUCUUCUUUUCAUCUUGCUUGAUUUGGGAAAGUACCAAUAUCUCUCCAUACUUCUCACAAAAACAAUAUCACAAAAACAGAAAGACCCCACCCAAUUUCGGUGCGAAAUCUCAGGAUAACAGUACGUUGUUAUACUGAUUUUGGACAUUGGUUAGAAGUCAUUAUUUUAUGUGAUUUCUAUCCUUCCACUACUUAAGCAAGAUUUGUGCAAAAAAAUGCUUAAGGAAGAAACGGGAGAUUUACAUCUAACUACUAAAAUCAAAAGGAUGUUGAUUAAAUAACUAAUUGAUCCUCUAUGCUGCUUUUCCUUGCGCUUUCUCUUUCUAACGCCACAGCAGCAGUCCCUGGUGGUUGCUGGUGAUUCCAGGCGGCAUCCUGGCUCCACUUUACGCCACCGCUUGCUCUUUUAUUUCCUCUGCUACGUUUGAUUUCUUUUCGCAGGUUGCCCAGUGUAGACUAGCAUUGAUCGAACCCACACCGGUGCUGCCGAGCAGAGUCCGACCAACAAGCCUUCGCCGUUGCAUCUUUUGUUCUAGCGAACGUGUCUUCAAUUUGCUGUGUCCUUGCUGCUUUGGUCCUGACGCUCCUCCUCACCGGUCACUGUAAAGCUCUCCGUUGCCGGUCCCUAUUCUUGGAAACAAAUACUCCAAAAUAGGUCAUUUCUCGAGCCAAUUUGAUAGUUUGCAGUUAUUGAUUAUCUAAUUUGAUACCAUAUGUACUAAUCUUGAUAUGUUUGAGAUUUUUAGGCAUUUCCAUGUUAGGAAAUUCCCUAUUUUGAACUGUGGUUAUAGUUGAUAAUUCAAUAUUUAGAAAUUAAAAUGUUGCAUAAAUAAAUUUUAAAAAAUUUGAUAAUGAUUUUGAUUUUCCUUAUAUGUAAAUUUUAAUUCAAUAAAAAAUUACAUAAACAAAUCAUCCAACCUAAAUGGAUGUAAGUCAACAGAAUUUCAUUAUCUUAUAUUCUCCCACUCUUUUUUUUUUUUUUUAGAAAUGCAUAUCUAAUUAGUUUUUUUAGGAACCAAAAAUAGUCACCAAUCCAGCUUUUUUAGAUUUUUUUUUCUUGUUGCUUUUGACUCAUAAUGGUACAAUAAAGUAACUCCAGAAAAAAGCAUCGCGUUGUUCAUGACUAUAAAGAUCAGGCCGCUCAAAGUGUCUUAGGAUAGUUGGUUUGCUUCUUACACCAUUCGCGACUUACACUACUCGUGAUAGAGGAGCAACUCUCUCUCUCUCUCUCUCUCUCUCUCUCUCUCUCUCUCUCUCUCUCUCUGGGUUGUCAUCUGGUCAAGUGUAACUUAUUCCCUUUUUUUUUUAUAUAUAAAAAGUCUUAAUGUCGAUGAAGGGCCAUUUCUUCUUUUCUUUUCCUUUUUAGGUACUCGUGUUUCUUAAUUAUAGUUUAAUUAGACUUCGACCUUCGACUAAACUAUGUUGACUUGACUCCAGUGAACCCCAAGCCAGCCAUUAUCGCUGUGCAGAUUAAUGGUGAUUCUGAUUUGUAAUAGAUUUUGAUCUGUAAUAACACGUUAUCUUACACUUUAUAUUUGAAUAAACAUUUUAAAUCUUACUAAGAACGUCAAAAAGUUUUGCUUUCUAGAAGCACCCAACAAACUAGUCCUAAGAAAACUCAGCAGACUCUAAUUAUCGGGGUUGUGUCAUUUGUGAAACCAAACUACGCAAAUACUUACAUCUACCAAUAAUUAAGAAAGUAGGGUAAAAUGGAGCUUAGCGGUUGAACCACAUAAUCACAAAGUUCUUUCUCCUCCCUCUCCCUUAAAAUUAGACAUAUUACUUUACCAUAAAGUAGGAAAAAAAAUAAAACUUAAUCAUUGCAUUUGAUUUAAUAUAACGUUCCUAGAGCAAUACACUAACGUCAACUUACCUUCCUUAUUUUCGGUUUACUUAGACUUUGACUUGACUCUGGUCAUGGAAAUUGGAAAACAGAAACUCAAUUUCACGUAUCUCAAAUUAAUAUAAACUUGUGGAGUUGCAUUUCCCAUCAUCCCGAGAUGUGCGACUCCACAUGUGUAGAGUUAAAAAUCUCAGACAUUUCCUUUGAUUUUCGCCCUAUCUCAUCAGUCAACUUGUGGGGCAUAGGCCAUGUCUUCAUCCUUCAGUCAUAAAUCUGCAAUUUCUCUCUAUCAAUGCCGCAACAUGACGGAAAUCGAAACUAAGCUUGACUAAACUACCUGACCGUCGCUCGUUGGCCCCAUUAAAGCAAGUCAAAUCUUUUGUCAUUCGCUUUCAAAAUUUUAGCAGACGCAGCUAAGAUGGAAAGCAAAAGGAGUUCUUCUCUGAAAACAAGAUCCACAAGCUAUGGCUCAUCGGGAACUGAGUACGAGGUGUUUUUGAAUUUUCGAGGUCUGGAUACGCGUAAUACCUUCACAAAUUGCCUCUAUCAUACCCUGCUGAAUAAGGGUAUCAGUGUUUUCAUAGACAAUCAAGGGAUUGACGUUGGGGAGGAGAUCGGUCCCGAGAUCUUUCAGGCCAUCGAUGAUUCGAAAAUCUGCAUUCCCAUUUUCUCCAGAGAUUAUGCCUCUAGUAGUUGGUGCUUGUGUGAGCUGGAACACAUGAUGCGGCAUAGGAAAACCAAUGAACUGGAGGUUUUGCCCAUUUUCUAUGACGUGGAACCCUCUGAUGUGAAGCUUGAAACUGGAGUGUAUAAGGAUGCACUAACUCUGCGUAAAAAGGAACGUGGGGCUGAGAUUGUGCAACGCUGGGAGGAGGCGCUCAAGGAAGUUACUAAAAUCAAGGGAUGGGAUGCCAAGAACAUAGGGUAUGUUAACUCACUCAACUCCAUCUUCCCUUUUCUCUUUGUUUCUUUUGUUUGAAAUGCAGAUUAUAGUUUGAAAGAGCACAAUUUUUUCUAAGUUCUGGACCCAAAACUGUGAUGGAUUUCGUAUCGAAUUCUACACUCCAUUGUCUCAAGACCCUAGGAUUACCUGCUCAACACAAGCAUUAAAACCUAUCAUCCUAGAUUGAACAGAACCAGAGAAUCAUGUUUUAUUCUUUUGUUCACUAGGCCCAGCAUCAAGUUCGUAACUUCAUGUUGUUGUUUGAUCUUACCAAUCUUAUAAUUCACUUGAUAAUAUUUUGUGUUCUGACACAACCACGGAGAACUCGCACAUUUGAUUGCGCGGAAAGUGUUGGUCAAGCUUAAGGUGUCUUGUGUGCAUAUAUCAGAUCAUUUAGUUGGAAUGGAUGAAUCAGUGGAUGAAGUAGUAAAUUUGCUGAAUGUUGAAUCUAAGGACAUCAGGCUCAUCGGUAUUUGGGGAAUGGGUGGAAUAGGCAAGACGACUCUUGCCAAACUUGUCUAUGAUAAACUAUCUACUAAUUUUGACAGUUGCAGCUUCAUUUCAGAUAUUCGAGAAGCAUCACAAGGUUCUGGUCUUUUGAAUGUGCAACAACAAUUAGUCUUUAAUAUCAUUGGUGACAUAGGAGUUGGAUUUUCUAACAUUGAUCAUGGGAAAAAUAUGAUCAAAAAUCGAUUCUGCAGAAAGAAAGUUCUUAUUUUUCUCGAUGAUGUAGACCAUAUGAGGCAACUCAUGGCAUUGGCAGCUAAGAAAGAAUGGUAUGGUUCGGGAAGUAGAAUAGUUGUUACAACAAGAGACAGAAGUGUUUUUAAUCAAUUCCUAGACCAAUUUGACCAUUGUCUGAUUUAUGAAGUCAAGGAACUCAACAAUCUUGUAGCUCUUCAACUUUUCAGCAAGCAUGCCUUUAGAAGCAACUCUCCUCCAAAUGCAUUCUUGAGUCUAUCUAAGAAAGUUAUUGAACAAACCGGAGGGCUUCCUUUGGCUAUAGAAGUGAUUGGCUCAUUUUUAUGUGGAAAAAAAAAAGGAAGCAGUGUGGCAACAUACAUUAGAAAAGAUGAAAUUUUGUCAGCGGAGGGAUGUGAAGGAAAAGUUACUAUUGAGUUAUGAGGCAUUAGAUCAUUAGCAACAACAAAUAUUUCUUGAUAUUGCUUGCUUUCUAGCUGGACGAGACAAGAGUUAUCCAUAUUACAUGUGGAAUGAUUGUGGACUUUUUCCAAAUGAGGGGAUUGAUGUUUUGCUUUUAAUGUCCUUAGUGAAGAUUGGAGAAGAGAAUGAACUAUGGAUGCAUGAUCAGCUUAAGGACUUAGGCAGGAGCAUUGUGUACGAAGAAUAUUGCAAAGAUCCAAAAAAGGGUUAUCGGGUGUGGAGGAAUCAAGAAAGUCCUGAUAUUGUCUGGCAAAAGAAGGUGUAAGUCUAAGUGCACCCUCGUCUACUUUUUUCAUCGCAGAAUUCUUCCUUGACUGUUUUCCCUUUAUUUUAGGCUCUAUUUGGAAAUCCUCAUAUUAAACCAACUCUUUCCUCAAUUUAGGGAACUGAAACUGUUGCAGCAUACCAUUCGAACUUUUUUGUGCAUUCUCAAGACUUAGUUUUGAUAUCGGAAGACGUUAUCAAAAUGCCAAAUAUUAGAUUUCUAGAAAUGUGUGGUCCGUCACUCUAUGGAGACUUUGAGGAUCUCUUUUCAAAAUUGAGAUGGCUUUACUGGGAGGAUUGUCCACAAGAAAUGCAGGCAACCAACUUUUGCCCAAAAAAUCUAGUCAUCCUCGACCUAUCAUGGAGCAAUAUAGACGAACAUUGGGGUGGUUGGACUCAACUCAAGGUAUGUGUGUGCAAAUAAUUUGGUAUAACGUGCUAUAUAUUUGUUUAUGUCCUGCAAAAUUUUAUAAAUCAAACUCAUUGAAUAUACAUAAUUAUUUUUACAGGUGACAACAAGAUUGAAGGUCCUUGAUCUAUCGUGUUGCUGCUACUUAAAGGAAAUUCCUGACCUCUCUACAUAUCUAUUUUUGGAAAUAUUAAUUCUAAAGGGGUGUAAAAGUUUGUUAAGGAUUCAUCGGUCCAUUGGUCAUCUGAAACGUUUGAAGCAAUUGAAUCUAAAUGGAUGUCAUCGUCUCCAAGUCCUUCCUUUUGAAUUGGGUGCUUUGGAAGCAUUGACUGAGAUGCUUAUAGAAAGUUAUUAUUUCCCUACAAGUAUUAGUCAAGUCCCAAGCUCAAUCGGGGCACUCAUAAAUCUUGAGUGCUUGGCCAUUUGUGGAGCUACCCACCUAACGAUACUUCCCGACUCAAUUGGAAUGUUGAAAUGUUUAACUGAGUUGGAUGUCUCAGACACAGGCAUUGCAGAGUUGCCAAAUACCAUUAUCAAUCUAAAGAGCUUGAAAGCAUUGAAUAUGAGCCAUAGUUGCAUGCAAAAGUUACCUGAGGUAGUUGGGAUGUUGGAGAAACUUGAAGAGAUUUAUGGAGUGAAUUGCAAUUGGUUAGAGACAAUUCCUGGUGAUAUCGUGAGACUACCAUUUUNNNNNNNNNNNNNNNNNNNNNNNNNNNNNNNNNNNNNNNNNNNNNNNNNNNNNNNNNNNNNNNNNNNNNNNNNNNNNNNNNNNNNNNNNNNNNNNNNNNNNNNNNNNNNNNNNNNNNNNNNNNNNNNNNNNNCCCAGUUACAGAUAGUAUAAACAUAUCGUCUAUUUAUUUAUUUAUUACCUUUAUCAAAAAAAAAAACCCAUAUCGUCUCGUAUGUUCGAUCUCCUACACGAAGAAGGCUUAGAAAUAUCACUAAGCACUUGAUCUCUCCAAAUCUAACUUGCUUUUUGCAAUAAAUUUAUGAUCUAUGAAAAUAAUCAUCGAUGUAGCAGUAUUUGUAUUGAUUCAAGAGCAUCCUACUUUCCGGCUUUGCAUGGUGUGUAAGUAAUUUGUUCUAACAUGAAUUUGUCAAUUUUGUUUAUAAUAUGGAGUUGGGCCUAUGGUUUCUUCUUAAUCCUUUUCGCGAAAUUUUGUGGAGAUCGACCAUUCGGUUUUGGAAUAUAUUUUUAAUUUGAAUACAACUUUUUCAAUUUUAAUUUUUUAUUUUCUCGAAAAAGUGUUUGGUUCAUUAUUCUCUAAGUGGAUUACAACUCACAAUGUUCCCCCAUUAACAUGUCAUAUUAAUAAAAUACUUCAGAGAAAUUCGUUUUUACUUGGCUUUGGGACACAAUUAGACUCGGGUCACGUAGGGAGAACUCACAAGGUUCCAAAUGAUGCAUGACGAAGGUGACAUCCGCCGUCGGGUUAAGAGGGCUUGAAAUCUUGUCCGUUGGAUGCCAUUGCAAACCCAAUGGUCAGAUAAAAAAUGCUUAAUGUUAGCCGUCAGAUUGGGCAUGACGAUUUCGUUAUGCACAAGGGCACAACACGGACUCGCCAGAACUGUCACUCAUGGAUGAUGAAUUGACUAUAAUUUAGUAAACUAUAUUUAUUUAAUUUUUUUUUUGUUAGUCCUACUCUAUUCCUACUCUACACUCACUCUAAGACUUUUGCCCUGCCUCUUGCAGGGCGUGGGAGUCGAAACCCACUCCUGAAACUUACGCGUCCCCACCCCAUCCCCCCUGAGAAUGUGGAGAUUUGAACCCCACACCUCCCCCUUCCAUGUUGGAAGGGUGGCCACUGGGGCAAAUCCCAGUGGUUUAUUUAUUUAAAGUUUGAAAAGCACGAUUUUUUUAUACAGAGAUUCUGUAAUUCUUUUUACACCAGCCAUUGCCAGGUACAUCGAUGACGUGCAUGUACGUGAGUUGAGCAGCUAUAAAUGUUUAUUGAUAAGCGAUGAGAUUAAUUCAAUUAUAACUGAAUGAUAAUUGAGCUCUUUAGUUGAGAUUUUUUAAUACAACAUAAAUUAUCUAUGCAAGAAUAUAUUUGUGAUUGGAACUUGUUCGCAUACUUCAUACACAUAGCACAAUAUUAUCGAGGUUGGGCCUCGCCCAUGGUCGGCUAGGCUCAACCCUCAUCGAAUCUGGCGAGGGAGCCUUGCCAGCCUAGUGCAAGGUUGCCCUUGCGGCCUUUGGCAAGGCUCACCACCCUCACCUCUAGCUGUCCCUAGACCUCGGCGAUCAGCUAGUGGAAGAAGGAACGAAACGAAAAGAAAAAAAAAGGAAUAAAUAAAUAAAUUAUUCAAAAAUAAAUAAAUUCAAAAAAUAUUAAAAUAUUAUUAAAAACUAUCAAGUUCAAGAUCGGUUAUGUCACAUAAGCCAACUAAUGUCUACAUUAAUAAAAUGCGAAUAAAAUUAGCUAAAAGAGCUUAACUAGCACUAUAUCGAAAGAUUGAAAACUAAAUUGACAUAAAUACAAUAGAUUUAAUAUUUUUUUGACACUUUUCGUCUCAAAUGGGUGUUACAAGCUUACAAAAGAGAUGGAUGCAAAAAACCCUCUCAAUUAUGUUCAGUCUAACUUAUUUUGUCCUUCUUUUUUUUUUGGUCAUAUAUUUUGUCCUUCUUGACUAUAUGACCUUUGGCCGAGUUUUCUCCAAUUUAUAGAGCCCCAAAUUCGGACGUUGUCCUUGAAGUCCAUUUAAUUCUUUGUAAAGAAUUUUGGAAAAAUAUCUGUUGAAAAACAUGUAUGGAUCCUUCCCUUAGUAUAGACUGCAAUCACGUGUUCUAUUGAUGGCUGGUUUUUUCAUCACGCCAUCUAACCAAAAUAUUAAACGAAAGUUAGUGAUUUUAUUUUUUUGCAUAAAAUUUUUGGAAUAUGAUACUUUAUUGAUAUGAGCUGGGUCUCCAUUUAGGAAUUCCAACGGUCAUCAAAUCAGGAAAAUUGUCCAAAAAAUCAUAAACCUAUUGCACUUUUAUCAAUUCUAUCAUAAACCUUUCAACUUUAUCAAUUGAGUCAUAAAUCUUUCAAUAUUUUGCCAAUUGAGUAUAUUCGGUCAAAAUUGAUUAGAAUUCGCUGACAUGGAUGUCAACCAUUCUACGUGGCACAGCCAACACUGACAUGAAAACAAAUUAUUAUUAUUUUUUAAUUUUUUAAAAUCAUUUUUAUAUUUUAAAUUUCUUUUUUUCUUUUUAUUUCCUUUUCUUCCUUUUACCAAUCGCCCAGCCUCCAGCAACUGGCCAGAGGCCACGGCCAGUGAAGGUCGACCUCGCUGACUUCAAGCGAGGUCGCCUUCAUAGGGUAAUGACGAGGGGCGACCUCAUUGUCCUCAAGCAAGGCUCACCCUUGUUGGCAUCUAGCAAGGGUGAGCCUUGCUCAAGGCUGGCAAGGUCGCCCCUUGCCAAAUCCUGACAAGGGUGACCUCGCGUGAGGACGUCAAGACCGAUCCCCACCAGUUGUGGCCUCUGGAUGGUCGCCGGAGAAAAAAAGGAAAGAAAUAAUAAUAAUUUUAUAAAAAAAAAAAAGAAGAUAAAGAAAAAAGAAAUUAAAAAACACAAAAAAAAUUAUUUAAAAAAUUGAAAAAAUAUUAAAAAUUAACAAAAUUUGUCCACGUCAGCUUCGGCAUCCACGUAGGCAAAUUUCGGCCAAAAUUGGUCAUAUGAACUUAAUUGGUAAAAAAUAAAAAGAUUUAUGAUUCAAUUGACAAAAUUGAAAGAUUUAUUAUUGAAUUGGUAAAAGUGCAAUAGGUUUAGAAUUUUUUGGACAAUUUUCCCUCUUCAAAUCUAUAUAAGAAGUGAAUUUUUUAUGAGAUUUCUAUCUUUCCUAAAAAGGAUGAAGAUUAAAUAAUUGCUUGGUGCAAUAUUAUUGAUUUUUCUGGAGUUUUCUCUUCUUAAACAAUAAUAAUUAUUUAGAGUCUGUAUUCAUGAUUAGCACAUUUGGUUCAAACUUAACCGUUUCAUUUUUUUUUUUGUCCAUCUAAAUUUUCUUGUUGAACCUCAUCAAAAGAAAUAUGAUUAGUGUUUUGGUGCAAAAGCAAGAGGCGUCGGUGAAGUCGAUAGAUGGCCUUCUUCUCAAUUGACACAUAUCCCACUUUGAUCUUUUUAUUGUUCUUGUGCUUUUCAUUUAUCUUUGCCAUAUCUCAUUGUAUCCUUUGAAAGACAACAUAGCCAACAUAAACACAUAGUAUGCAGAAGAUUUUUUUUUUUUUCCAUUUUCGUGUAAAUUUCAGUUCACUAAAAAUUUACAGAAAUAUAUCACCGAACCUAAAUGAAGAUAACUUAGCAGAGUUUCAUUAACUUAUGUUUCCCCACUCUGUUCUUGAAAUGCAUAUCGAAUUAAAAUAAAAAAGCACCUAAAUUAGUCAGCAAUCUAGCUUUAUAGGAUUUAUCUAUCCCGUUGCCUUUUUAUAAUACUACAAUAAAGUAAUUCCAAAACAGCAUCAUUUUUUUUGUUUAUGACUACAAAGAUCACGCAACGAAAGCAUCCUUGGGAGAGUAAAUGAGGUGCAUCAACGGUAACUUUCCCCCUUUUUUUGAUAAAAAAUCUUAAUGUCAAUGUUUCUUCUUUUUUUCAUCCUAUCAAAUGCAGAUUUGACGUCUAAAAAUGAAUCCCCAGAACUGAGGGGUUUAUUUUACUUGAAUUAAGACCAAAUGAAGGUAUAACCUUUUUAAUUAGUUAAAGUUAACAUUACCAACCUAUUUUUAUCUAUCAUUAACUCCCUUUUUUUUAACAUUUCAUAAGCCUACUUCAAAUUUGACAUAUUAAACCACACAUUUCUUCUUCUUCUUUUUGUUUUUUUUUUUUUUUUUGGGGGGGAGGGGUGUCUUACUUUCUCUCUCCUAACAAAAAAUCACUUUUCAGGAUAAAACAUUUCUUAUGCAGUAGAAGUGUAGAAAAGGUACAUGAGGAUGAAGCUUAUAAUAAAGGUUACCAUAACUAUAAAGCAAAUAAAAUUUAUGAGUUGAUUAGUUGACGAAGAACUGAAAAUUUUUAUGGAAAACUUUAUCUCAAAAUGGUAUAUUUAGGAAAUAUGAUUGAGGAUUAGUAAACAAUCUCUUUUGUCUAAGUUUAAUAGUAGUACCAUUGCUAGGGAAAGUACAAAAAAAAAUCAUAAACUUAUUAUAUUGAUAUUAAUUCAGUCUUAAACAUUUCAAUUUGAUCAAUUUAAUCCUAAACCAUUUCGCAUUGGGACUGCUUGCUGUCAGUCUUGUUGCCUCUCCCUUCGUCUCUUCUUCCCUUCCUCUCCGCCUUGAACGCUAGCGAGAAAGGAGAGAGGACGCGGGGUACAGACAGAGAGGACGGGGCGUACUGGGGGACAAGGACCGGGAGAGCGAGCGUCGGGCAAGACACUCGGUCGAGGACGCUGGCCUUGAAGAGAGAGGGAGAAGGUUGGCUGAAACGGCCCCCCGGGGGGGCGGGGCGGCUUGGGGUUCUUCGGGAGAAACCAGAGAUAGAGAGAGAGCGAGCCGUGAGCGAGGGGGAGCGAGAACUAGAGAGAAAAGAGUGAGGCCGCACGGGUGUUUUCCGGUAGUGGGCGUGCCCGAGUUCCCGCCGCAUCGAGCACGUGUUAAGACCCGGUUGCCCUUUUCUUCUUUUAUUUUUCCGAUUUGCGUCAAUUCCUCGAGGAACCCGGCUCGGAGGCACGCGAGGCAAAUGGACGUGGUCCGAUCUAUCGAGCUCCCCCCCACCAUUCGCCGCCGCCCAGCCGAGUAGAGGGCGCCACCAACGGCCCCCGUUUGCCAUGUUUUGUGCCCUGUUUCGGCUCAUCGGACCGGGCCUCGUUGGGGUCCGGUUUGCGCUAGUCCCAGCCCCCAUCUAUGUUGUGCUAUGCUGCAUUUUCAUAUCGGCUUGUCGAUUGCUAAGCGUCUUGGCGCGGGUUGAAUCCUGGUUGACUCAAUAGCCUCCCUUCAUUCGAUGCCCGUCAUGUGUUCAUGAGAAUGCCCGAACAGAACUUGGGUAGAUUUUCCGUGAUUUUGGUUUGGUCCUAAGCGUUUGUCGGUCCUUUGACAUGCUUGUGGACUCUCAUUGUCAUCCGUGGAGUCGUGCACUCUUUCUUUUCCGUGUCGUGUGUGUAUCGCAGCGGACGGUGAUGAGAAUGGGGGUUGGAUGUGGCCAACAGGUGGUGUGGCGGUGUCGGCUCGAAACGGCCAACAGAGCCGGCCUGGUGGACCAGGCCAGCGGACAGUCCUAUUGAUUGAGCGAAGGCCAGAGACGAGCCGGCUCAAGGCAUUUGUCUCUGUACCGACGGAGAGAGAGCAACCGAGAGGGUGAAGUGGGAGGCAUCGGUACCGUGAAGGAUGAGUAGUAGGUUGGGCUUAAUUUGGUUUAGUGGGUUUAGGCCCGUUUCCAUUUCCAUGGGUUUAAAAAAUGUCCAUUGGUUUUGGGCUCAACUAGGAUUUGUUAAAUUCGGGCCUGAUUUGCUUUUAGUCUAGCUUAGGGUCGUUUGUUUCACAAAAAACUCAAUAAUUAAGAAAAAUAUUUUCUUGAAAAAUACUUUGGAGGGAUACGAUUAGUUUUCCUUUUAUUUGGUAUGUAUGAUUGAAAACAUUUUUUUGAUGUUUGGACCUUGUUAGAAAAUGCUUUCUCUCAAAUAAAAAAAAAUCAAACUUUUUAAAUAAAUAUUUAAUUUUUCUUUUUUUCCUUCUCUCCCACUCACCUCUCCACCUCACCCCUAGCCGCUUCCUCCUGUCCAUCGUCAUCACCGCAAUCUUCGACGACCUCACCUCCCUCUGCGGUGAAUCCAUCCAUCAAAGCUCAGCCGAGCCUCAAGGCUGGUAUGGAUUCUUGACCCAACCCGAACUGUUAGGUUCCGAGUCAAACCCACAUCCAGAAUGGAGUUCCUUUUUUAAAAUUAAAUACAAAAUUAAAAUAUUAGAAAAUUCAUAAUAAAUUUUAAAAAUUCAAGAAAUCCCAAAAAUUUCGAAAAUUAAAAAAAAAAGUAGAAUUCCUCAUAAAAAGUUUAAGAAUAGUCUUUUUUUGGGUAGUCUUCUCUAAAAUUGUGGAAAAGUCAUUGAUGAAAAAAUCGUGUUAAAAAAUUGAACAAACUCUUAGGAUUUUACAUAAGGUCUCUUUUGUUCUUAGAGAUGAGCACUUUCAAUAUGAUGAUUAUGGUUUUCCAUUAGCCUAGUUAGGAUUUUCAUUUAUUUAUUUCUUAUCGCUAGAUGCUUGUUUUUCCUGCAAUUUAUUUUAAAUGCUUCAUUGGUUAUUGAUUGUUAUUUUAAUGAUUAUACACCUACUUAAUAACCUCAUACGUUUGUGGAUAGGUCCAAAAUCAAUUAAAUUGUCUAACAUAAACAAAAUUAGAUAUCAAAAGGGCACUGAUUGAUUAAUUAAUGUAACCAAAUCCCUGACUAGAUUAUCUAGUUGCAUAGGAAGUAAGGUACACUCCUAUGCUUUACUUAGUUUUUAUGUGGCUCCAAUAGACUAGUGACUACUAUUUAUUAGAAAAUUCUCCCAGCAUCAAUUUGAGUUAACAUUGAAUACCCAAACGUCGUGCAAAGCAUAGGUUGGGGACCUAAUCAAGGGCCAUAGGCCCAUCUUUUAGGCAACAUCUCUAAACCUAUUGUCCUUUCUCCUUCAGAUGGAAAGGGUAGGUUGCAACAAUAAUAUUAAAAAAAAAAGUCAAAAUUUCACAAAAGCUCGUGAUCUAGUUUACCGCAUUUUAGCAAGUUCUCCGCCAAGUAACUAAUUAGAGGAGAAUAAUUGGAACAAACUUCAAGAGUUCAUCAAAUUUAGUAAGGGCCUAUUUGGUAAUCAACUAAAUAAUAACUAUUUCUAUUCUUUCAAUCGCUAGAAUGAAAAAAGAAUAGAAAUCCAUUUGGUAAAUUUUUUUGUUUCUAAGAGCAAAUUUAUUCUUGGGAAUAUAUUUAGAGCAGAAUCAAGAAGUGAAAAAAAAGUUGCUUCUUUGCUCUUGGAACAAUUCUAGAAUCAAACUUCUUCUUCUUUUUUCCUCUUUUCUUUUCUUCUUCUUUUUCUUCUUCUUCCUCUAACCGGUUGCCAGCCCUCAACGAGGCCAAGCCGAGGCUACCUUAACUAGUCGGGCGAUGCCAACCUCGCAAUGGCGGGGUGAGGUUGAGUGGUUGGGUGAGCUUGGCCUCUCCUAACCAAGGUGAGACUUGGGCCAACGAGGCUAUGGCCGAGGUUGACAAUUGACUAGAGGAAGAAAAAGAAGAAAAGGCAAAAAUAAAAAUAAAAAUAAAAAUAAAAAAUAAAAGAGAGAAAAAUGUGAUAAAAUCAUUUAAAAACUAAAAUAAAUCCUGAGUCAUAAAAAAUUUAAGAGUCGUACCAAAUGCAUUUAUAUCCCAGGAAUAGAAAUUUUAUGCAUUUACUAAAUGCCGUUGAAUGCUCCAAAAUUCAUCCAAGAGACAAAUUCAUAAAAAAUUAUUUCUUAGCAGAUAUUCUUUCUGGAAACAGAAUGAUUACCAAAUGAACCCUAAGUUGGCCGAUAUCAGCUUCAUUCACAUUUUGUCCCACCCUCUAGCAUGUCAUAAUUUUUCAGUUUAGUGGCGGGGCAAUGUCCAGGCCAGUUGUCGACAUGUAUCUUUUUAUGAUUUGGAUUUAAUUUUUAUGAAGGAACUCAUUAUAUCGCAUUGGAUUAAUUGUGCUAGCUUUAUGUUGCGUUCAUUUCUCUUCGCUUCUGUUUUCCUAUUCUAAUAUUGAUAAUAUUCCGACAUUUUGAACUCAUCAUUAAUAAGGCAAUCACGAGGCACGACCAUCGAAACUCAUAUAUUUCAUGUUAACCAGAUUUCCCUCUAGAAAAACACGUAAUCGCAAUGAUUAAUACGUAAAUUUUAAUAGAAGAAGAUAAACUCGCUUAUCACUUAUCUAUAUACGUAUUAAGAUCCAUAACACAGACCUUAUAUAACGUCAUGGGAGUGGGUUUUGAUGGGCAUGCGACGUUGGAGAUACCGUUUCUCAUCCGAACAUCACUUUCUUCAUUUUCAAUUGUACCGUCUCUUAGUGUUUUAGGAGACUGCCAAGUAAAGACCUUUCUAUCAAGCAUAUUUUAACAGCCUCUCGGAUAUAAAUGGCCAUUAGAAUACCAGACUACUCUAACCAUCCCCCCACAUUGUCACCAAAUUGAGGAGAAAAGUAUUAGAAAAGUUUCAAACUUACUGUAUUGGCAUUAAUUUAGUGUUAAACUUUUUAAUUGUGCUAACUUAGUUCUAAACCUUUUGACAUAAAGCUAAUUCAGUUGUUCCAGCUAAUUUUGGUUGGAUAUUGCUAAGUGGAAGCCGAUCGACCUACAUGCUAUAGCCAGCACUAGCGUGGAUAUUUUUUAAAAAUAUUUUAGUAAUUUUCGAUUUUUUUUUCUUUUUUUUUUCCUUCUCUUUUUUUCUUCCUCCUCUUUCUGAUGGCCAACGAGGACUGGCCUUGCCAAGGCAAGAGUGAGGCUAGCCGUUACCUGGACGAGGGCAACCUCACUAGGCGUCGCCUAGGCAAGGGUAGGCUUUACCAGAUUUGGCAAGGCCAACCUGGACAUUUCUGCAUUUCUGUUCUUGUAGAUUGGAGCAUGAAUCGCUGCAAUCAUGUCUUUCAAAUGCAAAAAAGGAGGCUAAAGCGAAGAAGAAGAGGAAUAUGACUUUCCUUUUUGUGAGCCGCAUUCGAAGGAAGAAUCAGUGUUCGAUCGAAGUGGGAGAUAGUGGUGGGAUACUAAAGAAAGCUUCUCACACGUCUCUUCAAUUUCACAUGGAAUCGAGCCCCAAUCCGCGAGAAUAGAGCUUCGGCAAUUGGAAUGACAUUAGAUAGCGUUCAUUAUUGGAGCUACACAAAUCAAAGAUCAAACGAAAGAGAUUGUAGUUCCGAGAGCUGCACGUCGUAGAAGAAGAUAUGACAGCUAAUUGAGGCUCGGUUACUAUGAAGGUCGAGCUCAUGGACAAUGAAAAACCAAGGGACUUGGGGCGAGGCUUGAUACAGUAAAGCUCUGAAGUCCAGAUCUCCCGCCAUUCAUUCUCCCGACUUCAACUUCACAAACCCAGAAACAUCAAGCUUUCAACCUACUCCAUCUCGCGAGUCAAAUCUAGCAAAGUCGGCCCCCACCUAGGCUAGGGCAGCCUUGUGAGCUCGCUUGUGGUGGUGAGGGCCACCGGGAAGAGGAGGAAAGAAAAAAGAAAGGAAGAAAAAGAGAGAAAAAUUCAGAAAAUUCAAAAAUUACUAAAAUAUUAUUAUGUAGGUCGGUUGGCAUCCACGAUACUAAUAUCCCACCAAAAUUAGCUAGAAAGAUUGAAUUGACACUAGGUUAGAAGGUUUAGGAUAAAUUGACACAAUUAAAAGAUUUAACACUAAAUUAACAUCAAUAUCAUAGGUUUAUGAAUUUUCUGAUACUUUUUCUCCAAAUCGAGAUAUAAAAAGUCCAAUAGGAUUUGAUCUCGUUACCGUACUUAUACUAUCAUGCAUCAUCUCAUAUUAUAUAACAGCCUUUUUUUUUUUCGUUUACUUGAGUAGUAUUAGCCCAUAUUCAUUGGAAAACUUUUACAAUAAGUAUUCAAUAACUAUAAAAGAUAGGGCCAUGCUUUUUUCAACCUUCUUUGGCUUAAACACUCUCCUUUUUUUUUUUGGACAUAUUAUCUCUUGUGUGACCUACCACUUCUCGUACAAUUCUACAAAAAUGAUCUUUUUUUAUAUUAUUUGGUCAACUCUUUUUAUUUUAUUUUUUUCAUUACGGAUCUCACUUUCCUUCUUCUUCUUUUCUAGGCUAACGUCUUAGUUCUAUGCUAUUGCAAAUGGUCUUUGGCCUUCAUUGUUGUCAAAGACAAUAGAUUACCUAAAUUCCCCUUGAGAUCAACAACCAAAUUAAGCAUAUCCGGCAUCAUUAAUUCCAACAAGUCAAUUAAUGAGAAGCAACCACAACAUCCCAAAAUUGAUGAUGAAGAACUUAUGGAAACAAUAGUAAGAAAUUGAACUUACAGGAGCAAAAGUCUAUAGGAUACAAAUAUGCUACAGACUAUAAAGUAACUGCCCAAUUAAUUUACAAACAAUGUUGCGAUGCAUGCUACGCUCCAAAUGCAUUGAAACACAAGAUCAAGCAUUUUACCAAAAAAACUAAAAGGGAAAAUAAACAAGCUUUCGCCAGAACCAUACCUCUGAUAGUGAAGAGGAGGGUGCGGAUUGUUGAAGUAUGCAGUUCUUUUGGGGAUUGCAAAUGCAAGAGAGACUUGUGGUUGAAGAAGAAAGAGUGAGAGGCAUCAAAAGAAGAGAAUGGCCUGGUAUAGAGAAAAUAUAGAGACAAUUUGCAAGAGCAGAAAAUUGAGGUGUCAAAGAUGUGGAAAGAAAGAAGAAGGAAAGCAGGUCUUGUAGGAAAAAAGAAGAAGAAAAAAACAAAUAAAAGUGGAACAAAUAACUAAAAAAAGAUCACUAAACUGUACCAUAAGUGGUGGGACUCACAAGAGAUAAUAUAAUCAAAACACAAAAAAGGAAAGUGUUUAAGCCAAAUGAAGAGUGCAAAAAGCGCGACUCAAAAAACAAAUUCUCUAACUUAGAAUUUACUAUCCAUAUGGUACCUUAAAUGGAUGACGACUGACCAACCAAUCCCACUCUCCUCCAUAUUUUGAGACUACUCAGACUUGACUUCUUCUAAAUUAUGUCAAAUUGUGGGGCUUAGGCCAUUUCUUAAUUCUUCCACCAUGUCUCUGCCAUUUCUCUCGAUCAACGCCACCACACAAUGGAAAUGGAAUCCGACCCUCACUUUCUCACCUGACCAUCGCUUGUUGCUGUUUUACACGGAGUUCUUGCAACUUCCUUGAAAUGCAUAUAGACCGCGUUUCCCAUUGUCCAAGUCCUGUGAAAUCCCCUUAAAAUGAGGUGUGAUUUUACAUGUCGUGAUUUGCUUUCGGAGUUUUAGCAAGUGCAACUAAGAUGAAAAGAAGAAGGAGCUGUUUAUUCUCUUUUCUUAUAUUUAGACUUUAUAUGACACUGUACAAGUGAUCUUUUUAUGAGAUUUCUAUUUCCAAACACUUACAUUCCAACAAAAAUAAUUGUAUGCAUAAAAAACCCUAUGAUCUACAAGGUACAUGCAUUAAAAAAUGACAAAUUUGAGCAGAUGGUGCUGUUAUUGUUGAUGGCAAACUUGCUUUGGGUAAAAAUGUAUUGGUAAAUUAUUUGUUGUUGACAUAUAAAUUUUGACAACUAAAUUAGUUGUUAAUUGCAUAAAUUUUUUUUAUGAAUCUUUAACAAAAGAUCAAUAAUUCGCAUUUUGCAUAUCAGGCUCUGUUUGUUUCAUGGAUAUUUGAAAAAUAUUUUCCAAAAAAAAAAAAUAAUCGUUUGUGUUACUUAAAAUAAUUAAUUAAUGAAAAAUGCUUUUGUUGUCGAUGAUAGUAUAUGUCUAAGCAUUUUUGUAGACGAUGAAAAUAUUUUUCAUUCAUUCAUUUUUUGUCAGUGAUUCAAACAAUAUUUUUUGAAAAAUAUGUUCCAAAUCAUUUAUUUCUACAAAAUAAAUGCAUUGUUAAUUUCAUUUUUUUCAUACAUUAUUUAAAUUUUGGCCAAGCCCAUAGUAUGUGGCCGAAAUUUAUAAAUGGAAGAUGUGCCAAGGUGGAAUAAUUAAAUUGAUUAGAGUAAAUUUAGGGGAGAAAGACAAUAUCUUUAUAAAACAAUUUCAUAGAACAUUGCAAGAUUGUCUUCGCAACCAUACCGUAGCAAGAUUGAAGAAAAGAAGAAGAAUUAUCAUAGUCUUGCACAUUGCAGGAAACAAAAAAUAAUGAAAUUAAACUCUAUUUAUUUCACAAAAAAAUGAAUAAUUUAAAAUGUUUAUUUAAAAAUAAUUACUUAUAUCGUUUAUAAAAAAUAAUUAAUAAUUUUUUUAUCAUUCACAUAACUGUAUAAUUAAAAUACUUUUGAUUGAUCAAUUAUUUUAGAUGAUAUGGAUGAUCAUUUUUAUAAAAAUAUUUUUAAAUUUAUUUAUUUUUUGUGAAACAAGCGAAGUCUUAAAAAAAGAGAAAAGAUCAGACCCAAAUCUAGCUAGGAUUGCUCGGUCAACGAUCGAAGAAUAUCCGAAGCAGAUUCUUGGAACUUUACGUGAGGUUUGAGAGGGAAAGGAAAAUUGAGAGUAAUAUUUAUUUUAAAACAAGAAAAGUGAGAUUAAUAGUUCACACGAAAAAAGUGGGAAAAACAGUAUAAAAAUAGCAUUGGGACCGCCGCUACCGCACAAACCUAAGCCUCAGACACACGAUAAAGUAUUCAGUGGUUAGUUCUCAUCACGUCAUAGGCUGCGUGGCAUAUACUUUUGUACUGAAGGCCAGUAAAAAAUCGACACGCGUCCAUCACCUGGCAGGUAAAUAAAAUAAAAUCAAAAUUGAACUUCUGUUAUUUCUCUCUCAUCUUCCUCCUCCGUCCACCGCCACCUCCUUCGUUCGGUCAUCGGUGGAGAUGCCGGCGCUACGUCAAGCCAACCACUCCUGCUCGCCGAACGAGCCGUCGCUCGCGGCCUUUCAUCCAAAGAGCACCGCCCCUUCCAUAGUAUGAAAAAUCCUCUGUUUUUCAUCUUUUGUGUAGAAUAAAGCUUGCUCAGUGGGGGAAGAGAGAGAACCAUUCCUUGAGCUUGAGAGUGACAUCCAUGGUCAACAUAAUCAGCCGAAGCGACAUACGAGGUCGAAGCAGAGAGUGCGUUUUCCCAUUUGAGUCUCGCUCGGGUCACCGACACGUAGUCGGAGCCUUCAUUUACGCAUCGGGAUUGGGGAUUAAAAAUAUAAACGUUGAGGGAGCGUGAAAGUGGAUCGAUGUUGGGUUGAGUUUGGAUCGAGAGAGGAGGGUGAAUCUGAGAUGAGAUGGUGAAGAUCUGGAGGAACUCGUUGAUCUUCCAUCUCCAGGACGAGCUCCAGAUCUGAGGCCAUGGCUUGUCGAUGGAAGGCCAUGAGUGACGACGGUGCUCUGUGAACGGAAGGUCUCGAGGGAUGACGGCGGUGACAAGCAGUAGUGGUCCAAUGAAGGAGGUGGCGGCAAAUAGUGACGCGCCGGUGACGCAGCAUCGGCGACUCCGCCGGCGCCGGUGACUGAACGAAGGAGACGACAGUAGACGGAGCAGGAAGAUGGGAGAGAAAAAACAGAAGUUAAAUUUUGAUUGUUUUUUUUACCUGCCAGUCAUGGACACGAGCGAUUUUUGAUUGGCUUUCAGUACAAAAUAUAUGCCACGUCAGCUGACGGGAUGAGAACUAACCACUGAAUACUUUAUAAGACACGCAACAAUUAGAGAGACAAAAAAAGAAAAAUAAAAAAAAUACUGUAAAAAGAAACAAUUUGAUUGUCUUUGUUCAGCCGGUUUGUUUAAUUUCUUGGUGUCGUUACUGCUUUCGUUCCGGCGGUCUGGUUUGCUUUCUCUUCGAAAUUCUCGAGACCUUGUUGCCGGCUUGCCCAUCGCCGCCACCCCUCACCAGUCACCGCGCUCGCAGCCGGCUUGCCCAUCGUCGCGCCUCUACCUCGCUUGCUGGCACGCUUCGUUGCGCUCAGCACGUCCCGGUCCUGCUGCAGCCGCGACAGCAGCUUUGCCAACUUAUUCUAACGCCACGGCAGCAGUCCCAGGCGAUUUCCGGUGACUCCAGGCGGCAUCCCGGCUCCACUUGACGCCACCGCUUGCUGUUUUGUUUCCUCUGCUACGUUUGAUUUCCUUUCGCAGGUUGGCCAGAGCAGACUAGCAUUCAUCGAAUCCACACUGUAGCCGCCAAGCAGAGUCCGACCAACAAGCCCUCACCGUUGCAUCGUUUGUUCUAGCGAACCUGUCUGCAAUUUGCUGUGUCCUUGCUGGAUCGCCAUCGUUGCUGCUUUGGUCCUGACGUUCCUCCUCAACGGUCGCCGUAAAGGUCCCCGUCGCAAGCCCUAUUCUUGGAAACACAUACUUCAAAUUAGGUAAUUUCUGAACCAAUUCGAUUUAAUUAUUCGUUGCCUAGUUUGCAAUUAUUGAUUAUUUGAUUUGAUAUUAUUUGAUACUAAUUUCGAUUCGUUUGAGAUUUUUAGGCAUCUCCAUGUUAGGAAAUUUCCCUAUUUUGAACCGUGCGUACGGUUGAUAAUUUGAUAUAUAGGCAUCAAGAUCCCAUUAGGGAUUGCAUAAACAAAUUUGAAAAAAAAUUGAUAAUGAUUUUAAUUUUAAUUUUCCUUUUACGUAAGUUUUAAUUCAAUAAAAAAUGACAUAAACAAAUCAUCCAAUCUAAAUGAAUAUAAGUUAACAAAGUCUCAUAAUCUUAUAUUCUCCCACUCUUUCUUAAGAAAUGCAUAUCUAAUUAAAAUUAAAAAGCACCUAAAAUAGCCACCAAUCCAACUUGUUCAGAUUUAUUUUUCUUGUUGCUUUGGACUUAUUAUAGUACAAUAAAGUAACUCCAAAAAAGAAAAAGCAUCACAUGGUUCAUGACUAUGACUAUAAAGAUCAGGCCACUCAAAGCAUCCUAGAAUAGUCGGCUUGCAUCUGUCGAGGAGCAAAUUUUUGUCUCUUCUUUUUUUUUUUUUUUUGGGAGGGGGGGGGGGGCAUAAUCUAACUUAUUUCCCCUUUUUUAUAUUAGAAAUUUUAAUGUUGACUUGAUAUGGUGGUGGAUUUCAAGCUUUACGCUCUCACAAGCAAAAAAAGAAAAAAAGAAAAAAAAUGAAAUCUAGUUUCUAGCUUGCAUCGGUAAAUUGUUAUGUUUUACAAUUUGUUUAGUUUAAUCUUUAUUUCCGACACAAUUAUACAUUUAUUUCCCUUGAAAUAUAUAAAAUUGUGAAAAUUGAUAAGUAAUUUACAUAAAAUUUUCUUAAAUUUUAAACAUUUUAAAUCUCAACAAGAAAAUAAAAAAGUUUUUCUUUCUAAAAAGCACAAACAAAUAAAUCCUAAGAAAAACCUAGCUGACUCCGAUCAAUAGGAUUACCUCCUAGAGUUACUAUUAUACUAUGUGUCAUUUGGGAAACCCAACUAUAUAUACACUUACGUCUAUUUUGUUAGUGGUUGAACCACAUAAUCAUUAAGUUCCAUCUCCUCCUGUCCCUAAACAUUAAUUAGAUGUAUUACUUACCAUAAAUUAGGAAAAAAAUUAAUCAUCAGAUUUGAUUUAAUAUAACGUUUUUUUAGAGCAAUACACUAACGUCAACUUGCCUUCCUCGUUUUCGGUUUACUUAGACUCUGACUUGACCCUGGUGAGCCAUGGAAAUCGGAAAACAGAAACUCAAUUUCACAGUCUCAAACUAAUAUAAACUUGCUGGAGUUGCAUUUCCUAGCAUCCUGAGACGUGCGACUCCACGUGUGUAAAUUUACAUGUCUCGGACAUUUCCUUUGAUUCUCGGUUCAUCCACUAGUCAACUGGUGGGGCUUAGGCCAUUUCUUAAUCCUUCAAUCAUAUCUCUGCACUCUGCUAAAAAAAAAUCACAUCUCUGCAAUUUCUCUCGAUCAAUGCUGCAACACGAUGGAAUUGGAAACUGAGCCUCGCUUACCUACUUGACCGUUGCUCGUUAGCCCCUGUUAAAGCAUUUCCAAUCUUUUGUGAUUUGCUUUCAGAAUUUUAGCAAACGCGGCUAAGAUGAAAAGAAAAAUGAGCUCUUCUCCAGAAAUUGGAUCCACUAGCGACGGCACAUUAGGAGCUUUCUUCGAUGUGUUCUUAAGCUUUCGAGGACCAGAUACUCGCACUAAUUUCACAGAUACCCUCUAUUAUGCCCUGUUAGAUAAGGGUAUCCGUGUUUUCAUAGACAAAAAGGGGAUUGGCGUUGGUGAAGAGAUCGGACCUGAGAUUUUCCAUGCUAUCGAUGACUCGAAAAUCUGCAUUCCCAUCUUCUCCAAAGGCUAUGCCUCCAGUAGGUGGUGCCUGCGUGAGCUAGAACACAUGAUGCAGCGUAGGAAAACCAAUGAACUGGAGAUUUUGCCCGUUUUUUAUGAUGUGGAACCCUCCGAUGUGAAGCUUGAAACUAGAGUAUAUAGGGAUGCAUUGACUCAGCAUAAAAAAGAAUGUGGGGUUGAGACUGUGCAAGGCUGGGAGGAUGCGCUCAAGGAAGUUACUAAAAUCAAGGGAUGGGACGCCAAGAACAAAGGGUAUGUUAACUCACUCAACUCCAUCUUCCCUUUUCUUUCCAUUUCUUUUGCUUGAAUGUGGAUUAUUAUUUGAAGAGCACAAUUUUUUCCCUUUUCUUUCCAUUUCGUUUGCUUGAAUGCGGAUUAUUAUUUGAAGAGCACAAUUUUUACCUAGUUCUGGACCAAAAAUUGUGAUGAAUAUCGCAUGGAAUUCUACACUCCAUUGUCUCAAGACUAUAGGAUUACCUGCUUGACAUAGUCAUCAUAAUCUAUGGUCCUAGAUUGAUCAGAAUCAGAGAAUCAUGUAUUUAUUCUUUUGUUCGCUGGGUCCAACAUCAAUUUCAUAACUUCAUGUUGUUGUUUGAUCUUGCAAGUGUACGAGUUUGCCACCAAUCAUAUAAUUCACUUGAUAAUGUUUUAUGUCUUGACACAGCUACGGAGAACUUGCACAUUUGAUUGCUCGGAAAGUGUCGGUUAAGCUUAAGGUGUCUUCUGUUUAUAUAUCUGAUGAAUUAGUUGGAACGGAUGAAUCAGUGAAUGAAAUAGUAGAUAUGUUGAAUGUCGAAUCUAAGGACAUAAGGAUCAUCGGAAUUUGGGGGAUGGGUGGAAUAGGCAAGACAACUCUUGCCAAGGUUGUUUACAGCAAGCUGUCUACUAACUUUGAGAGUCACAGCUUCAUUUCAGAUAUCCGAGAAGCAUCAAAAGGUUUUGGUCUGUUAAAUGUGCAGAGGCAAUUAAUCUCUAAUAUCAUUGGUGACGUAGGAGUUGAACUUUCUAGCAUUGAUCAUGGGAUGAAUAUGAUCAAAGAUCAAUUUUGCAGAAUGAAAGUUCUUAUUUUCCUUGAUGAUGUAGAUCAUGCGAGCCAACUCAUGGCAUUGGCAGCAAAGAAAGAAUGGUUUGGUAUGGGAAGUAGAAUAGUGGUUACAACAAGAAACAAAAGUGUUUUAUGUAAAUUCCAAAGUCAAUUUGAACAUUGUUUGAUUUAUGAAGCUAAGGAACUUAACAAUCUCGCAGCUCUUCGACUUUUUAGCAAGCAUGCCUUUAGAAGUGACUCUCCUCCAAAUGCAUUCUUGAGUCUAUCUACAUAAGUUAUUACAAAAACCGGGGGACUUCCUUUAGCUAUUGAAGUGAUUGGCUCAUUUUUAUGUGGAAAAACAAAGGAGGUAGUGUGGCAAGAUACAUUGGAAAAGAUGGAUCAUUUACUCCAUGAGGAUGUGAAGGAGAAGUUAAUGUUGAGUUACGAGAAGUUAGAUCAUCCACAAAAACAAAUAUUUCUUGAUAUUGCUUGCUUUCUAUCAGGAAAAAAUAAGAGCUAUGCAACUUACAUGUGGGAUGAUUGUGGAUUUUUUCCAGAAGAGGGGAUUGAUGUUCUACUUUUAAUGUCCUUAGUGAAAAUUGGAGAAGAGAAUACACUAUGGAUGCAUGAUCAACUUAAGGACUUAGGUAAGAGCAUUGUCCACCAAGAAUAUUACAAAGACCCAAGAAAGGGUUCUCGGGUGUGGGAGCUAGGUGGUCCUGAUAUUGUCCAGAAUAGAAAGGUACAAGUUUAAGUGCACCCUCGACUACUUUUUUCAUUGGAAAAAUCUUCCUUGGACUGUUUCCCUUUACUUCAAGCUCUAUUUGGAACUCCUCACGUUGAACCGACUCUUUCCUCAAUUUAGGGAAUCGAAACUGUUGCGGCGUACUGUAUCCCAUAUAGAAAGCGCUCGCAGGUGUGGGAGCUAUGUGGUCCUGAUAUUGUCCAAAAUAGAAAGGUACAAGUUUAAGUGCACCCUUGACUAUUUUUUUCAUGGGAAAAAUUUUCCUUGGACCGUUUCCUUUUAUUUCGGGCUCUAUUUGGAACUCCUCACAUUGAACAUACUCUUACCUCAAUUUAGGGAAUCAAAACUAUUGCAAUGUAUUGUAUCCCAUAUAAGGUGCCUAUCCAAGACUCUAUCUUGACAUCAGAAGACUUAAACGAAGUGCCAAAUAUUAGAUUUCUCACAAUGUCGGGUUCGACCUUCUCUGGAGAUUUUGGGAAUCUCUUUUUAGAAUUGAGAUGGCUUACUUGGAAUGGUUGUCCAAAAGAAAUGCAGGCAACCAACUUUUCCACAAAAAAUCUAGUCAUCCUUGACUUGUCAUGGAGCUUCAUCGAUGAACAUUGGGGCGGUUGGACUCAACUCAAGGUAUGUGUGUGUAAUUAAUUUGGAAUAACUUGUUAUAAUAUCAUCCAGUCACACCAACUCUUUUGUUGCACGGGUUGUCGAUCAUCAUCCUUGAUCUCUUUUUUAUUACUAUUUUUAUUGAAGUCUAUUUGCUUAAUUCAUAGAACGAAUCUUGGUCAUGAAGAAGGCUUUAAGACCCCCAACCCCUUGGUCCAUAGGUUUGAAACUUAAUCGUUGUGUUUUCACUAGAAGUACAUCAAAUGAAACAAUUACUUCACAUUUACGUCAUCGAUGUGAUUGAAGAGAUAAUGCUACUUGUAUAUCCCCGUUGAAGAUACUUUGGUCAACGGAAAGACUAUUACCCUUGACCACUUUUAUUCGUUCAUUCAAUACUGUGUUCAUACAUAUUUUGUUGUGUCAAUGGAGAGAAUUUAACUUUGGUAGUUUUUUCAAGAUUGCAUUUUCCAUUUUUACCUAAUCAAAUAAUUAACUUACUAAAAAAAAGAAAAGGAUGUUAUGAUUUAGUUGUUAGUCAUUAAUCUGCAUUGCAUUUUAUAGUUUUACAUUAAUAAUAGUUUAUUGAUGUUUUGUCAUUUAUGGCAAUUCUUCUCCUAAUGACCUUCUUCAAUUCAAAUUGAUCAUAGCUGCCUGAUUUAAGGGCAUUGUAAUGUGUACAUUCUAUGUUACUAGAAUUGCAUUUUUGGGUUGCAUUAUAAAUAAAGGGAAUGACUUGAUUUUUUUUUUUUGGUCGGUCCUACUCUACUCCUAUUCUAACCCUCACUCUUAGACUUUUGCUCUACCUCCUUGAAGAGCGUCAGAGUUGAAACCCACUUUUGAAACUAAAUCGUUCCCACCCCAACCCCCUUAAGAAGGUGGGGAUUCAAAUCCCCCACCUCCCCAUUCCAUAUUGGAAAGGUGGCCACUAGGGCAAACCCCAGUGGUUAAGGAAAUGACUUGAUUAGAUAUUCAUACAUAUUUCGUGUUUUUGUAAUUUGUAGGAUUGUUAGAUCAUCUAAUGGCAUAAAUGUCAUAGCUUAAUAUCUAUUGACUUACAUUAUUUUUUAAACAACAAUUUAUAAACAUUCACGUUGUUUUGAGUUCCCUAAUCAUGCAACUAGUUGUCAUGAGUAAUAAAUGUUUACAUUUAAAUGAAAUAUAAUUAGUGACUAUCUAUACUAUACAAGGAUGCGAUGCUGAAGAAAAGCCGAACAAUAGAGAGAAAUUAGCAAAAUAAUAAAAAUUGAUGAGUAAAAUUGAACAUGCAAACUGAUUUGUUUAGAACAUCAAUGCUAUUAAAUAAAUAUUAUACUAUUAGAAGGUUAUGUGAAAGCUAAAGCGGCCCUUAUUUUAAUAAUAACAAACUAAAAAAAAGUAAAGUGCAAAUAUAAUUAGUCAAUAGUUAGAAAAUAAGUAAGAUUAUCUUUUGUAUUGAAGUUUAGAAGAUAUAUUUACAUAGGAAAAGCCAUGAAGUUUAGUGUUGUAAGUAUUAGUGGUGGGGAAAAAAUCGGUAAUCUGAUGAUGAAGCUGGAAAGGGAUGUUACAAUUUAUAGGAGAAGUUUUGGCUAUAUUUUGUCUUUUUAUUAUUUGAUACAGGGGGUAAGUUGAGAACAAAUCUUUCUUUUUUCAAUUUAUUGUUGGGGACGAUAUUGGAAGAAAUAAAAAAAAAAGUGUGAAAGAGUGGUUUUGGCUUUAGUUAGGAAUGCAUAUAUAGAGUAUUUAUGAGGUUACUUUAGUGGAAUGCUUUUUAGUCGAUAUAUUUGCUUAUGUCCGGCAAAACUUCUAUUAAUUAAACUCAUUGGAUAUACACAAUCAUUUGAUAGGUGGCUACAAAAUUGAAGGUCCUUAAUCUGUUAGGUUGUGACAUGUUGAAGGAAACUCCUAACCUCUUUGCAUUUUUAUCCUUAGAAAUACUAAUUCUAGGGUGGUGUAGAGCGCUUACGAAACUUCCCAACUCAAUUGGAAUGCUGAAAUGUUUAAUUGAGUUGGAUGUCUCAUACACAAGUAUCAUAGAGUUGCCAAAUACCAUUGUCAAUCUAAAGAGCUUGAAAGUGUUGAAGAUGAAUCAAAGUUACAUGCAAAAGUUACCCGAGGCUAUUGGGAUGAUGGAGAAACUUGAGGAAAUAUAUGGAGAGCAUUGCGGACAGCUAAAGGUGAUUCCUAGUGAUAUUGUGAGACUAUCAUUCUUGAAAACUUUGAAAUUAACAGGAACUCAUGUGGAGAAUGUGCCAAAGCUUCCUGAGAGUUUGGUAAGUCUAUAUUUUUCCUCAAGUGCCAUAGAAAAAGUUCUAGAGAUCUUCAACCCGGUGAACCUUCCGACUUUAAGAAAUCUAGAAUUAUGUUUCGGCGAAGACGAUGAUGAAACCUUUGUCUACCAUAAAUCAGAGCAACAGCCCCACGCUUUUUACAGCUCAGUGCAUAUGAAACUUUUGAGUAGUAGGAGCGUAAGCUCAUUUGGGGGUUGGCUUCAUUGUACAGGAGAACUUGAACUCAACCAGUGCAAGAACCUGCGUCAGAUUCAACAGCUUCCCUCAAGUUUGAGGAAACUCAAAAUUAGUGAUUGCAAUCUUUCUGGAGUUGUUGACCUUUCCAACUUGGAGAAUUUGUUGGAGCUUCGUCUAACCGAUAAUCGGAUUUGUACUAUUCAAGGGCUUGAAAGACUAAAGAAUCUACAACUCUUCAAGCUUUGGAUGUGUCGCUUCCUUCAGACAUUGCCCAACUUAUGUAACUUAAAAAAUCUCAAGGAUUUUGAACUAGUGGAUUGUCCGCGACUAGUUGAGAUUGAAGGUCUCGACAGAUUAGAAUCACUAGAAAGGCUCGAUAUCCUAUUCUGUGGAUCCCUGCAAAGCCUACCUGAUCUAUCCCGUUUGAAGAAGCUGAAGAUGAGUUGGUGGUGAGAAAACCAGUAGCUCAUGAGAUGAUCUCUCACUACGCUUGAAAAGGCUUGAAGAUCAGUAAAUCCUGAAUUUUGAGACUUUAAGGAAUUUGUCAUCAAAAUGUCAGGAGAUCAAUUUACAAUGAUUGUCCACGCUUGAUUUUUAAUGGAAAUUUCAAGCAAAAUCGGCCGUUAGGUAGUUUUUUAUUUUAUUUUAUCAAAAGUAUGAAAAAAGAAACCAAAUCAAAAUACACAAAUAACAAAAAUAAGUUAUAAAAUAACGGGUCAAUUCGGUCCCUGUCCAAAUUGCAGAGGCCACAAGAAAAGCCUAGUCCAAUUCUCCUUCAGCCCAAGUAAUUUCUCACAGGGUUUUUUCUAAAAGUUUGGCUCUGACACGGUGGGUUCUGAUCGCCAAAAAAAAAAGAAAAAGAAAAAAAAAAGGGAGAGAUUUCCUUCCCCGUUGCCUUGAAUUCCCCGUCGUCAAGCUCGAUAGCUGGCCACUUCGGGCUCAAAACCGUAUCAGGAAACAGGGCAUCAUACAUGUACAGUGGAUUCGAUCACAAUUUUUGACGUCUUUUAGCUUAUUCCAAUGGUUGUCGCUAAUGCCGUUGGCCAUUUCACCGUCGCACUGAGUUUGUCCUGUUCGACUCUGUCUUCAGAUCCAAGAAUCUGAAAAGAUUCUAAUUUGUGUUCGAUUCUCCACUACCAGCUCCGAUCUUCACCGACAAAACAUCCGGAAGUUCCUUGACGGAUUUGAUUCCCAGUUAGAUUCGCUUCACCGAUAAGGUAAAGUGCACGCUAUGUGUCCUUCAAAAUAGAGACCUUGAAUUCGCGAAUUUGAUUAUAUAAGAACUGAACUUUGUUGGAGGCUACUCAAAUGAUUGCAUACGCGUUUCAAGUUUUAUAUGGUGCUUCUGGUGUUAUUGUUCUUGUUUUUGGUACAAGAUCCGUCGUUGACAUUGGAACGGUCUUUGCAUUUUUUUUCUUUUAUCAGAAAUCUUAAUGCCAAUCAAGUGAACGUUCUUCUUUCAUAUUCUCCUUUUUCAUCCUAUCAAAUGCAGAUUUGAGUUCCAAUAUUAACAGAACACAAAAAAUUGAGGGGUUUACUUGAGCUCUGAAUACGAGGAUGUUUCAUGCUUUCCAGAUUUGCCAUAGCAACAGCAGAGCAAGGAGCUCGAAAGUGACUGAGGUAUGGAUGAAUUUUCCGAGCCACGCUUCGGUUCUGGUCACACCUUGAUUAUCGACCAUACUGGAGUUUACUUCCUUCAAAUUAUGUCAACUUGUGGGGCUUAGACCAUUUCUUAAUCCUUCAAUUAUAUCUUUACCACUUCUCUGGAUCGAUGCCACAACACAAUGGGAAUGGAAAUGGGAACCGAGCCUCACUUUCCUACCUGACCAUCGCUCGUCGAUCCCCGUUCCAAAUGGAGUUCUUCCAACUUCCUUGAAUUGCAUAACACCAUGUUUUCCAUCAUCCAAGUCUUGUAAAAUUGCUUUAAAAUGUGGUAUGGUUUUACGUGAUUUUUUAUGAGAAAAGCAUGUCAAAUCUUUUGUGAUUUGCUUUCAGAAUUUUAGCAGACGCAACUAAGAUGGAAAGGAAACGGAGCUCUACUUCAGAAACUGGAUCCACAAGCCAUGGCUAAUCGGGAGCUGACUUUGAUGUGUUCUUAAGUUUUCGAGGAUCUGAAACUUGCGCUGACUUCACAGAUUCCCUCUAUGAUGCCUUGCUAAAUAAGGGUAUCUAUGUUUUCUUAGACAGGAAAGGAAUCGACGUUGGUGAAGAGAUUGGCCUAAAGAUUUUCCAGGCCACUAAUGACUCUAGAAUCUGCAUUUCCAUCUUCUCCAGAGGCUAUGCCUCCGGUAGCUUGUGCUUACGUGAGCUGGGACACAUGAUGGAGUGUAGGAAAAUCAACGAACUAGACGUUAUACCCAUAUUUUAUGAUGUGGAUCCUUUCGAUGUGAAGCUUGAAAGUGAAGUAUAUAGGGAUGCAUUAACUCUGGAUGAAGAAAAAUGGGGGUCGAUAUCAUGUAGCAUUGUACCAAGGUGCCUGAGGAAGUUACUGCAAUCAAGGGAUGGGACACCAAGAACACGGGGUAUGUUAACGCAUUCAACUCCAUUUUUCCUUUUCUCUUUGUUUCUUUUGCUUGAAUGCAGAUUAUAAUUUGAAGAGCACAGCUUUUUCUGUGUUCCGGACCAAAAAUUGUGAUGGAAUAUCACAUGGAACUCUACGCUCCAUCAUCUGAAGGCUCAAGGAUCACCUUAUCUACAUAAGCAUUAUAGUCCAUUGUCUAGAUUGAAAAGAACCAAAAAACCAUGUAUUCAUUCUUUUGUUCACUCAGCGUCAAUUUUGUAACUUCAUGUAUUGUUAGAUCUUGCAUAUAUACAAUGCCACCAAUCUUUUAAUUAACUUGAUUACAUUGUAUGUGUUGACACAGCCAUGGGGAACUCAUACGGUUGAUUGCUUAAAAAGUGUUGGUUAAGCUUAAGGUGUCUUAUGUUCAUAUAUCGGAUCAUUUAGUUGGAAUGGAUGAAUCGGUGGACGAAGUAGUAGAUUUGCUGAAUGUCGAAUCUGAGGACAUAAGGCUCAUCGGAAUUUGUGGAAUGGGUGGAAUAGGCAAGACAACUCUUGUCAAGGUUGUUUACCACAAACGUUUUACUAACUUUAUAAGUUGUAGUUUCAUUUCAGAUAUCUGAGAAGCAUCAAAAGGUUCUAAUCUGUCCAAUUUGCAAAGACAACUAGUCUCUGAUAUCCUUGGCAACGUAGGAUUUGAACUUUCUAGCAUUGAUCACGGGAUAAAUAUGAUCAAAGAUAGAUUCAAAACAAAGAAAGUUCUUAUUGUCCUUGAUGAUGUAAUUCAUAGGAGCCAAUAGCAACAAAGACAUAAUGGUUUGGUUCGGGAAGUAGAAUUGUUGUUACAAUAAGAAACAUAAGUGUUUUAAGUGGAUUCAAUAUCAAUUUGACCACUGUUUGAUUUAUGAAGCUAAGGGGCUUAAGGAUCUUGAAGCUCUUGAGCUCCUUAGCAAGCAUGCCUUUAGAAGCAACUCUCCUCCAAAUGCAUUUUUAAGUCUAUCUAAGAAAGUUACUUCAAAAACCAGAGGGCUUCCUUUGGUUAUUGAAGUGAUGGGCUCAUUAUUAUAUAGGAAAAAGAAAGUAGUGCGGCAUCAAGAUACAUUGAAAAAAAUGGACAUUACCUUCAUAAGGAUGUGAAGGAAAAAUUGAUGUUGGGUUAUGAGGCAUUCGAUCAUCAGCAACAACAAGUACUUCUUGAUAGCUUACUUUCUAGCUGGAGAAAAUAAGAGUUAUGCAGAUUACAUGUGGGAUGACUGCAGAUUUUUUUGCGGAUGAGGGUAUUGAAGUUCUGCUUUUGAUGUCCUUAGUGAAAAUUGGAGAAAACAAUCAACUAUGGACGCAUGAUCAGGUCAAAGACUUCGGCAAGAGCAUUGUAUACCAAGAAAAUUGUAAAGAUCUAGGAAAACGUUCACAGUUGUGGAAUCUGAAGAAGCUCUUGACACGAUCAAGAGAAAGAAGGUACAAGUUUAAGUGCACCCUCCUUUGCUUUGUUCAUUGCAGAAAUCUUCCCUGGAUUGUUUUCCCUUCAUUUCAAACAUUAUUUGGUACUCGCAUUUAGCUGACUUUUUCCUCAUUUUAGGGAAACGAAAUUGUUGAAGCGAUCUAUAUGAACUUUGGCAGGUUUACAACAGCCACUGUUUUGACAUCAGAUAAAUUUAUGAAAAUGCCAAAGUAUUAGAUUUCUUAAAAUGGUCCGUGGUAACCUCUCUGGAGACUCUGAGGAUCUCUUUUCAGAAUUGAGAUGGCUUUCUUGGAAGUACGAUCCUUUAAUGCUGGGUGCGACUAACUUAUGCCCAAAAAAACUACCCAUCCUCAACCUAUCGAGGAGCUGAAUAGACGAACUUUGGGGUGGUUGGACUCAUCUUAAGGUAUGUACGGAUAAUUAAGUAUAACAUGUUAUAUUUUCUUUCAAUCACACGAGGUCUUGUGUCUCAUGUGAUUGAAGACUGUUAUGUUAUUGCUUUUUUUUUUUUCCAUUUGAAUUUUGUUGCCUUAAUUCAAACAAAUCUUGUUCUUUAAGAAUGCCUACGGCACCAAUCCCUCAUUCCAUAGGUUUGAAACACAACCGUUGAGCUUUCACUAGAAGUAAAUCGAAUCAAACAAUGACUUUGAUAUGUCAAAUAUGUGAUUGGAGAGAUAAUGCUACCUGUAUAUCCCCACUGUACAUUUUGGUCGACGGAAAGAAUGUCACCCUCGAUCACUUUUAUCUCAUUCUUUCGAUAUAGUAUUCAUAGAUAUUAUGUUGUGGAGACGGAGAGACUGUAGCAUGUGUAGAUUUUUCAAAAUUGCAUUUUUCAUUUUUAUCGAAUCGAACAAUUAGCUUACAAAAAAGAAAAAGAAAAAAGAGAUGUUAAUGUUUGGUUGUUGGUCAUUUUUCUGCAUUCCAUUUAUAGUUUUAGAUUGAUACUAUGUUACUGCUGUUUUAUCAUUAGGCAAAUCUAUACCUGAUGUGUUUCUUUGAUUCAAAUCGAUUUUAACUGCACACGUAAAGGGUAUUGUUAAUGGGUGCAUUUUACGUUACUUGUAACUAAAUUUUGGGUACCACAAUUAAUAAAAGAAAUGAUUUGUAGAAUUUUAUACAUAUUUCGUAAUUUCUGUAAUUUAUAGGAUUGUUAAAUCAUCUAAUGGAAUAUGUCAUCACUUAAUAUUUGUCGACUUACAUUACUUUUUAAAGAACAUUAUAUAAACAUCCACGCUGUUUUGAGUUCCCUAGUAUGUAUGAGAUAUUUCCUUAUAGUUUCAUUUUUCCUGACACAACGUGCAUGGAUGAAUUCUAGUAUAUAAUAGAGUGUAAAAAGAGAAUAAAUUACUUAAGGAAAAAAAUUGUUAUAGAUUUAAGGAAAAUAAUUGGUACAGUUAUUGUUCAUCCCAUUCAUGAUCUUUAUUGGAAUUUUUUCAUAGAAGUGUUAGGAUGAAUUCUACUUUUUUAACCACCGGCCGCGGUGGCUCCGCUGGAUAAGGCCCUGCUGAUCCUCAGCCUAGAGGUGAAGGGUUCAAAACUCAGGGGAGGCGCUAGGUGUAUUAAGUGUGACUCAGGAUGGUGGGUCCUCCUGCUUAAGUGUCACCUGGGGGUUUACGGCGCGGCUGUCGGCUGCAAGCCGAUUCCUCCAGCACUAAAUAAAAAAAUAAAAAUUCUACUUUUAAGGGAUUUGUCCAUCUUUAUUACACGAAUGCCAUAAACUUACUGGUAAAAAAAUUGUCCCGAGGACAAUUGCGUAAAUCUAAAAAAGAUGAAAUAAAAUAAUCACGUGUUAAACUUUACCUAUCUAUUGUACUUCAUUGACUCCACAUUCCCACUUCUCUCUAUACUGUUUUUUUCCUUUUUAAGUACCAGAAAACUCCACAUUCUCAGUUCCCUUUUGUACUUUUACGAACUAAAUUUUCCAUUUUUUGUAUAAUUAUUCACUCUUAGAAUCAAUUAUAUGCAAUAUGUCCAAAAUGGAAACAUGGGCAAUUCUAUAUGUGCACAAAUUCUUGUACAAAUGAUGAGAAGAGAGGUUUCUAAUUUUCAGGGAUAUUUUUUCUUUUCUCUUCCCCAAGUACCUUAAUUAAAUCUUAAAUGACAAAUAAAUGGAGAUAAUAACGUAAUUUAAGAUAUUUGUUUAUAGUAAUCAUAGUAAAGUUUUUUUUUUUUUUUGCACUUUCAAGAAAAUAUUUUUUUUCUUCCUUAUAUUCUAUUUAAAAAUAAUAUAAAAGGUUUUUCUUAAUGAGUGCUCUAAAAAUAUUUGCUAGACAUGCAUAUAGAGAAAAUUUAUCAUUUGUAAAGGAUUUUUCUCAUAUUUUGCCCAAUAAGUGCAUUAUCAAUGUAAAUCUUUGUUUAUUACAUAUGGCUAACAAAGUGCACUGAAGGCACUAAUAAGACCUAACCCAAAAUUGAAUGUACUAAGCGUGUGUUGAUAACCACAUUAAGUACUUUUGAUAACCUCUAAGUCCACACAACUUAAUAAAUUUUUUUAAGUAUAAAUCACUUAAUAUAAUAUGGAGGAAGCUAUUAUUUAAAAGGUUAAGUGAAAAAAAAAUCAAUCAAAACUGUAAUAUUACCAAUUGUAUAGUUAAAAACCUUCCAACGAUGUUCACUAUUCUAUAAUUGGUAAGAAAAAAAUAAAAAAUAUUAUUUAAUGUUCAUCUGUCAUAAAAACAACUUUUAUUUUAUUUUAUUUUGGUACUUAAACAAUUCAAUAAUUUUCAACACUUAGUUUCUAUUUUAUCAAAUGAGCCUACGGUUAGGGAUGAAUCUAGAGAACAGAUGUUGGCAGGCCAAUAAAGGCCAAUAUUACUCAGCAAGAGUAAGAAUAACCUAAUAACACAUAAAUCCCAUCCCAGUGGCCAUCCUUCCAACAUGGAAGGGGGAGGUGAGGGGUUCAAAUCCCCACCUUCUUAGGGGGGGAUGGGAUGGGGACGCGUAAGUUUUAGGAAUGGGUUUUGACUCCCACGCCCUGCAAAAGGCAGGGCAAAAGUCUGAGAGUGAGUGUAGAGUAGGAAUAGAAUAUGACUGACAAAAAAAAAAACCUAAUAGCACAUAAUGAGCGCACCAAAUACAAUGAACUUUAAUUGUCAUUUCAUUUGAUAUCAUGUGCCUAGUGGCACUGUACAACUCAUCUCCACUUCAUCUGUUGACCAAAGUGCCUAUAUAUUCACUAAUACAAAUCCAUUUAAGCAUUUUUUUGAUCUAUUCUCCAAAUUCAAAUUGACUUCUUUCAAGUUACCUUGAGUUCUUGAGUUUGAGAGGGGAAAAGUACCCAAAAAAAAUCUUAAACUUAUGGUAUUGGUACCAAUUCAGUUCUAAACAUUUUUAUUAAACCAAUUUAGUCCUAAAUCUUUUCUCAUUGAUACUAAUUCAUUUUUUUUCGGCCAAUUUGGACUGGUCAGCUCUGAGGUAGACAUCGGCUGGCUAGUGAAUGCUGAUAUGGCAAUUUGUAAACAAUCUUUUUUUUUUUUUUGAAUUUUUUGAAAUUUUCCCUUUUUUUUUUUGCCUUUUCCCCCCUUUUCCUCUUCUUCCUCAUGGUUUCUUCUCCUGCAAUGGCCGAUGAGCCUCUAGUGGGCCUCACCCCACCCCCUCGGUCAGCAAGGGCCUCACCGGCCUCACCCAAGGCCACAAGUGAGGCGGCUUCACCCAAAUCUCAACGAGGCCAACCUUGCCAUGGCCUAGCAGCGAGCAAAGAUGACCUCGCCCGCAGCUAGCAAGGCCAUGGCGGCGUUUGCUAAGGCCCAGUGAAGGCCACCAUUGCCUCACCAGCCACAAGCAAGGCUGCCUUCGUUCGUGGCUAGGCCAUGGCGAGGCUGGCCUCACUCAGAUCUAGGCAAAGCCGCCUUACCCGUGGCCCUAGGUGAGGCCGGUUGCUGGCAGUGGGCAAGGGCCACAACCCUUACCCCCGGUAGGUGAGGGCUUCGCGAUCCUUGCCUAGUGGCCAAUGAGCCACUGAAGGCUUGUUAGCUAUUGUAGGAGAAGAAGCCAUGAAGAAGAAGAGGAAAAGGGGAAAAAGGGAAAAAAAAUUAAAAUUAAAAAUUAUUUAAAAAUUGCCACGUCAAUGUUUGCUUGCCGAACAACGUCCACGUCAGUGCCCGUCGGCCAAAAUUGACCAUAAAAUUUGAAUUGAUAUAAAUAUAAAAAGGUUUAGGACUAAAUUUGUCAAAUUGAAAAGUUUAUGACUAAUUUGUACUUUUCCCAUUUGAGAGGUAUGUUAGAUUAUAUUAUGAUUACUCUUUCGGGCUAAGUUAAUUGUAAUUUACAUUGGUUGUACUUAAGUCUAAUUGUUUUUUUUCUAUGUAGAUCUUAUAAUCUUCAUUUUGGUAAUCUAUAGGAUAUUACAUUCCUCUCAUUUUCAUCACAAUUCUCAACUAACAUAUUGAAUGAUACUUUGAUAACUCCAAUACUAGUUAGAUUGAAAAUCUUAAUUAUACACUUUCGUUUACUAAAUAGAGGAUAUAAGGACUAAACAAUAUUGAUUGACUCAAAUCUAUUGUAAAUUCAAUAAAUUAUGUCACAUAAAGAGAACGUAAGUAAAAAAUGUGAAAGUAUGACAUUUGAUGUAGCUCUUUCUUCAUUUAGGAUAUUUGUUUAUGGUUACGUUGAUGGAGUAACAAUAUUUUUGGUCAUGUUCUGCAAAGUUUCUAUUAAUUCAACUUCUUAAAAAAUACGAUUUGACAGGUGGCUAUGAGAUUGAAGGUCCUUAAUCUUUCAUAUUGCCAUAGGUUAACUAUGAUUCCAGACCUAUUAGCACAUUCAUCCUUAGAAAUACCAAUUCUUGAGGAGUGUGAGAAUUUGAACCAGAUUUAUCCAUCCAUCGGUCAACUAAGGCGUCUGAAGCACUUGAAUCUAAAUGGAUGUUGUUCUCUCUGGGAAAUGCCUAAAUUCGGUUCUCUGAAAGCUUUGACUGAGCUGUUCAUGGAUAGAGUGACCUUUGCACUAGAAACCUAUGGAAAUGAUUGGUCAAAUGUAGAGGUCAAAGCUAUCAUGGAUGAAGAUCCCCCUGCACUUGGAACUUAUGGAAUGGAUUGGUCAUAUGUAGAAGUCGAAGGUAUCAUGGAUGGAGAGACCUCUGCACCAAAAUGUUAUCACGGUAUUGGUCAUCUGGGGAAAUAAGUCUAGGCAUUAGGCCUGUCCCAAGCUCAAUCAAAGCUCAGAAGGGUAAUGAUUCCAUUUGGGUUGUGGUCGAUAGACUGACGAAGUCGGAUCACUUUAUUGUCGUAAGGAAAGACCUUGCAUUGGACAUAUAUGCAUAAUUGUAUGUGAGUCAGAUUGUUCGUUUGCAUGGAGUGCCGAUGAUAAUUACAUAUGAUAGAGACCCGUCAUUUAUAGCUACCUUUUGGAAAAGCUUGUAGAUCGUCUUGGUAACGAAGUUGCAAUUUAGUACAGCUUGCCAUCCGCCAGUUUGAAAGGAUGAUUCAGACUUUCGAGGACAUGUUGAGAGCGUGUGUGCUAGACUUCAAAGGAAGCUAAGAGGAACAGCUUCAUCUCGUCAAGUUCGCCUACAAUAACAACUACCAGUAGAGUAUUCAAAUGGCACCUUUUGAAGCAUUGUAUGGUAGAGCGUGCAGAACGCCAGUGUGCUGGGAUGAAGUUGGAGAACGGAAGAUCACAUGCCCAGAGUUGGUUCAACAGUUGUUGGAUGCAAUUGUAGUUAUUAGGGACAGAUUAAAGACUACUCAGAGUCGCUAGAAAAGCUAUGCUGAUAAGCGUCGAAGAGCUUUGGAAUUCCAAGUUGGUGGGCACGUCUUCCUGAAGGUGUCACUGAUGAGGAGUACUUCGCGCUUCGACAAGAAAGGGAAGCUGAGUCUGAGGUAUGUAAGUCCUUUUGAGAUUUUGGAAAUGAUAGGAACUCUAGUGUAUCGUCUUGCAUUGCCACCAAGACUAGCGCAAGUGCAUGAUGUCUUCCAUGUGUCAAUGUUGAGAAAGUAUGAACCUGACUCGACCCACGUACUGAAUUUUGAAGAGUUAGACGUGGACAACAGAGUGUCGUACAUGAAGAGACUGGUUCAAAUUGUAGAUAAGAAGGAUAAGGUUCUGCGCACCAAGACAAUCCCAUUAGUUAAAGUGGUAUGGCAACACCACAGCACAUAAGGAACAACUUGGGAAAGUGAAGAUUCGAUAAGACGACAAUACCCCCACCUUUUUGUUUAAGAUUUGUAAUAGGUUUAAAUUUCGAUGACGAAAUUUUUAUAAAAGGGGAAGAAUUGUGAUGGCCCAAAUUUUUUAUUAUGUUUUCAAUUGAAUGAGUUUGGCUUUUCAUCGACGCGCCUAUAGUUCUUUUCUCUAUGCUGAUCACUCAUGAGAUAACUAGUUUAUCUGGUGAAGCCAUUAAGGGAUUUUAACGCAAUAAACUUGAAAAUUCGACCAGAAAUUGAUUACUCGACCGUACUAAUCUGCAAGGGUCAAUACGGCACCAUCAAAAUUAGUCAGAGAUUAGAGAUAGGCCAAUUCAACGGAGGUAUGUGAUUAAAGUGGGGGUGAUUCCACCUAAUUGCAAAAUUCUCGUUGAACGGCACUAAACUGAUUUUUCUGUCAUUUCUGUAUCCUGUGCCUGUAUUUGAAACCUCGAGAUUUUCAUGACAACCAAGAGUCGCUAAUGAGUCGAAGAUGCACAAUGUGACUCGAAAAUAAUUGACCGCAGGUCAAUUGCACUAAAAAUUCCUAAAAGCUACCCGGUAGGUUAGGUCACGCUAAAAUCACGCCUAGUUGAAAUUAACUGCAAAUUUGAACUCAAUUUCAAAAAUUGAAAGUUCUGUUAUGUCAUGAUUCAUUUUAUGAACGUCGACUUAUCCUUCAAAAAAAAUUCUGCAAACCCGAGUUUUUGGCGUAAAAUCAAAUUUAGGCGUUUUGGAUCGGGAAAAUUAGAGGGCUGUUUUUGGGUGAAUAUUUGGGGUUCAAGUUGGUUCAUUUGAUGAGGAAAAAUCAUGGAAUGGAUGUGAGCACCUUAUUGGGAAUUUUCAGGCACCGAUUGAACUUAAUUGAAGAGGAAUUGAGCUCAAUUUGGGGGGAAAUGUUCCAAAAUUCAUAGGUCAAUGGAGGGAGCAACAUUUCAGCCACCUUGGGAGACUUCUUAGAGAAGCUUUAGUGUGGAUAAUGGCUAAGGAUGAUAGCUGAGCAUGGUGGGGCAAGGGUAAUGAGUGUUUGGAUAUUUUGUGACCCCCUCCUUAGCAGCUAUCUUCUUUUUCUUCUUCUUCAGCCUUGCUUUCCCCAUUGUUGUGCCAUUUGAGAGCUCAAAAACCAUAGGAAGCAAGCAUGAACUAGCCAACACCCCCUUGAACCAUCGACUAUCCCUACUGCCACCGUCCGAGUUGACGAGUGCCGUGCGAGCUUCCGUACGCCAGCUCGCAUGCUCGCUCGCCCAUCCGCUCGUCCAUGAUUGUUGCUCGCUGUCCCGAGCCGCCUCCGUCACCCAGGCUAUCAUCCAACCACCAUUCGCCACCCCCAAGCCGCUUGGACCCACCGGAGCUACCGCUUGGCCCCGCUGCAGCCGUCAUCGACCCGCCUUGCCGUUUCCAACUGCUUGGUUCAACUCAGAUCUUCAAGAAUAGAACCAAGCCCAGCAAAUUUGCUAUGGGCUUCAUGGGCCAUUUCCGGGCCCAUCCAAACCUUUAUUGGUGUCGCUCCAAGCUUGGUUCUCGACCACUUCGGCGUCGCUGUUGCUAUGGACUCAUCGGCCCGCUAAACCAAUGAGUUUACUCACUAAAUCUUACUUAAGAGGUUAAUUAUGCCUAUGGGUUGAUUAGCUUAGCUUAAGAUAAGAUUAGGUGGUUCGUUAGUUUAGAUUAGUGAUUUAAUUGCUUAAUUAUGCAUGUUAGGUGGUUAGAAUAGAUUAAUUAGGGGCUAAAUAGAUUGUGCUAUUUAUCUAGAUUGGUGCAUUAAUUUUCUAGGCCCAUUUAGGUGAUUAGAUUAGCAUUUCCAGCCUAGGUUAGCAUUUAUUGGAUUUAAUUUGCAUUAUUUAAUUAUUUUUGUAAUUUAUUUAAUUAUUUAAUAUUUUUUAGAAAUUAUACCAAGAUAGCCAGUGACCGGAAUUUCGUGCUAAUUACAGUUAUGUGCUUAGUUUAUGCAAUUGAGUGUUAAUUUGUGCAAAUUGAGUGGUGAUUGUGAUUUUUUGUAUUUAUUUCAAAAAUAGGAAAUUUUGUUAAUUAAUUAGAAAUUACCGGGUGUCGGGUUUUGACACCGAAAUUGGUUUUAAAGACUAUAUCAAAUAGUGGGAUUUUAAAAGGGAUGAUAUCAAUUUUUCUGGUUCAAAUUGACUGUGUACCCACACACAAUUAUUUUACCGUGUGUUUUUAAUAUGAAGAAAAUAUACCAAAUUCGUUAUUUUAAUUGAGACAUUUGGAUGCAAUGCAUAGUGUCCUUGGUUGUAAGUAAAUGAUUGUGUGAUGGAUAUGAGAACCUGCCCGCGAUAUGAGUCGGGUGGACAUUGCCCCUAUAUGGGAUGCCCCUGAAUAACGGAUGCUGAUCGCAGUAGAUUCUGGACCGAUGCUCAUUCGGGAUUGCCAUCUCGAGGUAGAUGUUGCCAUGCUCAAUGGGGUGAGACGAUGUCUAUUUACGCCAGAAGACCACCGAACAUCGAGUAGGCAAUGCCCUUUGGGCCAUGAUAAAAUUGGAACGCAUGAUUAAGUGUCUUAAUCGUGCCUGAUUAUGGAAAAAAAUCAUGUGGCAUGGUAUGGGAUGUGUCAUAACGAUUUAACCUUAUAAUCGGGACCCUUGUGUUUAUUGAGAUAUAAGUUAAGGCAUUCCAAUUGAUUGAGUAUUAUUACAGCUUAUGUUUGUGAUAUGAACCGUACUGACAUGCAGGGAGGAUCUGAGACGAGGUGAGUCUCUAUGGUUGUGUGGUUGUGUGGUUAUGUGGUUAGGCCGCCUCUAGGCAUAUUUCCUCCCUAGUCGGGUUUUAGAGGGUGAACUUGCUGAGACGUUGUCUCACCCCAUCAUGGGUUCAAUCUUUUUAGAUUCUUAGAUGGCAAUCCCUCCAGAACGUUUUGGUCAGCCUCAGGCUAUUACUGAGCAAAGCAUAGACGUCCAUGUUCCCAAGAGUCAUUAGGUCUAUGAGCUGGUUGUGACCAUUGUCUGGGUCGAUGAGGGCCUACCUCAAAGGGUACCUCAUCGAUUCAGGACUUGGUUUCACCAUGGACUUAAUGGGUAUAGGAUAGGUCCCCUUCAAGGAUUUGAUAUCUCGGCCAUUACGCUUAACGCCGCUCUGGGUGAGGGUGCAGCUGACCCUUCUGAUGGGGUUGUGGAGGACCCGAAGCCCUUGGAACCUGUGGAGGUGGAGUCCGAAAGAUCAGUGAAUGUGUUUGACUAGUAGGUUGUAGGACAGUUUCUUUUUGAAAGUUGAUCUUUUUGUAGAUGGACUAGUUUGUAUAUAAAAGUGUUUGUGAAACUUGUAUCUUGUUUUUCUAUCCCAUGUUGUUUGCUGUCAGAGGUUUUGUUUAUACGCUUUCACAUGUGCAAUAAAAUGAAUGGGUUGGCAACGUGUCCUGGGACGUCGCAAUUUUAUUAACCACCGAGGGAUGUGUACGCGCUCGAGGUUCGGGGCAUGACACCUAAGGCCAGUAACCAACUAAAGGAAGAAGAUGAAGAAGAAGAAAAAAUAAAAUAAAAAAUAAAUAAUAAAGAAAAAAAUGUAAUAAAAUAUUUUUAAAAAAUCCAAGUUGCAAAAAGAAUGUCAUGUUAAACGCAUUUCUAUUAUGGUCACUUUCAUAUGCUUAGAAACUCAUUGAGGGAACAAAAUAAAAAAAUAAAAAUAUCGGACAAGAAAAUUUUUCUAAUAAUAGAACCUAAAUUAUGAAAAUUUUAGGAUUCAAGUGCAUUAUUAUAAAAGUUUUAGAAUUUAUGCUUCAAUUUUUUUUUAACCUUAAGUAACUAGUGGCAUUAUGGCUUGCAAAGCGCAAGAAAGUUAAAAGAAUGAUUUUCACAUUAAAAUUACAGAAUUCUCUGCAUGAAAAAUUGUAAGAUGAUAAGGAAUAAGAUUUCCACGUUUCGCAUUCCCAUGCUUUCACAUUUCACAACUUGUUUCUACUCUACAUUCGCAUUUCAAUUAAUUAAUUAUUCAAUUGGAUAAGUCUACCUGAUUGCUUGAUCAUAAUUGUUGACACCUAAAUUUUGGCGAUCUAGUUAUUUAUUUAUUGCAUUAAAAAAUUAAAUUGCAUAGCACAUAAUUUUAGGUGCAUUUAUUUAUUAUUUAGUCUAUAGUUACAUUUGUAUUGGACCAGUGGACGGGUUUGAAUUAAUGGCUCUAAAAUUUAAUUCAAGGAAUUGGACUAAGCCCGCAACGAGAGAGAAUUUGGCCAAGGCAAUGAACAUUGGUAGUGGUAAAAAAAUAUCAUAUAGAUUGGAGGGUUGAAUUAAGAAAGAUGAAUUUCUCAAGGGGCAAUCAUAUUAUACUCGUUUGAGUUUUUGGCGAUUAGCAGACAAGAUGAGGAAGAUACCCUCAAUAUUUUGAUGGAAUCAAGCCAGCCACUAGUCUAACUAAAUUGGGAAUGUUAUUUGCGGGCAAUGGGUGAGAAAAAAUUUGAUUCCUGCAAAUGUGAAAUUUAAGAAAAGGAAAGAGAUAAAGAUCAUAAUAUAUUCAGCAUCUACAAAAGGAGCAAAGACCGGCUCUCUUUCCUUGGAAGAUCCUCGGCUACCCUACGUAUAUAAAGCAAGACCUAUUAUGAGAGAAAGGGAGGCCACACAAUUGAAAACACACGGUGACAGAAUCUAGGUCAGCCACAAUAUAAAAAUUGUGAGUGAGAGCCGAGAGAGAGGGAGAGAGAGGGAGAGGGGGGUCUUCAAGGUCCUGAGCGGCAGCACUUGGAGGACUUCUCUAGGAUCAACAUUCGGCACAUUGGAGAGCACAAACUUGGUCUUCACAGAGCACUUGCCAUAGACGCACCCAAAGAAGAAGACCAUUCUCGGUGAUCCUCGAGACGUCGAUCUUUGCCUCAGGUGUUUCGUUAGUUUUUUAUUGGUACAGCUCCCCGGCGCAUCUAUUAGGUCUAGCCCCGCUCAGUCCAUCUCGUAGUGCACUUUACGAAAAGACACAAGAAGGAACAAGUUAUUGGGACUCCUCAAGUCCUCAAAGCGGCUGCCGAUCCAUUGUUGAUCCACCGUGAGUCCAGGCCGCUGAUCCCCCAACGAGACAGUGAUUUCUCCUUGCAUCAAUCACUCGAGCAGCCAUCGCACCCUCGGCGAUCCACGAUCUGUUGCUUCUGCUGUAUCGCGAACCAGCGUACCCUAGGGAUGCUUGAACCCCCCUCACCCUGGUUUAGAGUGAACGAAGAGUCCUGCGGAUUCCAUCUAGUGGGACGGUUUCGCCGAGGUCCAGCAAGGCCAAAAUCUCCCGAACAAUGUGAAUAUCUCGUCGUAUUUUCGUGGCCACCGCUUGUGAGCUUGAAGUCCACGGUAAAAAAUAGUUAUCAUAAUCUCGCUUGAAUAAUUCUGAGAGGUGGAUUUGUCUUCUUUUUAAGUUUUAUCCAGAUUUUACUAUAACAUUGUGGGCUUUGUGAUUUUGUUUCAUGCAAGCAAAAGAACGGUUUUUCUUUUCUUUUUUUGCCAAUGAGAUCGCGAAGAAUUCGGAUGCGUGGCGACUAUGGACAGUGGGGAGAAGAAUAAACAGCACAAUGUCACGCUACCUCCCCGUGAGCCCUGUCCACCGUGUAUACCGUCGACCACCUCACACCGAAUCCCUAUUGCUGGCCACCCACUGAAGAUUGCAAGCCACCACGGUUCACGGUCCCAAACCGCAAGCUGCCCGUCGACGUUGGCGUCAAGCUCGAGCCAGCAUUGAUCUUCUCUUCAAGCCGAUCCGUUGAAGUUUUUACUUUUGCAGGUUCAUUGGCUGUGACCCACCCGCAUCGUUGCUCACCAACCUCCACCAUCAAGUGCCGCAACCCUUUCCCAGUCAUCUGUCGAGUGGAUUUUGUUCAGUUCAAAUUUGGUAAUAUUAUUGGCGAAAUUAGGUAAUUAUUUUAUCUAAAUUUGAUUUGGGUAUUUUAUUGCCUAAUACGUGCUUUUCAAUAUCUUACGUGCAUAUUUGAAUUAUAGGCGUAUUCCCAAUUAUGAUUUAUUGCCCAAUCCGCAACCACAACUGCACGUCAAUUUUUUAUUCCAUCUAUAAGGCUUUAGAUGGAAUAAUUAAUCACGCGAGAAUAAAGUUGAUAUCUUGACCUUUAAGGCUUAAGAUCAAUUUAUUGAUUUUAUUAGCGAAAUAAUCAAGUUUAGUUAGAUAUCGUUUCCAAAUUCGAAUGAUGGAAAAUAUCUUUGACGACCGUGAAUGAUUUGGUGCUUAUCUUUUAAUUAUUUUGUUUAUCCCAAAAAUACAAAAAAGAUUACAUAUGCAUAUCAUGUAGAUUAGAAUUGAUUUCCUAGAUAGAAUUGCAUGAUAGAAUAGUUAGAUUCUUUUCUGAUUAUAUUAGAAUGCAUGUUUAGAUGGUAUCUAGGUUAGAAAAUAUCUUUGAAGUAAAUUGCAUGUCGAGAUAAAUUUCAAAGUUAAGAUAGGAUUCAGAUUAGUCUAUUUCCUAACUUAAAAUAGAUAAUAUCUCACUUUAGUUAGAUUUUUAUUUUAGCAAUUUUUAAUUACGAUUUUUUAUAAAAAAAUACAAAAAUAUCAUGCGCAUGCCACAUAGAAUUAGAUUCAUGAAAAGCAUGUCAUUUAGCAAUUGUUGCUAGGUCCAUUUAAUUAGAAAUUGCCCGUUAUUAGAUUAUGUCAUUUUCUAAAUAUCGCGUGAUAUAUAAUCCAGAUAAUAGGUUGCAUGUUGCAUGUCAUUUUAGUUAGGCAUUUUUGUACGUCAUUGCAUUGCAUUGCACGUAGUUUAAAUUUCAUUAAAUAAGAGAAAAUCCUAAAAAAGAUUGAGUGAUUGUGAAUUAUAUCUAGGGUUUUGAUGUGAAUUUUAAGCUAACAUUGCAGAUGCUUUCGUUGCUACGAGAUAAGUCUUAUAAUUUUUUCAUCGCUUUCUUGGGUAUUAAAUUGGUGGUUUGCGCACUCGCAUGAUCACCUCACAUGUUAGGGAAGUAAAUUAAAAUCAAUUCAAGCUGCAUGCAAAACAUUUUUUUCGAAAUAAAAGAGAAAGGUACCGAAAGGGCGUUAGAGAAAUCUAGCGUAAUCAAGUUCCCGAACUCACAAUUCUUGUUCGCAGGAGUAAAGUAAAUCUCUCAUUACUUUAUUUGGGUUUCUAAUCGACCUACCAAAAAAUAGAUUAGUGGCGACUAUGGGAUUGGGAGAGCCCGAGUUAAGUUUAGGCUUAGUAAUUCAUUAGUCUAAUUUUAGGUGGUGCACCCGAAAUUUAGGUCGCAACACCAAUCUAUUUAUUUUGUAUUUUCAUAGCUUGGAAAUUCACUACAUCAAUUACAAAGUAUUCAUAUUACGAUAGUUGAGGUAUUCAACUAGAGAACUCUUCAUUAUUAAUUGACGCUACUCUUCGUUUCACAUUACCAUUCAUGGCUUCUCGAAUAUUUGUUCUUAUAUAGGAUGAUAACUAUAUUUAAGAACAGUUUCUCCAUAUUACUGUGUUCUUUAACUUGGUCGUAUCGAUAUCUUUCUAUAUGUUUUCAUUUGACUAAGUACUUUUCUAAACUUAACACUCCUAACAAUGAGGCGAUUUAUUUGUCUAAAAAAGAAAAGUACUCAAUUAAACUUUCCUUCAGUUUGAACCAUUUCCCAUGAGAGAUAUUCUUUUUAUAUAAUUAGUUGCACAAAUACAUAUAUAUAUAUACAUAUAUAUAUAUAUAUAUAUAUAUUCAAGUGUGUGACCAUAAUACAUGUUAUGGUGACUACAGGAGAAGAACUUAAUGAACCCAAAUUUUAGGUACAAUUAAAGACAAAAGUAUCGUCAACCAAAUCACAUGUUCGCAUACUACAAAGCAAAAUGGGUUGCCAACAAUUUGCUUGUAAAAAAUUUGGAUGCCCAUGCCAAUUCAUUUUGGCAUACUUAUGUUAUUUUUAUGUAUUUAUUUAUAUUUAACAUUAGAAAUCCUUUUUUGAAAAAAAGUCCCCCUUCUUACUAUCAUAACAAAAAAUUCGGGAUAAGUACACUAAUGGUGCCAAAAGUUGUGUACGGCGCUCACUUUGGUGCCAAAAGUUUCUGUCGGAUCACUUAAGUGCCAAAUCGGAGGAAAAACGCUCACUUUGGUGCCACCGGCGAAAGAUUCCGGCCUCCGGCGAAAGAUUCCGGCCAAAAUGAUUUUUUUAAAAAAAAAUAAAAUUGAUAAGCCUUUAAAUGACGUCGUUUUCGGUCCUCCUUAAGAAAACGACGUCGUUUUGCCAUCCUACGUGGAUGGCUUCAUGGAAACGACGCCGUUUAGCUCACAUGGGGAAGAAAUUAGGGUUUUGGCGAGGUUGAAGCCGUGGCCGUCGUCGGGGUUGAAGCUGCGGCCGCCGAGUGGCCAUCAUCGAGGUUGGGGUCAAGGUCGGGGUCGAAGCUACGGCCGUCGAGUGGCCAUCGUCGGGGUUGGGGUCGGGGUUUGAGCCGCGGCCAUCGAGUGGCCAUCGUCGCGGUCGGGGUCAAGGUCGAGGUCGGAGCUACGGCUGCCAAGUGGCCAUCGUCGGGGUCGGGGUCGGGGUCGAGGUCGGAGCCGCUGCCGUUGAGUGGCCAUCGUUGCGGUUGGGGUCGAGGUCGGGGUCGAAGCCGUGGCCGCCGAGCGCGAGGACCGUCGAGGACGGCGAUGGCCGGAGAUUAGGGUUUUGAAUUGGGGGAGACACCAAACGGCGUCGUUUUGGUGUUUGGAUGCUGACUCAGCUCUCCGACGAGCCACGUCGGCGUCAAAAAUUAAUAAAAAAAGGCCACGUCAGAUUUCCGGCCAAUUUCGUCGGAGUUGGCACCAAAGUGAGCGUUUUUCAAAUUUGUUGGCACUUAAGUGAUCCGACGGAAACUUUUGGCACCAAAGUGAGCGCCGUACACAACUUAUGGCACCAUUAGUGUACUUAUCCCAAAAAAUUCUAUCACUUAAAUAUUUUCCCUUCCUCUUUUAUUUGGAUGCGUGUAACUUCUUAGAAAUAGCAUGUAAUAGUCAGAAGAGCCAACAAUUUUAGUACUAAAGCAUAGAUAUUAAUAUUCUCAACCUUUUCUUGUAGGCUAGAGACCAAUUCAAUCAUGUUCACCUUCUUUUUUUUUUUAUCUAUUUAUAUAAUAUCACAUGUCGUAACAGAGUCAAAUUUCUAAGAAUUGAUUAACAUUACUAUUUUCUCAUGCUCGGCAAAUUAAUUUUAUUUAUUACUUUAAAUUUAUAUUUUUUAGAUGUGAUGUUUGUAAAUAUACUGACAUUUUAAAAGGUUCCUCUUAAAUAUUUCAGUCGUAAAGUCAGUUGUACUUGUUUUUAUCGAGAAAUUUUGCUCUAAACUCACUAAAACUAAAUGCACUUAAUGAGCAAAGAGCACUUUUAUUAUCAUAUAUUACCCACUGAUUUUCCUAUACUUUUACUUUUCUCUUGACAAAGCUUUCAAAAUAUUAUAUGAGAAAGAAGAACAUUUUCAUUUAAAAAUGAAUGAAUUUAAUGUGCUUAAAGUCAAUUUUGGUGUGAUAUAUUAGAUUUUUAGCCUCUAUCAAAAAUUCAAUAAACUGAUUUCAAUGAGUAUUUAACUAAAAAUACACUUUUAAUAAUAUCAUUUAGAUUUUCGUAUCAUAAAUACAAUCAAAGCAGGUUCCUUCUUCAUAAUAAACCCAGUGGAGAUAGACCCUACGAUUGACAAGGUUAGCGAGAGAUCUUUUCUAUGACCGGAAAAAAGUUGAAUCUUUUCCCCCUUAGAGAGAGUAGAAAGUUUUCAUUAACAAAGAGAAAGUGUUAGGAUUAGGUAACUUCGAAUAAUUUGAAUAUGGAGUUUAAAAUUAGAUAAAAUUUAAUCCCAAUCACUCUAUUACGAAGAGUUAUCCAAAAUACUCACCUGCACGGGGCCUUUCUUCAAAGAGGAUAGAUUGUAAAAGAGAAGGGGGUGUUCUCUGCAUUGACCAUCACUCCACACUGUCAGAUCGACAUCCAACAAUCACACAAAAGGAGUGAAGUGGUGAGGUCUAGAAUAGUAUUCGACUUUUAUUUUGCAGCAAGCCGACCCCUCAUGGUAAGACCUUUGUCAACUAUUAUUUCGAGCCUUGUUUUGAUCAUGUUCGAUAGAUUGACAAUUGCAUUAUUUUUCCUUUUUUUUUCUGAUAGAUUAAGGCUAGUUUUUGUUAAAAUUAUUGAUUGCACUUUUUGUUAAAAAUUCAAGGAUCACAUUGCACAUUGAGUUAAAGUUCAGGGACCACAUUGAACAAAUUAAAAAUUCAUAAAUCAAAUUGCAUAUUGGAUCAAAAUUUAGGAACUAUUUGCUUCAUUUUCCCCAUAUAUUUCAUGCUUUCUAGAUUUUUGUCUAAAAAAAUACGUAAUCGCAAUGAUUAAUAAGUAAAUUUUAACAGAAGAGGACAAACUCCCUUAUCACUUCUCUAUAUACGUAUUAAAAUCCAUAACAUGUACCUAGUAUAACAUCAUAGGAAUGGGUUUUGAUGGGCAUGUGACGUUGGAGAUACCGUUUCUCGUCCAAUACUUAAGAAUUUUCAGCUUGAAAAGAUGUCUCGCACUCUAGCACUUGAGUAAGCUUGUAAGAUUAGCAAAUCUAGAAUUUUCAGGCUUGAAGGAAUAUCUAUUGGUAAACUUGUUUAUUUACUCCCUUUUAACUUUGGCGUGCAUAUAGUGUCUUCUUGAUCUUUUUCCAUGAGAUUAUGUAGAGACUAGCCAUUUCUUUUUUGAAAAUAUUUUUAAUUUGAAAACGCUUUACAAUUUUCAUUUUCCUUUUUCUUGAAAACAUGUAUGGUUUGUGAAAAAAAAAAAUUAGAAUAACUUGUAUGAGCAUCUAUUCCAAUACUUAUUGACAUCGACAACUUAAUUAAUAUGGAUUGAUAUAAAUAUUCAACUGUAGUGUAGAUCAUAAUACAUCCUUAUCCAGUGAGGUAUAUGUGGCUAUUUUCCUUCAUUUGACCACCUUAAAACUUAGAAGUGAUCUUUCUAUGAGAUUUAUAUUUUUUUUCAACGCUUAAGGAAGAUUUGGCCAGAAAAUCCUUAAGGAAGAAAGGGGAGAUUACAUCCGACUACUAAUUUAAAAAAUAAUAAUAAUAAUUAAAUAACUGCGCUUUCUCUUUUGAAAUAAGUGAUAAUAAUUUAGAAUUAGUUAUUUCGAUUCAAGCUUGGGUUGUUUCGUUUUUUAUUUUAUUUUGUAGUCUAAUCUAAUCUGAUUUAAGUUGAUCUAGUACUAUAUAGUUAUUUGGUGCAAAUCAAGAGGCCUGUGUGAAGUUUGACACAUGGCCCCUCUUAAACUGACAUAUAUCCCACUUUCAUCUUUAUAUAAUUUUUUAUUUUCCUUUUCCUUUUCAUUUCUUUAUAACAUUAUCUUCAUCCUUUUCCUUUUGGCCACUUAUCACUUUAUUUUUUGGAAGACAAAAGAACCAACAUAAACAAAUAGUAUGUAAAAGAUUCUAUUUCAUUUUCCGUAAAUGUAGUUUUUUAAUUACAUAAGCUAAUGAUCAAACAUAAUGACGAUAAAUUAACAAAGUUUCGAAUAACUGUAUUAUCGACUCUUCCAUUAAGAUGCAUGUCUAGUUAAAUUGAAAAGUAACCUAAAUUGAUCGCCAAGCAAGUUUUCUUUAUUUUAUUUUUCUCGUUGCUUUUGACUAAUACUAGUACAAAAUAAAGUAACUCCAAAAAAAGAGUCAGUUUGAUCAUGACUGUUGACACUUGAUUUCGCCGAUCUAGUAGGUUGUCACUUAUGAGAAUACAAAAAUAUAUAUUAAAAUAGUAAGAAGAAGAAGAAGAAGAAGAAGAAGAAGAAGAAGAAGAAGAAGAAGAAGAAGAAGAAGAAGAAGAAGAAGAAGAAGAAGAAGGAAUGGAGCCAGUUUGACCCGGCUCGUUUGGGUCGGGCUUUAGCCGUCUCCCUUAUUUUCUCUCCCCGGCCCAUUUCUUUUAUUUUGUUUGGCCCAGUUCAUUUCCCUCUUCAGCCCGAUCCCCUUUUCUUUCUUUCCCCAACUUUUCUUCACGCUCGCGGAAACGAGCGAGGAAGGACGCUCGUACAGCGGAGUCAACAUUGCGGCAGCGGCGGCGAUCGUCGAGCGAGAAUUUUGGUCGGGGAAGCGACCGACAGAGAGGACGGGGGCGUCGUCCUUGAGGAGAAGGAAUCGUUGGUUGGUUGCUCUUUAAAGGAAUCGCUGGUCGUCGUCGUCAACGUCAUCGUCGUCGUCAGUGCGGUCUUCCGAUGAUCUCAGGGCUUGACGGGGCCGAAAGAUGUGAGAUCAUGGUUCAUCCCGUUUUUGUGUAUGGAAUGAACCUGUUCUUCUAUUUCCACUGUCACCAUCUCGGGUAGGGGGCUCUCGGCGUUUUGGGUGUCGUACCUCUGUUAAGUCGCUGUCUGCAUCUCGUGAGUGCUCUUUGCUUGUUUACUUUGAGUCGCUCUUUCCCAGGGAUCUUGGCUUGGAGCCGGCCAGAGCGAGAUUCACCUCGAACUCGCCCUCUAGUCGUCGUAUCCGAGCCGGGUAGGGACUUCCUCGUUAAACGGUCACCCACACGAGCCCCUUCAGCUGCGCCUUGUUCCGUUUGAAGGACGACGGGCUCGGUUUCUCCGGUUCUUGAGUGUUCCAUGUCCGACUGAGUUGAUUUCUUUGGCGCGAGGGGUCUAGAUCCGAGUUCGGGCCAUAGAACGGUCGGUCACUUCUCUUCGACGCACUGCACACCGUCUGUUUGCAGAAAUGUCUAAAUGAAGCUCUGUUGUUGUCCGCGGAAGGUCUCCUGGUUUAAAAGAUUUUGAUGACCAUUUCAUUUUUAAAUCGCAACAUCCGUCUUCGAUCGAUUCAUGUCGAGUUCAUUUUUCUGUGGUUCGAGUAUAUGGCCGUAUGUCCCGCUCUUUUUUGCCCCCCUCUCGUGCUUGGCUCCUUGUUUUGCCCAUGUUUUGGUUUUACGAGUGUGAUGCUUGCUGGACGGAGUGUACGGCUGGAAUGUAUAUGAUGAAUGGACACAAUGAUUGGUGGUCAGUAGUGAAGUCCAUUUGUUUGUGGCUUGAGAUUUUGUUGCGUUGUUCAUAAAUUAUGAGUCUCGAGGAUCUUGAGUGAGUUGGUAAAGUUUAAUGUGCUCUCAGUCUACUAACUAAAAUAAUGGACACAUAAAGUUUAGGAUGUGUUUGGUUUUGCUCCUGGGAGCAAUUUCCGUUUAGAUAUAAUUUUUUCCAUUUAAAAAGUCUUCCAUUUCACACGGUAGACCCGAAGGUGGAGAUUUCCUUUCGAGCGUCCCUGUUGGAAAGCAGUUCUUGGGUCUAAGAAACUGGUAGCCACUGGCCAGCGCCUUUUUUUAAUUUUUUUUCCUUUUUAAUUACCAAUUUCUUCUUGACUGAUAAACCAAUUCUCUUAUUAUUGGGCAAAUUUUAUUUAAUUAUCAACAUAUUAAAUUUACCAAUUGUAUAGAAAAUUAUCAAUAUUUAUUUGGUGGCUUCCCGAUUUUUUCCAAAUUAAGUAACUCAACGGAAAAGUUAAUAAAUUAAAAAUAUAUAUAUAUAGUUAACUUGAAUAAGAGUUGGUAACCAGCUUAAUCAAUGAAAAGGUCAACAAAUAAGAGUUAGUAAAUUUAAGGCCCAAUAGAGAAAGGUGAAUGAAAAAUUGAUAAAAAGAAUAAGAAAAGUUGGCAGUUAAAAAAAUAAAACUCGGUAAGUAAUUCCAACAAGAGUUGGUAACUCAAAACUAAUUGAUAAUUUAAAUAGAGAAAAGUUGAUAAGUCAAUCUAAUUAAAGUCAGUAAUGUUAAGGCAUUUUUCGAAAUGCAACUAGAAGUUUGUAGGCGAUAAAAGAAAUGAUAACUAAAGUUUAAAGGCGUCCCUUUCAUGUUUGUUCUCAAGCGAGUUUAGAAAUGCAAGUUCAUGUGUUCACAUUUAUUAGACAUUUCAUUUGAUUCUUCCCCUGUACACCUAGUCACUUGUGGGGCUUAGGCCAUUUCCUAGUCCUUUCUUUAAUCAGAUCUCUACCACUUCUAUCUUUCCUACCUGACCAUUGGUUGUUGACCACUAUCCCACACGUAGUUCUUGCAACUUCCUAGAAGGGCAUCAUAGCGCGUUUUCCAUCAUCCCAAUCUUGUAAAAUCACCACAAAAUGUGGUGUGAUUUAUAUUCUUUCCUCAUACUUAGACUUUAUAGGGCCACUUCUCAUGAGUGUUUUCAGAAUGCAUUAAAAAAGGACAACUUUAAGUGGAUGGUGCCUCGACGGUUGGUGAUGAACUCUCUUUGGGUAAAAAUGUAUUAAUAGCUUAUUCACUGUUGAUACCUUAAUUUUGACAACCCAAUUAGUUGUUAAUUGUAAAAAAAAAAUAGGACCUAACCCCAAUCCCUAACAAAAAAAUCUAUAAUUGCAUCUUGCAUAUUAGUUGUGCUUUUUUCAUGCAUUACUUAAUUCCAUAUAUUUCUACUGGAUCAACGGCAGGUGGAUUUAGAUGAAUUGUCUCAAAUUUAAUUGAUAAACUAGACUGAGCUCAUAAGAGCAUAAACUGUUUGCCAAGUGCAUAAAAACUGUGUGGCCGAAAUUUAUAAAUGGAAGUAGUAAGAGGUGCCAAGGUGGAAAAAUUAAUUCAUCAUAGUAAACUCGGGGGAUAAAGAUAAUAACUUCAUAAAAAAGAAAAAAAUUGAAAGGAGAUUGUAAUGUCUUCGCAACCAUAUCAUGUCAAGAUCGAAGAAAAGAAGAAGAAUUAUCUGGUCUUACACAUUGAGGGAAACGACGAAGGAAAACAAUAUAUUAAAAAGGAAAAAAUGAGAGGGAAAGAAAUAUUGAGAGAAUAUAUGAUUAUUUUAAAACAAGAAAGGGGAGAUUAAUAGUUCACAAAAAAAGUAAAAAAGAAAGAAAAAAACACUAUACUGAGGGGAGAUUGCUUGUCCUUGUUCGCCGGUGUGGUUUAAUUUCUCGGCGUCGUUGCUGCUUUUGUCUGGCGGUCCGUGGUUUGCUUUCUCGUCGAAAUCCUCGAGACCUCGUUUGCCGGUGUUGGUCUUUGGCUCCUGUCCUUCUAAGAACGCCGCCACCACCGCCCCCCCUCACCAGUCACCACGCUCGCUGCCGGCUUGGCCAUUGUUGCGCCUCCACCUGCCUUGCUUGCUCACCUCAUCGCACUCAGUACGUCCUGCUGGGGUCGUCACAGCAGCUUUGCCAACUUGUUCCGACACCACAGCAGCAGUCCCAGAAAGUUUCCUUAUACACAUAGCAUUAUUCUAUAUCCUUCUAUUCAAUGAAGGAUAAAGAAAAAUGUAUCUUGUAUUUUGAGAGGCGGUAUGUUGUACUUUGAGAGGUUAGCCGCUAAAGUCUUACAUAUCAAGUUUCAUACUUUGAGAAAUGAAAUUAUCCUUAAGGACAUUGUUUGUACGUCUCAAAUAGUUGACUUUAUUUUCUAGUCUUUUUCAAUAUAUUUCCCCGAUUAUUAUUAUUAUUUUACGUUGUCUAACAUUUUUCCAACAAAACCUAAGUCUCAUUGGGUAUGUGGCACAUCCUUAAUGACUCGGGACUAUAUAUAAGAGCCUGCGCAGGGCAGAGAGUCCUCAGAUUCUUGAACUUCUCUCUUCCUCAAUCUUUUUGUUUCUCGACCUGCAAUUGUUUCUUUUUGCUUUUUUCAACUCGAUGGAACUUAGACUAGAUCGAUUUAUUAUGGUGAGAGAAAAGAGGGAGAUAUGGCCUAUCCUGUUGAAAUUUGGGGUUGCUUUGGCUCUGAUUUUUGCUGGAUUCCUCUACUCUCGCAUCCGAACCAGACGAGUCAUACCCAAGCUGCCUCCUAGGGGUGGCCUUCCGGUUUUAAAAAACUUGCCCUUUUAGAGAUUUUUGUUUACUUAUCUCGUUUACGGAUUUUGCUGAAAUAGCUCGUCGGUUGGUCUGUAGAUUGUGGCGGCGAGGCUCAUUCUGAAGGUCAGAGGACUGGGCUUUCAGGUUUUGAAUAACUUGCCCUUUUAAAGAUUUUUGUUUACUCAUCUUGUUUAUGGAUUUUGCUGAAAUAGCUUGUUGGUUGGUCUGUAGAUCGCAGUGGCGAGGCUCAUUUCGAAGGUCAGAGGACUGAGCUUUCAGGUUUUGAAUAACUUGUUCUUUUAAAAAUUUUGUUUACUCAUUUUGUUCGUGAUUUUGCUGAAAUACCUUGUUGGUUGGUCUGUAGAUCGUGGCAGCGGGGCUCAUUCCGAAGGUCAGAGGACUGGGAUUUCAUUUAAGUUUGUUUAUUAGUUUAACUCAUCAUCUGGCGUUCAUAGAUACUGUCCUACUCUCAAUCACCAUCUCGUGUUCUUGGACUCCAAAGCCAUUUUUUUUUUCUCCUGUCACAAUCAAAUUUCUCAUCAAUGCUUGUUGGGUGACACUCUCCGGUCUCUAGACCUUAAUGUUAAAUAUAUACAUCCGAUUCGGUUAAUGAAAUUUCAAAUAAUCAUUUAUAGUUCCAAUUCGCAUGAUUAUAUCAUAUAAAAGAGUAUCCAAUUCGCACAUAUCAUAAAUGAGCUAGAUCCUAAUUCUAUUGAUAUCAAAUUUAUGAAAAUUUAUAAAUGAGCUUAAAUCUAUAAUUAGAUUAAUUAUCCUAAUAUGAAUCCAAUUCUAAUUAUAAAUUAGAUUAUUCUAAUAUCUAAUAUGUCCUAAUUUAUAAUUAUUACACAAAUCUAAUUUAUAAUUAGGACAUAUUACACAAUAAUUAGAUUUGUUCCAAUUCGCACAUAUUACAAUAAUUAGACUUGUAAAUAAUUAGAUUUAUUAUAAAUUAUUGUGUAAUAUGUCCUAAUUAUAAAUUAGAUUAUUCUAAUAUCUAAUAUGCCCUAAUUUAUAAUUAGAUUUGUAUAUUAUUACACAAUAAUGAUUAGAAUUAUCCUAAUAUGUCCUUAUUAUUUGUAAUAUAAAUUAGGUCAUAAUUUUUUAAUCUAAUAUGUCCUGGACCACAUAUAUCCUAAUUAUGACCUAAAUUAGGUUAAUUCUAUAAUAUACAUAAUUAGAAUUGAUAUCAUAUGUCAUUUAAGUUUAACAAAUCUGGUUUGGAUAUCAUAACAGUAUAUGUUUUCCAUCAUUGAUAUAUGCAUUGUGGUGUAUAUACGAGUAUCUUAAACAUAUGUCCCAUAUUUGGAUAGUGGAUAUGUCUAUUUGAUUUCUCAUAAAUCAGUACUUGGAUAUUGGAUGGCAAAUCGCCUUUCAAAUUGCUUUAUGGAAAGAAGCUCGCACUGGAUCAUCUAAGGAUUUUCAGUUGUUUAUGCUAUACUACAACCAUGGGGCCUCAGGACAAAGUGAGUCCUUAUGCCAAGCGAUGCAUAUUCAUGGGCUAUCCCAACCUAUAGAAGGGAUACCAUGUUCUCAAUCCAUCAACAAGAGAAUUUUUUGUUAGCAGGGAUGUUAUUUUUCACGAAAAUAUCUUCCCAUUUCAUGAGACCACACCUUCCACAGAGGAUUUGGAUGCCCCAACUACUUCUCAUCGUUUCUUAAACGAAGAAAAUGCAUCUCCUGAAUAUAUUCUCACAGCACCUCCGGAACCAGUUUUUCAUCCAGCUUCAACUUCACCUGGCCGUUUGCUCUCGGAGGAUGUUAUGGAAAGUGUGCCUGCAAAUGCACCCAACAUGGAGAAUGAUCCUGAUGUCUCGUCACAAACCAAUAUCGAAGAAAUGUCUCUUCCUCCACCACCAACAGAUCAUCCAUGUCAUUCAGGGCGAGCCACGCAACCACCAACCAGGACCAAAGAUUAUAUCUAUGCCUCACUUAAUUCACCAGGUAUUCACUAUCCAAUAUCUUCUUACAUCUCUUUUGAUAAGCUUUUGCCGGAACAUAGAUGUUGCAUUAGUCACAUAUUCGAUGAAAGGGAACCAUCUUGUUAUGAUGAGGCAUCUAGAGAGCCAUAGUGGCAACAAGUUAUGACAGUAGAAUUAUAGGCAUUGACUGAUAAUCAUACAUGGGAAUUAGUCAACCUUCCUCCAAAUAGAAAAUCCAUAGGAUGCAAAUGGGUCUAUAAAGUAAAAUAUAAAGCUUAUGGAUCCAUUGAGCGUUACAAGGCUUGAUUGGUGGCUAAGGGAUAUGCUCAACGAGAAGGUUUUGACUAUCACAAGACUUUUUCUCUAGUCACUAAAGAUGUCAUAGUUCGCUCAUUCUUAUUAGUUGCAGCUAUCCAUGAUUGGUCAUUACACCAAAUGGACGUCCACAACACUUUUCUUCAUGGCAAUUUGGAUGAAGAAAUCUACAUGGAUAUUCCUCAAGGCUUAUGGAGAUAGGGGGAGAACAGAGUAUGUUGUCUCCGCAAAUCCCUUUAUGGACUGAAACAAGCUUCUAGGCAAUGGUAUGCCAAGUUUGCUAACGCUCUCAUAACUGUAGACUUCAAACAGUCCAAAUACGAUUACGCCUUGUUCACAUGAACUAAAGGUGUGUCAUCUAUUUACUUAUGAAAUAUUUGCAUACCACAUUUCAUAUAAAAGACCUGGGAGCACCAAAAUAUUUUCUUGAGAUUGAGAUUGCUCGAUCCAACUAAGGAAUUUCCCUCAAUCAGUGGAAAUUUGUAUUGGAGAUCAUAUCAGGAGUCGGUUUAUCAGGAUGCAAGCCAUCAGUUAUUCCAAUCGAGCAUAAUACCAAAUUAACUGCAGUGGAUCAUGUUGGGGGAAUAUCUCAGAAUGAUGAUCUCGUACUCAAAGAUCCGAUGAGUUAUCAGAAGCUCGUUGGAAAACUUAUAUAUUUGACUAUUACUAGGCCUGAUAUAUCAUACGCGAUGCAAACUCCCAGUCAAUUUAUGCACAAUCUGAAGGAAUCUUACAUGAAUGCUGCUUUGAAGCUUGUGAAGUAUUUGAAGAAGUGUCAAGGACUCGGAAUACUUCUAUCUAGAAGAUGUAGCAUCGAAAUGACGGCAUAUUAUGAUGCAGAUUAUGCAACUUGCCCCAUGAGUCAAAGAUCCAUCAGAGAAUCCCUUCUUUCAUGGAAAACCAAAAGGUAGGCAAUGGUUUCCUUGUCUUCAGCCAAAGCAAAAUAUUAAGCCAUGGCAAAAACUACAUGUGAGAUUGUAUGGAUAUGAGGUUUGCUUGGAGACCUUGGAAUACAACUAAAAGGGGUAACAAAGUUAUUUUGUGACAACAAUGCUGCCCUCAAGCUUGUAGCGAAUCCCAUAAUGCAUUAAAGAACUAAGCAUAUAGAAGUGGACUAUCACUUCACUCGAGAGAAAAUUCAAGAAGGGAUAAUCGAGACAAGAGGAAUUGGAACCGUAGAACAACCUGCAGACAUCUUCACCAAACUUCUAUGUCAAAGACGCAUAUCUACUAGGCAAGCUAGGCAUCUUGGAUAUCUACAAGCCACCAGCUUGAACGGGAGUGUUGGAAGAUAUGCUUGAAGAUUCAGAAGAUAGGCCGGGAAUUGGAUUUGAUUAUAAUCAUGCACUAAAUCAAUUAGGGAUUAGAUUGAGAUAUUAAAUUGAUUUGUAAAAUAUUUCAUUGCCUUUUCUUCAUGUACAUCUUGUAUUAUAAUUAUUAAGUUCUGUACAUUGAAUACAAUAGAAGAAAUACAAAAGAUAUUUCCCCAAAACUUCUAUGUUUCUUGCUUCCCUACACAUUCUUUCACUGUGGUUUGAGUAUAUGGUCGUAUGUACUGCCUUUCUUUUUUCUCCUCGUGUUUUGCUCCUUGUUUGGCACAUGUUUUGGUGUUACUUGUGUGAUGCUUACUAGAUGGAGUGUACAGCUGGAAUGUAUAUGAUGAAUCAACAUAAUGAUUGGUAGUCAUUAGUGAAGUCCAUUUGUUUGUGGCUUGAGAUUUUGUUGCAUUGUCCUGUAAAUUAUGAGUCUUCAGGUUCAUGAGUCAAUGGUAAAAUUUGAUGAGCUCUUAGUCCACUAACUAAAAACAAUGGAUACAUAAACUUUAACGUGUGUUUGGUAACAUUUCUGUUUUCAGGAACAAAGAAGUACAUUUGUUUUAUUUGUUGUUUUUAUUCCAAAUCUAUUUCCUAGCCAUUUCCAUUUGGCAUAGAACAAUUAGCUAACGUUACCAAAUUAAUUUCUAUUUCUUUUGUAUUUCGAGGAACAAAAGAAUAGAAAAAAAAAUAGGAUAGUUAUGAAACAUAUCCUUAAUAAAUAGUAUAGGGGUGAGAGAAGGAGCCAAAAGAGGGGAAGUUUCACGUUCUGGAAGUAUUUGUAUGGAUAAGUUGAAUGUGAAGAGUAAGGGCGAAGAAAAGAAAAUUACGAUAUAAGCUCUACAACGAUAAAUGGAUUUAACAUGGACCUGGGUUGACUCGAUCCUUAUUUGAAAGAGGCUUUAGCAUGGGCUUGGUGUUGCUUUAGUGGAAGAGUAGGCUGGUCGUGAGUCUUCUUAAUUUGGGCUUGGGUUGAGUUAAACGAACACGGGCUUAAAUUAAGAGUUUUCUGAAAUCAGGCUUAGGAAGGUUAGAAUUGGAGUGGGCUUGAGGAUGGACUCAAUUGCGCCCUUUGGCCAAAAUUUUGUGAGCCCAAUCCGAUUCACCAUUUUCGGAAUUAUUAAAAUAUUAAAAAUUUAAAAAAUUCCAGAAAAUGCUUGGAAUUAGGUUUCCAUGAAAUUUUUAAGUUUUAGCAUUAGAUUUAGUUUUGUUUUGUUUAAUCUAUAUACAUUUAGCUUAGUCCCAGUGGAGUAUCCCUUUGAAAGAAAUUAAACUUGAUUUGGAUCUAACUCAUGGGGCUUACAACAUGACUAUGUAUAUUCUUUGCCUGACUUAUAUCAGUUUUUUAUUUUUAUUUUUUUGCUUUUGCUUCAAAAGUCAUUUUAAUACUUGGGUGUUUAUUUAUUUAUUUAUUUAUUAUAUACUUGGGUGUUUACUUACUGCAUUGUCUUUCAGUAAAUUGGUUGUUUAUGGCCUUCCUAGAAUACGUUAAGAUUAAUUUAGAAUUUGAUGAAAAUGAACCCUCCAAAAACAUUUGCAUGAUCAUUUAGCACCUUUGAUGCAUUUAGGAUUAUAAUAAGCAAUCAAGACCAUGUGACUACUUUAGUAACAACCUUUCAAGUUAGAGCGAAAGUGCACUAAUAUGUAUUAGAGUAAUCAAGUCCCCAAUUCUAGAAUCUUUAGUUGCGUAGAAAUCAAGACAAUACUCCGACAUCUCGAUUGGUUUCUAGCCGACUUCAAUAGAUUAGUGGUCAAUCCUAAAAAUAUUUUAGUUGUUAAGAACUAAAAAAAUAAAAUCCAACAUUGCGCGAGGUAUGGGUUUAAGAAGGCCCACACUUCAUUAAGGGCUGUUGGCCCAAUAUAGACAAUGCCUCUAAACUUAUUUAUUUUUCCAUCCGGAAGGAAAGGGUAAGUCUCAACAGUGACUCUAAAGACCAAGCCAAUCAAAGCUUCCUAGAGAAAGUAGGUUUGCUUUUGACAUAAUUCACAAUAGAGGUGCAAUUCUUUUUCUUUUUUCUUUGGGGUGGUCAUCUUGUCCAGCGUAACUUUUCCUCUUUCUUUUUUUUAAUCCGAAAUCUUAAUCUCAAUCAAGUGCAUAUGUUUCUUUUCUUUCCCCUUUUUCAUUCUAUCAAAUGCAUAUUUGAGAUCCAAAAUUAACAUAACCCCAAAAAAUGAGGGAUUUACUUUACCAAAAUUAUAACCAAAUGAAGGUCUAACCUUUCUAAUUAGCUAAAGUUACACAUACCAGCUAAUCUAUAUCUACAUUUAAACAUUUGUUGAAGAUCCAUACUUCAAAUUUGACAAUGGCACCAUACAUUUUAAGCGGGUCUUACUUUCUCCUAAAAUUUAUCACUUCUCUACAUUAUAAUACUUAAAUAAUGUCGCGACCUAUUUUUUUGGUGCACCACCUAAAACUAGGUUAAUGGACUACUAAGUCUUUAAACUUAGCUCGGGCUCUCCCAAGCCCAUACCAAUUUGCAACUUAAGAUUUAAAUAUUUAACAUGCAAAAGAUUAUUAACUAGGAGUCGCCACUAAUCGGUUUAUGGUAGGUCGAUUAAACACCUAAGUAAAAUAAUGGGAGGAUUAUUUUACUCUUACGAACCAGAGAUUGAGGGUACGGGGACUUUGUUACACUAGAUUUUUCUAAUGCCCUUUCGGUACCAUUUCUAUUAAAUUUUCAAAAAUGUUUUUGCAAGCAGCUGAUUUAUUUUAACCUAAAUUACUAUCAUGCAAAAAUGGUGACCACACGGAUGCUCAUCCACUAUUAAGCAUUCAAAUAAAUAAAUAAAUAAAUUGCAUCACACAAAGCAAAUCACACAAAACCAAACAUGUUUUUUUGGGUUUUCUCAGAUUUUCUUUUUGGAAAUGCAUUUUUAACUACAUGUCCUAAUCUUAUUAAUAUGCAAAUUCUAAUUAAAUGGGCCUAUUAUGCAAACUAGUUAUUAUGCACCUCAUGACCUAACUUCACUAAUGAACAAAUUCUGAUUAAAUGAUCUUAUUAUGUGAACUAGUUAACAUAACCUAGAUUUUUGUAUUUUUGUAUUUUUUUUAUUUGAAAUUCAGAAUCAAUAAAAACCCUAAUUAAACUAUCUUAAAAGGGAUAAUUUUCUAAUUUAUUCUAGGGAUUAAUUUGACUUAAACCCUAUCUUAUCUUAGAAAACUAUUUUUUGAAAAAUGAGAUAAUUAAAAUGUGUGAACAUUAUCUAAAAAAUUCAUUUAGGUCCAACCCUAACUUAUUUCUAGAAAUGCAACCCUAAAAAUGUAAUCCUAAGAAAAUUCUAAUUUUCUAAACUUACAUGUCUGAUUUACUAAACCUAUAUGCUCAUGCAGAAUUUUGCUUUUUUUUUUAUAGUUUUUUUAAAAGAUAAGUAAUUAUUAAAUAAAUAUUAUAUCUAAACUAUAAGCAAAAUAAAGGAUUAAAAUAAUCGAACAAAUAACAUGUUGUCUCACAAGUCAAAUUAACGAUUAUCCUAACCCUAAUUAUCACGACAAAGAACUCAAAAUAAUUAAAAAUCCGAUCCGAAGUCUUACAUAUCAAAUUAAUAAUUAUAAUGAUUUAACAAUUGAAAUUCUACUGAAAGCCUAAAAAUUAAUAUAAUUAAAAAAUAAUCUGAUGUCUCUCGGAUUAAGUUAAUAAUUACAAUAAUUCCGGACAAAAUCCCUAUGGAUAAUGCCUACAAAAUUCAUAAAAUGAAAACCACCUUAUAAUAAUAAGGAAGCUUUAAAAAAAUAAUAAAAUAACAUAAAAUAAACUAAACUACCUAAAGGGGAGGACUUGCAGCAGCCUUGGCAGGAGUAGGCAUGGACGAAUGAGGACAACCGACGGAGCUGGGCACGGGACUCAAGCAGUAGCGGUGCGUUGGAUCGGGCGGCACUCAGGCACAGUGGCGAGCUGCUGUGGCGUCGACAUCGGGCUGAGGUGCAAGGUCAACGGCUGAACUCAGGUGCGAGCGUCGUUGAGGGCAGGACGGCGACCUGCAAAGGGAACACAAAACAAAAGCAGCGGCGGGGGAGUCGGGCGCGGGCUAUUGGGAGGCGCUCGCGCUGCGACCAAUGGCGACGAACAGCGAAGGAGGCGUCGACGGCUGGCGACCAAAGAAGAGCGGCGCUCGGGCAGCAGGCGAAGAGGGCGUCGGGCGCUGGUGCAGUGGCAAGUGGCGCUCGGGCGGCAGCGUUGGUGGUCGAGCGUCAGCACCAGGCGCGGCAGCAGGUCUCGGGUAGAAGCUGCAGAUCGGCGAUAAUGCAGCGAGGAGAGCUCGAUGACGGAUUCUGGCGACGCGAGUCGUUGCAGCUAGUCGCGAGUGGAGGCGCCACAGGGGCGUCUGUUCAAAAAGGGCUGCAACAGGCGAAACAGAGGCACGGCGGGGCGGCGGUGCGAGCUCGAGGGCGAAGGCAUGGCUGCUGGGCGUCAGAGGCGUGUGGCUUCGGCGGUUCGAUUAGCGGUGGCCGGCGCAGGCACCGGCUCGGGGGGUGGACCAGCAGCAACGGCAGAGGCGAGCUCGUGAAGAAGAAGACCGAUUUUCUUCUUUUUCUAUUUUUUUCUCUCUCCUCUCACGUCCCCUCACGUCUCUCCUCCUACUACUCUGCUGACUUUUUCUUUCCUCUAUAUAAGAAAAAGGAGAAGCUGGCCCGUUUCGAUGACAAGGGGUUUCCUUUUUUUUUUUGCACGAACUCCCUCUUCGCACCAACUAUCUCAAUUUUUCGAAAAUUGCUCAUCUGUCAUGAAAAAUGACCCUAUCUUUUAUAGUGAUUCGAAACGGUCUCUUUAUAUGACAUUUCCUAAGUUACCAUUUAUUGUCACAUUAAAUCAAAUAUGUAUGAUUUGGCAAUCACCUCCAUUUUUGCCCAUUUUUCACUUGAUUUCAAAAUUGUUGCUGCAUUUAACAAAAUUCGGACAACCAUCAGAAUUCCAUAUUUUCUUGCAUAAUUCAAUCAAAUCAAUUUCUCCCAUUUUCAUUUUUUUUUUCUUUUUAUUUGUUCAAAAUGCAAUUUUAUUUUUCCAAAAUUAAGUGUCAACAAAUAAUAAAUCACACAUUCAUCUAAUAGUUUAAGCUUUUAGAACAAUUAAUUGUAAUCCUAUAAAAUUUUACACUCUAAACAAAUCAAUUCCAAUGAAAUAGAUAUGUAGAAAGGAACAUGAAAACAAAACACGAAAUUAAGGUUGCAAUACCAUAAAGUGAAUAAAGCUUAAUAAUCAAUUAAUAAAGGAAAAACUGAAACUUUUAUGCAAAAUUUGAUCUUAAAAUGGUAGAUCUAGGAAUUAGGACUGAGUAUUAGUUAAUAAUCUCUUUUUCUCGAGUCUGUGAGAAAUAUGAUCACGAGUUUCAAUAGAUAGAGUACAAACAGAAGUCUUCCCUUGAUAAAUUAGUUUCAGGUUAUUAUUGCACAAGGUCAUACUCGAUGAUCCUCAAAGAAGAUGGCUUCGAAGCUGAUUUGAUACACACAAAUAAAACUGGAAACACCUAGUUAUCAUAUAACUUUAAUAGUUUAGAGAAAUAACAAGUUUAGUAAACUACAAGUAUGAGAGAUGCAAUAUAAAAAUUUGACAAUAAAGAUAUACACUAUUAGUAUUGAACUUACGAGAGAAUACAAGUUAAAAAGAAUAAAAAAUCAUCCAAUUCGUAGUCUACAAUAAACCUACUAUUUACAUUUGCUAGCGUUAUGUAUCUGGUCAGUAUAAAUGAAUAAACUAAUUCGUAAAAUUUUAAAAACAUGCAUUUCUUUUCAGUUAAAUAAAUUUUGUCCAGCUGCAGAAUGUGCUGAAGUUGGCAUUACAAGAUGACAAGCCAUUAUAUUGGCGAGAAAAGUACCCAGUUUCAUGCAUGCAAGGAGUCAAGGAUGUGCACCUCUAAUGAUUAAUAUCUCUUGCCAUAUAGAUUUCAUGUACGUUAAAUAAAUUUAAAUUUUUUCUUUGUAUGUAAUUUUUUUUUUUUUUUUAUAGAGGUAAGAGAUAUAUUGACUUUAACCAAAAGCUAUACAGCUAUACAGUAAUAACUCGGCACCAAAAGCUUACACUCAUGAUGGUAACAAGUCAUAAUGAAUGGAAGGGUGUCGAGAAAAGGAAACCGACCAGCAAAGAGCAGUAACUAAACAGCCAAACAAGUGGCUACAAGUAACCAAAACAUCGGCCACCAACAAAGGAAAAAGAAAGCUCCUAUCAAGGUGAACCGCAACACUGAGUAGCAGCAAGCAGCCAACUAGUAGCAACCAAGGAGGAAGGACAGUAGAUAGCAGCAACCCUCACAGCACACGAUAGCAACUUGUGAAGAACAAGAAGCAGCCCCCAGCUUCAAUCGAGAGCAAAAGCGGCGCAACAACAACAAGCAACAACCAACCGACAUCCACCCCUUGCCAGACCAAGCGACAAAGCUGGCCCACACCACAACGGGGAAGCUAGGGACACCCUAGCCCACAACCGAAGCUACGGGGCAAAGAUGGACUCCACAUAAGCAAAAAUAGACGGGUCAAUUCCCCAGCAGUGCUGCAUCCUCCUAUUUCGCCAGGUGUCUGCAACAUUGUUAAAUGUCAAAACCUUGUCCUUGACGACGUUGAUGAGAUGGUUCUUCAAGGCCGAAACUGCUAACGCCUACUCCCUGAAGAGGAUGUUAUUUCUCUUCUUCGAAAUUACAUGGCAAAGGGUGCCAAAGGAGAACCGAGCAAUACACUGGUAAAAGUCAUUGCCUGAGAGAAACUUCAAAGCCCAAAGGAGGUUGUCAGCCCAAGUCCUGUUCUACCAAGGGAGAUUGCAUCUCACGGCCUAGAAGGAAGCUAAACCAACAAUGAUAUGACACCCAAAGAAUAAAUGAUCAAUAGAAUAUGGUCUAGAAUUGCAAAAAGCACAAGUCACGUUCUCAAUCCUUCCAUAAAAAAGUAAAAGAACAUGGGUAAAGAGUCGGUUCUAAACAAUAAGCCAAAGGUUGAAUUGAUACCGCGGAAUGAUCAAGUUGCUCCAGACAAAGCAAACCAUGGAACCACACUCUUCUUUGGCCUGACUAACUCCCAUGUAGAAGCAAUUGAAAAUAAUCCCGAUGAGCUCUCUAGUGAGCAAAAGCGGUCUAGGUUCUGGGACAGAACCGGGAAGGGAUGAUCCCAAGACUCCAAGGUGCCUUUAAGGGCCUAGCUAGAAUCAGAGAAAAGAUCGGCCACCGUUGCAUGCCUAGAGAGUCUUGAGCUAUAAAUGAGUAUAUCUGAGAAGAAAAGAUUUAGAGGACCUCUAGGGUGCCAAUUGUCAAACCAAAGAGGCAUAGAGAGGCCAUACCUAAUCCUCCAACGGAAAUAAUGCCAAAUUUCUUCCAGACCCACGAGCAACAAGUAGGCCUUUUGGCUAUCCAAAAAUUCUUUCUUUUUAAAAAGUUUGAAUGGAUCUACUUAUACCACAAUGACUCAUUAUCGGUAAACAAGAUCCAAAUGUGCUUAAGCAUGGCUGCCGAGUUACAGUCACACAACCUUCGAAUAUUAAGCCCUCCUUCUUCUUUUGGAAGUCAUACAUCAUCCCAGGAGACUUUCGAACCCCCACCACCCAAGCCGGGGCCUUUCCACAAAAACUAUCUUAAGAUUUGCUCUAUACGGUCUAGCACAACCCUAGGUAGCAUAAAUACACUAGCUCACUAGGUUUGUAUUGCGUGAAGGACUGACCUGAUAAGCUGAAGCCGGCCAGCGAAUGAGAGGAAGUGAUGAGCCCAUGAUUGCACCUUUGCUGUAAUGCAAUUGACGAGGGAUAAACAAUCAGCCUUAUUGAGCCGCGAAAUAAUAAUGGGCACCCCCAAGUACCAAACCGGCAGCAUCCCUACUUGGAAUCCCAACGCAAGAACAAUUUGGUUCCAAGAAAACUCUAUCCCUCUAGCAAGGAAGACCUCGCUUUUGUUUAAAUUUGGAUUCAGCCCACUCCACGAAGAGAAGGUCUAAAGGCCCUCUUUCAGGAGGGAAACCGAUGCUAUAUCUGCUUCACAAAAGAGGAAAACAUCAUCGCAAAGAAUAAGUGUGAUAAACCUGUUGCUUUGCAUCUCUAAAAGAAUUUAAACUCCAGCUACUUAGAACGAAGGUAAAAAAUCCCUGAGAAAACCUCCAUCACCAGGGUAAAUAGAUAAGGAGAGAUAGGGUCCCCUUGUUUGAGUCCAUGCCCGCUAGAGAAAAAAACCAUGAAGCUUGCCAUUUAAAGAAAUGGAGAAUUUAGGAGUGCGCACACAAAGCAUAAUAAGGUGGAUCAAGUGGUCGAGAAAACCAAAUGCACAAAGAACUAGCUCCAAGAAGUCCCAAUCCACAGUGUCAUGGACAUUCUGGAAGUCCACUUUGACAGCACACUUGGGCAAAUAAAGGUCAAGGUGGAAGCCACUAAAUAGUUUGUGGGCAAGGAGAAUGUUGUCCCUAAUGCGCCUGCCCUUAACAAAAGCAGUAUGAGGUGGACUUAUAAUCGUAGGAAGAACGGCAGCCACAUUGUUGGCCAAAAUUUUUGUGAUGCAUUUGUAAAUAGUGUUACAGCAGACGAUGGGUCUGAAAUCAGAAACUAUAGUCACAUUGGCCUUCUUGGGGACUAAGGCUAAAAUGGUGUUGUUUAACUCUCUUAACAACCUUCCAAAGAUAAAGAAAUCAUUGAUUGUUGCAAUAACAGAAGGACCUACCACCUCCUAGUUGUGUUUGAAGAAUUCAACAUUAAAACCUUCAACCCGGGUGCUUUACCAUGAGCCAAGGAGAAAAGGGUAUCUCGAAUCUCUAAAUCAAAAAUAGGGCGAGAAAGAAAUCUAACCUAUUCCUCACUCAAGGAGUUCUGAAUUACCUCUUGGAUUUCCUACACCAUCAGCCUCACUGGCUGGAUCUGCAGCAUAAGAAGAUCUUGGAAAUAGGUAAUAAAGAGCUACUGCACCAACUCCGAGUUCGUAAAUAAGUUAUUGGAAGAAUCCAUGACCGAUAGAACCCUAUUCCUCAGAUAUCUUUUAUUGAUUGAAUGGUGAAAUAAUUUUGUAUUAUGGUCUCAUUAUUUAAGCCACCUGACCCUGGACUUCUGCCUAUAGAAGGACUCUUCCUGUAUUCGAAGAUCUGAGAAGAUCCGACGCUGGGCCUUCUCCAAAUCUGUGAGCAUAAUGCUGGUUGGGUCCCACUAAAGUCCACUUCAAGUGUCUUGAAGUGCAUCUCUCGCCUCCAUAGUCCUUGCAGAGAUGUUAAAUAAAAACUCCUUAUUGAGCAUCUUGAGAUGGCCUUUGAGGAUCUUCAAUUUACAUACUAGCUUGUACAUAGGCAUUAUGUCCCCCAGGGUCUCCCAUACCUAAGUAACAACCCCAUGAAAAGACGAGUGCAUCGUUCAAAAGUUGAAGAACUUGAAUGGCUUUCUCUGAUGAACAGGGUUCGGGAUUCUGACUACCAUCGAGGUAUGAUCGGAAAUACCCGGCACAAGGAAUGAAGCUUUCGAGAAGGAGAAAGAUUGUCUCCAUUUAGUAUUCACAAGAAUCCUAUCAAUCUUCCUUGACUUCCGGUUGGCUCCUGAGGAAGUUGUCCAGGUGAUAUGAAAGCUGACAUAUCUCAGAUCAUCCUAAUCAAUCCGAGCUAAGCACUGACCGAAAUCAUCAAAAUAUGGGAUCCAAUUGUUAGAGCCGCCUAAUCGAUCAGAUGGGUCCUUUAUGGUGUUAAAGUCCCCUGCUACCAACCAGGCCGACUCAUGCAGUAAGGCACUCAAAUGAACCAGAUUCGCCCAAAAAUAAGAGACUUUAACCGCCUAUGGACGGCAUGAGAGUUGGUCAAAGAGACAUAAAAGCAAACCAGAGAAGGGUUCCACCUAAUCCAAAUUCUCCCCCUAAGGGAGUAGUCGUAAUUUGUACACUAAUUCCAUCUCAACGAAAGUCUCGACGAAAUAGAAUGAAAAAGAGACUCCGGUACUUCGGUCUCCAGUAGACCAACAAAACACAUAUUGUUAGAGGAAACGGGGUUCCGGAUUUCAGCCUAUCUAAUGGGAUCAACAAGACCCAUAAUAUUCCAAACACCUAUUUACAUAAAUAGAUAUAUACAGAGAAGAUGAGCUCACCUCCUCUUAUUAGAUUGCCGCCUAGUAGCCACUAGUUUAGGGGGAUAAGCAGGAGGCGGAAUAGGGUAAGAGGGCUAAACCUUGUCCAACUUGGAAUCCAGCAACUAGCAGUGGUAUUUCUUGGAGAAUGAGGGCAAAGAAAGUCCUAAUCAUCUUCAUUUGAACUGCUAACCAAACUAGCAGAGUCUUCCAAAUCUUCCCUUGAGCUGAAAGACUAAGUUGUAGAGGUAGCAGUACCUACUAAGUUGGUAUCGGUAGUAAAGGAGGAUAAGGUUGCACCUUCAAGGGUGUCACCUAAUUGCCCCUGCAAUUUUUGUCUAUUAUGGGCCUUACGGGAAGAAAUCGAUGGCUUAACAAUCGCCGAAGAGGGAUCCUUCAACUUUAGGAUUUGACCAGCUUCACUCGAAGAGACCGGAUGAGAAGGUAGUCCUUCUUUGGGCAAGGGUUGCUUUUUCUUCCUGCUUCCAAUCCGACUCCAACCUAGCUUAGGACAGUCUGGGACCACACGCAUCAUGGACCACAAUUGGAGUAGGGACAGGUACCUGGGCAGGGGCCGAAGGGUAGACUCUGGCUUUGUCUAACUAAGGAGCUUCCUUAAAGUUAGAAUGACUAGGGGGCGUCGCACACUUAUGGCCAAAGAUGCCACAUAACGAGCACGAGACGGGCCUCCAUUCAUACUCACCCGCACAGUACAGGACUCGCCAUUAAGGACGACAUCAAUCGAAUUGCAACAAGGUUGCUUUGUCGAAAUCUCCACGCACACUCUAGCAUAGGAGAUCAUCUUCAACUAUUCGGUUUGCAAGUUGACAUAGAGUGGCUUACCGACUGCACUUGCCACAGCACUUAUUCCCGGCGCGGACCAAAAAGAAAAUGUGAGGUUCUUCAAUCGAAUCCAAACUGGGACAGAGGAUUGAUUAUCUUUCCUCAAUUCCAGCAUAGGCUUCCAUUGUUGCAGGAUGAGAGGAACUCUAGCAACCGUUAGAGGCCCAUCAUCAAGAAUCUUCCUUCAGAACUCCCGGUUAUGUAUGUGGAAGAAGUAAAAGCCUUGAUUGUUUGCCAUCACUUUCGACAGCUUCGUUCCUCACUCGUGUUUCAGAGUUGUUUUCGUGAGUUUGAAUGGGAGUUCUUCCUAAUGUAAUACCCGACCAGACACUCGUGCCAUUUCGGGUCGGUGGCCUAUAGGACUUCCUCAGAGAGGUUCACAAUAGGCUUAUUGUCGAAAAAGGUCGGGGGAAUGAAGGUUAAGUCAUAUCCCUUUGUGGCCACUUUAGUGACAUUAACCCAGGAGCGGGCCGGAAGGGGGUUUCGAGGCUUUAGCUUGCUGGUCCUUGAGCUGGAGUCGAUUAGAGGAGGGUCUAGCAUGACUCCGACCACACGGACUGGUAGAGCCUUGAGGGGCCUUGAGGAAACACGGAUGGCCUUCCUUCGAAGCAGUUGCAUCCUCCUUGGGGGAGCUCGAUUGUCCAGACGUAGUCGUAGACGGAGGGGCUCAGGGAAUGGUGAUGGGGUUUUGCCCACUAACAACAUCCUCAACAGGAUGGGCCUUGGUUAACUGGCCAUCCAUAGUAGAGGACGAGGAGGCCAUAAAUGUAGAUAAAAUCCAUAAAGAAGCCAUGGAACCCUAGAAUGAAAGGAGCAUAGCAGCACGUGUAAGACGUACUGGGAUAAUCAGUUCGGAGGGGAAGUAGAGGUGUGUCGGACAAGCCUUACCUCCAAAAAUCAGUCGCAACGAAUAGCUAAAAGACGCAGCAGUAGCAAAACACCAUAGCGAAAUGAACAGUGUAUCAGGUGCUAGUUUGAGAGGAAACGGUGAACAGUGAUCCGAGAGGAGAGAAAUGGCCAAAGUUUUCUAUGUAUGUAAUUUUUUUUUCCUUAAACUAAUAAAUAAAAUUAAUGCUUUGUUAAUGCUCUGUUUGUUUCACGGAAAUUAACUUCCGAGAAAACAUUUUCCGAAUUUUCUAGCGAUCAACAAGCUUGCGGCUCACCUAGAUUGGUUGAGCCUCGAGCUUGCCAGAUCUGGCGAUCCACAUCUUGGUCGGUCGCGAGGGUCGCGGGGCAAUUGGUCAUUGUCGAGGCACGCAUCAACGGAGGAAUAAGGAAGAAGGAAGGAAAAGAAAAAGGAAAAAAUAAAAAAUAAUUAAAAUUCAAUUUUUUAAAAUUUUUAAAAUUAAUAUUUAAUUUUUUUGGUAAUUUUUUUUCCAAAAAGUCAAAUCAAAUAACGAACAACGAAAAAUAUUUUUCGCUUCAUUUUUAGGUUUUAGCUUAACGCUAAAAAAUGACUUCCUGAAAAUUAUUUUUAAAAAUGUGAUAUUUUUCACGAAAUGAACAAAUUCUAAGAUUACAGCCUCGGUACUUUAAUUCAUACCUGUGCAUGGGACAGGCUUGCGCUCUAGUACUAGUAAGUGUUUUUUUGUUCUAGGUGAGACAUAGGUCAUGUGACUAGGACCUAAUCCUCUAUUAAUUUGAUGCAAAGCCCCACUUUGCCCUUUUUAAAUUGCUUUUUUCUCCAUUUUCACAUUUAUUUAUCUCACGGUUUCCUUUCCUUUUAGGAUUAUGAAAACCAAUUAAAGGUUUUUAAGUUUAGCCUUUUCAUUCACUCUACAAAUGAGCACACUCAUAGGGUUCAAUCUGGGAAAAUAGGAACCUAGUUCUGCACUGGUAUAUUUUAAAAAUUGUUGGUAAGUAUCAAAUCGAGUGACCUGACAACUUGCUUACUUGGUGAAUCGUUGGCGAUUACCAAAAAGUUCUGGUACCAACAUUAAUUAUUAUUUUCAAAUUCACCUAAAUACCUUACUAACUUCCUAAAACUACUAUCUUCUGUACAAAAUUACUAACCUUAAGUCGAGUGAUAUGCCAAAUUUGUCACAAUAAGAUACUAAUUAAUUUUCUGUCAAUUGCCAUCUUUUUAUCUUGUUUGGUUUCAUAAAGUACCGACAUUUUUUUAUACUUCAAACUUUACCAAUGACUUUGAUAUUCGACCAAACUUAAUUUUUUUGUCUCACCAAUGCUUUUUAAGUCAUUAACUAUUAUUCAAAAUAACCAAUCUUAUUGAGGAACCAAAUUUGUCACAUUAAGAUAUUAAUUAACUUAAGUCACUUGCCAACUUUUAAUCUUGUUGGGUCUUAAUCUAAAAAAUAUCCACAUUUCGUUAUACUUCAAAUAUCACCAACUUCUUUAAUAAUCUAACAACAAUUGUUUUUCUAUCUUACCAAAGCCUUCAAAGAAAAUCAUUUUUAUUUGAGAUUACCAACAUUUUACAUUAUGUUAUUUAUCAGUUAAUUUUACUUACUUAUCAACUUUUUUUCACUUGCUUGGGUUAGAAAAGUACUAGCAUCUAUUUAUAUUGGUUAGAUUACCAACUAGUUAAAUAACUUACCUAUGUUUAUUUUCGUGGCUUACCAAUGCCUUGAAAAGUUACCAAUUCUUGAACGAAAUUACGAAACUUGACUAGUAUAUCAACAUUUGUCACGUUCAAUCUUGCUUGGUUUUGAAAAGUAUCAAUGUUUCCUUAUGCUUCUAAGGUUACCAACUACUUUGAUAAUCUACCAAUAUUUAUCUAAUGGUUUACCAAUGCCUUUGAAUUAGCCAGCUCUUAUUUGAAAUUAUCAAUUUUAUUUUCAUUGUCAUACCAACAUUCAUCACUCUCAUGUGGAAAAACAAGGUGCAGCAAAGGGUUAACAAAUCAGGAGGAUGACAAAAUUGCAUCCUUAUAAUAUAUAUAUAUAUAUAAUAUAAAUAACUCAAUAUGAAAGUCUUGAAAGAGGAACCGCAAAGUUUCUGAAAACUCACCUCAAAAGUCCUGGAGCCAAAGGCCUAAAUUUCACGAAGACUCAAAAUAUUGCCCAAAAAAAAAAAGGAGAAGCCAAAACAACAGUGUUUUUGACACUGUCCAUGUUUUGACGUUAGAAAGCUAACUUAUGCUGUCCCUUUGCAUCCGACAAUAUAUAUAACUCAAUAUGAAAGUCUUGAAAGAGGAACCGCAAAGUUUCUGGAAACUCACCUCAAAAGUCCUGGAGCCAAAGGCCUAAAUUUCACGAAGACUGAAAAUAUUGCCCAAAAAUAAAAGGGAAAAAGCCACGAAAAAUCCUAAACUUUACCAACUGUGACACAUUUACCCCAAACUUUUUUUCGUGACACUAAAAACCCCAAACUUUAGCCCGCGUGACACAUCUACCCUCUGUUAGGGUUCCGUCAAAAAACACAGUUAAAAAUUCUACGUGGCCGCUGACGUGGAUGACGGAAUGCAAACGGUGCUGACGUGGCACCCAUUUAAGAAAUAAAACGGCGUCAUUUUACAUCAAACGUGGGGUUUUUGAUCGGAGCCGAAAGGAGGAAAACCUCGUCCGUCCAUCCCUCUCCUCUUCUCGAUCGAGAGGGAUCGCAGGUGCGUAUUCUGGUUUCUCCAUCUCGAUCGCACCUCCGAUUCGUCCUCGAUCGUCGUCCUCUGUCGUGCGUCCGCUUUUGUUUCGGUCUGAUUGUUGCGGUUUUGAUCAGUCCUCGCGAUGCAGUCGUCGAGUGAUUUUCCGUUAAUCGCCCGCGGUUGUUGUCAGAGUUGCCGCGAGGGCUUCACUCGAUUAGUUGGCCGAUCGUGCUGAGGUGGAAAGAUGUGAACUUUGCCAAUUUCGCUGCUGCUGUUGCUUCUCUUGGUGCUUUGAUUGGUUAGUUUCCUGAGUCGAAACUAUUUUGGCUGAGCUUGCGUGAUGUUGCUCUUCAUGGUUAUAGUGGGGUUUUUGAUUGGAGCCGAAAGGAGGAAAACCUCGUCCGUCCAUCCCUCCCCUCUUCUUGAUUGAGAGGGAUUGCAGGUGCGUAUUCUGGUUCCUCCAUCUCGAUCGCACCUCCGAUCCGUCCUCGAUCGUCGUCCUCUGUCGUGCGUCCGUUUUUGUUUCGGUCUGAUUGUUGCGGUUUUGAUCGGUCCUCGCGAUGCAGUCGUCGAGUGAUUUUCCGUUAAUCGCCCGCUGUUGUUGUCAGAGUUGCCGCGAGGGCUUCGCUCAAUUAGUUGACUGAUCGUGCUGAGGUGGAAAGAUGUGAACUUUGCCGAUUUCGCUGCUGCUGUUGCUUCUCUUGGUGCUUUGAUUGGUUAGUUUCCUGAGUCGAAACUAUUUUGGCUGAGCUUGCGUGAUGUUGCUCUUCAUGGUAAUGCCGUCGCGUUGGGUCUUAAGCAUGUUUGCUUAGAAAAACUAACACGUCAAGGUCAUAUUUCUUUCGAACAUGAUAUACCGUUAAAGUUAACAGGUAACUUUAUCUUUGCAGGAAAAUUGUAGGAGUCUUCUGACUUUAGUCUUUUGCAUACAAAGAGAUGAAGCAUCGUACAGGAGAAAUGACAAAUAGAGUUGAUGAAAUAAUGGAUGACUCCGACACUGAGAUUUCCUGUGGAACAGGGGGUGCUAGCCAUGAUGGAGAUAAUGAGGCUAGAGUUGAAUUAAGCGAUGAAGUUGGAACUGAAUUCGGACCAACCACGUCUCAACUGAGGCUUUUGGACCAUGUGGAACUCAAGAAUCUACAUGUAAUGCUCCACAUUGAAGUGGAUAUGAGCCAAGAAGCCGUUGCUUGUUCUUUUUUGGUUGUAAUCCGAAUUCAACACUAACAUAGAAUCUCGGCUGCUUGUGCUUAUUUGGUUGUAAAUGAAAACAAAGAGUGCAAGCCUUUUGACUGUAAUCCAAAUUCCUCUUUGGUUGAAUUCAUUUUUUGUUGUAACCCAAGUUAAACACUAAUUAUGAAUCACUAUACAAUUGUGGAUAUGCUGAUGUGAUGAGAUUAUUUGUUUUGCUUUUAGUUGAGACUUCCACUUUCCCUCGUUUCUUCUAUCACUUUCACUUCUCUUCAAGAUUGAUGAUAAAGUGUGUGAAGGAAAUGAGAAAUCUAUAGAGUGAGGGACCUGCUUUAGCCUCAUUAUCUUUUUGUGCAGGAGACUAAAGCCAAGAAACUACUUGAUGCCAUAAUAGGAGAAACGUUGAGAUAUGACAAGAAUGAUAUGUGGCGACUACAAGAGAGUUACUUAGUUUGAGCAAUCUUAAUUAUAUGAGUUUCAAAGUUCAAAGUUCAAUCGGGUCAUGACAAUAAAAGUGAAAAUCAAUUGUACAUUAGUGUGUUAAAGAAGAUUUUGCACAUACGAUGACAAAAGAAUAUUCAAGAUGUUACAUUAUCAGGGCUAACUUGAUCAAACCCUCUACAUAGAUCACAAGAGAGAAAGUUCCAAGUAGAAAUUCUGAUUAAUGCCUCAAGCUGUCUCAUUGAGAUAUACAACUCAUUCCCAUAUUUAAGAGAUAAUCUCAAGAGCUAAAAUCACAUGUAGGAGUUCUUUCUGCUGUUUUGGCAUCGUAGUGAGCAAGUUGUUUUUGAAUGGGUUGUUGAGGUGCUUCGCAAGAUUCUCGACAAGUCCCCCCCUGGUAACAUAUGCUUGCAAGAAGAAACCGAGCACGGACAACAUGACGAGGUGGCUGUGGGACAAGAAAGCCCUCCCAGCGACCCCCUGACCCUCUUGUAAGUGAUGCUCAACACAAGCUUCCCGAAAGCCCCACAUAUGAGGCAUCUACAACAUAAAAUGCCACAUCAGUUGUGGACAUGCAGACUCAUGCCAUGCAGCUACAAUCAAAGCUAGAACAUCUCUUUUUCACGCCACCGCCAUUCACCAGAACACUGCGAUGCUGAAACGGGACCCAGGUUUGAGCCAGAGGUAGCUUGUGGGUUUCGCAUGUGACUGUCACUAUCUCCAAAAUUUCAGCCAAUGCAUUAUGCCGCCCUUCAUUGCAUAUCUGGUUCAAAAGCUGAUGUAAGAAAAAUGAAAGAGCAAACCACUGUACUAUCUUGAUAUCCAGCAUUAAGUUGGGAAUGUGGUGAAAACUUGGCGCAUGUUACUUGUGUGCUUGGAUGAUCCAGGAUUUCAGAACUUUUCAAGUUCACUGCCUGCAGAAAACUCUGAUUGUAUCACUGCCAAAUUCUUGUAAUGCUAUCUCCACAUGUUGAUAAAUCAUUGAAUAAUAUUAGAAACUGACGACCAGCAAAUUAACGCAAUAAAGAACGAAACUGUCACCAAUGCCAAAUAGGAGACUUUCCGAAGAAAGAAAAGCAUGAUUUCUAAACAAACCCAACCUCAAGUGCCUUGCAGACUUUAUCAACCAUCGGUGCGUAGUUAAUCCUCUCUGAAGUCAUAAUGAGUUCAAGAACACCAAUGCAAGAUUGGCCCGAUGGCUCAAAGACAGGCAAAGCCAAGGUUCCCUGAACAUUAUAAUGAAGAGCACGAUCAAGCCUCGAAUAUUCUUUGCUGGUGUAGUAUUGUACAUUAGGAGUCCAUUCAGGCAGCUAUUGCUGGAAAACACGACCAGGAAGUCCCAGUUCUCCAUCAUUCCCCCCAUCCGCAGAAAACAAAUACAUCAUAGACACUAUUCUGUACUGGUGAAGCCCAUUAGUAUUUGGACCAAGAACGAAGGGUUGCCCUGAAGUUGUAAGGACGUAUCGACCACCAUUCUUUACUGGUGCCCAAACCUGAGCUAGAACAAGCUGUUCAGUUGAUUCUUUGAAGUCACAAAGAGCCUGGGUCAUCCUUUCUUUAAUGAUACAGUAUCCAUCAGGAUUUUCAAAUGCCAUCAGCCCCAAAUAUGGUGACGACAGCUUUUCACGAUCACUAUCCUCAGUGGGAGCUUCGGUCUCUGACUUGUGAUGAUCUAUAUAUUCGGAAACAACUUAUCAGUAAAAACUCAGUAGCCGUGGCUUCACAGGCCAUUGCAGACAGUUGGAACAAAUCAAACUUCAAGCAAGAGGCAACUUCAUAGUUCAGGACUCUCAGAAGUCAUAAUUCUCACACAAUAUAUAUAUAGGAAAUCAGGUGAAAUGGGAGGUGGAAGUGGCAAAGAGCCACUGAUAUUUGAAGAAGGAGCAAUCCCAACAAUUAAUUCAAACUCCUUGCUUUGCUUCGAUUCCCAAGCUUUUUGAAGCGAUAGAAAACAAAAACCGUACCAUCAGACCAAAUUCUCGAUUAGUCAAAGAGGGAAAAAAAAACCAGAGAAGACCAAAACCAAGCAAGCGAACGCCAUCGGAGAAAGUCAACCCUUAAUUCUCAAGUCUCAGAUGGCCAGAAAAAACAGAGCAUUUCAACGACCCAACUCCAGCUCAAUCAAUCGCGAUCCGCAAUAACCCGACUCGAAACUAAAAGCGAACGAAUUCGAACGGACUCAAGACUGACAUGCCACAAACCGAGAGCAAUCGGAGAGGCGGACCCCUGCGGCGGCGGCGGCGGCGGCGAGCUUGUCCUCAGACCUGCAGGAGAAGGCGUAGAGAGGCGAGCUGGGCUGGUCGGAGGCGGACAGGAAGAGGGGAGACGCGGCGAAGUGGAGCUGAUGAUCCAUCAUUGGCCAGGGACUGUAGACGUCAAGGUCGAGGUCCAUGAUGGAUUCCCCCGGGGCCGCCGCUGCCGCGUCGUCGGGCGGCGGACUUGUCGGGCCACCACGGCCGGGGCCGUUGUCCUCCAGCUCGGGCAUUUUCUCGGGAAACGACGGGAUUUUCCGGGAGAGUUCACGAGUGGAGGAGAGGGAGAAGGAGAGAGCCGUGUGGGUGCCGUGAGCGCCGUUUGUAUUCCGUCAUCCACGUCAGCGGCCACGUAGAAUUUUUAACUGUGUUUUUUGACGGAACCCUAACAGAGGGUAGAUGUGUCACGCGGGCUAAAGUUUGGGGUUUUUAGUGUCACGAAAAAAAGUUUGGGGUAAAUGUGUCACAGUUGGUAAAGUUUAGGGUUUUUCGUGGCUUUUUCCCAAAAUAAAAAGGAGAAGCCAAAACAACAGUGUUUUUGACACUGUCCAUGUUUUGACAUUAGAAAGCUAACUUAUGCCGUCCCUCUGCAUCCGACAGUUGCUGCCAAAUAAUUCAAGACGGUUUGAAGGACUGCAGUUGGGAUAUUCCGAUUAUGAAGUUCUUCGAGAAGAGCAGCCAAAUACCAACCAAGGCUUGGAAAGAUUCUCACACUCUUUCAUCCAUUACUUCACAUUGCAAUGGGUUAGUGGCAAGUAAAAGAUCUGCUGUUUCUUUUAAAAUGCGCUGCAUGGAUUCGUUCAACAAUUCCGCCAAUAUUGCUUCAAUCUUAGCAUUGAGAAUUUGAAAAGAUUGGUCCCCCAAAAUGAAGCCUCGGCAACUGAAGGCGGAAUCGAAUCUAUGUAAUUUCGUCUUUCACCGCCGUCCGUUCUAGUGUUGACAAGGCCCUGAUUUAACCCAUAUCAUAUACCAGCCUCUUUUUCUUUCCUUACAUUUAUGCGAUUAGUGUUAGCCCAUAUUUAUGGAGAAAUUUUUGCGAUAAGCACUAUAAAACUAUAAAAAAAUCAUUUGCUUUAACUUAUUAAAUUUACUAUAAAAGGUUGAUGAUCGCUCUAGAAUAAAACUAUAAGAAAUUGACCAUUUUUUUUUUUAUCUUUUUGGGGAUGAUCGCUUAGAAAAAAACUUUUUGGAUCGUGACAAUAAUGUUUUGGAAUUUGUGAGAGAACGUGACAACAUUUGUUCAUUCCUUUUUUUUCACGGUUUAGGUUAUUGAAAGGUCAAUAACGAGUUGAUUGACGAUGCAUUUGAUUAUGUGAAAACAGAGACAACCUUCAUUCUGGUGAAUAAGGCAUAGCAUUUAUUAUAAAUUGUUCAUUGUAAAAGCAAUUGGUUCGACCAACGUAUAAUGGACAAUUGAUUUAUAGCUUCAAUUUUCAUUUCCGCGUUGUGACGAUGAUUUAGUUGGCUUUUCCUUUAUUUAUGGACUAAGGCGUAUUAAAUUCAACUGCUAUAUGGAGAGCAAAUGCCACUAUUAAUGUAUCGCGGCAUUAAUUACGUCACUCUGAGAGGGUCUUCUCGGCAUCCAUAUCUCAUCCCUCUUUUAAUAAUUUUCAUCGCUUCAAUGAAUUCUCAAGUAUAUAGCAAGUGCAAAUCCUGGGUUGAUUCUAGCCUGAAAAAACGAUUGCCAUAAGGGCUAUUUCUGUUAAGAUAAACUAGACUUUUGCUGAUGCGAGAUAAACUAGAUUUUUGCUGAUGCGAGAUUGUUGAGUCCAAAGAUUACUUGCACAUAGGACUGUCAUCCGAGAUACUCACCAUCUGUUCGAACAUAUGAUCAAGUUAAAUCGGUGUUAUCUGGCUCAUUCUUUUGCGUGUGUACAGGUUUGUCAAUUGCUAAAUGUAGUUGAAUCGUUUCUGAAAAUGAACCACCGAUGAGAUAAGUCUUCCCAAUUUGAGUAAAGCUAUGUCGAUUCUCAUGAUUAUUCAUUCGUCAAAUAAACUUGCUAUGCUCUCUGCGUUGAAGUAGAUCAGUUCCUUGUUUGUGUCAUGGUGCAGCGAUUACUGGAAAUCUUCCUUUUUGAAUGAACCACAGUAUUCGUUGAAGAUUCAAUGAAUAUGUUGUUAAUAAUUUCUCUGAUUUGUGGAUGUUUGCUUUGAAAUUGUGUUCUAUGCAUGAACAUUGACAGUGUUCGGAAGCGGUUGCCAGAGAGGGAAGGUUAGGAAUUGAUAUCACCGUUCUUGUGAGUCAUGUCCGGUGGUUGAACGUGGUGGAGCCGCCAACCGGAGGUGGUCGAUGGUGGAACGUUUUAUUAUCUUUUUUUUUUUUGUCAGCCCUACUCUAUUCCUACUCUACACUCACCCUUAGACUUUUGCCCUGCCUCUUGUAGGGCGUGGGAGUCGAAACCCACUCCUGAAACUUACGCGUCCCCACCCCAUCUCUCCCUGAGAAAGUGGAGAUUUGAACCUCUCAACUCUUCCUUUCAUGUUGGAAGAAUGGCCACUGGGGCGAAUCCCAGUGGUUGUGGAAAGUUUUAUUAUCGGUUUAAGAUAGUUUAUGUGGAUUGUCGCUGGGGUUUUAAUAUUCUUGAGUCAAUAGGUGAGUUUUGGAAGUGGGCUUAGCAUAGGUCUGGGCUGGUUUCGAGUUUUGAUUUCUCCUUUUUUUUUUCUUUUUUUUUCGGUCGAAGGUUUUGAGUUUUGUUAGUCGGUUUAAUAUGUUUGGUUGGGCUUGUUUUAACAAGCCCAAUCUUAUUCUUGUCCCACGUCUUUCUAAUCCAACUGAAUAAUACAUGCAAACUGGGCUCAAGGGGCCCAGCCCGAGUCCUUUAUUUUCCAGAAUAAAAAAAAUCGAAAAUUAAAAAAAUUAAAAAAAAAAAUCGAAAACUUACAGAAAAUAAGAAAAUAGUAUAGAAGCAGGUUUAUUAAGUUGUUUUAGUUUAGCGCUACAUGUAGCUUAGUUUUGUUUUUGUUUUUUUUUGUUUUUAGUAUGCCUUUAGAGGGUUUUAGUGGUUACCUUUGAUAUAGCUUAGGUUUAUAUAGGUUGAUUUUUAGGCAACAUAUUGGACUCAAUUUGAACUUAGCUCAUGGGGAUUGUUGUCCGGGAACUUAAUAACGUGGCUAUGUGUAUAAUUUGUAUGAUACUUUAUUGGGUUUACUCUUGCACUUUACUUUUAUUGUAUGGUUUGUGAUUUGUCUACUUUUCCUUAAUUGCGCACUCAUGCAUGGACAUCAUUUGGUGACAUAGGUUAAUACAAUGGUAAAAGAUUGUCUAAAUCAUUUAGGUAACAAAUUAAUCAAGUCAAUUUAUUGAAAGUGUAUUAGCUAAAUAACUAGUGUAAUCAGAUCCUCAAUCAUAGAACUCUAAUUAUAUAGGAAGUAACAUAUGCUCCCAAACCUCAUUUUAUUUUUAGCCACUUUUGAUAAGGAUUUGGGAGAAAUAGUUGAUAAUUUAAUUUUUAAAAGGAAAUAGUUGAUUCCAAAUUUCCAGUAAAGGUCAUAGAAAUGUGAUAGUGGAUGAAUAAAAGCAAGAUCAUUUGAGAUUCGAACGACUGAUCUUAAACUUUUCCCUUUUAUUGAUGAUUGGGAAAAAUAGUGUGUCUAUUCCGUUUCAAUUGAUAUGCCAAUGAAGGAGAUAAUCUUUUGAGCAUCCUUCCUGGAAAUUUCCUCACGGGCUCUAAGAAAUUAGUUCCUAAGGCCUAUUUUUUUUUAUAUAAAAAAAAACAUAGGUUAUCGAAUUUUCUUUUAAAGGAAAUUGUUUAUUCUAGAUUUCCAAGAAAGGUCAUAGAAAUGCGAAAAUAGAUGGGAAAAAGCAAGAUCAUUUGAGAUUCCUUUCAUGAGUGAUCUUAAACGGCAAAGAACACCUAGAGUACUAAAACUUGAUAUCAAGGGAUACUUAGGGCGCGCAAUCAGCCAAAUAGUGUUUGAUUCUAUUCUUUUGUUUCUAAGAGUAUAUUUGGAAUAUAAAUUCGUUUGGUAAAUUUUUUUGUCUCAAGAACAAAUUAGUUCUCGAGAAUAGAUUUGGAGUAGAAUCGAUGAAUUAAAAAAAGUUAAUUUUUUUUUUUGUUUUUGGGAAUAAUUCCAUAAUCAAACCAAUUGAAAUUUUUUCUUUUCUUUUCUCUUUUUUCUUUCCUUCUUGUUGUUCUUCCUUUUCUCUUCUUCUUCCACUACCGCCAUCACCGCUACCGUCCACCGCUACCGGUUGCCAGUGACUAGUUAGGCGACUUCCAGCGAGCUCACUAGAGGUUCGCCAGGCUAGGGCAAGGUCGUGGAGGCUCACCCAGCCAUCGGCAAGACUCGCCUAGCCAAGUGAGGCUUGAUCAACGACGCACAGCCUUGCUAGGGGUCGACAACCCUUUGACAAGGUCGCCGAUCCUUGUAUGGUCGAUUGCCGAUCAUCCCAAGGCCGAUGACUGGUUGAGGAAAAAGAUAAAAGAAAAUAAAAGAAGAAAUAAAAUUAUUAAAAAAUUAUAACACAAUGGUUUAGAUUAGAAAUUUUGAUAAUGGUGUCAAACACAAUUUUAUCCCAUGAAUAAUUUUUUUUGAAUAGUUAUCAAACGCCUUUAAAUGCUUAGAAUUUGUUCUAAGGAACAGAAUAAAAAAGAAUCAUUUUUUAUCAGAAAUUAUUUCAGGGAACAAAAUAGUCACUAAACGCACCCUUAAGUGCCAAAAACUACAAAAGCAACACUUAAGUGCCACUUUUUUUUUAAAAUAGGACACCAUGUGCCAAGUCCAGCGAAGAUGGCCACAAAUCUCAUGUGAUAAUUUUUAAUAAUAUAACUCACCUACAUGGCACAUCGGAGAGCUGAGUUAGUAACGAAGAACCAAAACAUUGUCGUUCUGUCUUUUUUUUUUUUUGGAAUUUUAAUAUAAAUAUUAAUUAAAUUAAAAUAUUUAUAUUUUAAUAAUAGAAAAAAAGGAGGAGGAUACAAAAGGUGAAGGCUGAGCUCUUGCCGCUGCCUCCCCACCAUCACUAGGAAGGUUGGCGAACCCGGCCGACUAGUGGCAAGGGCCUGCAAGCCCUUGUCGCCUACAAUCUCCCAUCUUUAAAAAAAAAGUUUUAAAUUCAAUUUAAUUAAUAUUUAUAUUAAUUAUCUAACCACAUCAUCAAAAUGACACUAUUUUUGCAUUUAUCUAGCUAUGACAGCAUGCAAAACCACUUAUCUUGCCGAAAAAUCACCGCAUCAGUAUUUUAGCCCAAUUUUCUCGCUGUCGACAAUUAACUGAUCAAUUUUAUUCCGAUUUUGACACUUAAGUGUUACAUUUUUAACAUUUGGCACUUAAGUGUCCCUCCAUGCCAAGUUUUGGCAUUUCAAAAGUCCAAGUGUGGAUCUUAAACUUUUCCUCUUUUGUUGAUGGCCGGACAAACUGGUGUUAGUUAACGUCGGUGUGCCAACCAAAGAGAUAACCUUUUGAGGGUCCUUCUUGAAAAUUGCCUUGUGGACUCUAAGAAAUUCAUUCCUAACAUCUAUUUGUCUACCGUUCAAUUAACACGAUUAGAAAUUUCAAACCAAUACUUGCAUAACACAUUCAUCCAACAAAAAAAUUUCGUCUUACAAAACAUACUAAACUAUUACACUCAUAAUACAUUUAUCUAAAACUAAUUUCUUUGAAAAACACAUUAUUAGCCCUUCUCCUCAUCGAGGGCAAUCAAACUUCUAUUAUUAGCAAGUUUUGAUCACGUUGUCCCACAAAUCAAUUAAGCAGUGAUUCCUGGCACAAAUAAUCUUGAGAUAUGAUACUUUAAUGCUAUGAGCUAGGUCUUCAUUUUGGGGAUUCCAAGUUUUGUAUAUGUGUAGAGAAAGUGUUUGACAAUCUGGUUUGACUAUUUGUAUAAAAUUUCUAAGGACUAGAAGUUCUAAAAUUUAUUACGAAAGUAUAAUUAAGUCAUAAAACUUAAGUAUACUCAAGUCCUAAAACUUGUUAUCAAAAUACAGUUGAAUCCUAAAAUUUCAAAAGUGUAAUCAAUAGAAAAAAUUGAUUAAACUAAUUUGACAAGUUUUAAGACUUGAUUACACUUUUUGAAGAUUUUAUGACUCAACUAUACUUUUGACAAGUUUAUGAUUUAAUUGCACUUUUUAAAAAUUUUAUAACUAAAUUGUACUUUUGUGAUGAGUUUAGAACUUUCAAUACAUUUGUCCCAAUUCCAUAAUAUAGAAGAAUUUUUUUAAUUUUUUUAAUUUUUGGAUCAAGUGAUCAGGACUAACUGAUGCUUGCGAUCACAUCAAUGCUCAAGUUAAAGCUAGAGUUGAUGGUUCUAAAUAUCAAGCAAUUACAUGAACCUUUUCAUGUAUAGUUAAAAAAAAAUCACGCAAACUUUAAUAAAUGUGUGAUGACCGAAGUGUUGUCUGAGCCAAAGAGAGAGAUUGAUUUAAAAGACUGGAUUAAUUGUCCUCUAGAGUCUAUCUUGUCCCCUACGGCAUUCUUCAAAGGUGCAUUGUCUACAAAGCUACUAGUUAAAUCCGUUUUCUUAUUUUCUUGUUUUCACUAAUGUCAAAAACACAUGAAACAAGUAAUUCACAGAAGACAAAAAAGUACACCAGCUCACAUACUAUACACAACCUAAUUGUUUGAUAUAAUUUGAUAACCAAAUUGUUUUGAUUAAUGAACAUCAUGUUGCAACUCACAAAUUUGAACAUUUAGUGGUAAGGUAGAAAGAAGAAGAAUUUCGACCUAUCCAUCAUAAAACAAAUAUCGUAUUGUUAUGAUUUAUGAAAAGAAUUAAAGUUUGAUACAUACAAUGCCGUCGCCUAGAUCAAGAUCCGUUGAAGAUUGAAAUCAUUGUAAAGAGGGUACAAUAAUUGAUUUUAGACUCCCAAGAAAGGUUGUAGAAGCACGAUAAUGGACAAGAAAAAGUAAAGCUCGUCUGCGGUUCCUUCCAUGAUUGAUCUUCAACUUUUCCAUUUUGUUUGAUGGCUGGGAAGGUAAGUUAUAAAAGUCUUUUCCAUUUUGCACGGUACACCGAAAGCGUAGAUAACGUUUGGAGGGCACUUCUUGGAAAGCUCUUCGUGGGUCUAAGAAUAAGUCUUUUUUUAUAAUUACCAAAUUUCUUUCAUGACUGAUGAACCGAUUCUCUUAUUAUUUGCCAGACUUUUUUUUUUUAAUUGACAACGUCUUACAUUAUUAAUCAUAUAGAAAAUUACCAAUAAUUAUUAGGUGACUUCCUGAUUUUUUUUCCAGAUUAAGUAACUCAAUGGAAAAGUUAAUAAAUUAAAAAAAAAAAACAAAAAAACAUUGAUAGCUAACUUGAAUGAGAGUUGGUAAUCAAUUGAAAGCUUAAUUGAAGAAAAGGUUGACAGAUAAGAGUUAGUAAAAUUAAGGCAUAAUAAAGAAAGGUGAAUGAACCACCGACCGAGGUGGCAGAGAUGGUAGAUCCUUGGCUCUCCCCGGUGGAGGCCAAGGUUCGAAGCCCCUACGAAGCAAGGAGGCAGUCUUAGCUACAUGGUGACUUAAGCGUGACGUCGGGGUGGUGGUUUCCCCGCUAGCGUCGCUGGGGGGUUUACGGCGCACUGUCGGUGCAAGCUGGUUCCUCCUGAAUCAAAAAAAAGAAAAAAAAAGAAAAAAAAAAGAAAGGUGAAUGAAAACUUGAUUGAAAAAAUAAGAAAAGUUGGUUAUUUAAAAAAUAAAUUUGAUAAGUAAUUUAGAUAAGAGUUGGUAACUCAAACUAAUUGAUAACUCAAAUAGAGAAAAGUAGAAAAGUCACUCAAAUUUAUAGUUGGUAAAGUUAAGGCAUUUUAGAGAAAUGCAACUAGAAGUUGGUAGACAAUUGAAAAAAAAUGACAAUUAAAGUCUUAAGGCAUUGCCCUUUUCAUUUUAGUUUUCGAGUGAGGUUAGACUUGCGGCUCCACAUGUCUACAUUUCUCAGAUAUUUCAUUUAAUUCUUGUCCCAUAUGCCAAUUGGUAGUGGGUUUCAGGCCAUUUCUUAAUCCUUCAAUCAUAUCCUUACUAUCUCUCACUUUUCUAACUGAUCAUUCCUCAUUGACCCCUAUUCCACAUGUAGUUCUUGCAACUUCAUUGACAUGUAUCAUCCCGCGUUUUCCAUCAUCCAAGUCUUGUCGAAUCAUUAUAAAAUGUGGUGUGAUUUUACAUGGUCUAGCCAAGAUCAAAAGGAAAAGGAGCUGUUUAUGACCACCCUUUUCUUUUCAUCUUGCUUGGUUUGGGAAAGUACCAAUAUCUCUCCAUACUUUUCACAAAAACAAAAAGGCCCCACCCAAUUUUGGUGCGAAAUCUCAUAAUAACAAUACGUUGUUAUACUGAUUUUGGACAUUGGCUAGAAGUGAUUAUUUUGUGUGAUUUCUAUCCUUCCAUUACUUAAGCAAGAUUUAUGCCAAAAAAAAUGCUUAAGGAAGAAAAUGGAGAUUUACAUCUAACUACUAAAAUUAAAAGGAUGUCAAUCAAAUAACUAAUUGAUCCUCUAUGUUGCUUUUCCUUGCACUUCCUCUUUCAAAUAAAUGAUAACUACAAAGAAUCUAUCCUUUUUCUUCUUCUUUUUUACGGAUAAAAAGUCUAUAUAUAGUUAGCUCUUUUGGUUCAAAAUUUUGUUCUUUCAGUUUUUUUCUCGAUCUUAAUUUUUAUUAUUGAGUCUAAUCUAUUAUUAAUUUAGUUUAAUAUUAAAUUAUUUUUUUGGUGUAAAGGCAGGAGGCCUAUGUGAAGCUGACACGUGGCCCUCUCUUCAAUUUACACAUGUCCCACUUUGAUCUUUAUUUUUUCUUUUCCAUAUACAUAAACUUUAAGUCAAUAAAAGAUUAAAUAAACAAAUGAUCAAACCUAAAUGAAGAUAAGUUAACAAGUUUCAAAAAUUAUAUUUGCCCACUCUUUUUUAGAAAUGCAUAUCUAUAUAAAUAUUAAACUGCCUACGUUAGUCACCAAUCCAGCUUUUUUAGAUUCGGUGCAAAUUCUUUUUGUCUUUACCCCCCGGGUACAUGGGUUUGACACAGUUCCCGAAGUUCAUUGGCGUCGACAUUGAUGAGGACUGGCCAACCCACUUACCCAUAUUUUGUAGUUUACUUAGACUUGGUGACUUCUACUAAAAUUAUGUCCACUUCAGGGUAUAUAUUGGAAAAUUUGUGCAAAGACACAAAGCAUGCUACCAAUUUUCAAUCGAUGAUCGCUCUCUCCAAUAAAUCAUUCCUUAGUUUAAUUUCUUCCAUAACAUGCUUUAUAGCUGUACUUAAUGAAAAAGACAUCAUAAGUAUUAUAAUUUUCAAAUGAAACUAACUUUAAUGCUAAAAUUUUUAACUAAAUUACUUUAGUGUCACAUUGGAUAAAAAAUGAUCACUCAAUUCUAACCCUAUUUAUGACAUACUUACUGAAUAUAACUAACCCAUAUAAUAACUCAGCCUAUCAAAUAUGAGUUAAGAAAUGGUUUUAUGACGCUUUUUGAUAUGUCUAUGGAGAACCUUUCCUAAAUUUAAGUAAUCAAUUGGACCUUCUAUUAACAUGUUUUGAUCAUGUCAUCCUAUCAAUUCGUUGACCAAAUUAAUUCAUGAUUUUUGGCAUAGAUAAUCUUAGAAUAUUGUACUUUACCACUAUGGCCAAGUCUUCAGUUCAGGAAUUCCAACAAUUGUCAUAUGUAUAUAAAAAAAAGUGUUUAACAAACAAGUUUGACUAUUUCACAAAACUAAGAUUUUGAUUCUAUACCUUUCCUCUAGCAGGUUUUAGACUUAGUGAAGUUUAACCCAUACACUCAUAGAGUCAUGUAAUAACUUAUGCAUAAUUUAAAUAUGAGCCUUUGCACACUUAAAUAAAAUUAUUAAGUAUUUGGAUUAAGUUUUGAUAUUGUCAAGAUCCUUGAGAUAUUUCUCAACAAUUGCGAUCUAGCUCCAUCGGCCAUUGAGAAUGUGUUCGCGCCAGAAUACACCACCCUUCGUGGGGCGAAGGUAGCAUUCAUCCCAAAUAUAUGCCAGGCUGGAACUGCCCCUUUUUUUUGCCGCAAAUCAUCCCCACCCAGAACUUCCAAGAACUAGCUACCUCAACCUCAUCCAAAACUCCACGCGCCCGCACGCACUAGGUCAUAGACGCUCCGACUGUCCAGAUCCAUUUUUAUGCGAUAACGACUUGCCUCACCUCGAUUCGUGUCCCUUCGUGCCACUGGUUAGUCUCUAAUAUUACCAUAGCCAGAGCCACUCCAUAUCACUGCCAUGUUAGCUCCACAGCGGUGCCAUGUCAGCGAUUGGCCCAAAGUCCACAGCAGUGCCUGACGUGUUCACGACUCUGGAUCGUUCCUUUUCCAAUUUCGUCUGAUUUCUCGUAUAUGUUGGCUUUCAUAAUUUGAGGUUCGUUUUAUGCAUAUGUCCUAUAUAAAUGACUUUACCUUGGAUUUAUCUUGCUGCGUGGUAGCCGUGGACCGAAAGAGAAAAUCGGGGACGCAUGAGGAACUUUUGCUGCCCGGGAAACCAUUAAAGAUAGGUAACNNNNNNNNNNNNNNNNNNNNNNNNNNNNNNNNNNNNNNNNNNNNNNNNNNNNNNNNNNNNNNNNNNNNNNNNNNNNNNNNNNNNNNNNNNNNNNNNNNNNUUUGGGGACCAAGAAAAAAGGCAAAACCAUUUGAAAAUCCCUUUCAAGGACUGGGUGUUAAAAACUUUUCUCUUUUCUUGAGGGCUGGGCUAACAGCGUUUGUCUUUUCCACACGGCGUACCAACCAUGGAGAUAACCUUUUGAGCAUCCUUCUUGGAAAUUUCCUCCUGGGCUCUAAGAUAUUAGGUCCCAAUGUCUCUUUGUCUAUUGUUUGGUUAAUACAAUUAGAAAUUCCAAAACGUCACUCUCAUAACAUAUUUAUUAACAAUUAAUUUCCAUCUCACAAAAAAUACUAAACUCUUACACCCACAUUUAUACAAAACCAGUUUUAAAAAAAAAAAAACAUUUUGCUUAUCCUUCUUCCAAUUUGGGCUAUUACUCUAUAAAUCUUGGGGCGUUAAUAGCUCAUUAUUUGAUAAAUAUAAAAAAUAAUCACAAUCCAUGAACUACUUUCAAGACCUUUUUAAUCUGAUAAAUAUCGAUAAAAUAUUGAGAGACAAAAAUGCUAUCACGGUGUACUUUCAAGAUUUUUUUUUUUUUUUGGUAAAGGUAAAGAAUAAUAUAGCUUUGGACAAAAUACAAAAGACGGCGCCAAAGGCUUACACUCUAAGGAACACCAAAGAGUAGAAGGGAGCCAUGACAAAAGCCAAAGGCAAGUAGACCAAAAGGAGAAGAACCACAAUUACAACACAAAAACAAGUACAACCACCAGACCUCCGCCAAUCAUUUGAAAACGAAGAAACGGAGAGAUGAUGAAGCUUGAAGCAGAGCGAGAGAAGAAGCGGGGAGACUAUCGACCGAGACGAUCCAUAAAGAUGGAGGGAUCAAGAUCCCAGCUUCUUUGGAGACGCCUAUUUCUCGGAGUGUCCGGAACACUUGUGAACGUAGUCACUUUAUCUUUGACUAUCUUCAUAAGGUGGUUCUUCAAAGCAGGGACAAACAAUGCUUCCCCUUGGAAAAUUAUAUCAUUCAUUUUCUUCCAAAUCAAAUAACAAAGGCCACUAAAAGAGAACCACGCAAUCCGAUGGUAGAAAUCCUUACCGGAGAGCAACUUGAUCGCCCAAGCAAGGUUGUCCAUCCAUGGCCUCAAUUUCCAAGGUAAAUUGCAUCUCGUCGCCCAAAAAUAAGCAAGCGUGGCCGAGAUAUGACAGUUGAAGAACAAGUGAUCGAUAGAGUCCGGAGUAGCAUUACAGUAUGUGCACGUACUUGAGACGAUUCUGCCAUAAUGGAUUAGGACUUCCUGGGUGGGUAAUCUGUUCUUCGUAAUCAACCACAAGUAAAUUGAUUUCUAGGGACAAUAUCAAAGUUCCAAAUAAAGGAGUCCUACGAAACCCUUUCCUUCUUUGUUCUAAUGAAAUUCCAUGCAGAGGCAACAGAAAAGGAUCCGGAUGGGUGAUGAUUCCAGGUGAAACAAUCCGAUGCAUCAGUCUGAUCCGGGACAGAGAAACCGCAGCUCUUAAGUGAACUCUUAAAUGCAUGACCGAGGGGGGAGAAUAAAUCUGCAACAACAGCAUGCUUAAGGAGACCCGACAAUUCAAUGAUGGAUCUCGGAAAUAAAAGAUCAAGAGGGCCAUCAGCUAGCCAUUGAUCAUGCCAUAAAGAAACCGAAAAUCCAUUACCAAUCUUCCAAGCGAAGCAAGACCUAAACUCUGUUCUUAAUUGCAAUAUUUUUUUCCAGCCCCAAGAACACGUAGAAGGUGUUGAGGCGAUCCAUAAAUUGUCCUUUUUUAAGAAAUUAGAAUGGAUCCAUCGACACCACAACGAUUCUUUGUCGGUGAAAAGGAUCUGUAUGUACUUAAGCAUGGUCGCUCUAUUGCAAUCUUUCAAAUUCCUUAUGCCAAGCCCACCUUCAUUUUUUGGGAGGCAUAUGUCAUCCCAUGCAACCUUAGCCCCACGUUUACCAAGUGUGGAUCCCUUCCAUAAGAAUUGUCUCAAGAUUAUUUCAAUACUAAUAAGAACGGACCCUGGUAAGGUAAACACACUCGACCAAUAUGAUUGAAUGGAAUGGAGGACUGACCUGAUGAGCUGCAGUCUUCCAGCAUAUGAUAGAAAUCUUUGAGUCCAAGAUCGAACCCUAGCAGUGAUCCGAUCAAUUAGAGCAAUACAGUGAACUUUUCGAAGUCUAGAAGAGAUGAUGGGAACCCUGAGGUAUCGCACAAGCAAGGUACCCUCUUGGAAUCCAAAGGCCAUUUGAAUAUAAUUGCGAAGAGAAAGAGAUCCUCCCGACAUAAAGAUUUCGCUCUUAUUUCUAUUCGGGAUUAAGCCACUCCAUGAAGAGAAUAUAUCAAGGCCCUUUUUCAUUAAGGUGAUAGACGCCCAGUCAGCCCGGCAGAAAAGGAAAAUGUCAUCCGCGAAAAAAAGGUGAGUCAGCCGAGUUGCCUUGCACCUCCAAUAGGGAUUGAAUUCCUUAAGAGAAGUCUGGGAGAUUAGAAUUCCAGAGAAUACCUCCAUCACAAGCGUGAAUAGAUAAGGGGAGAUAGGAUCUCCUUGUCGUAGUCCUCUCCCUUCGGCAAAGAAACCAUGAAGCUCUCCAUUGAUUGAAAUGGAGUAUUUGGGAGUCCGAACACAAGCCAUAAUCAACUGAACAAAAAAAUCAGGGAAGCCAAAUGCCGUGAGUGUUGAUUGAAGAAAAUCCCAGUCGAUAGUAUCAUAAGCCUUUUGGAAAUCCACUUUUAUCGCACAUUUUGGGAGGUAACGUUCCAAAUGAAACCUAGAAAAUAAUUCUUGAGCCAAAAGAAUGUUAUCUCUAAUCCUCCUCCCUUUGAUAAAAGGCGUUUUGAGAGUAGUCAACUAAGUUCCCAAGGACAGCAGCUAGGCGAUUGGCUAAUAUCUUUGUAAUGAUUUUAUAAAUGGUAUUGCAACAUGCAAUAGGGCGAAAAUCUGAGACAUCACAAGCAUUAGAGACCUUUGAAACUAAGGCAAGGAUGGUAUUAUUCACCUCUCUGAGCAGACAGCCUGAUGUGAAGAAUUCCUGCACUGCCUCUGUUACGAGCAGGCCAACAGUAUCCCAGCAUCUCUUGAAGAAUUCAGCAAUGAAUCCAUCAGGACCCAGCGCUUUCCCCUUCGCUAGGGAGAAGAUUGUUUCUCGAAUUUCAGGGCUAGUACUAGUCUGGUUAGGUCACCGGCCUGGUCCACCGACAGGGGAUUGCGAAUGAACUUCCUUAACUCCUGCAAGGAGGGCUUGGACAAUCCAGUGUGAGGAGAAAGCAGAUCAGCAAAAAACGUAACAAAGACUUGGGGAACCGCCUCAGGGUCAUCGAUAAAAGCACCCGAGGAGUCCUUCACCGUAAGGAUUCUGUUUGUAAGUUGUCUUCUCUUGACAGAAUGAUGAAAAAAAUUUGUAUUUUGAUUCCCUUCCUUGAGCCAACGGAUUCUCGAUUUUUGCCUAUAGAAGGAUUCUUUAUCUCUACGCAAGUUAACAAAGAGCUUGCGGCAAAUCUGCUCAGUAUUGGCGAGGUCAGAAUCAUUAGGGUUGAGAUGUAGAUCAAGCUAAGCAGAGCGGAGAGCUUCCCUUGCUUCCUUUGUUCUUACUGAAAUGUUUGAAUACGCAUAUAUAUUUAAGAGUUUAAGCCGACUCUUCAGAGUUUUGAGUUUAGAAACAAGCCUAAACAUAGCAAAGCCUUGAACCGGAAUAUCCCAUACCUGCUGCACAAUGAGGAAGAAGUCAGGGUGCUGAGCCCAUAAAUCAAAAUACUUGAAAGGCCUCCUCCUACAAAUCGGGUCAAUGACUCUGACUACCAUUGGAGAGUGGUCGGAGAUGCUCGGGUUUAGGAAAGAGGCCUCGGAGAAAGAGAAUUCCACAUUCCAAGUGGUGUUGACCAAAACACGAUCUAUUUUCCGCAUUUUUCUACUUGCACCAGCAGAGGUGGACCAGGUAAACCUAAGGCCAAUGUACCUGAGGUCGUCCAACUCAGUUUGAGCUAGGCAGUUCGCAAAUUCAUCAAAGUAUGGAAUCCAAGUGUCAGAACUACCAAAACGGUCAGAUGGAUCCUUGAUAGCGUUAAAAUCUCCUGCAACCAACCAGGCCGUGUCUUGCAUGAGAGCAUUUAUUCAAAUAAGAUCUUCCCAGAGUGGGCGACGGCGAAUAAACGAGUGUUCACCAUAUAUAUUAGAAACACAUCACGUCUUUGUAGAUAAGAUAAUCCUCACACGGCCAUUGUUGACACCUAAAUUUUGGCGACCCGCUUAGUCAUUUAUUGCAUUAAAAAAUUAAGGGUUAAUUUUAUCCUUGAAAAAAAUGGUCAAUUGCAUAACAUAUAGUUUUAGGUGCAUUUAUGUUUUAAUUUGCAUUUACAUUGGGUCGGUGACAAAUUGGUUUGAUUUUGUGGUUUUGAACUUUAAGCUAACAAGUCGGACUAAGCCCACGAAGAGAGCAAUUUAGCCUAAGCCCAUAUUUGAAAAAAUCCUAUUGCAAUUUUUGAAAAAAUCAAUAGAGAAUAUUCAUUUUUUGCAAAGGAAAUCUAGAAGAGGUGUGGAAAAUAAAAAGUGAUAUUGCGUUCGGAAAAAGGAAUCUUCAUGGAUAUGAAUUUGGAAAGAAAUUAAAACCCUAACUCAUGGCCUAUAAAUAGAUUAGAUGCGUAGGGUUUACAGGAGGCCACUCAAUAGAAUACACGGCCAUUGAUAAAAACACAUCAAGGGAUACACACGUGAGAGAGAAGGUUGGCGGAGCCUCCCCACAAUCCAUUGAUCCCCUUGUCGUCCGUCGAUCGUGACGCCUACCAUUGCGCCGGUGCUGCCUUGUUUGAUGAUAUCCAUCAACGACUUUGCUUGAUAGUCAACACCUCCGUGCAUCACAUCGUGAAGCAGAAGCAUCGCGUCGAUCCGCUGCACCUCACCAGUUGAGGCCACGCAUAUUGAUACAUACGGCCACAAAAAGAGAGUAUUUUUCUAUUCUUUCUUUCUUGCAGGUUCUGAAGGUACAAGGAGAAAACUCGCUCACCUCGUUGGAAAAUACGACAAAAGGGGGGCCACUUCAUAGAUUACACAUGCGGCCGCAUCGAGAAAAGUGCAAUAGAGAGAGGCGAGUCACGGCCGCAACACAGAACACACGUUCUCCGCAAAAGAGAAGCGAGGGCUACAUAGAAUAGUGAGAGGAUAAAUCGUGGGAGUUUCUUUUGUUUCUUGGGUUAAUCCGGAUGCUUUUAUCAAGAGAGAGAGAGGGAGGAGAAUAAAAAAGGUGACACGUAUUCUGCACAUUGAAGAGGACGCACUAGAGAAUGUCAAAGGAGGAAACGUGGAGAGGAGUCAUGCAUUAAAGAAAGCACACCAUCUGAAAAGAAGGUCAAGCGAGAUCAAUUGACCCGAGAAGCCUCAGUCCCAAAUCCAGUCGCCGUCCAGUCGUUUGUUCCUUAUUUGCAGGUUUCCGGUGAUCCCAGCGCUCGCAGCCCUUGCUCUGCCAAUUUUGCUUCACUUUCUUGCAGGUUUUUUUUAAUCACGUCCGAGGUCUCGCCAUCAAGCCUGCAGUUGCUGCCACCCCCAGCGACGUCCCCAAGGCCAAGCCAUCACCUAUGAUCCAUGAAGCCACUGAGCCGAGCCUCACCGCAACCGUAUCCGUUCGUGACGCGCCUGGCCGAGUAUGGUUAACCGUCCAAGCCGUGCUUCUCACUGACUUGAAGUCCACGGUCAAAAAGUUGAGGAAUCAGCAAAGCUUGUUAUUGGUCAAAGCAAGAAGACUAAAGAAAAUUUUCUUUGGAUCGUAGGCCGGUUUUUCCUUCAAGAAGUUGCAGCUAUUCCUUGUGCCACCGCACCACAUUAACGUCAGCAAUUCUCUCUGGGGGCUCUGACCAAUGUCUACUUAUUACCACGAAGCGGUUAAUCGAGUCAUCCAUUAGCAUGUCUUGGUAUAUCUCUAGCCUGCCAUGAGCCACGCCUAGUGGACUUUUGUUGAUUCUCCCGCAGGUUCUCAGGCGAUUUCCGCCGGUAACUACGGCACUCGGCCUCGCUUUGCAUGAUCCCAGCCGCCGCCACACUGGUCAAUCCCACCGUGAGCAGCCAAGCCCUGUUUUGGAAAGAAAAACAAAAGAGAAAUUAGGUAGUUUUUCUUUUACCUUAUUUUACUUUUAUUAUUAUGUUUUAUUUGCUUUUUUAGUAUAAUUAUUCCUUAAUGAGAGAUUGAGAUUCCGACAUGAAAUAGCCUCUGAAAUUUGGGAUUGACAGUCCGAUUUUCGCGCUUGGAAUCCGACUCGCAAUCGCAAUCGCUUGAAAAAUUGUCAAUCCGAUCUCACGCUCGAGAUUCGAUUCGCAAUUUAUUUAAAAAUUGGCCAACCCGAUCUCAUGCGCGAGAUAUGGUUCGUCAAUUUGUGGAUAUCGAUCAUAUAUGAUUUGCCGUCAUGUUGGUUGAAUCAAUUUUAUUUUAGUAAAAGGAAAAAAAAUCCAAAAAAAAUUGAAUUAGGAUUAGGUUUGUUUUUUUUAUUAUCUUGCAUAUUUAGAAUAGGGAUUCCAUUUUGAAUCAUGAAAAAGGAAAACAAAAAAGAAAGUGCAUUCAUUUAGGAUGUUAGUUUUUUUAUUUGAAUUGCAUGUUUAAUUUUAAUUUCGAAUUUCAUAAAAGAAAAAAAUUAGAAUUAGGGCAUUCUUUGCACGUCAUGGCAUAUUAGAAUAAAUUGCAUGUUUCAUUUUAAGUUUAGAUUGAUUUUUGCAUCUUAGGUUAGAGCUUGCUAGGUUAAGACAAUAUCUUAGUUUAAAUUAGGAUUUAGUCUGACCUGAUCCUUAAUAUAAGCUAGAUAGAAUUUUAAUCUAGAUAGUCAGGUUUUGCAUUUUCCUUAAUUUGUCUUAGGAUAAAUUAGUUGCAGUUUCCAGGAUAGAUUGCAUUUUUUUAGAAUAAAAAAAAAUCACGUGCACGUCAUAUAGAAUAAGGCCUAUGAAAUGCACGUCAUUUUAGUGUUUGUUAUUAGGUUCAUUUAAUUAGAAAUUUCUCGUCAUUAGAAUUAGGUCAUUUGGUUAUAUUGCAUUGCAUAUUACAUUAUUUUCAUUAAUUAAGUGAAAACAAAAAAAAAGAAAUUGCGUGUUAAUUAGAAAUCAUAUAUAGGAUUGCUAAUGUGAAUUCUAAACUAACAACGCAGAUACUUUCGUUGCUACGAGGUAAGUCCUGCAAUUUAUUUAUUGCUUUACUUGGGUGUUAAAUUGGUGGUUUGUGCACCCGCAUGAGCGCCUCACAUGUUAGGAAAUAGAUUUUAAAGUAAUCCAAGCUGCUUGUAAAAACAUUUUUCAAAAUAAAAAGAAAGGUACCGAAAGGGCGUUAGAGAAUUCUAGCGUAAUCAAGUCCCCGUACCCAUAGUCUCUGGUUCGUAGAAGUAAAAUAAUUCUCCCGUUAUUUUACUUGGGUUUCUAAUGGACCCACCAAAAAUAGAUUAGUGGCGACUCCUAAUUGAAAAUCAAUUGCAUGUUAAGAACUUGAACCUAAGUCGUGAAUUGGUAUGGGCUUGGGAGAGCCCGAGUUAAGUCUAGGCUUAACAAUCCAUUAGCCAAACCCUAGGUGGUUCACACCCGAAAAUUUGAUCGCGACAGCUUGACGACUCCGCUGGGGACUUGUGUUAUAACACUUAGUGGACUUAGGCCAAUUUUCUUCUUUUUGAAAAAUGUUUUUGUUUGGCAGCAAGGAUUCCAGGUACGCCCAUAACUUUUAAGGUGUUAAAUGUUCUUGCAGGAUGGGAGGUAUAAGGGGAAGUGUUUGCUAACCUUUGUUUUGCAGGAAGGUGUAGGAAUGUAUAGUUUAUUUUCAUGAAUGAAGUGUUGCCUGAUAUAAACUGUCGUGCAUGCCUUGCAUCUAGCACUACACUAUUGCACACACAACUUGCCGUCGGACCUGGGCCGCAUAGGAUCAUUUAGGAUGGUGUUAAGAUGGAUACCACUCCGACCGCAUGCUCGCGGUAGGAGUCGCCCAUCUCAAUCCCGAAGUUUCUUUCAUGGUGUCAAGAGUACCCACCUCGGUCCGCAUGCUCGUGACCCGGGUCGACUCUUUUACUAAGCCGGAGUCAUGAGGACCCGACAUAGUCCACAAGCUCGUGGCUAGUCUGAUCAUCCUUGUGGCUCCACCUUGAUAAGCCUUAUAGAUUAGAAAUCGAGCCACUUACCAUGCGCAUGUCUAUGUGAUUGCCAUUAAUUUUCCUUGGCGAAGUAAGUCUUCUAUCCCUAUACCAUGCAAUUUAUUUUGUCAUAUUCUUGGGUCGGUCCAUGACAAUCUAGGUCAAUCAUUGAUUUGAUUCAUUUGUCAAUUGGAAAUGAAAUGAGAAAUUGCUAGGGAAUGAUGCAUUUAAAAAAAAAAACUUUGGAGAAUUUGUUUUCAAUUCAUGUUUAGGAAAUUUGGUCUUGUUAGGGUGUCUAUCUUUAUUUUCCUAGUCCAUUUUUAGGAAAUGCCCUUCUUGGAAGAACUUUUCAUGAAUAAAUGAAAAAAAAUGGAAAAAUUGAUUAGAUCAUUGUCAUGGAUCGACUUUCUAUUUACCCUUAUGCUUACAUGUUCCUGUUUAUUUGAAUUAGGUGAAUAUGGAACGAUCCCGCUCACCCAUCUGUUCAUGAUUGAGAGCUAAAAUGACAAAUAAAAAAAGAGCUUAUCUCGUCAAGCAAAAGUGUUGCGAUUUAUCUUCAAUGAGAAAUUGUGACUCUAAGGAGAGAGCCAAGAAGACUUUUUGAACAGUAUCAUUUUCCUGAGGUAGCCAAAUUUGAUGCCAUCAUGAAGAGACCAGUGACAUAUAUAGAGAGAAAAAUAUUUGACCUGAAGGGUUCGCCUCACAAGAUCAAAGAGGGUGAAGAAGUCAAGUACACAUGAUUCAUGGUCCUAAGUUGUUCCAUUCCUCAUUUAAUUAGGGGCAUGCACCUUCCCCUGCAUGGGAAUUCUUAUCACUUUUUAGGGAUUGAUUUCAAUUUCUUAUGUGCUUGAGCAUCACAUUCCAAUAAAUGUAAUUUGGUUGAUGAAUAUCAAUAGAAUUACAAGUUUUGUUUUGAGGACAUGAUUGGGUACACCAAACUAGCCCGGUGACGAUAUCCAACAAUGAAAAGAAAAUAUCAUCCAAGGAGAAUUCAGAGGACUAGGCUUCUUCAUGCUUCCUCAUCCAAAAAAAAUUGCAAAAGAACAAAAGAAAAAAAAUCAUUUUUGAAGCCAUUUCCAAAAGCAUGCAUUAGGUUACCUUUGUUUGUUUUUCUAACUCAUUUACUUCAUGUCUCAGAGCAUAACAGAGAGGCGUUUGAAAAUAACGCGUCAAUUUCCAGUGAUAGCGGGCCCAUUGAUUUGGGAACAUACAUCCGAAGGAAAAAUAGGCGUGGGGCAAGGGAUCAUUUCCUAGCUGAUCUUGAUGACAUCUCCCAAGAGAAAAGAAGACAUUAAGCACUACUUAUCCUCUUACUUGUCCUGAGCGAUUUCCUUGCACAUCAAUAAGAAACCGAGGGCAAGUCAAAAGAAGAUCAUCUAGAUUCCAAAGUGUGAUGUGUGACACAUCUCAUUACAAUUUGUGUGAGAUGUCAUUCUCGAAAGCCAAAUGAAGUUUCUCAUUUCCAUGAGAAAAUGAUGAAACAAGUCAAAAGAAGAUCAUCCGUCUUGAAUGAAAUGGAUACAUUGCGUUCAUGAAUAUAAUUUCGGAAUUGACACUUUUGUUCUUUUCCUUGCAGAUGAAGAAUUGGGGUACUACAGAUUCUAGUAAUGACAUGACUGAGACAAAAUCUCAAUCCGAGCCAAAAUGGUUGUGCAAUUUGAAUUUACUCUGAUGUUGCAUGGUAUCCUAUUCAUGCACGUUCUCUUGUGCAGGGGCAAAAGUGGAUUUUCACUUUUGAUUAAUAGAGACAAUCCAAGGACAUCCAUUGCUGAGACAAUUCCUUUGUGGAGCAUUCCCCUGAAUGAAUGCUUAAAACCAUGUUUUGAGUGCAAUAUAUUGUUUGUUUUGAAGUAACAAAAGUUUUUCAUGCUUAAAAUUGCUGGACUAUUUUGAAAAAGAAUUUCCAUGGUGAUUUUACCUAUUUAACUCACCAAUUUCAUGUGGAGAUUUGUCAAGAUGGACUAAUUCAAUGAAUGAUGUGAAAUGGAUUAAGCAUGCUAAAUGAGACGUGUCAGGAUGAUGAAAGGCGAGCCUUAUCCUAUACACAAUCCCCUACUUAUACACUUGUGACAUGAGUGUAAGAAGUUCCAUAUUUGCAAGGUAAAGAGUUCUCUCGCGAAAGGUACGAUAACCGAAAUGAUGAGGGGCAAUUCAUUUCUCUAUCCUAAACACUAGAGAUGAUCCAUUGCUUAACCCUUUUGAGGCCCAUACACUUAUGGAAAUUCUUUCAAAUUACCCCUGUCAAAAACCACCCCACAUUGGGGCAAGUUGGAGGUAAGACAGCAUCAUAAGGUGAGGAAAAUGAAUUGAAAUUUUCUUGCUCUCACUUGCAUCAAUCUUCUAGUCAUGCCAUUACAUUGAAUUCAUGUGUUAAUUUAAGUGCCCUAGGAUGACGAAGAGCAUUUCUUUCUCUAUCCUAUACACUUAACUUAUAUCCUUUACAUAGCCCACUUGAGCCUGCAAUUUCAUUUCUUUAAACCCGGUUGGUGAUCAUCCCCCACCCUGGGGCAAGGCAAGAGACAGAUGAAGACCUUUGAAAGUUUGAAUGUCAUUCAAAGUGUAAUUACUUGACGCAUGCAUUGUGCAUAAGAAUUGAAUCCAAAAUAGAACUAAGGGGCAUGAAAAAAAAAAGCAAUGUGCCUGGUAAAAGCAAGGCCAAUGCCCAUGAAAAAAAAAUGAAAAAAAAUGAAUAAGAACUAGGGGCAUGAAAAAGCGGUGUGCCUAGUAAAAGCAAGGCCAAUGCCCAUAGAUGAAAAAGAGAGUCAAGAUAAGGUGAUUGCAAUUACAAGAAUUGAAUCCCAAUGAAGCAAUACUCAAAGAACUCAAAAGUUGAGUUUUUACAAUCAAUGGGGCAUUUCAUGAAGACAAUCCCCAAUGAUGAAAAAGAAAACUGGUGGCAAUGCCAAGAUGAUCACCAACUCUCACCCUUUACACAUCUUUGAGCCUAAUGAUCCUUUCAUUUCUCAUCCCAUGAACCUAGCCUACAUUACGUCCCUUGUAAAGUCUCUUCUAAUUGGGGCACUUGAAUUAGCGUAUGGAUUCACAUGUUUAUAAGCAUCGCUCAAAGAAGUACGAGCAAGAUUAUUUCUUUCUCAUUUUGCAGGGUUCUUGACUUGUAAACCCGGAGAUGAUUAAAGAGUUGUUCUUUCAAUAGCCUUGACUCAAAGAGUCCCUUUGUUAAGCCGUUCACCGAGCCCACAUUACGGUCCCUAUUAAAGACCUCUCAGAUUGGUAAGGUCGUACCACUUGCGAGAAUACUUGGACCCUUGUUGGUAUGAUGACAGUGAGACGGAGUGAUUCUCAUAAAAUAGCCUCUAAAUGAGAGUGAGUGAAAGUCCUUUCUAACUGAAGGUCCCUCAUUUGGUAUUCUUAGGAAGUCCAUGUCAUGAGUAAAGAUUGUCUUGAAUGAUAAUUCUCUCCAGUAAAAACUUGGGUGAUGCAAAGGUCAUUGUGCAUGAACCCUGAUUGAGUUGAUGAAACCUCAUUAAAUUUUGAAAUGUGCAUUCUAGAGUAACUCAGAUUGUCUAUCUCUUUGAUGAAUGCAUAUUAGUUUUUGCUCUAAAUCAUGUCUGACGGGUAAUUCAAGUUCCUUUCAGAAUAUUUCAUGAUAUUAGGAGAUGAGAAGCCUCCACCAUGAGGUGAAAGACCUCCACAGGAUAUCCAAAUUCCAAAAGACAUAUCCCUAAGAAUCAGAGAUAUCACCAGGUAAGUAUAUCUCUACCAUACUCUAAAAAUAUUGUCAUUGUGCAGGUAUUCUCUCUCAAGUGCAUCGACACCUGACUUGGUCAAGCUGUCUAGUUAUAUCGACCUGGCGUGCUUUCAUAGCCCAGAGUCAUUUUCAUCGACUCGGCGUGCUUUCGUAGCCCGAUGUCUCUUUCUUGACCUGGCAUGCUUUCGUAGCCCAGAGUCCAUUUUAUCGAACCGGCGUGCUUCCGUAGCCCGAAUUUCUUUUAUCGACAUGGCGUGCUUUCGUAGCCUAGAGUCCUUUACAGCGACACUCAAUGGAGUUGUCCCCCAAAGAUUUUUCCUCCAAAUUCAAUCUGAUUAAGGCGACCGAAGAAUGGUUCGGGUCCUGGUCGGAUGAUUUCUGUCGCAAGGCUGGGCGACCAAAGAAUGGUUCGGUACCUAGCCAAGCAAAACCUCAGUCUAGGUGAUCGUAGAAUGGUAUGGGUCCUAGAUAACAUUUAUUGCUCUAACAGGCGACCGUAGAAUGGUACGGGUCCUGGAAAAAUAAUUUUCUUCGUCGAGGCGACCGUAGAAUGGUAUGGGUCCUUGACAACACUUAUUCCUUAUUCAGGUGACCGUAGAAUGGUACGGGUCUUGGAAAAUGAAUCCCAGUUUAGGCGACCGUAGAAUGGUAUGGGUCCUCGACAAAACCUUUCUGCCGUACUGGGCGACCGUAGAAUGGUACGGGUCCUAGGAAAGCAGUUCCUUACAAAACAUUUCUGUCGUAUUGGGCGACCGUAAAAUGGUACGGGUGCUGAGAAAGCAGCUCCUUUCUGCCAUACUGGGCGACCGUAGAAUGGUACGGGUCUUAGACAGGUAACACCCACUACCUCGAAUUACUCUAUCCUCCUCGAAGGUAAGUUAUUCCAGGUAGGUUCAUCUAUCAUUUGCAUUUUCAUACAUCAUAUAAUUUGCAUUAAAAAAUGGAGUUCAUUUUUCAACAAAAAAUCAUUCAUUGCAUGUGCAUGACCAAAAUUUAGGUCUCAAUUUGUCUUUGAAUGCAACCUCUUCGAGCUCACCUUCAAAGAGGGGCAGCUGUUGACACCUAAAUUUUGGCGACCCGCUUAGUCAUUUAUUGCAUUAAAAAAUUAAGGGUUAAUUUUAUCCUUGAAAAAAAUGGUCAAUUGCAUAACAUAUAGUUUUAGGUGCAUUUAUGUUUUAAUUUGCAUUUACAUUGGGUCGGUGACAAAUUGGUUUGAUUUUGUGGUUUUGAACUUUAAGCUGACUAGUCGGACUAAGCCCACGAAGAGAGCAAUUUAGCCUAAGCCCAUAUUUGAAAAAAUCCUAUUGCAAUUUUUGAAAAAAUCAAUAGAGAAUAUUCAUUUUUUGCAAAGGAAAUCUAGAAGAGGUGUGGAAAAUAAAAAGUGAUAUUGCGUUCGGAAAAAGGAAUCUUCAUGGAUAUGAAUUUGGAAAGAAAUUAAAACCCUAACUCAUGGCCUAUAAAUAGAUUAGAUGCGUAGGGUUUACAGGAGGCCACUCAAUAGAAUACACGGCCAUUGAUAAAAACACAUCGAGGGAUACACACGUGAGAGAGAAGGUUGGCGGAGCCUCCCCACAAUCUAUUGAUCCCCUUGCCGUCCGUCGAUCGUGACGCCUACCAUUGCGCCGGUGCUGCCUUGUUUGAUGAUAUCCAUCAACGACUUUGCUUGAUAGUCAACACCUCCGUGCAUCACAUCGUGAAGCAGAAGCAUCGCGUCGAUCCGCUGCACCUCACCAGUUGAGGCCACGCAUAUUGAUACAUACGGCCACAAAAAGAGAGUAUUUUUCUAUUCUUUCUUUCUUGCAGGUUCUGAAGGUACAAGGAGAAAACUCGCUCACCUCGUUGGAAAAUACGACAAAAGGGGGGCCACUUCAUAGAUUACACAUGCGGCCGCAUCGAGAAAAGUGCAAUAGAGAGAGGCGAGUCACGGCCGCAACACAGAGAACACACGUUCUCCGCAAAAGAUAAGCGAGGGCUACAUAGAAUAGUGAGAGGAUAAAUCGUGGGAGUUUCUUUUGUUUCUUGGGUUAAUCCGGAUGCUUUUAUCAAGAGAGAGAGACGGAGGAGAAUAAAAAAGGUGACACGUAUUCUGCACAUUGAAGAGGACGCACUAGAGAAUGUCAAAGGAGGAAACGUGGAGAGGAGUCAUGCAUUAAAGAAAGCACACCAUCUGAAAAGAAGGUCAAGCGAGAUCAAUUGACCCGAGAAGCCUCAGUCCCAAAUCCAGUCGCCGUCCAGUCGUUUGUUCCUUAUUUGCAGGUUUCCGGUGAUCCCAGCGCUCGCAGCCCUUGCUCUGCCAAUUUUGCUUCACUUUCUUGCAGGUUUUUUUAAUCACGUCCGAGGUCUCGCCAUCAAGCCUGCAGUUGCUGCCACCCCCAGCGACGUCCCCAAGGCCAAGCCAUCACCUAUGAUCCAUGAAGCCACUGAGCCGAGCCUCACCGCAACCGUAUCCGUUCGUGACGCGCCUGCGAGUAUGGUUAACCGUCCAAGCCGUGUUUCUCACUGACUUGAAGUCCACGGUCAAAAAGUUGAGGAAUCAGCAAAGCUUGUUAUUGGUCAAAGCAAGAAGACUAAAGAAAAUUUUCUUUGGAUCGUAGGCCGGUUUUUCCUUCAAGAAGUUGCAGCUAUUCCUUGUGCCACCGCACCACAUUAACGUCAGCAAUUCUCUCUGGGGGCUCUGACCAAUGUCUACUUAUUACCACGAAGCGGUUAAUCGAGUCAUCCAUUAGCAUGUCUUGGUAUAUCUCUAGCCUGCCAUGAGCCACGCCUAGUGGACUUUUGUUGAUUCUCCCGCAGGUUCUCAGGCGAUUUCCGCCGGUAACUACGGCACUCGGCCUCGCUUUGCAUGAUCCCAGCCGCCGCCACACUGGUCAAUCCCACCGUGAGCAGCCAAGCCCUGUUUUGGAAAGAAAAACAAAAGAGAAAUUAGGUAGUUUUUCUUUUACCUUAUUUUACUUUUAUUAUUAUGUUUUAUUUGCUUUUUUAGUAUAAUUAUUCCUUAAUGAGAGAUUGAGAUUCCGACAUGAAAUAGCCUCUGAAAUUUGGGAUUGACAGUCCGAUUUUCGCGCUUGGAAUCCGACUCGCAAUCGCAAUCGCUUGAAAAAUUGUCAAUCCGAUCUCACGCUCGAGAUUCGAUUCGCAAUUUAUUUAAAAAUUGGCCAACCCGAUCUCAUGCGCGAGAUAUGGUUCGUCAAUUUGUGGAUAUCGAUCAUAUAUGAUUUGCCGUCAUGUUGGUUGAAUCAAUUUUAUUUUAGUAAAAGGAAAAAAAAUCCAAAAAAAAUUGAAUUAGGAUUAGGUUUGUUUUUUAUUAUUAUCUUGCAUAUUUAGAAUAGGGAUUUCAUUUUGAAUCAUGAAAAAAGAAAACAAAAAAGAAAGUGCAUUCAUUUAGGAUGUUAGUUUUUUUAUUUGAAUUGCAUGUUUAAUUUUAAUUUCGAAUUUCAUAAAAGAAAAAAAUUAGAAUUAGGGCAUUCUUUGCACGACAUGGCAUAUUAGAAUAAAUUGCAUGUUUCAUUUUAAGUUUAGAUUGAUUUUUGCAUCUUAGGUUAGAGCUUGCUAGGUUAAGACAAUAUCUUAGUUUAAAUUAGGAUUUAGUCUGACCUGAUCCUUAAUAUAAGCUAGAUAGAAUUUUAAUCUAGAUAGUCAGGUUUUGCAUUUUCCUUAAUUUGUCUUAGGAUAAAUUUGUCUUAGGAUAAAUUAGUUGCAAUUUCCAGGAUAGAUUGCAUUUUUUUAGAAUAAAAAAAAAUCACGUGCACGUCAUUUUAGUGUUUGUUAUUAGGUUCAUUUAAUUAGAAAUUUCUCGUCAUUAGAAUUAGGUCAUUUGGUUAUAUUGCAUUGCAUAUUACAUGAUUUUCAUUAAUUAAGUGAAAACAAAAAAAGGAGGAGGGGGGUUAAUUAGAAAUCAUAUAUAGGAUUGCUGAUGUGAAUUCUAAACUAAUAACGCAGAUGCUUUCGUUGCUACGAAAUAAGUCCUGCAAUUUAUUUAUUGCUUUACUUGGGUGUUAAAUUGGUGGUUUGUGCACCCACAUGAUCGCCUCACAUGUUAGGAAAAUAGAUUUUAAAAGUAAUCCAAGCUGCUUGUAAAAACAUUUUUCAAAAUAAAAAGAAAGGUACCGAAAGGGCGUUAGAGAAUUCUAGCGUAACCAAGUCCCCGUACCCAUAGUCUCUGGUUCGUAGAAGUAAAAUAAUUCUCCCGUUAUUUUACUUGGGUUUCUAAUCGACCCACCAAAAAUAGAUUAGUGGCGACUCCUAAUUGAAAAUCAAUUGCAUGUUAAGAACUUGAACCUAAGUCGUGAAUUGGUAUGGGCUUGGGAGAGCCCGAGUUAAGUCUAGGCUUAACAAUCCAUUAGCCAAACUUUAGGUGGUUCACACCCAAAAAUUUGGUCGCGACAGCCAUGCACAGCUUGAGCACUAACCGAGAUGGGAUCAUAAUUUAUAUAGUUUGGGUUCCAACCAACCCAUAUUCUUCCACGAGGGGAGUGUUCAUAAUUCGUGAUCCAUUUCUAGCCAUUCAGCAAAAGGGAGGAUAGGGAAUCAAAAGUAUCCUCAGGGACUUUGGUCUCAAUGAGCCCAAUCAAGCACAGAUUAUGAGAGGUGACAAGCUUCCGCACUUUAGCCCGAGUAACUGAAUUCAUAAGGCCUCUAACGCUCCAGGCAACUAUAUACAUACUUAUAGAAGAAGGGGAAGGGGGUUACCUCUUUCUGGAACCCUUAUUCCUACCCACCGUCAGAGGAGGAUCCGCAAUAGGAGGAGGGUCCGGGCAUAGUAGCAGCAGCUUCUCCUGCAAUGUCACAGCUGGGGUAGUAGAGUGAGGGCCUUUCAGUGGGAAGGAGUUUACCGAAAGCAGGUCUUCAUCUUCUGUCUCUUCCUGGAAGCUAGGAUUGACAAUUUCAUCUGAAUAAUAAGGCACUGACAAUUGAGGAGUAGUUGCUUUCCCUUUAACUAAUAUAGAGGGGCCCUGACCAGCUUUAGAGGGUGCUGCACUCGCACCAGCAGACUUACGAGAUACCGGUGCAACUCUCACUUUCCUUAAAAUAAAGUCUUUUAGCUUCAGCGAAUGGCCUCCUUCACCAAGUGGAGCUGAACUAGUGGAGGCAGCCUUUUUUGUGAAAGGCUUUUUCUUCCUUUUGACUUGUUUCCACUCAGAAUCGCCCGGGGGUGGGAUGCUAGAUGGAUCGUCCGUAAUCCUCAAAACCAGUCUUUCUUCAUCAGCAACGCCUUCAGUAGGCUUGUUUGUGAACAAAGGAUGAAUUGCAUUUGUUUCUAUAGUCUUGUGUAUUUCGGCCGAGUUCCCCCCUCCCUGAGUGUAACCAGAGGGUUGAUAUGCAUCUCUGUAGUUCAAAGGUUCAUGUGGUGGGAGCUCGAUUGGCCCUGAGGCCAAGGAGCAAUAGGAUCAGACACAUUCUGAACACCAACGGUUGCUUCAGUAGCUGGAGAGGUAUCAACAGCAACAGGUCUAGCCUCAACUACAUUGUAUUUAUGACCAAAUAUUCCACACCCUGCACAGGCCAUUGGUUUCCAUUCAUAUUCCACAUCAACCAUACAAGAUUGGCCUUCAUAAACCAGCUCAAUACACUCACAAUGAGGUUGGUUGGCUGUGAUCUCUACACAUACUCUAGCAUAGGUAACCAUGUGCAUCUAUUCUGUUCUUGAGUCGACAUACAAUAGUUUCCCGAUACCACUAACAACUUUGCUUAUUGAUUGUGCAGACCAGAAUGCAGCAGGGAGAUUUAUGAGUCUAACCCAUACAAGCACAAUGAGGUGAGCAUCUUUCCUAAAUUCCACGUCCGGUCUCCAUUGUUGAAGAACUAAAGGGAUCUUGGAGACAGUAAUGGGCCCUCCUUCCAACACCUUCAUUCGAAAUUCCCUGUCUGGGAUAUGAAAGAAAAACAAGCCCUUUCCAUUAGCCAUAACUCUCGCCAAGUUGGUACCCCAAGCCUUUUUAAAAGCUGCUUCAGUAACUCCAAACGGUAUCCUCCUACUUAUGUAGUAUCCCACUAAACACUCCUGCAAUUUUGGAUCCGCAGCUAGGAUGUUGUCCUCUGUCAUUUCAACAACCGAACGGUUACCAACGUGGGUUGGAGGGAAGUAAUCAAGGUCAUAUCCCUUUGAGGCUACUUUAGCUACAACCACAUUCGCCCAAGAGCGAAGAUUCGAGCUUCUUGAGAAGGCUCGUUGGGGGCGUUUGAAUGACGAUCUUCCUCUGCUCUUGCCUCUACGUCCAUCAAAGUGGAGAGAGCGAGCAUGAACAAUAUGUUUCUCCAGCAAAACAGGGGCUUGGUUUUCACCACCAAUGUUCUCAUUGACAAUACCAUUUGACAGAGAGUGAUUGUCACUUCCGGUUUGCAACCCAACGGGACGAAGAGCAGAACACGACCUGUCAGUUGUAGUCGGGGAGCUUGAGUUUGAGGGCGUGCGCCCCUUCUUGUUCAAAAGAAGCCCAUCAACCGAAGAACGGCCCUGAUGUUGGGGACGUAAAGCAGAAGCACUAGGGCCUUCAUCUAAACCAUGGGCCUUAGUCGAAGGCGAGGCCAUCGCAACAACAAAACAGGCGAGCAGCAACAGAAAUAGGAAGAAACCCUAACCGAUCUCCUCCAUAGCCGGCCUAAAAAGGAAACGAACCUGGGAAAAUCUUCGGAGAGGUUUGGAGAGGGGACCAAGGCGCUUCUCGCUGCCAAAUGGCAGCCUCAAUAACCUGUUUGAACACCUGGAAUCAGCCGAGGAAGGUGACACGAGAACAGAAGCUCGGUCGCUAGCAGAGAGGACCCACACGCCUAGGACAACACCUGAGAACGAGAUCAAACACAGCGACGGUGACGGCGGUUAGAAACGGAGCCGGUGGCGGCCGAAGAGACUCCGCCGUGGUGGCGACGCGGGGCUCGCCGGCACCGCUGGGGAGGGGGGCUGUCCAUCACUCUGUUCUGGUCGCGAGAGCUCCUUUAGAGUGCGUUCAAACCCGGCGGCGGCAACGAUGGUUAGAUACAAAGACGGUGGCGGCCUAAGAGAUUUCGCCGCUGGUGGCGACACGGCAGGACGACGAACCUGGUUGCGGGGCUCGCCGGCGCCGCUGGGUUGGGGGUUUCGCAAAAGAAAAAUACUUUCAAGAGUUUGUCCUUGGCAUUGAAGGUUAAUAAUCCGGUACUUUUUCACAUUACAACAUGAAAAUAGUUUUAGAGGGACGUCGAGAAUUCUUAGAGGCUCUCCACAUUUACUUUUAAUUUGGUUGGUGAAAAUUAUUUAAAUUGAAUUAAUUUUUUCCACGGCUCAUGUCAAUGAGUACGCUCAAAACAUUUGUUAAGCAUACUGAACGAGAGAAUAAUUCAUCUUUUAAAGUAGUGAUCACACAUAAAAAGUUGCUACACUAAAAAAUAUAAAAUUUCUUUAUUUAGUCGGUUAAUAAGUGCUCUAAGAGCACAUGAGUCGGGUACUAGAGAUUGUUGUUGUUAGAUGAAUAUAGGUAGAUUAGUAUACUUUUUUCCGUCUCGAUUUACUCACCUUUUGUUCCUUCCCGAUUCCAAAAUGCAUUGGCAACUAAAUUUUGACAAAUGACUUGGUUAGCCUAUAACUUGCCGAUAAGGUAUCAAUACAUUUUGAAAAUUACUGACAUUUUUGUUUUUCCAAAAUUACCAAUUAUUUUAGUAAUCCACCAACAUUCAUUUUUGUGUGGCUUAUCUAUUUGUUAAAAUUUCUAACUUUUAUAGGGAAUUGCCAACUUCAAUUUAAGUAUUUUACCAACAUUCUUGAUAACAAGUUCCCAACUAAUUUUAGGGUAGCAUUUACUAUUUGAGUAACUUAUCAAUUUUUGUUUGAUUUUUUAUUGAAACUUACUGUUGUCAUAGUUUACAGAUAUUUAUUUUUGAGACUUACCGAGGUGUUAAAGUUACUCACUUCUACACAAAAUUAGCAACCGUAACUUAAGUGUUUUACCAACUUAUCUCCAACUGAUUUGCUGAAUAAUCUUGGUAAUAUGAAUUCGUUUUGAGUGACAUCAACUUCUAUUUAGUUGUUUUGAAAACCAUUGUGAUCAGAUACCAUUUUGUAUUUGCCAAUAUCACAUAAUCGUUCAAAUAACCAACUCUUCUAUAGAUAUAUCAUCUCUUAUAAACUAUUCGAUUAAUAUGAAAAUGACAUGGGAUGUUACAACAAACAAGUUGUCGAUCAACUUUAUUGUCACCAACAAGAUUUGAUAGUCGUCAACAGUUUCACGAAUUUACCGGCACGGAAACAAAAUUUCUAGCUUUUAACCCACGAGACACAAGAAUUAUCCAAAUUCCAAUCGCUGUGAAGUUUCUCAUGAGCAUCAGUCAUGGCUGUCAUUGAGCGAAAUGUCUGCUACCCGUCAGGAGCUUAUGUCCUUUCCUUUUCAAACUCACAAAAUAGAUUUUGCAGGAGGCGGUUCCGUUAUCUACUUUGGUCUCUUCAACCUCCUAUAAUCCCAUUACAUUUGCAUUUCCAUAGAGACUUACGCUGUUCAAGUAACUAGACUUUAGGUUAUAUCGGAGUUACAAGAUCUAACAACGGUUAUCCCCUAUUCGUCAGGAAAAUAAUGGGGCUUAUUGAUAGAAAAGUGUAAAGAAUCCUUUAGACAAGACCCGUUUUGGUGGCGGUGAAAUGAGAAUAUCGAAGGGGGAGCGAAAAAACUUCACCCUUUACUCUCACAAACUCAGCUCUUUUGGAUGAACACACUAGAUCACGUAACCUGGCUAUCCUGGAGUUGGUGUUGAAUUGAAAAAUAAUAUGAAAUUCUGACAAACAUCAAUUUAUUUCUAUUUUUUUUUGUGACUCAGGAAAUCCGCGAACCCUAUCAACACGAACAGCCCGAAAAGCUCGAGGUAACGGGGGUAAACCUUAGGGGCAACACGUGCUAGCUAUCACACACGUGUCACCAGGUAAGUCACCUUGCGACGCUCGGGAAUCGAACUCCUCACCUUGCAUUAGGGAGAGAAACUCACUGCCAGUAGCGUCAUCCACAUGGGUGAUUCAAUUUGAUUCUUUCUUCUUGAGAAACAAAAUAUUCAAAAAAAACGCAUAUAGAUGUUCCAGCACAAGAAGCCACAGAGGAUGUGCCGUGCUGACAGACGCGCUGUCAGCCUUUCCUGACAGAGGUGAAGUUCCACGAAGCCUGGCAGCUUCUUUCCAGGCUUGCGCUUGAGUCGAGCUUUGCCGGCUUCAAGCCAAAAACAACGCUCGAAAAAAGAGAGUCGGGUAAACAGAGACGAAAGACCCAUUAAAUUACAAAAUGAAAGGAUUAGCACGUGAGAUAUUUUCUCUAUGUAUGAACAUCAAAUUCUGUUUAAUAAGUAUUAACCAUUUUUUUAGUUUUGUCGUUUGUUUUGGCUUUUUUAAUUUAAAAAUAUUAGUCAUAAAUUUCUAAAACAUAAAAAAUAUGUUGAGUUUUGGCGGGAAAGUAAAUGACUCGAUUUUGUAUCUUAAUUCAUCAGAACAUAUAUACAUGUUUAUAUCUUCAUAUCUUAAACACGUUAAAUAUGUCGUGUCGUAUAACACAAAUGAUAAAUCGAUUUUAUAUCAACAAUUGAUUUAUGGCUGUCAAUGUAUAUUAAUAUCAACAACUCUUUUGGUCAUCAACAACGGCUCACAUAUCGGUGUCAAUAACCAUCUAUUUCUAAACACGUGUUUACUUGUGUUGACAACUUGGUUAAAUUUGGGUGCAAACAGGCAUAACAAAGGAAGCUAAUUAGAAGUCGGUGAAAAAAAAUUUAAUAAUUAAAAGUUUUACUUGGUAAGAAAUGUUGGUAACCUCAAACUAGUAGAUAACUUAAACAGUAAAUAGUUGAUAAGCCACUCUAACUAAAGUUGGUUAUUUUUAGAUAGAGUAAGCAAUUUUAAGUCUUUGCACAAAUAGAAGUUUGUAAAUAACAAGAUAUUGUAAUUUUGAAUGGAAAGAAAACGAACUUCACCUUGUACUUUGUGUAAGAGUUUUUCUCUACAUUAAUUGAUAUUAUAAUUUACCAUUUUACAGAUUGGUUUAAGACGAAAUAGAAUGUUUCUUAAUUAAUUUAAUAUAGGGCUCUAGUGUGGGACGAGUUAAGCCUAACUCGUGAUGAAAGGGCUUGCUUAAAAACUAUAUAAAUAGUGUUCAAGUCUCUCAUCUAACCUUAAUUCUCACAGGUAUUCUCAUAAAGAGCGUUUAUCUAGCGCUGAAGGGUGAGAGAGCCUUCUUAUUGAGCUAGUGAUACAAAGGGUAAUGGAAGAAAAAGAUUUGUGCAUAGAGGAAAAUGAUUUGUGCAUGGAUCAUCACUUUUUUGCUUCUGCAUUAAGAACGAUAGACUCCAAAACAAGUGCGUUACUAUUUUUACUCGAUUAUCUGUGCUAUUGUUCUAGUUAUGUAGAUCAUAGGAUUACAUGUUUUGCAUCUUUCACUUUGUACAUUGAGAAUCUCACAUCGAAGAGUGGAAGGAGCAACUUCAUUUUUGUGAGUCUAGGGCUUUGUCUUUGGGAAUCUCUGCAUUGAUUCGGUUCUAAGGUUCUGUUGCUGAUUUUGUUUUUUCAAGUUGAAAAUGUUGUUGGGCUCACCGUGUUGGUUGGGGUGAAAUAAUUUUUUUGCGGUCCCUCAAGACAAGGUUUGUGUCACGAACUCCAAUGCAUGUGCUCUCGGAUCACCUGCCACUCGAGUAUAUGUGGGUGAGGGGAUGGGUACUGUGGAUGUGAAUUUGAGCAGAUUUUAGAAAAGAUCCUUCACAACAAGUUUGCGGUCGCCAUGAUAUGUUUUAGAAUGCGUAAGACAGAUGGUGGCUUAACUCGUUUUUGGCGGUUUGUCUAGAUGACGGUGCAAUAUUACCGCCGUGGAAUUCUAUAAUUAGAACGAUUUGUUCAAUGAGUGCUCUCAAAUUAACUUAUUAGGUAAUUUAUUCAAAAAGUACAAAUUUAGUGACACAAUCAAAAUGGUAGUAGCCUUUUCAUUUUUGUUUUCGAGCUAGGUGACAUGUGCUACCCCAUAUAUAUAGAGUUAUAUUUCUCAGACACAUCGCUUUGGAAUUUGGUAUUAAUAUGGUACCUUAAAUUGAUAGCGACUGAACAACCACUCCCACUUUCCCCGAUAUUUUGAGACCACUCCUUCUAAAUUAUCUCAACUUGCGAGGCUUUUCUUAGUCAUAUCUCUGCCAUUUCUCAUGAUCAAUGCCGCAACACAAUGGAAAUGGAAACCAACCCUCACUUUCCUACCAUUGCUCGUGGACCCCUAUUCCACAUGGGGUUCUUGCAACUUCCUUGAAAUGCAUCAUGCCGCGUUUUCGAUCAUCCAAGUCCUGUAGAGUCACUUUAAAAUGUGGUGUAAUUUUAUAUGUUGUGAUUCGCUUUUAGAAUUUUAGUAGAAGAUGAAAAGAAAAAGGAGUUGUUUAUACUUUUUCCUCAAACUUGGACUUUAUAUGACCAUUGUACAAGUGAUUUAUUUUUGUGAGAUUCCUAUUUUUCCAACACUUACGUUCCAACAAAAAUACUUGCAUGCAUAAAAAAAUCAUAGGUUCCAUGGGGUUAAUACAUUAAAAAAAAGGACAAAUUUUAGUGGAUGGUGCCGCUAUAGUUGGUGGCUAACUCGCUUUGGAUAAAUAUUUAUUAACAUCUUAUUUGUUGUUGACACAUAAAUUUUGGCAACCUAAUUAGUUGUUAAUUGCAUAAGAAAAUUUAUGAAUCAACCUUGAUACCUAACAAAAAACCAAUUAUUGCAUUUUGCAUAGUAGGCUUCGUUUGUUUAACAGAAAAUGAAUAAUUCGAAAAAUAUUUUAAAAAGAAAAUGAUUACUUAUAUCGUUUGAAAUAAUUAGUUAGUAAAAAAUACUUUCGUUGUCGAUGACAAUUUAUGUCUAUAAAUUUUCAUAGGUGAUGAAAAUAAACAUUUUUUGGAAAAUAUGUUUCAAAUUAUUUGUUUUCUACGAAACAAACGUACCAUUAAUUACAUCUUUUUCAUGCAUUAUUUAGAUUUUGGCCAAGCCCAAAGCACGUGGCCGAAAUUGAUAAAUGGAAGAAGUGCCAAGAUUGAAAAAUUAAAUUUAUUAGAGUAAAUUCAGGGGGAUAAAGACACUAUCUUAAUAAUUUCCAAGGAAAUGUCUUUCACAACCAUAUCACGGCAAGAUUGAAGAAAAGAGGAAGAAGUAUCAUGGCCUUGCACGUUACAUGAAACGACAAAAGAAAAUAGUACAUUAGGCUUCAUUUUGUUAACAAAAAAUGAAUAAUUUUAAAAAUAUUCAUUUGAAAAUAAUUAUUUGUAUCAUUUAUAAAAAAAAUUAAAAUUUUUUUAUCGUUCACAUAAUGUUAAGUUAUAAAUAAAUGUCAAUAAUGAAAAUAUUUUUUAUUAAUUAAUUAGUUUGAGCAAAAUCAGUGAUUUUUUUAGAUAAUAUUUUUUAAAUUAUUUAUUUUUUGAAAGAAGUUGGAAAAGAUCAGACCCAAUCUAGUUGCUCGGUCAACGACGCAGAAUAUCUGAAGCAAAUUCUGGGAGCUUUCCGUGAGGUUUGAGAGAAAAAGGAAUAUUGAUAUAAUAUGUAUUUAUAUUAAAACAGGAAAAGUGAGAUUGAUAGCUCAUAAAAAAAAAAGUAAAAGUAAAGUAGAAACACUAUAGAAAGAGAUAGCAGCACUGAGACGGCAGCUUCUGCGCAACCCUCAGACACGCAACUCUAAGAUAGGACGGCUCACAAUUUGAGAGACGAAAAAGAAAAAGAAAGGCGACUGUUCAUCGUUCUUAGAGUUUCUUGUUCUGCCGGUUUGGUUCAAUUUCUCGGAGUCGUUGCUGCUUUCGUCUGGCGGUCCGGUUUGCUUUCUCGUCGAAUUUCUCGAGACCUUGUUCGCCGGUGUUGAUCUCUGGCUCCUGUACUCCAACUAACGCCGUCACCGCCGCCGCCGCCCCUCACCAGUCACCGCACUCGCUAUCGGCUUGCCCAUCGUCGCGCCUCUACCUCGCUUGCUGGCUCAGCACGUCCUGCUGCAGCCGCAACAGCAGCUUUGCCGACUUAUUUUAACGCCACAGGAGCAGUCCCUGGCGGUUUCCGGUGAUUCCGGGCGGCAUCCCGGCUCCAGUUGACGCCACCGCUUGCCGUUUUGUUUCCUCUGCUACGUUUGAUCGAACACACACCGUUGCCGCCAAGAAGAGUCCGGGCGACCCCAGCUUUCCAGUUAGACUGCCCAACACCAACAAACCUUUACCGUUGCAUCUUUUGUUCUGGCAAACCUGUCUGCAAUAUGCCGUGUCCUUACUGGAUCGCUGUCGUUGCUGCGCUGGUCCCGACGUUCCUCCUCAUGGGUCGACGUAAAGCUCCCCGCCCCGGUCCCGAUUCUCGGAAACAAAUACAUGAAACUAGGUGAUUUCUCGAACCAAUUUGAUUGUUUGCAAUUAUUGAUUAUCUAAUUUGAUAUUAUUCGAUUCUAAUCUUGAUUUGUUUGAGAUUUUUUAGCAUUUCCAUGUUAGGAAAUUUCCUAUUUCAAUAAUUUGAUCCGGGUUAUGGAUUGCAUAGAAAAAUUUAAAAAAAAAUAGUGAUAAUUUUAAUUUUCCUUAUACGUAAAUUUUAAUUCAAUAAAAGAUUACAUAAUUGAAUCAUCUAACCUAAAUGAAUAUAAGUUAAGCAAGUUUCAUAAAAUUUUAUUUUCCCAAUCUUCUUUUAGAAAUGCAUGUAUAAUUAAAAUUAAAAAGCACCUAAAAUUGUAAACAAUUCAGCUUUUUUGGAUUUACUUUUCUUGUUGCUUUUGACUAAUAAUGGUACAAUAAAGUUAACUCCAAAAAAGCAGCACUUUGUUCAUGACCAAAACGAUCAGGCCACUCGAAGCAUCCUUGAAUCGUAGUAGGUUUGCUUCUGACGCUAUUGCGAUCGAGGUGCAAUAUUUGUCUCUCUUUUUAAUUUAUUAUUUGGAUUGUCAUCUUGUCAAGUAACUCUUUUCCAUUUUUUCUAAAUGAGAAAUUUUAAUCUCAAGCAAGUGCCAAUUCUUCUUUUCUUUUUAUUUUUUAGAUACAUGUGCUUCAUAUUUACAUUUUACUUAGACGUCAAACUUCCACUUUAUGUUGAUUUGACUUCGGUGGGCCGCAGGUCAACGGAAAUGAAAACUUGUGCCUUUGCUUUUUUUUUUUAUAUAUAUAUAUCUUAAUUUACUCAUACUUUAACUCUUAAUUUCAAAUUUUUUUAUCUCAUCUCGUUACAAGAAACUCAUAUAUAAAGUUAAAUAAUUUUUUACUCUCAUCCUCCCUGGAAUUCAAACCUCCGGACAAAUUUAGUGAUUAACUUGUGGCUUCAAGGACACGAUUUCUUACGCUUUUUUAUGGUCACCUUUCCAAAAAUAAAAGAAGGAAAAAAGGGUAAAAGCAAAAAGACGACACAUCCCAAUUAAAGGACAAUGAUAUGGUCCACCACCGAUAGUGGAUUUCCAGCUUUACCCUUUCACUAGCAUAUGAGAAAAAGGACCUUUGAAGCUUGCAUCGGUAGAUUUUAUGUUUUACUGUUUCUUCAAUUAAAUAUUUAUUGCCGAUACAAUUAUAGAUUUUUCCCUUGAAAUAUAUAUUUUCAGAACACAAAAAAAUUGAUAAGUAAUUUACAUAUAAUUUUGUCAUACUUGAAUAAACAUUUUAAAUUUUAACAAUAAAGUAAACAGUUUUGCUUUCUUUUUUUGGUCAGAAUAGUUAUGCUUUCUAAAAAAGCACAAAAAAAUAAGUUUCAAGAAAACUACUCUGAUCAGCGGGAUUACCUCCUUACGUUCUAUUUUAUUAUAUGUCAUUUGUGAAACCAGACCAUGCACAUACUUACGCCUAUCAUUAAUGCCCUUAACAUUAACUAGACAUAUUACUUUACCAUAAAUUGUCCAAAAAAGAAAACUUAAUCAUCACAUUUGAUUUAAUAUAACGUUUCUAGAGCACUACACUGACGUCAAUUUGCCUUCCUAAUUUUAGGUUUACUUAGACUGGACUUUGGUGGGCCCUAGGCCGGCCUUGAAAAUCGGAAUUUCACAAAAUUCAACUAAUAUAAAUUUGCUCGAAAUGCACAGUACCGAAUUUCCCAUCCGCUAGUCAACUUGUGGUGGUGCUUAGGCCAUUUCUUAAUUCUUCUAUCGUAUAUCUACGAUUUCUGUUGAUCAUUUCCGCAGCACAACGGAAAUGGAAACUGAGCCUCGCUUGCCUCCCUGACCAUCGAUCAUUGGGCCCUAUUAAAGCAUGUCAAAUCAUUUUGUGAUUUGCUUUCAGAAUUUUAGCAGACGCAGCUAAGAUGAAAAGGAAAAGGAGCUCUUCUCCGGAAACGGGAUCCACAAGCCAUGGCUCAUCGGGGACUAAGUAUGACGUGUUCUUGAGUUUUCGAGGUCCGGAUACUCGCGCUACCUUCACAGAUUCCCUCUAUCAUACCCUGCUAGAUAAGGGUAUCAGUGUUUUUAUAGACAAGCGAGGGAUUGACGUUGGUGAGGAGAUUGGUCCCGAGAUUUACCAGGCCAUCAAUGACUCAAAAAUCUGCAUUCCCAUCUUUUCUAGAGAUUAUGCCUCCAGUAGUUGGUGCCUGCGUGAGCUAGAACACAUGAUACUGCAUUGGAAAACCAAUGAAUUGGAGGUUAUGCCCAUUUUCUAUGACGUGGAACCUUCUGACGUGAAGCUUGAAACCAGAGUGUAUGCGGAUGCACUAACUCUGCAUAAAGAAAAACAUGGGCCCGAGAUUGUGCAGCGCUGGGCAGAGGCGCUCAAGGAAGUUACCGGAAUCAAGGGAUGGGACACCAAGAACACGGGGUAUGUUAACUCACUCAACUCCAUCUUCCCUUUUCUCCCCGUUUCUUUUGCUUGAAGGCGGAUUAUGAUUUGAAAAGCACAAUUUUUUCUUAGUUCUGGACCAAAAAUUAUGAUGGAUGUCGCUGUGAAUUCUACACUCCAUUGUAUCAACUCAAGGAUUACCUAUCGUCCUAGAUUGAACAAAAUCAUAUUGAAUCAUGUAUUUAUUUCGUUGUUUGCUGGGUCCAGCAUCAAUUUCGUAACUUCACGUUCUUGUUUGAUCUUGCAAGUGAAAAAGUUUGCCCCCAAUCUGAAAAUUCACUUGAUAUUCAUUGCUCGACAUCAGCAUGAUAGCCUAUCAUCCUAGAUUGAACAUAACCAGAGAAUCAUGUAUUUAUUCUUUUGUUUGCUUGGUUUAGCGUCAAUUUCGUAAGUUCAUGUCAUUAUUUGAUUUUGCAAGUGAAAAAGUUUGCCACCACUCUUAUAAUUCACUUGAUAAUGUUUUGUGUCCUGACACAGCCACGGAGAACUUGCCCAUUUGAUUGCUCGGAAAGUGUCGGUUAAGCUUAAGGUGUCUUGUGUGCAUAUAUCCGAUCAUGUAGUUGGAAUGGACGAGUCAGCAAAUGAAGUAGUAGAGUUGCUGAAUGUUGAAUUUAAGGACGUAAGGCUCAUUGGUAUGUGGGGAAUGGGUGGAAUAGGCAAGACAACUCUUGCCAAGGUUGUCUACAACAAACUAUCUACUAAUUUUGACAGUUGUAGCUUCAUUUAAGAUAUUCGAGAAGCAUCGCAAGGUUCUGGUCUGUUAAAUGUGCAGAGUCGGUUACUCUCUGACAUCAUUGGUAAUGUAGGGGUUGAACUUUCUAGCAUUGAUCAUGGGAAGAAUAUGAUCAAAAAUCGAUUUUGCAGAAAGAAAGUUCUUAUUUUUCUUGAUGAUGUAGAUCAUGAGAACCAACUUAUGGCAUUGGCAGCAAAGGAAGAAUGGUUUGGUUCGGGAAGUAGAAUAGUUGUUACAACAAGAGACAAAAGUGUUUUCUGUAAACUCCAAGAUCAAUUUGAACAUUGCUUGAUUUAUGAAGUUAAGGAACUCAACAAUCUCACAGCUCUUCAACUAUUUAGCAAGCAUGCCUUUAGAAGCAACUCUCCUCCAAAUGCAUUCUUGAGUUUGUCUGAGAAAGUUAUUGCAAAAACCGGAGGGCUUCCUCUGGCAAUUGAAGUUAUUGGCUCAUUGUUAUGUGGAAAAAAAGAGGAAAGAGUGUGGCAAGAUACAUUGAAAAAGAUGGAUUAUUGUCAGCAGAGGGACGUGAAGGAAAAGUUAAUGUUGAGUUUUCAGGCAUUAGAUCAUUUGCAACAACAAAUAUUUCUUGAUAUCGCUUGCUUUCUAGCUGGACAAGAUAAUAGCUAUUCAUAUUACAUGUGGGAUGACUGUGGAUUUUUUCCGAGUGAGGGGAUUGAUAUUCUGCUUUUAAUGUCCUUAGUGAAGAUUGGAGAGGGGAAUGAACUAUGGAUGCAUGAUCAGCUUAAGGACUUAGGUAGGAGCAUUGUGUAUGAAGAAAAUUGCAAAGACCCCACAAAGGGUUCUCGAGUGUGGUGGGCUCAACAAGGUGGUAUGAAUAUUGUCCAGCAAAAGAAGGUAGUAUUAGUCUAAGUGCACCCUCAUAUUCUUUUUUCAUUGCAGAAAACUUCCUUGGUCUAUUUUGCCUUUAUUUUGGGCUCUAUUUGGAACUCCUCAAUUUGAACCGACUCUUUCUCAAUUUAGGGAACUGGAACUGUUGCAGCAUACUAUUAUCAAUCUAAGAAGCCUCUCCAAGACUCUAUUUUGACAUCAAAAGAUUUUAUCGAAGUGCCAAAUAUUAGAUUUCUCAAUUUGUCUCGUUCGACCCUCUCCGGAGAUUUUGGGGAUCUCUUUUCAAAAUUGAGAUGGCUUAAUUGGUUUGAAUGUCCAAGAGAAAUGCAAGCAACCAACUUUUGCCCAAAAAAUCUAGUCAUCCUUGACCUACGGGGGAGCGACUCAAUAGAUGAACAUUGGGGUGGUUGGACUCAACUCAAGGUAUGCAUGUGUGUGCAAAUAAUUUGGGAUAACAUGUUAUAUUUCUUCCAGUCACACCAGCUCUUGCGUUGCAUGUGGUCGUCGAUCGCCAUCCUUGAUCUCUUUAUUAUUAUUAUUAUUAUUAUUAUUAUUAUUAUUGAAGUCUAUUGGUUUAAUUCAUAAAACAACUCUUGGUCUUGAAGAAGGCUUAUGACACCAAUCCCUCAUUCUAUAGGUCGGAAACUUAACCGUUGUGUUUUCACUAGAAAAAACAUCAAAUCAAACAAUUACUUUUCAUUUAUGUCAUAGAUGUCAUUCAAGUGAUAAUGCCACUUGUAUAUCCCUGGUGAAGAUACUUUGGUCAACGAAAAGACUGGUACCCUUGACCACCUUUUUUUCGUUGAUUCAAUAUUGUGUUUAUAGAUAUUUUGUUGUGUUAAUGGAGAGAAUUUAACUUGUGCAGAUUUUUCAAGAUUGCAUUUUUCAUUUUUACCUAAUCAAACAAUUAACUUACCGAAAAAAAGAAAAAAGAUGUUAUGACUUGGUUGAUGGUCAUCAAUCUGCAUUGCAUUUUAUAGUUUUACAUUGAUAUUAUGUUAUUGUUGUUUUACUAUUUAUGCCAAUUCUUCUCCAAUGGCUUUCUUCAAUUCAAAUUGAUUGUAGCUGCAUGAUUAAAGGGUAUUGUAAUUUGGACAUUCUAUGUUACUAGCAACUGCAUUUUUGGGUUGCACAAUAAAUAAAUGUAAUGACUUGAUUAGAUAUUCAUACAUAUUUUGUGAUUUCUAUAAUUUGUAGGGUUGUUAGAUUGUCUAAUGGAAUAAAUGUCAUCGCUCAAUAUCUAUUGACUAAAAUUACUAUUUAAAGAACAAUUUAUAAACAUUCACAUUGUUUCGAGUUCCCUAAUCCCCCGAACUAGUUGUCACGAAUAAUAAAUGUUUAAAGUUAAGUGAAAUAUAAGUAGUGACCAUCUAUAAUAUACAAGGAUGCGAUGCAGAAGAAAAAGCAAAUGAUGGAGAGAAAUUAGCAAACCAAUAAAAAAUUGGCAAAUAAAUUUGAAUUUACAAACUAAUUUAUUUUGAACAUCAAUACUGUUAAAUGAACAUUAUACUCUUUUGAGCUUAUGUGAAAGCUAAUACGGCCCUUAUUUUAAUAAAUGAAAUUCAUGAAAAGAAAAAGUAAAGUGCAAAUAUAAAUUUGUUUAUAGUCAGAAAACAUGUGAGAUUAUUUUCUAUAUUGAAAUUUAGAAGAUAUAUUCACAUAGGAACAAACGUAGAGUUUACAGCCAUAAGUACUCGUGGGUAAGGACAAAAUCGCUAAUUUGAUGACGAAGUUGGAAAGGAAUGUUAUAAUUUAAAAAUAGAUCUAUGUUCUUUUAUUGGUUGUUGGGGACAACAUUGGAAGAAAUGAAGGGUGACAAAGAGUGGUUUUGGCUUAAGUUAGGAAUGCAUGUACAAAGUAUUUAUAAAGUUACUUUUAUGGAAUGCUUGUUUAGUCGAUAUAUUUGCUCAUGUUAUGCAAAACUAAUAUAAAUUAAAAUCGUUGGAUAUACAUAAUCAUUUGACAGGUGGCUACAAGAUUGAAGGUCCUUGAUCUAACGUACUGCGAAAUGUUGAAAGAAAUUCCUGAGCUCUCUGCAUUUUUAUCCUUAGAAAUAUUAAUUCUAAAGGGGUGUGAAAUGCUUACGAAACUUUCUGACUCGAUUGGAAUGCUGAAAUACUUAGUUAAGUUGGAUGUCUCAUUCACAAGCAUUGUAGAGUUGCCAAAUAGCAUUGUCAAUCUAAAAAGCUUGAAAGUGUUGAAGAUUGGCGGCAGUUGCAUGCAAAAGUUACCUUAUGCCAUUGGGAUGAUGGAGAAACUUGAGGAAAUAUAUGGAGAGGGUUGCCGAAAGCUAGAAGUGAUUGCUAGUGAUAUUGUGGGACUAACAUCCUUGGAAUUAACAGAAACUCGUGUGGAGAAUGUACCAAUGCUUCCAGAGAGUUUGGUAAGUCUAUGUCUAUCCUUACAUGUUUUAGAAAAAGAUUCGGAGAUCUCCAAUUUAGUGAGUCUAAAAAAUCUGAAAUUAUGUUUUCCCAUAACAUUGUAGAUGUUAUCAUUUAUAAGAGUAGUGUUGAUUAUAUUCUGUCUUUUAUUAUUCGAUGUGGGAGUAAUUUAAGAAUAGAUCGAUUUUCUUUUAUUUGUUGUUGGGGACAACUUUGAAAUAAGUGUGACGAAGAGUGGUUUUGGCUUUAAGUUAAGAAUGCACAUAUAGAGUAUUUAUAAGGUUAUUUUGGUGGAAUGCUUGCUUGGUCGAUAUAUUUUCUUAUAUCCUGCAAAACUAAUAUAAAUUAAACUUGUUGGAUAUAUAUAAUCAUUUGACAGGUGGCUACAAGAUUGAAGGUCCUUGAUCUGUCGCAUUGCGGAAUGUUGAAAGAAAUUUCUGAGCUCUCUGCAUUUUUAUCCUUAGAAAAAUUAAUUCUAAAGGGUUGUGAAAUGCUUACGAAACUUUAUGACUCGAUCGGAAUGCUGAAAUACUUAGUUGAGUUGGAUGUCUCAUACACAAGCAUUAUAGAGUUGCCAAAUAGCAUUGUCAAUCUAAAGAGCUUGAAAGUGUUGAAGAUUGGCGGCAGUUGCAUGCAAAAGUUACCUGAUGCCAUUGGGAUGAUGGAGAAACUUGAGGAAAUAUAUGGAGAGGGUUGCCGAAAGCUAGAAGUGAUUGCUAGUGAUAUUGUGGGACUAACAUCCUUGGAAUUAAUAGAAACUCGUGUGGAGAAUGUACCAAUGCUUCCAGAGAGUUUGGUAAGUCUAUGUCUAUCCUUAGUGAGUCUAAAAAAAUCUGAAAUUAUGUUCUUUACCAAAAAAAAAAAAAAUCUGAAAUUAUGUUUUCCCAUAACAUGUAGAUGUUGUCAUUUAUAAGAGUAGUGUUGAUUAUAUUCUAUCUUUUAUUAUUCGAUGUGGGAGUAAUUUAAGAAUAGAUUGAUUUUCUUUUAUUUGUUGUUGGGGACAACUUUGAGAUAAGUGUGACGAAGAGUGAUUUUGGCUUUAAGUUAGGAAUGUAAAUAUACAGAGUAUUUAUAAGGUUAUUUUGGUGGAAUGCUUGCUUGGUUGAUAUAUUUGCUUGUCUCCUGUAAAAUUAAUAUAAAUUAAAAUCGUUGGAUAUACAUAAUCAUUUGACAGGUGGCUACAAGAUUGAAGGUCCUUAAUCUGUCGCACUGCAGAAUGUUGAAAGAAAUUGGUGAACUCUCUGCAUUUUUUACCUUAGAAAAAUUAAUUUUAAAGGGGUGUGAAAUGCUUAGGAAACUUUCCGACUUGAUCGGAAUGCUGAAAUAUUUAGUUGAAUUGGAUAUCUCGUGCACAAGCAUUGUAGAGUUGCCAAAUAGCAUUGUCAAUCUAAAGAGCUUGAAAGUGUUGAAGAUUGGCGGCAGUUACAUACAAAAGUUACCUGAUGCCAUUGGGAUGAUGGAGAAACUUGAGGAAAUUUAUGGAGAGGGUUGCCGGAAGCUAGAAGUGAUUCCUAGUGAUAUUAUGAGACUCCCAUUCUUGCGGAUUUUGAAAUUAACAGACACUUGUGUGGAGAAUGUACCAAAGCUUCCACAGAGUUCGGUAAGUCUAUAUCUAUCAUCACAUGUUUUAGAAAAAAAUUCAGAGAUCUCCAAUUUAGUGAGUCUAAAAAAAUCUGAAAUUAUGUUUUCCCAUAACAUUGUAGAUGUUGUCAUUUAUAAGAGCAGUGUUGAUUAUAUUCUAUCUUUUAUUAUUCGAUGUGGGAGUAAUUUAAGAAUAGAUUGAUUUUCUUUUAUUUGUUGUUGGGGACAACUUUGAAAUAAGUGUGACGAAGAGUGAUUUUGGCUUUAAGUUAGGAAUGUAAAUAUACAGAGUAUUUAUAAGGUUAUUUUGGUGGAAUGCUUGCUUGGUUGAUAUAUUUGCUUGUCUCCUGUAAAAUUAAUAUAAAUUAAAAUCGUUGGAUAUACAUAAUCAUUUGACAGGUGGCUACAAGAUUGAAGGUCCUUAAUCUGUCGCACUGCAGAAUGUUGAAAGAAAUUGGUGAACUCUCUGCAUUUUUAUCCUUAGAAAAAUUAAUUCUAAAGGGGUGUGAAAUGCUUACGAAACUUUCUGACUCGAUCGGAAUGCUGAAAUACUUAGUUGAGUUGGAUGUCUCAUGCACAAGCAUUGUAGAGUUGCCAAAUAGCAUUGCCAAUCUAAAGAGCUUGAAAGUGUUGAAGAUUGGCGGCAGUUGCAUGCAAAAGUUACCUGAUGCCAUUGGGAUGAUGGAGAAACUUGAGGAAAUUGAUGGAGAGGGUUGCCGGAAGCUAGAAGUGAUUGCUAGUGAUAUUGUGGGACUAACAUCCUUGGAAUUAAUAGAAACUCGUGUGGAGAAUGUACCAAUGCUUCCAGAGAGUUUGGUAAGUCUAUGUCUAUCCUCACAUGUUUUAGAAAAAGAUUCGGAGAUCUCCAAUUUAGUGAGUCUAAAAAAUCUGAAAUUAUGUUUUCCCAUAACAUUCUAAAUGUAACCAUUUAUAAGAAUAGUGUUGGUUAUAUUCUGUCUUUUUAUUAUUCGAUACGGGGGUAAUUUACAAAUAGAUCGAUUUUCUUUUAUUUGUUGUUGGGGACAACUUUGAAAGAAGCAUGAUGAAGAGUGGUUUUGGCUUAAGUCAGUGAUAUGCACAUACAUAGUAUCUAUAAGGUUAUUGUGGUGGAAUUCUUGCUUAGUCAAUAUAUUUGCUUAUGUCCUGCAAAAUUAAUAUAAAUUAAACUCAUUUGAUAUACAUAAUCAUUUGACAGGUGGCUACAAGAUUGAAGGUCCUUAAUCUGUCGCACUGCAGAAUGUUGAAAGAAAUUGCUGAAUUCUCUGCAUUUGUAUGCUUCGAAAUAUUAAAUCUAGCGGGGUGUGACAUGCUUACGAAACUUUCCGACUCAAUUGGAAUGCUGAAAUAUUUAGCUGAAUUGGAUGUCUCGUGCACAAGCAUUGUAGAGUUACCAAAUAGCAUCGUCAAUUUAAAGAGCUUAAAAGUGUUGAAGAUUGGCUGCAGUUGCAUACAAAAGUUACCUGAUGCCAUUGGGAUGGUGGAGAAACUUGUGGAAAUUCAUGGAGAGGGAUGUCGGCUGCUAGAAAUGAUUCCUAAUGAUAUUGUGAGACUACAAUUCUUGCAGAUUUUGAAAUUAACAGAAACUCGUGUGGAGAAUGUACCAAUGCUUCCACAGAGUUUGGUAAGUCUAUGUUUCUCCUCAACAGUCUUGGAAAAGGAUAUAGAGAUCUCCAACUUAGUGAAUUUAAGAAAUCUGGAAUUAUGUUUUCCCCUUACAAACACCGUCCGUCCCAUGAUUCCAAAAAGUGGUCUAAACAUGUCCAGCCCAUAUUGUAAGUUAGAACUUUCAAUUAUCACCAACAAAAGCUCAUAUUUGGGUUGCUUUCGCUGUCUAAAAGAACUUGAACUUGAGAAUUGUGACAACUUGCGUUGUGUUGGACAGCUGCCCUCUGAUUUGAGGAUAUUAAAAGUUACCAAUUGCAGAUUUCUUGAAGUUGUGGACCUUUGCAACUUAUCUAACUUCAAGAAUCUCAAGGACCUUAAAGUACAGGAUUGUUCGAGAUUGGUUGAAAUUCGAGGUCUUGAUAGAUUGGAAUCAUUGGAAAGUCUUUACAUCGAACACUGCAGUCCCUUGCUACGCUUACCUGAUCUAUCCACUUGGAAGGAGUUGACAAAGUGGGACGUUGAUGCUCUUGCGACAAAUUUGGCGAGAGGGAAACAAGUAGCUCGAAGUGAUGAUCUCCCACUCUAGCACUUGAAAAAAGCUUGUAGGAUCGGCAAAUCCUUAUUAUGUUGGCUUGUGUUUUAUUUGAUCCAUGAUGCUAAUAGGGUCCCUUUUAUUAUUUUUUUGGUUGUGGAGUAUUUCAUGUGCCCGGGCCUCUACUUCUGAUGAACAAAGGAGACAUACACGGUUAGGCCUCUUAGAACUUUGUUGGAACUUUUUGGGCCUAUGAUAUUAUUGGGUUUUGACCAAGCAAUGCAAAUCCCAAAACAUUGCAUCCUAUGUAGAAUAGCCCCAUUCUUGGCCAUUAUGAAAGUCCAAACUACUUAAAUUUUGUUAUGAAAUACAUGAAUGAGUAUUUAUUAUAUUUAUCUUAUUUAAUGUACUUAUUAUGGUACAUAUUGGAAAGAGCGCAUGCAAGAAUAUAAUCUGAGAAGGGAUGACAAGAAAUUUAACUGUCCUUUGGCCUAAAUCAUGACAAAGAAAAGAAGCCAAAUAAAGUGACUAAUGAAAGUAUUUACCAUCGUUGUUGCAUGACUGAGCGUUCGUCACAUACUUGUCAUAUGACAAAGGCAUCUUUAAAAAAUACGGACAAACAUGGUGAAUCUCAUGUCAUUGAAAUCAAUUCUACUGCCAUAACCACUGUGAAUGCCAACAAUAUCUCUAUUGGUGGGACUCAUCUUGCUCCUCAAGUAGCAAAUGUAUUAUUGAAUGUCUCUGAUUUCUUUGAGAACCUCUGAUUAUUUUGAUGAGGCAUCAGAUUGGUGGAUGAUAACUUGGACUUCGAAUUUUAUGAUUUUAAUAAUUUAUUUUCUAGUUGUUUUCCCUUUAUUGUUCUCUAAUAUGAUUUAUUAUUUUGAAAUUUUAUUUGACUCUAUAACUAAUAUACAAAAUUUAUGAUACUUGACACCUGAAGUUGUCAACAUAAAUACAAAUGGAAAAUACCGAGAAAAAAGAAAAUGCUUGUUUGCUUAAUAAUGCAACAACGCAUACCAUAUUUCAUGGUAGACAAUUUUUUUCGAGUAUGACAUUGCAUAAGGUAAAUAUUCAUACAAUAUCAAGUCAUGUUCCCAUUAUUGAUGGUUUCAUGAAUGCCACAAUUGUUUUGCCAAAUGGCAUCAUCCUGUAUAUUGUGGAUAUGUCUAAGCAAUAGAUAAAAAAAGAAUAUACUCAAUUUCAAAGAUGUACGCUGUAAUGGGUACCAUAUUGAGACUAUUUAUGAGAAGAUAAGGAAUAUAGUGGCAUUAUCUCUUAUAAGAUGGGCCUGAAGACCAUCCAUAAUAAGCUAGAAGCUUCUUUUAUGGGUUUGUAUUGUGUCAUGAUUAAGGCCGUUGAAACCUACGCCAUCACAUCUUGGAGAUUGGUAAACCCUUAUCAGUUUGGAUUGUGGCAUGAUCGCCUUGAUCACCCUAGCGCUUUAAUGAUGUGUAGAAUAAUUCAGAAUACAAAAGGGCACAAUUUAAAUGAUACAAAGAUAUUGUUUUCCAAAGAUUAUAAUUGUGAGGCUUGUUCAUAAGAAAAGCUCAUUACCAAACUUUUUAUAACAAAGGUUAAUCUUGAAUCCCCUUUAUUCUUGUAAAGAAUUCAGGGUGAUACUUGUUGACCAAUACAACUACCAAGUGGACCGUUUCGAUAUUUUAUGGUACUAGUGGAUGCAUCCUGUAAAUAGUCCCAUAUUUGCCUAUAAUCUACGCGCAAUGUUACAUUUGCACGUUUACUUGCACAUAUUAUAAAGCUCCGGACACAAUUCCAUAAUUAUUUAAUUAAAAGUAUAAGGAUGGAUAAUGCUGGUAAAUUUACAUCAAAGAGUUUUGAUACCUAUUGUGCUUAACUCGGAAUCGAGGUUAAGCACCUAUUCACAUAUGUUCAUAUUCAAAAUGGAUUGGUAGAACCAUUGAUUAAACAUAUCCAACAUAUCCAAAUCAUUGCCUACACUCUAUUAUUGAGAGCAAAUCUUAACGAUAUAGCAUAUGGGGUCAUGUAAUUUUGCAGCAGCAGCUCUAAUAAGAUUGCGCCCCACUGCUAGUCUUUUAUAAUUUCCCCUUCAAAUGGUUUUUGGUUAUGAACUAGAUAUUUCACAUUUAUGCACCUUUGGUUGUGCAGUACGGGUUAUGUACAUGUUUAUUUCGGCUGGUGCUUUUGGCCUUGAUAGGAAGUCAGCAAGUACAUUCUUCUUUCCAGGAAUAUGUUUGGUUUCAAAGGAGUAUUUUGAGAACCAUUCAGCCCAUCGAAGUAGUUGGGAAUUUGGAAUCUUUCUGUUUAAACUUGGUCAUCUGAAGGAAAGAUGCCAUGUCUAAUUCUACCAGGAAGUGGUGGCUAAUGAGAUGAAACUCAAACUUUUUAAUUCCAUUUAUUACUGCUAAGAUUUCUUUGAAAGUGGAAUAGUAAUGCAUUUCAGCUUGAGAAAACUUUCCACUUUUGAGCACAGAGGUGUCUCUUACCAUCAAUUUCCUAAAAAAGAAUGGCUGCCCAGUAUUCGUCACUGCGUCAGUUUGAAGAAUCCUUUUGCCUGUUGAUGGUAUUUGCAAUGGUAGGAGAUUCUGCAUAAUCUCCUUAAGUUCAGCGACUGCUUUGGUCUGAGUUUUUUCCCAAGGUGGGGCAUUCUUCUUCAGCAUGGAUUGCAAAGGAAUCAGAAGCUUUGCAAUAUUUGGGACAAAAACCCUGAGAUAAUUAAUUAUCCCAAGAAAUUGCUGAACUUGCUUUGUUGUGAAGUUAUCUUAAGGAAACUUGAAUAAUUCUUGAGCGAUAUGUGGCCCCGGAUAGUAUGUACCUUUGUUAAGGUGCAUACCUAGGAAUUCGAUUUCUGUCUAGGCAAUAUUCAUCUUUCUUUGAGAAAGCAUGAUACCAUGUUUCUUCACGAUUUCUGCAAAUUGCUCAAGGAGUUGGCAGUGCGACUGCUCAUCAGGACUGUAGAGCAGAAUGUCAUCAAUGUAUACUGCUGCACUUGAUAGGAUUGGUUGGAAAAUGCGACACAUGGCCUUUUGGAAAAGGGAUGGUGCCACCUUUAAUCCAAAAGGAAGAACUUUCCACUGGAAGUGCUGGUUAGCGAUACAGAAUCCCGUUUUGGAUCUGUCUUCAAGAUGGAUGCCCAGUUGCCAAAAUCCGGCUUGAAUCUAGAAUGAAUGUGGGCCUUAGUUAGACCAAUAAAGAGAGAAUCUCUCGAUGGUAAAGGGAACUUAUCAUCCUGGAGAAAAAGAUUGAGAGGUUGAUAGUUGAUCACCAGUCUCAUUUUUCCUCUGUUUUGCUCGGCGCGCUUUUUGACAUAAAAGGCUUCACAAGCCCAUUGUGAAUUGGAGAUUUCAAUAAGGUCUUGUUGCAAUAGUUCUGAGCAUUCCCUUUAAGCUAAAGCCAGAUGUUCUGGCUUCAUUCCCAUGUGACUCGCCUUUGUUGGAUUUAUAUCCUCAUUCUUCUUGAAAGGAAGGCGAACAAAAAACUCUGGAUUUUCCCAUAAGGGAUGGGAACAUUUCUGAGCGAAUUCUGAAUGGGAUUCCGAACAGGAUUCUAACAACUUUUGCAUAAUUGGAUCUAAUAGACUCAUAUGAAUGGAAAAGAGUCUCUGAAUAUUGACGAACUCAGAGUUGAUUUUUAUAUCUAAGACCUUUUCCAGGAAUCAUGCGAACCUGAGAGAUUUGAGUCAUGAUGUCCCACCCAAUUAUCAGAUCUUUAUUGGGGAGGUUUGAUCCAAAGAUUUUUGCAUUUAUGGAACACUGAGGAAAGAACUGGAUAGUUACAAGAGUUGUCCUAACAUUUGUGGAGAAGGUAUCUCCAGAGGCGGAAUUAAAGUAUCGGAGAUAGGGAGUCUGGUAUUCUUCAGGUAAUACUUUAGUAUCUAAAAUGGAGCAACUUGCUUUAGUAUCAAUGAGAGCGAUAACAGUAAUUGGUUUGGCAAACUUUGAGGUGAGAAUUUUUACUGGGAAAUGGGGACAGUGAGUUUGACUUGAGAAAAUGUCAAGGUUUGGUUCCGAAGAUGUGGGAGAUAUGUGAAAAAUGUCUUCAGACUCUGAGUCUGACUCAGUCUCACUGGAAGUUUGGUAAGAGGGAAUGGCACAAAGGGUUUGUUCUGAUGGUUCUUCAUCAGCAGAGAAUAAGGAUUCAAUAUCAUCAUUUUCAAGAGAAACACCUGUUUCUUUCUUAAUGUGAUGGAUUAGAUGAUUCUAACAUUUUCUCGCUUGAAGACAAUUUUUGGCAAAAUGUCCUUUCUGGUUGCAGAUGUAGCAACGGUUUGAUUUUUUAUGGCCUGUAAGAUCCUUCCUUUUUCUUGGAUAUCGCCAUUUCUUCUUCUUCUGAAAAUGCUUGGAACCAUGUUUGGAUUUAUGUAUCCAAAACUUCUUGUAAUGUUUCUUUUUCCGUGAGUACUUACCACAAGUACCAUCGCAGUCUUGCUUUGAGCAUUUGAUUUUCAGCUUCUGACGAGAGCAAGCUGAUUCAAGGCGUUUGUCAUCUGUGAUGUAUGUGAACCAUCUGGCGUUUUAAGCAUAAUUCUUCUAGGAAUAGAUGGACUUCUUGCUGUAUUUCUUCCAAGGGAAUAUCUUGUACUCUCAUUUGUUUUCCAAAGAACGAUCUUUCAACCAUCUGGGAUAGUUCUUUUGGAAUGGAAGUAAGGAAAACACGCUUCAGAUUUGGAUCUGCUCCGAUUUGAUAAAAGAGUUGGAGCAUUAUUCGGUAAUGCUUAUCAAGAUGUUUCUUCUAGAGGGAGCAGCAUCUUCUUUCAAAAAAUUCUCUUCUUUUCAUCUCUAUGAGAUCUGUGGGUUUUCCCACAAAGACAUGAUAUAAGAAAGUGAUGGCAUGGCCGAAAUUUGGUGACAUCAGAAAAUGAAUCUGGUCUUGUUCAGAGAUUGAUUGCCACCAAAGUUUGAGGCUGCCUGUGAACCUCGUAAUGAAGUUGUAAAUGACAUCAUUCAUAUCAUGGUUGGUAAUGGACUGAGUAUUCAACCAAGUAUGAAAUUCUUCAAGUCUUUGUGGCCAUUUGUGAUAAGGAAUAUCAUCAAUGGUGAAGAAUUGUUUUGAUGCUAUUGACAUAUGCUGAGCAGAAUUGCUUGUCUGACCAAUUUCUAGGUCAGAAUAGUUUGAUUCCAUUUCAUCAUCGGGGGGGUCAGCCAUGAAUAUUGAUGAAGUUAUUGGCGCAAUGGGGAGGGAAUCAACUGUAGGAAUCGAGAUGGAUGAAGAGGAGGAGAAGGAUACUGAAUCUGAUUUAGUAUCAUGAGAAGUUUGCUCUACUAGGAGCAGAAUCUGUUUUCUUGGAACGACAGGAUCAGGCUGUUGGAUAUCAGGGUCAGGUUCUUGAGUACCUAAAUCCUUUAGAAAAGAUUCUAAUGGAUUUGAUAGCAUCAUCUAAUCUGGCCUUUCUCUUAUAACAAUGGAACUCGAUUCUGUAGGCGGUAUUUUUUCUUUCCCAUUUUCCUUCUGUAGGGCCUUGAGGCAAUCUCGUAUUUUUGCCAUAUCUGGUUCUCUUCUCUAUGGAUCUUCUGGAAUAGUGGCAAAAAUUGACGUCUGUGGCGGUGGGGCUAAAUACCCGAUUUUGACAGGAGGUGCCAAUGGAUCAAACGGUCUGAACCUUCCUUCUUCAAGAAGUUGGAUUUGCCUCUUGAGCUUCUCUAUUUCUGGCUUUGGACUUUCAAGAUAAUGAUACCUAAGAUGUUCUGAUUCCAAGGCGUGAAGCCUUUUCUGGAAUUCAGAAAGUAUCUUUUUGGUACUUUCAUCAUACCUUUGGAGAUCUUGUUGCACAUUUCCAAUUUUGGAAUCAAUUGCCUUGAAGGCAUUGUUUUGUGCCAACAGAGUUUCUGAUUGCCAAUUUAGAACAGUUUCAGUGGCAGGGGUUUUUUUUUUCUAUCUCCCAUGUUCAUCCACAUCAGUGGGUGUAGGGAUUUUAGGAAUAUGGCGAUAUCUGCCAUGGGGAUCAAUAAACUCUUCUGCAGCAGGGAAGGAGAGUUUAGAACCUUCCUUGACAAGAGGAGGAAAAUCGGUAUCCUGGAACAUGGCGAUAGAAGAAGUGGGUGGUGCUUCUGCUGGAACUUCAAGGGGGUAAGAGUGCUUCUUAGCCCAUUUGAGGAUUGGCUUGUAAAAUGGAGAGAGAGCUUGCUUUUUCUGGGGAGGAGAUGGUGGAGGUGUUUUUGGUGGAUCUAGUAAGGCUUGGGAUGUAGUACUAACCUCUGGCAGUGGAGGUGAUGCAUAAGAAACCAUGAACUGGUAUUUAUCACAUUCACUGAGUCGACGGAGGAAUCUCCGUCUAAGUACCUUUGGUACAUCUUAUCCUUUGGCCUUUUCCUUCGAGGUGGAGGUCUUGCAAAAGGAUCUACUUCGUUAGGAGAAUUUAUACAGGAGGAACAUUGGCAGAAAGGAUCCCAAAAACAAUGACCAUAAUUGUCUUUAUAGGAUGUCCAUCACCAUCGAAGUGUUGAACAUGCUUUUUUGGAUCUGGCUCGGAAAUAGAUUGAGGAACACAUGGUUCAAUCAUGAAGAGGGUCUGGAAGAUAGAAGGGCUUUCUUCCUUUUCCUUGCCAAAUUUGAUGGAAACAGUUCCAUCUUUUUUGCGUACGAACUCUGAGUCCGUAGACUGGAAAGGCUUGUUGUGCUGAUGUAGCUUUUCGUAGUUGGUAAUCCAAGUCUCUGGAAGGAGCUUGGCCAAUGUAUCCUUCAGAAUCUGUCUAGGAACAUGGAUACAAGAUGCUUGGUCAUUCUGCAUGGAGAUAAACAAAGCAUCUUCAUUACCAUUGUUGAAGUUAAGAUCAAGGGCAUGGUUCUGCACUCGAUAAACCAUUUGGUAAUGUAGUGUUGCAGUUACAGAGUCAGUAGUUUGAGGGGCUCCAGUAAGUUGAACUUGGACUUUCAAGAAAGAAAGUAGCUGAGGAUUUGAAAGAGCGAUGUUAAAAUUUGGAUAUAAAGUCACAAAGACUGUUUCGACAUUCAAAGUAGUUUGAACAGUACCAAUGCAAGCAUACUGGUAUUGUAAAAAUCUGGUAUCUAAUAACGCGAUUCUUGCCACAACUGGCAAACCUUUACGACCAUGGAAAGUGAGAGCAAGACAAACAGCUCCAUAAUGGACAUGAGUGUAUCCCUGUUGAGCCCAUUGUCUGGGAAAUUCAGGAGGGAUCUGGAGAGUAACAAAGUACUCAUUUUCAGUAGCAGGAAUAGGAUGCUGGUCGAAUUUGGAGGAUUGGACGUACUCCUUUACUUGCUUUGGGGUUUGGUGAAUAAGCUGGCGGAUGGAGCGGAUAGGUAAAAAUGAUGAGUUGGGCUUAGCAAAAGCAGAAUAAGGGUUCAUGAAGGGGAGUUGGGUUUCAGAAAUCUUGGUUUCAUCACUAAGAGAGAAUUCAUAAAGAUAAUCUAUCUUAGAGGCAUUGGAAACACGAAACUCUGGGGGAGUUGAGGAUGAAGGAGAAGGAGCAAGAGAAACGGGUGCUUCGAGGAUUUCUGGUUCUGUAGACAUGAUGUGAAGAGAUCUUCUCAGCAAUGGAUUCACCUACCAAGCACAUGGAAUGGAUAAUAUUACAAAUGAAACCAUGGCUCUGAUACCGUGAAUGGACCUAAACUUAGAACCAGGGAAGGAGAGUAAAUUUUAUGCAGGUAUGCAUCCCACAAUGGGCGAACAACUCCCGUUCAAGCCCUUCAGGGACAGCCUGUUAGCAGAAAACCACUUGCCCUUUAGUUCAGAGCUUAGAGAUACUCAGAGAUGCCAGGAUGGAAGCGUUUCUAAUCUACCCAAGCUGUAUUUCUUGGAGGAUCCUACCAGGUUGGAGAAGAAGAGGAGUUUAGAAAGCCAUCCAGGAAUGAUGCGAAGCUGAGAGAUUUGAGUCAUGAUGUCCCACCCAAUUAUCAGAUCUUUAUUGGGGAGGUUAGAAGAAUUAUGCUUAAAACGCCAGAUGGUCCGUUCAUACAUCACAUAUGACAAACGCCUUGAAUCAGCUUGCUCUCGUCAGAAGCUGAAAAUCAAAUGCUCAAAGCAAGACUGCGAUGGGACAUCAUUCAUAUCAUGGUUGGUAAUGGACUGAGUAUUCAACCAAGUAUGAAGUUCUUCAAGUCUCUGUGGCCGUUUGUGACCAUAAUUGUCUUUAUAGUAAUGAACAUGAUGUCCAUCACCAUUGAAGUGUCAAACAUGCUUUUUUGGAUCUGGCUCGGAAAUAGAUUGAGGAACACAUGGUUCAAUCAUGAAGAGGUGGAUCUGGUAAGGCUUGGGAUGUAGUACUAACCUCUGGCGGUGGAGGCGGUGCAUAAGAAACCAUGAACUGGUAUUUAUCACAUUCACCGAGAGUAUCGACGGAGGAAUCUCCGUCUAAGUACCUUUGGUACAUCUACAAGAUAUUCCCUUGGGAGAAAUACAGCAAGAAGUCCAUCUAUGCCUAGAAGAAUUAUGCUUAAAAUGCUAGAUGGUCCGUACAUACAUCACAGAUGACAAACGCCUUGGUUCCCAAUGUCAUUUGAGCAUUUAUGUUGGGCUUAAUUCACCGUCCAUUAUUAAGUUCUUGGAACCAACUAUUAGUGGUCUUUUUACUGCCGAAUUCGUAGAUUAUCAUUUCAAUGAGACUAUGUUUCCAUCAAUUGGGACACCUACAAUUUCCAUGACUGCAAAACAAAAACUAGUUAAGAUUUUCUCAUAGAAUGAGAAAAUUUUAUCUCAAUUAGACCCAAGAACUCCUGAGUGCGAAAACGAGGUGCAACGCAUAAUCCAUUUACAGGUUAUGGCCAAUAGACUUCCCGACACAUUGAAUAAUUUUUUUAAGGUAACGAAGUCUCAUAUUCAAGCUGUAAAUGCUCCAGUUAGGAUAGCCAUUCCCGAAAGACAUGCUAAAAUGGAUCAAAAUCUCUCACACUUGAAGCGUGGUAAACCGAUAGGAUCAAAAGAUACUGUCCUUCGAAAACGAAGAGGAAAGAAUCAAGAAUGUGCUCCGGAAGAGCUUAGUGUUGUGCUUGCUUCCAAAGAGCUUAUCACCCCUGAAGAAGCGAAAACCCAUGAAAUGAACACCAACCUUAGGAAUACUGAGAAUUCCAUUACAUAUUGUAAUGAAAUUUGAAAUCGAAAUAAAAUCAUCAUUGAUGAUGCUUUUGCAUUCUCAGUUGGAUGAUGAUUGUGGGCCACAAUCUAUUAUUGAAUGCCGUCAAAGGCAAGAUUGGCUUAAGUGGGAGAAAGCAAUUAAGGUUGAAUUAGUUUCCCUAGCUAAACGAGAGGUUUUUGGACCCGUAACUCAAAUACCUGAUAACGUAACGCCCGUUGGAUAUAAAUGGGUAUUUGUCCGGAAACGAAGUGAGAAAAACGAGAUUAUCAGGUAUAAAGCCUGACUUGUUGCCCAAUGAUUCUCCCAAAGACUUGGGAUUGAUUAUAAUGAGACAUAUUCACCAGUGAUGAAUAUGAUUAUAUUUCAUUUUCUCAUUAACCUAGUAUUCUCUGAAAGAUUAAAAAUGUGUCUUAUGGACGUUGUGACGGCAUAUCUAUAAGGCUCAUUAGACUCUGAUAUUUAUAUGAAAAUUCUUGAGAGAUACAUGCACUCCUCGCAAUUUAUUCUCAAUAAAAUUGCAAAGAUCUUUGUAUGGAUUAAAGCAAUUUGAACGCAUGUGGUAUCAACGCCUAAGUCAGUACCUAAUUAAGGAAAUAUACAAGAUUGAUCCUAUCUGCCCAUGCAUGCUUAGUAAUAAAUCAGAAACCGGAUUUGCUAUUGUAGCAGUUUAUGUUGACGAUAUAAAUUUAAUUAAAAUUCUAGAAGAGUUAGCUAAAACCGCCGAAUAUUUGAAAAUGGAGUUUGAAGUUAAAGAUUUGGGUAACAUUAAUCUUUGUCUUGGUCUAGAGCUUGAGCAUAAAGCAAAGGGAAAAUUUCAAUUACAGAUCCAAAGUGACUUCAUUUUCUAAAAAAAUGACCUAAAGUAGAGUUUGUUUCAAAUAAGGACCCGAAGUAAUCAUUUAGCCUCAAAAAAGGACCUAACUCGGCGGCCAAAUGAAUUGAUGCAUUUCCGAUGCGUAUUCCAGCGACCUAAUCAAGGUAUUUUCGUCCAAAAAACAUUCUCUUUUUGCUUUCCUUCUCCCUUGUUCAUCUUCUCCAUCUCCUAGCAGACCUCCAGUAUCUCAUUGGUGAAGUAAUUGCCAGAGAGAUUGAGCCACUUCAGCUUCUUCAGCCUUGCCACCUCCAGCGGGAGUGGCCCUGUGAACUUGUCGUUGCCCAAGUUGAGUUCUUCGAGCUGGGUUAUCGCCUGUAGGCCUCUGCUAGGGAAGAUCCCAGAGGUUGAGGAACCGGAGGGAGGUGGGGCUGCCGAGCUCCGGUGAGAGGGUCCCGGUGAGGUUGUCGGUGGUGAGCGUGAGGUUGACGAGGUUGCGGAGAAGGCCGAUUUCUAGUGGGAUGUAGCCGGAGAGGCCGAUGGACGUGAUGUUGAGAGAGACGACCCACGAGCCGGCGUCGCAUGUGACUUCGGUGAAGGAGUAAUGUGGAAAGGGCGCUAGCAAGGAGGAGGAGGAGGAGGAGGAGGAGGAGUCGACCCAGUCGCCGAUGGUGGUGGAGGGAAGCCCGACCAUGGUGGUUUUGAGCUUCAAGAUCACGUCCAAGUCGCUCCAUGCGAGGGAAGCGGACCUCGCCGGCCACUGGAAAGCCCACUGCCAGCACCUGCUACCGGCGAUGAGUGUCGAGCCCUCGCUGGCCCCGGGUGAGGCCGGCCCUCGCCAGUCCCGCGACCUUCGUCGGCCUUUCCCCACUUUUGAUGUUCUUGAUUUGGGCAAUGCCUAUCUUCAACAUCAAUGAAGAAGACGAUGAACAGGGACAACCAUGGGUAGAUCAAGAAGAAGAUGAACAGGAAAAGAAAAAUGAAAAUAAAUUAUUUUUUGGACAAAAAUACUUCAGACCAGGUCGCCGGUCGGCAAGUCAGGUCUUUUUUUUUUAAAGACUAAAUGGCUACUUUGGGGCCUUAUUUGGGAUAUACUCCACUUUAGAUCCUCUUUUGAGAAAAUAAUGUGACUUUGGGUCCCUAUUUGAGAUUUUCCCUAAAGCAAAUGGAGUAAUCGUCCAUCAAUCAGCAUACGUUGAAAAAUUAUUUAAACGCUUCAACAUGGAAAAUGCUACCCUUAUGGUUGUAAGGUCUCCAGAUCCUUAAAAGGAUCCGUUUCGUCUUAAAGAAUCUGAUGAAGAGAUACUUGGUCCUAAAGUACUAUAUCUCAAUGCAAUUGGAACUUUGAUGUACUUGGCACAAUGUAUUGGCAUGUAAAUUUAUUGGCACGUUUUAGUUCUGAGCUAACUCGGAAAUACUGGAAUGGAGUUAAACAUAUUUUCCGUUAUCUCUGAGAAAUCAUAGAUUUGAGAUUAUAUUAUUCUAACGAUUUCACUACCUCUGGUUUAGUUGGAUAUGCUGAUAUUGGAUAUAGAUCUAAUCCACAUAAGGCUCGCUCUCAAACUAUUUAUGUAUUUUGUUAUAAUGGCACCAUUAUUUCUUGGUGUUCUAUGAAACAAUUGCUAGUAGCUACAUCUUCUAACUACUCUAAGAUUAUUGUUUUAUAUGAAGCUGGAAAAUAGUGUGUUUGGUUGAGAUCCGUUAUAACGUAUAUUCAUAAUUCUUGUUAUUUAAUACUGGUUACAAAUUCUCCCACUAUAAUAUAUGAAGAUAAUGUUGCUUGUGUUGCACAAGUUAGGAGAGGAUAUAUCAAAGGUGAUAGGAUUAAGCAUAUCUCGCCAAAAAUUUUCUAUACUCAUGAACUCCAAGAAAGUUGACAAAUUGAUGUUAAAUAGAUUUAAUCAAUAAAUAAUAUCGCAGAAAUUUUUAUCAAAUCAUUGCCAACGUUAACUUUUGAGAAAUUAGUACAUGGCAUUGGUAUACGGCGAGUUCACAAGAUGCAAGAUUGACUAACUUCAGCAGUGAAUAUAUGGCUUAAUUGAAUGGGGAGGCAGUAUCAUUCAAUGCACAUUUGUAAGAUAAUGAAUACAAUAAAUAUUCAAGGGGGAAUGUUAUGAAAUACAUGAAUGAAUAUUCAUUAUAUUCAUCUUAUCAAAUGUAGUUAUUAUGGUAUAUUUGUAUCAUAUAUUCUAAGUACAUCUCCCUAUACAAUGAAUAUUCAUCUCCCUAUUCAAUAUAUGUAUUAUUCAAUACAUUGAUAUUAAUGAUAAGUGCAUCAUUGUUUUCUUAUAAAUAUGAGCUUAGUUGUUGUCAUAUGGGGUGAUAUAGUGAAAAUGAAAUUUUCUCAUAUGGCUUUUUCUACUCAAUCUCUCUAUUUUCUCUAUACAUAUUUGUAAUGUAAUAUUUUACAACAAAUUUCUAUUUUUCAAUGUCUUUGGAAUUUCUAUAGCCUCUCAAGUUCACAGUCUCAACUUGUGUUCAAGCAAAAGUCCAAAUCUUUGAAAGCAACUUCAUAUUCAUAUUGAUAAGAAAAAAGAAAAGAAAAUACAUGUCGGAUGUUUUGGCUUAUAUAUAAAAGUACGUGCAAUGGUAUUGUCAAACCAUGCUUCGAAUCACUCUCUCCAUUUGAUGAUUCCUUAACUCAAUUUCUCCUGUGAUAGGCCUAAUAGCUAUACUUCAGACAAAUAAGUCUUAUCCCUAUCAUCGUCAUCACUAUCGCCAUUCAUCAAACUAGUGAAGAAGUCUCUGGAAAAUUAAAAGUUAAAUAAAUAAAAUGUCAAAAUAUCACAAAAAUUGUGGUCCUAGUCUACUACGUCCAAGCAAGGUCGUCGCCCAGGCCCAGGCAACUUGAUUCAGUAAUUGGCAUGAAUUUGUUGGGUCUUGGUCAAAUUUGGUAGGCUGUCUGCUAAUGGCUUAAAAUCAUAAUUUUGCCAUCCCCUCUCAACAUGUCCCUACAAAGAUUAAGUUGCAAAAAAUAUCAUGUUAGGUUGCAUCCCGAUUAAGUUUGUCGACAUCGUGCUACAUUCAUUUCUGCCGAUAAAUUUUUCCAUAUUUGGCUAAUGCUAAUUGAAUAAAAUAAUGACAACUUUGCCAACCAAAAAAAUAAAAAUAAAUAAGGACAGCCUUAAAACAAGGCAAAUCGGGCAAUUCAUGAGGAGUCCACAAAUCUCAUGAUAUGGAGAUUCACCUUAGGGUUUAGACAAGAAGGAUUAACUCGCUUAGCAUACAAUACAAGUGUCACGAUACAAAGCAUCGAAUACCAAAUAUGAUGUCAUUAAAAAGGAUUUUAUGAGCACACAAUGUCGGACAAUCCUUUUCUUGUCCAAACAUCACUUUCCUUAUGUUGUACUCUCUCUUCAGUGGUAAGACGCCCAGUAAGGUAAAUCAAGCCACUGCUGAUAAGUCGUCGGAUCAGUUUUGCGACAGGUAAUGCGGCCAAAGCCCUAUUUGGCAAUUUGUGAUAAAACCUUCUACGAGUAAUGUUGGGAUAUAAUAUGUGGAAACAAUAGGAUCUUGCAAUUUACGUCAACACGAAAUUACCGGAGAAAUUAACGAGAAAAAUAAGGACACUAGAAAUUUACGUGGUUCGGUCCGAGUAUCGGUACCUACGUCUACGGGGAGAGCUAGCAGCAAAUAAUCUACUAAAAUAGGAGAAUCAGAGUUUACAAUCACUCAAACGCUCAAGUGUUUCCCACACCUAGAUUUAACCCCAAAUUCAAAGUGUUUAUAAAUAACAACUCACUUGGGUAUAAACUCACGGCACAAAAUUACCGCACAUUCAAGCUCAAACACAAUGCUCUACGUAUGCCUGAUUUGCGUAUGUAUGAAAUCGCGUAUCUCUUCGAGCUUCGCGUGACUACACUUUCUCUCGUNNNNNNNNNNNNNNNNNNNNNNNNNNNNNNNNNNNNNNNNNNNNNNNNNNNNNNNNNNNNNNNNNNNNNNNNNNNNNNNNNNNNNNNNNNNNNNNNNNNNACGUUUUCACGUUUUCGGCGGCUUCAAACGCACGAAGAGAAGACCUAUUUUUCCUUUUAUACGUGUGCCGAGGUCAAACUUUGACCUAGGCCCACCACAAUUUGUCUUUCACGUGCAGAGGCUCUACGCGCAGGGGGACUUCACGCCAAAAGAAGAUUUCAGCAGUGGAAGAUCUUGGGCCCACUUUUGUUUUAUACGCGUGCAUCUUCACGCCAAUGAUCCUUACUCGUGCCACGAUUUGAUUUCUUUUUUCGGAUUCCAUUGGCUUCUCAGCAAAGAAGAAACUUUGCUUCAAUUUAUUUUAUAUUUCCUCUUUUGUAAAAUCUUCAAGAAUCCAACGAAUCUCAAACUCGAGUCAUAAUUUAACAAGUAAUCCUUAAGAUACCAAAUGGGCCGUUCACUAUGUUGCCAAUAGAAUACAUUAUGGGCAUUCACCUCUCCUCUGAUAGAAGACAUGGAACGCUUGCAUUUUCUGAUUCGAAAUGGCCGGUUGUCCUCAAACUUGGCAAUUCACCAUUCAUUAAGCUACUCUUUAUGAUGCUAAUCUCUAGAGUUUCAUAUACAACACCCUGCUCCACGUUCCAGUACAAACGUCGAAUACCUUGUCCUUGUACCCACAGUUGCAGAAUUUAGCCUGUGUUUCAAAAUACAACGUGGGGUAUCGGUAUUUUGUCGCCACUGGCCACCAGUGCUCUCCUGAAACAACGUCGACUCCUGUGUAAUUUGUUGCUGAUCCUCUUCACCAUUCUGGUACCACACAUACAUUGGAGAUGAAUUUUGAGUUAGCAAAGGGAAGGUUACUGGGGUUCCCUUUAUCUAUCUCCUGCUUCGCCCGUUCUCGAGAUCAAUGUGUUUUAAAUCUAUUUUAGACUUGUUGGGAAUGACUGAUCCCCGAAAUCCGGAUUCGACACCGAAUCGAAUCCCUAAAUCAAUGCGGAAGACGAAGCCCGGGAAAACACGUAUCACCGAUCGUAAAGCACACCACGGAGUCGAGCGUACCUUGUUAGCCACAGAUUAAACACCAACGCCGAUUGAGGAAGAGAAAUCUUGGUCCUGUUGAUCCGGUGAAGGAAAAACGCCUUCGGGAGUCACUAUUUUCCUUUUGGAGGAAAACGACAGAGAGAGGGAGAGGGAGAAGCGUACGUCGUUUGUUUUAAUUAAAUGGUGCCUUUUCUCUCUCUCUCUCUCCUCCCUUUUAUACCCCCUUCUUUCCACGGGCCCUAUUCCCGUGGGCCGGGCCUUUUGGGCCCAGCAUGGGCGGACGGGCCUUAAGCCCAUCUCAUAAAUCCAUCAUCUCCCACUCGCACAUGGUGGUCCAAAACCAGCAUGGGCGGACAGGCCCUACUCAGCCCCAUCAGAGAAAAAUCCAUCAUAGACUCUCACUUAACAUGGUGGGUCGAACAGAAUCCUCUUUUCCUCUCUUCAACAUUCAUACCGGUGAAUAAUUCGUGCGACCAGCAUACUUUGAGAGCUCGUUGCCAUACAUCUGUUAGGAAUAUAUAGUAGCUCAUAAUGGGCAUCACAUCCUGAGUAGAUUUAGUAUGCAGUACCCUAGAUCGAUUGAUCACAUUUAUAUCUCUCUUGAUCUCUUUCAAACAAUGAUAUAUUGUAUUCACAAUUAUGAUUAUCACAAAAACAGUCAUAAUUGGUUAACCGGUGAAUACAAAACUACAAUGUGAUUCUCCAAAAUCAAUCUUCCUCUUCCCUUCAAACUCUCAAUUUCAGUUCAGCUUGCUUUUCUAGAAAUGCCCCAUUAGAUCGAAUCAAACUCAUGACCAUUGGCAACAUCCUAAGAUAGCAAACACUAAAUAGAAAUCUUGAGAAUAAGUAAGAGUCAUGAGGGGACAAAAAAAUUGAGGAACUCUUUUCCUCAAGAGUCUCACACGACAUAAAAAGUUGAGAUCAAACUUUUGCCACUCUUAUUGGUCGUCUCAUGCAUACGUAGUAUGAAAUACGUAUUACGGUAUUAACUCCUUUCCCAUGGAGCGUAUGUCUACACCUUUCAAUACCGUACAGAUGAUAGUUCAAACAUACCCAAUGUCUAACUUGAGUUCACGUAUCUACUCAUUUACAAAAUUCAUCAGAACUCACAUCUGGCAUCUUAGACAGAUAAAGUAAAACAUGUGGGGUAUUUUUACUUUCGGACAUAGUAAGUAUUAUGUCCUCAUCUUAACACUCAGUUAAGGCGACAUACGUGUUUUAAGCUUGAGCUCUCGAUUAUCACCUAGAUAAUAAGCUUAAAAACAGUCUCAUCUCUAUUUAUCACACAGUAAAUAGAGGCGAUUACCCGUGUGAGUGGGCUAAUCUUAUAUCUGUCCGACAUACUUCUCAACUUAAAGUAAUGCACUAAGCAUUAAGAUGCAUAAAGAUCAAACAAAGAUUCACAGGCAUUAAUGAUGAAAACACAAAUUCAUCAAAUUGUGAACACUUAGGGAAAUUACAAUAUUUAGUACAUCAGUCUCUACGCAGUCCUAGAGAUUUCACAUGGCCACAAAGCACAUCUCUAGGUAUUGGCUUUGUUAUAGGAUCUGCAACCAUUCUAUGCGUAGUAUGUACUCUAAGUUCACAUCCUUUCGUGCAACCAUAUCCUUGACAAAAUUAUACUUGGUAUCUAUAUGUUUGGUCUUGCCAUGAUAUUUGGAUCUUUAGUGUACACUUUUGCUGCUUGAUUAUCAUAGUUAACUAAUAACAAAUCUGCAGCACUUCCAAUAACACCUAAAUGAUCCAAUAAUCUCUUAAGCCAAACAUCUUCUUAUACUGCUGUUGAUAAUGCCACGAACUCAGUUUCCAUCGUGGACAAGGCUAUACACUUUUGUUUCUUACUGCUCCAACAUAUGGUGCCAUUAUUCGGUAAGAGAACAAACCCAGAGGUAGAUUUCCUUUUAUUUAAAUCUCCUCCCGAAUCAAUAUCAGAAUAGCCUUAGAGUCGCAGAUCCUUUCCAUAAUAACUCAGCGUAUAAUCAGCAGUCCCCUUUAGAUACCUUAGUAUUCUUUUAACGGCUUUCCAAUGUGCUUGACCUGGAUUGGAUUGGUAACUAUUCAUCAUUCCAACUGCAAAGCAUAUGUCGGGUGUUGUACACAUCAUAGCAUACAUCAAGCUCCCAACAGCACUAGCAUAAGGAACAUAUUUUGUUUGUUCCUUCUCUUGUGGAGUCCUUGGACACAGUCUAUGGCUCAAUCCUUCACCUUUUGCAAUAGGAGUGUUUAUGGGUUUACAAUCCCAUAUCAUUCAUCUCAAAGUUGGAAGACAACUGUCUCUUGACAGUAUUAACCAACUCCAUAUUGCUUCCGGCAAUUAGUAUAUCAUCAACAUAUAAUGAUAUGAUCACAAAUUGAUCCUUGGAUCUUUUGAUAUAUAUACAAUGAUCCUCAUCUAUCAUUGUAAGAUCAUAUGCUAUUAUGGCAUUAUGAAAACGUAUAUAUCAUUGUCUUGACGACUGCUUAAGGCCAUAUAUCGACCCCCAAAGUCGACAUACCUUUUCUUCUUGGCCUUUCACUAUGAAACGGACAGGUUGUUCCAUAUUUAUUUAUUCCUCUAAUUCUCCAUUGAGGAAAGCAGUCUUUACAUCCAUUUGAUGUAACUCAAGAUCCAGACUAGCCACUAUUGCCAGAAUUAUGCGAAUCGAGGUAAAUCUCAAUACAGGAGAAAAUGUAUCUUCAUAAUCAAUAUCUUCCUGUUGAUUAUACCCCUUCGCCACAAGGUGAGCCUUAUGCUUUUCUAUCGAGCCAUCAGCCUUUCGCUUUAUUUUGAGAACCCACUUGUUCCCAAUGGCUUUGCAUCCUUUUGGAAGAUCAACCAGUUCCCAGACUUGGUUUGACUUCAUUGACUCCAUUUCCUCUUCCAUUGCAUUAAUCCAUUUUUCCUUACUAGGGCAAUUAAGAGCCUCUUCCUUUUCUUGCGGAGCAACCAUAAAAGUUUCCCUUUCAAUGUCAAAACAUCGACGGGGAAUACUUUGGCGACUUGUUCACCGUAUGGGAGAUUGUACACUUAGCACAUCAUUCCCAAUUAUGCUCCCACUUGGAUUAGGUAAUGAUGAUGUCGUCACAUCAGGUGGUUGCAAUUGAGAAUAAGUUGAAUUCAAUUCAUCACAUCUCAUAUUACUCCCACUUGGAUGAACUCCACUUUCAAUUCAUCACAUCUCAUAUUACUCCCACUUGGAUGAACUCCACUAAUAUCAUUAUCUUGAUCCAAGGUUUCAAAUAGGAAGUAAUCUUCCCCUAUUUCGCCCCUCUAAGGAAAUUCAUCCACUAAGAAUGUGACAUCCCGUGAUUCAAAAUUCAGUUAUUCUCCCACUUUCCUGCUCACCUAUGAACACAUACCCUUUCGAGUGUUCGGAGUAUCUCAUUAAAAUACUCUACUUUUAUCUGGGACUCAAUUUCCCAAACUUGUGAGAGGACAUAUGAGUAUAGGUAGCAUAACCCCAUGGCUUAAGUAAACUUAAGUCCGGUUUCUACCUAUCCAUAACUUAUAUGGAGUGGAAAUAACUAAUUUGGAAGGCACCCGGUUAAGUAUGAAGGCAACAGUUAGCAACGCAUCACUCCAAAAAAAAGUGAUGAGUAAGUUAGCAUGCGCCAUCAUGGACCUAACCUUUUCCAGUAGGGUUCUGUUUCUUCUCUCCGCAACACCAUUUUGUUGAGGAGUAUAUGGAAUAGACAACUGUCUUUCUCUUCCUUUUUCAUCACAUAAUUUUCUGAACUCAUCAGAUAAAUAUUCUUGACCUCGAUCGGAUCUCAAUACUUUUAUUUUCUUGUCUAAUUGAUUCUCUACCAGGUUCAUAAACUUUUUGAAACAACUUAUGCUUCAGAUUUAUGAGAAAUCAAAUAGACAUAUCCAAAUCAAGUAGAAUCAUCUAUAAAAGUGAUGAAACAAACAGCCCCUUGCCUUCCUCUUAUAUUCAUUGAACCACAGACAUCAGAAUAGAUUAAAUGCAGAGGAAAUUCAGCUCUUUUACCUUUUCCAAAUGGUUUCCUUGUCGUUUUCCCUUCUAGGCAAUGCUUACAUAUAAGCAAAUCGACUUUUUCAAUAUUGCCCAACAAGCCCUCUUUGGCUAGUCUUUUCAUAUGUUGUUGGCCCAUAUGACCAAGUCUAGCAUGCCACCAUAUUCACAUCAUUAUCAUAUAAAGUAGAAGACGUGAAACAAGGGAAUAACAUAUUGACAUCACCACAGUCAACAUUUAGUACAAUAAAACCAUCCAGAAAGUGACCAAAAAUUAUAGUAGUUUGUAUCCAAAUACAAAUCUACACAUCUAUUAUGGAAGUUCAUACUAAAAACCAAGCUUAACCAAUGCAUCAAAACAGACACUUAAAUUUCGACGAAUCUCCGGAGCAUAUAGAACAUCAUGUAGGAACAAGUUGCGUCCACCACGCGUGUUCAAUUGGCAGGUGCCAAUCCCUUUAAUUUCAGCUCUGGAGCUGUUUCCCACAUAGAUCCACUUAGUUCCAGUUGGUAUCGUCGGAAUUCUACGAAGGAUCCUUUAUCCUUCGCUACAUCGUCUGUUGCUCAUGAAUCUACAGUCCACAAAGGAUUGGAUUCAGCUAAUAAUGCAGAACUUGACACAUAAUCAAAGUUCUCAAAUGUACAAGAGGUGUUUACCUUUUUCGGCUCACAACAAUUGCGAGCAUAGUGACAUUCUUGUCACAAUUGUAACACCUCACCCUUGACAUUUUCUUCACUUGAGGACGUUUUCCUCUCUUGUGUUGGUUAACUCUUGAUCUCUUGCAAUAAGGACUUGAUCCUUUGCUUUCCCACAUAUUGAACGAAUCAAUACGUUUGCGCUUAGAGCUCAAAGCCCUUUCUGAGCUAGAACCAGCAUAGCCUAUGUCUAUUUUCGGCUCAAAUGCCGAUAGCCAGUCCUCUACUAGCUCAAGGUGGCGCACAGCAUCCUCUAGAUCUUCCAUAAUAUGGUCAAGAGCUUCUAAUGCUUCUUGCUUUUCCAGCACAUAUUGAAUCUUCAUAUUCAAUAUUUCACAAUUGUUGCCGUUCAUAUCAGCAAUAACGUUCUUAGUUGCUGAAAAUAUCGAUCUGAACACAUCAGACAUACAUGCACGAAUUAUUAAUGCCUAUCAUUUAUGCAUCCACUUUUACAUAGACCCAUCAUAUUAAUGAAUAAUUUUAAGUAAGGCUUCAGAAUCAAAAAGUCACUACGUUUCCAAUCAUCCUCCAAAAAUCCUAACUUAAAACCAUCAUUAAUAUGAUUGUCAUAUGCAAAAUCAAUUCUAUGAAGUUACAAAAACUUCUAUAAUUACCCACAGCUAACUACCCACAGCAAUCAGCAGUAACAGAAAGCAAAUAUUAUCUAACAUCAAAUAAAAUAACAAUGCUUUCACAUGAUACAACUAUACAUUACACUAAGCAAUAUAUACAGAGAAAAAUAUCAACAUGGAAAGAGAUAUUUACAUCCAUAAAAAAAAAAUCCCACAAUUAAUCUAAGAAAUAAUUAGGGAAAGUUCCUUCUAAUCUAUCAGUCAAAACAUCUGAGAAAACUGAAGGUACAUUUGCCAACCAUGGAAAAAAAUUUGGAGAGCUUUCAUGUCGCCACCAAGGCGCAUUCACUCUGCGCCAUGUGGUGCUCAAUCUAAGGGUUGAAGUUUUGGCCAACUCAAUCCUAUAGUAUUCUCUUACAAAAGCUUCCACUAGCCCCCUGUAAUCCGGGACCACGUUGACCUCCCAUAGCCGAUCUAACACUGCUUGCCAUUCAGGUGGAAGAGUGUUCAUCAAAGCCGGCACCUUCUCAAAGUCCGGCAUAAGAUAACCAUUCCAUAUGAUUUCCUGUAUCAUUUGAUUGACCUUGACCAUAUGUGAUACUAAAUCACCAUCAAGCCACCGAUAAUCAGCUAACCCUUUCAUCAGCCUUUUCAGUCUAGCUUUUCCUUCGUCCGUUCUUGGGAUUGCAGGUAUCCGUGCAUAACGCAUCAUAGUUCCUGCAACAAAUGCAGAACUAAAAUGGAUCACUUUUAAUCCAUAAUAAACAAAAUGGAAAAUACAUAAAAUUCCAUGAUUCAUGCAACAAAUGCAGAAUAAAAAUGGAUUACCUACAACCCACACAGACAUAAUUGAAAAAAGAAACAAAUUCUUUUUUCUUUUUUUUUUCUUUUUUUUUUUGUCAACGGUCAAAGUCAACGGUCAACGGUCUUCGGUCAACGGGUCAACGGUCGUCGGUCAACUGGUCAACGGGUCGGUCAACGGUCAGCAGGUCAACGGGUCGGGCCGGUCGAGCCGGUUCGCGUGAACCGCCCGCACGUGCCGCUCACGUGCACGAGCUAACGUCACCAAGACGUCAUCCGGCACGUGCCGCACGCGUGCCGGGUCUCGCGCGGGUCGGGUCGCCGGUCGGGUGCCGGCGGUAACCGCUCGGCGAAACGUCGUCGGGGAUGACGUCAUCGGUGACGUCAUCCAAGCGGUUACCGACCGUUGGAUGACGUCACGGUGACGUCAUCACGUGACGACAGCACGCGUCGGUCCGCGGACCGGCGCGUGUCGUUUUGCCGGUUGCCGGCGCGCACGUGCCGGUUCGUCACCGGCGCGUGUGGCGCACGCGCUGGCCAUAGCCAGUGCUUCGAGCGCGUGGCGCCCACGCGCAGCGGCUUGUGGCCGCGCGUGUGGGCGCGUGCGGUGUCUUCCGGCGACGCACGACAUGUCGCCGGACUCGUCUCGACGUCGCCUUUCACCCGAUGCCUUUAGAAUUUGAUGCCAACUUACGAAAACUCAGAAAAAUGGCCGAACAGCGCUCGGGUGUCGGGAUUUUCGCCCCGGUCCGUACGGCCGAAGAUUUUUUUGCGAUAAAUCAAUCAAAAAACAUCAAAUUGAUCGGGAAAACGUGAACUAGUGCUCUGAUACCAAUGUUGGGAAUGACUGAUCCUCGAAAUCCGGAUUCGACACCGAAUCGAAUCCCUAAAUCAAUGCAGAAGACGAAGCCCGGGAAAACACGUAUCACCGAUCGUAAAGCACACCACGGAGUCGAGCGUACCUUGUUAGCCACAGAUUAAACACCAACGCCGAUUGAGGAAGAGAAAUCUUGGUCCUGUUGAUCCGGUGAAGGAAAAACGCCUUCAGGAGUCACUGUUUUCCUUUUGGAGGAAAACGACAGAGAGAGGGAGAGGGAGAAGCAUACGUCGUUUGUUUUAAUUAAACGGUGCCUUUUCUCUCUCUCUCUCCUCCCUUUUAUACCCCCUUCUUUCCACGGGCCCUAUUCCCGUGGGCCGGGCCUUUUGGGCCCAGCAUGGGCGGACGGGCCUUAAGCCCAUCUCAUAAAUCCAUCAAGACUCUAAGAUCAGUAAUGUGGUCAAUGUGAUAUAAAACCUCUCGUAGAUAUUUCAGGUUUGAUGUUGCACACUAUCACACGUAAACAAUCCAUUAUUUUCAUAUCUCUGUCCAUCCUAGUUAUAUCAUAAAACUAUUCGAAGAUAUUUCAGCACUAUAAAAAGAAGAAGUGAAGCAUAUAGUGAUUAAUUAAUUAUUACUCUCAACUUCUCCUUCCCUGUUCCCCUUUAAUCCCGUCCAGCUGCAUGUUCUCCUCAAUUGCUUAUCAAAAUAUGAAAUAAGGACAUAUGUCUUUUCUUGACAAAAAUGAAAGUCAGGACACAGGAGAUAUGUUUUACUUAUUCUAAUGCACAAAUACGGUCAAGAAAUAUGAGUUUGAAGAGAAAUUUUUCCACUCAAUUUUUUUUUCUUUCUCUACAGAUCAAGAAUAGUAAUCUCACUAGAUCUCUUGGCAAUGGCUUCACAAAACUCAAUUAGGCAUAAUGCUAAUAUCACUCAGAUUUAUAUAACCAGCCACCUAUUUCCUAUUAGGAUUUUGCGACAUCAAAAUAAUUGAGAAAAUUACUAAACUUAUUGCACUUGUGUCAAUUUAAUUCUAAACCUCUCAAUUUUGUCAAUAGCCAUAAACCUUUUGAUAAUUUGACAAUAUAGUUCAUCCAGCUAAUUUUGGCUAGAAAUCGCUAACGUGAAUUUUUUUUUAAUUUAACAUUAUUAUUUUCUCUUCUUUUUUUUCCUGCCCUUCUUCUUUUCUUCUCUUUUCCUUCUUUUCCUUUUUUUUUUCACUGUAACAUAUUCUGCAUUGCAGUCUCAAGACUAAUUGCCCUUCAUUGGAACAAUCCUAAUUCAACCAUUCCUUGUGCUUACAACUCAGAAAAGCUCAAGAUUGCCAAAACAAAUAUCUUACUUAUAACCUUCUAAAACUCUAGAAGAAUGAUGUAUUGUUUCUAAUUGGGGGCAAGCAUGGUUUUAGUGUAGAACUUAAAACCUAAGAAUCGGACCGAUGGGAACCUGUAGAUUCUAGGUUCCAAUGUAUGCAGAAUAGGUUACAAGUUCCAAAAAAUGAGAAACUUGUUUGAACGGGUAGAUUCAAGGUUCCUGAUUGAAGAAACCUGAAACCUAGAACAAGUUUUAAUAUUUUUAUCGGUCCAUGUCUUUGUGCGAUCCUCCAAUUUUCCGUGCUGCUUGAUGAUGAAUGUAUAAUUUGGAAGUAUUAAUCCGAGCUUUCAUUUUGUGACUGAGAAUUUUACCUUUUUAAUGUUCAUAUUUUUUGUAUGUCUAAAUAUAAGUUAUGGUCAAUGAAUUGUAGCAGCAAGUGGAGGUCAUUAAAGGUUUUAAUUCACUGUAAUUGUUUAAUUAAUAAUAUAAGUGGAACCUAGGUAAACCCUAUAACUUGUGACAUGGUAGAUUUCAGGGUUUAGGGUAUGUAGGGCAAGUGCCAAUUUCUAAAAAAUGAGAAACAUGUUUCAAUGGGUAGGUUCUAGGUUUCAAAUGAAACCUAUACGGAAUCUGGAAUUGCUCACCUCUAUUACUAACAAUAGAUAACGAAAUACUGUUAUUUACCCACAACCAUGCAAACAACUUUAUAUCUUCAGUCGAUGGUUAACACCACAACGCAUACAUUUACAUAAGAGGAAAAGGAUUACAAGAACAUCAAGAAGAAGCCCCACCAAAAGACAACUGAAACAUAGCUAUCACAAAGUUGAUUAGAGAACCCGCAGCAAAGAGCAAGAGAGAAAGAAGGAAGAGAGAAGGAAUAGAGAGGAGGAGAAGAAGGAGAACGUAAAAGAAAGAAACAAAGAGGGGGUUGUAGAUUUCUGUAGUAACAGAAACCCUACACCCAUUGUGUUUAUAUUAAAUAUAAAUUGUAUAUGACCAUAAUACCAUUAUGUAAGUAAAAAAAAAGAAAAAACUCUGAAAAAAAAUAACUCAAUUAAAGUAACUUAAUACUCCCCCUCAAGAUGGAGCAUAUAUUACCCAUGCCCAGCUUGGAACAACCAGCAACAAAAGUAGGACGGAAUAAUGCUUUGGUGAACAUAUCAACAAACUGAUCUCUAGAGGCAACAUAAGGAGUAGCAACUAGCUUAUGCUUCACAGCAUCACGAACAAAAUGACAAUCAACUUCUAUAUGCUUAGUUCGCUCUUGAAAAACAAGAUUCCCAGCAAUAUAAAUAGUUGUUUGAUUAUCACAUAUCAUAUCAAUAGGUUGAUUAAUAGAAAAUCCAAGCUCCUGGAGAAGAUAUUUCAACCACAUCCAAUUCAACCACAGUAUGUGCCAUAGCACGAUAUUCAACCUCCACACUAGACCUGGUAAUGGUAGUUUGUUUCUCGCUUCUCCAAGUAACCAAAUUGCCACUAAUAAAGGUGCAAUAUCCAGUCGUAGACCAUCAAUCAUAUGUUGACCCAGCCCAAUCAGCAUUAGAAUAGUCAACUAGAGUGGAAAAACCGUUAGGUUUAUAAAUUAGUCCUUUACCAGGAGAGCUUUUAAGACACGGUAUCAGAGUAGAUCUAACUACUUGAUUACUUGAUCUUAUUGCUGGUUUGAGAGUCCCCUAGUAACCCUACUUCUUCUCUGGUGCACAACCACCUAAAGUUGCAAUUUUUAUCUGUUUUCUCUUCAAGUCUUGAUACAUAUGAGAUAAGAAGAUAUUAGAUUCAUUAGGUUCAGUUUGUGAACAUGGAUUACAACACUUACUAGUCAGCUGUGACACCCCUCGACGGCCUUGGAUCCGAUUUGGGUCGCCACAGUUUGCGUACCAUUUACUUUCCUAAUAACAUGUCACUCUGAUACCAUUUCAAUUUCAGCGGGUCCAUACAACCAUGGGGAUUUACACAUUUUUUUUUAUAGGUCCCUUGCACAAUUCAUAUACGGAAGCACAUUUAGCAAACUCCCCUCCCUAUAUUUAGAAAACGAUGCACACCUACUAAACAUCUUAUAUAAGUUAAAACCGAACACGUUUAUUUACAUAGAGCAGAUGGACAUCUUUAGUCGGUACAUCAAAAUGCCGUAGUUUUCUAUACUCGGCUACACUUCAAAAGAUGACCGACAUCUCCUCCCACAAUCGUAUGCUUAAGGUCCAUCAACUAGUGUCGGCGUCCAAAGGUUCCCUCCUUUGCUAUCUUCUCCUCGCGGUCAUAUCCAACCGCUCAAACCAUUUACUAAUCUGAAAUGUUAUUCUCCAAAAGGGGUGAGUACAACCACUCAGCAGAUAGGGAAAAGCAGAUAGGGAAAUCCAAUAACAACUCAAUGCAUUAGGUAGAUCAUACAUGCAUUGCAAGCGUUACUUACCUUGAAGCCAUGCGCAUACUAUCAUGCAUCAUCAUAUCAAUUUAUAACACAUACAUGUAUAUCAUCAUCGUAUCAUACAUGUCAUCAUCGUCAUGACAUCAUUACAUCAUACGUGUCAUCAUCAUCAUGGCCUCAUUACAUCAUACAUGUCAUCAUCAUCAUGGCAUCAUUACAUCAUACAUGUCAUCAUCAUCAUGACAUCACCACAAUACACAUGCCAUAUCAUAUAUCAUCAUCAUCAUCAUCAUCAUCAUCAUCAUCAUCAUACCAUGGGUGAUCAUCAUAUCACAUCACAUAUCAUCAUCAUCAUCAUCAUGCAUAUCAUAUCAUGGGUGAUCAUCAUAUCACAUCACAUAUCAUCAUCAUCAUCAUCAUCAUCAUGCAUAUCAUCAUGCAUAUCAUAUCAUGGGUGAUCAUCAUAUCACAUCACAUAUCAUCAUCAUCAUCAUCAUGCAUAUCAUCAUGCAUAUCAUAUCAUGGGUUAAUUUUCAUCUUUUAUCUUUAAAUUUGAUCACCACAUCACCCAUUUCUCAUAUCAUCAAUUUCAUCAUCCCUUCGGGCAAAGACCUCCGAUAGGGUUCCCAGCAUUCCAGCCAUCCCAUGGCCACCGGGCUUCCGGCCCCCCACAUUCCGGGCAUCUCGCAUCCCAACUAGCAUCACGAGGCAUUCCCUUCGGGCAGAAACCUCCGACAGGGCUUCCGGCCUUUACCCUUCUAGCCAGGCAUCUCGCACCCCAAUCCUGGCAUUGCGAGGCAUUCCUUUCGGGCAAAGACCUCCGACAAGGCUUCCGGAAUUAUGUACCGACAUACCACCAGGCCUCCCCUGGAAUUACGUACCGUAUACCACCGGGCAUCCCGACACUCCCGGGGAAUCUCUGGAAUUACGCCACUAGGCCACCGAGUAUCAUCAUCCACCAAAACCACUUCCUCACUUAUCAUUAUCCACAUUUACCAUUAUUUUGAUCUCAAUUUAACAUGGCAUAUGGCGUGACAUCAAACAAGUCAUACUUGGCACACAUGCAUCACAAUUCAAUGUCAUACAUACACCAAUAUCUCAUCAUACAUGCAACAGUGCAUAAUUAUUUAUUAAUAAAUUCAAUGGAAUUUAUGGCCAAUAAAAUAAUCCAUUUUAUUUAUUUAUUUUUAAUAAAUAAAUAUUAAAUUCAAUAUCCAUAAAUUCCCAAAAUUAUAAAAAUUACAGAAAAUAUUAAACAAGCCAAUAGGAUGAUAAUUUCAUACAAAAUACAUGGCCAAAUAGCAUUUCACACAAUUUCCCAAUUUUCACAAAACAGCACAUAAUAUUCGGAUAAAUCCAGAAUGCACAGUUUCCGAAUAAAUUCGAUUAAAAUAUCCAUACGGUCUCCAAAAAUUACGACAUUUUACAGAGUGAUAGCCAAGACAUUUUCGCACAACUUUUAUGAAGAACUCCAAGCCAUAUUAUUUUUAGAUUAUUUUAUAAAACCUCACGAAGCUUCUGGAUCCAUUACCGCAUCGUCCAGUGCACAUAUCACCGAAAUAUUAAGAUUUAACCUACCUAUUAUCUUUCGUUUCCUCUGAAAUUCAGAUAUGUUAUACAUAAAGGUGUUCUCUACAAGUUUCAUGAAGAUAUCCAAGUCAAAUAACCAGAGUAGAGUCAUCAUUUAGGUCCUUGAAGUCUCGGGUAUCUCAAAAUACAUAACCAGAAUCAUCUUCUUCAAUAUCUAGUCGAUUCACUAGGCUAUACUUGUUAAUUUCACUUAAAAUUUGAGUAUGUUGUAGUUUAAGAUGUUUUCUACGACUUUCAUGAAGACAUAAAAGUGAGAUUCUCAGCAAAAACCAACAUGCAACCAUGAAUCCAGCAAGAGGUCAGUAAAAACUCUCCAGAUCUGAGGUCUCCGUAGAACAAGACUUUAACCCCUCAAAUCUCCAUAAUUUUUCACAAAAUUUCAGUAUGUUAUAGUAAAAGAUGUUAGCUACAACUUCCAUGAAGACAUCGAAUCCAAAAUAGGACUCCAAACACACAUGCAAGCUCAAACAAGUUUCUGACUCACAUGAUCCGAACGAAAACAGUGACACUACUCACACACCACACAUCCAAGCUUCGGUUUUUGACAUCUAUCACUCAAGAUUUCAACAUGCAAACAACAUAUAAGCAUGCAAGAGAAGCUAGAGGACUCCACUUGCCUCUAGACCAAAGAAAACGACGGCGUAGGGCGGCGAACACGGCGGCACACGGCGGCUCCUCCUCCUUCUUUCUCUCUCGGCUGCUCCCUCUCUCUCGCAUCUCACUCUCUCGGCUCACUCUCUUGGCUGAACAAGCCACUCCCUCUCUCUCCCUUUCUCUCUCUCUUUCUUUUUAGUGGCUUUUAUAUUGCAUGUGGCCGCCCAAGAUGGCCAAUGGGGGCAGCCACACCUUGCACAACCCCCAUGCCACUUGGCAGCUCGCAUGCAAGGCUUGUGGGCUUGGAUUGGGCCGGCAAAUGGGCUGGUCGACCACUCCUUUUGGGCCUCUAUUGGGCCGGCCAUCUUGGCCCAUUAAAGGCUUAGGCCAAUGGGCCUAAGGCUCAACCUAAAAAUUGACCUUUUCCCCUUCUUCUUUUUUUUUUUGAAUUCUUCUAUAAAUAUUUUUAAAUUUCAAUUUUCAUCUUGGCCAAAGUCUUGGGACAUUUUUGCUCAUUGAAAUUUAGUUUAUAAAUCAUAUGGCCAAGCAUAGAUUAUCAAUCUAUCAAAUUUAAAUUCUUACAAUCAUAUGCAUAAUUCAUCUAAAUAAAAAGACUAAUGGCUAAAGCAUAGGCCAUGGAAAUUUAUCACCUAAAUUAAAGACUUUAACACACCUUAUGGCUUGGCUUUGAAUUUCGGGAUGCUACAUCAGCGGAUUCAAGAAUCAGAGUACUUCAUUGAUUAUGGUUGACUGGUCUUGCUGGGUUUCCAUCAAACAUAUAACUAUUUGAAUCGAGAUUUCUGGUCAGACAUUUUCUUCUAUACAGCAGUCUAUAUUUAUGAGUUUUCAACAUCCCUUUGGUUAAUUGAUGGAACCAAUUACAUCUUAUUAUACAUCAGUGUUGCUGUUUUGUUUCUUACACUAAAGUUUCAGGCUUCUUGAUUAGUGGUAGAUAUAUUUAUAUUAAGAUUAUCGUCAUGAGUGAUACUAAGGCUUCUAAUUCAAAUUACCAUUAUUAAAUUAAAUGGAUCCUCCAAUUACUUAUUAUGGCCCGAAGCUAUGAAGGUCUAUAUUAUGCCAAAGGGAAACUCCAUUAUCUUACCACAGACCCUCCUACUGAAAAUUCUAGAGACUAUAGUGAUUGGAUGAGAGAGAAUGAUACACUUUUGGUGUGGUUAUGGAAUAGCAUGGAACCAUCCAUCCCUGCUGAUAUCAUGUUCCACACAACUGCUAAGGGAUAUGGGAUGAUCUUAUGGAGAGUUACUCACAAGACAAAAAUAUGUCUAGAGUUUAUGAACUAUAUGAGAAGAUCUUUAAUUUUAAAUAGGGAGACAAGUCUCUUGGAGAGUAUUAUAGUGCUUUGAAAGGUAUGUGGGAAGAACUCAAUCUUCAUCAGCCCAUCACUAUUGAUCUUGAGAGACUUAAGACAUAGCGAGCUGAAUUUCAAAUGGCCAAGUUUUUAUAUGGCUUGAAUGCCGACUUACAGCCUGUGAAGAGUCGGCUUCUUGUUGGAGAGAGAGUUCCUUCUAUGAAUGAAGCAUUUUGUUGAAUUCAGCGCAUUGUCCCUCCAUCUUCUACACCAUCUAAAGAGAAUUUAGCAUUUGUGGCUAAUAGUGGUGGUCGUGGUCGUGGUGGAUUUUCCAAUAGAGGUCGUGGUUUUGAGGGAGGUCGUAGUCGUGGUGGUGGACGUAGUGGACAAAGUUCUGAUCGAGAUAGCCGUCAGUGUAUAUACUGCGGCAAAUCCGGUCAUAUUGUUGACACUUGUUGGGCCAAGCACGGCAAGCCCGAGUGGGCUCAACAAUUAGUUACUGCAAAUACUGCUGUGUUUGAAGGGAGUACUGGAAAUGUGUCUUAUAGCGACAUGAACCCAUCUAUCCCACCUGGGGGUAGUUUUUUUGAGUCUACAGCUUGAGAUGAUAUGGUUGCACAACUCAUCAAGCGUGUCCAACAACUAGAGGCUUCCAAUUUCACAUCUACUACCACUCUUGUACGUACAGGUAACAUGGCCUCUUUCUCUACUUUGUCUCCUAGCACCUCUUGAGUCAUUGACUCGGGAGCUUCUAGUCAUAUGAUGCGUAAGCAAGAACUAUUUUCUUCCCACCAUAACUCUAGUCCUUCAUCAGAAGUUAUUUUAGCUAAUGGUUCCUUGACUCAAGUGGUUGGAUCAGGGACUGUUUCAUUUACAUCUUCCUUAUCUUUAUCCUUUGUUUUACAUGUUCCCCAACUUCCUUUGAAUUUGUUAUCUGUUAGUAAGUUAAUUAAAGCUCUUAGUUCUUCAGUUACAUUUUACCCAUCUUAUUGCGUCUUUCAGGACCUUCAGACAAAGAAGAUGAUUGGUGGAGGGCAUGAACGUGAUGGACUCUAUUAUCUAAAUGGUGUCUCCACUGCUGACGCCAAUAGUUUAGCUACUAGUUCUAUUAACCCCUUAUUAUGGCAUUCUUGUUUAGGGCAUUUAUCUUUAUUUAAGUUACAACAAUAAUUCCCGAGUGUAAAUCAAUUUCUACUCUUGAGUGUGAGGCUUGUGAACUUGGGAAAUAUCGUUGUAGUUCGUUUCCUAGUCGUAUUGAUUCUCUUGCAUCUACUUUACUUGAACUUGUUCAUUUAGACAUCUGGGGACUUUCCCGUAUUGCUAGUACAAAUGGCUUUAAGUACUUUGUUACUUUUGUGGAUGAUUAUUCUCGUUUAACAUGGCUCUAUAUGCUUCAUGAUUGUUAUGAUUUUUUACAUGUUUUCCAAUUAUUUCAUCGUGAGGUUACUAAUCAGUUUAAUACAUCCCUUAAAAUUUUGCGAACAAAUAAUGUUCUAGAAUAUAUACAGAAAUCAAUUUCUUUGUUUGUUCUAAUCUUGGCAUUAUACAUGAAACAAGUUGUACUUAUACCCUUCAGCAGAAUGGUGUGGCCAAGAGAAAAUACCGUCACCUUCUAGAAGUUGCUCGUUAACUCUUAUUUCAUAUGCAUGUGCCAAAAUCAUUUUGGAGUGAUGCUGUCCUUACUGCAUGUUAUCUCAUAAAUCGUAUGCCUUCCACUAUCCUCAAUCAUCAAUCACCAAUCAGUGUUGUAUUUCCUGACAAGCCGUUAUUCUCUCUCACCUCGCGUAUCUUUGGGUGUGUCUGUUUUGUUCAUAACCUACGUUCCGGUUCUGAUAAACUAUCUCCUCAUGCCACUAAAUGUAUUUUUCUCGGGUAUUCAUGUGCACAUAAGGGAUAUCGGUGUUAUAAUCCUACAACUUGUACCCAAUAUGUUAGUGCUGAUGUUACUUUUUUCGAGGGCAUAACAUACUAUUCUACUGAGGGUAAAGAGUUUUCAACUGACUUUGUAGUUGAUUCUCCUAUCCCACAACUUAUCCCCUUAGAUUCUGUUAGUCCUUCUCCAGUACCUCCUCCCUUACAGGUGUAUUAGCGGUGAAAGCAGUCUAUGGCACCACUGGUCUCCGGCUCUUCCAUGCUUUCCGUUCAAACUUCCUCCUUGUCUCCUAGUUCGGAUGAUCUCCUGAUUGCCCUUCACAAAGGUACUCGGUCUUGCACAAAAAAGUCCUCUUUGGCUUAUCCUAUUGAGCGUUAUGUGUCUCUCUCACAUCUUCCUUCUCCAUCACAUGACUUUGCUCUACCAUUACAAACUCACACAAUUCCUACUUCUACCACUGAGGCUUUGUUUUGCCUUGAGUGAAAGAAAGCUAUGGAUGUGGAAAUGGAAGCUCUGGUGUCUCGCCAAACGUGGUCAUUGGUUGAUCUUCCUCUUGGGAAAGAUGUGGUGAAGUGUCAUUGGGUGUACACUAUCGAGUACAAUCCGGAUGGCUCAAUUGAACAUCUUAAAACUUGGCUCGUUGCUAAAGAUUUUACUCAAACUUAUGGAGUGGAUUAUUUUGAGACUUUUUCUCCUGUGGCACAUCUCAAUUCUAUUAGUGUUAUUAUUUCUCUUACUGUGAAUUUCGAUUGGCCAUUAUAUCAAUUGGAUGUCAAGAAUGCUUUUCUUUAUGGCGAUUUAUCCAAAGAAGUAUAUAUGGAGCAACCUCCUAGGUAUGUUGCUCAGGGGGAGAAUCAUAGUAAAGUAUGUCGGCUACAUAAGGUCAUUUAUGGGUUGAAACAAUCUCCAAGAGCGUGGUUUGAAAAAUUCAGUUUAGUGAUUUCCAGAUGUGGUUUCCACCAAUGUUAUUCUGAUCAUUCUGUUUUUGUUCGCAAGAAGGAAUCGGGGGUGCUCAUUCUUGUGGUAUAUGUGGAUGAUAUAAUUGUCUUUGGUAGUGAUAGGACUGGCAUUUAUGAGGUUAAGUCAUUUCUUCAGCAGCAAUUUCAGAUUAAAGACUUGGGAACUCUUAGGUAUUUUUUGGGUAUUGAAGUUUUACAAAGUAACUUAACAAUAGCGAAACAAGCGUCAUCAAAUAUCGUUCGCCUUCUGUUAUUGAACUUAAUGGUGUCGGCCAUCGCUGCUAGACCUUCAGUAGAUGAAGCAACAAAUGCCAAGAUUACGGCGUUACCUGGACAACCUAUGGACAUGAGUUUUGCUCAGUAUUCGGGACAUGUGACCAUAAACGAAAAAAAGAAGCUGUUCUAUUGGCUGGUUGAAGCGUCAUCGGAUGCAGAGUCUAAACCUCUUCUUCUAUGGCUCAAUGGAGGACCCAGCGCCUCGACAAUCGGGUACGAAGCCUUUCGAGAGAUUGGACCCUUCCAGAUCUUGCCCGACGGGAAGCUUCUUAAGAGACAAUUUGCUUGGAACACUGGUAAUUUUGUUUCAGCAACGCUUUGUGUAUUAAAUCUCGAUUAAGACUCGUUCGUUGAAUGUCUCAAAUGGUUAUUACCUUAUGUGACUUGCUAUUUGGUUUUAUUGAUCAGGGAAAGUCAAACUCAAGAAACUUUAGGCCCGCCUCUCUCUAAGAAGAAACACAAUUGAGAAGGCGCCAAGUUCUAUUUUUUUUGGUCCAAAAAAUGUGCCAAGUUUAAAUAGUGACAUAAUUAGUGUAUAGAUUGUAGUAUGGAGACUCAACAUUUUCAUUAUAUUUGUCGGUUAGCUUUACCCUUUUAACUCGUUAUAGAUUGUAGUAACGGCUCUUUCAUGACGGCAGACUACAUGAUCCAUUUUUGUCUUUAUAUUUGGAUUACAUUUUUCAAACUCAUAAACAAUGCGUCAUCACUAAGAAAUCCAUACUUAAGAUGAAGACUGAAUAAUAACAUCUUGUGGUUGCUGGAGCUGGAUUUUGUAUCCUCAGCGUAGCUGAGUCAAUCGGAGAUAACAGCACCGGUAGGGACUUAAUGACUUGCUCUACCUGUUUGCCCUGGUUUGAUUAUUGAGUCUUCCACUCUAUACUUUCUUUCAAAAAGUCUCAAGUUAUUUCAUUUUCUUUCCAUCUCAGCCAUGGACAGUCACGCAUUUCUAAAUAAAUGGCUCGAAAUCUUUCCAAAAUACAAAUACCGAGACUUCUAUGCUGCUGGAGAGAGCUGUGCAGGUACGCGUUUUCUGUGGCCAUUUUAAUGAAUAACGUAAUUUUAGGUCACGCACGAGUUUAAUAAUAAACGCUUAUUCCAGGACAUUAUGUGCCUCAACUCGCUCGACUGACAGUAAACCGCAACAUGGGGAUCAUGCGACCAAUCAUCAAUCUGAAGGGAAUAUUGGUGAGAUGACUAGUGUCGAAUCUGCAUGUCGAAGCAUAUCCAUUUCCAUUUUCGCUAUUAAACUGGACAAAGCUAGUGUUCUUUUCUUGGGUAAAAAUUUCCUAGCCAGGAAACCCUCCUUGACGACAAAACUGGAGAACCGGGUAUGGCUGAUUACCUGUGGAAUCAUGGGUUGAUCUCAGACACCACAUACCGAAACUUACAGAAAUUUUGCGCUGUCGAUAGACAAUCUGAUGACUGCAAUAAAGCCUGGGAUGAAGCAUACAUGAAUGAAUUUGGAGACGUCAACAAUUUUAACCUAUUUAUGAGACCGUCUGCGAGCCCCAUACAGGUGAGAUAGCUCCUAAAUCUAUUCUUAGAGACUGGUAAAUGGGCGGUAAGAAAGCCUGACAGCACUUUGAUACUCAAUCCUCAGUUUUUCUCUGCAAGUAGGAUUUGAUUGACAGAGGGGCAUUACUCGGAUGAUGACACUAGUACUCACUUUGAGAAGGAAAGAGGUGCAGGAAGCUUUCCACAUCGACCCUUCGUAUAUUCCAGUGAACUAUACCAGGAAUUGUUCAUGAUUCAAGAACUUCACUCAAAUCAAGGGAAUGGAAAAUUCCUAGGGAAUGAUAAAUCAUGAGGUUUUGCUUAUUUAGUGACCUGGUUCAACAGAACACUACGUAGAAAGUGACACAGAAUCAUCGAUGUUGCGGAUUCUAAAAGAACUCAUACAGACCCAAUUGCUCAUUUGGAUACAUAGGUAAGGCGUAUUAGAUGUUAGAAACAAGAAGAAAAUCACGCCAAUGCAUUUAAUCUUAAGUUUGCAACAUUUGAUUAAUUUGAGAUAUAAUCAUGAUUGUAUUACAAUUGGUAGAAUUAGUGCAUAAACAUUAAUUGACAAUAAUGGAAGUUAUAUAUUCAUUCGUCAUCAAGAUGUCUUUUUUGGUUUUAGACAUUAAUAGUACCAAAUAUUACUUUCACUGAUCACAUUUUUUCUUUUUGAGCAGUGGGACUACAGAUAUAGCCAUUCCUUUGUCAACGGCUUGUCGCAACGUUAAAGCCCUUAAGCUCAAACUACAGGAUAUAUGGUACCCUUGGAACCAAAACAAUCUGGUAAGCGCAAUUCAAAUCAAGCUGGAGAAAAGCUUUCGUGCAGUAAUUCACGUUAAACAGAAACAAGACUCUUUGGUUUCUGAUUAGCUCGGAGGUUGGAUCAAGGUAUAUGAAGGGCUUACGUUCGUUGCUGUGUUGGGAUCGGGAUACAAAGUCCCAAUGUAUCUCCCCUCUCAUGUACAUGCUUUGUUCAAGAGCAUCCUAUCGAAUACACCCAUGCCAUGGGCACCAAGUCAACAAUGAGAAGUUCGACGUGGUAUCGCUCAAGUGACGGCUCAAGAAAAUAUCCAUGCUUGAUUUGAUGAAGCCGUUGAUGUGGAUCAUUUGUGAUUUCCUAGGUCAGCCUGGAAUAAAUGAAGUGCUUUCAAGCACAUGACCGGCCAAGAAGUUCAUGUUUCUGCAGUUGGAAGUGAUUGAUAUUUCCUGUUGGUUCUUGCUUCCAAAUUCUCAACUGCAAUGAGGAAGGUUAUUGUGUUUCAUCCCUCUACUUUUACCUCUCUACUUUUACCUCUCGACUUUUUCUUCUUUCUAUUUUUUCCUCUACCACAAGAAAAUAAACUGAGAUGGGCAUGCAGCUUGCUCCUGGUCGAUUCCAAGAAGGAAAACGAAAAUUUAUGAAAAGCCAGUAUUUUCUGAUUUUUAAAAAGAAAAUCAUUUUCCUGAAUGCAAGGUGUAGGCAUCUUGCUGACUAUGAGAUGAUAGUGCAUUAUCUCAUCUUCCUACGAUCUAAACAUCAGAAAAUGAGAAAAAUGUUAUCCAACAGAAAACUUUCGACAAAAUAAAUGGAAUUUAAGCUUGAAUUGAAUCAAUUCCCAUAAUGCAAUUUCUACAUAAAUGCAACUUUGAUCAUUUUUUUUUUGUUUCCAUAAAUAUCCACGAUAGAAGUAAAUUACAACCUAGACAAAUUAACUUACGUCGUGUUGGGGAGAACCUGGGGACACAAUUCACCAUCGCCAAUCGCAAUUUAGGAUCAAUUUCUCCCCCAAAACUAAAUCAACUAAAAAUCUCUUAACCCCUAGCAACAAUCAGUAAUGUAUAGCCUCACAAUAUGUAAAUAUAAUACCGAAAUAAUAAGUAGACAAAGCAAAUAACAACACCAAAAAUUUAACGUGAAAAACCCGAUAUGGGAAAAAUCAUAGACUGUCCAAAAACAUCUACUAAUCACCAAGAAUAUCAGGAUAUACAAAGUAUUAUUCUCUAGUCAUACACUAGAGGCUCAACAUCAACAUUACAACCAUAUUUUUCUCACCACAUAGGUAGAUAAACAAGUUUGGAGUAAGAAAACCUUAACCACAACUGGAAAAUUUGGAGACGGUUCUUGACAAACAAAAACCAUCAACUUGUAGCUCUCGAUCUCAUGAACAACAUACUGAAAUUUGAGCCGAUUCCGUCAAUAUUUGGCCUUUGAAUAGGAGCUACAAAUUUGCAAUCUUCUUCCUUUCUCCUCUUCUCCCUUGCUUCUGUAGUUUUUUUUUUUCUCUUGUUUUCUCUCUCCUCUUCACUUUUUGGACGCACACACGCACGACCCCGCUUCCACUUCUUUUUCUUCUUUUCUUUUCUUUUUGUUUUUUUUAUUUGAUGCUAGCUGGGCCCCACAUGAAGGUGGACCCAGCCAACAAAUCUCCCCCUCUAUCUCAUGUGGGAAGGUUUGUCAUGCCUGCUUUUCUUCUACAAGCGUCAAGCUUCACCACGAGCAAGGCCUUAAUCAUCAUGUCAGACCUAUUGUUAUCGGUAUGAACUUUCUCAAGUAGGAAGAGCUUCUCUUCUAGCUUUUCUCGGAUCUAAUGAUACUUCACAUCAAUAUGCUUCGAUCUUGAAUGUAACACUGGAUUCUUGCUAAGAUGGAUGACACUCAUGCUAUCGCAAUAUAGAACAAACUUCUCUUGCUUCAGACCCAACUCUUAUAGGAAUUUUUGCAUCCACAAGAGUUCUUUACCUAUUUUAGUAAUAGUGAUAUAUUCUGCUUCAGUUGUAGACAAAGCAAUACAUUUUUGUAAUCUCGAUUGCCAUGAAACAGCUCUCCCUGUAAAGAUUAUUAUAUAACCCGAUGUGGAUUUCCGAGAAUCAACAUCAUCGGCAUAGUCCGCAUCUGAGUAACCACUCAACUCAAGCUUUGCAUUUCCAUAACACAAGCAAAGUGUAGAAGUGCCUCUAAGAUAUCUCAAAAUUCAUUUAAUAGUGGUCCAAUGUUCCUUACCUGGAUUAGAGAGAAAUCUACUCACAACACCAACUGCAUGAGCAAUAUUGGGUCUUGUACAAACUAUGGCGUGCAUCAGACUGCCCAUGGCUGAUGCAUAAGGAAUUUUCAUCAUCUCUACCUUCUUGUUCUCACUCGAAGGACAAUCAUUAUUACUCAACUUGAAAUGGCCUACAAGUGGAGUACUCAUCGGUUUACAUGUGCUCAUGUUGAAUCUUUCAAGCACCUUUUCAAUAUACUUCUUUUGAGAUAACCAUAGUUUCUUAUUCUUCCUGUCAUGAGUAAUUCUCAUUCCUAAGAUUUGCUUAGCCGAGCCUAGGUCUUUCAUUGCAAAAGCUUUACUCAACUCAUUUUUCAAGCUCUUGAUUUUCUUGGCAUCAUUCUCAACAAUCAACAUAUUAUCCACAUAAAGUAGGAGAAUAGGAAAAUCAUUAUCUGAGAAUAUUUUCAUAAAGACACGAGAAUCAAAGUUUGUCUUACUGUAUCCUUGUUCUUCCAUGAAUGAUUCAAACUUCAUAUACCAUUGCCUUGGUGCUUGCUUGAGACCAUAUAAGCUUUUCCUCAAUUUACAUACAAGGUGCUCCUUGCCUUCAACUUCAAAACCCUCCGGUUGCUCCAUAUACAUAUAUAUAUAUAUAUAUAUAUAUCUUCUUCUUGGUCUCCAUGAAGAAAAGCCAUUUUUACAUCAAGUUGUUCAAUUUCUAAAUUCUAACUGGCGGCCAACCCAAGAACAACUUGAAUAGAAGACAUCUUUACAACGGGUGAAAAUAUCUCUUCAAAGUCUAUGCCAUUCUUUUAAUGAAAUCCAUUCACAACAAGUCUAGCCUUGUAUCGUAGUUGCAAAUUAUUUUCUUCUAUCUUUAACUUAUACACCCACUUAUUUGUGAGUGUUCUCUUACCCUUAGGCAACUUCACCAAUUCAAAUGUGUGAUUCUCAUGCAAGGAUUUAAUCUCCUCUUGCAUGGCUUCAUGCUACUCAUUUUUUCGUUCACAUGAUAUAGCCUCUUCAUAAGUUUCUGGCUCCCCUGCAUAGUGAGUAAGACAUACUCAUGUGGCAAAUAUUUUUGAGAAAGCCUACGCUCUCUUUCAAAUCCUCUAACUUAAGAUAUGAUAGAUUGCUCUUACUCUGUUAUUUCACCUGUCUCAGUUGAAGAAUCAAUAUUAUGUGAGCAUUCACCAUCUUCAUGAUUUCCACGCACUUCUUCCUCAUGAUUUCUAUCAACAUUAGAAGGAUUUAGGCUGAAACUAACUGAACAUUGAGCUAUAUUCUUUGGUCUCUCUGCUUUGUCAAUAUCUUCAAUAGUUUGAUACUCACAAAACACUACAUCUCGGCUUCUAAUGACUUUCUUUGCAAUUGGAUCCCAUAACUUGUAGCCAAACUCUUCAUGUCCAUAACCUAAGAAGAUACACUGUUUAGACUUAUCAUCGAGCUUGGAUCUUUCAUCUCUUGAAACAUGCACAAAUGCCUAACAACCAAACACUUUUAGAUGGCUGUAGGAAACAUCUUUACCACUCCAAACUCUUUGCGGAACAUCCCCUUUAAGAGGAACCGAUGGAGAAAGAUUUAUCAAGUGCACUACUGUUCUCAUCGUUUCACCCUAAAAUGACUUAGGCAACUUCGCAUGAGAAAGCAUAUACCGAAUCCGAUCAUUAAUUGUCUAGUUCAUUCUCUUUGCUACUCCAUUAUGCUAUGGUGUUUUUUGUAACAGUCUUCUCAAGCUUGAUACCAUAAUUCCUACAAUAGUGUUCAAAUGGGCCUCUAUAUUCACCACCGUUGUCAGCUCAAACACAUUUCAGCUUCUUCCCAGUUCUCUUUCCACAUUGACAUGGAAUUGCUCGAAAGCCGCAAGUACCUGAUCUUUAGAUUUCAAAGCAAUAGCCCACACUUUUCUAUAACAGUCAUCAAUAAAUGUCACAAAAUAUAAUGCACCUCUAAGAGUUCUAGCAUCCAUGCAACAAACAUCGGUGUGAACUAAAUCAAGUACAUUUGAUUUUGUGUGUGGAGAGGAAUUAUGAAAUGAAAAUCUAUGUUGCUUACCUGUAAAACAAUGAGUGCAUUCCUUUAAAUUUUUCUCCUUCAAAGGUAAAAUGUUCUUUCUAGCAAGAGCUUCAAGUCCUUUCUCGCGAAGAUGAUCCAACCUCAUAUGCCAUAAAUUAACCGAGGAAUCCUCUACUACAUUUACCUCUUCUUUAAUCAAGUCAGCUUGCAUGGUGUAGAGAGAGCUUGUCUUCUUACCCUUUGCCACUACAAUGGAACCUUUAGUCAACUUCCAUUUGUCAUUAAAGAAGGAAUUACAAUAACUAUCAUCAUCUAAGGCACCCGUAGAGAUCAAGUGAAGUUGAAUAUCCGGAACAUGUCUCACAUUUUUCAAAAGCAAAUUACAUCCGACAUCGGUUUCCAAAUAAACAUCUCCCAUGCCAAUAACCUUGUAAACACCACUAUUUCCCACCCUAAUAAAACCAAAGUCGUCACCGCGAUAAAAAGCAAAGUAAUCACGCCGUGAGGUGACAUGAAAAGAAGCCGCGGAAUCAACAACCCACAUAGAGUCUUGGCAUGUAAGAUUCACAUAUCCGUUGUCACAUACAAACACAAUAUUGCCAUCGGAUGCAAUCGCCAUUGUAGUUUGUUUCUCUUCUUUCUUUCGAUCUCCAUUUCUAUCAUGGGAUCUAUCUCUCUUUGGCAACCAACACUCUUUUGCAUAAUGUCCCAUUUUGCCGCAAUUAUAACACUUCACACUCAUUCUCGGUCUUGAUUUCGACCUUUCUCUUGACUUGCCUUGGGUAUCAUUUCUUUGAAACCUUAUUGAUUGACUUAUCGCCCUGUUUUCUAUAACAAGAGCAUCCGAUGUAGAAGCAUAAUUCAAGCAUUUUCUUCUUGUUUCUUCAUUGAACAAACUUUCUUUAACCAUGCUCAUAGAAAGCACACUAAAAGGAGUUGAGUUGUUUAAUGCCACAACCAAGGUGUCCCAACUAUCAAGAAGAGUACCAAGUAAUAAGCAUGCUUGCAAUUCAUCACCAAGAUCAAUCUCAAGAUUUGUCAAAUUGAUUUACAACAUCUUGAAAUUCACUCAACUGUUCCACCAUAUUCCUCCCCUCCUUGUAUCUCAGAUUCAUAAGUCGCUUAACUAGAAGAGUUCUAUUUUGUGGAGUUUUUCUCUCAUAGAGAUCUUGUAAUUUCUUCCACAAAGUGUCCGCGUUCAUUUCUUGAGCAACAUGAUGAAACACACUAUCAUCAAUCCAUUGUUGGAUAAACCCAACCGUUUUCUAAUUCAUUCUCUCACAUUCUUUGUCUUCCUUAUCUCCUUUGGUUUCAUCACCCUCAAUAGGAUCAAAUAAGUCUUUGCAAUAUAUUACAUCUUCCAUUCGAGCCUUCCAAAUAGAAUGAUUCGAGGCAUUUAACUUAAACAUGGUGCUGCUAGUUUCUUCCAUUUAACACUAGAAUUUCAACCUGGCUUUGAUACCACUUUAUUGGGAAGAACCCGGGGACACAAUUCACCAUGGCCAAUCGCAAUCCAGAUCAAUUUCUCCCCCGGAACUAAAUCAACUAAAAAUCUCUUCACCCCUAGCAACAACCAGCAAUAUAUAGCCUCACAAUACGCAAAUAUAAUACCGGAAUAAUAAGUAGACAAAGCAAAUAACAACACUAAGGAUUUAACGUGGAAAACCCGAUAUGGGAAAAACCACGGACCGCCCAAAAACAUCCACUAAUCACCAAGAAUAGCAGGAUACACAAAGUAUUCUUCUUUAGUCACGCACUAGAGGCUCAACAUCAACAUUACAAUCAUCUUUUUCUCACCACAUAGGUAGAUAAACAAAUUUGGAGCAAGAAAAUCUUAAUCACAACUGGAGAAUUUGGAGACGAUUCUUGACAAAGAAAAACCAUCAACUUGUAGCCUUUGGUCUCAUGAACAACAUACUGAAAUUUGAGCCGAUUCUGUCAAUAUUUGGCCUUUGAAUCGGAGCCGCAAAGUUGCAGCCUUCUUCCUUUUUUCUCUUCUCCCUUGCUCUUGCAGUUUUUUUUUUCUCUUGUUUUCUCUCUCCUCUUCACUUUCUGGACGCACACACGCACGACCCCACUUCCACUUCUUUUUGUUCUUUUCUUUUCUUUUUGUUUUGUUUUCUUAUUUGAUGCUAGCUAGGCCCCACAUGAAGGUGGACCAGCCAACACGUCGGAAGAUAACAAACGGGUUGCAACACUAAGAAUUGAGCUUAAUAUGAUGCAAACAAGUGAGUUGACAUGAGAAAUAUAUAUAUGCACGAUAAUAAACAUGCUAGGACCGCUUGGGCACUUUAGCAAGACCCAAAUGAGGCUGAAAGUUCGCUGUCCAGCCACUUGUAUUGUUACACCUCGAACUUCGAGCACGCGCACAUCCCUCGGUGGUCGACCAAAUUGCGAUGUUCCCAAGACACGUUGCCGACCUAUUCAUUUUAUUGCACAUGUGGAAGCGAACUAAACAUAUACCCGGACAACAACAAAUAUGGGAUAGAAAAGCUGAACAAUCAAUUUUUCUCAAAACACACAUUAAAAACAUCUCACGUUGGUCCUACCAGUCUAUACACAUAAGUUUGGUUCAAACAGAACUACUGAAUCACCUAUGCUCCUGACCCUGCCGUCUUGGCUCGGGGUUUUCCACACUAGGGACCUGAAAAAUGGUAACCCACGACGGGGUGAGAAUAAAUCUCAGUGAGUUUACAUCCUAAACCCCAAUUAGGAAAAUAAUUCACCUUAGAGUCAUCGCCUCAGCACCUCCUUGCACAUUAGUACAGUUCAUAUAUGUAUGCAUAUAGUAAAUGCACUCAAUAAUUGGAACACUUCAUAUUACUCAUCAAUUAAUCACAGGGGUCUCGAUUAUAAGGUCAAACUGUUAUAAUACGUCACAUUCCAUGCUACACAAUUGUGUCCCAUAAUCAAGCGCAGCUAUCUCAAUCAUUCACGCGUGUUACGAUUCUUAUGACCCAUCGACCAAGUCCAACUCAACAAUCAGCAGUCAUCCGGCAUAGCUAGGCGUCAUCUCGCCCCAUUGAGCACAGUAACAUCUAACUCUAGAUGGCAUUCCCGAAGGAGCAUCGGUCUAGCCUCUACUGCGAUCCGACAUCCGUUGAUAUGGGGCAUUCCAUAUAGGAGCAUUGCCCACCCGACUUUCAUCGGGUGACGGGUUCUCAUAGCGAUCACACGCACAUCCAAUCUCGAUCAAGAACAUCGCGCUUUGCACUCAAAUGUCUCAAUUUCAAAUAAUGUACUUGGCCUAACUUUCUUCAUAUUAAAAACACCUGAUAAAAUAAGUGUGCGUGGACACACGAUCAAAUCGGACCGUAAAGCGUGAUAUUAUUCCAUUUAAAAAUCCCACAAUUUGAUAUAGUGUUUAAAAUAAUUUUUGGUGUCAAAACCUAACACCCAGUAUUUUUCUAUUUAAAUACCAAAAUCCAAUUUUUGCAAUAAUAAUCCAUAGCAACAACCAAGCACCAAAUUGCACACUUCAGCAAUCAAUUUCACAUAUUAUCAAGCAUAAGCUCUAAGCAUGCAAAAUUUCAACCAAAGCAUCAAAUAUACACUAUCUAGCAAGCUAGAUACCAAGAACAACCACAAAACCACUACCGGUCCUAACCGGCAAAAACCGGGCCACUUGCGCGUCUGCAAGUUUAAAUCCAGAAACCUGAUCAAAUGAGUUUAGAAAAUUCUCAAAUUUUGAAUAUGUUAUAAAUGACACAUAAAAGAACACUUUUCAUGGAGACACCUUAGCCCAGAUAUUUCCAGAUUAAGAGCAGUAAAUCGCUCAAGUCGAGACAAACUAUGCUCGAGUCCAGAAAGUCUGUUUUUCCAAAACCAGCUUGGUUCGAGGUACAAAACUUGUUCGUUUGAUCUGAAAUUUGAGUAUGUUAAACUACAAUAAGUGAAAAACAACUUUUGUGAAGGAACCCUUUCAAAAAUCGAACCCAUAGAGUUGAUAAAAAUCCUUGAAAUAACAAAAGGUCACAAGUUCCAACACAAACAGAUGUUCUAUUUUGUUUUUAACGAAGUUGAAACCUCAUUCAUUUAAAUCCCUAAAAUCUUGACUAAAAUAUAAAUCAUAGCUAAAGAUGUCUAAAACAUUUUCCAAGAAGGAAGCAACUUCAAAAUUGUAGCACAUUUGGAUCCACAAAAAUGGCAAAUGGCGAUGGUCCAUCAAACUGAUCGGGGAGAAAUCCAUUGAAUUAGGCUAAACAAACAUCAUUAGUGCUAAUCUAACUAAUUAGAUCAAUACUAAUCCAUAUUAAGACUAAUCUAACCAAGCUAGAUUAACACUAAUCUCUCUUAAGGAUAAUCUCACUUAGUACUAAUUUAACUGAGUUAAUUAGCACUAAUUUAACCCCUAAGUGCAAUUAACAACACAAUCAAGGAUUAUGAAGUUAACUCACCGGAUUAGUGAGCCGAUAGGUUCAUGGAAAUGGUAGCGCGAAGGUUGUGAGAUUCCAUAGCCACGAUGUCACCAACGGAGGCUCGGACUGGGCUGAAAACAACCUUGCAAGCCCACGGCUUGCUGCUGGAAUUUCGAUUCUGUUCUACUUGGCUGAGCUUGCUAGGGGUUGAGCUAGUUGGUCACAAAUGGUGGCCUCGGUGAUUGCUAGACGGCAGGAUGCGGCUGAACAUUGGACUGUGGGCUGGACGGUGGGGGUUUGUAUGCGGUGUUGUGGUGGACGUGAAAUGAAGGAGAGACGUUGGUGGUGGAUGGGAGAUGAUGGUGAUGAUGAUGAUGGGGGAUGGGAUGACGCUAGAGAUGGGCAGACGUGCUGGUAGCAAAUGAAACAACAUGAAGAAAGGGGCUGGCAAUUGUGAGCACUGCAAGUGGCAUGAGAAGAUGCAUUUACUGGUGGGGGGGGGGGGGGGAAGAGAAGAGAGAAGUGAAAGAAAUGAAAAGAAGAUAGAGGAAGAAGAUUUCGGUGAAGCAGAAGGCUCACACGAAGAAGGAGGGGGGAAGUGAGAGAGAGAGGGGGCAAAAAUCUUGAAAGUCAAGGAGAAAUAUCCAAUUUCAUUAUUCUUUGGUCCCAAAAGUCUUCAAGCCAAUCUCUUGGUCCCCUAAUACUUUCUUGCAAAUAAUUUCCCACAAAUAACUUAUUUCGGACAGCAAAAUAGCAAAUUUCCACUCCCAUCCGAAUUUCUUUUCUUUUCCGAAUUGUCCGAAAUUGAUUUUCCGUAAAAAUUCUGGGUUCGCCGAAAAUUCUUCAAAGGAUGAGUCGACGUCUUAAAAAUAAAUUGUGACACACUAGAACUUUUGAUUCCCGAAACCGGGUUCAAUUUCAUGGUUAAUUUCGAUCGGACGCGAUUUUAGCGUGACCUAACAUACCGGGUAGUUUUUAGGAAUUUUUAGUGCAUUUGACUCAUGGUCAAUUAUUUUCGAUUCACGUUGUGCAUCUUCAACUUAUCGACGACUCUCAGUGGUCGUAAAAAUCUCAAAGUUUCAAUUACGAGCACUAGGUACAUAAUCAAUAGAAAAAUUGGUUUAGUGCCGUUCGACGCGAAUUUCGCAAUCAAGUGCAAUUACCCACAAUUUAAUUACGUGCUUCCGUCGAAUCGACCUAUCUCCGGUCUCUAAUCGAUUUUAACGAUGCCAUAUUAACCCUUGCCGAUUAGCAUGGUCAAGCAAUCGAUUUUUGAUUGAAUUUUUAAGUUUGUCACGUUUGUAUCCCUUAACAGCUUCACCUGAUAGAUUAGUUAUCUUGCGAGUGGCCAACUCAGAGAAAAAGGCCAUAGGCACGUCGAUGAAAAACCCAUUUCAUUUAAUCGAAGCAGGGUCGAAUUUUCAGGAUGUCACAACUCUUCCCCUCUUAUAAAAAUUUCUUCCUCGAAAUUUAAACCAUUACAAUUUUUCUUUAAAAAGGUGGGGGUAUUGUCGUCUCAUCGAGUCUUCACUUUCCCAGGUUGCUCCUUUUGUUCUGUGGUGUUGCCAGACCACUUUGACUAAUGAGAUCGUCUUGGUAUGCAGCACUUGUUCUUUGCGAUCCACAAUCUGAACUGGUCUCUCCACGUACAAUACUCUAUCAUCCACGUCUAACUCUUCAAAGUUUAGCACGUGGAUCGGGUCAGGCACGUAUUUUCUCAACAUCGACACGUGGAAGACGUCACGCGCUUGAGUUAGUCUCGGCGGUAACGCAAGACGAUACGCCAAAGUCCCUAUUCUUUCCAAAAUCUCAAGGGAUCGACGUACCUCAGACUGAGCUUCCCUUUUUUGCCAAAGUGCGAAGUAUCCCUCAUUGGUGACACCUUCAGAAAGACGUGUUCACCAACUUGGAAUUCCAAUGGUUUUCGACGCUUAUCUGCAUAGCUUUUCUAGUGACUCUAAACAGCCUUUAGUCUUUCUCGAAUAACUGCAACUGCAUCCACUGACUGUUGAACUAACUCUAGGCCAGUGAACUUUCGCUCUCCGACUUCAUUCUAACACACAAGAGUUCUACACGCUUUGCCAUACAACGCUUCAAACGGUGCCAUCUAAAUGCUCUACUAAUAGUUGCUACGAUGAGCUUCUGACAAGAUCUCCUCCUUAAGCUCUGCAUCGUUAGGUACAUACAAUCGCCCUUGAAACUUUAGUGUUCCAUCCUUAAGAAUCUGAAAAUCAGCUUUUCUCUUACUGUAUCUUCUUGAAAAAUCUUCUGGAUCACAGGAUCUGUCAACUACAACGUCUUAAUUCUUAUCUAUACUUCCGGUUCAAUUUUGAUGGUGGCCAUAAGACUUGAAAGGUGACUUACCUCAAAUUUGAAAACCGAAUCUAGAGCUCCUUUGAGUAAAAUCCACUCCUGAAUCAUUAUCUACGCAAUCAAAGACUUUCGACUCAACGCAUCUGCAACCUCGUUGGCCUUUCCAAGAUGAUACAUGAUGUCAUAGUUAUAGUCUUUAAGAAGUUCCAUCCAACGAUGCUGUCUCAUAUUCAAUUCCUUCUGAGAGAAUAAGUACUUGAGACCCUGAUGGUCUAUAAAGAUCUAGAAUCUUUCUCCACCAAAGUAAUGUCUCCAAAUUUUCAGAGUGAAAAUAAUCGCCGCGAGUUCUAAGUCACGCAUUGGGUAAUUCAACUCAUGAGGCCUCAACUGACGAAAUGCAUAUGCAACAACUCUGCCAUCUUGCAUUAACACGCAACCCAGUCCUCUGAACGACGUAUCACUAUAGAUCUCAUAUCCUAUAAGACCAUAUGAAAUUGUCAACAUUAGUGUGGUAGUCAGCUUCUGCUUAAGCUCUUGGAAACUACGCUCGCACUUAUCUGUCCAUACAAACUUUUCUUCCUUCUUCAGCAUUCGUGUCAUCAGCAUGGCUAUUGCUGAAAAUCCUUCCACAAACCGUUUGUAGUAACCUGCCAAUCCCAAAGAGUUUCUGACCUCUAUCACUAUUGUCGGUCUUGGCCAGUUAAUAACUGCUUUGAUCUUAGCUGGGUCCACAGAGAUCCCUUCACCUAAAAUCACGUGACCUAGGAAAGCCACACGAGUUAACCAAAACUCGCAUUUAUUGAACUUAGCGUACAGUCCAUGAUUCCGCAGAGUAUGAAGCACUGUCGUCAAAUGUCUUUCGUGCUCCUCAGGAUUUCUCGAGUACACUAGGAUAUCGUCGACGAAAACGAUCACAAACUAAUCCAAAUACUCCUUGAACACAUGAUUCAUCAGAUCCAUGAAAGCAAUUGGGGCGUUGGUGAAACCAAACGGCAUUACAGUGAACUCAUAAUGGCUGUAACACAUACGAAACGCUGUCUUCGGUAUGUCUUUCUUCCUAAUCCUCAACUGAUGAUACCCUGUCCUCAAGUCGAUCUUAGAAAAUAUCAACGCUCCCUACAAUUGGUCAAACAAGUCAUCAAUCCUCGAUAGUGGGUACUUAUUCUUGAUCGUCACCUAAUUGAGUUGUCGAUAAUCGAUGCAAAGACGCAACGAACCAUCUUUCUUCUUUGCGAACAAAACUAGUACUCUCCAAGGUGAUGCACUAGGUCGUAUGAAUCUCUUAUCCAACAACUCUUGCAUCUGCACCUUCAAUUCCUUCAGUUCUAACAACGCCAUACGGUAAGGAGCCUUAGAGAUUGGCUCCAUCCUAAGGGCUAACUUAAUUACGAACUCGAUCUCCUUUUUCCGAGGGCAGACCCGGUAAUUCCUUAAGAGACACAUUAGCAAACUCCUGUACCACGGCAAUGCUCUCCAUUUUCAGCUCCUCAAUUGUCAUAUCCACUACAGUUGCCAAAUAACCUUGGCAACCCACAUCCAGUAACCGGUUGCCUCAAGUGACGACAUUAAAAUAAACGAGGGUCCUCCUCGAUUUCUGAUAAACUCGAAACUUUCAUCUGCUGAUGGGUUAAACUGUUUAUCUUACGACAACAAUUUAUUAUAACAAAAAGCUCCUUGAGCCACUCCUUUUCAUAAAUGACAUCAAAGUUAUACAUAAGCAAAAUAGUCAAGUACAACUCUAGCCAGUGAUUCUCCUUUCUAUGACUUCAUUACUACAAAUUGAAGUUCUACAAGCUUAACCAAAAUUCCGCUGCGCCACUAUGAUAAAAUUAUCCCAAAAAUAUUAUUCCUCUGAUUGAUGCAUACCUUAGUUCAUUCCUGCCCUCUUUGCCAUCCUAGUAGCACCUUAUCUACGGUAGCGGUGCCUGUGCCCCCCUGAACUUGCGUGGACAAUUCCUCACUUGGUGGUCAUGCUGACCACAUCCGUAACACACUCCCGUUUUACCAGGACACCUUACUGUGACCAUGUCUAGUGAGUCCUUUGCCUCCCGUCAGGUGACAGCAUACACCCUUCUUGCACCAGAGACCUAUUCCAAAUACCCUGAUGUGUGUUAUGUGGCGCAUUCCCUUUGUUCUGUCCCAUUGGCAACGGUGGCACCUACGCUCCUAUGGGCCUAUGCAGACAGUCCUUGAUCUGGUGGCCGUACUGGCCACACCCAUAACAAGCCCUUGUCUUAGUAAAACACGGGGCGGAUCCAUGUCUUUUCCUAUAGAAACGACACCUACCAUUCUGGUUAGGUGCUGACUUUUCGAUUCUACUCUUUUUGUUAGGCGGAAUAGGGAAUCUUUCUCCGGUCAUCGGCUUCUUCCCGGACCGAUCGUUAUCCCUGUUGUGCACGAACCACGACUCAAAUGCAACAGCUCACUCCCAUAUCACAUCUCUAGGUUGGACCUUAGCAGGUGCAGCAACAAUGGCGCUUACGGCAUUGGCGGCGGCAGAGACAAUGGCAGCGGCGGCGGCUUGAUCCUGUGCUUGUUGGCCUAAUAUGCUUCCUAACAUAUCUAGCACCUGAACGAUCCUGUCGAACCUAGGAUCGCCCGGUGCUGCUACACCCUCAGUACCGACCUGCGACGGUACUUUAACACUCGUGUUGGCCUGAGCUAGCGCUCCCCCUCGGGUUCCGACCCAAGUUGAUGUCCUAUCUUGAGACACGGAUGUAACUGUCCACUGCUCCAGAUCGCUCAUCUUGCAGACUCUUUAUAGAACCUGCUUUCCAAUUCCAACCUAGAAUUAGAAAACUGAGCGACCCACACAAAACAAUCUACCAAUCAGCUAAUCAAUCAAAUACAUCAGCAUAAGAAAAAGGCAUUUUCUACUAACUAUCCCAUAACCAAACCCACCUCAUCACUCCAAACACUGACUAGCUCUGAUACCACUUCGGACGGUAAUGUCACGCCUUGAACUUCAAGCGUGUGCACAUCCCUUGGUGGUCGAUCAAAUUGCAACUUUCCUAGGACGUAUCGCCGACCCAUUCAUUUUAUUGCACAUGCAAAAGCGAACUAAACAUAUACCCGGAUAACAAGAAACAUGGGAUAGAAAAAGUAGGACAAUUAAUUUCUCUCAAAACACACUUUAAAAACAUCUCACGUUGGUCGUACCAGUCUAUACACAUAAGUUUGGUUCAAACAGAACUACUAAACCACCUAUGCUCCUGACCCUGCCGUCUCGGCUCCGAGUUCUCCACACUAUGGACCUGAAAAAUGGUAACCCGCGACAGGAUGAGAAUAAAUCUCACUGAGUCUACAACCUAAAUCCCAAUUAGGAAAAUAAUUCACCUAGAUGCAGCCUAAGCACACAUCGAAUAAGACUUACCUCGCCUCAGCACCUCCCUGCACAUUAGUACAGCUCAUAUAUGUAUGCAUACAGUAAAUGCACUCAAUAAUUGGAACACUCCAUAUCACUCAUUAGUUAAUCACAGAGGUCCCGAUUAUAAGGCCAAACCGUUAUGACACGUCAUAUUCCAUGCCACACAAUUUUGUCUCAUAAUCAGGCGCGGCAUCUCAAUCAUUCACACGUGUUCCGAUUCUUAUGACCCAUCGGCCAAGUCCAACUCAACAGUCGGCAGUCAUCCGGCAUAGCCAGGCAUCGUCUCGCCCCAUCGAGCACGACAACGUCUAACUCUAGACAGCAUUCUUGAAGGAGUAUCAGUCCGGCCUCUACCCCAAUCUGGCAUCCAAUGAUGUGGGGCAUUCCAUAUAGGAGCAUUGCCCACCUGACUUUCAUCGGGUGACAGGUUCUCAUAGUGAUCACACGCACAUCAAAUAUCGGCCAAGGACAUCGUGCUUUGCACUCAAAUGCCUCAAUUUCAAAUAAUGUACUUGGCCUAAUUUUCUUUAUAUUAAAAACACCCGGUAAAAUAAGUGUGCGUGGACACACGAUCAAAUCGGACAGUAAAGCGUGAUAUUCUUCCAUUUAAAAAUCCUACGAUUUGAUAUAAUACUUAAAAUACUUUUUAGCAUCAAAACUCAACACCUAGUAAUUUUCUACUUAAAUACAAAAAUCCAAUUUUUGCAAUAAUAAUCCGUAGCAACAACCAAGCACCCAAUUGCACACUUCGGCAAUCAAUUUCACAUAUUACUAGGCAUAAGCUCUAAGCAUGCAAAAUUUCAACCGAAGCAUCAAAUUACACUAUCUAGCAAACUAGAUACCAAGAAUAACCACAAAAUCACUAAGGGUCCUAACCGGCAGAAACUGGGCCACUCGCGCAUCUGCAAGUUUAAAUAUGAAAACCUAAUCAAAUGAGUUUGGAAAAUUCUCAAAUUUGAAAAUGUUAUAAAGGAAACAUAAAAUAACAUUUUUUAUGAACACACCUUUAGCCCAGUCUUUCUAGAUUAAGAGCAGUAAUUUGCUUGAGUAGAGACAAAAAUUGUUAUUCCAAAACAAGCUUGGUUCGAGGUCCAAAACGUGUCUAUUUGAUCUGAAAUUUGAGUAUGCUAAACUAAAAUAUAUGAAAAAAAACUUUUGUGAAGAAAACCUUUCAAAAAUUGAAUCCUAAGAGUUGAUAAAAAUUCUUGAAAUAACAAAAGGUCAUAAGUUCCAGCACAAACAGAGGUUCUGUUUUAUUUUUAACAAAGUUGAAACCUCAUUCUUUUAAAUCCCUAAAAUCUUGGCUAAAAUAUAUGUCAUAGCCCAAGAUGUCUAAAACAUUUUCCAAGAAGGAAGCAACCUCAAAAUCGUAGCACAUUUCGAUCCACAAAAAUGGCAAACGGCGAGGGUCCAGCAAACUAAUCCGGGAGAAAUCCAUUGAAUUAGGCUAAACCACCCUCAUUAGUGCUAAUCUAACCAAUUAGAUCAACACAAUCCAUCUUAAGGCUAAUAUAACCAAUCUAGAUUAACACUAAUCCCUUUUAAGGCUAAUCUCACUUAGUACUAAUUUAACUAAGCUAAUUAGCACUAAUCUAACCCCUAAGUGUAAUUAACAAACUAAUCAAGGAUUAGGGAGUUAACUCACCGGAUUAGCGAGCAGAUGGGUUCAUGGUGACGGCGGCGCAAAGGCGGUUAGGUUCUAUAACAACGACGUCACCAACAGAGGCUCGGACCGGGCUGAAAACAGCCUUGCAAGCCCACGGCUUGUUGCUGGAAUUUUGGUUCUGGUUUUGCUUGGCUGAGCUUGCUAGGGGUUGAGCUAGCUGGUCGCGGUUGGUUGCCUCGGUGACUAUUGGACAGCGGGACACGGCUAGAUGUUGGACUGUGGGCUGGACAGUGGGGGUUUGUGGGCGGUGUUGUGGUGGACGUGAAAUGAAGGAGAGGCAUUGGCGGUGGAUGGGAGAUGAUGGUGAUGAUGAUGAUGGGGGAUGGGAUGUGGCAUCCGAGAAUUCCGACAACCUGAAAUAUUAAAUUUGUAAGGGAAGGAAAUUGUCUUUGAAUGGCCAUGUGGACAACUACAUCAUCGACCACAAUAUUUUAUCUCUUGGACCAAACCCCCUAUGUGAAAUUUGUUAUGGGAAUAUAAUAUCGAUUCAUAUAUAAAAAUCAAAUGCCCUAAAGUGGUGUAGGAAUUAAGGGCUUAUUAUUGAUAUUUUUUCUAUGGGCUAUUUAAAUUGGACAUGGGACAACUUGGCCCAAAAUUUUUGGGCCCAAAGCAGGUCAAGAGGCCCAAACCGUAGGUCCAUAGAGGAGAACUGGAUGGAGGCCACGCCACCUCCUCCACUUGUCUCCUUCUUGAAGACACUUGUCUUCCUCUUGGAGCCAAGUGUCUCUUGCAUCCAAAAUCUAAUGAUUUCUAGCCAUGAAGCAAUCAAAGGAAGAGGGGGAGGCGGAUUGAUCAAGGAUCGCCAAGAGAGAGAGAGAGAGAGUGAGACUGAGCGGGCGAGUGAGCGAGAGAGAGAGGAGGAGAGUUCAAGCGAGAGAGAGAGAGAGGGGCGAGUGCAGGCCGCGAGGGGGAAGAGGAAGGCCGUCUUCCGCUAUGUCCUAGCUGCCGCCGUCGACACCGCCUAGUUCCGUGUCCAUCGAGCCGUGCCCGGAGCCCCAAGUUGCCGAUUUGCUUGUUGCGGUUGCUUUGAACUUGAGGCAAGUAGAAGUUCUUCGAUCUAUGUUUUGCUUGCUGUUUUAUCUAGUGAGGAGUUGGUAGAUGUGAGAAAAGGUGGAAUUUGGAGCUGCAUGUUAGUUGUGAUGAAGGAGAUGAAGCUGGCUGAAGUAAUGGAGCAAGAAUAGAGCAAGUUUUGGUGGAUUUCGCUUUUGAAUUGAAAUGAGAACUCAAGGAUUUGGCUAUGGUGGAUUUUUGGAAAGUAAAGAGGCUGCAUUGUGGUGUAAUAUGCUUGUAAAUCUUGACUGUGGACGUUGGAUACCGAGGCUCAAAGUGUAGGAAUAGUUCUCUUUAGGCUAGUAAACUGUUUUCGCAAGAACAGCAUGACCACCGGUGAUUUCACGAUUUUUCUGGAAUUUCCUAUCUAAAAUUUGACUUUGAGUCCUUAAUAAAAGUUGGAGAGCACAUCUGUAAGAGUAACAUAUCAAAAAUUUAGCAUAAAUAGACAAGAUUUGGUCGACGAAAUGAUUUUUAUACGGAAAUGUUAAAUCUGGAAAUUUUACAGAACGUCAAUAAGGAAUACCGGAAUUUUUACUCUUGAUAAGUAAGGAAUUUGACAUGGUGUUCUUCACAAUUUUUCCUUAAAGUCUCACUGAUAACAUGUUAAAAUUUCACAAUUUUUCGAGCUCAUUUAAUAUUUAUUUCAAAAUAUUUACUAGAAUUGUGCAUGGUAAAAUCGAGUUGUUCUAUUUUCGAAUUUUCACAAAAAUGUCCCAAAAGUGAAUUUGUUUUGUAAUGGUUAUGUGAUAUGAUGGUACUGGUUGUGGUUAUUUGUCCAAUAUUAAGAUUGGAUAGUGAAUGCAUGAAAUGGAUUGUUCUUGGCAUUUGAAAGGAUUCUUGAAAAUUUAAAAUGUUAAAUUGUUGCCGUUGGACCCUCGGGUCAACAAUACCCCGGGAGUCGAGAUGCCAAAAGGAUCGAGUGAGUCGAUGCCUUGUGGAUGCCCGGUGGCCUUAAAUGGCUGAAUGCCGGAGGUUUUUCCCCCGGAGUUUUGGGAUGCCUGGUGGUAUGCUUGUCGGUACGUAAUUCCGGAUGGCCAGGGUAACCAUUUUCAUGGGAGGCCCUCGAGGUUCUUCGUGAUGCCAGGUGGGGUACGAGAUGCUUGGAGGCGUGAUUCGCUCCAGAUGCCCGGUGACACUAAGUGGCUGAAUGUCGGAGGCUUUCGUGAUGCCUGGAGGGAUGUGAAUGCCGGAGAGAUGCAAACAUUGGUCCUCCGAGGAUGAAACCCUUUUGAAUGAUAAAAUGAAUGAAUCUACUAUAAAUGUGUGGGGUCUUGAUAUAAGACUAAGUGUAUGGCAUGGAACAUAACGUGAUAUUUUAGUUUGGCCCUAUGAUUGAAAUUUGUCUAUCUUGGAUAUGUUGUCAUCACAUUGAAGGAUUUCAUGAUUCUGAUACAUACCUAUUCUCUAAUUUCUUGUUUUUGUCUACCAUACUUGAAUCUGGAUAUUAAUAGUAAUGCUGGAUAUAGCUUGAUGAAUCUUUUACUGCUGAGUGGUUGUACUCACCCCUUUUGGGGACUAACAUUUCAGAUUAAGAGAUGCCUCUGUUACCGGUCACACGUGGUACUUUUUCUUGCUUACCGUCCGAUGUCGAGGUUGAGUGUUUGGAGCACUCCUGUAUUGGUGUUCAUGGAUUGGUAUUCAUCCGUGUUCGAGUUUUAGUUAUGUAUGACGUGGACCUACCUGAUGGCCCCGUAGUUCAGGAGUUCCUGUCCGUGCAUGUUUGUCGCGACAGGAUCAUGAUGGGGAUGCUGCUGCCGCCGCCAGCCGAUGGACCGGGCUGGGUGUGAUUGUGCAUGUGAUGGGUAGCGGAUGACACUUUUUGGAUAGCGGACACAGGAUGAUGGAUCGUUGUACAUGAUUGUUGUGCGGUCGAGUACUUUUGGUUAUAGCCGAGCUUAGUAAAGCCUUGGCCUUUUGAUGUACUGACUCUUAAUGUUCGAUCGAAUUAUGUAAAUAAAAGUGGUUCGGCUCUAACUUUUAUAUAUAUAUAUAUAUAUAUAUAUAUAUGAAACAUGUAGUUGGUGUGCAUUGCAUUAUAUUAUUUAGUUUGAGUGUGGGUUAGGGAGAUGUCGAAUAUGCUUCUGUUAUAUAAACCCCCUGGAUAUACAAACCCGCUACAACUCUAUGGUACCAGAGUGAAUAUUGCCAAGUCAAGUGAAAGGUAAGUGAGCUGUGGCGACUCUAACGGUUCGGGGGACGUUCGUGGGGUGCCACAUCCCAAUUUUUAUUUUUUUUUUGUAUCAGAGUAAUGGUUAUAUGUGGAGUGAUAAGGAGCCUCAUUUGGAAAAUGAAGAAUAUAAUGACAAUGCACACAAUAGGAUACUAAUUGGGAUAGUUGACUAACUUUGAACAACGGGUGUUGAGUAUUCACCCGUAGAUCCCUAGUAAUUAUUAUGAGCUAUCUUUAGGUGCCAGUAACAUGUUUAUGUUACUUAUAUAUAGUUGUAGUUGCUUUUAAAUGGAGACAUUGAGUCACAGAUUAUUCCUAAGGCAAAUGCUUGGAAACUGUAGGAAAAUCAUGUUACGAGCUAGAAGUUCUUAUCCAUCGAGGGCUGAAGCCUCUGCUGCAAAGGCUGAACCCCGAAUGGAAGACAUCCUGCAGGCAUUGGCCAAGAUAGGAAAUCUGAUGGAAAGACAAGCGCAGCAACAACCUAGAGUGGAACGUCGCCCUCAAGGACUGGUGGAACAAUUUCUGAAGCUGGAGCCAUCUAAGUUUAGUGGAACAGGAAGUCCUGAGGAGGCGGAACAAUGGAUAGAUGGAAUGGAACGAAUUUUGAGGUUGUUGGACUGCAAUGAUGCUAAGAAAAUAACUUUGGCAGAGUACCAAUUGGAGGGAAAUGCAAAGUUUUGGUGGAGAGCUUCGAGAGACACGAUCUUUCCACUAGGUACUGAUAUAAACUGGGGUGAGUUUGUUAGAGCUUUCAAUAUGAAGCAUUUCUCUGAUUGUGCCAAUGAUAAGAAGAUCACAAAAUUUGUUCAGUUAGAACAAAGGGAGCUGACUGUAGACUAGUAUGAGGCAAAAUUUUCCGAAUUGUCUAGAUAUGCUCCCAGGCUGAUUGAGGAUCGAGAGGAAAAGACUAAGAGAUUCCUAAAAGGGUUGAGGACUGAUAUCAGGAAACAACUAGUGCCUCUGAACAUAAGGGAUUAUAACGAAAUUUAUGAAAUGGCACAGUUGGUAGAGCAAGAAUUAAUGAGAGAGCGAUCGGAAUCCAAGAAGCAGAUGACCUUUAGUGAUAUUCGAAGGGGUAAGAGACCCUAUCCUGGACAGGGUCAACCCUGGGAAUCUGAGAAGAGGAAUAAUUUAGGAAAUGUUGGAAAAGCCAAGAGUGGCCCUAUUCUAGGGAAGGUACCCUACCAAGGUAAUACUUGUCAGAGGUGUGGUGGAUAGCAUGGGUCAGGAUUUUGUAAUAGUCCGCCAAAACGUUUUGGUUGUGGACAGAUGGGGCACUUUAAGAGAAAUUGUCCACAAGAGAGAUCACAGCUGAGUGUCAACGCGGUACGACAAGUGCAACAACGUACUGUUGGGUCGAAUCUAUCAAGGAAUCCACAGAGACCACCAUCACAAGGAAGGGUGUAUGCGGUCACCCAAGAGAAAGCGGAAGCUUCCAAAAAUGUUAUCUCAGGUACGAUUUCUAUAAAUGGCACAAAGGCAUAUGCAUUGUUUGACACGGGCGCUACGCAUUCUUUUGUGUCUGAAAGAUAUAGACAGUUGAUUAAAAUAGAAACUACCUCUCUUAAGACGCCUCUUUGUGUUUCCACACCCCUAAGGAAUGUGGUAUUGUCUAUAUUGAUAUGUGAAAGAUGUAAGAUAACUAUAGGGGGACGGGAUAUGGAAAUAGACUUAGUCGUAAUGGCUAUGUAUGACUUUGAUGUUAUCAUAGGAAUGGACUGGCUCCAUAAGUAUCAAGCUAAGAUGGAUUGUUAUAGGAGAACGAUCCAGUUUGUUUUACCCGAUGGAUCUAAUUUUGAAUUUUACAAAAAUCAGACAAACCCCUCUAUAGCACUUAUUUCAGUAAUAGAAGCCCGUGCAUUACUUGAUGAAGGAUGUCAAGGAUACCUGGCAGUGGUUAAGGAAUAUACUAAGGAAGAGUCUAAGCUCGAUGAAAUUCAGGUAGUCAGGGAAUUUCAAGACAUAUUUCCUGAGGAACUACCUGGGUUACCACCGGAACGAGAAAUUGAAUUUGAGAUCGAACUAAUGCCUGGAACAGGACCGAUAUCGAAAGCUCCAUAUAGGAUGGCCUUGAUGGAAUUGAAAGAGUUGAAAGUGCAACUACAAGAGUUGCUUGAUAAAGGAUUUAUUAGGCCAAGUGCUUCUCCUUGGGGUGCACCAGUUUUGUUUGUGAAAAAGAAGGAUGGGUCCAUGUGUUUAUGUAUUGACUAUAGGCAACUGAAUCAGGUAACCGUUAAGAAUAAGUACCCCUUGCCUAAAAUUGAUGACCUAUUUGACCAACUGCAAGGAAGUUCGGUCUUUUCUAAAAUUGAUUUGAGGUCAAGAUACCAUCAAUUAAGGAUUAAGAAAGAAGAUAUUCCUAAGACUGCAUUUAGUACUCGCUAUGGACACUAUGAGUUCCUAGUUAUGCCUUUUGGACUAACGAAUGCUCCAGCCACAUUCAUGGAUUUGAUGAAUAGGAUAUUUAAGCAUUAUUUGGAUCAAUUUGUGAUUAUCUUCAUUGAUGAUAUCCUAGUAUAUUCUAAAGGACUUGAAGAACAUGAAUGACACUUGAGAAUAGCGUUACAGACCCUUAGAGACCAUAAGUUAUGUGCCAAGUUUAGUAAGUGUGAAUUUUGGUUGGACCGGAUAAUAUUUUUAGGACAUGUGGUGUCAGGAGGAGGAAUUGCAGUAGACCCAACAAAAGUCGAGAUGAUAAUAAAUUGGCCAAGACCAACAACACCCACGGAAGUACGAAGUUUCUUAGGAUGGGUAGGUUAUUAUAGAAGAUUUAUUGAAGGAUUCUCACAACUUGUUGGGCCAUUAACAAAAUUAACUCGAAAGAACGUAAAAUUGAAUGGAAUGGAGAAUGUGAAAAUAGUUUCCAAGAGCUCAAAAGGAGACUGACUACGGCUCCAGUUCUGACUAUACCAUCUGGAUCUGAUGGAUUUACAGUGUAUAGUGAUGCGUCUCACAAAGGUCUGGGAUGUGUUUUGAUGCAGUAUGGCAAGGUCAUAGCCUAUGCAUUUAGACAGUUGAAACCUCAUGAAUUGAAUUAUCCAACCCAUGACUUAGAAUUGGCAGCUAUAAUUUUUGGGUUGAAAAUAUGGAGACAUUAUCUGUAUGGAGAGAAGUUCGAAUUUUAUAUAGAUCAUAAAAGUUUAAAAUAUUUGUUUUCUCAAAAAGAGCUGAACAUGAGACAUAAGAGAUGCAUGGAAUUGUUAAAGGAUUAUGAUUGUGAAAUACGAUACCAUCCAGGCAAAGCAAAUAAGGUGGCAGAUGCCCUUAGUCGAAAGUCGGCUAUGGACAUGACUAGUCUAAGGAUAACAGAGUGGAAUCUGUUAAAGUUAAUUGUGGAUUCAAACUUCAAGUUGGAAAUAGACCACCUUACUGGUAUGUUCACUGCAUUAAGAAUUGAGUCUAAAAUUAUUCAGAAAGUUAAGAUUUUACAGAAAUCUGACCUAGAGAUUAUGGAAAUACAAAAUGCUGUGUCUUUAGGAAAAAGACCAGAGUUUCAAGUUUCUGAAGAUGGAGUAGUAAGAUGCCAAGGAUGGCUCUGUGUUCCUAACAAUGAAGAAGUGAGAAGGGAAAUCCUAUCAGAAGCACAUAGGAGUAAUUAUAGUAUUCAUCCAGGUAGUACAAAAUUGUACAGGAAUUUACGCCAACAAUAUUGGUGGAAUGGCAUGAAGAUGAAUAUAGCGAAACAUGUUUCUCAGUGUUUAACAUGCCAGCAAGUGAAAGCGGAACACCACAAACCUGCAUGACUUUUGAGACCAUUAGAUAUUCCAGAAUGGAAAUAGGAACAUGUGACGAUAGAUUUUGUGCAAGGAUUACGAAGGACAUCAAGUGGCCACGACUCUAUUUGGGUAAUUGUGGAUCGUUUGACUAAGUCCGCUCAUUUCCUAGCAGUCCGCAUAGACUCUCCGAUGGAUAAGUAUGCUGAAAUAUAUGCAAGUCAAAUAGUACGCUUACAUGGUGUUCCAGUGACUAUUACGUCAGAUUGAGACCCAAGAUUUACUUCAAACUUUUGGCGAAGUCUUCAGAUCACCUUAGGGACUAAGCUCCAGUUUAGUACUACUUUUCAUCCUCAGGCAGAUGGACAAAUAGAAAGAGUGAUUCAGAUAUUAGAAGAUAUGUUAAGGGCUUGCGUCAUUGAUUUUAAAGGAAGUUGGGAUGAAAAGUUGCAUUUAGUAUAAUUUGCCUAUAACAAUAGUUUUCAGAAAAGUAUAGACAUGGCUCCGUAUGAAGCAUUGUAUGGGAGGAGAUGUAGAACUCUUGUUUGUUGGAACGAAGUAGGUGAAAGGAGAUUAACAUGACCUGAAUUUGUACAAAUUACUACUGAGGUAGUUGAAAUUAUCAGGAAAAGACUUAAAACAGCCCAAAGUAAGCAAAAAGACUAAGAUAAGCGUAGAAGACCUUUCGAGUUUAAUGUGGGAGACCAUAUAUUCCUUAAAGUAUCGCCAAUGAAAGGGAUAUCACGAUUUGGAAUAAAAGGAAAAUUAAGCCCCAGAUUCGUUGGACCCUUGGAGAUACUCGAGAAAAUAGGAGACGUAGCUUAUCGUUUGGCGCUGCCUCCUAAAUUGGGAAGUUUAUAUAAUGUGUUCCAUGUGUCGAUGUUGAGGAAGUAUCGGCCGAUCCUGGUCACAUACUCGAUCAUGAAGUCAUCAAAGUGGAUGAGAAAGUGAGGUACAUAGAAGAGCCAAUACGGGUAUUAGAUCGAAAAGAACAAGUCCUAUGGACGAAGAAAAUUCCUCUGGUUAAGGUGUUGUGGCGACAUCAUGAUAUGGAAGAGGCCACAUGGGAAAGUGAAAAAGAAAUGAGGGAAAGGUAUCCUCUUUUGUUUGAUGAGACAUAAGUAACGUCUAAUUUCGAGGACGAAAUUCUCUAAGGAGGGGAGAAUUGUGGCAUCCGAGAAUUCCGACAACCCGAAAUAUUAAAUUUUUAAGGGAAGGAAAUUGUCUUUGAAUGGCCAUGUGGACAAUUACAUCAUCGGCCACGAUAUUUUAUCUCUUGGACCAAACCCCUUAUGUGAAAUUUGUUAUGGGAAUAUAAUAUUGAUUCCUAUAUAAAAAUCAAAUGCCCUAAAGUGGUAUAGAAAUUAUGGGCUUAUUAUUGAUAUUUUUUCUAUGGGCUAUUUAAAUUGGACAUGGGACAACUUGGCCCAAAAUUUUCUGGCCCAAAGUAGGCCAAGAGGCCCAAACCGUCGGCCCAUAGAGGAGAACCGGAUGGAGGCCACGCCACCUCCUUCACUUGUCUCCUUGUUGAAGACACUUGUCUUCCUCUUGGAGCCAAGUGUCUCUUGCAUGCAAAAUCUAAUGAUUGCUAGCCAUGAAGCAAUCAAAGGAAGAGGGGAAGGCAGAUUGAUCGAGGAACCGCUGAGAGAGAGAGAGAGAGUGAGACCGAGCGGGCGAGCGAGCGAGAGAGAGAGGAGGAGAGUUCGAGUGAGAGAGAGAGGGGCGAGUGCAGGCCGCGAGGGGGAAGAGGAAGGCCGUCUUCUGCCAUGUCCUAGCUGCCGCCAUCAAUGCCGCCUAGUUCCGCCAUCGAUCAAGCCGUGCCCGGAGCCCCAAGUUGCCGAUUUGCUUGUUGUGGUUGCUUUGAACUUGAGGCAAGUAGAAGUUCUUCGAUCUAUGUUUUGCUUGCUGUUUUAUCUAGUGAGGAGUUGGUAGAUGUGAGAAAAGGUGGAAUUUGGAGCUGCAUGUUAGUUGUGAUGAAGGAGAUGAAGCUGGCCGAAGUAAUGGAGCAAGAAUAGAGCAAGUUUUGGUGGAUUUCGCUUUUGAAUUGAAAUGAGAACUCAAGGAUUUAGCUAUGAUGGAUUUUUGGAAAGUAAAGAGGCUGCAUUGUGGUGUAAUAUGCUUGUAAAUCUUGACUGUGGACGUUGGAUACCGAGGCUCAAAGUGUAGGAAUAGUUCUCUUUAGGCUAGUAAACUGUUUUCGCAAGAACAGCAUGACCACCGGUGAUUUCACGAUUUUUCUGGAAUAUCCUAGCUAAAUUUUGACUUUGAGUCCUUAAUGAAAGUUGGAAAGAACAUCUGUAAGAGUAACAUAUCAAAAAUUUAGCAUAAAUAGACAAGAUUUGGUUGACGAAAUGAUUUUUAUACGGAAAUGUUAAAUCUGGAAACUUUACAGAACGUCAAUAAGGAAUACCGGAAUUUUUACUCUUGAUAAGUAAGGAAUUUGACAUGGUGUUCUUCACCAAAAACUUUUCUUAAAGUCUCACUGAUAACAUGUUAAAAUUUCACAAUUUUUCGAGCUCAUUUAGUAUUUAUUUCGAAAUAUUUACCAGAACUGUGCAUGGUAAAAUCGAGUUGUUCUAUUUUCGAAUUUUCACAAAAAAGUCCCAAAAGUGAAUAUGUUUUGUAAUGGUUAUGUGAUAUGAUGGUACUGGUUGUGGACAUUUGUCCAAUAUUAAGAUUGGAUAGUGAAUGCAUGAAAUGGAUUGUUCUUGGCAUUUGAAAGGAUUCUUGAAAAUUUAAAAUGUUAAAUUGUUGCCGUUGGACACUUGGGUCAACGAUGCCCCGGGAGUCGGGAUGCCAAAAGGAUCGAGUGAGUCGAUGCCCAGUGGCCUUAAAUGGCUGAAUGCCGGAGGUUUUUCCCCGGGAGUUUUGGGAUGCCUGGUGGUAUGCUUGUCGGUACGUAAUUCCGGAUGGCCAGGGUAACCAUUUUCAUGGGAGGCCCUCGAGGUUCCUCGUGAUGCCAGGUGGGGUACAAGAUGCCUGGAGGCGUGAUUCGCUCCAGAUGCCCGGUGGCACUAAAUGGCUGAAUGUCGGAGGCUUUCGUGAUGCCUGGAGGGAUGUGAAUGUCGGAGAGAUGCAAACAUUGGUCCUACGGGGAUCAAACCCUUUUGAAUGAUAAAAUGAAUGAUUCUACUAUAAAUGUGUGGGGUCUUGAUAUAAGACUGAGUGUAUGGCCUGGAACAUAACGUGAUAUUUCAGUUUCACCCUAUGAUUGAAAUUUGUCUAUCUUGGAUAUGUUGUCAUCACAUUGCAGGAUUUCAUAAUUCUGAUACAUAGCUAUUCUCUAAUUUCUUGUUUUUGUCUACCAUACUUGAAUCUGUAUAUUAAUAGUAAUGCUUGAUAUAGCUUGAUGAAUCUUUUACUGCUAAGUGGUUGUACUCACCCCUUUUGGGGACUAACAUUUCAGAUUAAGAGAUGCCUCUGUUACCAGUCACACGUGGUACUUUUUAUUGCUUACCAUCCCACGUUGAGGUUGAGUGUUUGGAGCACUCCUGUAUUAGUGUUCAUGGAUUGGUAUUCAUUCGUGUUCAAGUUUUAGUUAUGUAUGACGUGGGUCUACCUGAUGGUCCCGUAGUCCAGGAGUUCAUGUCCGUGCAUGUUUGUCGCGACGGGAUCAUGAUGGGGAUGCUACCGCCGCCGCUAGCCGAUGGACCGGGCUGGGUGUGAUUGUGCGUGUGAUGGGUAGCGGAUGACACUUUUUGGAUUGCAGACACUGGAUGAUGGAUCGGUGUACAUGACUACUGUUGGGUCGGGUACUUUUGGUUAUAGCCUAGCUUAGUAAAGCCUUGGCCUUUUGAUGUACCGACUCUUAAUGUCCGAUCGAAUUAUGUAAAUAAAAGUGGUUCGGCUUUAACUUUUAUAUAUAUAUAUAUAUAUAUAUAUAUAUAUAUAUAUAUAUAUAUAUGUAACGUGUAGUUUGUGUGCAUUGCAUUGUAUUAUUUAGUUUGAGUGCGGGUUAGGGAGAUGUCGAAUAUGCUUUUGUUAUAUGAACUACGCUGGGACUGAUUGAAAAUAUAUAUAUAUAAACCCCCAGGAUAUACGGACCCACUACAACUCUAUGGUAUCGGAGUGAAUAUUACCAAGUCAAGUGAAAGGUAAGUGAGCUGUGGUGACUCUAACAGUUCAGGGGCCGUUAGUGGGGUGCCACAUGGGAUGACGCUGGAGAUGAGCGAACGUGCUGGCAGUGGUGAGCGUUCCAGGUGGCGUGAGGGGAUGCGUUUACUGGGGAGGGGGGAAAGAGAUACGUGAAAGAAAUGAAAAGAGGACAGAGGCAGAAGAUUUCGGUGAAGCAGAAGGCUCGCACGAAGAAGAAUGAGGGGGGGGGGGAAGAGAGAGAGAGAGGGGGGGCAAAAACCUUGAAAGUCAAGGAGAAAUAUCCAAUUUCAUCAUUCUUUUGUCCCAAAAGUCUUUAAGCCAAUCUCUUGGUCCCCUAAUACUUUCUUGCAAAUAAUUUCCCACAAAUAACUCAUUUUGGACAGCAAAAUAGCAAAUUUCCUCUCCCAUCCGAAUUUCUUUUCUUUUUCGAAUUGUCCGAAAUUGAUUUUCCGUAAAUAAUCCAUACUUGCCGAAAAUUCUUCAAAGGAUGAGUCAACGUCUUAAAAAUAAACAGUGACAACUAGAACUUUUGAUUUCCUAAACCAGGUUCAAUUUUGUGGUUAAUUUCGAUCGGACGCGAUUUUAGCGUGACCUAACCUACCAGGUAGCUUUUAGGAAUUUUUAGCGCGUUUGACUCAUGGUCGAUUAUUUUUUAUCCACGUUGUGCAUCUUCGACUUAUUGACGACUCUCGGUUGUCGUAAAAAUAUCAAGGUUUCAAUUACGGGAACUGGGUACAAAAUCAACAAAAAAAUCGGUUUAGUACCGUUCGACGUGCAUUUCACAAUUAGGUAGAAUCACCCACAAUUUAAUUAUGUGCUUCUGUCGAAUCGACCUAUCUCUGGUGUUUAAUCGAUUUUAACGGUGCUGUAUUGACCCUUGCCUAUUAACACAGUCGAGUAGUUGAUUUCUGAUUGAAUUUUUAAGUUUGUCGUGUUUGUAUCCCUUAACAGCUUUACCUGAUAGAUUAGUUAUCUAGUGAGUGACCAACUUAGAGAAAAAGACCAAGGCGCGUCGAUGAAAAGCCCAUUUCAUUUAAUAGAAACAGGGUCGAAUUUUCAGGAUGUCACAUGUAUGGUCUGAACGGCGAGCUACGGACCUCAUCUCGCAUGCCACACGACCCCAAGCAAAAGCCAAGACGCCUCAAUGCAUCUACGAGCCACUAGGGCUCAUGAGGGCUGGCCCGAGACACUUUGCAAGAAUGUUAAUGAACUAAUAGCCUUACGAAUGCCCACUGUCCAGCAUGCACACAAUUUUGAUAGCUUAUUGAAAGUCACAAAUUCAUAAAAGGGAGAUUUUACAACAAUUUAUAAUUUUUGAUUAUCCCCUUCAGCUCCGCCUUGUUCCGUUUAAAGGACGACCUGGGCUUGAUUUCUCCGGUUCUUGAGUGUUCCAUGUCCAACUGAGUUGAUUUCUUUGGCGUCACGGGUCUAGAUCCGAGUUCGGGCCUUGGAACGGUCAGUAACUUCUCCUCAACGCACUGCACACCGCGUGUUUGCAUAAGUGUCUAAAUGAAGCUCUGUUUUUGUCUGGGGAACGUCUCCUGAUUUGAAACAUUCUGAUGACCAUUUCAUUUUUAAAUUGCAACAUCCAUCUUCGAUUGAUUCAUUUCGAGUUCAUCUUUCUAUGGUUCGAGUAUAUGGCCGUAUGUCCUGCCUUUUUUUUUUUCUUUUUUUUUCCUCUUGCGUUUGGCUCCUCGUUUUGCACAUGUUUUGGUGUUACUUGUGUGAUCUAGAUGGAGUGUACGGCUGGAAUGUAUAUGAUGAAUCGACAUAAUGAUUGGUAGUAAGUAGUGAAGUCCAUUUGUUUGUGGUCUGAGAUUUUGUUGCGUUCGUAAAUUAUGAAGAGUCUUGAGGUUCAUGAGUUAGUGGGUAAAAUUUAAUGAGCUCUCAGUCCACUAACUAAAAACUACGGACACAUAAAGUUUAGAGUGUGUUUGAUAAUAUUUCUAUACCCAAAAAUAAUUUCUCUCUAAAAAUAGUUUUUUUUUCCAUUUUUAUUAUCAAGAACAGGGAAGUCCUUACCAAAAUAAAUAAAUAAAUAAACAAAACAAAAAACAAGGAAGUAGAUUUUUUUGUUUUGUUUCUGUUCUACAUUUAUUUCCUAACGAUUUAGAAUAAAAAAAUUAACUAACGUUACCAAACGGAUUUCUAUUUAUUUUAUGUUCCGGGAAACAAAAAAAUAGAGAAAUCGAAAGAUAAGAUAGUUACUAAACAUGUUCUUAGUAAAUAGUAUGGGGAAGCGAGAGGAGGAGCCAAAAGAGGGGAAGUUUUAGAAGUGUUUCCAUGGACGAGUUGAAUGUGGAGUGAGUGUGAAGAAUAGAAAAUUAAGGUAUGGGCUCUACAAUGAUAAAUGGGUUUAACAUGGACCUGGGUUUAAUUCAUCCUUAUUUGAAAGAGGCUUUAGCAUGGGCGUGGUGUUUCUUUUGCUGGAAGAGCAGGCUAGUCAUGAGUCUUCUUAAUUUGGGCUUGAUUUAAGUUAAACAAACAUGGGCUUUAUUAGGAGUCUUCAGAAAUUGGGCUUAGGACGGUUAGAAUUGGAGUGGGCUUGAGGAUGGACUCAAUUGCGCUGUUUAGCCCAUCUCGGCGAAUCUAGAAUUCUGUCUUUUUUUGGACUGGGCUCAAGUACCCAGUCCGAUUCACCAUUUUCGGGAUUAUUAAAGAAUAAGAAAUUAAAAAAAAAAUCAUAAAAUGCCUGGAAGUAGGUUUUCAUGAAAUUUUUAAGUUGUAGCUUGAGAUUUAAUUUAGUUUAAUUUAAUUAGUGUACAUGUAGCUUAGUCCUAGUAGAGUACCCUUUUGAAAUUAAUUAAACUUGAUUUGGAUCAGCUCAUGGGGACAAUGUCUUGGGGAUUACAACAUGGCUAUGUAUAUUUUUUGCUCGAUUUGUAUCAUGUUUUCUUUUUCGCUUUUACUUUAAAAGUCUCAAUAUUUGGGCGUUUACUUUCUCCUCCCUCUUUCAAUAAAGUGGUUGUUUAUCGCUUUCCUAGAAUGGAUUAGGACUAGUUUAGAAUUUGAUGAAAAUGAACCCUACAAAAACAUUUGUAGAAUCAUUUAGCAACUUUGAUGCAUUUAGGACUAUAAUUGCCAGUCAAGACCAUGUGACUGCUUAAGUAAUGACCUUCCAAGCUAGAGCCAAAGGGUGCUCAUAGACAUUAACAUAAUCAAAUCAUCCACUCUAGAAUCUCUGAUUGUGUAGGAAUUAAGACGACACUAAUGUGUCUCGAUUGAUUUCUAACCGACUCCAAUAGGCUAUAGGUUGUUAAGAACUAAAAAAAUGAAAUUCAACGUUGCGCGAGGUAUAGGCUUAAGAGAGUCUGCACUUAAUUAAGGUUGUUGGCCUGAAUUAGGCAAUAUCUCUAAAUCUAUUUCUUUUCACUUCUGGACGGAAAGGGUAAGUCGCAACAAUGACUACAAAGACUAGGCCAAUCAAAGCAUCCUAGAGAGAGCAGGUUUGCUUUUGAUGCAAUUCACAAUCAAGGUGAAUUUAUUUUUCCUUUUUCUUUGGAGUGGUCAUCUUGUCAAGUGUAACUUUUCCUUCUUCUUUUUAUUAAAUUAGAAAUCUUAAUGUCAAUCAAGUGCAUAUGUUUCUUCUUUCCCCUUUUUCAUCCUGUCAAAUGCAUACUUGAGAUCCAAAAUUAAUAGAACUCCAAAAAAUGAGGGAUUUACUUUACUUAAAUUAUGACCAAACGAAGGUCUAACCUUUCAAAUUAGCUAAAGUUACCUUUACCAGCUAAUCUAUAUCUAUCAUUGAAACAUUUGUUGAAGAUCCAUACUUCAAAUUUGACAAAUGGCACCAUACAUUUUAGGCAAGUCUUACUUUCUCCUAAAAUUUAUCACUUAUGUAUGUUAGAAUAUUUAAAUAAUAAAUGACGCAUUCAUAUUUAAGCUUUUAAAACAAUUUGUGGUAGUCUCAUAAAAUUUUACACUCUAGGCAAAUCAGUUCCAAUGCAAUGGACAUGUAGAAAAGGUACAUGAAAAUGAAACACAAAAUUAAAAUUGCAAUACUAUAAGGCAAAUAAAGCUUAAUAAUCAAUUAAUAAAGGAAAAAUUGAAACUUUUUAUGCAAAAUUUGAUCUUAGAAUGACAGAGUUAGGAAUUAGGUUGGAGUAUAAGUUAAUAAUCUCUUCUUUUUUUGGAGUCCUGUUUAAAAUAUUAUUACGAGGUUCAAUAGAUAAGAGUACAAACAGGAAUCUUCCCUUGAUCAAUUAGUUCCAGGUUAUUAUUGCACAAGGUAAUGGCCGCUACCCGACGAUCCUCAAAGAAGAUGGCUUCGAAGCUGAUUUCAUACACGCAAAUAAAACAGGAAACAUCUAGAUAUUAUAUAACUAUAAUAGUUUAGAGAAAUAAUACCUUUAGUAAACUACACGUACGAUAGAUGCAAUACAAAAAUUUGACUGAUGAUAAAAAAAUAUACAUUAUUAUUACUUAGUAUUGAACUUAUGAGAGAAUAUGAGUUAAAAAGGAAUAAACAAUCAUCCAGUUCGCAGUCUAUGAUAAACCUACCAUUUGCAUUUGCUAGCGUUAUGUAUAUGGUCAGUAUUAAUGAAUAAACUAAUUUGAAAAAGUUUAAAAACAUGCAUUUCUUUUCAGCUAAAUAAAUUUUGUCCAACUGUAGAAUAUGCUGAGGUUGGCAUUACAAGAUGACAAGCCAUUAUCUCGGCGAGAAAAAUGCCCAGUUUCAUGCAUACAAAGAGUCAAGGAUGUGCACCUCUAAUGAUUAAUAUCUCUUGCUAUGCAGGAGAUUUUAUGUACGUUGAAUAAAUCUAAAAUUUUUCUAUGUAUGUAAUAUUUGUUUUCCUUAAGCCAAUAAAUAAAAUUAAUGUUCUGGCUAAGAUUACAGCCGUGGUACUUUAAUUUAUACCCGUGCAUGGCACGGGCUUGUGCUCUAGUACUAAUAAAUGUUUUUGUGUUUAGGGGGAGACAUAGGUAAUGCGAUUAAGACCUGACCCUCUAUUAAUUUGACGCAGAGCCCCAUUUUGCCUCUUUUUAAAUUGUUUGAUUCUCCUUUUGACAUUUCUUUAUCUCAUGGUUGCCUUUCCUUUCAGAAUUAUGAAAACCAAUUAAAGUUUUAUUUGAGAUUACCAAAUACCGACAUUUUACAUUGUGUUAUCAGUUAAUUUUAAUUACUGAUAAACUUUUUUCACUUACUUGGGUUAGAAAAGUACCCGCAUCUAUUUAUAUUUGUUAGAUUACUGACUGGUUAAAUAAUGAACCUAUAUAUAUUUUUGUGGCUUAUCAAUGCCUUGAAAAGUUACCGAUUCUUGUACGAAAUCAUGAACCUCAACUUGAUUGGUAUAUCAACAUCCGUCACAUUAUCCGUCAUGUUAAUCUUGCUUGGUUUUGAAAGUGUCAACAUUUCCUUAUGCUUCUAAGGUUACCAACUACUUUAAUAAUCUACCAAUAUCUAUCUAAUGGUUUACCAAUGCCACUGAAGUUAGCCAACUCUUAUUUGAAAUUAAUAAUUUUAUCUUGAUUGUAAUACCAAUAUUCGUCUCAAUGAGAGCCAACUAAUUUUAUGGAAAAACAAGGUAUAGCAAGGGGUUAACAAAUUUAUUAGGAUGACAAAAUUGCAUCCUUAGAAAGGAAAAAAAAAAGCUCAAUUUUGAAAGUCUUGAAAGAGGAACCACAAAGUUUCUGGAAACUCACCUCAAAAGGCCUAAAUUUCACGAAGACUCAAGAUUUUUCCCCCCUGAAAAAAUGGAAAGCCAAAACAGCAGCGUUUUUGACACUGUCCAUGUUUUGACUUCAGAAAGCUAACUUAUGCCGUCCCUCUGCAUCCGACAGUUGCUGCCAAAUCAUUCAAGACGGUUUGGAGGACUGCAGUUGGGAUAUUCCAGUUAUGAAGUUCUUUGAGAAGAGCAGCCAAAUACCAACCAACGCUUGGAAAGAUUCUUUCACUCUUUCAACAAUUACUUCACAUUGGAACGGGCUAAUGGCAAGUAAAGGAUCUGCUGUUUCUUUUAAAAUGCGUGCAUGGAUUCGUUCAGCAAUUCUGCCAAUAUCGCUUCAAUAUUAGCAUUGAGAAUUUGAAAGGAUUGGUCCCCUAAAAUGAAGCCUCGGGAACUAAAGGCGGAAUCGAAUCUGUGCAGUUUUGUCCUUCACCGCCAUCUGUUCUAGUGUUGCCAAGACCUUGAUUUAACCCAUAUUAUAUACCAGCCUGUUUUUUUUUCCCUUCCAUUUAUGCUAUUAGUGUUAGCCCAUAUUUAUAGAGAAUUUUUGCGAUUGGUACUAAAAAACUAUCAAAAAUCAUUUGCUCUAACUUAUUAAAUUAUUAUAAAAAGGUUGAUGAUUACUCUAAAAUAAAGCUUUAAGAAAUCGACCGUUCUUUUUCCCCCCCUUUUUGGGGAUAAUCCCUUAGAAAAUGUUUGUUAAAUCAUGACAUCAAUGUUACGGAAUUCGCGAGAGAUCAUGACAACAUUUGUGCAUUCUUUAUUUUUCACGGAUUGGGUUCUGGAAAGGCCAAUAAUGAGUUGAUUUAUGAAGACAGAGACAACCCUCUUUCUGGUGAAUAAGGUGUAGCAUUUAUUAUAAAUGGUUCAUUGUAAAAGAAAUUGGCUUGACGAAUAUAUAAUGGACUCCUUGAUUUAUAGCUUCAAUUUUCCAAUUUUCGCAUUGUGAUGAUGAUUUAGUUGGCUUUUCCUUUAUUUAUGGACUAAGGUGUAUAAAAAUUAACUACUAUAUCGAGAGCAAACCACUAUUGAUAUGUCACGGCAUUUAUUACGUCACUCCGAGGGGGCUUCUCUGCAUCCAUAUUUCAUCCCUCUUUUAAUAGUUUUCAUCGCUUCAAUUAAUUCUCAAGUAUGUACUGAGUGCAAAUCCUGGGUUAAUACUAGCCUGAAAAACGGUUGUCAUGAGAGCUAUUUUCGUUAAUAUAAACUAGACUUUUGCUGAUGCGAGACUAUUGAGUCCAAACAUUACUUGCACAUAGGACUGUCAUCCGAGAUGCUCACCAUCUGUUAACAUAUGCUCAAGUUAAAAUCAAUGUUAUCUGGCUCAUUCUUAUGCGUAUGUACAGCUUUGUCAAUUGCUAAAUGUAGUUGAAUCGUUUUUGGAAAUGACCACUGAUGAGAUAAGUUUUCCCAAUUUGAGUAGAGCUAUGUUGAUUCUCAUGAUUAUCUGUUCAUCAAAUAAACUUGCUAUACUUUCUGCGUUGAAGUAGAUCUAUCAGUUCCUCGUUUGAGUCAUGGUGCAGCGAAUACCGGAAAUCUUCCUUUGUGAAUGAACCACAGUAUUCGUUGAAGAUUCAUUGAAUAUGUUAAUAAUUUCUCUGAUUUGUGGAUGUUUGCUUUGAAAUUGUGUUCUAUGCAUGAACAAUGAGUGUUCGGAAGCGGUUGCCGGAGAGGGAAGGUCAGGAGUUGAUAUCACCGUUCUUGUGAGUCAUGUCGGGUGGUUAAACGUGGUGGAGCCGGCAACCAGAAGCGUUCGAUGGUGGAGCGUUCUUGAUCGGUUUAAGAUAGUUUAUGUGGAUUGUCGCUGGGGUUUUUAAUGUUCUUGAGUCAAUAGGUGAGUUUUGGGGGUGGACUUAGCAUAGGUCUGGGCUGGUUUUGAGUUUUUUUAGUUAGUUUAAUUUGUUUGGUUGGGUUUGCUUUAACAAGCCAAUCUUAUCCUUGGCCCACGUCUCGGAGUCCAACUUAAUCUUACAAGCAAACUGGGCUCAAGGGGCCCAGCCAGAGUCCCUAUUUUCCAAAAUAAUAAAAUCGAAAAUUAAAAAAAUUAAAAAAUCCAAAACUUACAAAAAAAUAAGAAAAUAGUAUAGAAGCAGGUUUUGAUUAAUUUGUUUUAUUUUAGCGCUAGAUGUAGCUAAGUUUAUUUAUUUAGCACACCUUUAGUUUAGAGGGUUAGUGGUUAUCUAUGUUGCUCAAGUUUGGAUAGGUUGAUUUUUUUAGGCAAGUUAUUGGACUCAAUUAGCUCACAGGAUUUGUUGUCCUGGACGAGGCCCUGCAUAUCAUUUAUAUGAUACUUUAUUGAGUUUACUCUCUUGCACUUUACUUUUAUCAUAUUGUUUUCGAUUUGUCUGCCUUUUUGUGAUUGCAUACUUAUGCAUGGACAUCAUUUAGUGACGUAGGUUAAUACAAUGGUUAAAGAUUGCCUGAAUCAUAUAGGUAACAAAUUAAUAAGGCAUUAGUUAGAUAACUAAUGUAAUUAAGUCAUCAAUCCCAAAUCUUUGGUUGUAUAGGAAGUGAGGUAUGCUCCUAUACCUCACUUAGUUUUUUGUCGACUUUUGAUAAGGGUUUGGGAGAAAUAGUUGAUAAUCGAAAAUUUUUAAGGAAACAGUUGAUUCUAGAUUUCCACGAAAGGUCAUAGAAACGUGAUAGUAAAUGGGAAAAAGCAAGAUCAUUUGAGAUUCCUUUCGUGACUAAUCUUAACCUUUUCCCUUUUGUUGAUGGUGGGGAAAAAUAGUUUGUCUUUUCCAUUUUGUUUAGUGUGCCAUCCAAGGAGAUAACCUUUUGAGCGUCUUCCUUGGAAAUUUCCUCUUGGGCUCUAAGAAAUUGGUUCCUAACCUCUAUUAUAAAAAAAGUAGGUGAUCCAAAUUUUUUAAAGGAAACAGUUGAUUCUAGAUUUCCAAGAAAAGUCAUAGAAAUGGUAAUGGAUGGGGAAAAAGCAAGAUCAUUUGAGAUUUCUUUCAUGACUGAUUUAGAAAACUGGAGUAAUUGUCCUCUAAAGUCUCUCAUGAUCCCCUAUAGCAUCCUUCAAAGAUGCAUUGUCUACAAAGCUACUAGUUAAAUGUGUUCCCUUAUUUUCUUGUUCUCACUUCUGUCAAGGACUUAUGAAACAAAUAAUUUGUAGAAGACAAAAAAGUACACCAGCUCACAACCUUGUUAUUUGAUUUUUUUUUAUAACCAUAUUGUUUUGAUUAAUAAACAUCAUGCCGCAGCUCACAAACAUGAACAUUUGUUGGAAAGGAAGAAAGAAGAAGAAAUUUGAUCUAACCGUUGUACAAUAAAUAUCAUAUCGUAAUGAUUAUGGAAAGAAUUGAACUUUGAUACAAUUUAAUGUCGUUGCUAAAUCAUGAUUUGUCAAAGACUAAAAUCAUUGUAAAGAUGGGAUAAUUUAUUCAAAGUCAAGAUCACAAAGAGAUUGAGGUUGUCUUAAAGCAAGACAAUAGCAAUUAAUUCUAAACUACCAAGAAAGGUCGUAGAAGCACGACAUUGGAUGAGAAAAAGUAGAGCUCGUUUGCGAUUCCUUCCAUGACUGAUCUUUAACUUUUCCCUUUUGUUGAUGGCUGGGAAAAUAAAAGCGCUUUCCAUUUCACACGGUACCCGGAAGGGGAGGUUGCCUUUGGGGCGUUCUUCUUGGAAAGCUCCUCGUGGGUCCAAGAAAUUAGUAGCCAACUUCCUUUUUUUUUUUAAUUAAUUACCAAUUUCUUUCAUGACUGAUAAACCGAUUCUCAUAUUAUUUGGCAAAUUUUGUUUAAUUAUCAAGAUCUUAAAUUUACCAAUUAUACAGAAAAUUACCAAUAUUUCCUUGGUGACUUCUUGAUUUUUUCCAAAUUAAGUAACUCAAUGGAAAAGGUUAAAAAAUUAAUAAAAACCAAAUAAACAUCUAUAGCUUACUCAAUAGAGUUAGUAAUCCAGUUGAAGCUCCAAUCGAGCAAAGGUUGACAAAUACGAGUUAGUAAAUUUAAGGCACAAUGAAUAAAGGUGAAUGAAAAAUUGAUUAUAAAAAUAAGAAAAGUUGGUAAUUGAAAAAAAAAAACUUGGUAACUAAUUUAAAUAAGAGUUGCUAACUCAAAAUUAAUUGAUAAUUUAAAUAGAGAAAAGUAGGGAAGUCACUCUAAUUAAAAUUGGCAAUGUUAAGGCAAUUUUGAGAAAUGCAACUAGAAGUUUGUAGACGAUAAAAAAAAAAUCAAAAUCAAAAUUUGAAGGUGUUGCCCUUUCAUUUUUAUUUCCAAGCGAGCGAGGUUAAAAAUGCAACUUCAUGUGUCUACAUUUCUCAGACAUUUCAUUUGAUUCUCGCCCCGUGCGCCCCAUCACUUGUGGGGCUUAGGCCCAAACCUUCAAUUAUAUCUCCACCACCUUGCGCUUUCCUACAUGACCAUUGCCCAUUGACCCUUGUUCCACACGUUCUUGCAACUUCCUUGGAAUGCACCAUAAUGCGUUUUGUAUCAUCCUAGGCUUGUAAAAUCACCAUAAAAUGUGGUGUGAUUUGUUUUCAAAAUUUUAGUAGGUGUAGCCAAGGUGAAAAAAAAGGAGCUGUUUAUACUCUUUCCUCAUACUUAGACUUUAUAUGAUCACCUUACAAGUGGAUUUUUUUUUUAUGACAUUUCUAUUUUUCCAACGCUUACAUUCCAACAAAAAUAUGUGUAUGCAUAAAAAAAUUCCAGGUUCCAUGGCGUAAAUGCACUAGAAGAGGACAAAUUUUAGUGAAUGGUGCCGUUAUAGUUGUUGGCGAACUCGCUUUGGGUAAAAAUGCAUUAGUAGCUUAUUUGUUGUCAACACAUAAUUUUGACAACUUAAUUAGUUGUUAAUUGCAUAAAAAAAUAGGAAUCGACCUCGAUCCCUUGCAUUUUGCAUAUUAAUUGCAUAUUCCUUUCAUGCAUUAUUUAAAUAUAUAUAUUUGCAUUGAACCGACAGAUAAAUUUAAGUUAAUUGUCUCAAACUGAACUAAUAAACUAGAUUGAAUUUAUAAGAGCAUAAAAUUUUGGCCAAGCUAAUAGAACACUGAGUGGCCGAAAGUUAUAAAUGGAAGAACUAAUAGGUGCCAAGGUGGAAAAAAAUAUCAUUAGAGUAAAUUCGGGGGAGAAAGACAAUAACUUUGUAAAGAAAAAUAUUUCGAAGGACAUUGCAAGAAUAUCUUCACAACCCCAUCACCGCAAGAUUCAUUCUACUUCAACGGCUGAGAUCAUUCUCAUCCCAAUUGAGGGGCCUGUAUUGGUGGGAACAGUACAAGAUCGUUACCAUUUCCCUUCCCUUCCCUCCCCCAACCCAAAAAAAAGAUAAAGAAAAAGAAAAUAUUAUAAUAAUUAUAACUAUGGACUCCUUCUCACAUUUGUUCUUCCUCCACAGUAAAUUUCCAAGAACUUGUCCCCGAGACUCGAUUAAUCUCCUCAGGAUUCGAUCCAAGCCCCAACGUCGACGCCCGAGUCAAGGUUAGGCACAUCAUCAUAAAUGCGCGUUGAGGGAAACUACUAAAGGAAAACAAUAAAUUACAAAGGAAAAGAUAAAGAAUAUCUCAAGCAAUUUCUGGGAACUUUACGUGAAGUUUGAGAGGUAAAGGAAUAUUGAGACUGAUAUAUGAUUAUUUUAAAACAAGAAAGAGGAGACUAACAGUUCAUAAAAAAAAAAGUGAAAAAGGAAAAAAACACUGUAUAAAAUGACACUGAGGAGGGAUUGCUUGUGCUUGUUCGCCGGUGUGGUUUAAUUUUUGGCCGUCGUUGCAGCUUUCGUCCGGCGGUCUCUGGUUUGCUUCCUCGUCGAAAUUCUCGAGACCUUGUUUGCCGGUGUUGAUCUCCGGCUCCCUUCUGCCAACGCAACUGCCGCGCCGUCCCUCACCAGUCACCGCGCUCGUUGCCGGCUUGUCCAUCGUCGCGCCUCUACCCCGCUCGCCGGCACUCUUCGUCGCGCUCAGCACGUGUUGCUGCAGCCGCGACAGCAGCUUUGCCGACUUAUUCUAACACCACAGCAGCGGUCCCAGGCGGUUUCCGGUGAUUCCAGGCGGCAUCCCGGCUCCAUUUGACGCCACCGCUUGCUGUUUUGUUUCCUCUGCUACGUUUGAUUUCCUUUCGCAGGUUGCCCAGAGCAGACUAGCAUUGAUCGAACCCACACCGUCGCCGCCAAGCAGAGUACAACCAACAAACCUUCACCGCUGCAUCUUUUGUUCUAGCGAACCUGUCUGCAAUUUGCCGUGUCCUUGCUGGAUCGCCAUCGUUGCUGCUUUGGUCCUGACGUUUCUCCUCACCGGUCGACGUAAAGCUCCCCGCUCCGGUCCGAUUCUCGGAAACAAAUACUUCAAACCAGGUAAUUUCUUGAACCAAUUUGAUAGUUUGCAAUUAUUGAUUAUCUAAUUUCUUGAACCAAUUUGUGCCUAACUUUUAGGCAUCUCUACGUUAGGAAAUUCCCUAUUUUGAACACUGCGUGUAGUUGAUAAUUCGAUAUUUAGGUAAUGAGAUAGGCUUGUGGAUUGCAUAAACAAAUUUUAAAAAAUUUGAUAAUGAUUUUAAUUUUCCUUCUACGUUAAUUUAAUUCAAUAAAAAGUUAUAUAAACAAAUCAUCCAACCUAAAUGAAUAUAAGUUAACACGGUUUCAUAAUCUUAUAUUCUCCCACUCUAUUAUUAGAAAUGCAUAUCUAAUUAAAAUUAAGAAGCACCUAAAGUAGUCACCAAUCCAGCUUUUUGAGAUUUAUUUUUCUUGUUGCUUUUGACCGAUAAUAAUACAAUAAAGUAACUACAAAAAAAAAGAAAAAAAAAAAGAAGGAUCACUUUGUUCAUGACUAUGACUGUAAAGUUCAGGCCACACUCAAAGCAUCCUAAAAUAGUCGGUUUGCUUCUGACGCUACUCGCGAUCGAGGAGCAAUUUUUUGUCCUUUUUUUUUUGUUCCAAUUUUUUCAGGUAAAUUUUUCCCUUUUUUUUUUAUCAGAAAUCUUAAUGUCAAUCAAGUGCCAAUUCUUCUUUUCUUUUCCUUUUUUUCAAUACAUGUGUUUCAUAUUUUUAGUUUACUUCGACUCGGAUUUGGACUAAAUUAUGUUGACUUGACUUCAUGGGCCUCAGGCCAGCCAUCAUCACCAUGCAGAUAAAUGGUGAUUCUUAUUUGUCGGCCAACGGAAGUGAAAAUUUGUUGCUUUGCUUCAAUAACACAAUAUCUUACACUUUAUAUUUGAAUGAACAUUUUAAAUCUUAACAAGAAAGUAAAAAAGGUUUUGCUUUCUAGAAAGCACCAAACAAACUAGUCCUAAGAAAACACUCUGACCAUCGGGAUUAUAUGUCAUUUGUGAAACCAAAUUAUGCAUAUAUUUAAGUUCCGUUCGUUUCGUGAAAAUAAUUUUAAGAAAAUAUUUUUCAAAUUUUAUGGUAUUCAUUUCAUAAAAAAUAAAUUGGUGAGGGAAAACAUUUUCCAUCAACUGAAAAAUAUUUUCUAAAUAGAGAGAAAAUGUUUUCUGCUUUUCAAGUUAGAGAGAACAUUUUACUCACUCAAUCUCUCUUAUCUAUAGCCCACACUUCUUUCUUUUUUUCUUUUUUUAAAAAAUUCGAAUUUCUAAUUAUUUUUUCUUUAUUUUUCUCUUUUUUCUUUCUUUUUUCUUUCCUUUCUUUAUCGGCCGAUUGCCAGCCGCAAGCAAGCCUCGAGCUUGCUGACUUCAGGCAAGCUCGGACUUGCCUUUGGCUGGUUGCUGGCAACCGAAGAAGAAGAAGGAGGAAUAGAAAAAUAAAAAAUAAAAAGAAAAAAGAAAGAAAAAAAAUUACAAACUGCAAAUUCGAUUUUAAAAAGAUUAAAAAAUAAUUAAAAGAAAUGCACGAAGGUAAAUCAAAUCGAAUUUUCCAUACCGAAUGAUAGAGAAUUUUCAAGUUUGAGCCGAACACCAAAAUAUUGAUAUUUUUAAGAAAAUGAUUUCCUAAAAAACAUUUUCCAUAAAAUGAACGGAGCCCUACAUCUAUCAAUAAGUAAGAAAAUAAGGUAAAAUGAAGCUUAGUGGUUGAACCACAUAAUCAUAAAGUUCCAUCUCCUCCCUUCCCCUUAACAUUAAUCGGACAUAUUACUUCAACACAAAUUAUAAAAAAAAUAAAACUUAAUCAUCACAUUUGAUUUGAUAUACCGUUUCUAGAGCAAUACACUAACGUCAACUUGCCCUCCUAAUUUUCAGUUUAUUUAGAAUUUGACUUGAUGGCGAGCCAUGAAAAUCGGAAAAAAGAAAAUCAAUUUCUCAUAUCUCGAACUAAUAUAGACUUGCUGGAGUCGCAUUUCCCGGCAUCCCGAGACGUGUGACUCCACUUGUGUAGAGUUACAUUUCUCAUUCUCGCCACAUCUCACCAAUCAACUUGUGGGGCUUAGGCCGUUUCUUAAUCUUCAAUCAUAUAUAUGCAAUUUCUCCCUAUUAAUGCCGCGACACGACGGAAACUGAAACUGAGCUUGGCUUACCUACCUGACCAUCGCCUAUCGGCCCUUGCUAAAGCAUAUCAAAUCUUUUGUGAUUUGCUUGCAGAAUUUUAGCAGAUGAAAAGAAAAUGGAGCUCUUCUCCGGAAAUUGAAUCCACUGGCAAUGGUGCAUCGGGAGCUUUGUUUGACGUGUUCUUGAGUUUUCGAGGGCCGGACACUCAUUUGAAUUUCGCAAAUUCCCUCUAUCAUGCCCUGCGAGAUAAGGGUAUCCGUGUUUUUUUAGACAAUGAGGGGAUCGACCCCAAUAAAGAGAUCGGCCAUGAGAUUUUCCAGGCCAUUGAUGACUCGAAAAUCUGCAUUCCCAUCUUCUCCACAGGCUAUGCCUCCAGCAGGUGGUGCCUACACGAGCUGGAACACAUGAUGAAGCGUAGGAAAUCCCAUGGACUGGAGGUCAAGCCCAUAUUCUAUGACGUGGAACCUUCCGUUGUGAAGCUUGAACCUGGAGUAUAUAGGGAGGCAUUGAUUCAGCAUGAAAAUGAACGUGGGGCUGAGACUGUGCAGGGCUGGAAGGAGGCCCUUAAGGAAGUCACUGAAAUCGCAGGAUGGAAAGCCGAAAACACAGGGUAUGUUAACUCACUCAACUCCAGCUUCCAUUUUCUCUCCGUUUCUUAUGCUUAAAUACUGAUCGUAAUUUGAAUAGCCAAAUUUUUUGUUUGGACUUUACACUUUUACACACUGUAACUACUAUGGAAAAACUUGAAAAAAAAAAUGCGAAAGAAGGAUGUUCUUGAGACUCCACUGAUCCUCCCGAGACAGUCCAUGCUCAAUUGUGGAAAAUCACGAGACAAAUCAUCAUAGCAAGGUGACCUCAUGGUAAGAGUGUAAAUGGUUUGGUUUAGUUUGGUUUUUUUGGAAAAUUGAACUGAAUCGAACCGAUGAGAAAAUUUAUUGAACUGAAUCGAAAUCUGAUCCGAACCGAAACCGAAAUCCUAGUUCGGUUCAGUUCAGUUUUUCAAUUUUUACAGUUUGCUUUUUUUCCCUACAUGCACCCCUUUCACUAAAUUUUUUAUUUUUUAAAAAUUUGAUUUUUUAAUUAUAUUUUAUUCCUUUUCUUUUCGUUUUUCUUUCUUUUUCUUCUCCUUCCUCAUUGGCCAGUCAGCGGCCACAGUCAAAGGCAAGCUAGAGCCUCGCCGACUUGUGGCGAGGUCAAGCUUACCAGACGCCAGCAAGCUUGAGUCCCGCCAGAUCCGAUGUCGGGCAAGCUUGGCCUUGCCUGACCAAGUGAGGCGGAGCCUUGCCACAAAUUGGCGAGGCUCAACCUCACCGGAAUCUGGUGAGCUGUAGCCUCGCUAGCUUGUGGCAAAGCUCCAAUGAAAAAGGAGAAGAAAAAAUUAAAAAUUAAAAAACGAAUUUUUAAAAAAUAAAAUGAUUUUUUUUUAGAUUUAAUCGGUUUGGUUCGGUUAAUCGAGCCGGUUAAAAAAGUUUUGAUUUUUAAUAAAAACUGAACCGGAAAAAAAAAAAAAAACUUUUCGAUUUGGUUCGUUUAGGUUCAGUUUUUGACACUCCUAUUGACACUCUUACCUCAUAGUAGUAGAUCUAUUUGCUCGUAAUGUCUCUCUGCGGCCGGUGGACGCCCAUCGGUGACUCCACUUGUAGAUUGUAAACUUUUUCAUUUAUUUUGAUGCCCUGCUUCCUCACCCUCUUUCAGAUAUUGCUGUUUCCCCAAAUCAGUUUCCUUUUCCACUUUCAGUUCUGAUUUAAUUCGUGGUGUUUUUUUUUUUUUUCAAUUAGAAAGGGGUCGGUUUAUGUUUUUCGGAUUUGAAGCGAGGACCCAUUGAAUAAUGUUUGUCGAGCAGUAUGAACGUGAAGCUUCAUAACACGAACCAAUCCGUCUAGAUUGGAUAUGGGCUGGGCCGGACGGGUCUUGUAAAUUUCUUUCCACGGGUAGCUAGUUUUAGUGGAGCUCCUAUCCUUUGACUAACUUGAUUCGAAAGAGUACUAACGGACCAUAUUGGCUUUUGGGUGGAAUCAACUUUGAACCAGUCUAUAGAUGAGAUCGUCAAACAAUUCCCAAAAUUCUAAACUUUUAUUUUUGUGAUACCAUGUAAUUCAGUAUAUUAACAGUUUCUACAUCACAUUUUUUUUGGGUGCAUUAUGUUUCUUUUUUUUUUUUACUUAACAUGAAACUAAGAAAGUUCGCGGCAAAAAAAUUUCCCAUCCAAAAGCUUCAAGUGGUUGGAGGAAGUCGCCAAAAGGUUCUAGGAUGUGUCUGUAAGAGAAAGAAUUGGUUGGCCUCUUCACCGUCCUUGAGUUCGCAACUUUUGGGGCAAUGGAAUAAUGCCACGCCGGAAGAAUAUAGAGAAAAGCAAGAGAUUUGCUUCAAAGCAUGAAUUAAUUAAUUUCAAGGAGGGUGCCGGAUAAAAUUAGUUUUUAUAGAAGGUAGAUUUAAGAUUCAGUCAGUUAGCAUCGUGUAGUGUAAAAACAUCAAAUCUUGAUUAUUGUCAUAUGAUACGAAUCUAGGUUAGACUCAAAACGACUGUGCAGAUUAGAUUUUAUAUUGCAACUAUAAAUCUAGGUGGACUCAGAACGACAUGCCCAGCCCACCUUAUACUCAAGCAUAAGAGAGCCCACACCCACACUGAAACUCAACUCACUCCCAGCCCGCACAACGAAUCAAAACAAAACUUAAUCUCUCGACUCUCUGUAUCUCUCGCCUCACAGCUCAAUUGUUAUAUGAAAAGGUUGGUUCUUAAAGUUACCAGUUACGAUAGAAAAUGUGAAUUACAAGUAUACUUAUAUAGGGAAUUGAAAAAAAAAAACAGCAAAACAAAGAAGAAAACAUAAGGGGCCGGUUCAGUUCCGAACCGGUUACUUGGUGGACUAGUUCAAUUUCCAAUUCCAGAAAACCUGGAACGGCCCCCUGUUUCGGUUCCCAAUAAAAAAAUAUGCGAUGAAUAUUGGAAGGGAUCAUUUUUCAUUUCGUGGUCUUGGUCAUCACCUAUAUAAUAUCCAUUUUAUCUUAUCACAAUGAGUGAAUCGAUUUGGAAAGUCAUGUACUAUUUCUUUCUCUUUAUAUCCCACAUUUUGUGGCUAACCCAUAUCAUUGACAGUAACUUCAUAAUACUCUCUCUAAUGAUAUGCAGCCAUGGAGAACUCACACGACAAAUAGCUCUUGAAGUUUUUGGUAAGCUUGACGUGUCUCCAGUACAUCUCCCUGAUUUUUUAGUUGGGAUCGACAAAUCAGUGGAUAAAGUUAUAGAUUUGCUGAGUGUUGAAUCUAAGGAGAUAAGACUCAUUGGAAUAUGUGGUAUGGGUGGGAUAGGCAAGACAACUCUUGCGAAGAUCGUUUACAAGAAGUUGUCAGCUCGUUUUCAAAGUAGUAGCUUUAUCCAUGAUGUUCAACAAGCAUCAGAAAGUUCGAGUUUUGGUCUUCUAGAUGUGCAAAGGAAACUAGUGCGUGAUAUCCUUGGGGAACAGAAAAUUGAGAUUCCCAGCAUUGAUGAAGGGAAAAAUGUGAUCAAAAAAUACUUUAGUGAAAAGAAAGUUCUUAUUAUCCUUGAUAUGAUGUAAAUGGUGGGGAACAACUAAGGGCAUUAGCAGCAGAGAGGAAAUGGUUUGGUUCGGGAAGUAAAUUUCUGGUUACAACGAGAAAUAAAGAUGUUUUGUCUAAAUUUCAGAAUAGUUUGAUUCAUGAAGUGGAAGGGCUGAAUAGUCAAGAAUCUUUAGAACUGUUCAGCAAGCAUGCAUUUGGAAGCAUCUUUCCUCCAAGUGACUUUCUCAAACUAUCUAGAAAAGCUAUUGCAAGAGCCGCGGGCCUUCCUUUAACUAUUGAAGUGAUCGGUUCAUUGUUACGUGGAAAAGAAGAGGCAGCGUGGAAAGAUAUUUUAAGAAAGAUGGAAAUAUAUCCUUGUGAGGAUGUGCUGAAACAUUUAAGGUUAAGUUAUGAGGCUUUAGAUGUCACAGAAAAGGACAUCUUUCUUGAUGUUGCCUGCUUCCUAGCUGGAAAAAAUAAGAGAGAUGCAACUUAUAUGUGGGAUGACUGUCAAUUGUUUCCAGAACAGGGAAUCCAAGUCCUACUUUCAAGGUCCCUAGUAAAAAUUAGAGAGGAGAAUGAGUUAUGGAUGCAUGACCAGCUUAAGGACUUAGGUAGGAGUAUUGCACUUGCUGAAAAUUACAAAAAUCCAGGAAAGCGUUCGCGAGUGUGGAAUCAUAAAGAUGCGUUGGACAUGNNNNNNNNNNNNNNNNNNNNNNNNNNNNNNNNNNNNNNNNNNNNNNNNNNNNNNNNNNNNNNNNNNNNNNNNNNNNNNNNNNNNNNNNNNNNNNNNNNNNAUAAAAGAACUUCAUUAACGUACUUAAACUAAUAAUUGAUGUUCAUUGGACAGCAUCUAACAUCUUUACAUAACAUAGUAACAUGGGUGUAAUUUGAGAUGAUAGUGAAUAAAUCUAAAUACUCUAAUUAACAAAUAUAUUGGGUUUAUCAUGUAUGUGAUUGGUUUAUAAUGCGUCUAUUAAUUAGUAAAUAAGAAUUAUCAAAAUUGUUGGUGUAUGAAAAUAAAUUUAAGAAUAACUUUAAAUUCAAAUAUUCUAAGUAUAAAGUUAUGUCGUAAAAAUAGACAAAUGAAAAAGACAUAGUAUACAACGGAUUGCUUAGUAAAGUAAUGAACAAUGUUGAUAAAUAUGAAUCAUUUGUACUAAGUUGCAAAUAACUUUAGAGUAUAUUUUGUAUUAUAUGACCACAUCACCUAAAUAUAAGAACUUUCAAUAAGUCUAGUUUAAAACUUGUGCAACGACUACUGUCACUAAAAUAAUUCACGACAAAAUGCUCUUUGUGUUUUGUUUCAAUGCUUUGAGGGUCUCUUUUCAGAAUUGAGAUGGCUUUCUUGGGAUUGUUUUCCAAACAAACUUUGCAACAGACUUUUGCCCAAAAAAUAUGUUAAUUCUUGAAUUAUCAUGGAGCUCAAUAGAUGAACAUUGGGUUGGUUGGACACAACUCAAGGUACACAUGUGCAAAUAAUUUAGUAUAAAAUGUUAUAUUUUCUUCCAGUCACACAAGCUCUUGCGUCACACGGGGUUGUAGAUCGUCAUGUUAUUCAAAUCUCUGUUUGAUUGAAGUUUAUUGGCUUUCCGACCAAAAAAAAAAGGGUUUAUUGGCUUAAUUCAUACGACAAAUCUUGGCUUCAAGAAGGCUUGUGACUCCAAUCCCUCAUUCCAUAAGGCUGAAACUUACUGUUGUGUUUUCACUAGAAGUACAUCCAAUCUAACAAUUACUUUACAUUUAUGUGAUAGAUUUGAUUGAAGAGAUAAUGCUACUUGUAAAUCCCCGUUGAAGACACUUUGGUCAACGGAAAAAAUGUUAUCCUUGACCACUUUUAUUCAUUUUGUUCAAUAUUGUGUUCAUAGAUAUUAUGUUAUGUUAAUGGAGAGAAUGUAACACGUGUAGAUGUUUCAAGAUUGCAUUUUUCAUUUUUACCCAGUCAAACAAUUCUUUUUGGUCCGUAUCUAAUCAUACAGUUAACUUCCCCAGAAAAAAUGAUAUCAUGAUUUGGUUGUCAAUCAUUGAUCUGCAUUGCAUUUUAUAGUUUUACAUUGAUACUAGGUUAUUGCUGUUAUAUCAUUUAUGGCAAUUCUUCUCCUGAUGACCUUCUUCAAUUCAAAUUGAUUGUAGCUGCAUGAUUAAAGGGCAUUGUAAUUUGUACAUUAUAUGUUAAUAGUAACUAAAUUUUUGUGUUGCACUAUGAAUAAAGGAAGUGACUUGAUUAGAUAUUCAUACAUGUUUCGUGAAUUCUGUGGUUUGUCCUGAUGACUUUCUUCGAUUCAAAUUGAUUGUAGCUGCAUGAUUAAAGGGCAUUGUAAUAUGUAGAUUCUAUGUUAAUAGUAACUAAAUUUUUGUAUUGCAAUAUGAACGAAGGAAAUGACUUGAUUAGAUAUUCAUACAUGUUUUGUGAAUUCUGUACUUUGUAGGAUUAUUAGAUCAUCUAAUGGAAUAAAUGUCAUAGCUUAAUAUCUAUUGACUUCAUUACUUUUUAAAGAACAAUUUAUAAACAUUAAUGUUAUUUUGAGUUGCCUAAUCACGCCAACUAGUUGUCACGAUAGAUGUUUAAAUUUAAGUGAAAUAUAAGUAGCGACUAUCUAUACUAUACAAGUAUGCGAUGCCAAAGAAAAACCGAACAAUAGAGAGAAAUUAGCAAAAUAAUAAAAAUUGGCGAGUAAAACUGAACAUGCAAUCUGAUUUAUUAGAGCAUCAAUACUAUUAAAUGAAUAUUAUUCUCUUCAAAAGGUUCAAUAUAAGAAGCAAAAAAAAAGUAAAGUGCAAAUAUAAAUUAGUUAACAGUCGGAAGAUAUGUAAAAUUAUUUUCUAUAUUGAAAUUUAGAAGGUACAUUUACAUAGGAAAAGACGCAAAGUUUAGAGUCAUGAGUGCUAGUGGUGGCGACAAAAUCGGUAAUGGGAUGAUAAAGUUAGAAAGGGAUGUUAUAAUUUAUAGGAGAAGUGUUGGCUAUAUUCUGUCUUUUUAUUAUUUGAUACGGGGGUAAUAUGAGAAUAGAUCUUCUUCUUUUUUUCAAUUUAUUGGUGGGGACAAUAUUGGAAGAAAUGAAAAAAGUGUGAUAAAGAUUAGUUUUGGCUUAAGUUAGGAAUGCAUAUACAGAGUAUUUAUAAGGUUACUUUAGUGGAAUGCUUCUUUAAUCGAUAUAUUUGCUUAUGUCCCGCAAAACUUCUAUAAAUUAAACUCGUUGGAUAUAUAUAAUCAUUCGACAGGUGGUUACAAGAUUGAAGGUCCUGAAUCUGCCAAAUUGUUGGUCGUUGAAUGAAUUUCCCGACCUCUCUACAUUUUUAUCCUUAGAAAUAUUAAUUCUACGGAGUUGUCACUCACUUAUGAAACUUUCUAACUCAAUUGGAAUGCUGAAAUGUUUAGUUGAGUUGGAUGUCUCAUGGACAAGAAUCAUAGAGUUGCCAAAUACCAUCGUCAAUCUAGAGAGCUUGAAAGUGUUGAAGAUGGAAGGAAGUUUAGUGCAAAAGUUACCCGAGGCUAUUGGUAUGAUGGAGAAACUUGAGGAAAUUCAUGGAAACUAUUGCGAGCAACUAAAGAUGAUUCCUAGUGAUAUUGGGAGACUACCACUCUUGAAGAUUUUGGCAUUAACAGCAACUUGUGUGAAGAAUGUGCCAGAGCUUCCACAAAGUUUGAUAAAUCUAUGUUUGUCCUCAAGAGCCGUAGGAAAAGUUCCAGAGAUCUACAAUCGGGGGAACUUUCCGAGUGUAAGAGAUCUGGCAUUAUGUUUAAGUAAAGACAUUGAUGAAACCUUUGUCUACUAUGAAUCAGAGCGACAACCCCACACUUUUGAUAGCUCAUCGCGUAUGAAACUUUUGAAUAUUACUAGCGAAACCUCAUUUGGGGGUUGGUUUCAUUGUGCAAGAGAACUUGAACUUAUCCGGUGCGAGACCCUAUGCCAGAUUCAACAUCUUCCCUCCGGUUUGAGGGAACUGAAAAUUAGGGAUUGCAGUCUUCUUGAAGUCGUCAACGUUUCCAACUUGGAGAAUUUGUUGGAGCUAAGUCUAUUAAAUAAUCAGAAUUGUCAUAUUCAAGGGCUUGAAGGUUUAACAUCAUUGCAAUGCUUGGAAGUGUAUGACUGCAGGUCAAGCAAGUUCAGCGGGCUUGAAAGACUGAAGAAUCUACGGCUCUUGCAGCUUAAGAUGUGUCCCUCCCUUCAGACAUUGCCCAACUUGUCUAACUUAAAAAAUCUCAAGGAGUUUGAACUAUGGGAUUGUCCGAAACUGGUUAAGAUUGAAGGUCUUGACAGAUUGGAAUCACUAAAAAGCCUUGAUAUCCAAUGCUGCAGUUCCUUGCGAAGCUUACUUGAUCUAUCCCACUUGAAGAAGCUAAAGAACCUGCACCAGAUUCAACAGCUUCCCUCGGGUUUGAGGGAACUUAAAAUUAGUGAGUGCCAUCUUCUUGAAGUUGUUGACCUUUCCAACUUGGAGAAUUUGUUGGAGCUAAGUCUAAUCAACAAUGAGAUUUGUGAUAUUCAAGGGCUUGAAGGUUUAGCAUCGUUGCAAUGCUUGAGAGUUGACAACUGCAAGUCAAGCAAGUUCAGCGGGCUUGAAAGAAUGAAGAAUCUGCAACUCUUGCAGCUUAGGAUGUGUUGGUUCCUUCAGGCAUUGCCCAACUUGUCAAACUUAAAAAAUCUCAAGGACUUUGAACUAUGGUACUGUCCGGAACUGAUUCAGAUCGAAGGUCUUGGCAGAUUGGAAUUACUAGAAAGGCUUGAUAUCCUAUGCUGCAGCUCCUUGCGAAGCUUACCUGAUCUAUCUCACUUAAAGAAGCUGAAGAUAAAUUGGUGGCAAGAAAAACCAGUAGCUCGACGAGAUGAUCUCCCACUCUAGCAUUUGAAAAAUCUUAGAGAUCAGUAAAUCCUGAAAUUUGGGGCUCGGAGGAAUUUGUCAUCAAAAUGUUGCGAGAUCAAUUUACGGUGAUCAUUCACACCUGAUUUUUAAUCGAAAUUUCAAGCAAAAUCGGCCAUUUAGGUAGUUUUUAUUAAAAAACCUAGUCCAAUUCGCCUUCAGCCAAAGUCAUUUCUUACAUGAUUUUUUUCUAGAAGUUUGGCUCUGACGGAAUGGGUUCUGAUCGCCAAAAAAAGGGAGAGAUUUCCUUCUUGGUCGCCUUGAAUUCACCACCGUCAAGCUCCAUAGCCAGCCACUUCGAGCUCAACGACAACCAUACCAGGAAACAGAGCAUCAUACAUGCACACUGGAUGGAUGACAAUCCUCUUUCGAGGAGAGAUUUGUGAAUUCGCAGCACAAUUUUUGACGUCUCUUAGCUUACUCCAAUGGCUGUCGCUAACGCAGUUGGCCAUUUCACCGUCGCACUGAGUUUGUCCCGUUCGACUCUGUCUUCAGAUCCAAGAGUCCGAAAGGAUUCCAAUUCGUGUUUGAUUCUCCACUACCAGCUCCGGUCUUCACUGAAAAAACUUCCAGAAAUUCCUUUACGGAUUUGGUCCCCAACCACUGCUUAGAUUCGAAUCCCUGAUAAACGUGAAGUGCACGCCCUGUUUCCUUCAAUAUAGAGACCUUGAAUUCGCGA